GGUAGAAGAGAGAAUUUUGCAGUACGAGAUUGAAAUGAUUGCAUCUUUCGCCAUUGUCAUAGAAAUCACAGAUACAAUGUCAUCCUUGCUCGACGAAACUAACGGGCAGUCGGGCACUACAGAGCAUUACAUACAGGAUCUCAUCUUAGUCCAUGAGGAAUGGAUCUAAGCAACACUGGCUAGGCUAUGGGGGCGGCUACUCCUUGGUGGCGGCGACCUUCUUCUUGGGGGACUUGGCGGUGGUCUUCUUCUUGGGCGACUUGGCCUCCUUCUCGGCGGCGGCGGGGGACUUCUUUGGGAGCAGCACGGAGUUGAUGUUGGGGAUCACGCCGCCGUGGGCGAUGGUGACGCCGGCGAGCAGCCUUCCGAGCUCCUGGUCGUUGCGGACGGCGAGCAGCAGGUGUCGCGGGAUGAUCCGGGUCUUCUUGUUGUCCUUGGCCGCGUUGCCGGCAAGCUCCAGAACCUGCAUAUUCAGAAACCAAAUCUGUCAGUUACCCGUCGAGCACGAGAAGAACAUGGAAGAAGAACAAUGAAGGACGGGAAAGAUAGGUGCGUACCUCAGCGGCGAGGUACUCGAGGACGGCGGCGAGGUAGACGGGGGCGCCGGAGCCGACGCGCUGCGCGUAGCGGCCCUUCUUGAGGUAGCGCCCGAUGCGGCCGACGGGGAACUGGAGCCCGGCCUUGACGGACCUGGUCACCGCCUUCUUCCUGUCGCCUCCCUUCCUUCCGGCCAUCUUGCUUGCUGCUUCUCCGGCGGCGAGGACUCGCUAGGAGUGGUGUUGGCGGCGGUUGCGCUGGAUGGGAAUGCUCUGAGUUUGUGGGUUGGAACGCAGGCGUGGGCGCGGCUUUUAUUGGAGGCGGCCAGGGGGAGUGAUCCGCGUGACGUGCUGCGAGCGCCGUUGGAUCUGAGGGGAGCGUCGCGGGCAGGGGGAGUGAUCCGUGGGAGCCCCAGAUGAACCAAUCAGAGAGCAGAGAUUUGCAAUACAUAUUUGGAAUUGAAAAAUAACUCAAAAUCAAAAUCAGCCUACGUAUUGAAAUGGGCACGAAUUCUUUUUCUUUUGCUAUUAGAUGGGCUUCAAUUCUGAUUUUUUUUUGCUUGGUCGUGUAUAAAAUUGCUAAUUGGGAUUAAGUAGCCAUCAAUACCAAUUUUUAUUUAGAAUAGCUAAUUGUAUGUGCAUUGCAGUAGGGGCAAUACAUUUUUUUGUGGUUCACAUCAACUAUGUCUAUCUUUCACCCAUAUAAAGAUAUAGUAUGAAUUAUAUCAAAAAGAAAGUGUGACUUUUGAAGAACUCGUAAUGAAUAACGGUAUUAAGCAAAUCGGUGGUUAAAUACUCCGAUAACCAAUUUCUUCCUUAAGUAUACUUUAUCACUAGUAGGGAAAUGCUUAUAGGUAGGACAUCAGUAGUAGCGCUGGAAAAUAACAAGCGUUGCUGCUAAUUAGUAGUAGCGCUGCUCUCAGGCAGCGCUACAAGUAGUGAUUUAGCAGUAGCCCUGGAAAUGAAAAAAGCGAUACUGAUAAGUGGGACCCAACGAGCCUACCGAUGCUAGCUGUAGUAGCAGCGCGGCCCAAAACAAAGUGCUACUGCUAAGGUUUUACCAGCAACGCUUGCUUUGAAAACUCUGCUACUGCUAACGGGACCCACUUAGUAGUAGCGCUUCUCCUAACAAGUGCUACUACUGAGCACCAUAACAGUAGCGUUGUCUGGGAAAUAGCGCUACUGUUAGGCGUGGCUGGUGCCACCUUUUCACCCCCUUUCCCACUCCUCCCCCCUUUGCCCUCUCCCCCUCAUUUCCCCUCUCCCCUCUCUAAGUUAUUUCUCCACCAUUGUUGUCCUUCUUCUAUCUUCCUUCUAGCUCUCUUCUCUCCCCAUUAAUGCACCCCUCCAUCAUAAUUCUCCUCCAUAAAUGGCCUCUCUUUUCUAUCUACCUCAUUUAUUUGGCUCUCCCUCCUUCCAUGCAUAUAGAUCCAGCUAGCUCAUCUCUCUCCCUCUCCAUUAGUUAGCUAGAGUUGUCUCUCCUCCCAACAAACUAGAUCUAGCUAGCUAUUUAGCCAUCCACACUUUCGAUCGUCCCUAUAGGUAGCGAAGGCCUCAUCUAACCGUGUUCAAUAUCUCUCGGGAGAUAGGUGAGUAAAUAGUUGUGCAUUUCAAGAAUGGGAAUAUGUGUGUUUGAGAUAUGGAGGGAUUUGUGCGAGUGACAUGCCCCCGAGUUGCUUAUGUUUUGCCGAAAUGUCGAUUUAUUUCCGUUUCGGUGAAUUUUGAGCAAACUCGAUAUGUCGUAUUUUUAGGCAAGGUCAUGCCAAGUUUUUAUAUGACUUUGAUGCAUGCAUGCAUUUUGUUUAUAACCCUUUUGCUUGUUAUACCGUGCAAUUGGUCAUGAAGGUGAGUGGAUGGAAGGUGGAGCGAUACUUGCAAUCCGCGGUGAUGGACAUGUAUGCAAAUAAUCAGACUAGAAUUAGAUGUCCAUGUAUAAGAUGUAAAGAAGGAGUCCUUUUGGACCCUUUUGAUUGUGGCAGUUUGAAGGUGCGCCUGCUGAUGAAUGGUUUCAUGGAUGGCUAUACUCGGUGGAUAAGUGAAGAUAAUGAUGAGCACGUCCACAUGGCAGAGAAUAACGACAUGGGGCUAGAUGAAGAUAUGGCCGAUCGACACGAAGACGAUGGCGUCGGACAUGGCGGCGGGGAAGAGUCAGGACCUGGUGGCGGCGGAGAAGAUUCCGGACAAGGUGAAGAAGAGUACGGACAUGGCAGCGAAGAAGAGUCUGGACAUGGCGGAGAAGAGGCGGCGGACUACACGCCGCAGUCUUUAAUGCUACUAAGUUUAGUUGUGCAGGACUCUCAUGUUCGAGAGCUCCUUCGCAAGAGUACGACUAGCGAGAGAGCUACUUCUAGAGAGAAGGCCAAGCUGGCGCAACUUGAAGUAGACUCGAAGACUCCACUGUAUGACGGUUGUGAUCCUGAGGUGACCCGCUUGAGUUUCAUGCUCGAACUUCUAAAGAUGAAGGCCAAAAAGAAAUGGAUAGACAAAAGCCUCGAUGAGCAUUUGAAGUAUCUACAUAAUAAAGAUCUUCCCGUGGGGAACCUGUGUCCUACUAGUGUCGAGGAGGCCAAGAAAAUCGUUUUCCCUCUUUGUCUGCCACACAUUAGAUACCACACAUGCAUCAACGAUUGCAUCAUUUAUCAGGGGGAGCACGCGGAAAAAACCAGCUGUCCAGUGUUCAAUGCUUCUCGAUACAAGAAGGCAGGAAAGAAAGAUCCUUAGAAUGUUGUAUGGUACUUUUCGAUCACUCCCCGCCUGCAGCGGUAUUUCAUAGAUCCCAAGGAAGUAAAGCUCAUGCGCUGGCAUGCGGAGAGGACUAAGCCCGAUGAUGGAGAUGAUCCGAAGCUGAGACACCUCGCAGAUGCUAGCUAGUGGAGAGCAUUCAACGAUGAAUAUUGAUUUUUCGCAGAAGAUGCAAGGAACGUCGUGCUUGGUGUGAGUACCAAUGGCAUGAAUCCGUUUGGAAACCAGAACACCAACAACAGCACAUAGCCCGUUUUUGUAUGGAUGUUGAAAGUGCAACUAUCCCUAGGUGGUUUUGGUAAUUCAUAACAACAUAUAGCUCAUUGAGCUAAUGCUAUUCCAAGACUAUUGUUUCAAGAAAGCUCAAUGAAUGGCAUGGCAUGGAUGAUGAAAGUGGAUCCCUCAAAAUACUAAGGACAAAGGAUUGGCUCAAGCUCAAAAGCUCAAGACUCUUCAUUUUACAUUUUAGUGAUCCAAGAUCACAUUGAGUCUAUAGGAAAAGCCAAUACUAUCAAGAAGGGAUGAGGUGUUGCUUAAUGAGCCUUUUGCUUCAUGUGCUUAGUGAUAUGCUCCAAAACCCUCAACUACUUUCCCACAUCCACAAAUGACCUAAACCUAAAGCCAAAAUCGGUCACACCGAUUCUUUCUAUCCGGCGCCACCGAUUCCAAAAGUCAUAGCCACUGCCACAAACCCUAAGCAAAUCGGUCUUACCGAUAGGGAUCUCGGUCUCACCGAGAUGGGGUUGCAAUCUCUCUGUUUCCUUUCGUAACGUUUCGGUCUAACCGAACUGAGCGAUCGGUCCCACCGAGAUUGCAAUGUAAACUCUCUGUUUCCUUUUUGUAACAUUUCGGUCUCACCGAAAAGAGCAAAUCGGUCCCACCGAGUUUACCUGACCAACUCUCUGGAAAGCUUAUUACCAAAUCGGUCUCACCGAGUUUGUGUAAUCGGUCUCACCGAGAUUAUGUUAUGCCCUAACCCUAAUCGAAUUGGUCUCACCGAGAUGCAUGUCAGUCCCACCAAAAAUCACUAACGGUCACUAGGUUUACUAAAUCGGUCCGACCGAGUUUAACGAUUCGGUCCCACCGAGUUUGGUAAAUUGUGUGUAACGGUUAGAUUUUGUGUGGAGGCUAUAUAUACCCCUCCACCUUCUCUUCAUUCGUGGAGAGAGCCAUCAGACUAAACCUACACUUCCAACUUAACAUUUCUGAGAGAGAACCACCUACUCAUGCGUUGAGGCCAAGAUAUUCCAUUCCUACCAUAUGAAUCUUGAUCUCUAGCCUUCCCCAAGUUGCUUUCCACUCAAACCCUCUUCCCACCAGAUCCAAAUCCUAUGAGAGAGAGUUGAGUGUUGGGGAGACUAUCAUUUGAAGCAGAAGAGCAAGGAGUUCAUCAUCAACGCACCAUUUGUUACUUCUUGGAGAGUGGUGUCUCCUAGAUUGGCUAGGUGUCACUUGGGAGCCUCCGACAAGAUUGUGGAGUUGAACCAAGGAGUUUGUAAGGGCAAGGAGAUCGCCUACUUCAUGAAGAUCUACCGCUAGUGAGGCAAGUCCUUCGUGGGCGACGGCCAUGGUGGGAUAGACAAGGUUGCUACUUUGUGGACCCUUCGUGGGUGGAGCCCUGCGUGGACUCGCGCAGCCGUUACCCUUCGUGGGUUGAAGUCUCCAUCAACGUGGAUGUACGAUAGCACCACCUAUCGGAACCACGCCAAAAACAUCCGUGUCUCCAAUUGCGUUUGAAUCCUCCAAACCCUUCCCUUUACUUUCUUGCAAGUUGCAUGCUUUAAUUUCCGCUGCCUAUACACUCUUUGCAUGCUUGCUUGAAUUGUGUGAUGAUUGCUUGACUUGUCCUAAAAUAGCUAAAAUCUGCCAAACUCUAAAAUUGGGAAAAGGUUAAGUUUUUAUUGGUCAAGUAGUCUAAUCACCCCCCCCCUCUAGACAUACUUCAAGGUCCUACAAGUGGUAUCAGAGCUUUGGUCUCCAUUUGCUUUGAUUUCCAUAGCUUUUGGUGGUCAUAGCCUUGGUUUCACAACCUAGGAGAGUAUGGCGUCUAGCGAGGGAAAUUAUCACCGUAGAGGUCCUUACUUUGAUGGUACUAAUUUUGCUAGUUGGAAGCAUAAGAUGAAAAUGCAUAUUCUUGGAGAUAACCCCGCCGUUUGGGCAAUUAUUUGUAUUGGCUUGCAAGGUGAAUUCUUUGAUGGGAGAGAACCGAACCGUGAAGCAAAUGCGGAAGAAUUGAAGAUGCUGCAAUACAACGCUCAAGCAUGUGAUAUCAUCUUCAACGGGUUGUGCCCCGAAGAGUUCAAUAAAAUCAGUCGUCUUGAGAAUGCAAAGGAAAUUUGGGAUACUUUGAUUGAUAUGCACGAAGGUACCGAGUCCGUCAAGGAAUCCAAGUUGGAUGUGCUCCAAAGUCAGCUUGACAAGUUCAAAAUGAAGGAUGGUGAAGGUGUCACUGAAAUGUACUCUAGGCUUGCUCUUAUCACAAAUGAGAUUGCCGGCUUAGGGAGUGAAGAGAUGACCGACAGAUUCAUCAUCAAGAAGAUCCUAAGAGCAUUGGAUGGAAAGUAUGAUACAGUGUGCACAUUGAUCCAAAUGAUGCCAAACUACAAAGAUCUCAAGCCAAUGGAAGUCAUUGGAAGAAUUGUUGCUCAUGAGAUGUCACUCAAGGACAAGGAGGAACUUCACAACAAGUCAAGUGGUGCUUACAAAGCCUCAAGUGAAGCCCCCACAUCAUCAAGUGAGAAACAAACCUUCAAUGAAUAAUUGAACUUAAUGGUGAAGAACUUCAACAAAUUCUACAAGAGUAGAAGCAAAGAAAGAAGCUCCAAGUCAAGGUCUUAUCAUGACAAGAGAUCUUCUAGUCGAGAGCGCAAUUGCUACAAUUGUGGGAAGCCUGGACACUACUCCAAUGAGUGUACGGCACCCUACAAAAGAAGAGAAGAUUCUCCAAAAAGAAGAAGCAAAAGAGAAGAAUCACCACCAAUAGAGAGGAGGAGUAGAGAUGAUCGUUAUGAACGAAAACCCUCACGGAGAAGCAAGGAUUCGGAAAGGAAGGACAAGUCAUCAAGGAGCUACACAAAACGAAGACAUCAAGCUCAUGUUGGUGAAUGGGUAUCCGGCUCCGACUCCGACAAUCACUCCGAGAGAAGCUAUCACUCCGACUCCGAACAUAUUCAAGAUGAAGGUGUUGCCGGUCUAGCACUUGUGUCAACCAACUCCUACGACAUAUUUGAUUCACCAAACGAAGGAAUUGGAAGAUGCUUCAUGGCCAAAGGUCCAAAGGUAACACAUCCCGAGUAUGUUGAUUUUAAUAGUGAUGAAGAUGACUUGCUUGUGGAUGAUGAUUUACUUGUUGACAACUCUAGUGAUGAAUACUAUGAUGAAACGUCAAUUAAUCAUGCUAAUCAAACAAAUGACAAUGAUAAGGAGAAAAUUGAGCUUCUAACUAAAGAACUAAACACUCUUAAGUUGGCUCAUGGAACUAUCUUCGAAGAUCAUCGAGAACUUUUAAGGGCUCAUGAGAAGUUAUGCUUUGAAAAGCUCAAUCUUGAGCAAGAUCAUGAGUUCUUAAAGGUAAUCAAUGAUGAUAUCCGCAAGAAAAGUUCUUCUUACAUUGCCAAGCGUUUACUCUUAUCUACUUACGUGCCUCAAGUCAAGUCUAGUAACAAGUACAAGAAAGAUACUUCCUCUAGUAGUAACAAUAAUAAUGUCAAAUUCAAUGUUGUUGCUUCUAGUAGUUCUCUUGAUUCCACUAAUGAUUCUCUUAGCCAAGUUACACUUGAGCAAGAAAAUAGUUUAUUGAAGGGAAUUAUAGAGAAAGUUGUUUACAAGAGCCUUGCCGGGAGUAAGCAAUUCGAGGAAAUUGUACACAAGCAAGGAAGACACCGGAAGAAUCAAGGUGUUGGUUUUGAACGAAAGUUCAAUGCCAAUGGAGUUGAGUGGGAAGAAGAUCAAUACCCCAAGACAAAGUUUGUUCCUCAACAAGUGAAGUAUGAUCCUACUUCCUUCAAGGGGACACAAGCUCAAGAUGAUCUUCCACCACAAGACCACAAGAACAAAGGCAAGGACAAGCUUCAAGAAGAGAUUGAUGCAUUUGAAGAAGCACCUAAGGUCUCGGUCAAGUGGAUUUCCCAAGACUACGUCGAGUUCUACUUCAUCAAGUACAACUACAACUCCAAGGAUUCCCAUAAAGAUGAUGUGGAUCCCGAAGAAGAAGAACUAGAGAGUUCUUGAGUGUGACUCCGCCAACAUUCUUCACUCAUAUCAUUUUGGCAAGAACAAGUGCAAUCAACUUUCACAUCUUGCACUAGUUCAAGGAGUCACAAACCCUCAUGUUGGUAAGGCAAGGGACAAGGUAACCUAAUGUUUUCAUGGACAUCAUAUUGUGUGUGCAUCACUCUAUGUCUAUGGAUAUUCUUGUUUGUUCAUUGUGGGACUAAUCCAUGCAGGCAAGUUGAAAGUGCAAAUCACUCCAAAGGAUUGCUCCAAAUGAUCUACAUCAACAUUGAGCAUCUACAUCUUCAACACCUACAUGAAGUCAUCAUCAACAAAACCCAAGGUUAGUUUAUCCCUCUAAGGGGGGAUCUCACAUCUAGGGGGAGCUUAACUCUAAGAAUUGAGUCAAAGCAACUCUAAUGGUGUGAACACAUUAAUGCAUUAUGUAAAAGUGGUAACCCCACUUGAGCUUAAACGAUGAGUAUGACCUAUGAUCAAAUGUUCUCAUUUGACUCCUAAGUCAAUAUACUCAUAUAUAGAUGACCUAGUCAUCGCCGAUUGUUUGAUAGAUGCUAGAAUUGGCUGUGCAUGCUUUGCCACAUAUUUCAUUUGCCAUCUUAGUGUGUGAGCAUGUUGGUGCAUAUUUUACUCAUUCAAGGACAUCCACUUGUUGUUUUGAUUGUUUGGUUCUUUCUUCUUUUGGCCAAAUGGAUGGACAAGAAUGCCUAAGAACCUUCUUUAGCUAUCUAUGCUUUUCUCGUCUCAAACUCUAUUCGUGCUACAUCACAAAAUUUGAUCAAGUCAGAUUCGAACCACUCUGUGUGAGGAGCACUCGGAGUCCCUAAUUCGUCAUAGACUUAAACUUCCAAAACCUCUUUGUGAUUCUCGGUCUGACCGAUUCCUCCAUUUUGGUCCUACCGAGAUCAUCAAGUUGAUCUGAGUUUUCAAUCUCGGUGCAACCGAUUUGAACUUUUCGGUCUCACCGAUUUGCUGUAACUGAACACAGUUAUGCAUCUCGGUGCCACCGAGUUGUUCCACUCGGUCACACCGACAGGGUCGGGCUAUAUAUAGACACGGGCAAAAUUUUGGAAAUUUCUCUGAAACCCUUCGCCCGCGCAACAGCUCGCUCUGCCAUCGUGGUCUCCGGAUCGUCUCCUCGUCGCCAGCAGCCUCCUGUCGCUGGUUUCCGCCGCCGUCAACGGAUUUCGUCCCUGCCGUUGCCGCCGUAGCAAGUCCACUGCCAAGUUAGGGUAUGGACUUCAUCUUUGUGCUAUCCACGUCUGAUUCCUAGCACAUUGUUUUCAUAUUGAAUCUUGCCAUGAUUGAAACUCUUGUAUCCAGCCAAAGUAGUUCAUAGAUUAGAUGUGAUUCAAAUUUUUAGGGUUAGGUUUCCGCCGAAACCAUCUCGGACCCACCGAGUUGAAAAACUCGGUCUCACCGAUUUGGCUUAUGCCAUUGCACUAGUGACUCUCGGUCUGACCGAGAAUUACUAGUCAGUGCAACCGAUUUGAGGAUUCUGUGAAACCCUAGCAGUCUCGGUACCACCGAACUGAAACUCAGUCCAACCGAGAUCAUCAGUUUAGGUUCCAAAACUGCUUCGGUAUCACUGAGUUUGAAAAUUGGUGGAUCCCGAAUGCUUUCUGUGGAAAACUAAGACUGAACUUUUGAGUCAUUCUUUUGCAAAAACCUUUGCAUUUUGUGAUGCUCAUCUUUUCUAUCUCAUCUAUAACUCUUCACAGGGUCAGCAGUCAGCUUUUGCAGUAUGUCUGAUCAAAGUGACAGCCAGAACAGGGCAGAAGAGCAGAUGGACUUGAGUGAGGGCACUAGUCCCUCCAGUACUUCAGAUGAAGGGAGAAGAAGUACUCCUAGCAAUUUGCCUAAGGCUGCAACUAGGCAAAGGAGGAAAAGAACUUCAGAUUCAGAGGAUGAGGACUACAAAGUUGAGGAAGAUGAGGCUACUUCCAAGAAAGUGGUGCUCAAGAAGGAAUAUGGCUCAGCAAAGGAUAUAAAGCCAGGCAUGAAGAUUAAAAGGCCUGCAAGAAGGCAACCUAUGCCCAAGGCCAGAGCAGCAACUCAACUACCUGAAAAUCCUGAUCCCAAAGAGCCAGCUGAUGAAAGCAAGAAGAGGAAGGAAAGGGUCAAGAAGACCAUGGCUAGAGUUGUUGGGCAACCUUCCAUGAUGGAAGAGGAAGAGCCUGCUGCACCAGCACCAAAGGCACCUAAGCUUAUGGGAGAUGCAAUCAGAUUAGGGGCUGCAACAUCUAAGCCCAAGGAAGCACCCAAAGCUGCCCCCAAGGCCAAGUCUGCACCAAAGAGGAAUACCAGGAGUAUUCCAGCUGCUGAGAAGAACAAGGCCCCAGUGCCUGAGGUUGCUGAGGAGGAAGAUGAAGAAGGACAGGUUCUAAGGAAGCUCAAGCCAAAGAUACCAGACCACAAUGAUGCCCAUCCUGUGGCUGAGGACAUGAGAAUCAGGAAGGAUUCAGGGCUGAGACUAUGGAGGAUGGCAGAUCCAUAUGCCACAAGGAGAAGAACUACUGUUGAUUACAAGUUCCACACAAAGGAACAACAGGACUUCUAUGAAACAAUUCUGUUGGACAAGAAGCCCAUAGUCUGUGACAUGAGAUGGGUUGACUGGAAAUUCAUCAAGGAAAAUGAACAACACUAUCCUGGAGUGCAAGACAUCUUUGUUGCUUGUGGAGUUGCAGAUUUUGUUGGGCAAAAGCUCACAAAUUGGAAUGAUGAGCUUAUCAUGCAGUUCUACUCCACAGCACACUUUUACCCAGAUGGAAGAAUUGUUUGGAUGUCUGAAGGUACAAGGUACCAGUCCACUGUAGAAGAAUGGGCAAGUCUGAUAAAUGCCCCAAAGGAGAAUGAGGAUGACCUAGACAUUUAUGCCAAGAAGAAGAUGGGUCACAAUUCAAUGGCACACAUGUACAAGGAGAUCCCAGACAAAGCCCUAGAGACUUUCACUUUUGGAUCAGUCUAUUUUCUGUUGUCAGGGCUGCCAACCAUAAAUUGGAUUCUGAGGCACACCUUGUUGCCCAAGUCUGGUGACCAUAACAUGAUCAGAGGGCAUGCCAUCAACAUGUUGCAUGUGUUUGAUGUGGCACAAAAGUUCAAAGUCAUGAGCCUUAUAGUUGAAACAAUCAAGAGGACUGCAGCAGAUCAGAAGAGGAGAUGUGGAUAUGCACCUCAGAUUCAAGAAUUGAUAAACUCAAAGAUGGGCACAGGAAAAUAUCUAUUGGAUAGGGAACAUUUUCCACUCUAUCCAGACUUUGAGGACAAUGAGGUUGUCAUGAAUGAGGAUGAUCCAUCAUCAGUUCAAGCUCAGGAGAAGAAGGAGAAGGCAAAGAGGGAGAAGGCUGCCAAGAUGCCAACUCAAGAGGAGGCAUCUGAAUAUUUCUUGAAAACCAAACAGGAGUAGCUUGGUUACUUGAUAGCAUCAUCUCUGAGGAUUGAGAAGGGGUUGGCCACCAUAACUCAAAACUAGGAGAGCCUGGAAAGAAUCAUGGAACAAAAAUUCUAUGAUCUAGAUGUCAAGGUAACUGAGAUUCAGUCAGUUGUGGAGCAGCUGCAGGAUGACAUGCAGGAGAGGAAGGGCAAGACUACCACCAAUGUGUUUGCCAAAGUGCCCAGAGCCCAGAGGUCAGUUGCAGUGCUAGUGACAGACACUAGAGCAACAUCUUCAGCACCAGCUACUGCCCCUUCAGCUCCAGUGCAACCAGCUUCAGCAUCAACUCCAGCACCCUCUACAUCAACUGAAGCCUCCGUCCUUGGAGUUAUCAGGACACCACCACCAGAAGAUCAAGCCUGAGAGUCGAUCUAGCACUAUGCAUUUUCUAUGAACUUUUUGGUAAUUUGUUGCCAAAGGGGGAGAAAAAUGUAUAGAUCAUAGGCUUCGAGAGAGAGAGAGAGAGUGUGUUGCUUUUGUUCUCUCUUGAUUUAUUUGGUGUUUUUCAAUCUUUGAUUGCUUUUGGUUGAGAUACUAUGCUUGUGAGACAUUGAUGCUCAUGUGUUUGAUCAUAAGCUACACUUAUGCAUGUUUGAUGAUAUUAUCCUAUCUAUCUUUUGUGAUCACUCGCUAUGCUUGGUGAUGAGUGCAUAUAUUCAUUGUUUAUUAUUUUGAGCGCUCCACCAAGAUGUAUGUGACAUGGAAGAGUAACCCAUGAGCCUAAUUCAUUGUGCAUUUGCAGUCCAAAGCAAAUCUAAAACUAUGCACAAAUUUAGGGGAAGCUCUUGCUUAUCACAUACUUCUAAAAGUGACGAUGUUAUUUAAAUUUUAUUAUCAUUUGUCGAAGCUUUGAUCUAUAUGUUGUCAUCAAUUACCAAAAAGGGGGAGAUUGAAAGUGCAACUAUCCCUAGGUGGUUUUGGUAAUUCAUAACAACAUAUAGCUCAUUGAGCUAAUGCUAUUCCAAGACUAUUGUUUUAGGAAAGCUCAAUGAAUGGCAUGGCAUGGAUGAUGAAAGUGGAUCCCUCAAAAUACUAAGGACAAAGGAUUGGCUCAAGCUCAAAAGCUCAAGACUCUUCAUUUUACAUUUUAGUGAUCCAAGAUCACAUUGAGUCUAUAGGAAAAGCCAAUACUAUCAAGAAGGGAUGAGGUGUUGCUUAAUGAGCCUUUUGCUUCAUGUGCUUAGUGAUAUGCUCCAAAACCCUCAACUACUUUCCCACAUCCACAAAUGACCUAAACCUAAAGCCAAAAUCGGUCACACCGAUUCUUUCUAUCCGGCGCCACCGAUUCCAAAAGUCAUAGCCACUGCCACAAACCCUAAGCAAAUCGGUCUUACCGAUAGGGAUCUCGGUCUCACCGAGAUGGGCUUGCAAUCUCUCUGUUUCCCUUCGUAACGUUUCGGUCUAACUGAAGUGAGCGAUCGGUCCCACCGAGAUUGCAAUGUAAACUCUCUGUUUCCUUUUUGUAACAUUUCGGUCUCACCGAAAAGAGCAAAUCGGUCCCACCGAGUUUACCUGACCAACUCUCUGGAAAGCUUAUUACCAAAUCGGUCUCACCGAGUUUGUGUAAUCGGUCUCACCGAGAUUACGUUAUGCCCUAACCCUAACCGAAUCGGUCUCACCGAGAUGCAUGUCAGUCCCACCAAAAAUCACUAACGGUCACUAGGUUUACUAAAUCGGUCCAACCGAGUUUAACGAUUCGGUCCCACCGAGUUUGGUAAAUUGUGUGUAACGUUUAGAUUUUGUGUGGAGGCUAUAUAUACCCCUCCACCUCCUCUUCAUUCGUGGAGAGAGCCAUUAAACUAAACCUACAUUUCCAACUUACCAUUUCUGAGAGAGAACCACCUACUCAUGUGUUGAGGCCAAGAUAUUCCAUUCCUACCAUAUGAAUCUUGACCACUAGCCUUCCCCAAGGUGCUUUCCACUCAAACACUCUUUCCACCAGAUCCAAAUCCUAUGAGAGAGAGUUGAGUGUUGGGGAGACUAUCAUUUGAAGCAGAAGAGCAAGGAGUUCAUCAUCAACGCACCAUUUGUUACUUCUUGGAGAGUGGUGUCUCCUAGAUUGGCUAGGUGUCACUUGGGAGCCUCCGACAAGAUUGUGGAGUUAAACCAAGGAGUUUGUAAGGGCAAGGAGAUCGCCUACUUCGUGAAGAUCUACCACUAGUGAGGCAAGUCCUUCGUGGGCGACGGCCAUGGUGGGAUAGACAAGGUUGCUACUUCGUGGACCCUUCGUGGGUGGAGCCCUCCGUGGACUCGCGCAGCCGUUACCCUUCGUGGGUUGAAGUCUCCAUCAACGUGGAUGUACGAUAGCACCACCUAUCGGAACCACGCCAAAAACAUCCGUGUCUCCAAUUGCGUUUGAAUCCUCCAAACCCUUCCCUUUACUUUCUUGCAAGUUGCAUGAUUUAAUUUCCGCUGCCUAUACACUCUUUGCAUGCUUGCUUGAAUUGUGUGAUGAUUGCUUGACUUGUCCUAAAAUAGCUAAAAUUUGCCAAACUCUAAAAUUGGGAAAAAGGUUAAGUUUUUAUUGGUCAAGUAGUCUAAUCACCCCCACCUCUAGACAUACUUCAAGGUCCUAUAGAUGUACAACCUCCCCCCAUGGAAGUGCAUGAAGACAAUGUACAUACACAUGAGCAUGCUGAUUCAAGGGCCGAAACAACCGGGAAAUAAUAUUAAUCUGUAUAUGGGGCUUCUGAAAGAGGAGCUAGACACGUUAUGGAAAACACUGGCAUGGACAUGGGACGCCAGCAAAGGAGAGUAUUUCUAUAUGAGAUCCGCACUGAUGACGAUAGUGCACGACUAUCUCAGUUACGGGUACUCCUUAGGCCAGGUGUGCCACGGAUACUGCGGAUGCAUGAGGUGCAUGGAUGAUACAAUGUCUCAGUAGCUUACAUCAACAAAAUAUGGCAGGUCUGGGAAAAACGUGUACAUGGGGCAUCGUAGAUGGCUCGAGAAGGAUGACCGGUGGAGAAAACAUGGAGAUCUAUUCAAUGGUUUGGCUGAGCAUCGAGGACCUCCAUGUAAGAGGAGCAGCGCUGGAAUCAACGAGCUGUCGAAAAACUGGGAACAGUGCCCCACGCCAGGAAAGAUGAAAAAGGCAUCGAGCUGCUGCUGAAGGUAUGGAAAACAAGGUAUGUUUUUCGGGACUGAUGUCUGCUAGAACUACGUCGGUAUUUCCCCAAAGAGGAAUGGAUGAUGCAGUAUAGCGACGGUAGGUAUUUCCCUCGGUGAUGAGACCAAGGUUAUUGAACCAGUACGAGAACCUCCUCACACCACGUAAACAACACCUGCACACAAAUAACAAAUACUCGCAACCCGACGUGUUAAAGGGGUUGUCAAUCCCUUCCAGCUACGACGCCUCAAGUAGGCAAAUAACGUGAGGUAAAAAGUGGUAGAUAGAAUAAAUAGAUCGCGGAACAAAUAAAUUGCAGCAAGGUAUUUUUGUAUUUUUAGUUUAAUAGAUCUGAAAAUAAAUGCAAGAGAAAAUAGAUCGCAAAGGCAAAUAUGAUGAAAAGAGACCCGGGGGCCGUAGAUUUCACUAGUGGUUUCUAUCGAGAAAAAUAGCAAACGGUGGGAAAACAAUUGCUGUUGGGCAAUUGAUAGAACUUCAAAUAAUCAUGACGAUAUCCAUGAAAUGAUCAUUAUAUAGGCAUCAUGUCCAGGAUUAGUAGACCGACUCCUGCCUGCAUCUACUACUAUUACUCCACACAUCGACCGCUAUCCAGCAUGCAUAUAGUGUAUUAAGUUCAUGAGAAAACGGAGUAAUGCAAUAAGAACGAUGACAUGAUGUAGACGAGAUCCGUUUAUCUAUUGCAAUAGACAUAGAUCCCAUCUUGUUAUCCUUAGUAGCAACGAUACAUACGUGUCGGUUCCCCUUCUGUCACUGGGAUCAAGCACCGUAAGAUCGAACCCACAGCAAAGCACCUAUUCCCAUUGCAAGAUAAAUAGAUCAAGUUGGCCAAACAAAACCCAAAUAUCAGAGAAGAAAUACGGGGCUAUAAGCAAUCAUGCAUAUAAGAGAUCAAAGAAGACUCAAAUAACUUUCAUGGAUAAAAACAUAGAUUUGAUCAUAAACUCAAAGUUCAUCGGAUCCCAACAGACACACCGCCAAAAGACUUACAUCAUAUGGAUAUCCAAGAGACCAUUGUAUUGAUAAUCAAGAGAGAGAGAGGAAGCCAUCUAGCUACUAACUACGGACCUGUAGGUCUACAAAGAACUACUCACGUAUCAUAGGAGAGGCACCAAUGGAAGUGGUGAACCCCUCCAUGACGGUGUCUAGAUUGGAAUUGGUGGUUCUGGACUCUGCGGCGGCUGGAUCAAUAUUUCGUCGACUCCCUAGGGUUUCUAGAAUAUUGUGGUAUUUAUAGAGCAAAGAGGCGGUUCGAAGGCACCCGAGGUGGGCACAACCCACCAGGGCACGUCUGGGCCUCCUGGCGCGCCCUGGUGGGUGCUGCUCCCCUCGAGUAGCCCCUCAGGUGCUUCCUUGGGCCAUUGGCUUUCUUCUGGCCCAAAAAAAUUCCUCCAGGAGUUGCAUUGCAUUUGGACUCAAUUUGAUAUUGAUUUUCUGUGAUGUAAAAAACAUGCAGAAAACAGCAACUGGCACUGGGCACUAUGUCAAUAGGUUAGUACCAGAAAAUGAUAUAAAAUGACUAUAAAAUGAUUGUAAAACAUCCCAGAAUGAUAAUAUAACAACAUGGAACUAUCAAAAACUAUAGAUACGUUGGAGACGUAUCAGCAUCCCCAUGCUUAAUUCUUGCUCGUCCUCGAGUAGAUAAAUGAUAAAAACAGAAUUUUUGAUGUGGAAUGUUGCCUAACAUGUUCAUCACAUUCUUUUCUUUAUAGCAUGGACAUAUGGACUUUUAUAUGAUUCAAAGCAAUAGUCUAGUUUUGACAUGAAGACUUUAAUACUCAAGCAUACCAACAAGCAACCAUGUCUUCCAAAAUAUCAACACUAAACCAAGUUAUCCCUAGCCCAUCAUGCUCAAUCAUUGAUCCAUUCAUGAAACACACUCGAAUAUUAGCUACACCCAAUGCUCAAAUAUGAUCAUAGUGCCCCUUAAUUGGUGCUUUAUAAGAGAAGAUGGAGACUCACAUUCAAUAUAAAAUUUGCAUAAGUAAAAGAAAGGCCCUUUGCGGAGGGAAGUAGUGAUGUGUAGAGGUGCCAGAGCUCAAAGCCUAAAUUGAGAGAUAAAAUUAUUUUUGAGAGGCAUACUUUUCCUACCAACAAAAACGACUUGGAGCAUCCCAACACUUUCAAUGCUAGAUACAUCAUAGGCGAUUCCCAAAUAGAAAAUAAAGUUUAUUUCUUGCUUGAUAAGAAGCCCAUAGUGUGUGACAUGAGAUGGGUGUACCGGGAGUACAUCAAGAAGAAUGAAGAGCACUUCCCAGGUGUAUAUGACAGCUUCAAAGCAUGUGGAGUUGAUACAUUUGUUGCCCAGAAGCUUACCAAGUGGAAUGAUGAGCUGAUCAUGCAAUUCUAUUCAACUGCUCAUUUCUAUCCAGAUGGCAAAAUUGUCUGGAUGUCAGAAGGUACAAGGUACCAAUCCUCUGUGGAAGAAUGGGCUCAGUUGAUCAAUGCCCCAGAAGAAAAUGAGGAUGACUUGGAUGUCUAUGCCAAUAAGAAGAAGGAUCACAACUCAAUGGCCAGCAUGUACAGAGAGAUCCCAGAUGAUGCUUUGGAGACUCAUAAGUUUGGAUCUGUCCACUUCUUGUUGUCUGGUUUGUCUACCAUAAACUGGAUCCUAAGGCACACAUUGCUACCCAAGUCAGGAGAUCACAAGAUGACCAGAGGACACUCCAUCAACUUGCUACAUAUAUUUGAUGUUCCUCAAAAGUUCAAGGUGAGGAGUAUGAUUAUGGAAACAAUCAAGAGGACUGCAGCUGAUCAGAAGAGAUCUUGUGGGUAUGCCCCACAUAUUCAGGAGCUCAUCAACUCAAAGAUGGUCACAGGCACAUAUUUGUUGGACAAGGAGCACUUACCCCUCAAGCCAGACUUUGAGGACAACAUUGUUGUUAUGAAUAAAGAAGAUCCAUCAUCUGUGCAAGCACAUGAGAAGAGAGAGAAAGGCAAGGGCAGAGAAAGCUGCAAAGAUGCCAACUGCUGAAGAAGCAUCUCAGGUGUUCUUGAAGAGCAAGCAAGACCAGCUUGGAUAUCUAUUGCCUCCACCCUGAGGAUUGAGAAGGGCUUGGCCACCCUGACUCAAAACCAGGAGAGCUUGGAGAGGAUCAUUGAGUAGAAAUUCUAUGAUCUUGGCGUCAAGGUAACUGAGAUCCAGUCAGUAGUUGAGCAACUUCAGGAGGAAGUGGAGGAGAAGAAGGGCAAGUCUACUCCAGAAGCUUUUGCUAGAGUGCCCAGAGGAUAGAGAUCUGCUGUAGUGCCAGUCACAAAUACUAGAGCUACAUCAUCUGCACCAGCUGCUACAGCUCCAGUGCCACCUCCAGCAGCCACUCCACCAGCUCCAACUACAUCUACAUACGCUUUCGUCCUUGGAGUCAUCUCUACACCACCUCAUGAAGACCAAGCCUGAGAGUCGUUUAGCACUAUGCAUGUUUGAACUUUUUGGUAACUUGUUACCAAAGGGGGAGAAAAUGUAUAGAUCAUAGGCUUCGAGAGAGAGUGUUGCUUUUUAUCUCUCUUGUUUUGGUUGAACUUCUUAUUUGUGUGCUUGUGAGCUACUUGUUUACUUGUUCGAUCAUGUGUUUGAUCGUAUGGUACACUUAAUGCUUGUUGGAUGAUAUUAUCUCUUAUAUCCUUAUAUGAUCAUUCACUUUCUUGGUGAUGAGUGCACGCUUUUUAACUUCUAUCAUUUUGAGCGCUCCACCAAGAUGUAUAUGACAUGAAAGAGUAACCCAUGAUCCUAACACAUUGUGCAUUUGCAGUCCAAAGCAAAUUUUAAAUAAUGCACAAAUUUAGGGGGAGCUCUUGCUUAUCACAUACUUCUCAAAGCGAUGAUGUUUUUCAAUCUUAUUAUUAUUUGCCGAAGCUUUUAUCUAUAUGUUGUCAUCAAUUACCAAAAAGGGGGAGAUUGAAAGUGCAACUAUCCCUGGGUGGUUUUGGUAAUUCCUAACAACAUAUAGCUCAUUGAGCUAAUGCUAUUUCAAGACAAAUAUUUCAGGAAAGCUCAAUGUUUGGCAUGGCAUGGAUGAGAAACAUGGACCCCUCAAAAUGCUAAGGACAAAAGGAUUGGCUCAAGCUCAAAGCACAAGACUCUACAUUUUACUUUUAGUGAUCCAAGAUCACAUUGAGUCCAUAGGAAAUGCCAAUACUAUCAAGAGGGGAUGAGGUGUUGCUUAAUGAGUUUCUUGCUCAAAGUGCUUAGUGGUAUGCUCCAAAAACCCUCAAUUACUUUCUCACAUCCACAUUUGUCCCAAAACAAAAGUCAAACUCGGCCCCACCAAAACUUUCUAUCCGACGUCACCGAGUUCACUUGACAUAGCCAUUGCCACAAACCCUAGUCUUUCCGUGUCACCGAUAGGGAUCUCGAUCUCACCGAGAUGGGAUUGUAAUCUCUCUGUUUCCCUUCGUAACGUUUCGGUCCAACCGAGAUGAGUGAUUGGUCCCACUAAGAUUGCAAUGCAAACUCUCUAUUUCCCUUUCAUAACGUUUCGGUCCAACCGAGAUGAGCGAAUCAGUCCCACCGAGUUUGCCUGACCAACUCUCUAUUUGUCUAUUACCAAAAUCAGUCCCACUGAGUUUGUGAAAUCGGUCUCAACGAGAUUACGUUAUGCCCUAAGCCUAACGAUACUCAAUAGAAUUGGAUCCAUUCCAAAUAGCGAGAAUUAGGAUUCUUGAUCCCUCUCAAUCUCUCUUUCAAUUCAAGGAUCCAGAAGGUGUUUUCAUAGUCAUCUCUGAAUAUUUGCCAUCUCGGAAUAUUUUCGAUGAUCUCCCUCCCCAAUCUGAUAUUAUAGUUCCACUAUAGAUAGAAAUUCCCUUAUGAUCUAAUUCCGAGCGGUGUGUUUUCUACGAUCGCUCCAUGAAUAGUGCAUAGCAGAGCCACACCUAAUACUCCGGUAACUCCCAUCAUAUGAAAUGGGUUCAACGUCCAAUUAUGAAAUCCUUGGCGGUCCCACCGAGUUGACAUGUCUGUCCCACCGAAAUGCCUAACGAUCACAUUAUGAACUAAAUCGGUCUGACCGAGUUUCACGAUUCGGUCCCAUCGAGUUUGGUAAGUUGUGUGUAAUGGUUAGAUUUUGUGUGGAGGCUAUAUAUACCCCUGCACCCACUCUUCAUUCGUGGAGAGAGCCAUCAGAACAUGCCUACACUCCCAACAUACAUUUUCCGAGAGAGAACCACCUACACUUGUGUUGAGGUCAAGAUAUUCCAUUCCUACCACAUAAAUCUUGAUCUCUAGCCUUCCCCAAGUUGCUUUCCACUCAAAUCUUCUUUCCACCAAAUCCAAAUCCUGUGAGAGAGAGUUGAGUGUUGGGGAGACUAUCAUUUGAAGCACAAGAGCAAGGAGUUCAUCAUCAACAGACCAUUUGUUACUUCUUGGAGAGUGGUGUCUCCUAGAUUGGCUAGGUGUCACUUGGGAGCCUCCGUCAAGAUUGUGGAGUUGAACCAAUGAGUUUGUAAGGGCAAGGAGAUUGCCUACUUCAUGAAGAUCUACCCUAGUGAGGCAAGUCCUUCGUGGGCGACGACCAUGGUGGGAUAGACAAGGUUGCUUCUUCAUGGACCCUUCAUGGGUGGAGCCCUCUGUGGACUCGCGCAACCAUUACCCUUCAUGGGUUGAAGUUUCCAUCAACGUGGAUGUACGAUAGCACCACCUAUCGGAACCACGACAAAAAACAUCCGUGUCUCCUAUUGUGUUUGCUUCCUCAAACUCCUCCCCUUUACCUUCAUAUGCAAUUAUUUUACAUUCCGCUGCUAUACUCUUAGAAUUGCAUGUGUAGGUUGAUUGCUUGACUUGUGCUAAGUUGCUAAAAUCUGCCAAGAACUAAAAUUGGGAAAAGGCUAGAUUUUUAUUUGGUCAAGUAGUCUAAUCACCCCCCUCUAGACAUACUUUCGAUCCUACAAGCGGCGCCGGAAUCAAUGAGCUGUUGAAAAACUGGGAACAGUGCCCCGCGCCGGGAAAGAUGAAAAAGGCGUCGAGCCGCUGCUGAAGGUAUGGAAAACGAGGUAUGUUUUCCGGGACUGAUGUCUGCUAGAACUACGUCGGUAUUUCCCCAAAGAGGAAGGGAUGAUGCAGUAUAGCGACGGUAGGUAUUUCCCUCAGUGACAAGUCCAAGGUUAUCGAACCAGUACGAGAACCUCCUCACACCACGUAAACAACACCUACACACAAAUAACAAAUACUCACAACCCGACGUGUUAAAGGGGUUGUCAAUCCCUUCCGGCUACGACGCCUCAAGUAGGCAAAUAACAUGAGGUAAAAAGUGUUAGAUAGAAUAAAUAUAUUGCGAAACAAAUAAAUUACAGCAAGGUAUUUUUGUAUUUUUGGUUUAAUAGAUCUAAAAAUAAAUGCAAGAGAAAAUAGAUCGCAAAGGCAAAUAUGAUGAAAAGAGACCCAGGGGCCGUAGGUUUCACUAGUGGCUUCUCUCAAGAAAAAUAGCAAACGGUGGGAAAACAAUUACUGUUGGGCAAUUGAUAGAAUUUCAAAUAAUCAUGACGAUAUCCCUGCAAUGAUCAUUAUAUAGGCAUCACGUCCAAGAUUAGUAGACCGACUCCUGCGUGCAUCUACUACUAUUACUCCACACAUCGACCGCUAUCCAGCAUGCAUCUAGUGUAUUAAGUUCAUGAGAAAACGGAGUAAUGCAAUAAGAACGAUGACAUGAUGUAGACGAGAUCGGUUUAUCUAUUGUGGCAGAUAUAGAUCUCAUCUUGUUAUCCUUAGUAGCAACGAUAAAUACGUGUCGGUUCCCCUUCUGUCACUGGGAUCAAGCACCAUAAGAUCGAACCCACUACAAAGCACCUCUUCCCAUUGCAAGAUAAAUAGAUCAAGUUGGCCAAACAAAACCCUAAUAUUGGAGAAGAAAUAUGAGGCUAUAAGCAAUCAUGCAUAUAAGAGAUCAAACAAGACUCAAAUAACUUUCAUGGAUAAAAACGUAGAUCUAAGCAUAUACUCAAAGUUCAUUGGAUCCCAACAAACGCACCGCCAAAAGAAUUACAUCAUAUGGAUCUCCAAGAGACCAUUGUAUUGAUAAUCAAGAGAGAGAUAGAGAGGAAGCCAUCUAGCUACUAACUACGGAUCCGUAGGUCUAUAAAGAAUUACUCACGCAUCAUAGGAGAGGCACCAAUGGAAGUGGUGAACCCCUCCAUGACGGUGUCUAGAUUGGAUCCGGUGGUUCUAGACUCUGCGGCGGCUGGAUCAAUAUUUAGUCAACUCCCCUAGGGUUUCUAGAAUAUUGUGGUACUUAUAGAGCAAAGAGGCGGUUCGCGGGGCACCCGAGGUGGGCACAACCCAUCAGGGCGCGCCUGGGCCUCCUAGCGCGCCCUGGUGGGUGUUGCUCCCCUCGAGCAGCCCCUCAGGUGCUUCUGUGGCCCAUUGGCUUUCUUCUGGCCCAAAAAAAUUCCUCUAGGAGUUGCAUUGCGUUUGGACUCCAUUUGAUAUUGAUUUCCUGCAGUGUAAAAAACAUGCAGAAAACAUCAACUGACACUGGGCACUAUGCCAAUAGGUUAGUACCAAAAAAUGAUAUAGAAUGAUUGUAAAACAUCCAAGAAUGAUAAUAUAACAACAUGGAACAAUCAAAAAUUAUAGAUAUAUUGGAGAUGUAUCAGGGACUUGCAGUACUGGCCCAAUUAUGACACGCCUCAUUGCUUUGAUCAAAUGCAUAUCAUGAGGAAUGUCCUCGAGAGCUUGGUUGGCACACUGAUGAACAUGCCGAAGAAGACCAAGGAUGGUUCGAAGGCAAGGAAAGACUUGGAAGAUUUGGAGACCAGGAUAGAUCUCCACCGUAAAAAGUCGACGAAGGAGACGGAGACGGAGGCGAGGGAAAGGGGCAAAAAAUUGAAGGAGGAGAAUUAUUGCCCCCCUUCUUGCUUCACCUUAAGUGCGAAGGAGAUCGAUCAAUUCAUCAAGUGCCUUAUGGGAAUCAAAGUCAGUUCUAGUUACUGUGGGAAGAUAAGCAAAUUUCUAGACACCAAGAAGAAAAGGUUCAGUGGGAUGAACUCUCAUGACUGUCACGUCAUGAUGACGUAGAUACUCCCGGUUGCCAUUAGAGGGAUAAUGGAGAAGCACGUCCAUGCCACGCUUACUGGUCUCUGCAACUUCUUCGGUGUUAUCUCUCGAAAGUCCAUCAGUUUGAAGCAGCUCCGAAGGCUACAGGAAGAUAUCGUUGUCAUACUAUGUGAGCUUGAGAUGUACUUCCCGCCCGCGUUCUUUGACGUCAUGGUGCAUUUGUGUGUCCACAUCAUGGAUGACAUCAUCAACCUCGAGCUGACAUUUCUUCACAACAUGAUGCCGUUCGAGAGGAUGAAUGGGGUCAUCAAAGGAUUCAUUCGUAACAUGUCUCGUCCCGAUGGGAGCAUCGUCCAGGGGUAUCUGACGCAAGAGUGCAUCUCCUUUUGCGAGAAUUAUAUAGGCGUCGAAGACCCUGUUGUUGGUUUGCCUGUCAAGAAGCACCAUGGGCAGCUCGGAGGAGAAGGUCACAACAACGGCCGGAGGGAAUUGCACGUGGACUACUUGGAUCGACGGAACGACUUUGACAGGGCUAACUUAGUAGUGCUACAACACCUAUAUGUGGUAGAUAAUUAUGUGACACUUCACAAAGAAACCAUCGCAAAGAAGUACCGUGAUAAGGGGAUGCGCAAGACGGACGACAAAGUUAUUGUAGAGCACAAUGCCACUUUCUUGCGUUUGUUCAAAGAGCAAGUUCUUGAUAAUCCCCCAGAAGAGGGCAGUUCGGACGGAUUGCUCGUACACGCCUUAGCACAUGGCCUCGCGCCCAAACUCGCGACCUAUCAGGCAUACGAUAUCAACGGGUACACGUUCUACACGGAGGCCAAAGACAUGGACAGUGAUUACCGGAACUCAGGGGUGCCAAUUGAAUGCAUGACCAAUGCCAACAGCGCAACUGAAAGAUUCUACAGAAGGGUCGAAGAGAUCUGGGAGUUUGACUAUGCUGGAAUGCACGAAGCGAUGACGGUCCAUGUCAGAUGGGCUAAGGACGUCAUAAGAGAAAACAAGUAUUUCACUACCAUGUCUAUACCUGACGCGAAGAGGCUUGCAGCGGUGGAACUUAUGAUCUAGGGUUAUUUUGGGGGGUUUCUGUAUUUUUAGGAGUUUUUGGCAUCGGUCUCACGCUAAGAUGGGCCUCGAGGUGACCACAAGACACCAACACAUGGGCAAGGCACCUGGCGCACCCUGGUGGGUUGUGCUCACCUCCUUCACCUUCUGCCCCCACCCCCCGCGAAGCUUCUAGUGCCUCUUUUGUUCUAAAAAAAUCGUCAAUAAGUUUAAUCUCAUUUGGAGGACUUUCAUUUCUGCACAAAAAACAACACCAUGGUAGUUCUACUGAAAACAACAUCAGUCUGUGUUAGUUCCAUUCAAAUCAUACCAAAACCAUAUAAACUAUUGUAACAUGGCAUGAAUACUUCAUAAAUUAUAGAUAUAUUGGAGACGUAUGAGUGUCCUGCAUAGGGGCUACUAUGGCACCCUUCAAAUAUAGCAUUCAUUUCAUGUUCUGGAACACAACGCCUUAUCAUGUCAUCUGGUCCAUAACGAUAGAGAAAUGGGUCAUCCAAAAAGUAAUACUUCAGAUCACUGAAGAACUUUUUCCUUUGAUGAUAACUCAUAUUGGGCGCCAUGUACUUACCUACAAGAAAGUUAGCAUAAUCUGCAAAUCAAGGUUCUAUUUUUUAAUCAUGGCCAAACUCUCACCUGGAAAAGAUUCAUUUAGGUACUUCAUCACAAGGUAUUCUUUCCAUGAGUGAUAGGUGGUGCUACCUGGUUCCCCUCCCCUUUGCAGUCUACUAUCCGCAAGUCAAAUUCCUGAAGUAGUAAUAUCCACCUAAUCAACCGGGGUUUAGCGUCCUUCUUUGCAAGGAGGUAACGUAAAGCACAAUGAUCGGUGUGGACUAUCACUUUUGAAUUACUAAUAUAAGGACAAAUUUGUCACAAGCAAAAACAAUAGCGAACAAUUCUUUUUCAGUAGUUGCCAAGUGUACUUGGUCUUCAUCCAAACUCCUGCCAGCAUAAAAGAUCAUGUUAAGUUUUUUAUCAGUGCGCUAUCCUAGAACAACACAUACUGCAUAAUUGCUUGCAUCACACAUGAUCUCAAAGGGCUCAUCCCAUUUUGGGGGUUGGAUGAUGGGGGCUGUUAUCAAGGCAUCUCUUAAUUUUUCAUAAGUCUGCACACAAAUCUUAUCAAAUGAAUAAGGCACAUCUUUGUGCAACAUGUCAAGAAGAGGCUUAGUUAUUUUGGACUGAAGUCUUUGAUAAAUUCUUUAUAGAAACUAGCAUGUCCCAUAAAAGUUUGCAUACCUAUCGCAUCUUGAGGGUAAGGUACAUUUUCUAUUACCUCAAUACUAUCUUGGUCUAUCUCAAUACUCUUUCCUGAGACUCUAUGUCCCACACUACAAAAAAAUACACUUCCGUGAUGAUACGUGUUUGUCACAGUAGGUCGCAUUUUUUGUCAUGCACGUACAUCCAUGACAAAUUUAUGACAGAAUCAAGAUAGUCAUACAUGUGCUGUCGUAGAAGUGUUCCAUGGAAUUACCAAAAUUAUCAUCAUGGAAGUGUGCACUUCCAUGACGAUAAAUCGCGCGUCACAGAACUGCUUUCGUCAAGGGUGACUAACACGUGGCAUCCACCGUAACGGAAUGCCGUUAAGCUAUCGGGUCGGGUUUUGGAUCCGAUAACCCGUUAACAGCCCCGACCAAUGGGAAUUUUCCACGUGUAAAAUUAUCAUUGGCUGGAGGAAACACGUGUCUGCUCAUCGUUGGGACAGAUGUCAUCCAAUCAUUGGACCGAAGGCGCCUAUGAUACUUCGACACGUGGCACGACCCAACAGAGGCCCAUUCCUGUGAAAAGGCCGGCCCGUUUGACUUGGUCAAAAUGUGGCAGGCCGACCCGUGGAAAGCCUGUUAACGGCCUGUUCGCAUAUAGCCCAUUUACAGCCCGCUAACCCAAGGCCCGUUACGCCCUAUCCGAAUAGGCCCAGUAGCGUCAUUUGGGCCACCCAAUAUGAUUCUAGCCCGUUUUCACUUCUGGCCCAUGUAUGGCCCAUGACGUCUUUCGGCCCAUAUGAGGCCCUAUGUAACUCUUGGCCUAUUAACGGCCCGUGGUGAAACUGGCCCGUAAUGAACAGUGUAUCACUUUACACCCAUUAACGGCCCAUGGUGAAACUGGCCCGUAAUGAACAGUGUAUCACUUUACACCCAUUAACGGCCCAUGGUGAAAUUGGCACGUAAUGAACAGUGUAUCACUUUAUACCCAUUAACGGCCCGUUGUUCCGUUGGGCCGUUUCCAGCCCAUGUUAUCUUUCAGCCUUCUCGGAGCCCAUUUAUUCUUGGGCUCAUUUCCAGCAUUCGUUUACUUAUGACCCGUUACUGUCAUUUUCUGCUUGUGGGCCAAAUUCAGCCCGUGGUUACAGUCAGCCCGUUUGUGGCCCGUUAAUACGUUGGGCCGUUUUCAUAGCGUCAUGAAAUACGGCCUGUUGACGGCUUGUUAUGGUCGGCCCAUGAAUGUAUGAUCCCAACUCUAGCCCGUUUACGGCCAUAAUGCAGCCUAUUAUUGGCCCAUGUUAUCAUACUGCCCGUAUAAGGCCCAUUGAUGAUACGGCCCGUAGAAAGCCCAUUGUUUCUAUGGCCCUUAGAAGGCCCAUUGUUUCUACGGCCCGUAGAAGGCCCACUGUUUCUACGGCCCGUAGGAGGCCCAGUGUCACUACAGUAAAUAUUAGCCCAUGGUUAUUGUAGCCUAGUUUAAAAAAAUAGGUUAUUGCAGCCACUAGCAAACCGUGGAAAAAGAACUGCAAUGACUACAAGCAAACAAAUAAACAAGACAACAAGGAAAUAAAUAAGCAAGCAACUUACGCUAGGCUAUCACGGCUAUCACAUAUUACAUCCACUGGGCAUCAAAGUUCGCCACCAGUGCAAAUAAACGCGUCGACAAAAGAAUAUACAAAACUGAGAGCACUUCAGAAGGCACUAGGCCUGGCCAGGAAGGGCCCCCCAAACAACUGAAGAAGUUGAGUAGACCUCAGUUGUGUCAAUGAUAGAUGCAUCAACACUAGAUUUAAGGCUUGAUGGUGCGCACAACAGUCCUCUGACAUGUUCAUUGCAUCUUUGACUUCAAGUCGGAGCUGAGCUGAAGCAAGCCUUUUCACUUUAAGUUGAGACUGAAGAAGUCAAACUGAUUGAGGCAGCGAUUGCACAGAGGUUGUCUCACACCUGCUGGUGAGUAGCUUCAACUCACUGUCUUCAUCAAGACAGGACCUUGGGGUCAUCUCGCUGUCCACAAGAUGGUUUGGCUCACUAUCUUCCCUAAAGUUCUGCCUGGCGUAAGAGAUACGACUCUGAAAGAGAAACAAGGAGACACGUAACAGGUUUCACAAUUAUAUAAGCAAAUAAAUGGAUCUGUUGUGCAUAAGGAACAUGUUUUUACAACUACAAUUUGAAACUGGUAGUUGUUGCAAACAUCCAAUCAGAUGUAAAUAGCAAAGCAAAUAGCAGUGGAGGAAAUGAUGCCUAUCCAAAUCUAUACUAGAACAAAGUUUGAAGGCUUGAGAAGGAUGAACUUACAUUACAUGUUAACACGGGCUGGACAAAGCCCUUCUCCAUGUUGAUGGAAGGAUAAUUCAAUAAAUUCCCCAAAGAAAAUUCUUUAUAAGCAUUGCCAUUAUUCUACAUUUUGCAAAGAGUAAAUAUAGAUCAAAUAAUAUUGGAAGAAACAGAGGAUAAUGAAGCUCAGGUGCAGACUGAUGAUACAUAAUCAAAUAGCAAUUAAUUAAGUAUAGCGUUACAAGGCAAAAGGGAGAGAGGUACUGACGAGAGCAAUGCAGAGCCCAUUAUUUUUUUGAGAUCGUAUGAUCCUUUGAGCAAGGAGAUUCAUCUAAAAUUACUUUUCAUACAAGAGAGCAGGUAAGGCACAAGCAGAAAUUUAGGAGUUCAAAUUUUGAAUUGAUAUCAUAGACAGUACCUGACACUGGGCUCCCAUCAGUUCUAAUAGGGGUUUGGCCACUGGAGUAGGGGUAAAGUGUGGUACAGUUGGACCUAUGUUUUCUAUGGCUGCUGAUCUAUCUGAUUUAACAGGUAUCACUACCUUUUCCAAAUACAUAGUUUGUACUCCUUGAGGAUCUGCACUCACCCUCUUCCUUUUGGACAUCUAUUACGAAAGAACAACAUUUGACUGGGAAAACAUAGUGUGGCGACACAUGGAAUAGGUACAGAAAAUGGAUAGGUAUCGCAUAUAAUCAUAUAUGAUGCUUAAACUAAGCAGAUGGUGUAACAAAGUAGAAGUAAUGCAAGAGGUCAUAUGCAAAAUAUGUGCGACCAAUACAACUUUGCAAAGCUAGAGCAAGCACCUUGAUGGGUGAAUAAGAUAGGCCAUCCUCCACCAUGCCAAGUUUGUUAGCCAGUGGAUCGUUCCGCAAUAUUCCUCUCGUGCACCCAUUCUCAUAUUCAUUUUGAUAAUGUUCAAUAUCUGACAUGCAUGAAAACAUAAAAACAAGUGAGAUUUUCUUUGUAAUGCAGAAGUGAUUCUAAUCCAAUACUUCCUCCCUGUAAACCCCUUUGUGCUAUCUCUGUAAUUCUUUUAAAAGAUGCCAUGCAUGCUGUAAUUUGUUGUGUGCAUUAAUAUAAUGUGGCCUACUACUCAAAAUAUGAGAGCUCCAGAAGUGAUGACACUUCGCAGAUGAUAGCUUCAACAUAUAGUAAAGAAGAACAAGUCGACCUGACCUGACAGAUUCAAAAUACACUAAGGGAGAACAACUCGACCUGACCAGUCGACCGCAAGAGAAGAGUAUCAUCUUAAAGAAGAGCAGAAGAGCAAGCAGAUUGAAGAUAUUACAAGUCUUUCAAUACAAUGUCGGUUGGCCACCCAUGAUGAACCAGAGCGCACAGAGAAAUACUAUUCUUUCCGGUCUCUCCAUAUGUGGCUCACAUGCAUUUCGAAACUAAAGUAGGAACAUUUAGCUCACCAAUUAAACAUCUCUCAGUUUUACUAAUAUCAGCAAUAAUAUCAUAUAUGAAUUUGUACAACUAAGCUUGUUUAGCUCAAUGGGUGGGGCAGUGCUAUUACGACACGAACCACGUAGGCUUAUUGUGGUCAUCAUAAAAUGGGGGAAACAUAAGCAUGAUGAGUACAGUGUUGACCGUGGCAGUGGGAUGGCAGAUCUGAAGCUGCAAACCGCGCAAAGGGUAGUUAGCAACCGAUGUUUGCUUUGAAAUAACAACUAAGAUUUGGUAUGGACAAGAAAGUACAGUCAACAAGUGACAAAGAAAUGCAAUUAUGCUGUCUCUCUAUAUGUCGCGACAUGCAUUUGGAAACUCAAGUGGGACCUUUAGCUAACCAAUUAAAUGUGUCGGUUAACUAAUAUCAGUAUCAUAUCACAAUCAUAUUUGAACAACUAAGCUUUUGAAUUCUGAGUGUUGUGUUGUUUAGCUUGAAGGGUGGAGUAAUGCCAGUACGAUAGAAAGCACCUACGCAGAUCAUAGUAGAGUAGAUAAAAGGGGAAAACCCUAAGCAUCAAGAGAAAAAUCAGGAAAGUGAAACUAGCUGGACCAGUGGGUGACGCACACGCUUUUCGAAAUGAAUAUAGGAACAUUAGGUGACCAAUUAAACGUUCUCUAUUUUAGUUAUAUGAGCAUCAUAUCAGAUUCGUAUUUCAACACGUAAAGCUUUGGGUUGAGGUCUUGAGGAGCAGUGCUAGCACGACAAGAAGCACCUAUGAUGAUGGUAGUGAAUAUAAAGGGGGGAAACCAUAAGCUUUACGAGUAUAGUGCCCGUGCCAUGGCGGAUCUGAAGGUGCAAACUGGACAAAGCUACUUCGCAACCAAUGUUUGCUUUCAACUAGCCACUACGAUUUGGUACGGACAAGAAAAGUAUAGUAAACAAAUUACGAUCUAUUUUCCGGGUGAGAUCAAUAACUUAAGCACAUAUGUAAGAGUACCACCUCUCUUGCGACACCGUGUAGGCCUAUGCUGAUACGUUGAGGGUGCUGCGGGUGCGAUGGCUGUCGGCGGCGGGGAAGAAGACUUUAGACGGCAGACGGCCGGGUCGGGGGAUAUAUCCUAUUGCCGUGGACGAGGCGGUCGUAGGAGCAGCAACGGCAAGGUGGACGACGGCGCCGAUGAAGCGAGAGGAGGAUAUGAAAGGAUCCUAGUCCAGUGCCGUGGAUGAGAGACGUCCAGCUCUUGCAGUGGACGACGGGGUAGGGGUAGCGGCUUCGACAAGGUGGAGGAUGGGGUGGCGGACGGAGGAGGCUGGCCGUAGUGCGGAGGUUGUCGUGCCGCCGAUGGUGUAUGAAUGGGGAAAUGGAGGGGAGGGGGGAUCUCAAACUUUGGGACGCGCUUCUCUGAAAUGGGGGAAAGUUACAAACUUAUCCCCCGUUUAAAAUUUCGGACAUCGCGUCGGUUGGGGAUAGGACGGUAAUCUCGCAUCUCCCAAAUAUUUGCCGGUAACUAUUUCGGGCGAGGAGAGGGUGUUUUGCCGCCCACGGUUGGCUCCCACGGUGUAUGAACGGGGCUGACAGGUAGGGCGGUUGUGUCACGUCUGAUGGAAGUUACACAUCUGCCCCUAUUUAAAAUAUUAGCCUACAUCGAUUUCGGACGAGGAGAGUUUGUUUUGCCGCCCACCGUGUAUGAAUGGGGAAAUGGAGGAAGAGACACAUGUCUUUCGGACGCGCUUGAAUCAAAUGUGUUUUGCCGCCCACGUUUGGCGCCCAUCGUGUCUGGAUGGGCUCAGAGGCCGUUGUGUCACGUCUGAUUGAAGUUACUAGUCUACCCCUAUCGACAGCAGUGUAAAUCCGGUCGAUAAGGAUGUACUCAGUGUCAGGGGUAGACAGUAAUUUCCAUCUCGCAAACACUUGCUUUGGGCAGCCCACAAAUUAUAGUGGGUGUUUAGCCGCUUCGUUCAAAACUUGGGAGAAUUAGCAUUCACGUUGCCCUGGGACGUGGCAAACUAAAUUCAAAUCCAAUUUGUAUUUGAUUAUGAAUAUCCACAAAUAAUUAUACAUUUUUGUUAUUUAUUUCUUCAACACCACAACAAAGAUUUAUUCCACCUUUAUAUAUGAUUAUGAUUUAGAAAUGCCGUGAUCUUCGAAUUUAGUAGGUUGGAUACACUCUGAUUCAAACAGUUAUUUCAUCCAAUACAAUAUGCUCACACGAAAAACAGUUCACCUUAUGUCAAUCAUACAAGUACUGCGGAUUACCUCGCCUAAAAAAUUCGGAUCAUUACAACACAUGGACAACAUGGAAUUCCGGACAACAUAGGGGGUCUUGCAAUAUAAUCCAUUCAGAGACAUGACACAACAUGCAAGUACAAUAAUCUAAUGACAAUUUCAACUAGUAUCUAAAGAAGAACAGGGAUUACCUUGGGCUUCAGAUAGCAGAAACAGCAAGACCUCCUCCGUCUUCAAAUGCAACAUUCCUACUUCCUCCAAUUCUUGGGUUGCUUGCAUAAUGCGUGCCGCUAAUUCCGUAAUUUCCAGCCUCAAGAUAAAAGAUUACCUCAUUCAUGGCAGCCACACCAUCUCUUUCUGCCUCUAGUAGAGCCUCAAGCACUAUAAUAUCUGUGCUCAGACUGCUCUCCGGCGGUGUUGCCUCUGAACUGCUACCAUCUGGUAACAUGGAUGGCGCACUGCUUCCACAAAUAGAUUCUGGGGUUGUAUAUUGUGUCCUAGUGUGAACGGCAUCCUGAAAGGUUUCCGCUGGACAUAAGUAAGAGAUAGUUAUCGUAUGAUCCAGGCAGUAAGCUUACAUGGUAAACAACGGACGAAUUAUUGCUGAGCAUGGCAAACUAUAUUUGAAUGGUUCGAAGCAGCAUCAGCCAAAAAUAAAAUAAAAUGGUAAGAUGAAACUAGGGAUGUAAGUGGCAAAUAAACGACAUCCGCCAGUCCCAUCUAGUUAGUUUUUGCUACCUCCCUAGUUCAUUUUCCUCAAAAAAAAACUCUUCUGAACUAUCAUACCACUAGUGGACUUUAAUCGGGAUUGAACGUGACCCAGUUGACAUCCCUAGUUGAAAGGGAGUGUACAACCGCUAUAUUUAAGUUGCCAAGGCAUCUAAGCAGUUGAAAUAAUCUGAGAAAGCACUUAACAGUGUGGCCUCAUAUAAACUACGAAGACAGUCUUGUGAUGAAGUUGAGAGGAAAAUUUAAGGAGUCAAAUGAAAUAGGCAUGCAUUUCUUUACGAUAGUACAACAGGCACUGCUGACAUAUUGGCCAACUCAGGUAUAGCGUAACAACAAACAAGCAUUCGAAUCAAGCAAUACAGCAAAGCAGACAACUGAACUAUUUGUAAUUCAGUAGGAUUACACGUUGAGGGCACAAGCCAAGAAAGCAGUCCACUUGCAUUACAUUUCACAUGUACUAAAACACAUUGGCUUACCAUAUGUUGCUGUGAAGCCUAGCUGCUGUUGCAAUGUUCUUUGAAAAUAUCGUCAGCAUUCCGUGGUUGCAAAUCUAGUUGUUGUAGUUUAUUCUGCACUAUCUAUUUAGGUAAAAUUAAUUUUAAUCGCAUGCACUGGUCCGAAUUGAUCAUCAAUGGUUCAUCUAAACUAAUGAAAGAAGGGUGUGUGCAUACACGACAAUAUAUCUGCUUCCCUCUAUUUUUAUGCUUGUUCGAGGUGCCGGCCCCAAAAGAACAAAUAUUUUUCUUGAUGGGGUUGGCAGCUCCAUAAUUAAUAGAAGCAUCAAAUUAGUCAUGCAACUUGGGAAGAUCAAGAACACACAAACAAGUAAUGAACAAAGGCUCAGAGCAGUGAUGUAAUAGCUAGCAUCAGAAAAUGUAGGGUAAAACGAACAAAAAGCAGCGGAACCACAUGCUAGUUUGCUGAUGUGUAAUUAAGCAUAGAGAACAUUAACCAGUCUGAUGGAACCAACAUGUGGCAUCAGAACAAAACAAAAGCAUAUUAACUAUACUAGUAUGUAUGCACGUGCAAUGCAUGUCUUAAAAGAAUGGAGUGAUUUUGGAGUGUGACUCGAAAAAAGUUAUAAUGGAGUGAUUUUGGUAAAUGGAAUUCCACCCACAAUUGUUUUUAAUAUUCACACAAAAAACUGUACAUUCACAUCUUAAAUACUGGAGGUUCAUUAAAAAACUAUAUGUUACUCUAUUAUUUUUUCUUCCCAUUCUCCUCCCAAACCUUCUUAUCUGGGCUCAAGUCGUCAUGCGCUCAAGCAGUAAUAUAGCCCAUGAGGCAUAGCAUAUGGGCCUUUUUUUCCUGGAAGGGCCACGUGAAUAUUCUAGAACACAGCAGAGGCAACAACAAUCUACUGUUCAUGGCGAAUCCGGCUGAUCUUAGCUCUUGGAUUUUGGAGACCAAUGGUUAUGAUUGAUGCUCUGGAUCCAUCUCAAAACUGGUACACUAUAUAGUAUAUAAAGUACAGAUAUAGAUAUAGAUGUGCACUGGUAUGUAAUUUAGCACAUGUAACAUGUUCACUGCCAGAAGUAUGGCCCUACAGGUGCAAGCAGAAUAACACUUCUCAUGAAAAACUGAAUGAUGCCCUGAAGAAAUUCAAAGGUGCGGUGCUUAUGCUAGGAAAGUGAAUGUAGGCGCCGGCUGUUGGAUGAUAGUACCCGAUUCUUGGUGGCAUAUGGGUAUCGUUGUGAUACUUGAUAGCUAAGGAUCGUCGAUGGUGCUCGUGUUGCGGUUGAGUUUGGGCUGGCUGUCGCCGUCGCUGAAGCGGCUUCGAUGCUAUGGUUGCGGCGCCUGUCGACAUACAAGAAAGCUCAUCUGUGGUAAGUGAAUAGUUGCACGAUAAAGGGAAAAACCGAAGGAGUACAAAUCGAAAUAACCUGAUGAGGCUGUGGCAUCGGUAAAACAAGGCCGGUGGAGUUGAAUAUGGCGUCCGUGGAGCGCGUUCGGUGCAGUGGACGAAGGCUUCGGCGGGCGCGUUGUACAGUGCUUUCGGUGAGGCGGAUCUGUUGCCGAGGACGAGGGCUUGUAUGAAGGGCCAGCGAAGGGGCAGACGAGGGAGUCAGUGAAGGUCCUACGCUAUGGUGGACGAGGGCGCCGGUUAAGCAGAUCCGAUGCAGUGGACCAUGAUGGCGGUCAAGGAGAUCUGGAGCGGUGGACAAGCCAGUCGCUGAAGCGGCUCCGGUGAAGUGGUGAGUUGGCAGUUGGGGGUUCCAAGGUGCGGAAGGUAGAUCCGGCGGGGUGUGAGGUCCAUCACUGCGGCGGAGGACUAGAUUCGGCAGCUUGCCGUGGUUGGGGGGGUCGGGGAGGGUAAGGGGAGGGGCUCUGGGGAAGAAUGUUGGGGGCAAAGAGGGGAAAACAAUGGAGUUACCAAAGCAGCCCUUUUCCGUUCAUGUGGCAGGGGUAAAACAGGAAUAUCGCAGGGCUAAACUUUCGGGCGCAUGAUAUUUCGAUGUGAGCGGGAAGUUUGAAAGCUUUUGGCGCCUAAAAUUAUAAGUAUUCUGCUCUCGUACGACCGACUAUGAUAUCAUGGCUGACAAUUUGUUUGUUUUGCACGCAAAAAAAGUGCAAGUUUUGAAAAUCAAUGUCUCCAACUCGAAACUUAGAUUGUCCAUUCAAUUCAAAUAUGGAUCAUUGAGCUACUACAAGCAAAUACCAUCAUACAGUCCAAUUCAAAUGAAAUUCCAAAUGUGUUUAUCCUAAAUAUGAUGACAAAAGCAAAAAUGUGUAUGUGUAUGAAUAAAGUGAAUGAUUAUAAAGUUUGAACAUGCCCGUAUGUGUAUAUCUCUAGGUUUGAUAUAUGAAUUUGAAAUCACAAAAUUCCGGCUUAAAAUGUACCUCCGUUUAAAUGAAUUACAAAAGCUAAUGAUGGUGUCGAAUUCCAAAAUUCCAACCUUAGGUUUGUAAUUCUGGUACAUCAAGGUAUAUCACGCAUGUUCAAAAGUAUCAUUAUCUCAUAGUACAAACUGUGAAACAAAUUGAUCAACCAUGAGUGCACAAUAUCUCAAUUACGCUAAAGUCCCUCAAAUAUAGACACCUUACUCUUUAUCUGAAGUCACCCCCACCACCACCACACACACACAUAGAGAAGUCGUUCUCUCCCCCAGACACCAACACACGAGCACAUUAACACCCCUCUCUGUUGUAAAGUCCGGACCCCAACAUAGGUCUCUAUCACUUUGUCUCCCGGGCAUGCACACAUCUCUUCCCUCACUCUCUAGGUCUCCCGCUAUCUCUCUUACCCAAGCACACGCACUAUGUAGAGUGUAUAUUUCCCAUACACACAAAACGUCGCCCCCAAACAUCUAUCUCCCUAGUUAUGUGGUUCUCGCACACUCACCUCACACACCACCCCCACUGCAAACAAGCACACUUUGUCUCCUUGUGCACCACUCUCCUCUUUCUAUAUCUCCCACAUGCGGACCCGCCCCAGCUCCUUCCCUGUAUACAUAUAUGUCGUGACUCUUUGCAUAGCUCCCUAAUGUAUAAUCAUUCUCGAUUUCGCACAUUGUUCUAUACACCAUCUAUUCUAGAUCUCUCAUGAAGUCCCUAUCACACACACGAUGACUCGCUUCCCCCGCGUCUCCGUUCAUAGGCCAAUUUCGGACAACAUCAACAUUGUCUCCCUAUCUAUACGCCAUUUAUGGACACAAACGACCCCUCUCGCCCCCUCUCUUCCUCUCUCUCUCCUUCUCUCUCUCUCUCUCUCUCUCGUCACUAGCUCUCUCUUUCUCUCGCUCUCACACCCCUCUCCCACACACACACUCGAUGUCUCUUCCAAAUAGUAUGCUCCCCCCGCCCGCACCCGUGCUGUCUCGCUACUACACAUGUCACACCAUUCCCCCUUCCCUUAUACUAGGUUUACAUCAUCAGUGGUCUCUCUACUCCACAUACACUCUCUCCCUGUCACACACAAACGCGUGCACAAACACACACAGACACACACAAACACCCAUUUAUCUGGAUCCUCAUCUCUCCCCAUGUCCGCAUGUGUAUCUCACAUACUCACUCUCUGAUUAUGUAUAUGUGUCUCCAUGUUACACAACACAAAGCCCCAUGUACAUGUCUCUCUCUAUCCUCCACACACAUAGACACAAAGAAUCUGUUAUCAUUGCCUCAGUCUCUAACAUAUCGCACACGCACUCUCUCUCUCUCUCUCUCUCUCUCUCUCUCUCUCUCGCAAACACGCUCAACAAGGGUUUCCCCGUGAAUAACUUACCGUCUACUCAUCAACAGUCGUGGCAGUACGGCGAACAUGAGACGUGAAAAAGAAUAAAUCUACACGUGCUUAGACCACCUAGUAGGACUAGAGCAAGCCAAAAAGCGCGGCGCCGUCACCCCCUCCUUGUCGGCGACGGGAAAAUCUUUGUUUUACAUAGUCGAGAAGUCAUUGUGCUAAGACCCCACAUGCCGAGGCGUUGAAUAGAAUGUAGAUGCUAGUUUACGGAAGCAAGUAUCGAUAAUACGUUUGUAUCUCCAUACUUAUAUUUCUUCUUUUAUAAAAAACCGAGUUGGUGAUGAUGGUACAUGUGCCAUCUUGCAAUAUUGACCGUCUGAUCUAUAUCUGACAGAUGGAAAUUAAACUAAAAUAUACCCGCACCCCUCUCCACAUUUGCAGACAAGGCCUUCCCUCGUUCAUCCUUAUCUCCAACAAACCUCAUUGUUGAGCAAUUAAGAAAGGAAGCCUCUGGAACAAACUGGCCUAGUGGCCGCUGCCGGCGUCGUCAAUCCCCAUGCCUCCGCUCAGUCCGACCACCAACCACCACCACACCCAACUCCUCUUCACCUUAUCUCAUAUUUCUCGAGAUAUCAUUAGUUUUUACACAUGGGAUUACUCCCGCAAGGGUCAAUCACAACAAGUGUUUUUAUCAAAAAAAUGCAUCUUGAUGUUCCGUUAAUGCACAUAUCUUGCUAGUACUCCUACACAAGACUAAGUUGGUGAUGUUGGUGUGUCUGCCAUCCGUCGUUUCUGACCAUUAGAUCUACAUCUAACGUUUGUGAGGUAAGUUGUUGCCUUUUCUCACCAACAUCCCACUUGUCUACCAAUUUGUAGAAAACCCAUAAUUAGUAUCUUAAAACCAACCACAUCCCUCCCUGACCUCACCAAAACAGCCCAAGGAAUAUAUUAUAAUUGAAACAUAAUAUACAUAUGUAUAUCAAAAUUAGGGUGUUUUGUACCAAGUUUGUGAAUAAGUAUUAUUCUAAUUAUGAUUCGUUGCAACGGACAUGAACAUUGCUAGUAUUUCCAACCAUGUAUUUUUUUCUAGUAUUCCAUAGUUUUGAGUUUUCCAUCAAGAUAUUAGUCACUCAUGGUUGAUAUUUACUUUCAAUCAUGUACACAUAUGCACUAUGUAACUAGCCUUGCUUAUUGGCUUCCAAAGCUUAACUUUCACUCCUACUUACAAUAUGUAGAGUAUUUAACAAAAAACUACCACUUUCAACUAGCCCUAGGAAGAAUCUAUUGUACAAAAAAUAGCAAAAACAUACCCAAAAUUUCUUAAUCCAUGCCAAAAACUUCUAGUACUACCUAGUACUCCUACCGAUUAGGUUCGUUUAAACCCAUUUAUGACUGGGUUGGCCCACACGUCCGUGCUGACGAGGCAGCUUAAACCAACACAUUUUGUUUGACCGUUGACACGAGGGACCCACAUCUGACCUUCUAUCCUGUUAUUCCCCCUCAAAUCAUUAUUUUUCCUGAACAUUACUUCAAACAGUACUGAUGCGUGUUCGUCGGUGGCACCGGUGAUGAGCGAGUUGGCCGCCGCUCCGCCGGACGGGCCGGAGGCCGCGCUGGCCUCCGCACGGGUUGGCAGGCUGGCCCGAGCGAGACUCACGAGCGAGCAAGCUGCCGCGCUGGCCUUCGCUCGAGCCAGAUGGCUGGCCUGAGUGCGGCACGCGUGAGCAAGUCGCCGUGCUGCCGUGCAAAUCUAGCUAGCAAACCUUGCAGACAAGCAGUUGGACGGAGCUAUCUUGGCUAGCUAGCGGCCACGAGCGCCGGACGGAGCUGGCAUCUGGGCUGCCGCAACAUGGGCUCUGCACCGCCGGCGGUUUUGACCUCGCCUUCUGCCGAGGAUGACUAGGUGGACGGGCCGGAGGUAGGAGGUCACUCGAGGAUUUUGGUUGGUAAGAGCAUGUACAAUGGUUGAUAAGGUAGUCUUAUCUUAAGUCUGCCACGUAUGCAAGUGGUAGUAGUUUCUUGGCAUUUUAGUGGUUUCUUGCAUUAUUAGGGGUUUCUUGUAAGGAACAAUGUACGUACUACUAGCGACAAAAGGCGAUUCUAGGUUGCGUUGUACUCCAACGAGUACUACUAGUGGUCGCGGGAGUGUAUACCUCGUUUUUGUGGGUUUGAUCCCGGCCGAACGCACGGCGACCUUUAAAAAAAAGUACUAGUACUACACUUUGCUGCGAGCCAAUAUUUUACACGGGUAGUUUGAGUUUUGAAGUCAAACGGACGUGCGGCCCCACAAUCUGGGUGCACUGGACAGCUUAGCCACGUGAACGGGUUUUCCUUUCCAGCAUCCCGUGGCUCGUGUGCUCGCCCUAGCCGCACCUCGCUUGCAGCUUCCUCAUCAGCUAGUAGUAGCAUAUUUAAACUAGCGCCUCCUAAUUAAGCCCGAGGAGCCGGAAAAGCCUGGUGGGGCAUUGGGAACUGUGCAAUAUGGCUCUAUAUUCUAUGUAAAGUGCUGUACUACUAGUACUCUGUAGCUUGUGGCAUUGCACCCAUGGACUUCACUCCAUUAUCGGCUCUACUAUAAAAGAAAUUCCUCUUAACAUGUUUUUUUUGAAACGGAGGCAAAAGCUUUGCUUCAUCUCAUUCAUAAAGAAGGAACUACUAACAAAGUUCGACGAGAUCCAUUACACCUCCACAAAUGGAAGCGAAAAGCCUAGUCUCGCUGUAUCGAAUAACUCAAAUGUUCUGCCCCCGCAGACCGCAGUAACCGUCGCUGAUAUACAGGCUGCCAGUGUGUGUGUGAGAGGAGCGGCUGAGUAGGCCAGCUACUCCUACAUGAGAGGAGCGGCUGAAUAUAGCACCGAGAGUACCCACUAGGCCACUACGCAAGUGUACUUCCCCUGCAUUGAUAGUACAGCGACGGUUCUACAGAACAGUAGUACCCUCCACUUCCAACUGUAGCUCCUUGGCCCUGAGAUUCAAGAGUUCAAAACUGGUGCACUAUACUAGACUAGACUAGACUAGAAGUACAAUACAUCGCACUAAUACUCGUAGUUGAGAAAAGUAGUACUGGUACUGCUACAGUACGAGUACGUACUCCUCCGUCACAUAAUGUAAGACGUUUUUUGACACUAGUUGGCGUGUACAAAAAAUGGCAAAAACAUACCCAAAUUUCUUAAUCCACGCCAAAAACUACUACCUAGUGCCAAAAAUUUCUUACUAGUGCUAUUAUUUACAGUAUAAUGCAAUCCCAUAACGUUCCAUAAUGCUAGUACUAGUAGUAAAUAAUAGCCUCACCCCUUCGCUGAGGAACGAUCUACAGUUGGAAGGGACGAGGCCCUGCGGUUACUACGCUCUUAUCUCCUCCUCGCCAGUUCCCCUCCCCCCGAAGAGAAGGCAGUUCGUUGCUGCUCCCAUGGAUUCGCCAGGCGGUUCUCCUCCUUGUCGGGGCUGGGAGACCUUGGACGACGAUCCUCUGGGAGAAAUCGCACGCCGCUCCGACGUCCUCACCGCCGCAAGACUCGGUGCUUCCUGCACCAACUUUUUCAAGACACUGCUUAAACAGGUUUGGGAAAUGGCCAUGCUUGUUGGUCUUCCAUGCAUCCUCGAGGAGAAGGUUCUUUUAUGGGACAAUCCUUCAAACAGUCCACCGCUCCCUGGCCAUGGUAGCACGUUGACUCCGAUAGAGUUGCCGACAUUGAGAGGUAGUCGGAUUUUGUCCAAUGAGCAGGUCAGUAAUGGAGUUUGAUCAUGUAGUACUUAGUUAUUCCAUUUCCAUCCUGUAAUUUCUCCGCUGCCCACCGUCUUAUAUAUAGGUCUAGGUCGGUGCCAACGAAGAUUGUCUUGCAUACGUCCGGCCGGAUACCACCAUCAUUUUGCAUAACAUCCACAGCAGUGCAGCCGUUCUGAUAGACCCCUUCUCCACCAUUGGGAUCGGCCUUCUGGACUGGCUGGGCUUGAAUACGUAUGAUGAUGCCUACAUGAGAUUGAAGAAGAUAGCAAUUGCGGACCCACCGACAAAGCAACGCGGCUACGAUGAUUACUAUCUCAUCGCGGUGUUCGACAUAAGGAUUGCCAUCAAUGCAAGACGCAGUAACGGCAGAGGCUGGCGCAUGUUGGCGGCGGCAGAUUUGUACCACUACACGUUCGAAGACGCAGUGCACCAUCUAGGCCGCAUCUUCGUGGUGACAAGCUAGGGGACUUGUUUCAUCUGGUUGCCAUCCUACGGUACGAGAGAUUACAAACGGAAUGCACAAACCAUCAUUUGCAUCCCUAACGGUACUCCAUUAUUUUGCAGGGACCAGUCAUCCCCCGAUCAAAAUAAGAUCGCCGAUCUUGGAUGUGCAUUUGCAUCCGUGAUCCGGUCUAACCUGGAACCUUGUAGCUGACUUUGGCAUAUUGGGAUCAACUAUCUUAGCAGUCGUUACCCAUGGUACCACUGAUGUGCAACAUGGUCACACAAUCUACCAUGAUCGGACCGUCACCAUCUACCCAGGUAUUCCAUUUUUUAACCCUCUCGCCUUCUCUUUCAUUGUUUUACUAGUAGUAUACUUAGUACUACUAGUAGGAGUACUUUUUACCUUGGAGGACGCGUAUAGCUAGCUGGGCCCUUGAAGACUUGAACCCACUAGCUGCCACCAUUUUUGUUUUUCCAUGUCUUACUAUCUCAUCCAUGUAGCCAAGAGUGGCUAUAUAUAAUAAGUCGGUUAUUUUACUUCCUCUAUACCGGAGUAGUACUAUUUGCUACACAGUAUUACUGACCGCCAUAUUUGAGCACAACAUUAUUAUGCAUGUACCUUGACUAUGUACGUCACCAUGUGUCCAGAUCUGGGAUGCCGCGUGUACCAGAUGAACGGCGCCGAGUUCGACCCCCGUGAUGCUACGUGGGUGCCGAGGAACACUCUUGGAGAGUACUCACUUUUCAUCGGGGACAACUACCCCAUUGUGAAGCGGAUGCCACCUUCCGUGCACGACAUGGAAGGCCUACCAUUCAUGAAGCAUGGUUGUGUCUUCAUUGUGCACCGCCGGAUGAACGACAUGCUGGGACACGCUAUCCCUGAUUUAUGCCGCUUCAGCUUGGAUGAGUCUCCAUCGUGUGGAACCGGACUAGAAAGCUGCGACAAUGAUUCCCGUUGCCCACCGCUAUGGAUCGUGCCAUCCAUGAAGAACACCUGGGAUUGGAACCUGGAGGAGGACAUGCAUGUAGCCCAUCUAUAACGUGUAAGUGGAGUACGGUAAUUGUGAACGGUAGCGCUGUGAAUAUAUGUAGACUAGUCGUGCACAAAUUUAUCACAUGAAUUGGAGAUGAACUUGUGUGGCAUACUGGCAUUUGUCCUUUAGAAUUUAUUACUAGUAAAUGUAUUAUGUGUACGUGCAACUUGCGUGGUUGUUGCACGGGCUCCAACACGCUCUUUGAGAAAAAAGGUGGCACAACUUUGGAUAUACGUGACGUGGCGGCACUAUACAGUAGCAUCGUUCGCUAUAGUUGUAGUACACUCCUACUAGGACGACAACUCCUAAAAAACCUUGCGCUUGGCUCUUUGUCUCUUCGGGAGGUUCAACAGUUCGUACUCGUGUGAACCUUGCACUUGCCUCUUCGCCUCUUCGGAAGGUCAAUGAUGAUACUACAGUACAAUAUGUGUCUGGCAAUCUGACACCGAUUGAACUGCUGCACGUCCACCAUGAGGGCGAGGGCGAGGGAGAGGGCGCUAUAGUCAAAACCCUCUCCUCGUCCUGUGAACCACCGCGCGCGUGGGCGAGGGAGAGGCGUAGUAAGCAAGCUUCUCCUCGUUCGACGAGUUGACGGGACACAUCAAAGCAGUACUAGUACUAGUAGUAGUCCAUACUGCGUCCUUUCCGAUUAAUAUGGCUUAAUUUGAAACGAGAAAAAUACACUGGCGGUCAACAUAUGUAACAAUACGCUCUUUACGGUCACUAUAUAUAGUUUUGCGUCGAUUAUACGAUCACUAGCUCAUCGUAGAGCACCGUAUUAGACCCUACUGACCGGCCACAUAGUCGACGUGGCACUUUGUUGACUGGUUAAAUUGUCACCUGGUUUCUGGGUCCCACCUGUCAGUUGGCGGAGCAAAGAAAUCAGUUAAACAAAACUUUACGCAGACGCCACACGAGUCCAACCCUUGCGCCCGAACCGCCCUGGCUGUGUAUGUGAGUGAAUGCACGUGUCCUCCCUCGGCCUUCCAACAAAGAGUGUACAUCGGCUAUAAAACAAAGAGUGUAGUAGUACAUGAUGUACAUCUACAAUUCCAAUGCAUUUAGCCUUUAAUCUAAAUCGACAUUGAUUGACUAAUGCACCAACUUGUGCUGUAGGUAUAGGCUACAUGUCUAUCCUUAAUUACAGCAUGCAACAGCCUUCAUUUAAUCUUCUUAUCUCAAUAGUCACAUGCACACAUAAGUUUGCUACUUUUGGGCGUUAAUUAUACCCUGGUCAAUGUGUAAAUCUCUAAAUGUACAGUCUUUCACGGACGUAGGGAGUAGGUUGAGCACUUGAGCGUGAGCGUGUGUGUUGCGUCGUGUGCUGUGUGCCGCAUGGGUGCGUGAGUGUUGCGUGCGUCCAUGUGGAGUACGUGUGAGUGUUGCAUGUUGCAUGCAUGCAUGCAUGCAUGGGGCUUACUCCCUCCCAUUGACAUGUUCAUAUUUCAAACUUCCCCUGUUCCCUCCAUAUGGUGAUACUCCCUCUGUUCCCAAAUACUCCAGUAUGGAGUAAAAGCCUCCCUCUGUUCCCAAAUACGGAGUAUUUGUCUUUCUACAGAUUUCAACAAGUGACUAGGUACGGAGCAAAAUGAGUGAAGUGAGCGUAGAGGCAUAGGGAUACUGUAGAAAGGUAAUCCUCGCGAUCCAUCAUUCCCCAUCUCAGUCAGAGAGAACUAUUCAACUAGUCUUCGCAGUGAAGUGACAAUACACGCUGCAGCAGAUGGGACACGUAAUUAAUAAGCUGAACCAGCGUGUUGGUGUUACUAAAUCAGCCUUACCCAGUACUGCCAUCAUGUUUGCCAGUAGAGCACGCUUCUGCAAAUACGCCUACGCACCUAUGUCCUCCAUUAACUGACAUAUGGGCCCUCUUGUGGUAGACCCACAUGUCAUCGGUGUAACUAUUUACACUCCGGAGGACGGUGCCUAUAUCCUGGUAGUAGUACUAGUAGAAUUGAGAUUUAAUGCACUUUCUUCCCCGUCUUCCACUCUUCUUCCUCCUCUUUUCUUCUUCCUCCUCUCUUCCCCAUCAUCGGCCGCACACCAUUUACGCCCGCUCACUACUCGCCCGCCCGCGCCAUCUUCCUUGGUAGCUCGCGCGUACCAUAUCCCCCCGCUCACUGCUCGGCCACACGAGGAGAAGCUUCUUCGCUCGCCCGCCCGAAUCCACUUCCCCGCUGGCUCGCAGGCACCGAAAACCCCAAUGGCAGAACCGACUGACACGCAGAGCCGCGAUUGGAAUUCCCUCCCCGGUGUUCUCUUGGAGCAGAUCUGUAGUCAUAUGGACCUACUCAGCACCGUCCGUCUGGCAGCAUGCUCGGUGUCUUUGUAUCGUCUACUCGUCUACAACCGACCGGCUCUUUUCAAGACCCCUGCUUGCUGAUGCCCGAUCCUUGCAGGUGGCCCAGACACCGACUUGACGAUCCUACAGAGGUUGCCGUGGUGCCCCUCGACAUGCUACCACUACCCGUCCACCUGUCCUUCAUGCGCGGCCACUACUGGGGGGGGGGGGCAUGAAGGACAACUGGAUCGUCUUCAUCCACCACACUGGUAGUCCGUGGCGUCUCAUGGAUAUCUACACCCAGCGAGAGAUCACCCUUCCAUCGUUGGAUACCGCCGACAUCGAGCCUCGCGGCCUGCCGGACACUCCUGCCUACUACGCACGAGACGCAUCAAGCUUUUGGCUCGACCUCUAUUUGCAGAAAGUUGUAAUCUGCGAAGUGCCCACACCAUAUAAGACUACAUUGAUUACAAGCUCAUUGCCUUGUUCAACAUGGGAUUAGUCUAUCUGGAAUCCAGUCGCCAUACAUGGUUAUGGCUCAUCAUCAAUCCUGUUGAGGCAACAUUUCUGUCUGAUGCUAUAGUGCAUGAUGGCAUUGUUUACGCGGUCGACGCACAGAUUGGCUGCCUAUACUGGUGGAAUCUAUCGUCAUGUAAUUGUUCUAUCUCAUCUCAUCUUUACCUUAUGAAUACGAUUGCCUGUUCAUUUGUUACGAAUUUAGAAUGCAUAGCAUGUCUAUAACCACAUCAUUGCUAUAUGUUCAUCUCAUUUCCUAGAUUUUUAUGACCACACAUGUUAUUGUUAGAGUUGAUAUGAGAACAAUUGGCAUCUAAUGAUCGUUAGAAUACAUAUUAUGAGCAUAACAUCAUGAUUGCUAUAUGUUACUCUCGUUUACUAGAUUUUUAUAACAACGCAUGUUAUUGCUUAGAGUUGAUAUGAGAAUAGUAGUAGUAAGUGCUAUGGUAGAAUAUGAGUAGGCACUGUCAUAGCCGUUUUCCUCUCAUUGUUACAUGAUGUUUGAACCAUGACAUGUUGCUAGAAUAUGAAAGCCAUUGGCUUAUUUUUUUAACUUGGGGUAUGAUUAUGACCACGACAUUGCAAUUCUCUGUCUAUGAUAUGUGUCACUGUUAUAAUAAUCUUAAUUCCACACAUACUCUGAACAUGAUUGUUUAUUUUUGUCCUUUUGGUCUCCAAUUUAAAUUGUUGAAGCAGACGCAAAUGCACUAGCCUUCAUGAUUCCAGGACCUGGAAUCAUACCAGCUGAUGGGUGCUGGUUUAUCGCUCGUUCAGCUGACGGCGGUCAUUUGAUGCUCAUUCGCACAUACCAAAUUGACCAAACCAUUACAUCAAACCACAUGCAGUACAAUGCAUGGGGCGUUCGUGACAUUGAUGGCUAUGGCUGCUUCGUGUUCAAGAAAGAUCCCAGCUCCGUUGGGCCAGGCGUAUUCAACUGGAGGCGGGUUUACAGCCUCGGCAACCACUCCUUGUUCCUCGGGCUCAAUUAUCCAAUCAUCCAACCAAUCAUCGAUCAUAUCACCGGCGAUGAUUACUGUGCUAUGCAACUUCCAUUCGCGAGGGGGGGGUUGUGUUUACACAUCAUACCAUGGGUUUCAUGAAUCACCAUAUCCAGAGAUUCGUCGACACAGCUUGUUGCCAGGUAAUCUUCAGUGUGUGAAAGGCAUCAAGCUUCCAUGCGAUGGAUGGCUUUUGCAAACCCGACAUGCGGCAAUGUGGUUCAUGCCAACAGCAAAUAUGCACAACAUGAUUCGUGCUGAUAUCUAAACUGAGCCAUGUAUUCUGCUGCUGUAGCAUGACCCUCUUUUGUUGGAUAUUAUGUACUGUUGUUAGUUUGAAGCACUCCUCUGGUUUGAAGGAUAGAUACCUUCCUGGGAUCAAGUGCAUCCUAACUCACCUGCGUAGGAUGUACUGAUAAUGAUGAUGGAGAUGCUGUGCAGAAGCCAUAUAUAUACAUAUAUAUAUAUAUAUAAGUUAGGCUUCAAGUGCGUACUUGUUAGUUAAACCUAUGUAUAAAUUGUGACACUAAAUACGACUAGUAAGUAGUACAGUAGCAGUACUAGUAUACAUCGGUCAAAUUAUUCAUCAUGUCCACACAUUGAAUUGACGUGACAACACGCUGCACGUGAGGUGACACAAGAAUCCCGGCGGCGUGUUCGGGUAUUUCGGACUUCAGAUUUGGAGUACCACUUAUCUGUCGAAAUCUUUUUUUUCGAAACGGAGGCAAAAGAUUUGCCUCAUCCAUUAAAUAAGAGGAAAAUAGAGUUUAGAGUUUUUACAAGCGCCCUUGCAAAACGGCAUGGCAAUUACUCUCGUACAACCGUCGAAGAAGCGCGAGUUUUUACUCUGUCGAAAUCUUUCAUAAUUCACUUAAAACAGUCAAUUGGUCAUACAUUGAGUACCAUAUAACUGGAAUUUACGAUGCAAGUCGAAGAAGGAUUGGCCGGUGCUGCCGGCUGGCGUCAAGUUCGAUCCCACGGAUCAGGAGCUGAUCGAGCACCUUGAGGCCAAAGUGAGUGUUGACAGCGCAAGAUUUCAGUCUCUCAUCAAUUUGUUCAUACCAACCAUCGACAACGAGCACGGCAUAUGCUACACCCAACCUGAGAAACUUCCAGUUAAGACACCGAUCGGCCGUCUACUUGCACAAACAUAUUCCUUGUUUAUAGCUCUAUUUUUCUUUUUAGACGCAGACAUGGUGAAACAAUUACAAUUUGACAGUUAGUAAAAAGUGAAACAAGUGACUGCAACAUGCCAAAGAUGUUAUGAAAAUGCCAACUUGGUACACUAAAACCUGUAUUCCACAAUACUGUAGGUAUCACACUGAGUGCCCUAAGGAAGCAUUUCUUCCAGUGCAAUUCCAGGGCGUUCAAAAGGGGCACGUGGACGCGUCGCAAGAUACAGUCGGAGUGCGGCACGCACGCGAUGUGACACAAGACUGGCAAUACCUUGCCUGUGAUGGUCAACGGCCGGCAGACGGGCAGCAAAAAAGGUUCUGGUGCUGCACACCAACAAGAACUUCGACCAGCAGAGGACCAACUGGGUGAUGCACCAGUACCACAUCGGGGACCUGGAGCAAGAGAAGGAGCGGAGCUGGUCCUCUGCAAGAUUUUCUACUAGACGAACACUAGGUCCAGGAGUAGUUUAGUAUUGGUAGUUGUACUACCCUGUCAUCCGCAAGUUGGUAUUGUUGUUAACAAUCAUUUGGUAUGAACUUGCAUUUGCUUCCAACCAUCAUGCCGAGGGUCGACGUGGAUAUAAAUCUGAAUCAUUUGUUUCGAAACAAAUUCUCAGGCACCUGAUUUUUAUUUGAUGGGUAGCAUAAGCACCCGCCGUUCGAAUUCCCAGUUCUGCAGUUUUUUCAAAACAAGUGCAUGCACUUAUUAUCACGAUAAAAAAACAAUAUCCGUGAUGCGUCCCAGUUAUCAGUCUGUGCUUGCAGAAUUCUCUCGUUUAUUGAGCAUGUAUAUUGUUUUUUCAGGUCGAGCAAGUUUCAACUGGGCUGUAGACUGACCAGGGUUGGUUUUGUUUUUAACAGGCCCAGCCCAUGACGACAACGGGGCACAAAGAUUCAACCGGUAUCUACUGGCCUCUGGCCCGCCAGCGUUAGUUAUAUUUUGUCUUACAACAUCCGCAGGCAGUUUUGUUACUGACUCAAACACACAACCCAGUUCUAUUUUCCUCUUGAAACACAUGUCCUACAUCCGUUUUCUAAUCUCUACUAUAGUUUUACUAGUUCAUAUACACGUAUCAUUAUAUUGAAAACACAUAAAAUUCCCUUUUCAUAUUUACAUCCUUAUUUUUGUUGUUUUUUCCCACCCAUCGCUGAUUUUUUUACCACUGGUUUUCCCUUAAACCAACUCAAUUGUCCCACGUCUUAUUUGCUUACAAAAACAAAACGUUUUUUUGGCAAAUCAAUAAGUUCUUAAAAAAUGUUUAUCAUUUCGGGAUUACAACAGUUUGGACUCCACCGAAAUAUGCAAAAUAAGGUUGAACUUUUUGACCGUGGUCCUGGGCAGAAAAUGGGCUGUAAUAAAUUACUUAAGAAUUAGCAAAUGGGCUGCAAAUUAUAAAAAAUAGCAAAUGGGUUGCAAAUUGUAAAAAAUAGCAAAUGGGCUUUAUGUUGUCUGCCAUAGAUUUGGAGGCUGACUUGUGGGCCUACUAAGUUCAUGCGCACACAAGGUUUCAUAAAAAAGAAACUUAGUCAACAAUCGACUCUACCAGCGCCAGACCAUUAGAUGUCAAUCUAACGACAAUCGUGCUUCUUCGGUCUCUGAUCUUCCUUCCCCAGCCGCUCAAACCAGCAUCAUCGGAACCGCCUGCUCCCGCCUCCUAUGGCCGGCAGUGCUGCCGGGCAGGCCUCACGGCCCCAUCAUACUCGUAUCCCUGGCUUGUCUAUCCCUCUACUCACCCACACAUCCUGUUAUUUUCUGGCGAUGGCAGCCGAACCAGUCAACCCUCGUACUCUCCACCGCGUGGGCAGCCACUGCCGUGUCUUCACCAGCUCCCUGUCGUUCCCUUCGUAGGCCUCGCCGUCGUCCACCGCCCUGGUGCUCUCGGCGUGGCGUGGUCAACGAUGUCCAUCCAAUGGCCGUAGUGCUUCUUCAACCUCUAGUCUUCUUGCCCCAGCCGUCCAAAGCAACGCCGGUCGUGCCGCAUGCUCCUGCCUCCCGUGGCCGGCUGUGCUACUGCGGAGGCCUCACCGUCCCCAUACUACUCCCACCGCUGGCCAGGCCAUCCCUCCACUCACCCACUCCCCCUGUUAUUCUGCGGCGAUGACAGCCUUACACCGCAGCCGAACCAGUGAACCCUCGUACUUCUCUCCGCGUGGGCAUCCACUGCCGCGUCUUCCCCGGCUCCGCGUCGUCCCCUUCCUAGGCCUCGCCGUCGUCCACAACCCUGGUGCUCUCGGCGCGACGUGGUCAAUGUGGUCAAGGACCGACUUCCAUCGGAAGAGUAUUGUACGUGGAGAGGCUGACAGCUGGGUCCACAGCAGCCGCAAGGAAGUGCCUCCUUAUUACGCGCAAAAUAAUUAUUCCUCCACCUGACAGCAGGGACCCACCAGACGGGCCACCAGUAUUUCACGGAAAAAACGUUUCCCCCCUGACUGUUGUGACCCACCGGACAGGCCACCGUAUUUUGCAGAAAAAAUGUUUGCCCUUGACUGCUGGGACCCACUGGACGGACCACCAUAUUUCGUGAAAAAAAUGUUCCCCCCGCUGUCAGCUCGGACCCACCGGAAGUGCCUCCUUAUUACACACAGAAAAAUGAAUACUCCCCCUGCUAGCUGGGACCCACCAUGGUGGGAGGCUGACUUGUGGGCCUACUAAGUUGACGGGGACAGAGGGCUUUGUCAACUUAGUCAAUAUGAACGAUUCUAGCUCCAUUGACCGUAUGAUGUCCAUCCAACAGCCGUUGUGCUUCUUCAAUCUCUGCUCUUCCUGCUCCAGCCGCUCAAACAAGCGCCGGCGGGACUGCCUGCUCCCUCCUUCCCGCGACCGGCUGUGCUGCCGUGCAGGCCUCACUGCCCCACCGUACUCCCAUCGCUGGCCUAGCCAUCCCUCUACUCACCCACACAGCCACACCUGCUGUUAUUCUCCGGCGAGGGCAGACGAACCAGUUAAACCCUCGUACAGCUGUACUCCCCUCCGCGUGGGAAACAACUGCCGAGUCUUCCCUGCCUUCGUGUCGUUCCCUUCCUAGGCCUCGCCGUCGUCCACCGCCCUAGUGCUCUUGGCGCGGCGUGGUCAACGUGGUCAAGGAACGGCUUCCAUCGGACGUGGACUGUACGUGGAGAGGCUGACAGCUGGGUCCACGGUCGCAGCAAGGAAGUGCCUCAUUAUUACGUGCAAAAUAAUUAUUCCUCCACCUGACAUCUGGGACCCACCGGAAGGGCCUUUGUAUUUUGCAAAAAAACAUGCCCCCAGCUGACAUGUCGGACCCACCAGCUAUCUUCGCACACAAGGAAGUGCCUCCUUAUUACGCACAAAAAAAUGAAUACUCCCCCUGCCAGCUGGAACCCAGCAUAGUGGGAGGCUGACUUGUGGGCCUACCAAGUUGACGGGGACGGAGGGCUUUGUCAACUUAGUCAAUAUGAACGAUUCUAGCUCCUGUUACCAUACGAUGUUCAUCCAACGGCCGUAGUGCUUCUUCAACCUCUGGUCUUCUUGCUCCAGCCGCCCAAACCAGCGCCGGUCGUGCCGCGUGCUCCUGCCUCCCAUGGCCGGCUGUGAUGCCGCGGAGGCCUCACCGCCCCCUACUACUACCACCGCUGUCUAGGCCAUCCCUCUACUCACCCACCCCCCUGUUAUUCUGCGGCGACAGCAGCCUCACACCGCAGCCGAACCAGUGAAUCCUCGUACUCCUCUUCUGUUGGAAAUAUGCCCUAGAGGCAAUAAUAAAAGUAUUAUUAUUAUAUUUCCUUGUUCAUGAUAAUUGUCUUUUAUUCAUGCUAUAACUGUAUUAUCCGGAAAUCUAAUACACGUGUGAAUACAUAGACCACAAUAUGUCCCUAGUGAGCCUCUAGUUGACUAGCUCGUUGUGAUCAACAGAUAGUCAUGGUUUCCUGGCUAUGGACAUUGGAUGUCGUUGAUAACGGGAUCACAUCAUUAGGAGAAUGAUGUGAUGGACAAGACCCAAUCCUAAGACUAGCACAAAAGAUAGUGUAGUUCAUUUGCUAGAGCUUUGCCAAUGUCAAGUAUCUCUUCCUUCGACCAUGAGAGCGUGUAACUCCUGGAUACCAUAGGAGUGCUUUGGGUGUAUCAAACGUCACAACGUAACUGGGUGACUAUAAAGGUGCACUACAGGUAUCUCCGAAAGUAUCUAUUGUUUUAUGCGGAUCGAGACUGGGAUUUGUCACUCCGUGUAAACGGAGAGGUAUCUCUGGGCCCACUCGGUAGGACAUCAUCAUAUGCGCAAUGUGACCAAGGAGUUGAUCACGGGAUGAUGUGUUACGGAACGAGUAAAGUGACUUGCCGGUAACGAGAUUGAACAAGGUAUUGGAUACCGACGAUCGAAUCUCGGGAAAGUAACAUACCGAUAGACAAAGGGAAUUGAAUACGGGAUUGAUUAAGUCCUUGACAUCGUGGUUCAUCCGAUGAGAUCAUCGUGGAACAUGUGGGAGCCAUCAUGGGUAUCCAGAUCCCGCUGUUGGUUAUUGACCGGAGAACGUCUCGGUCAUGUCUACAUGUCUCCCGAACCCGUAGGGUCUACACACUUAAGGUUCGAUGACGCUAGGGUUAUAAAGGAAGUUUGUAUGUGGUUACCGAAUGUUGUUCGGAGUCCCGGAUGAGAUCCCGGACGUCACGAGGAGUUCCGGAAUGGUCCGGAGGUAAAGAUUUAUAUAUGGGAAGUCCUAUUUUGGCCACCAGAAAAUGUUCGGGAUUUUUCGGUAUUGUACCGGGAAGGUUCUAGAAGGUUCCGGAGUGGGGCCCACCUGCAUGGGGGGGCCCACAUGGACGUGGGUAGUGGGGGAAAGGCCCCACACCCCUGGUCAAGGCGCACCAAGAUCCCCCCUUAGAAGGAAUAAGAUCAUAUCCCGAAGGGAUAAGAUGAAGAUCCCUAAAAAGGGGGGAUAACAAUCGGUGGGGAAGGAAAUAAUGAGAUUUCUUUCCUCCCACCUUGGCAAACGCCCCAAUGGACUUGGAGGGCAAGAAACCAGUCCCUCCACCCCUAUAUAUAGUGGGGAGGCGCAUGGGAGCUACACACGAAGUUCUGGCGCAGCCCUCCCCCUCUCACAAGUACUCCUCCUCUCCCGCGGUGCUUGGCGAAGCCCUGCAGGAUUGCCACGCUCCUCCACCACCACCACGCCGUUGUGCUGCUGCUGGAUGGAGUCUUCCUCAACCUCUCCCUCUCUCCUUGCUGGAUCAAGGCUUGGGAGACGUCACCGGGCUGUAUGUGUGUUGAACGCGGAGGUGCCGUGCGUUCGACACUUGAUCAUCGGUGAUUUGAAUCACGACGAGUACGACUCCAUCAACCCCGUUCACUUGAACGCUUCCGCUUAGCGAUCUACAAGGGUAUGUAGAUGCACUCUCUUUCUACUCGUUGCUGGUCUCUCCAUAGAUAGAUCUUGGUGACACGUAGGAAAAUUUUGAAUUUCUGCUACGUUACCCAACAGUGGCAUCAUGAGCUAGGUCUAUUGCAUAGAUUCUUUGCACGAGUAGAACACAAAAUAGUUGUGGGCGUUGAUGUUGUUCAAUAUGCUUACCGUUACUAGUCCAAUCUUGUUUCGACGGUAUUGUGGGAUGAAGCGGCCUGGACCGACCUUACACGUACUCUUACGUGAGACAGGUUCCACCGAUUGACAUGCACUUGGUGCAUAAGGUGGCUAGCGGGUGCCAGUCUCUCCCACUUUAGUCGGAACGGAUUCGAUGAAAAGGGUCCUUAUGAAGGGUAAAUAGCAAUUGGCAUAUCACGUUGUGGUCUUGCGUAGGUAAGAAACGUUCUUGCUAGAAACCCAUAGCAGCCACGUAAAACAUGCAACAACAAUUAGAGGACGUCUAACUUGUUUUUGCAGGGUAUGCUAUGUGAUGUGAUAUGGCCAAGAAGAAUGUGAUGAAUGAUAUGUGAUGUAUGAGAUUGAUCAUGUUCUUGUAAUAGGAUUCACGACUUGCAUGUCGAUGAGUAUGACAACCGGCAGGAGCCAUAGGAGUUGUCUUUAUUUAUUGUAUGACCUGCGUGUCAUUGAAGAACGCCAUGUAAACUACUUUACUUUAUUGCUAAACGCGUUAGUCAUAGAAGUAGAAGUAGUCGUUGGCGUGACAACUUCAUGAAGACACGAUGAUGGAGAUCAUGAUGAUGGAGAUCAUGGUGUCGUGCCGGUGGCGAUGAUGAUCAUGGAGCCCCGAAGAUGAAGAUCAAAAGGAGCAAAAUGAUAUUGGCCAUAUCAUGUCACUAUUUGAUUGCAUGUGAUGUUUAUCAUGUUUAUGCAUCUUGUUUGCUUAGGACGACGGUAGUAAAUAAGAUGAUCCCUUACAAAAUUUCAAGAAGUGUUCUCCCCUAACUGUGCAUCGUUGCUACAGUUCGUCGCUUCUAAGCACCACGUGAUGAUCGGGUGUGAUGGAUUCUUACGUUCACAUACAACGGGUGUAAGACAGUUUUACACAGCGAAAACACUUAGGGUUAACUUGACGAGCCUAGCAUGUGCAGACAUGGCCUCGGAACACGGAGACCGAAAGGUCGAGCAUGAGUCGUAUGGUAGAUACGAUCAACAUGAAGAUGUUCACCGAUGAUGACUAGUCCGUCUCACGUGAUGACCGGACACGGCCUAGUUGACUCGGAUCAUGUGAUCACUUAGAUGACCAGAGGGAUGUCUAUCUAAGUGGGAGUUCAUAAGAUGAACUUAAUUAUCCUGAACAUAGUCAAAAGACCUUUUGCAAAUUAUGUCAUAAGCUCGCGCUUUAGUUCCACUGUUUAGAUAUGUUCCUAGAGAAAAUAUAGUUGAAAGUUGAUAGUAGCGAUUAUGCGAUCAGUAGAAAGCUUAUGUCCUUAAUGCACCGCUCAGUGUGCUGAACCCCAACGUCGUUUGUCGAUGUUGCGAACAUCGGACAUACACGUUUUGAUAACUACGUGAUAGUUCAAUUAAAUGGUUUAAGUAGAGGCACCAAAGACGUUUUCGAAACGUCGCGGAACAUAUGAGAUGUUUCGAGGGCUGAAAUUGGGAUUUUAGGCUCGUGCCCACGUCAAGAGGUAUAAGACCUCCGACGAUUUUCUUAGCCUGCAAACUAAGGGAGAAAAGCUCAAUCGUUGAGCUUGUGCUCAGAUUGUCUGAGCACAACAAUCACUUGAAUCGAGUGGGAGUUGAUCCUCCAGAUGAGAUAGUGAUGUUUCCCCAAAGUCAUUGCCACCAAGCUGCUAGAGCUUCGUGAUUAACUAUAACAUAUCAGGGAUGGAUAUGAUGAUCCUUGAAAUAUUCAUGAUGUUUGACACCGCGAAAGUAGAAAUCAAGAAGGAGCAUCAAUUGUUGAUGGUUGGUGAAACCACUAGUUUCAAGAAGGGCAAGGGAACAAAGGGAUACUUCAUGAAACGGCAAUUCAGCUGCUGCUCUAGUGAAGAAACCCAAGGUUGAACCCAAACCCGAGACUAAGUGCUUCUGUAAUAAGGGGAACAACCACUGGAGCAGCAUUACCCUAGAUACUUGGUAGAUGAGAAGGCUGGCAAGGUCGAUAGAAGUAUAUUGGAUAUACAUUAUGUUAAUGUGUACUUUACUAGUACUCCUAGUAGCACCAAGGUAUUGGAUACCGGUUCGGUUGCUAAGUGUUAGUAACUCGAAAUUAAAGCUACGGAAUAAACGGAGACUAGCUAAAGGUGAGCUGACGAUAUAUGUUGGAAGUGUUUCCAAGGUUGAUAUGAUCAAGCAUCGCACGCUCCCUCUACCACCGAGAUUGGUGUUUGCAUUGAGCAUAGACAUGAUUGGAUUAUGUCUAUCGCAAUACGGUUAUUCAUUUAAGGAGAAUAAUGGUUACUCUAUUUUUGAAUAAUACCUUCAAUGGUCUUGCACCUAAAGGAAUGGUUUAUUGAAUCUCGGUCGUAGUGAUACACAUUUUCAUGCCAAAAGAUAUAAGAUAGUAAUGAUAGUACCACUUACUUGUGGCACUGCCAUGUAAGUCAUAAUGGUAUAAAACGCAUGAAGAAGCUCCAUGUUGAUGGAUCUUUGGACUCACUCGUUUUUGAAAAGUUUGAGACAUGCGAACCAUGUCUAUUGGUGUAUAUGCAUGAAGAAACUCCAUGCAAAUGGAUCGUUCGGACUCACUUGAUUUUGAAUCACUUGAGAUAUGCAAAUCAUACCACAUGGGCAAGAUGACUGAAAAGCCUCAUUUUCAGUAAGAUGGAACAAGAUAGCAACUUGUUGGAAGUAACACAUUUUGAUGUGUGCAGUCGAAUGAGUGCUGAGGCAUGCAGUGAAUAUCAUUAUGUUCUUACUUCACAGAUGAUUCGAGUAAAUGUUGAGUAUAUUUACUUGAUGAAACACAAGUCUGAAUUAUUGAGUGGUUCAAGUAAUUUUAGAGUGAAGUAGCAGAUCAUUGUGACAAGAGGAUAAAAUGUCUAUGAUAUGAUCAUAGAGAUGAAUAUCUGAGUUACGAGUUUUGGCACACACUUAAGACAUUGUGGAUAUUGUUUCGCAAUUAAUACCGCCUGGAACACCAUAAUGUGAUGGUGUGUCCGAACAUCAUAGUUGCACCCUAUUGGAUAUGGUGCGUACCAUGAUGUCUCUUAUCGAAUUACCACUAUCGUUCAUGGGUUAGGCAUUAGAGACAACCACAUUCACUUUAAAUAGGGCACCACGUAAUUCCGAUGAGAUGACACCGUAUGAAUUAUGGUUUAGAGAAACCUAAGUUGUCGUUUCUUAAAAGUUUGGGGCUGCGACGCUUAUAUGAAAAAGUUUCAGGUUGAUAAGCUCGAUCCCAAAGCGGAUAAAAUGCAUCUUCAUAGGAAACCCAAAACAGUUGGGUAUACCUCCUAAUUCAGAUCCGAAAGCAAUAUGGAUUGUUUCUAGAAUCGGGUCCUUUCUCGAGGAAAAGUUUCUCUCGAAAGAAUUGAGUGGGAGGAUGGUGGAGACUUGAUGAGGUUAUUGAACCGUCUCUUCAACUAGUGUGUGACAGGGCACAGGGAGUUGUUCCUGUGGCACCUACACCAAUUGAAGUGGAAGCUUAUGAUAUUGAUCAUGAAACUUCGGAUCAAGUCACUCCCAAACCUCGUAGGAUGACAAGGAUGCGUACUACUUCAGAGUGGUACGUAAUCCUGUCUUGAAGGUCAUGUUGCUAGACAACAAUGAACCUAUGAGCUAUGGAGAAGCGAUGGUGGGCCCGGAUUCCGAUAAAUGGCUUGAGGCCAUAAAAUCCGAGAGAGGAUCCAUGUAUGAAAACAAAGUGUAGACUUUGGCAGAACGGCUCGAUGGUCGUAAGGCUAAUGAGUACAGAUGGAUUUCAAAAGGAAGACGGACAAUGAUGGUAAAUGUCACCAUUAAGAAAGCUCGACUUGUCGUUAAGAUGUUUUCCGACAAGUUCAAGGAGUUGACUACGAUGAGAUUUUCUCACUCGUAGCGAUGCUGAGAGUCUGUUGGAAUUAUAUUAGCGAUUACUGCAUUAUUUAUGAAAUCUUGCAGAUAGGAUGUCAAAACAUUGUUUCCUCGACGAUUUUAAUGAGGAAAGGUUGUAUGUGAUACAACCGGAAGGUUUUGUCAAUCCUGAAAGAUGCUAAUAAGUAUGCAAAGCUCCAGCAAUCCUUCUAAGGACUGGAGUGAGCAUCUCGGAGUUGGAAUGUAUGCUUUGAUGAUGAUCAAAAAUUUUGGGUUUGUACAAAGUUUAUGAGAAACUUGUAUUUCCAAAGAAGUGAGUGGGAGCACUAUAGAAUUUCUGAUGAGUAUAUGUUGUUGACAUAUUGUUGAUCAGAAAUGACGUAGAAUUUCUGGAAAGCAUAUAGGGUUAUUUUGAAAGUGUUUUUCAAUGGAAAGCCUGGAUUAAGCUACUUGAACAUUGAGCAUCAAGAUCUAUAAGGAUAGAUCAAAAUGCUUAAUAAUACUUUCAAAUGAGCACAUACCUUGACAUGACCUUGAAGGUGUUCAAGAUGGACCAGUCAAAGAAGGAGUUCUUGCCUGAGUUGUAAGGUACGAAGUUAAGACUUAAAGCUCGACCACGGCAGAAUAGAGAGAAAGGACGAAGGUCGUCCCCUAUGCUUAAGACGUAGGCUCUUCAGUAUGCUAUGCUGUGUACCGCACCUGAAGUGUGCCUUGCCAUGAGUCAGUCAAGGGGUACAAGAGUGAUCCAAGAAUGGCUCACAGGACAGCGGUCAAAGUUAUCCUUAGUAACUAGUGGACUAAGGAAUUUUCUCGAUUAUGGAGGUGGUAAAAGAGUUCGUCGUAAAGGUUACGACGAUGCAAGCUUGACACCUAUCCGGAUAGCUCUGAGUAGAGAGACCGCAUACAUAUAAUGGAGCAAUAAUUUAGAAUAGCUCCAAGUAGAACAGUUGUUUGGAAUAGCUCCAAAUAGAGCGUGGUAGCUGCAUCUAGGAGAUGACAUAGAGAUUUGUAAAGCACACACGGAUCUGAAAGGUUCAGACCCGUUGACUAAAACCUCUCUCACAAGCAACAUGAUAAAACAUAAAACUCAUUGAGUGUUAAUCACAUAGUGAUGUGAACUAGACUACUGACUCUAGUAAACUCUUGCGUAUUAGUCACAUGGCGAUGUGACCUGUGAGUGUUAAUCACAUGGCGAUGUGAACUAGAUUAUUGACUCUAGUGCAAGUGGGAGACUGUUGGAAAUAUGCCCUAGAGGCAAUAAUAGAAGUAUUAUUAUUAUAUUUCCUUGUUCAUGAUAAUUGUCUUUUAUUCAUGCUAUAACUGUAUUAUCCGGAAAUCGUAAUACACGUGUGAAUACAUAGACCACAAUAUGUCCCUAGUGAGCCUCUAGUUGACUAGCUCGUUGUGAUCAACAGAUAGUCAUGGUUUCCUGGCUAUGGACAUUGGAUGUCGUUGAUAACGGGAUCACAUCAUUAGGAGAAUGAUGUGAUGGACAAGACCCAAUCCUAAGACUAGCACAAAAGAUCGUGUAGUUCAUUUGCUAGAGCUUUGCCAAUGUCAAGUAUCUCUUCCUUCGACCAUGAGAGCGUGUAACUCCUGGAUACCGUAGGAGUGCUUUGGGUGUAUCAAACGUCACAACGUAACUGGGUGACUAUAAAGGUGCACUACAGGUAUCUCCAAAAGUAUCUAUUGUUUUAUGCGGAUCGAGACUGGGAUUUGUCACUCCGUGUAAAUGGAGAGGUAUCUCUGGGCCCACUCGGUAGGACAUCAUCAUAUGCGCAAUGUGACCAAGGAGUUGAUCACGGGAUGAUGUGUUACGGAACGAGUAAAGUGACUUGCCGGUAACGAGAUUGAACAAGGUAUUGGAUACCGACGAUCGAAUCUCGGGCAAGUAACAUACCGAUAGACAAAGGGAAUUGAAUACGGGAUUGAUUAAGUCCUUGACAUCGUGGUUCAUCUGAUGAGAUCAUCGUGGAACAUGUGGGAGCCAUCAUGGGUAUCCAGAUCCCGCUGUUGGUUAUUGACCGGAGAACGUCUCGGUCAUGUCUACAUGUCUCCCGAACCCGUAGGGUCUACACACUUAAGGUUCGAUGACGCUAGGGUUAUAAAGGAAGUUUGUAUGUGGUUACCGAAUGUUGUUCGGAGUCCCGGAUGAGAUCCCGGACGUCACAAGGAGUUCCGGAAUGGUCCGAGGUAAAGAUUUAUAUAUGGGAAGUCCUAUUUUGGCCACCGGAAAAUGUUCGGGAUUUUUCGGUAUUGUACCGGGAAGGUUCUAGAAGGUUCCGGAGUGGGGCCCACCUGCAUGGGGGGACCCACAUGGACGUGGGUAGUGGGGGAAAGGCCCCACACCCCUGGUCAAGGCGCACCAAGAUCCCCCCUUAGAAGGAAUAAGAUCAUAUCCCGAAGGGAUAAGAUCAAGAUCCCUAAAAAGGGGGGAUAACAAUCGGUGGGGAAGGAAAUAAUGAGAUUUCUUUCCUCCCACCUUGGCCAACGCCCCAAUGGACUUGGAGGGCAAGAAACCAUCCCCUCCACCCCUAUAUAUAGUGGGGAGGCGCAUGGGAGCUAUACACGAAGUUCUGGCACAGCCCUACCUCUCUCCCUACUCCUCCUCUCCCAUGGUGCUUGGCGAAGCCCUGCUGGAUUGCCACGCUCCUCCACCACCACCACGCCGUUGUGCUGCUGUUGGAUGGAGUCUUCCUCAACCUCUCCCGCUCUCCUUGCUGGAUCAAGGCGUGGGAGACGUCACCGGGCUGUACGUGUGUUGAACGCGGAGGUGCCGUCCGUUCGGCACUAGGAUCAUCGGUGAUUUGAAUCACGAUGAGUACGACUCCAUCAACCCCGUUCACUUGAACGCUUCCGCUUAGCGAUCUACAAGGGUAUGUAGAUGCACUCUAUUUCUACUCGUUGCUGGUCUCUCCAUAGAUAGAUCUUGGUGACACGUAGGAAAAUUUUGAAUUUCUGCUACAUUCCCCAACAUCUUCACGUGGGCAUCCACUGCUGCAUCUUCCCCGGCUCAGAGUCGUCCCCUUCCUAGGCCUCGCCGUCGUCCACGGCCGUGGUGCUCUCGGCGCGGCAUGGUCAACGUGGUCAAGGAACGACUUCCAUCGGACGUGGACUGUACGUGGAGAGGCUGACAGCUGGGUCCACGGCCGCCGCAAGGAAGUGCCUCCUUAUUACGUGCAAAAUAAUGACUCCUCCACCUGACAGCGGGGACCCACCGGACGGGCCACCGUAUUUCACGAAAAAAACGAUUCGCCCCCCUGACUGCUGGGACCCACCAGCUACAUCUUCGCACGCAAGGAAGUGCGUCCGGGCAAAAAACAAACGAUUCGCCCCCCUGACUGCUGGGACCCACCAGCUACAUCUUCGCACGCAAGGAAGUGCCUGACAGUCGGGACCCACCUGGUCGAAGCAUAUGUAGCGUUGUCAUUCUGGUCGCGAACGUGUACGUACAUACUGGUCGAUGUAGAGGCGCGCAUGUGUCGUAGAUGUAGAGGCGCACACGUGUCGUAGUAGAGGCGCACACGUAGCAUGUACACGUACGUACAUGGCGAGGGUGCAAGAAAGAAAAUACGGCCACGUACGUACAUACGGGCAGGGUCUCUAACGCCUAUCGCGCAUACGUACAUGGCUGGGUCAGAACGGAGAAACAUCAUCGUCGUCGUGUUUAUGGGGAGCCAACCGGCUGGGUCGGAACGGAAUGCGUGGUCGUGUUCAUCGGGAGGGCUUGGACGGAACAGGAGAUGGAAACGAGGCCUGGCGUACCGCACAACGGAGGAAACGGCCUUGUCUUCGACCGGCCACGUCGAAACGGGGUCCUGUUGAUCGGGAGGGGCCUGGCGUACCGCAAAACGGAGGAAACGGACCUCCUACGGUCGAAACGGGGGUCCUGUUGAUCGGGAGGGGUGUGGCGUACUGCAAAACGGACGAAACAGACUUGUGUUGGAGCGCUACGGUCGAAACGGGGUUCCUGUUCAUCGGGAGGGGUGUGGCGUACCGCAAAACGGACGAAACAGACUUGUGUUGGAGNNNNNNNNNNNNNNNNNNNNNNNNNNNNNNNNNNNNNNNNNNNNNNNNNNNNNNNNNNNNNNNNNNNNNNNNNNNNNNNNNNNNNNNNNNNNNNNNNNNNNNNNNNNNNNNNNNNNNNNNNNNNNNNNNNNNNNNNNNNNNNNNNNNNNNNNNNNNNNNNNNNNNNNNNNNNNNNNNNNNNNNNNNNNNNNNNNNNNNNNNNNNNNNNNNNNNNNNNNNNNNNNNNNNNNNNNNNNNNNNNNNNNNNNNNNNNNNNNNNNNNNNNNNNNNNNNNNNNNNNNNNNNNNNNNNNNNNNNNNNNNNNNNNNNNNNNNNNNNNNNNNNNNNNNNNNNNNNNNNNNNNNNNNNNNNNNNNNNNNNNNNNNNNNNNNNNNNNNNNNNNNNNNNNNNNNNNNNNNNNNNNNNNNNNNNNNNNNNNCGUACCGCAAAACUGGACUCCACGGGAUACUGUUCAUCUCCACCGUCGACCUCCUCCAGCCUCCACGGGCUACCGUCGACCUCCUCCAGCCUCCACGGGCUCCUGUUCAUCCAGCCUCCACCGCGCGCUACUCCACCGACUACUGUUCAACCACCCCUCCACGGGCACCCCUCCAUCGUCUACUGUUCAUCCAGCCCUCCACACCACGGGGUCCUGUUCAACCACCCCUCCACGGCCACCCCUCCACCGUCUACUGUUCAUCCAGCCCUCCACACCACGGGUUCCUGUUCAUCCAGAGGCAAUGCCACCGCUCACUAUUCAUCCACCCCCCGCAACACUCACUGUUCAUCCCAGAGGCAGCAUCGAUCGGCUUUAGUUAGCAGCAGUAGCGAAGGAAUCGCUCCAUCGGGUUCAGUUAACAGCCAUGGAUCGAUGGCUCGGGUUCAGUAACGCGUAGCCUGCAGUGCAAUCUCUCGGGUUCAGUUAGAGCCCAACGCCUCGCUCGGCUUCAGUUAGAGCCAACGCCUCGCACACACGCGCGUACGUAUGAGAGAAACGCACAUCGCUCCACCCCGACCUCCCACCGUAACCGGCAACUCCCCGAAAUUCCCCCCCUUGCUUCUACCAUGGUUUUUUCCGUCAUGGACGGCCCUAAGAAUGUCAUGCAACUGCAUCUCCAACCCGCCCAAGACGAAAAUCCCAUUUUCUGUCGUGAUUUUUUGUCAUAGAAGUAGGAGCCCACCACAUCUAUGAUGAUACCGGGUUUUGUCACAAUUAUCAUCAUAGAAGUGUCAUAUGUAUGACAUAAUUUUUUUUCGUUCAACCCAAAAUGUCACGGAUGUGUCUUUUUUUUGUAGUGCCAACACAACACCUUCAGUGACCAUGAAAUGACUCUUCUCCCAAUUCAUCACCAAACCUGUUUCCUCAUAUUCCUGCAAAAUCUUUGUGUGAUUAUAGAGACAACUAUCAAAGGAUGUGCCUUGAACAGAAAAAUUGUCCAUGAACACUUCAACAAUCUUUUCAAUAUAAUCAGGAAAGACUUUAGAUAUGCAUUUUUAAAACGAGGGUGAUCCAUUACAUUGACCAAAUGGCAUUCUAUGAUAUGCAUACCUACCAUACGGACAAGUGAAAGUGGUCUUUUCUUGAUCCUCAGGUCGGAUUGGUAUUUGAGAGAAACCAGAAUACCCAUCAAGGUAACAAAAAUAAGAAUUGUUGGCUAAUAUCUCCAAUAUCUCAUUUUUGAAUGGCAAUGGAUAGUGAUCCUUCUUUGUAUACUUAUUGAUGCCUGCUUGAACUACGUCGGUAUUUCCCCAAAGAGGAAGGGAUGAUGCAGCACAUCGACGGUAGGUAUUUCCCUCAGUGAUGAGACCAAGGUUACCGAACCAGUAGGAGAACCAGGCAACACAACGUAAACAGCCCCUACACACAAAUAACAAAUACUUGCAACCCCAUGUGUUAAAGGGGUUGUCAAUUCCUCUCAGGUAACGGUGCCAGAAAUUGGCGCGGAGAUGUGAUAAAGUUGUAAUAGAUAGGAUAAAUGGAGCGUAAAUAAAAUAAAGUGCAGCAAGGUACUUUUGUAUUUUUGGUUUAACAGAUCUGAAAAUAAAAGAAAAGGAAAAUAGAUCGCAAAGGCAAAUAUGAUAGACCCGGGGGCCGUAGGUUUCACUCGUGGCUUCUCUCGAGAAAAAUAGCAAACGGUGGGAAAACAAUUACUAUUGGGAAAUUGAUAGAACUUCAAAUAAUCAUGAUGAUAUCUAGGCAAUGAUCAUCAUAUAGGCAUCACGUCCAAGAUUAGUAGACCAACUCCUGCCUGCAUCUACUACUAUUACUCCACAUAUCGACCGCUAUCCAGCAUGCAUCUAGUGUAUUAAGUUCAUGAAAAAACAGAGUAAUGCAAUAAGAAUGAUGACAUGAUGUAGACAAGAUCUAUUUAUGUAGAAAUAGACCCCAUCUUGUUAUCCUUAAUCAACAAUACACACAUGUCAUUUUCUCUUCUGUCACUGGGAUCAAGCACCGUAAGAUCAAACCAUCACAAAGCACCUCUUCCCAUUGCAAGAUAAAUAGAUCAAGUUGGUCAAACAAACCCCAAAUAUCGGAGAAGAAAUACGAGGCUAUAACCAAUCAUGCAUACAAGAGAUCAAAGAAGACUCAAACAACUUUCAUGGAUAAAAACAUAGAUCUGAUCAUAAACUCAAAGUUCAUCGGAUCCCAACAAACACACCGCAAAAACACUUACAUCAUAUGGAUCUCCAAGAGACCAUUGUAUUGAGAAUCAAGAGAGAGAGAGAGAGAGGAAGCCAUCUAGCUACUAACUACGGACCCGUAGGUCUACAAAGAACUACUCAUGCAUCAUCGGAGAGGCACCAAUGGACAUGAUGAACCCCUCCGUGAUGGUGCCUAGAUUGGAUCUGGUGUUUCUAGAACUUGUGGCGUCUGGAAUUGAUUUUCGUCGACUCUCUUAGGGUUUCUAGAAUAUUGGGGUAUUUAUAGAGCAAAGAGGCGGUGCGGGAGGCCACCAAGGUGGGCACAACCCACCUAGGCGCGCCUGGGGGCCCAGACGCGCCCUGUGGAUUGUGCUCCCCUCGGAGCACCCCUCAGGUAAUUUCUUGGCCCAUACGGUGUCUUCUAGUCUAGAAAAAAUCCACAAAUUUUUUUGCUGUGUUUGGACUCCGUUUAGUAUUGAUUUCCUGCGAUGUAAAAAACAAGCAGAAAUCAACAACUGGCACUGGGCACUAUGUCAAUAGGUUAGUACCAAAAAAGAUAUAAAAUGACUAUAAAAUGAUUAUAAAACAUCCAAGGAUGAUAAUAUAACAGCAUGGAACAAUAAAAAGUUAUAGAUACGUUGGAGACGUAUUACUUAUUUAAUUCCCUGAAAUCAACACACAUCCCAUAUCCAACAACAGCCCUAGUGGGAACUAGGUCAUUGUUUUUGUUAGUUACCAAGGAAACUCCUCCUUUCUUUGGAAUGUAAUGGACCGGGCUUACCCAUUUGCUAUCAGAUAUGGGAUAAAUUACCCCUACAUCAAGGAGACGUAUUAUUUAUUUUCUUACCACAUUCUUCGACGCCAGAUGUAGUCUACUUUGGCUCUCAAUAACUGGCUUAGCCCCUUCUUCAAUAGGUAUUGCAUGAGAAUACAUAGAGAGAUGUAUCUCUUUUACAUAUCAUAUUGAAUAGCCAAAGCCUUUCGAUGCUUACUUAGUACUGCUAAGAGUUUUUCUUUCUCUUUUGCUGAAAGGUCAGCAUUAACAAUAAUAGGGAAAUCUCUCUGUAUUAUCCAUAAACUCAUACAUUAACCCCUUGGGUAGUGGUUUCGAAGUUGGAGGAGGUAAAUCCUCGUCUCCCUUUCGCUCGAGUGCUUCAUAAACUUUAUUGAGGCACGGGCAUACUAUUGGUGUAGCAUCCAUUAUCAUUUUGAUCUCCUCUUUCUCUUUCUCUUCAUCUUCAUAUAAGGAUCAUGGACUUACCAAUACCUGUUUGACCUCAUCCUCUGGUGCCUGGAGAUGGAUUUCAGCUAGUUGAUUUAAUUCCUGCUCCUCAUUAUCCCGAGCCUCCUCUUCAUACAGCUUACUUAAUAUAGGGGAAAAUGGGAAUUUUAUCAUUUCAUCUCCCCACUUCAUGGAGAUGGGUGUCUUCUUUACGUAGGCUCCUGCAACAUUCAAAAAAGAGGUUCUAAAAACAAUAGGACAAUCUUUAUCCUCAGAGAUCAUUAGUACAUAAAUAUAAAUGGGAUAAAUAAGAGAGUCUAUUAUUAUGUUGACAUCUUUAAGGAUGCCACAAGGUUUCCUUUCGGUUUUAUCUGCAAGCUUGAUAAUAACAUCAACAUGCUCAAGGGUGCAAGGAGCAAUAUCAUCAUAAAUCUUAGCAUAAAGACUAAGGAAUAAUAUUAAGCGGUGAACCGGGAUCACAUAACCCAAAAUAUGCCUUACAUCCAAAGGAGCAUGAUAAAAUUUGCUUACCUACCCUUUUACCUUAUGUACACCCUUUGAGAUAAGAAGUGGUAUCCCUAUCUAGAUAUACCUCUUUAUUCACCACCGAUAUAAGUACAACAAGUUCUUCCAUUAUAUUGACAUAGGGUGAUAUCCCAUAUUGUUCCAUCUUGUCCUUCUCUUCUCCUUUUCUAAGGGUGUUCCGUUCAGUAUUUUACCAUUGGGCUUGUGGUAGGCUUCUUUUCACCUUUCAGUCGGAGUAGUCUUGUUUCUUUAUAGCUUCCACCAUGCAAAUAACCUUAGACUCCCUGCUGAAUUUCAAGUACUUCUUCUCUGGCAAGUUCAAGAACUUAGAAAAAUCUUUCAAAACAUGCAACAUGGGUUCAAUUCCAAUAUUUAGCUCACGACGUAAUUUUUUUACUUUCGAAGUUCUAAGGAAAGAUUUAAUGCUAUCAUAGACAGGAUCAACUUUACUCUUUUCCUUCGAACAAAGGUACCAAUUCUCAGCAUUGUACCUCAUCAUGUCAAGUAAGUUCCAAGCAUCUGAUAUCCCGGUUCCCAAAAAGGAACCUUUAGAGGCAAGAUCUAAAGCUUGUUUACUUUGUCGAGUAAGCCCACCAUAAAAGAAGUUAACUACUAAAAAGUCGGGAUAAUGAUGUUCAAGGCAAGCGAGAAGUAUUUCAAGAUACCUUAUAUAUGCCUCCACUAGUUUCUCACCUUCCCUUUGUCCAAAACUGCUUAUCUUCCUCCUGAUUGUAUAUAGCUUUCCUUGAGGACAAUAAUAAGAGGAAAAAGCAGCCCGUAAUUUUGGCCAACUACUCAAGGCCAUCUUUAGCGGGUAUCGAACACUCAUCGAUCUCUCUCACAAUAAGCGAGAUACAUCUCUCACAGGCACAACCAGACAUUGCAAUGCAAUGUCUAUUGCCUAUGUUAAUGUUGUGGCGCUCACCUGGGUUGGCCCAUAAGAACGCUGAGUCGCCAAAGCGAUGUAUAUUUGUUCACUGAAAAAACUAUGAGUUUGUAAAAACAAAACCAGCCAAGACGUUGUAUUAGUACACAAAACCCAUCAAUGUCUACAUGUAUUUAUAUUUAAUAUAUAUCUUAGUUGUGUGCAUCUAACUAAAAGAGGAAUGUAAAUAGUUUUGAGAGUGCAUAUAGACCGUAAUUGUGUUUUGUUGUUUAUGAUGAUAUGUUUAGUAGGACUAAUGGCGUUUAUCGAAUUUAUUUUGACGACAUGUGUUCCUUGAUGAAUGGGAAGGAGAUGGUUCACCCGAAUGUGUCGGUUAGUCAAAGGACUCAAUGUUUUUUCUGGUUUAUUUAAGUCUUGGGAAAGUCGCACUAUUUAGAGGCGUUGAGGUUGAAUAAUUGUGGGGAUCAUGCCUAGUAAUAAAAACUGUUCUCAAAUGAAGUUGUUGCAGUACCCCCCCGGGUCCAUUGGAGAUGCUCUUAAAAGAUAACAAUGGGAGCUGGUUGAUAACCCACAAGUAUAGGGGAUUGCAACAGCUUUCGAGGGUAGAGUAUUCAACCCAAAUUUAUUGAUUCGACACAAGGGGAGCCAAAGAAUAUUCUUGAGUAUUAGCAGUUGAGUUGUCAAUUCAACCACACCUGGAUAACUUAGUAUCUGUAGCAAAGUAUUUAGUAGCAAAAGUGGUAUGAUAGUAAUGGUAAUAGUAGCAACAGAAAAGAUAAAUGUUUUUGGGUUUUCGUAGUAGUUGUAACAGUAGCAACAGAAAAGUAAAUAAGCGAAGAACAAUAUAUGAAAAGCUCGUAGGCAAUGGAUCAGUGAUGGAUAAUUAUGCCGGAUGCGAUUCCUCAUGCAAUAGUUAUAACAUAGGGUGAUAUAGAACUAGCUCCAAUUCAUCAAUGUAAUGUAGGCAUGUAUUUCGUAAAUAGUCAUACGUGCUUAUGGAAAAGAACUUGCAUGACAUCUUUUGUCCUACCCUCCCAUGGCAGCGGGGUCCUAGCAGAAACUAAGGGAUAUUAAGGCCUCCUUUUAAUAGAGAACCGGACCAAAGCAUUAACACAUGGUGAAUACAUGAACUCCUCAAACUACAGUCAUCACCGAGAAGUAUCCCGAUUAUUGUCACUUCGGGGUUGUCGGAUCAUAACACAUAAUAGGUGACUAUAGACUUGCAAGAUAGGAUCAAGAGCACACAUAUAUUGAUGAAAACAUAAUAGGUUCAGAUCUGAAAUCAUGGCACUCGAGCCCUAGGGACAAGCAUUAAGCAUAGCAAAGUCAUAGCAACAUCAAUCUCAGAACAUAGUGAAUACUAGGGACCAAACCCUAACAAAACUAACUUGAUUACAUGGUAAAUCUCAUCCAACCCAUCACCGUCCAGCAAGCCUACGAUGGAAUUACUCACGCACGGCGGUGAGCAUCAUGAAAUUGGUGAUGGAGGAUGGUUGAUGAUGACGACGGCAACGAAUCCCCCUCUCCGGAGCCCCGAACGGACUCCAGAUCAGCCCUCCCGAGAGAGAUUAGGGCUUGGCGGCGGCUCCGUGUCGUAAAACAUGAUGAAAGUUUCUCUCUGAUUUUUUUCUCUACGAGACGGAAGAUAUAGAGUUGGAGUUGAGGUCGGUGGAGGUCCAGGGGUCCCACGAGAUAGGAGGGCGCGCCCUAGGGGGGGCACCCCCUGUCUCGUGGACAGCCCGUGGGCCCCCUGGCCUUGAUUCUUUCACCAAAAAUUCUUAUUAAAUCUGAAAAGUGCUGUCGGUGUCAAAAUCGGCGGAUCUCGGGUAGGGGGUCCCGAACUGUGCGUCUAGGCGGAUGGUAAGAGGAGACAAGGGAAACAAUGUUUUUACCCAGGUUCGGGCCCUCUCGAUGGAGGUAAAACCCUACUCCUGCUUGAUUAAUAUUGAUGAUAUGGGUAGUACAAGAGUUGAUCUACCACGAGAUCAGAGAGGCUAAACCCUAGAAGCUAGCCUAUGGUAUGAUUGUUGUUCGUCCUACGGACUAAAACUCUCCGGUUUAUAUAGACACCGGAGAGGGCUAGGGUUACACANNNNNNNNNNNNNNNNNNNNNNNNNNNNNNNNNNNNNNNNNNNNNNNNNNNNNNNNNNNNNNNNNNNNNNNNNNNNNNNNNNNNNNNNNNNNNNNNNNNNNNNNNNNNNNNNNNNNNNNNNNNNNNNNNNNNNNNNNNNNNNNNNNNNNNNNNNNNNNNNNNNNNNNNNNNNNNNNNNNNNNNNNNNNNNNNNNNNNNNNNNNNNNNNNNNNNNNNNNNNNNNNNNNNNNNNNNNNNNNNNNNNNNUGCGUCUAGGCGGAUGGUAACAGGAGACAAGGGACACGAUGUUUUUACCCAGGUUCGGGCCCUCUCGAUGGAGGUAAAACCCUACUCCUGCUUGAUUAAUAUUGAUGAUAUGGGUAGUACAAGAGUUGAUCUACCAUGAGAUCAGAGAGGCUAAACCCUAGAAGCUAGCCUAUGGUAUGAUUGUUGUUCGUCCUACGGACUAAAACUCUCCGGUUUAUAUAGAUACCGGAGAGGGCUAGGGUUACACAGAGUCAGUUACAAUGGGAGGAGAUCUUCAUAUCAUAUUGCCAAGCUUGCCUUCCAUGCAAAGGAAAGUCCUAUCCGGACACGGGACGAAGUCUUCAAUCUUGUAUCUUCAUAGUCCGGGAGUCCGGCCAAAGGUCAUAGUCUGGACAUCCGGACACCCCCUAAUCUAGGACUCCCUCAGUAGCCCCUGAACCAGGCUUCAAUGACGACGAGUCCGGCGCGCAAAUUGUCUUCGGCAUUGCAAGGCGGGUUCCUCCUCCGAAUACUUCAUAGAAGAUGUUGAACACAAGGAUAGUGUCCGGCUCUGCAAAAUAAGUUCCACAUACCACCGUAGAGAGAAUAAUAUCUGCACAAAUCUAAUCUACAAAAUAAGUGUAUUGCCGGACAGGCCUUCCGAAUAGUUGGGUCCUGAAAGUAUAUAAAAAAGGAAACGGCAGAAUAGGGGAGCCCCUAAGUGCGGUUGAGCCGCAUUCUGGGCGUGCCGUGGUUGUGCCCCUCCCCUCAUGCCCAUGGUAUUUCCAAAGCGUAAUUACGUACACGUGGUACCAAUAUCGCCAUCUGGCGAGGGCUGGGGUUGGGGCCGCACUGCUAUGCUUGCUCGGAACGUGCCAGCCGGUUUUGUUGUAGGUUACUUCGGGCGCGCUUGACGCCGUCCGGACGUUUAACAUCCGGAUUGGAGAAUUGCCUUGAGAGGUUACUCUGUACUUCCGCCGCCAGGGCCGCCGUGUGCUCCUCUGUUCGGAGAGAGCGUUCAGUGUUUCCAUUUACCGUAAUGACUCCGCGAGGGCCUGGCAUCUUGAGCUUGAGAUAUGCAUAGUGCGGCACCGUAUUGAAUUUUGCGAAUGCGGUUCGUCCGAGCAGGGCGUGAUAGCCGCUGCGGAAUGGGACUAUGUCGAAGAUUAACUCUUCGCUUCGGAAAUUAUCCGGGGAUCCAAAGACCACUUCGAGUGUAACUGAGCCUGUACAGCUGGCUUCUACACCUGGUAUGACGCCUUUAAAGGUUGUCUUUGUGGGUUUAAUCCAUGACAGAUCUAUACCCAUUUUUCACACUGUAUCCUGAUAAAGAAGGUUCAGGCUGCUGCCGCCGUGCAUGAGGACUCUAGUGAGGUGAAAUCCGUCAACGAUUGGGUCUAGGAUCAAUGCGGCGAAUCCGCCGUGACGAAUGCUAGUGGGGUGGUCCCUUCGAUCAAAAGUGAUCGGGCAGGAGGACCAUGGGUUGAACUUUGGGGCGACUGGCUCCAAUGCAUAGAUGUUCUUGAGAGCACGCUUCCGCUCCCUUUUGGGGAUAUGGGUUGCGUAUAUCAUGUUCACCGUCCGCACUUGCGGGGAGAAGCCCUUCUGUCCUCUGUUGUUCGGUGGCCGGGGCUCCUCCUCAUCAUUGCUAUGCAGCCCCUUGUCUCUGGUUUUGGCACUUAACUUGCCUGCCUGCUUGAACACCAUACAAUCCCUGUUGGUGUGGUUGGCUGGUUGUUCGGGGGUGCCGUGUAUUUGGCACGAGCAAUCGAGUAUCCGGUCUAAACUGGAUGGGCCCGGAGGGUUUCUUCUGAAUGGCUUCUUCCGCUGACCAGGUUUAGAGCCUCUGAAUCCGGCAUUAACUGCCGUAUCCUCAGUAUUGUCGCUGUUAGUGUGGCGCUUGUGCUUGUUGCGACGUGACCUGCCAUUGUUGUCCUUGGUAUCCGAAUUGCCAGGGCUCUUGGUUAUGUUAUUGCUAUGAGAUAGCCAGCUGUCUUCGCCCGCGCAAAAGCGGGUCAUGAGUGUCGUGAGGGCUGCCAUAGAUUUUGGCUUCUCCUGUCCUAGGUGCCGGGAAAGCCAUUCGUCUCGGAUGUUGUGCCUGAAGGCUGCAAGGGCCUCUCCGUCCGGACAGUCAGAUUUUUCUUGGUUAGGAACCGUGUCCAGAAUUGUCUGGCCGAUUCCUCUGGCUGCUGGAUUAUGUGGCUUAGGUCAUCGGCGUCUGGUGGUCGCACAUAAGUGCCCUGGAAGUUGUCAAGGAAUGCAGAUUCCAGGUCCUCCCAGCAACUAAUUGACUUUCCUGGCAGGCUGUUAAGACAAUGCCAAGCUGGUCCUUUAAGCUUGAGCGGAAGGUAUUUGAUGGCGUGUAGAUCAUCACCAUGGGCCAUGUGGAUAUGAAGGAGAUAAUCCUCGAUCCAUACCGCGGGAUCUGUUGUGCCAUCGUAUGAUUCGAUGUUUACGGGUUUAAAACCCUCGGGGAUUUGAUGAUCCAUUACUUCGUCUGUGAAGCAUAGUGGGUGUGCGGCGCCCCUGUACUGGGCUAUAUCGCGACGUAGCUCGGAUGAGCUUUGUCUGUUCUGUUCGGCCUGGCCGUACUUAUCAUAUCCGGCGUGACGGUUAUCGUCACGUGACAUGGGGCGCCCACACGAUCCGUAGAUCGAUCUUGUCUGCCUUGCCUUAUCCUCCAAUAUGUCUUGCAGGUCUGUUGUGUUUCCCCGUGCUCUGGUAUUCUUGGAGCGGCGCCGGGGUGCGGCUUGGGUUGAGGGCCGAAAGGCCUCUCUGUCGCAGCCACGGGGUGGCCGAUCGGGCGCAUUGUACACUGGUGAUGUAGGUUUAGUUGCUUCCUCCUCUAGUUGGGGUAGGAGCCUGCGCUUUGGGUAACUCUUGGAGGGGCGUUCGAGUUUAUACUCUUCGGCCGCCAGGACUUCAGUCCAUCUGUCGGCUAGCAAGUCUUGGUCAGCUCUAAGCUGCUGCUAUUUUUUCUUGAGGCUGCUCGCCGUGGCCAUAAGCCUGCGUUUGAAACGCUCUUGUUCGACGGGAUCCUCUGGCACGACGAAUUCAUCGUCGUCGAGGCUUGCCUCAUCUUCGGAGGGAGGCAUAUAAUUGUCGUCCUCGACCUCCCUGUCUGCCGCUCUCUCAUGAGGGCCGGCUCCUUCGUCCUCCUGCGCUGAAUCCUGCUGGAGGGGGUUGUCUUCGGCACUGUCCGGGGUGUUGUUAUCUCCGAUGCCGGACUCGCCGUUUUUGCUUUGGCGGGAUUUAGAGCGGCGCCGCUGACGUCGGCGCUUGGGUUGCUUCUUGGAGGGGUCGCCCUCCGUUUUUUCAUCGCCAUCCCCUGCUUUGGGGGUGUCCACCAUGUAUAUGUCAUAUGAUGAGGUGGCCUUCCAGUGCCCUAUAGGUGCUGGUUCUUGGUCGUAUCCUUCAUCGGCGUCCAUACCGUCGAUGUCUUCGGAGUCGAAGUUGAGCAUGUCGGUUAAAUCGUCGACAAUUGCUACAAAGUGGGUGGUGGGUGGGUUUCGAAUUUCUUCGUCGUCCGCAUUCCAACCCUGCUGACCAUAGUCCGGCCAGGGCUCUCCUGACAAAGAGAGAGACUUUAGUGAAUUCAGGAUAUCGCCGAAGGGCGAGUGCUGAAAGACGUCUGCGGCGGUGAACUCCAUGGUCGGAGCCCAAUUGGGUUCGAUCAGAAGGGGUGCGGAAGAUUCGGAGUCCGAAAAGGAGUCCGGCACCUUGAAGUCACAGGCCUCGCGAAGGAUUAGACUGGUAUUCGACUCUAUCGCCAUAGAGAUUGCGGCUCCUGGGGCGGCGUCCAACCGUCCGUCCCAGACUGGCGCAGUCGGCUCCGAGCUAACGGUUGGAGCAGACACCUGAGCGGCGCUCUGGGCGCUGUCCGGCGGCAGAGCUAGAUCAUGCCCAUCGUGACAGUGCGGCGCGCUCAGCUGUGGCUCGAAUCCGUUGAAGAUUAAGUCCCCUCGGAUGUCGGCCGUGUAGUUUAAGCUUCCAAACCUGACCUGAUGGCCAGGGGCGUAGCUUUCGAUCUGCUCCAGAUGGCCAAGCGAGUUGGCCCGCAGUGCGAAGCCGCCGAAUACGAAGAUCUGUCCGGAGAGAAAAGUCUCACCCUGGACCGUGUCGUGGUUGACGAUCGAAGAAGCCAUCGGGCCUAAGGGUGACGACACAGAGGAACUCUCAAUGAAAGCACCAAUGUCGGUGUCAAAACCGGCGGAUCUCGGGUAGGGGGUCCCGAACUGUGCGUCUAGGCGGAUGGUAACAGGAGACAAGGGACACGAUGUUUUUACCCAGGUUCGGGCCCUCUCGAUGGAGAUAAAACCCUACUCCUGCUUGAUUAAUAUUGAUGAUAUGGGUAGUACAAGAGUUGAUCUACCACGAGAUCAGAGAGGCUAAACCCUAGAAGCUAGCCUAUGGUAUGAUUGUUGUUCGUCCUACGGACUAAAACUCUCCGGUUUAUAUAGACACCGGAGAGGGCUAGGGUUACACAGAGUCGGUUACAAUGGGAGGAGAUCAUCAUAUCAUAUCGCCAAGCUUGCCUUCCACGCCAAGGAAAGUCCUAUCCGGACACGGGACGAAGUCUUCAAUCUUGUAUCUUCAUAGUCCGGGAGUCCGGACAAAGGUCAUAGUCCGGCCAUCCGGACACCCCCUAAUCCAGGACUCCCUCAGUUACAAUGGGAGGAGAUCUACAUAUCGUAUUGCCAAGCUUGCCUUCCACGCCAAGGAAAGUCCUAUCCGGACACGGGACGAAGUCUUCAAUCUUGUAUCUUCAUAGUCCGGGAGUCCAGCUAAAGGUCAUAGUCCGGCCAACUGGACACCCGCUAAUCCAGGACUCCCUAAGUAGCCCCUGAACCAGGCUUCAAUGACGACGAGUCCGACACGCAAAUUGUCUCCAGCAUUGCAAGGCGGGUUCCUCCUCCGAAUACUUCAUAGAAGAUGUUGAACACAAGGAUAGUGUCCGGCUCUGUAAAAUAGUUUCCACAUACCACCAUAGAGAGAAUAAUAUUCGCACAAAUCUAAUCUGCUGACGCAUUCCGCAGCAUGACAUCAUGCCACAGCCAAGCCUUUAUUCGCUUUACUGUCCCACCUCAGCGUGUUUAGCGAGGCGGUUUCCUUGCCACGUCUUGUCAAAGCAGAGAUUGUGUCCCCUUAUUCCGGGAUUCUCAUCAAUACGGGCGUGGGUAACCCAACCGCGCCAUUAAUCGCGGCGCUUGGGAGAUAAGCGAGUUUUAUUAGGCUGGUGGGGGCUUAUAGUUUCGGCCGCCCAUAUAAGGGGAUAAGGAUCCACCCUUUCCAUCUACGCCUUCUUCCUCCUUCGCUUACCCAUUCCUGCGCACUCGAGCUCCAGCGCCCCAGUCUGCACUUCCCACCUCAACCUUCUCCAACCAUGUCCGGAGUGGGAGGUAGAUGGAUGGCCUCCACCAUCACGGAGGGGCACAUCAAAAAGUUGAGGAAGGCCGGAUACUUGUCUAACAACAUCGCACACCGACUUCCAGAUGAGGGGCAACUCAUCCCCACCCCUAGGCCCCAUGAGAGGGUCGUGUUCCUCCCCCAUUUCCUCCGCGGACUGGGUUUUCCUCUUCACCCGUUCGUCCGGGGGCUCAUGUUCUACUACGGCCUGGACUUCCACGAUCUGGCCCCGAACUUCAUCCUCAACAUCUCGGUGUUCAUCGUCGUGUGUGAGGUCUUCCUCCGCAUCCAUCCCCAGUUCGGCUUAUGGCUGAAGACAUUCAAUGUCAAGCCGAAGGUUGUGGGUGGCCGACAAGCGGAGUGCGGAGGCGCCAUGGUGGGCAAGAUAGCCAACGUUACAUGGCUCGAGGGCGCCUUCGUGGAAACCAUCAAAGGGUGGCAAUCGGGGUGGUUUUACAUCACUGAGCCGCGUGACCCUGAAUGGGCAGCGGCCCCUGAAUUCCGAUCUGGCAUCCCCACACGGCUCACCUCAUGGAAAGAGACGGGCCUGUCAUGGGAUAAUUCGGCAGAGGUGACCGGACUUCAAACCUGCAUCAAAGACCUGAUCGACAGGAAGGUUAAACUCGUCACCGUAGUCUAGGUCAUGCUCUUCCGCCAGAUUCUCCCGUGUCAACGACGGGCUUUUAAUCUGUGGGAAUUCGACCCGGCCCAGCACCAAACUUUGUCCAGGCUACCUCCCCCCGCCCUACAGACGAUGCCGAGGUGGAGUCCCAAGAGGGGCUAAACCAGGAGGAGGUGGUCCUGGAGGCGCCACAAGGCGACCUCCCGGACCCCAGGCCCAAAGGGGACGUAGCCCCAGAGGGAUCUAAGUCCGGCCUUGGGCCGGACACCGCUCCGGAACCUUCAGUGAUUCCGGAGUCCGGCAGGCGGCCCCCUCUCAAGAAGGGCAAGCCUACGACGCCGGCGGCCUCCGUCCAACCGGAGGCGCCGGACAACUUGCUGGAGGUGCUUAAUGGCGCCUCCAUCGAUGAAGAGCAUCGCACUGUUAUGAGUGCGGUGAUCCAGAAGGUUCAGUCCGCCAAGAGCGGACUGACGGAAGCCUGUACCAGUCUUCUAACCGGUUUCGAGGUAUGUAUUUAAAACAUGUAAAAAUGUUACCGCAUAGACAGUAGCCCCUGAUGCUCAGUGUGGUGUUCGGAAAGAAAAGCCGGACUGAGAAUCUAAAUAGAUAUACGCAGGAGUCUAACAUAAAUAUGUCAAUAUGGGAAUGCAGGCUGCGCUACUGACCUCUGCCGCACUAACUAUGGAGGUCGAUGCAUUGAAGCAGAGCCUUGAGCGGUCCGAGAACGAGCUCGACCUUGCCAAGAAGCAGCUCGAGGACAAAGAAGGUAUGUAGUACCUUAUGUAAUUGUAUAUAUAAGUACCUGGUUGCAAAUGAUGACAUGACCGACGUGAAUAUUACAGGGGCCACAACCGAGGUGGCGACCCUGAAGGAAGCGCUUUCCAAGGCCGAAGACAAUGCAGCCAUGGAGCGCUCAGAGCGAGAGAAGCGAGAGGCGCAGGUGGCGGAGGUGCGGCAAGAGCUCGAUGCUCUUGUGAAAAAACAUGAGAGGUUAGAGCUUGACUCAAAGACUCGAGAGUCCGAGCUUGCCUUGGCACUUGAAAGCGCCAGAUCUGCCAAGGCCGAAGCCCAAAAAGCCCUCCAGGAAAUUGAGGCGAUGAAAAGGAUUGCGGCGGGUAAGGCAUUGUUUAUGCAAAGCAAGCACGUGAAAGUAAAUUACCUGUUACUUACCCGAAUCCGGAGCUCUCCAGGAGCAUUCGCAGAUCUGCCCCAUAGUGUAUCCUCCGCCGCCGCAUUCUACCGGGCCGAGGAAGGGAGCUCGACGGAGAAGGUGUUCUGGUCCCAGUAUGCUGAGACCGAACCCCCGGUGCCCCUGAGCGACCAGCUGAAGCAGCUAGUCGAGCUUCAUAAGGCAGCCGAACAGGCCAUGAAGGGCCUGAUAGGCCGGCUGUGGCCUGGGGAGGUCAUGCCUUUGAGCUACUUUGGGCUGGUGCGGUGGCUGGUGGAUGCGUGUCCCCGGCUUGAAGUCAUCAAGCGCUCCGUAUGGAUCGAAGGCGCCCGUAGGGCUUUUGCCCGUGCUAAAGUGCACUGGGGCAAGCUGGAUGCUGAGAAGCUGGUGACAGAAGGGCCACCGGAGGGGAAGGAGCAUCGCAGGCCCGAGAUGUAUUAUGAGGGCGUCCUGAAGGGUGCCCAUCGUGUGGCGGAUGAAUGUACCAGGGAGGUAAUUUUUGAGUAAACUCGCUCGUGUUUGUCCUGUGCGCUGAAAACUUCUUCAUAUGCGCUAAGCAACGCUUUUUGAAUUUAAAAUAUUCUGUGCGGCCGUUUAUUAAAUCUGAGAGAUGCAAGUCGUCGGCUUCUACCCCCAUGCCACAAGUGCUGGGGUGUUUGGGAUAAACCUGAGUGCUCUUGUUCCCAUUUUUGGGUCCAUCGAGGGAGGCGCUCAGCACAACAAACAAGGCCAUCGGAUUUAUAAUGCUUUAUCACUCUCACUUAGCUAUAGAAUUCUAUAAUUUUAAAUUUCGGUGAAGCCCCUAGUAUUCGGAAGACCGAGUUCGGGGCGCUAUCCACGCCUAGGCUGGACAAAGCCAGCUCCUCGCUCUAAGCGGCAUAAGUCUUUAAGGACUCGAAAAACCUCUCGAACAGCAACCGGUCUCUCGCCCUAUCAUGACGGUCAGUUUUAGCUUUCUCUACUGAGGUGUUAACCCAGCUCAACUGGGGCAUAAUCGCAGUAGUUCUCCCAGCGCUACGUUAGCCGACAUAGCGGAACGUAAGGUACCAAAACAUGGGAGCCGGGCAAACCCAACUAUUGACCCAAGACAUGAUUCGGAGCCAAUGCAUAUAGUGCUAUAAGUUCGGGGUGCCGCACUCAUGAGAGUGUUCGGUCUUCUCACACCGUAUUAUGGGGUACUUAAGCCCCUGGUGUAUUGGCCGUACCAAAGUGUACGGUUGCAUAAUGUCAUGACUGAACAUAUUUAUAUAAAAAUAAAUGAAUACAAUAACAGACAAGAGCUAUGUAUUGUUUAUUAAAAGGGGCUGCUAUGAGAGCAGGACGAUACAAAUAGUGCAAUAUGCAAGAGAUGGGAUUAUUUGACCUGUCCCGGGCAAGCUGCGAGACUUUAAGUAAGACAGGUAUUUAGCUCGUUAUAGAGACCACCUGGACAUUUGACGUGGCUUGUUGUCUCCCUGGCUGUUGCAUCGUGUGUUCGGCGAUUGUAUUGCUGGACAUGCCUUCCGAAUAGUGGAGUCCUGAAAGUAUAUAUAUAAAAAAUAAGAAAUGGCAAAAUCGGGAGCCCCUAGUGCGGUUGAGCCGCAUUCUGGGCGUGCCGUGGUUGUGCCCCUCCCCUUAUGCCCAUGGUAUUUCCAGAGCGUAAUUAUGUAUGUGUGGUACUGCUAUCGCAAUCUCGCGAGGGCUGGGGUUGGGGCCGCACUGCUAUGCUUGCUCGGAACGUGCCAGCCGGUUUUGUUGUAGGUUACUUCAGGUGCGCUUGAUGUUGUCUGGACGUUUAACAGCCGGAUUGGAGAAUUGCCUUGAGAGGCUACUUUGUACUUCCGCCGCCAGGGCCGCCGUGUGCUCCUCUAUUCGGAGAGAGUGUUCGGUGUUUCCAUUGACCGUAAUGACUCCACGAGGGCUUGGCAUCUUGAGCUUGAGAUAUGCGUAGUGCAGCACCGCAUUAAAUUUGCGAAUGCGGUUCGUUCGAGCAGGGCGUGAUAGCCACUGUGGAAUGGGACUAUGUCAAAGAUUAACUCUUCGCUUCGGAAAUUAUCCGGGGAUCCGAAGACCACUUCGAGUGUAACUGAGCCUGUACAGCUGGCUUCUACACCUGGUAUGACGCCUUUAAAGGUCGUCUUUAUGGGUUUAAUCCUCGAGGGAUCUAUACCCAUUUUUCGCACUGUAUCCCUAUAAAGCAGGUUCAGGCUGCUACCGCCGUCCAUGAGGACUCUAGUGAGGUGAAAUCCGUCAAUGGUUGGGUCUAGGACCAAUGUGGCGAAUCUGCCGUGACGAAUGCUAGUGGGGUGGUCCCUUCGAUCAAAAGUGAUCGGGCAGGAGGACCAUGGGUUGAACUUUGGGGCGACUGGCUCCAACGCAUAGACGUCCUUGAGAGCACGCUUCCGUUCCCUUUUGGGGAUAUGGGUUGCGUAUAUCAUGUUCACCGUCCGCACUUGUGAGGGGAAGCCCUUCUGUCCUCUGUUGUUCGGCGGCCGGGGCUCCUCCUCGUCAUCGCUAUGCAGCCCCUUGUCUCUAUUUUCGGCACUUAACUUGCCUGCCUCCUUGAACACCCAACAAUCCCUGUUGGUGUGAUUGGCUGGUUGUUCGGGGGUGCCGUGUAUCUGGCACGAGCGAUCGAGUAUCCGGUCUAAACUAGAUGGGCCCGGAGGAUUUCUUUUGAAUGGCUUCUUCCACUGACCGGGUUUAGAGCCUCUGAAUCCGGCAUUAACUGCCGUAUCCUCAGUAUUAUUGCCGUUAAUGCGGCGCUUGUGCUUGUUAUGACGCGACCUGCCAUUGUUGUCCUUGGUAUUUGAGCUACCAGGGCUCUUGGUCAUGUUAUUGCUAUGAGCUAGCCAGCUGUCUUCUCCCGCGCAAAAGCGGGUCAUGAGUGUCGUGAGGGCUGCCAUAGAUUUCGGCUUUUCCUGUCCUAGGUGCCGGGCAAGCCAUUCGUCUCGGAUGUUAUGCCUGAAGGCUGCAAGGGCCUCUGCGUCCGGACAGUCGACCAUUUGAUUUUUCUUGGUUAGGAACCGCGUCUAGAAUUGUCUGGCAAGAUUCCUCUGGCUGCUGAAUUAUGUGGCUUAGGUCAUCGGUGUCUGGUGGUCGCACAUAAGUGCCCUAGAAGUUGUCAAGGAAUGCGGAUUCCAGGUCCUCCCAGCAACUAAUUGACUCUGCUGGCAGGCUGUUAAGCCAAUGCCGAGCUGGUCCUUUAAGCUUGAGCGGGAGGUAUUUGAUGGCGUGUAGAUCAUCACUACGGGCCAUGUGGAUAUGAAGGAGAUAAUCCUCGAUCCAUACCGCAGGAUCUGUUGUGCCAUCAUAUGAUUCGAUGUUUAUGGGUUUAAAACCCUUGGGGAUUUGAUGAUCCAUUACUUCAUCUGUGAAGCAUAGUGGGUUUGCGACGCCUCUGUACUGGGCUAUAUCACGACGUAGCUCGGAUGAGCUUUGUCUGUUGUGUUCGGCCUGGCCGUAUUUGCCAUAUCCGGCGUGACGGUUAUCGUCACGUGACGUGGGGUGCCCACGCGAUCCGUAGAUUGAUCUUGUUUGCCUUUCCUUGUCCUCCAAUAUGUCUCGCAGGUCUGGUGCAUUUCCCCGUGCCCUGGUAUUUUUUGAGCGGCGCCGGGGUGCGGCUUGAGUUGAGGGCCGAGAGGCUUCUCUGUCACGGCCACGGGGUGGCCGAUCGACCGCAUCAUACACUGGUGAUAUAGGUUUAGUUGCUUCCUCCUCUAGUUGGGAUAGAAGCCUGCGCUUUGGGUAGCUCUUGGAGGGGCGCUCGAGUUUUACUCUUCGGCCACCAGGACUUCAGUCCAUUUGUCGGCUAGCAAAUCAUGGUCAGCUCUAAGCUGCUGCAGUUUUCUUUUGAGGCUGUUUGUUGUGGCCAUAAGCCUGCGUUUGAAACGCUCUUGUUCGGCGGGAUCCCUAGGCACGACUAAUUCGUCGUCGUCGAGGCUUGCCUCAUAUUCGGAGGGAGGCAUAUAAUUGUCGUCCUCGACCUCCCUAUCUGCCGCUCUCUCAUGAGGGCUGGCUUCUCCGUCCUCCUGCGUUGAAUCCUGCUAGAGGGGGUUGUCUUCGGCACUGUCCGGGGUGUUGUUAUCUCCAGUGUCGGACUCGCCAUUUUUGCUUUCGCGGGAUUUAGAGCAGCGCCGCUGACGCCGGCGCUUAGGUUGUUUCUUGGAGGGGUCAUCCUCCGUUUUUUCAUCGCCAUUCCCUGCUUUUGGGGUGUCCACCAUGUAUAUGUCAUAUGACGAGGUGGCUUUCCAGUGCCCUAUAUGUGCUGGUUCUUGGUCGUCUCCUUCAUCGGCGUCCAUACCGUCGAUGUCUUCAGAGUCGUAGUCGAGCAUGUCGGUUAAAUCGUCGACAGUGGCUACGAAGUGGGUGGUGGGUGGGUUUCGAAUUUCUUUGUCGUCCGCAUCCCAACCUUGCUGACCACAGUCCGGCUAGGGCUCUCCUAACAAAGAGAGAGACUUUAGUAAAUUCAGGAUGUCGCCAUUGGGAGAGUGCUGAAAGACGUCCGUGGUGGCGAACUCCAUGAUUGGAGCCCAAUUGGGUUCGAUCGGAAGGGGUGCGGAAGAUUCAGAGUCCGGAAAGGAGUCCGGCACCUUGGAGUCACGAGCUCCGCGAGGGACAAGAUUGGUGUUCGGCUCGAUCGCCGUAGAGAUUGUAGCCCCCGAGGUGGCGUCUAGCCACCCGUCCUCGACCGGCGCAGUCGGCUCCGAGCUGAGGGUCGGAGCAGACACCUGAGCGGCACUCUGGGCACUAUCCGGCGGCAGAGCUAGAUCAUGCCCAUCGUGACAGUGCGGCGCGCUCGGCUACGGCUCGAAUCUGUCGAAGAUCAUGUCUCUGCGGAUGUCAGUCGUGUAGUUUAAACUUCCAAAUCUGACCUGAUGGCCAGGGGCGUAGCUUUCGAUCUGCUCCAGAUGGCCAAGCGAAUUGGCCCGUAGUGCAAAGCCGCUGAAUAUGAAGAUCUGUCCGGGGAGAAAAGUCUCACCCUGGACCGCGUCGUGGUUGAUGAUCGAAGAAGCCAUCAGGCCUAAAGGUGACGACACAGAGGAACUCUCAAUGAAAGCACCAAUGUUGGUGUCAAAACCGGCGGAUCUCGGGUAGGGGGUCCCGAACUGUGCGUCUAGGCGGAUGGUAACAGGAGACAAGGGACACGAUGUUUUUACCCAGGUGCGGGCCCUCUCGAUGGAGGUAAAACCCUACUCCUGCUUGAUUAAUAUUGAUGAUAUGGGUAGUACAAGAGUUGAUCUACCACGAGAUCAGAGAGGCUAAGCCCUAGAAGCUAGCCUACGGUAUGAUUGUUGUUCGUCCUACGGACUAAAACUCUCCGGUUUAUAUAGAUACCGAAGAGGGCUAGGGUUACACAGAGUCGGUUACAAUGGGAGGAUAUCUACAUAUUGUAUCGCCAAGCUUGCCUUCCACGCCAAGGAAAGUCCUAUCCGGACACGGGACGAAGUCUUCAAUCUUGUAUCUUCAUAGUCCGGGAGUCCGACCAAAGGUCAUAGUCCGGCCAUCCGGACACCCCCUAAUCCAGGACUCCCUCAACUGCCUCCGUGGAUUUCCAGGACAUUUCGAGAACUUUUCUUUUCUACACAUAAAAACAACAUCAUGGUAGUUCUGCGGAAAACAGCACCAAUCCGGGUUAGUUUCAUUCAAAUCAUGCAAGUUAGAGUCCAAAACAAGGGCAAAAGUGUUUGGAAAAGUAGAUACGUUGGAGACGUAUCAACUCCCCCAAGCUUAAACCUUUGCUUGUCCUCAGGCAAUUCAGUUGAUAAACUGAAAGUGAUAAAGAAAAAACUUUUACAAACUCUGUUUGCUCUUGUUGUUGUAAACAUGAAAAGCCAGCAUUCAAGUUUCAGCAAAUAUUAUGAACUAACCAUACUCACAAUAACACAUAGAUCUCACAAUUACUCACAUCAAUAGCAUAAUCAGCUAGCGAGCCAUAAUAAUAAAGCUCGGAUGACAACACUUUGUCAAAACAAUCAUAACAUGAUAUAACAAAAUGGUAUCUCGCUAGCCCUUUCUGAGACCGCAAAACAUAAAUGCAGAGCACCUUUAAAGAUCAAGGACUGACUAAACAUUGUAAUUCAUGGUGAAAGAGAUCCAGUCAAGUCAUACACAAUAUGAACCAAUAAUAAUGAACGCAAACAAUAGUGUGCUCUCCAGCGGGUGCUUUUAAUAAGAAGGUGAUGACUCAACAUAAAAGUAAAUAGAUAGGCCCUUCGCAGAGGGAAUCAGGGAUUUGUAGAGGUGCCAAAGCUUGAUUUUUAAAAAUAGAGAUUGAAUAACAUUUUGAGCGGCAUACUUUCGCUGUCAACGCAACACCUAUGAGAUGAUUGUAUCUUCCAUACUAUAUGCAUUAUAGGCAGUUCCCAAAUAGAAUGGUAAAGGUUUAUACUCCCCCAACCACCAACAAGCAUCAAUCCAUGGCUUGCUCGAAACAAUGAGUGCCUCCAACAUACAACAGCCCUGGGGGAGUUUUUUUUAAUUAUUUUGAUUUGCUUUGAUCUUUUUGGAUCAUGCGACUGGGCGUCCCGGUUACCGGCCCUUUCUCGUGAAUGAGGAGCGGAGUCCACUCCUCUGAGAAUAACACACCUAGCAUGGAAGAUAUAGGCAGCCCUAGUUGUUACAUGAGCUGCUCGAGCAUACAAAACAGAAUUUCAUUUGAAGGUUUGGAGUUUGGCAUAUACUAAUUUACUUGGAAUGGCAGGUAAAUACCGCAUAUAGGUAGGUAUAGUGGACUCAUAUGGAACAACUUUGGGGUUUAAGGUGUUUGGAUGCACAAGCAGUAUUCCCGCUUAGUACAGGUGAAGGCUAGCAAAAGACUGGGAAGCGACCAACUGAGAGAGCGACAACAGUCGUAAGCAUGCAUUAAAAUUAAUUCACACUGAGUACAAGCAUGAGUAGGAUAUAAUCCACCAUGAACAUAAAUAUCGUGAAGGCUAUAUUGAUUUGAUUCAACUACAUGCGUGAACAUGUGCCAAGUCGAGUCACUCAAUUCACUCAAAGGAGGAUACCAUCCCAUCAUACAACAUCAUAAUCAUUCUAAUAGCAUGUUGGCACGCAAGGUAAACCAUUAUAACUCAUAGCUAAUCAAGCAUGGCACAAGUAACUAUAAUCUCUAAAUGUCAUUGCAAAUAAGUUUACUUCAUAAUAGCUGACUCAGGAAUGAUGAACUCAUCAUAUUUAAAAAAACAAGAGAGGUCGAGUUCAUACCAGCUUUUCUCAUCCCAAUACAUCCAUCAUAUAUCGUCAUUAUUGCCUUUCACUCGACGACCGAAUGAUGUGUAUAAUAAUAAGAGUGCAUGUGCAUUGGACUAAGCUGGAAUCUGCAAGCAUUCAACUCAAGAGAGAAGACAAGUAAUAUGGGCUCUAAAUUAAAUAAACAAUCAUGCAAAUAAGAGCCACUAAGCAUUUUCAAUAUGGUCUUCUCGACCCCCAAAGGAAAGAAAAGAAAAUAAAACUAUUUACACGGGAAAGCUCCCAACAAGUAAAAGAAGAACGAGAAAUCUUUUUGGGUUUUCAUUUUAAUUCUACUACAGGCAAGGAAAUUAAACUAACUAAUUUUUUUGGUUUUUCUCAAGGUUUAUCAAACACACAAGAAGAAAACUAGAAAAAGGGAUUUAAACUAGCAUGGAUAAUACAAUGACUAGUGUGUGAACAUGAAUGUAUGAGCACCGACGACUAGUGUGUGAACAUGAAUGUAAAGUCGGUGAGAAAUACGUACUCCCCCAAGCUUAGGAUUUUGGCCGAAGUUGGUUAAAUACCAAGGACCGCCGCUACUAUCUCCGGUGUAAUGAGAGGUAUAAUAAGGAUACCACUAGCUGGUCAUCUCCGAAUCCCAUUGGACAGAUGAUGCGCGAUAAGGGUCCAGAUCAGGUUCCGACUCAGGUUCAGGUUCUGGAGUAAAAGCCUGAGCUCGAUGGUUGUUCACCGCCUCCGGUGUGACAAGAAAUUUUUCUGCAAGCAAAUCAAAUAACAGAGGCGCAGGCAAGAUAAUAAUCUCAAAGUGUUUCUUAUUGAAUAUAAGUUUAUACAAGAGCAUCCUAUCUUCCUUGUCAAUAAUAAACUUAUGUGCUACCAUGCUCUUGUAAUCUAAAAAUGUGAGGAGGCAAUAUUGUCUCCUUUUCCUCAUGGUGCCUAAAAUUCUCAAAUAUUCUAGAAAAAAUCAUACUAAAUUUGCAGGGCAUUUGGAGCACUUUUAUUUUCGGAUUAUUUUUUAAUGCAUGGAUAAUUCAGAAAACAGACGGAUAAUACUAUUUUUUUCUUUAUUUAUUCUAAUUAACAGAAAGUAAAAAGAGGGUACAGAAGGUUGUGCAUUCUAGUUUCAUCCAUCUCGUGAUCAUCAAAAUGAACCCGCUAACAAGGUUGAUCAAGUCUUGUUAACAAAGUCAUUCCGAAUAACACGGAACCGGAGAAAUUUCGAAUAACACUAAGUUACCUCAACGGGGAUAUGAAAAUCCCCAAAAAUAAGAAUAUCAUACUUUUUCUUGACAGUAGGGAGAGGAAAUUCAAAAUCUCCAAAAAUGAUAGUUGGAACUUUUUCAAUAGAAUUGAUGCUAUGAACUUGAGAUUGUUUCCUCGGAAAGUGUACCGUAUGCUCAUUGCCAUUAACAUGAAAAGUGACAUUGCCUUUGUUGCAAUCAAUAACAGCCCCUACAGUAUUAAGAAAAGGUCUACCAGGGAUAAUAGACAUACUAUCGUCCUCGGGAAUAUCAAGAAUAACAAAGUCCGUUAAGAUAGUGACAUUUGCAACCACAACAGGCACAUCCUCACAAAUACCGACAGGUAUAGCAGUUGAUUUAUCAGCCAUUUGCAAAGAUAUUUCAGAAGGUGUCAACUUAUUCAAUUCAAGUCUAGGAUAUAAAGAGAGGGGCAUAACACUAACACCGGCUCCAAGAUCACAUAAAGCAGUUCUAACAUAAUUUCUUUUAAUGGAGCAUGGUUGUCGGUGUCAAAACCGGCGGAUCUCGGGUAGGGGGUCCCGAAUUGUGCGUCUAGGCGGAUGGUAACAGUAGACAAGGGACAUGAUGUUUUUACCCAGGUUCGGGCCCUCUCGAUGGAGGUAAAACUCUACUCCUGCUUGAUUAAUAUUGAUGAUGUGGGUAGUACAAGAGUUGAUCUACCAUGAGAUCAGAGAGGCUAAACCCUAGAAGCUAGCCUAUGGUAUGAUUGUUUUUCGUCCUACGGACUAAAACUCUCCGGUUUAUAUAGACACCGGAGAGGGCUAGGGUUACACAGAGUCGGUUACAAUCGGAGGAGAUCUUCAUAUCGAAUCGCCAAGCUUGCCUUCCAUGCCAAGGAAAGUCCUAUCCGGACACGGGACAAAGUCUUCAAUCUUGUAUCUUCAUAGUCCGGAGGUCCGGCCAAAGGUCAUAGUUCGGCCAUCCGGACACCCCCUAAUCCAGGACUCCCUCAGUAGCCCCCGAACCAGGCUUCAAUGACGACGAGUCCGGCGCGCAAGUUUGUCUUCGACAUUGCAAGGCGGGUUCUUCUCCAAAUUCCAUAUACCUGUCGGAUAGUGUCCGGCUUCUGGUGCGUGUUGCUCUACUCAGCUUCUAUGCCCAAUAAUGACCAUCUUCCACGUGUCAAACGAAUUCGAAAAACCAGGUUUUUUUUCAUUUACCCCCCCCAGUCACGUAAAUGAGCCACCCAUAAAAGAGACGGGGGUUUAGAUCCAAUUCACACCACCUUCCCUCCGUGAGUAUUCAUCAGAGCGCUUUCAACAGAGAUCCAUUCCACCAUGGCCGGUCGAAGCAGCUCCUCCUCUCGCCUCUCCAGCCCUCGGCCCGGAGAUUGGGAGUGGUGUUUCGUCCCGCAUAGCAAGCUAGUAGUUCUUAAAUCCAAGGGGCUCCUCCCCCCAGCAUAUAUGGUCCCAGUUCGAGCCGGGAUCGCCACCUAUAGCGGCGGAGAGCAGGCGGAGAGCGUCCCCAAUCCCUCUCAAGGAGAGCGGGUAUGCCUAGUCCCUUAUUUAAUAAGAGGACUCGGAUUUCCAAUUCAUUCGUUUCUCCGAGGGCUACUGGAGUUCUACGGCCUCCAGCUACACAACCUCACGCCUGCCUCCAUUCUGCAUUUUGCGGGCUUUGUGGCCCUCUGCGAGCUAUUUUUGGGCAUCGAGGCCCAUUUCACGCUGUGGAAGAGGUUGUUCUGCCUUGUGCCCCGCUCUCAGGAGGGGUCAAUUUAUCAAGUGGGCAGAGCCGAACUAUGGCGCAUCGCUGGGACCGGAUAUCUAUCCAGUACCCCAAAGAAGGCGUCCGAGGACUGGCCUUCGGAAUGGUUUUAUAUGGAUGACGUCCCCCUGCCGGACCCUAUACGGAUCGGCCUCCCUGAGUUUAACAACGCUCCAUUGAAGAAACGCCUGAGCUGGCGCCCAUGAAACCCUCAGAGGGAAACUGAUAGGGACGUCCUUUACCUGAUGAGCCGGAUAAGAUUGUUGGCUCAUUCCGGAUUGACCAUGAUCGAGGUCAUGGCCACAUGCAUUACGCGGGGGGUGCAGCCGCUUCAGUACAGAGGCCACCCCAUGUGGGAUUUCAACGGGGAGGACGACACCACCCGGUGCGGUCGCAAGGGGCCAGAUUCGGCCGCCACUCUAACAAAGAUCUUAUCCGCUUUGUACAAGGGAGAAGAAGAGGAAUUCCUCUGUGUCAACCCACGGGGCGGAUUCUCUAUGCAUAGUCCUCCAAGAUGGGUGAGCGAACACUUUCACUUGUCUACCCGCUUUUGAAAUUCCCAUAAUUGAGUACUUAGUCUAGCUAUGUUAACGCAGGAGCUGCGCCAGACUGUGAAGGAGAUAAACAGCCCUCCUCCGUAACCCGAGGACCCUGAACGGUCCCUUGAUCUGGAAUCCCAAGAGGACCCGGACUUAUGUGUGGAGUUAAUUGAUGGGGUGUUUCAUCAAUUGAGUAAGGACAACACCUUAGUGGACUUUACGGCCGACUAUCCCAGACUACUUCUGGCCUCAAAGGUAACCGAGACCGAAGUCCCAGUACUUUCAAGAGGAUUCAUCCAUGCUUUAUUUUGAUUGCCGUAAACCAAUAGUGUUUUGCUUUGCAGGGGAAAUCUUUGAGGCGGAGGGCUGAGCCCGCGGUGGGUAGCCAACAAGGGCCAUUGAAGCCAGGCGGGCUAAAAAGAAGUGCAAAACGGAUCGAGAUUCCGUCGCAACGAUACGGCGUGUAAUUUUAACGCCUAGGGUUUAUGCCCUCAAGUCACACUAACGCCCAUGCUCUCCUUAGGAGGAAGAGCGCCCGCCGGACUAUAUCCACCGGCCAGGCUUCAAGGCUGGGUUCGGAAGCGGAGGCGAACACGGGGGGCACACCGGACGCUCCUCCGACAGAGGACGCGGAUGGGCUAUCUGCCACCAAUUCAGAGGUGGAGAGUGCCGUGAACCACAGGCGUCGCCGGGCUGUUCUUCGUGACGCAUGUUUUUCCCAAGAGGCGUUGGACGCCUUUAAUACAGGAGAUGCUUAUCUCCGUGCCGCUCAAAAUGGUCUAGCCAGAGCCACAGAGCAGUAUGUGAAAGACAUACGGGUGAGUAAAUAUGAUGGUUAUAUAUGUCAGUAGCCCCCGAUACUUGAAACAGUUAAGAUAACUGAUUUAAGGAUCAUAUGUUAUGCAGGAUCUUACAAAGAAGAACACGCAACUGUCCCAGGAGCUGGAAGAGUGCAAGGCCCAACUCGAGGCUGCACUGGCCGCUUCAGAGAAUGCCAAGGGGACCCCCUCAGGUAAUAUAUGCUUCGAAAGAUAAUUCUGCUGUGAAGUGCGACAUAUGUGCAAUUCUGACAAUAACAGUGCAGAUGGGGCCGGAGUGAAUCUGGACAAGCAGCAACUCCUGCGCCAGUUAAAGGCCGGCGAGAGCGUGCUGACGAGGGUGAGGCAAGAGAAGAACAAGCUUCAAGACGCCAAUACCCAGUUGGGUGAGGAACUAAAGGAUGUUCGUGCUCAGCUAUCUGAUUCCGUAAAGGAGAAUCAGUGACUUCAACGCGGCAUUUUUAGUAAGUGCUUAAACGAAUCUUCGAAAAAAGAAUUCGGCGAGGAAGUCGAUUGACAAAGCUAUGUCUGCAGAUGUGCUGACAGGUCGUCCUGCGGGGGAGAUGCCCGAUUCAGCGGGGGACCUUCUUCCCGAGCUAUUGCAACUGCAUGAACGAGUUCGGCAGGCGAUGCAAGGCGUCGUCCAGGCUAUGUGGCCAUCCCUCUCCGUGCCCGAAGGCCUUGGAGAGCUUGCAGAGAAGCUAGAGGGAGUGCGGCAGCGCUUCCGGUUGUGGAAGAUAUCGGCCUGCCGUCAAGGUGCCAGGGAGGCCUGGGCCAUGGUGAAGACUUGGUACACGAAGGCUGACCCGAACCACAUGGCCGAGGUCGGCCCUGUGGGGCCUGACGGAAAGGAGAUCCCUGUCAAUUUAGUGUAUGGCCAGGUAGAGCUGGCUGCCAAGUAUUCUCAACAGGACUGUAAAUUAGACAGCCUGUUGGAUGGUAUUGAAGAAGAAUAUACCGAGUCAAAUUGACUAUGUAAUUUAAAAUGAUAUGUAAAAUGCCUUCUAGCCGGAUUGUAGAUCGUUUGUCAUUGCGGACCUUUUCGCUUCGACCUCUAGACCCGAUAGUCCGGAGUGUGUCCGAAUACCCUCUCGGUUAUGUAAGAACCGGGGCAUGCAUGGAGACCAGGCAUAGGGGUCAUAAGUGCUUUAGCAGACAAGUGCCCAACUAGUUAUGUUAUAUUACAUGGUUAGUAAGAAACAUCUUCCAGGGAGAAUAGUUCCGUUAGGGGUUCCUUUCCUUGGGAGGCAUGCCCUAAAGUGCAUGUCCGGACUGCGAGAAAAAAGCAGAAAAGCAUCUGGGGGCAGAUAAAUAAACAACAAAAAUCAUCUUUUAGUUCACCGAUCGAAUAUUCCCUUAAGAACGCUAGCUUUCGGCUUCACCCAGUCUGAGGUACACAUCCGGCUGACCCGGCAGUAACAAUCGCAGAGGUGCUCCCUUUACCACCUAGCCGAACAAACGGGAACGUAGGGGUAAGCACAGGAGCCAGGCAACCCAGCUUGGCCAAAACUUAAGUCAUAUCGAUGCAUAUAAUGGUGUAUAAAAGGUUCAUGCGGAAGUGUCACACAUGUUUUGGGCAUGAGGCCCGUUUAUAUAAACUUCUGAUAAAGAAGCCCCCAGGUAUAAUGAGCGCGGGUGGCGCGUCAAGUAUGUGCGAACAACGCGCAGGCAAGCCCCUAAAGGCUUGGGAGAAGAAGGGAGGGAGAUGGAGAGAAAUACCAGGCAACUAAUUUGAAAGAAAUAAUAAAAAAAGGGACAGAGGAAGGAGACAAACACGGAGUCCGGCGCUAGGCGUAGAAUCUUCGUAGGCGCGCUGCAUUCCAUGGGUUCGGCUCGAGUCGGUUGUCCGAUGCGUUUUGCAGACGGUAUGCUCCACCAGUCAUGACUUGGUCGAUUAUGAAGGGACCCUCCCAUUUGGGCUUUAGUUUGUCCUUUUUCUUGUCCGGCAGGCGUAGAACUAGUUCGCCAAUGUUAUAAGUUUUGGCCCGUACUUCUCUGCUUUGAUAUCUUCGAGCCUGCUGUUGAUAGAAUGCGGAACGGGCUUUUGCCACGUCGCGCUCCUCCUCCAAUGCGUCCAAGCUGUCCUGCCGAUCGAGCUCGGCUUCUCUUUCUUCAUACAUGCGCACGCGAGGCGAGUCAUGAAUUAUGUUACAGGGCAGGAUUGCCUCUGCGCCAUACCAUAAAAAUGGUGUGAAUCCGGUAGUGCGAUUCGGCGUGGUCCGCAGCCCCCAGAGUACGGAGUCAAGCUCCUCUACCCAGUGCGUGUUAGAUUCCUUGAGGGAUCGCACUAGUCUGGGUUUGAUGCCGCUCAUGAUGAGACCAUUGGCUCGCUCGACUUGACCGUUAGUUUGUGGGUGAUAGAUUGAAGCGUAGUCGAGCUUAAUGCCCAUGUUUUUGCACCAGAGUUUAACUUCGUCGGCCGUAAAGUUUGUGUCGUUGUCAGUGAUGAUGCUGUGGGGGACGCCGUAACGGUGUACAACCCCGGAUAUGAAGUCUAUCACCGGUCCGGAUUCUGCCGUCUUUAUAGGCUUGGCCUCUAUCCAUUUGGUGAACUUAUCCACCAUGACCAGUAGGUAUUUUUGCUUGUGGGUUCCUCCUUUAAGGGGUCCAACCAUGUCAAGCCCCCAGACCGCAAAAGGCCAGGCUAUGGGUAUGGUUUGUAGGGCGGUAGGCGGCAUGUGGCUUUGAUUAGCGAAUAAUUGGCAACCGACGCAUCGCUGGACUAAGUCCUGAGCAUCUGCCCGGGCCGUCGGCCAAUAAAAUCCGGUACGGAAGGCCUUGCUUAGAAGGGCUCGGGCUGCGGCGUGGUGCCCGCCAAGUCCGGCGUGAAUUUCCGCCAGAAGGUUCCGCCCUUCCUCUUCGGAGAUACACCUUUGAAGGACUCCGGUGGUGCUUUUCUUAUAAAGCUCUCCUUCGUGGAAUUUAUAGGCUUUAGAUCGCCGCACUAUGCAACGUGCCUCAUUUUGGUCCUCGGGGAGUUCCUGCCUAGUUAAGUAGGCUAAUAAUGGUUCUGUCCACGGGGCAAUUACUGCUAUUAUUUCGUGGGCUGAGGGUGUGACUUCAUUGACGGAGUCUUCCGUUGUGUCAUGGUGUUCUGGGUCAGGCGAUGCGGCCUGGUCCGGUUUGUUAAUUCCGGUUUCCCCUUCCCACUGUACGGAUGGCUUGAAUAACCUUUCCAGGAAAAUGUUGGGGGGGACUGCAUCAUGCUUUGCGCCGAUGCGUGCCAGGAUGUCUGCUGCCUGAUUAUUUUCCCGGGCUAUAUGGUGGAAUUCCAGCCCUUCGAACCGAGCUGACAUAUUUAGGACGGUGUUGCGGUAAGCUGCCAUUUUCAGAUCUUUGGCGUCAAAGUCUCUGUUUAUUUGGGAUAUCGCAAGGUUCGAAUCCCCACGCACCUCUAGGCGUUGAAUGCCCAUGGAGACUGCCAUCCGGAGGCCAUGUAGAAGGGCCUCGUAUUAGGCUGCAUUGUUGGAGUCCGUAUACAUUAUCUGGAGUACAUAUUGGACUGUAUCUCCUGUUGGGAACGUCAGGACGAUGCCAGCCCCCAGACCUGCCAGCAUUUUGGAGCCGUCAAAGUGCAUGGUCCAGUUGGAAUAUGUGCCAUACUCUUUAGGGAGUUCGACUUCAGUCCAUUCCGCGGCAAAGUCAGCCAAGGCUUGCGACUUGAUGGCUCGCCGUGGCUUAUAUGUUAUGUCGAACGGGAGGAGCUCAAUGGCCCAUUUGGCAAUCCGACCUGUUGCGUCGCGGUUGUUUAUGAUAUCGUUAAGAGGUACUUCGGAGGCUACUAUUAUCGAACACUCUUGAAAGUAGUGUCGUAGCUUCCGGGAUGCCAUGAACACUGUGUAUGCUAUUUUUUGGUAAUGCGGGUACCGGGACUUGAAUGGAGUGAGGACAGUGGACACGUAGUACACUGGUUUUUGGACAAGGAAUUUGUGUCCGUCCGUUUCUCGUUCGACGACGAGGACUGCGCUUACAACUUGGUGAGUUGCCGCGAUGUAUAACAACAUUGGUUCGCCGAUGUUUGGCGCGGCCAGGACAGGGUUGGUUGCCAGUAUGGCUUUUAUUUCUUCGAGUCCGGCCGUGGCGGCAUCCGUCCACUCGAAGUGUUCGGUGCGUCGGAGGAGGCGGUAAAGUGGUAAUGCCUUUUCCCCCAAGCGGGAGAUGAAGCGGCUUAGAGCCGCCACGCAUCCAGUCAAUUUUUGUAUUUGCUUGAGAUCUUUUGGGAUAUCCAAUUGUGAUAGAGCUCAGAUCUUGGCUGGGUUUGCUUCAAUUCCCCUACCGGAUACAAUGAAGCCCAAGAGCUUUCCGGCUGGUACACUGAAAGCGGAUUUUUCCGGGUUAAGCCUAAUGUCAUAUGUUCAGAGGUUAUCGAACGUGAGCCUCAAGUCGUCUAUUAGAGUUUCGACGUUUUUGGUUUUGACGACCACGUCAUCCACGUAUGCUUCAACCGUUUUGCCGAUCUGGUUGGCCAAACAUGUCUGAAUCAUGCGCUGAUAUGUUGCGCCGGCGUUUUUGAGCCUGAAGGGCAUUGUGUUGAAGCAGAAUGGGCCGAGUAUUACGUCAUCCCUGUCCACCAUGGAGCCCAACACAGUUAGUUCCUCGGCCGCUAGGGCUUCGGACAAUGCCUCAAGGGCCAGUGCGGCUAUCUUGUUUUCUGCGCGGAGCGCUGUGUCCGAAUCACUAGCGAGAGUGAUGAUUCUGUUGGGUCCGGGCAUUUUGAGCUUCAUGUACUCGUAAUGGGGUAUAGCUUGAAAAAUUGUGAAUGCUUCUCACCCUAACAGAGCGUGGUAUCCGCUGCUGAACGGGGCCACUUGAAAUGUGACCUCGUCGGAUCUGUAAUUAUCCGGCGUGCCGAACACCACAUCCAGUGUGAUUUUCCCUGAACAGCAUGCUUCCCGGCUGGGGAUUAUUCCUCUAAAGGUUGUGUUGCUUCGCUCAAUGCGGCUCCAGUCUAUUUCCAUUUUUCGCAGGGUUUCCUCGUAGAUGAGGUUCAGUCCGCUACCGCCGUCCAUGAGUACCUUUGUAAGCCGAAAGCCGUCCACUAUCGGACUGAGGACCAGUGCGGCUGGUGCUCGGGCUGUCCAGAAUUUAGGUUUGUCACUGGCAUUAAAGGUAAUAGCCGUGUCACUCCAUGGGUUUAUUGUUGCUACUUGGUAGACUUCGGUAAGGCUGCGGAGCGUUCGUUUCCUUGCAUUGUUUGAUGCGAAAGUCUCAAAGACUGUUGACACUGUACUGGCGUUUCUGGGGUGGUGCUCUGCGGAUUCUAGAGUUAGAAGCUCCUCGCCACUUCUGGCCACCUACCGGAGUAUCCAACAUGCUCUAAGGCUAUGAGUUGGUGUGACUUCCCCUGAACUAUGAAUUUUAAAGGGUCCAAUGAGCCAUCCCUCCAGUACGGUUCCAUACCCUAUAGAGGGUUUUUGUUUUUUGCUGUUUGGCCCAGGUGCCUGGCAAUAAUGCGCCCCUUUGUUUUGGACUGGGAUUGUAUUCAGGGUCGGAUUGUCCCAGAAUUUUGUUUCGGUUUUUCGAACGCUUUCUGUUGCACAGUACUUUCGUACUACGGAUGUCAAGUCGGCGAAGCGUGUAAUAUCGCAGCGACUUAUGGCGUUGAUGAUUCCAAUGUCCGUGUAAUUGUUACAGAAGAAUGAAAUUGCAUCCCUCUCGCGGUAGUCCUUUAUCCUGUUUCUAACCAGGAGGAAUCUGGCCCAGUAAUGGUGUACUGUUUCCCCAGGCUCUUGCCGAAUUUGGGAUAGAUCCCUUGUAUUUGGGUGGGCGGGUGGAUUUAAAUUCGGAACCUCGCCCGAUCUAAGACUCAGGGGCCAAGAAAUUUCCAAAUUCUGAAUCUUGUUUUCUUGGACGUUAUUCAAUGAAUCAGGCCCGCUGCCUGACUUUAGGUUCAGGGCUUGGGCGAUGUCCUCCCCUCCACGGAUGUCUAGCUCGGAGGGAUCAGGAAUCCGGACACAUCUGGUCCUUAGGAUGGGCGAAGAUUUGCCGCAUUGUUCUUCCACCACUUAAACAUGGUGGGUGACCUGGGGAGAGUCAAUCUCUCUCUGAUCGGGUUUAAGCCCAACCUGGCCGUAAUCUGUAGCGACUCCCAGGGCGGCGAUGCGAUCCAAGAGCUCGUUUAGGGAAGAGAGCUCCAUCAGAUCUAACGGCUCCGCAAGUUCCGAGCUGAUGUGGAGAUUGCUUUCGAUGGCCCGAGAGGUCAUCGUCGGCGCGGUGGCCGAACAGGCGGUCAUCAAAAAACUGCCUAGCCGGAGAGUUUGGCCGACAGCCAAAGGUCCUUUAGCAACAGCGCCGUCUUUAAAGAUGGGGUGCGGCAUCCUUCCUGACGGUGACGACACAGAGGAACUCUAAAUGAAAGCACCAAUGUCGGUGUCAAAACCGGCGGAUCUCGGGUAGGGGGUCCCGAACUGUGCGUCUAGGUGGAUGGUAACAGGAGACAAGGGACAUGAUGUUUUUACCCAGGUUCAGGCCCUCUCGAUGGAGGUAAAACCCUACUCCUCCUUGAUUAAUAUUGAUGAUAUGGGUAGUACAAGAGUUGAUCUACCACGAGAUCAUAAAGGCUAAACCCUAGAAGCUACCCUAUGGUAUGAUUGUUUUUCGUCCUACGGACUAAAACUCUCCGGUUUAUAUAGACACCGGAGAGGGCUAGGGUUACACAUAGUCGCACACUGUGACACACAAUUUUUUUUGUGGUUUUUGUUUUCAAAAAAAGAAAACCCUCUUUUUUUGGUUUUGGGCCUUUAUUUGGUUUUGAUCUUUUCUUAAGUUUUACCAUGCCUCCUAUGGUAAAUUUUUUCCCAAAACCCCUCCUUCCACUUUGGUACAACCCAAACAUUCUAUCCAAACUAAUAAAAUCCAUUUUUGGAUUUUAUUCCAUUAAAUUCUUUCCCCAAAAUAAUUUUGUCCUUCAUUUGGAGCCUAGGUAGUUUGCAAAGCAAGUACCUUAAUGCAUUUGAUUUUUGACCUCAACCCAACUCCUCUGGAUAGUCCUUUGUACCCACAACCUAGAACCAUCUUGAUCCACUCUUCUUCUUUUCAAUUAUUUCAAAUUUCACUCUCUGGAAGUUUGGACCAGAUUUGCCAAAUUUGGUGAAAUUCAUAUCUACACUUCUCCAAAAAUUCCACCAAAAUUCAGGCAACCUCUAGUUGCAAUGAGAGACCUCUCCACCAAAAACCAGCUCAAGGAAAAAUCCCUACAUGCCAGAAUCAUUCUGUCGAACACUUGGCAUGCACUGUUUUUGUUCAUAUUCAGUAAAUUCAGAGUUUCAGUAUCAUUUCCCCGACACAACUUCAGUCACAUGCCCACUGUGCAUUUGGCUCGAUGCUCGCAGCCCCUCCCUCUUGUCCGGAGCUCCACACGCGCACUUGGCGCCUUCCUGGCGUUAGUGGUGCCCUGGCCCGCCUGCGCCGGCGUGCUUUGCGGCGGCAGAACCACCGUAACGGCCGACAGGGGGCAACACCACGGCAGAACGCCGUUCGGCACCGCCCAACCCUCCUGGUAGCUCCGCGUGGCCAUCUCCUUGCCAGCACACGCAUGUAGCACCGUUGCCGUGGCCUGGCACGCGCAGAGCGCGUUCUCUACCGCCGACGGGCCGUGCUGCCGUUCCGUCGAGGGCAGGCCGUAACCCUCCCUCCCGUGCUGAGUUGGAACCUGUAAUGGCACCACUGCUCCACCUAGACGAUGCUCAAGCACCUAAGCCGACCGUUCCGCCACAGCGCCGCCGUAAUCACCCGCCGGACUUAUUCAUCCAUGGCAACCGCCUCGGGCCGGCUAUAAAUAGCACCCCCUGAGCUUGCCCUCGCCCACGCACAACUCCACCACCUCACUAGACCCCGCCUAGGCACUGGGAGAGCCUCGAGGGGCCUUUCUUCUUCGACUCCGGCCACCUCCGUCCGCCUCGGGCUCCGGCAACAUUCUCUUCGGUGAGAACUCCUCCGCUGCCCUGCUCUUUCCCGUAGCCUCGUACCACCUCCAGUAGGCUAACCCCCACUUCAAUUUGAACACCGCAGCUCCCUCCGGCGAGAUCCACGACUGCCCGAACCGCCGUCCGCCGGAGCAAGGGCCUCCGUCGACACAGUGCUCACCGGCGACCACCACCACCACCCACAGACGCGGAAGGGUUCACUGAUCACGAAGGUAACUCCCAAUCACCUUGCCUCGCCGUGGAUCGCCGCCGGCGACCACCACACCUCUCGGGCGCCGUCGUGCUCUGUUUUCCUCAUUUGAAAUUUCCAACCUGACGGGUGGAGCCCGCCUGUCAGUCUCCCAGCCGUUUCUUUUAAACAAAACGUUUUUUGGACUUUUCCGCAGAGCCCCCUGGAAACUUUCUGUUUCAUUACAGAUGGGUCCUUGGACCAAAAUUCUUAUAACUUCUCAACAGAAGAUGGUUUUUGAUUGAUUCUUUUUCUGUCAUCUUUAUUUUUCUGUCUAGUUUUUUGUCAUGUUUAUUUGAAAAAUAUUUGGAAUACUUUUCUGUACACUCACGAUAUUUACGUUACGUACAUAUUUUUCUUAUACCGUAGAUUCCGGAGGAAGCAACGGAGCCGCAAACUUCGCACAGUUAGACUCCGACUACUCCGAACCAGGCAAACAUGUUUGAACUAUUGAUAUGAUGAAGUGUUUGUUGCAUGUUUGCAUUUUAGGAGUUUCAUGGCAUGUUAAUGAACACAUCAUAGAAUGUUAUAUUUCAUGCACAGAGUGGAAAGUAAGUUUCGGAAAGCCAUAUGUUGUUGGAUACAUAUUGGCAAGGCCAUGAGAUGGCAUAAGGAUGGGUAAGAUGGUAGUGUUGUGACAUGCCAGUCUUAUGCCAGUCCAUUUGACAGCAGUAUCAUCAUGAUCAAAUCAUAUUCCCAUUCACUUCCUUCCUAUGCUGCCACAUGUUUUCCGCAAGGAAUAUGGCGUAGUAAGUUGCAACCAUUUUCCUGGUACACACCAAGUAGAGAGGCCGGGAUGAGGGUUCCAUGGCCCUGGAUUAAAGCCCGUCAUCCGGUCAGGGGGCAUGGGUGUUUCCUGUUGGGACCGAGAGGGGGCACCCCUUAGAGCGCGCGUAUAGAAAUUUGAUCCCAUGCUAUUCGAGGUUGUGGCCUCCCCGUCUCAAAGUUUUUCUUGGACGUUGCCUAGGGUGAUUCCUGGCAUCGUGAGGUGGAAUGGGUGUGUACUAGUUAAAUGUGUUUCUUCCGAAAUACCGUAAACGGAACUAGUCCUUCGUGACUACGGAAAUCCGUUGGCUGUGGACAGUAGUACAAACUCUGCAGAGUCACAACUCCUUAAAUCAUCUUGUACUUGUCCAAGUACUGUAUUCAUCUUAUCUUGUCAGGUAUCUGUCUCAGUGACAAAACUUCGGUGGACUACCAGGGUGAUAAACCCGGCUAAAAGAUUAUUCUUGUGGAUGGACUAAUACUUGUUGUUUACAUUUGUCAUAAGCCCUAUCUGUGAUGUCGCUCAGACGUCCGAUGGUGGCAUACCUGUUAUCUACAUUUGUCACAAGCCCUGUCUGCGAUGUCGCUCAGACGUCCGAUGGUGGCAUUUCUUUUAAAGCCCUUUAUGUGAUGUCACUCAGACGUCCGACUGUGGCAUUUCUUUUAAAAGCCCUUUAUGUGAUGUCACUCAGACGUUCGACUGUGGCAUUUCUUUUAAAAGCCCUUUAUGUGAUGUCGCUNNNNNNNNNNNNNNNNNNNNNNNNNNNNNNNNNNNNNNNNNNNNNNNNNNNNNNNNNNNNNNNNNNNNNNNNNNNNNNNNNNNNNNNNNNNNNNNNNNNNNNNNNNNNNNNNNNNNNNNNNNNNNNNNNNNNNNNNNNNNNNNNNNNNNNNNNNNNNNNNNNNNNNNNNNNNNNNNNNNNNNNNNNNNNNNNNNNNNNNNNNNNNNNNNNNNNNNNNNNNNNNNNNNNNNNNNNNNNNNNNNNNNNNNNNNNNNNNNNNNNNNNNNNNNNNNNNNNNNNNNNNNNNNNNNNNNNNNNNNNNNNNNNNNNNNNNNNNNNNNNNNNNNNNNNNNNNNNNNNNNNNNNNNNNNNNNNNNNNNNNNUUUAAAGCCCUUUAUGUGAUGUCGCUCAGACGUCCGACUGUGGCAUUUCUUUGAAAGCCCUUUAUGUGAUGUCGCUCAGACGUCCGACUGUGGCAAUUCUUUUAAAGCCCUUUACGUGGUGUCGCUUAGACGCCUGACUGUGGCAUGCAUUUUACUUGUUUGCCCUUUCGAGGCGUCGCUCCAGACACCCGAUCGGUUUUCAGUUAUUUAUUUUACUUGUCAAAUCUUUGUUAUUGAGCAUUAUUAUUUUGCUCAUGACGCAUUCAUGCAUGCAUUUGUUAUAUCUUUUGUCUGAACUGUCUUGUGAGUACUUUCAAAGUACUCACCUGGCUUGUUGAUUUGGCCAGAUGUUGAUGAAGGUGGUCUCAUGGAUGAGGAAUUCAAUAGCGAGUCCGACGCCUAGAGGAGUCCCAGUCAGUCCCGAGCGAUCCUGUUUUGGUCACUGUAUCAUGUCCGCUUCCGCUACCCCAGAAUAAAUUCAUCGAGCCUCACCUCGACGCUCGAUGAGCCGCCAGUAGAAGUCAAGUUAUCCUCCACCACUUUCUAUUUCGAGCUAGUAGCAUGUCACCACACCCCCCUGUGCCAUAACCGCCUUUAUGUAAGAUAUUGGUGAGUUUGUAUUAAUUAGUUGAGCAGCCUCAGCUCAACCCUGUAAAAUAUUUGAUGCUACUGGUCCUUUGUUUAUCAAGUAUUUGUCUACCAGAAAGGAUGACUUUUCCUAUACUGGGUUUAAAAGGUCGGUUUUAUCAAUAAACAUUUUAUUGAAAAGCCGGUCGUGACAGACUUGGUAACCAGAGCCAGGCUGACUGUAGGAAGCCACUAGGUGCGAUCGCUAAUUGGUUAUUAGCAUGAUAGAGUUUAUUCAUGUUUUUACAAAUGUAGUCAUUUUUCUGACAGUCAGCAUAAAAAUUUUAUGAUCUGAUCAUGCAGAAUUUUUGCCUACUUUCGUAGAUGGCCGGCAACGACUGCGAGUCUCAAAUGUUUGCCAACGUGCUUGAGGGGUUCGUCAAACUACUCUCCUUCAUCGUUCAGGUCGCGAUGGAGCCAUCCGUGCGCCCAAUCUUCACACUUUAUCCACACAAGAUCAACAACAGUCUGACUAUGCACCAGGCCGUGGUGCAAUUCAGGGGAGGUCAUGCUGAGAUACGCCGCCUCCGAUUCUUGGGGAGAGCCAUGCCUACAGAGAGGCAUGCUAUGCAGAUGGCAGCCCGCGAGGCGAUAGCACGUCUUCGGGAUGUCCUACCUGCAAUGAAGACCCAUCGCUACCGCUACCUUCCAUGCCAUGUACCCUACACCUGUCACUACUCAUUCUCUUGCCCCAGAGGAGAGCGAGACGAAGCCUUUGAGAUGCUUGUCGAGUACCUCCGAGCCCUGGAGGCAGCCUUCGACAGCAUGGUGGACGACCUCAUAGCUGCACGCAUGGACUCAGUUCAUGGCUGUGCUGCUAACAGGAGGGAACUCCUGCACACCGCUCCACCACUAACUUUUGUCUCAUCCGUAGCUUCUCACUCACCUACCAUUCUCGCCACUGCUCGUUGUCUGCCUACCACUGAGGAAUUUGACCAAGCUAUUGCACCCACUCCCGUUUGCUCUGCACCACUUGUUGCACCCACUCCCAUACGUGUUACUCCACCUAUUCCACCCACUCGCAUUCGUGUUAUUCCGCCUACGGCACCUGCUCCGUCAGCUCAGCGCAGCGUUUCUCGUCUGGAACCUAUUAGCGAGGAGGAGGUUGAUUCCCCAGCGUCUCUGCGUCUCACCCUCGGCAGGCCAAAUGAGAUCCUCACCAUCUCCGACUGAGUACGCGUAGCCGCCAUGCGACGCAACGACUUGUGUGAUAUGUGUAUAUGUACAUAGGUUGUGAGAAGUAGCCUGUUUGCGCAUCAUGUAGGAUAUGGAGAAGUGCACUAGUUUUAAUAACAUGUCAGGUUUAUGUAUGCAUAUCUUGAGUGAUGUAAUGUAUAAUUAUGCUCGCGUGUAAGAUAUGUAAUAGUCAUUCUCCGCGCGAAAUCGUGUAUUUCUAAAAAUUAUCCUAGAGUUUCAAAAUUUUCUUUGUGUGUGAUUUUAUUGACUUUUGCGACUCUCUUGUCUUACGAGUUUCACAAAAUGUAUCCCCAGUGUCACAUCCCUAGCUUCUGGCAUUGCACUAUGAUAGUGUCAUGUGUGCAUCAUGUCUAAAUUUUUCUUAAACUUGAAAUGGGGACUAACAAACCCCAACACCCCCUUUUGAAAUACUAGGUUCCAACAAUUGGAAUUUCAAUGAACCCAAAAUGCCCUUCAUAAAUGUUUACCAUCUUUGGUCCUGGCUAAACCCUCUGCCAAAAAUGGUUUCAUAUUUUUGGAGGCUAUUCUGGAUUUUUGCACCAAGCCAUAAGUAUUUGCAUUUGGGCAAUUUAAAUCCUAUAAAUAUUUUAAAAUGCCCAAAUAAUCCUGAAGGUAUUUUUAGGCUGUUGAGAAUAUUUUCAAAUGUGCCUUUGAAUAUUUUCAGGUUUUUCCUAAAUGGAAUAGUAUUUCUACUAUUUCAAAACACAGAACAGAAACAAGUAAAAAGUAAAACAGAAAGCAGAGAGAGAGGGUUUUACCUGGCGCUCACCUGGCCUGGCCCAGCACGGCCCAGCCCACUGGCCUGUGCCAGUCGUCGCCCACCCCUGCCAGUAGGCAGAGGAGGGACAGCGCACGGCGCGCGCGUGGGCGCCACGCCACCAGGCUGCCUGCCUGCGUCACCUGGCCACCGCGACGCCUUGCGUCUUCUCCUCGGCGCUGCCUCGGCCCCCUGGUCACCACUCUCCCCUCCUAUGCUCCCCCCUCGUCCUCUCCCCCUCAUGCCCGAGCGAGUUCGUCGCCGCCGUUCACCAUAGCCGCGGCCACCGCCUCCCCCUCGACCCCUCGCUGUGCCUGCGAGCUCCGGCUCGACGUCCUCGACCUUCUCGACGACCCACGAGGCCCCGGACGCGCUGCAACGCCGCCACCGAUGCUUUUCCCCUCCUCGGCUGCCGGAGAUCGACCUCGCCGCCCCGCUCAGCUCCGGCCUUCCCCGAGCUCGCCGUCUGCACCGUUGCAACCGCCGUAAGCCUCUCCCUCAAACCCUCCUCUCUGUUGUCCCGUUUUCACGCCGUAGCUCCUAGUUCACUGACGACCGAAGCCCGCCACCGCCAUGGACGUUGAGCCACGCGCCCCCGAGCUUCGCUUGCUCGCCCUGGUGGCACAGACGUGCUCCUGGUGACCCGACGACGCCGUCUAUGCCCUUGGUUGAGCUCCUCGUGCUCCGCCACGCCGCGCCCGUACAAACCCGUAGCUGCGCCGCCGCCAAAACUCAUCGCCAGCGAAAUUCCGGCAGCCCUGCGACCCCCUGUCUGGCCCAUUGGAUGCGCCUGAGCAAGGGCUUCUCCCCGAUGCUUUCUGCAUGACAAACUGCGGCCCCUAGCGCUUUCCCGACGCACGUCCGCCGUGGCAAAUGGUCGCCGGCGGCUGAACGCCGGCAGGCCGACAUGGCAACGUCGUUAACUGCUAAUAACGGGGCUAACUAACUCCCUCUCUCACUGACUACUGGGCCCCACGCCCUUAACUAACACCAGUUUAAUUUAUGUUUAGUUUUAUUUAAUCACAGUGGCCCAUGCGUCGGCGUUGACCUCGCUGACGUGGCCAUUGACUGGCCCCACUUGUCUGUGACACUAACCAGCCCCGAGUCACUGACCAAUGGGCCCCACUGGUCAGGUUUGACCGGGUCAGCCGCAGUUGACCAGCUGACAUCACAGUGACGCAGAGCUGACGCAAUAAGUCAUUUUCUGGAUUUAAUUUAAUUCAGAAAAAUCCAGAAAAUUGCCUAAACUUCUAAAUAUCAUAGAAAAUCAACCGUAACCCCAAAUGAAAUAAAUUAUAUAUGAAAAAUGAUCAGAAAAAUCCAAUCUAUCCAUCUGUACCAUUUUCAUGCAUGUUAGAACAAGUUUUGUUCACUGUUUAGGUCAAAUCAAUUGAAUGACAUUUAAACCUUCACAUAUGGAGUUCGAAUUUGAACCUAGGGUUCAAACCAACUUCAUUUAACCUGUUGGUAGCUGCAUUAGCUCAAACCAAAGCAUAUUGCCAUGUCACAUCCAUGCAUCAUAUUGUCGCAUUGCAUUGAUUGUGUUUCCUCUCUCUUGCCGGUAAUUGUUCCCUCUCAGUAGACAACGUUCCGACGAUGAGUUCGAUGACACCGAUGAAGAACUAUAUUAUCUUCAGAAGUGCCAGGCAAGCAAAACCCCCUUGUUCAUUCCGAUAAAAUCCCACUCUCUCGCUCCUGCUCUCUUUUACUGCAUUAGGACAACACCGAUUCAUCUGUUACUUGCUGCGGUAGCUGAACCCCUUUAUCCUUUGCAUGACAUGUCAUUGCCACAGUAAAUAGAUGAAACCCACUAGCAUGAGUAGGAGUUGUUUGAGCCCUGAUGUGCCUACUCAUUCAUGCUUGUUGUCAUGCCUGCUAUUGCUUAGAGUUGUGUCAGGUCUGAUUCAUCGGGGAUGAAUCGGAGGUGUGUGAACAUGUCCUACUAUUGAGAGCUAAGUGUGUGAACACGAUUUGGUAAAGGUAGCGGUGAGAGGCCAUGUAGGAGUACAUGGUGGGUUGUCUCAUUGCAGCCGUCCUCAGAAACUGAGUUCUGUGUUUGUGAUCCAUGACCAGCUACUACCACGCAUUGGAAUGCUUAAGUGCCCCUCUCGACUUAUUAAUCAACUUGAUCUCUGUCCAGGAGUUGCAACUAGUUUCUGGUGUUUGUAGGUAGUGUUAGUAGUCUACCAAGUGGCACCCGGUACAGGUGGGCUUGGGACAGACUAGGCACAGUGGCCCGGUGUACCAAGUGGCACCCGGAUGGUGGACUUGGGAACCCUGCACACAUCGUUUGGGGCCGUGAGCGACACCCCGGCCGGAUCUCCUUGCGGAUGGAACCCGAAUAGGCGAUAAACCUAGACGAGAGACUUGUGUGGUUAGUCAGGUCGUGGCCGACACCCUCGCUGGGCUUUUGCUUGAAGGUUGCCGAGUACAUGUCGUGUAAACGGCGGUAAGUGGUGAGAGCGUGUGUGGAAAAGUACACCCCUGCAGGGUUAAUAUGAUCUAUUCGAAUAGCCGUGUCCGCGGUAAAGGACUUCUGGGUUGCCUGUAAAGUUCAUAGACAAGUGAAAGUGGAUACUUUAAAAUAUGCAAGAUAAGCGUGAGUGCUAUGGAUGGCGUUCUCGUAGGGAGACGGGAGCGGAUCCAUAGUGGUGUAUUGAUAUGGUGAAUAUGUGGACUCGUGUGCGCCACCUCAAAGAGUUACUUGCAGUCGUAGUUAGGAUAGCCACCGAGUCAAAGCUGGCUUGCUGCAGUUAAACCCCACCAUCCCCUUUGUUGAUAAUGAUGCAUAUGUAGUUAGUUCUGAUGUAAGUCUUGCUGGGUACAUUUGUACUCACGUUGCUUAAUUUAUGUUUUUGCAGAGAGACUUCAGUCUCGCUAGUAGUUCCACGUGGACUUCGACGUUUAGCUUGUUACCUCAGCUACGAUCUUGUGCCCUCGGCAGGAUCUGAUAGACAGUCAGGCUUCUCAGCCUUUUUCAUUUGUAGAUGUCUGUACUCAGACAUGUUAAGCUUCCGCUUGUGCUUUGACUUGAAUGCUCUGAGUGUUGGGUCAUGAGACCCAUGUUUGUAAUAUCUCGCUCCUCGGAGCCUAAUGAAUAAAUGCUUGAGUUGUAGAGUCAUGUUGUGAUGCCAUGUUGUAUUUGCACAUAUCGAGCAUAUUGUGUGUAUGUUAAUGAAAUGCUUGGUAUGUGUGGGACCUGACUAUCUAGUUGUUUAUCCUUAGUAGCCUCUCUUACCGGGAAAUGUCUCCUAGUGUUUCCACUGAGCCAUGGUAGCUUGCUACUGCUCCGGAACACUUAGGCUGGCCGGCAUGUGUCCUUCUUCGUUCCUGUGUCUGUCCCCUCGGGGAAAUGUCACGCGAUGAAUUCCGGAGUCCUGUUAGCCCGCUACAGCCCGGUUCACCGGAGUCCUGCUAGCCCAGUGCUACAGCCUGGAUUCACUUGCUGAUGACCGACACGUUCGUUGUUGGGUCAUGUAUGCCUGUCCCUGUAAGAUAGUGCCACUUAGGGUUUACGACUAGCCAUGUCAGCCCGGGCUCCUUAUCAUAUGAAUGCUAGCGACACUAUCAUAUACGUGUGCCAACAGGCGCAAACGGUCCCGGGCAAAGGUAAGGCGACACCCGUGGGAAUACCGUGCGUGAGGCUGCAAAGUGAUAUGAGGUGUUACAUGCUAGAUCGAUGUGGCAUUGAGUCGGGGUCCUGACACCCAGAGUGAAAGAUGUCUCGUCCUUGGACGCGCUCUAUGCCAAACCAGCCAGAAGAAAAUUUUGGCACACCACAAAACCACAAUUUCACUCAGGGACAGACAAGUCAACAGGACAGUGAAACAACAUUUACCAAAGUAUGUCGUCUGUAUGAACAGAGUCAGCAAUAACACCAGGAAAUGAUGAACCAAUUCAUCAAUAUGGGAAAUCACCAUGGUCAGUAUCAGCCGCAAUCCAAGUUGUCUGAGUUACAGAAGACGCGUCCCCCAACUUUUUCGCAUACUGAUAAGCCGCUUGAAGCCGACGACUGGCUUCGGGACAUGGAAAGAAAAUUAAUCAUUCCACAGUGUUCAGACCAGGAAAAGGUAUUGUACGCACCACAUUAUCUCACAGGAGCAGCUGCAUCGUGGUGGGAAAACUUCCUGCACAUGCACCCCAAUGAAAAUGAAAUCACCUGGGAAAAAUUCAAAGAAGGUUUUCGUGGGGCACAUAUUCCUAAGAGCGUCAUGAAAAUCAAGAAGAAAGAAUUUGAUGAACUCAAGCAAAGGACCAUGACGAUGUCAGAAUAUAACAGCCAAUUCACUUUGCUGUCUCGCUACGCUAAUGAAGAGCGCAUGACCGAGAGCAAGAAGAUGGAAAAAUUCUUGGAAGGCCUGGGACCCGCUCUUAAAUGCCAGCUGGUUGUGCAUACCUUCCCAGAUUUUAAGACACUGGUGGAUAAGGCCAUUACUCUGGAAAAUGAGCGACGUAGCCUAGAAGAUUUCCGCAAACGCAAGAGGGACCAAACUACUUUUGCUCGCAAUCACAGAAGCAAGAAGGAAUUUCAGAAGGGGGAAUCACACAAAACCGACAAAUAAUUCACGCCCAGCCAAGAAUUUCCAUGCAAGAGACAAGGAGUUCACAUAUCGCCCAGGCGUUACUUGUUACGCUUGUGGAGAAGAAGGGCACUACGCCAAGCAAUGUCCCAAGCCAAGAAAUUCAACCCCAAAGGCUAACAAUGGAGGCAAUAAUUCAGCGCCAAAGUGAAACAAUUUCAACCCCAAUAACAACCACCGGAAGGGUCACCUGAACCACGUAACAAAAGAGGAAGCAUAGAACGCCCCAGAUAUCAUACUCGGUACGUACCCCGUCAACACAAUACCUGCCAUGGUUUUGUUUGAUUCUGGAGCUUCUCACUCAUUUAUUUCGAAGAGUUUUUCUUUGCAAAAUAAUUUUUUGAUGCUUCCCUUGGAAAAGUCAAUGAUCAUCAAGUCCCCUGGAAUUAAGCAAAUGACCCAGAGUUACUGUCAAGGAGUGGUUAUUGAAUUUGAAGGGUUGGAGUUUUACGCCAACCUUAUUAUAUUGGAAAGCAAAGGACUGGAUGUCAUCCUAGGGAUGGAUUGGUUGACCACCAACAAAGGUUUUAUUGACUGUUUCAACCAGACCAUGAUUCUCACCCACCAUCAGGGAAAGACAAUAAAAGUUUCAGCCAAGGAGAGAUAAAUACCUCGGCAACCAAGAUUAAACAAGGUGGACGUUUCUGAACUGGACAAGGUUCCAGUAGUGUGUGAAUUUCUAGAUGUAUUUCUAGAAGAACUACCAGGCAUGCCACUAGACAGAGAGAUAGAAUUCAGCAUUGAGCUAGCACCCGGAACCGCUCCCAUUUAUAAGAAACCAUACAGAAUGGCACCAUCCGAAUUGGUAGAGUUGAAGAAGAAAAUAAAAGAAUUAUUGGAGAAAGGAUACAUCCGAGCCAGCUCCUCACCGUGGGGUUCUCCAAUUUUAUUUGCCAAGAAAAAGGAUGGAACACUAAGAUUGUGUAUUGACUAUCGAGCUCUUAACAUGGUCACAAUCAAGAACAAAUACCCAAUGCCCCGAAUAAAUGAUUUAUUUGAUCAGCUCGCACAGGCCAAAGUCUUCUCAAAAAUUGACUUGAGAUCAGGAUACCACCAGUUGAAAGUACGAACUGAAGAUAUUCCCAAGACAGCCUUCACCUCCAGAUAUGGGUUGUAUGAGUUCACAGUGAUGCCAUUCGGGCUGAGCAACGCCCCCGCAUAUUUUGUUCACCUUAUGAACAAAGUAUUUAUGAAGUAUAUGGACAAGUUUGUUGUAGUAUUCAUCGAUGAUAUUCUGAUAUACUCCAAAACACCAGAAGAGCACGCCGAGCAUCUCAGGAUUGUACUCGGAGAACUCAGGAAACAUCAAUUGUACGCCAAAUUCAGCAAAUGUGAAUUUUGGCUAAGACAGGUGGGUUUUCUGGGCCACGUGCUAACCCAAGAAGGUAUUGCAGUAGACCCAGAAAAAGUCAAGGCCGCACUUGGCUGGAAACCACCAGCUAACGUAACGGAAGUACGGAGUUUCUUGGGAAUGGCAGGCUAUUAUCAGCGAUUUAUUGAAGGAUUCUCCACCAUAGCAAAGCCCAUGACACAAUUGCUCAAGAAAGGCAAGAAGUUUGAAUGGAAGGAAGCAUGUGAGAAAAAUUUCCAAGAGCUAAAAAGCAAAUUAACAACGGCACCAGUAUUAAUUGUGCCAGACAUACACAAGAAUUUUGAAGUAUAUUGUGACGCAUCCCGGGAAGGCCUCGGAUGCGUAUUGAUGCAAGAAGGCAAGGUUGUUGCAUAUGUCUCCAGACAACUUCGCAAGCAUGAGGAGAAUUAUCCCACUCAUGAUUUAGAAUUAGCAGCGGUCAUCCAUGCACUCAAGGAAUGGAGACACUUUCUACUUGGAAACCACUGUGAAAUAUACAUAGACCAUAAGAGUCUUAAGUAUAUUUUCACACAGCCAGAACUAAAUUUACGGCAAUGACGCUGGUUGGAGUUAGUGAAGGAUUAUGAUGUUGGAAUCCACUACCAUCCCGGAAAAGCAAAUGUUGUGGCAGAUGCCCUGAGUCGGAAUCCCAGCACGGACGACGACAAUGUACCAAAGUUGAGACCCGAAUUUCAACAGGAAUUUGCCAUACUCAAUUUAAUAAUGAUUACCGAAGGCAAUGUGUCGAAUCUGGAAAUACAGCCUACCCUGAUGGAAAAGAUCAAGGAAGCCCAGCACGGACACCCCAGCAUUGAUGGCAUAAAAAGGAAAGUAAGUUUGGGCAAGACCUUGGAACUCAACGUAGAUGAGCAAGGAAUAUUAUGGUACGGAGAAAGAAUCUGCGUACCAAAUAUCUAGGACCUCAAACAUCAGAUUCUGUCUGAAAGCCACACCGCUCCGUAUUCAAUCCAUCCUGGAGGGACAAAGAUGUACAAAGACCUUCAGGAAAAAUUUUGGUGGCACGGUAUGAAGAGAGACAUAGCCACGUUCAUUGCAUGUUGCGACUCUUGUCAACGCAUAAAGGCCGAGCACGAGAAACCAGCCGGGCUGUUGCAGCCGAACAAAAUACCCGAGUGGACGUGGGACGAGAUUGGAAUGGAUUUCAUUGUUGGACUACCACGGUCACGACAUGGAAAUAAUGCCAUAUGGGUCAUAACCGACAGGUUAACUAAGGUGGCACAUUUUAUUCCGGUGAAGACAACUUACUCCACUCAGAGACUGUCCAGACUUUAUCUUGCCCGUAUCGUCUGCCUGCAUGGAGUCCCAAAGACUAUCAUAUCUGACAGAGGCACACAGUUCGUCUCUAGAUUUUGGGAUCACCUACAACAAGCACUGGGUACCCAACUAGCAUUCAGCACCGCAUACCAUCCCCAGACUGAUGGACAGACUGAACAUGUAAACCAAAUUCUAGAAGAUAUGCUGAGAGCUUGUGUCCUCACCUACGGAACCAGUUGGGAGGAGAGCUUGCCAUAUGCAGAGUUCGCAUAUAACAACAGUUAUCAAGCCAGCUUGCAAAUGGCACCCUUUGAAGCUCUAUAUGGCAGAAGAUGCCGUACCCCGCUAAAUUGGUCAAAGACCGGAGACAGCCAUAUCUUCGGCCCAGAUAUGCUCAAAGAAGCCGAAGAGAAAGUUAAGAUAAUUAGAGAUCGACUCAAGACAGCUCAAAGUCGGCAACAGAGUUAUUAUGAUCGAAAGCAUUGGGAAAUCAGUUUUGAACCAGGAGAAUCCGUGUACCUAAGAGUCUCUCCUAUGAGGGGUCUGCAACGAUUCAGGAUUAAGGGAAAGCUAGCACCAAGAUUCAUCGGACCAUUCCGUAUAAUGGCCCGAAGAGGCAUGGUAGCCUACCAGCUAGACUUACCCAGGGAUUUAUCCGAUAUCCACAACGUGUUUCACAUCUCACAAUUGAGAAAGUACGUGAGCAACCCAGAGAAGCAGGUAUCACAUGAAAAUAUUGACGUACAACCGGAUCUCACCUAUCGAGAGCACCCAAUAAAAAUAUUAGAAGAGUCUGAAAGGAGGACCCGAUAGAAAACCAUCAAAUUUUCAGAGUUCAGUGGAGCAACCACACCGAGAAUGAAGCAACUUGGGAGAGAGAGGAUUUUCUCCGAACAGAACACCCACACCUGUUUAAGGAUCAACUGAAAUCUCGGGGACGAGAUUUUUCCUAAGGGGGUAGGUGUUGUGACACACAAUUUUUUUUUGUGGUUUUUGUUUUCAGAAAAAAGAAAACCCUCUUUUUUUGGUUUUGGGCCUUUAUUUGGUUUUGAUCUUUUCUUAAGUUUUACCAUGCCUCCUAUGGUAAAUUUUUUCCCAAAACCCCUCCUUCCACUUUGGUACAACCCAAACAUUCCAUUAAAUUCUUUCCCCAAAAUAAUUAUGUCCUUCAUUUGGAGCCUAGGUAGUUUGCAAAGCAAGUACCUUAAGCAUUUGAUUUUUGACCUCAACCCAACUCCUCUGGAUAGUCCUUUGUACCCACAACCUAGAACCAUCUUGAUCCACUCUUCUUCUUUUCAAUUAUUUCAAAUUUCACUCUCUGCAAGUUUGGACCAGAUUUGCCAAAUUUGGUGAAAUUCAUAUCUACACUUCUCCAAAAAUUCCACCAAAAUUCAGGCAACCUCUAGUUGCAAUGAGAGACCUCUCCACCAAAAACCAGCUCAAUGAAAAAUCCCUACAUGCUAGAAUCAUUCUGUCGAACACUUGGCAUGCACUAUUUUUGUUCAUAUUCAGUAAAUUCAGAGUUUCAGUGUCGUUUCCCCGACAGAACUUUAGUCACAUGCCCACUGUGCAUUUGGCUCGAUGCUCGCAGCCCCUCCCUCUUGUCCGGAGCUCCACACGCGCACUUGGCGCCUUCCUGGCGUCGGUGGCGCCCUGGAUCGCCUGUGCUGGCGUGCUUUGCGGUGGCAGAACCACCGUAACGGCCGACAGGGGGCAACACCACGGCAGAACGCCGUUCGGCACCGCCCAACCCUCAUGGUAGCUCCGCGUGGCCAUCUCCUUGCUAGCACACGCAUGCAGCACCGUCGCCGUGGCCUGGCACGCGCAGAGCGCGUUCUCUGCCGCCAAUGGGCUGUGCUGCCAUUCCGUCGAGGGCAGGCCGUAACCCUCCCUCCCGUGCUGAGUUGGAACCUGAAAUGGCACCACUGCUCCACCUAGACGAUGCUCAAGCUCCUAAGCCGACCGUUCCGCCGCAGCGCCGCCGUAAUCACCCGCCAGACUUAUCCGUCCACGGCAACUGCCUCGGGCCGGCUAUAAAUAGCACCCCCCGAGCUUGCCCUCGCCCACGCACAACUCCACCACCUCACUAGACCCCGCCUAGCCACUGGGAGAGCCUCGAGGGGCCUUUCUUCUUCGACUCCGGCCACCUCCGUCCGCCUCGGGCUCCAGCAACAUUCUCUUCGGUGAGAACUCCUUUGCCGCCCUGCUCUUGCCCGUAGCCUCGUACCACCUCCAGUAGGCUAACCCCCACUUCAAUUUGAACACCGUAGCUCCCUCCGGCGAGAUCCACGACUGCCCGAACCGCCGUCCGCCGGAGCAAGGGCCUCCGUCGACACAGUGCUCGCCGGCGACCACCACCACCACCCACAGACGCGGAAGGGUUCACUGAUCAUGAAGGUAACUCCCGAUCACCUUGCCUCGCCGUGGAUCGCCGCCGGCGACCACCGCACCUCUCGGGCGCCGUCGCGCUCUGUUUUCCUCAUUUGAAAUUUCCAACCUGACGGGUGGAGCCCGCCUGUCAGUCUCCCAGCCGUUUAUUUUAAACGAAACGUUUUCUGGACUUUUCCGCAGAGCCCCCUGGAAACUUUCUGUUUCAUUACAGAUGGGUCCUUGGACCAAAAUUCUUAUAACUUCUCAACAGAAGAUGGUUUUUGAUUGAUUCUUUUUCUAUCAUCUUUAUUUUUCUGUCUAGUUUUUUGUCAUGUUUAUUUGAAAAAUAUUUGGAAUACUUUUCUGUACACUCACGGUAUUUACGUUACGUACAUAUUUUUCUUAUACCGUAGAUUCCGGAGGAAGCAACGGAGCCGCAAACUUCGCACAGUUAGACUCCGACUACUCCGAACCAGGCAAACAUGUUUGAACUAUUGAUAUGAUGAAGUGUUUGUUGCAUGUUUGCAUUUUAGGAGUUUCAUGGCAUGUUAAUGAACAUAUCAUAGAAUGUUAUAUUUCAUGCACAGAGUGGAAAGUAAGUUUCGGAAAGCCAUAUGUUGUUGGAUACAUAUUGGCAAGGCCAUGAGAUGGCAUGAGGAUGGGUAAGAUGGUAGUGUUGUGACAUGCCAGUCUUAUGCCAGUCCAUUUGACAGCAGUAUCAUCAUGAUCAAAUCAUAUUCCCAUUCAGUUCCUUCCUGUGCUGCCACAUGUUUUCUGCAAGGAAUAUGGUGUCGUAAGUUGCAACCGUUUUCCUGGUACACACCAAGUAGAGAGGCCGGGAUGAGGGUUCCAUGGCCCUGGAUUAAAGUCUGUCAUCCAGUCAGGGGGCAUGGGUGUUUCCUGUUUGGACCGAGAGGGGGGCACCCCUUAGAGCGCGCGUAUAGAAAUUUGAUCCCAUGCUAUUCGAGGUUGUGGCCUCCGCGUCUCAAAGUUUUUCUUGGACGUUGCCUAGGGUGAUUCCUGGCAUCGUGAGGUGGAAUGGGUGUGUACUAGUUAAAUGUGUUUCUUCCGAAAUACCGUAAACGGAACUAGUCCUUCGUGACUACGGAAAUCCGUUGGCUGUGGACAGUAGUACAAACUCUGCAGAGUCACAACUCCUUAAAUCAUCUUGUACUUGUCCAAGUACUGUAUUCAUCUUAUCUUGUCAGGUAUCUGUCUCAGUGACAAAACUUCGGUGGACUACCAGGGUGAUAAACCCGGCUAAAAGAUUAUUCUUGUGGAUGGACUAAUACUUGUUGUUUACAUUUGUCAUAAGCCCUGUCUGUGGUGUCGCUCAGACGUCCGAUGGUGGCAUACCUGUUAUCUACAUUUGUCACAAGCCCUGUCCGCGAUGUCGCUCAGACGUCCGAUGGUGGCAUUUCUUUUAAAGCCCUUUAUGUGAUGUCGCUCAGACGUCCGACUGUGGCAUUUCUUUUAAAAGCCCUUUAUGUGAUGUCGCUCAAAUGUCCGACUGUGGCAUUUCUUUUAAAAGCCCUUUNNNNNNNNNNNNNNNNNNNNNNNNNNNNNNNNNNNNNNNNNNNNNNNNNNNNNNNNNNNNNNNNNNNNNNNNNNNNNNNNNNNNNNNNNNNNNNNNNNNNNNNNNNNNNNNNNNNNNNNNNNNNNNNNNNNNNNNNNNNNNNNNNNNNNNNNNNNNNNNNNNNNUGUCGCUCAGACGUCCGACUGUGGCAUUUCUUUUAAAGCCCUUUAUGUGAUGUCGCUCAGACGUCCGACUGUGGCAUUUCUUUUAAAGCCCUUUAUGUGAUGUCGCUCAGACGUCUGACUGUGGCAAUUCUUUUAAAGCCCUUUACGUGGUGUCGCUUAGACGCCCGACUGUGGCAUGCAUUUUAUUUGUUUACCCUUUCGAGGCAUCGCUCCAGACACCCGAUCGGUUUUCAGUUAUUUAUUUUAUUUGUCAAAUCUUUAUUAUUGAGCAUUAUUAUUUUGCUCAUGACGCAUUCAUGCAUGCAUUUGUUAUAUCUUUUGUCCGAAUUGUCUUGCGAGUACUUUCAAAGUACUCACCUGGCUUGUUGAUUUGGCCAGAUGUUGAUGAAGGUGGUCUCAUGGAUGAGGAAUUCAAUAGCGAGUCCGACGCCUAGAGGAGUCCCAGUCAGUCCCGAGCGAUCCUGUUUUGGUCAUUGUAUCAUAUCUGCUUCCGCUACCCCAGAAUAAAUUCAUCGAGCCUCACCUCGACGCUCGAUGAGCUGCCAGUAGAAUUCAAGUUAUCCUCCACCACUUUCUAUUUCGAGCUAGUAGCAUGUCACCACACCCCCCUGUGCCAUAACCGCCUUUAUGUAAGAUAUUGGUGAGUUCGUAUUAAUUUGUUCAGCAGCCUCAGCUCAACCCUGUAAAAUAUUUGAUUCUACUGGUCCUCUGUUUAUCAAGUAUUUGUCUACCAGAAAGGAUGACUUUUCCUAUACUGGGUUUAAAAGAUCGGUUUUAUCAAUAAACAUUUUAUUGAAAAGCCGGUCGUGACAGUUACAAUCAGAGGAGAUCUUCAUAUUGAAUCGCCAAGCUUGCCUUCCAUGCCAAGGAAAGUCCUAUCCGGACACGGGACGAAGUCUUCAAUCUUGUAUCUUCAUAGUCCGGGAGUCCGGCCAAAGGUCAUAGUCCGGCCAUCCGGACACCCCCUAAUCCAGGACUCCCUCAAUGGUAUAGUUGGAACACACGGAUCUCCAAGUUUCUUUGGUAUUCCACCCUUAAAAGUGUAAUUAGCAAGCAUGGUGGAAAUUUCAGCUUCCGGUAUCUUUCUUUUAUUUGUAAUGAUAUCCUUCAUAUACUUAGCAUAAGGAUUUACUUUAAGCAUAUUAGUUAAGCGCAUACGUAAGAAAAUAGGUCUAAUCAUUUCAGCAAAGCGCUCAAAAUCCUCAUCAUCCUUUGACUUGGAUGGUUUAGGAGGAAAGGGCAUGGGUUUCUGAACCCAUGGUUCUCUCUCUUUCCCGUGCUUCCUAGCAACAAAAUCUCUCUUAUCAUAACAUUGAUUCUUUGAUUGUGGGUUAUCAAGAUCAACAACAGGUUCAAUCUCUACAUAAUUGUUAUUACUAGGUUGAGCAUCUACAUGAACAUCAUUAUUAGCAUUAUCAUCAGGUUCAUGUUCAUCUCCGGAUUGUGUUUCAGCAUCAGAGAUAGAAAUAUCAUUGGGAUUCUCAAGUGUUUCUACAUUAGGUUCACUAGAAGUUUGCAAAGUCCUAUCAUUCUUCUUUUUCUUCUUCUUAGAAGAACUAGGAACAUCUAGAUAUUCUGAGAAUCUUGUUCAAUUCUUUUAGGGUGGCCUUCAGGAUACAAAGGUUCCUGAGUCAUUCUACCAGUUCUAGUAGCCACUCUAAUGGCAAAGUCAUUCUUAUUAUUCAAUUCAUCAAGCAAAUCAUUUUGAGCUUUGAGUACUUGCUCAGCUUGAGUAGCAACCAUAGAAGCAUAUUUGCUAACGCGGUGAAGUUCAUCUUUAACUCUAGCCAUAUUAUCACCUACGCGUCCUAUCUCGAAAGCAUUAUUCUUUAACUCUCUACCAACAUAAGCAUUAAAACUUUCUUGUCUAGCCAUAAAGUCAUCAAAUUCAUCCAAGCAUGGGCUAUGAAAUUUAGUAGAGGGUAUUUCAACUUUAUCGUAUCUAUAGAGAGAAUUUACCUUUACUACGCGUGUCGGGUUAUCAAGACAAUGUGGUUCUUCAGGCGGUAAAUUAAGACCAUGUAUUUCUUCAAUAGGUGGUAAAUUCUUAACUUCUUCAGCUUUAAUACCUUUUUCUUUCAUUGAUUUCUUUGCCUCUUGCAUAUCUUCAGGACUGAGAAAUAAAACACCUCUCUUCUUCGGAGUGGGUUUAGGAAUAGGCUCAGGAGUUUACUCAAUUGGUUCAGGAAUUACUUCAGGAACUGGCUCAGGAAGAGUCCAAUUAUUUUCAUUAGUCAACAUAUUAUUCAAUAAUAUUUCAGCUUCGUCGACUGUUCUUUCCCUGAAAACACAACCAGCACAACUAUCCAAGUGGUCCUUGGAAGCAUCGGUUAGUCCAUUAUAAAAGAUAUCAAGUAUUUCAUUUUUCUUAAGAGGAUGAUCAGGCAAAGCAUUAAGUAACCGGAGAAGCCUCCCCCAAGCUUGUGGGAGACUCUCUUCUUUGAUUUGCACAAAAUUAUAUAUUUCCCGCAAGGAAGCUUGUUUCUUAUGAGCAGGGAAAUAUUUAGCAGAGAAGUAAUAAAUCAUAUCCCGGGGACUACACACACAACCAGGAGCAAGAGAAUUAUACCAAGUCUUAGCAUCACCCUUUAAUGAGAACGGGAAUAUCUUAAGGAUAUAUAAAUAGCGAGACUUCUCAUCAUGAGUAAACAGGGUGGCUAUAUCAUUCAACUUGGUAAGAUGUGCCACAACAGUUUCAGAUUCAAGGCCAUAAAAAGGAUUAGAUUCAACUAAAGCAAUAAUACCAGGAUCAACAGAUAAUUCAUAAUCCUUAUCAGUAACACAGAUAGGUGAAGUAGCAAAAGUAGGAUCGGGUUUCAUUCUAGCAUUAAGAGACUGCUGCUUCCAUUUAGCUAAUAAUUUUUUAAGAUCAUUUCUACCAUUUCAAGCAAGAAUAGCUUCAUCAGCUUAUUUGUUCAUAACAUAACCCUUAGGAACAACAGGUAAUACAUAAUCACUGUGGGAAUGUUCAUCAUCACUAUCAUCAAUAAUAGGUUCUUCAAUAUUUUCAUUCCCCCUAACUCUAGCAAGUUGUUCAUCAAGAAAUUCACCUAAUGGCAAAGUAGUAUCACGCACAGAAGUAGUUUCAUCAUGCAUAGCAGAAGUGGCAUCAUCGAUAACAUGCGACAUAUCAGAAUUCGUAGCAGUAGCAGGUUUAGGUGUCGCAAGCCUACUAAUAACGGAAGGAGAAUCUAGUGCGGAGCUAGACGGCAGUUCCUUACCUCCCCUCGUAGUUGAGGGCAAAAUCUUGGUCUUAGCGUCUUUCAAGUUCUUCAUAGUGAUCAACAGAUAUAAAUCCCAAGUGACUCAGAGAAUAGAGCUAUGCUCCCGGGCAACGGCGCUAGAAAUUAGUCUUGAUAACCCAGAAGUAUAGGGGAUCGCAACAGCUUUCGAGGGUAGAGUAUUCAACCCAAAUUUAUUGAUUCGACACAAGGGGAGCCCAAGAAUAUUCUUGAGUAUUAGCAGUUGAGUUGUCAAUUCAACCACACCUGGAUAACUUAGUAUCUGCAGCAAAGUAUUUAGUAGCAAAAGUGGUAUGAUAGUAAUGGUAACAGUAGCAACAGAAAAGAUCAAUGUUUUUGGGUUUUCAUAGUAGUUGUAAUAGUAGCAACAGAAAAGUAAAUAAGCGAAGAACAAUAUAUGAAAAACUCGUAGGCAAUGGAUCAGUGAUGGAUAAUUAUGCCGGAUGCGAUUCCUCAAGCAAUAGUUAUAACAUAGGGUGAUAUAGAACUAGCUCCAAUUCAUCAAUGUAAUAUAGGCAUGUAUUUCGUAAAUAGUCAUACGUGCUUAUGGAAAAGAACUUGCAUGACAUCUUUUGUCCUACCCUCCCGUGGCAGCGGGGUCCUAGCGGAAACUAAGGGAUAUUAAGGCUUCCUUUUAAUAGAGAACCGGACCAAAGCAUUAACACAUGGUGAAUACAUGAACUCCUCAAACUACGGUCAUCACCAAGAAGUAUCCCGAUUAUUGUCACUUCGGGGUUGUCGGAUCAUAACACAUAAUAGGUGACUAUAGACUUGCAAGAUAGGAUCAAGAACACACAUAUAUUGAUGAAAACAUAAUAGGUUCAGAUCUGAAAUCAUGGCACUCGGGCCCUAGUGACAAGCAUUAAGCAUAGCAAAUUCAUAGCAACAUCAAUCUCAGAACAUAGUGGAUACUAGGGACCAAACCCUAACAAAACUAACUUGAUUACAUGGUAAAUCUCAUCCAACCCAUCACCGUCCAGCAAGCCUACGAUGGAAUUACUCACGCACGGCGGUGAGCAUCAUGAAAUUGGUGAUGGAGGAUGGUUGAUGAUGACGACGGCGAUGAAUCCCCCUCUCCGGAGCCCCGAACGGACUCCAGAUCAGCCCUCCCGAGAGAGAUUAGGGCUUGGCGGCGGCCCCGUGUCGUAAAACACGAUGAAACUUUCUCUCUGAUUUUUUUCUCUACGAGACGGAAGAUAUAGAGUUGGAGUUGAGGUCGGUGGAGGUCCAGGGGCCCACGAGAUAGGAGGGCGCGCCCUAGGGGGCGCCCCCCUAUCUCGUGGACAGCCCGUGGGCCCCCUGGCCUUGAUUCUUUCGCCAAAAAUUCUUAUUAAAUCUGAAAAUUGCCUCCGUGGAUUUCCAGGACAUUCCGAGAACUUUUCUUUUCUAUACAUAAAACAACAUCAUGGUAGUUCUGGUGAAAACAGCGUCAGUACAGGUUAGUUUCAUUCAAAUCAUGCAAGUUAGAGUCCAAAACAAGGGCAAAAGUGUUUGGAAAAGUAGAUACAUUGGAGACGUAUCACUGGUCCGGAGAGUGGACUUCAUCAAACGGGAAACACGAUGGCAUUUGGCAAUCAGACGUAGCGAAGCCAACAUCAUAGUGGAAGUACACCGAGCUCGUUGUCGCUUUAGGGGUAGUUUGAUUUGUGACCUGGCAAAAUUUUGCCUGGCCCAGGACCUGCCUGGGACUAGCCUGGUGCAUGUUUGGUUGGUAUCCUGGAAAACGAGAUGCUAGCCUGGCCUAAAUGGUGAUUAGCCUGCUGAAGCACCAGGCACAAUUAUUAGCCUAGCCCAGGCAUAGCGAGUAGGUAGCCUGGCUCAUGCCUGGGUACUAAUCGAGCCUCUCCUUGCAUGUUAUCCCAUAUAGUCACAGGCCACCGAUUAUUUUAUUGCUGGAUAAUAGCUAUCCAGGCAUGGAUGCGUGCCAAACACAAUACACCCAGGCUAGCCUCACCAGGCAGAUUCUUUGAUCUUUUCAGGCGCACUCCAGGCUACAAAUUUAUCCAGGAAUGGAACUCAGGUAUUGAACCAAACUGACCCUUAAUGCAUAAAGAGGCCUGAAGCCGCUCUGUCUUUUGUAUUGGCAGUGGUUCCCAUUUGGUUGUUUGUUUUUGCGGAGAAUAUCUCGCUUGUUGCUAGAUAUACCAUGUACUUGCCUCUAGCAAUCUCGACAUGGGUCAUGGCUCACGCAACAUAUGGGGUUUUGCCUCUUGUCUUCUAUGGGAAGGAUGGCAAUGGGUAGGGUAUGUGGCAGAUAGGGCAAUACCAUAUCCAUACCCGUGUAGUCAAUGGGUACAAAAUUCUACUCAUACCCGUACCAAUGGGUAUGAUACUUUACCCAUAUCCAUACCCGACAGGUACCCAUGCCCAUUGGGUACCUAAUAGGUAGAUCAAAUGGUACAUAAGUUAUUCGCAAUUUUACAUUCAUAUAUAACACAUUUGAAAAAAAAACAUUGAUCUUAACUCAAUAAUAGAUAGCUGAGUACAUGACAAUUAUCUCAAUUCAAAUUGACAAUUGGUAACAACUUUAACAUAGGUUCAUAAGCUCACGGCACAACUUUAACAUAGGUACAUUUGUGAUUUUGAAUCAUGGGUAAGAUUCACAUGUGAGUAUAAAAUGCAUAGGGUAUGGGUAUAUCCAUGGGUAAAAGGCUAUACCCGUGCCCUACCCAUGACUUAACGGGUAGGAUAUGGGUACUACCCGUGGGUAUAAAAUUGUGCCCAUACCCUGGCCAUGCGGGUAUGAUAUCCGCGGGUACCCUUACCCAUGGGUAAAAUUGCCAUCCUUGAUGGGAUGGGUGGUUUAUGUGCAUAUUUCUUUCAAUUAAACUCCUGCUUCCUUUUUCUCAUGUUUUCUUUCACCUUAAUAUUUCUUUCCAUAUCUACUUUUUUUUUCUUUUUUUACAUUUAUUUUUCCCCUUUUUGGGUUUCCUUUCUCCUGUUUUUUCUUUUUAUUUUAUUUUUCCUUUUUCAUACCUAUGAAAUCGCUUACUAAAAAAUGGGCCCCAUGUUUCGAGAUAUGUUUUAUCAUGUACUCCCUCCAUUCCAUAAAUGCACUUUAUAUAGAUUUUUUGAGAAGUCAAACAUCAGCAAAAUUGACCAUUUUUUUAAGAAAAACAUUUACAUCUAGAUUGCCAAACAUGUAUAUCAUUAAACUCAUCGUAAGAUGUAGUUUCAUACUACCUAUGUCCAAAAUAACUGUCGCUCAAAGGACGGAUAUAUCUAGAUGUAUUUUAGUGCUAGAUAUAUUCGUUUGAGUGAUAGUUACUUUUGGACGGAGGGAGUAUUUUAUAUAUUUGAUAUUCUAGAUAUAAAUCGCUUUGUCUAUAAAUUUGGUCAAAAUUUGCAAACUUUGACCUUUCACAAAAUCUAUACGCACUACAUUAUGGAACUGAGGGAGUAUUAAAAAAUGUGUGUGUGUAUUAAAAACAUUCAACGCAUAUUAUUUUUAUCAUGUAUUAAAAAAAUAUUAGCUACAUAUUGAAAAUUUGUUCAUCGUGUAUUAAAGAAUCAUUUAUUGGUAUUGAAAAAAAAUGUUGUAUAUCAAGAAUGUUUUACCAUUUAAUUAAAAUGACCAUACUUUAUUUAAAAAUGUUCAUAGUGUGUAAAAAUAUUUAUAUUUUCCAAAAGAUAAUCCUUGUGUUUUUUAAAUAUCAUUUAGUAAAAAUGUUUUUCGUGUACUAAGAAAAGUAUUUUGAGUAUUAAAAAUAAUUAAACUUUAUUGAAAUUGUUCAUCCUGUAUUUAAUAAUAUUCAUCAUGAAUUAUCAAAUUGUCAUUGUUUUCUGGUCUUAUAUUUUCUUUAUUUUGCCUUAUAUUUUCUUCUUGUUUUUCAUUUUUAAUGUGAAAUAAGUUUUUUUAAAUGUGCAAGGUUUUUUUCUUCAAAAUACACAAACGAAGCAACUAUUUAGAAAUAGUUUUUCUUUUAUAAUUUAUUUGUUUCUUCAAAAGGUUGAGCAUUUUUUAAUUGUAUAAGAACAUAUUCCGACUACGUGGUCCAUGUUAAGCAAUUUUUAGUUACAUUUUGAACCUUAUUUCAAAUAGACAAUGCACAAUUUUUAAUACAUGAUAUUCUUUUUUGAAUUAUACUUAUUUGAAGCACAUUAUGGUAAUUGUUUCCAAAUACAAGAUAAGCAAUUCUUUUAAUACGAGACAAACUUUUUUUCAUACACGAGGGACCUUUUCUACAACAGAUUGAAAAAAGUCGUAUAUGCAAUGAACAUUUUUAUACAUGAUGAGCCUUUUCUCAAAAAAUGAUGGACAUUUUUCCAGACAUGAUGAACAUUUUGAAGUAUACAAAUUAUUGAAAGAACUCCAAAGCCCUUGUGUUGCCCUCCAAGGCGACUCGGGCGGCCACAGGGACUACCGCCGGCCACCCCUCCCUUCCUUCUCCGCGCUCAUCGUCGUCACCAUAGGGAGUCGCUAAGAAAGCCUACUCGACCCUCAAUGACGGCGGUGGCGGGGCUCGUGUUGCCCCUUCCCCUUUUCUCCCCUCCCUCAUGGUCCCUAACCUCUCUACGCCGUCAAUCGUGCUCCCUCCAUCGCCUACUCAACAGAUUUGACGGGAGGCUCAUCAAAUCUAGCCAUCUCUGUGUACGGCUGCUGUGGCGACGUCCAUGGCGCCAUCUUGCGUUGUUGUUCAUUGUCUCUUCUGCAUGGUGUGAGCCUACCAUCCUAGAGGUCGUGACCGUGGUCUGCCCAUGGGUGUCACGUCUCUUGGGGGUGUUGUUGUGGUCCCAUCCCCGCGCCAAGGCUUCAUGUGAAAAUUCUACAUUGUCUCUUCGGUCUCGACGGCGGUAGCGUGUAGCGCUCUCAAUCUCUUGGGGGUCCCAUCGUGGAGCUCUCAGGUUCCUUCCUGUCACGACGCAAUCAUCCUUGGCAGGCUAGUUUGGAUCCUAAGUUGAAGCUUCUUCGGCACUUGCGUGGAGCGAUCGCGCUUACCUCGUACUGUGCACACGUGUCUUGGUUGUCAUUGUUCUCGGUCUUACUGUUUUUUUUUGAGGGGCUCGGUCUUACUGUUUGCACAUAGAAUUAGCGCUCCAUAGCCCGGGGCGGGAUUGUAGGGGCCCACCCUGACGAUAACUAGAUAUGAGCGGUGCAACGAUAUCCCGGGGUUUUCCAAUGAGGCGUGGUUUCAUGUCAGCCGUCUUGGUCACUUUUUGACAGGGAGUGACUACUCAUGUACUUUUGUUUUCUUCCUUUUGAUCUUCUUCAUAGGAGGGUCAGAUGUCACCGUGUAUUGAAUCAGUUUCUUUAUAUACAAAGCAGGGUGAAAGCCUUUUGAUACAUUUUUAAGUACACGUUAAACAGUUUAAUACAUGGUCUAUAUUUUUCCGUGUAACAUUUUUAUGCUAUACAAAACCAAGACACGUGAACAUUUUUUUAUAUAGCGUCAUUUUAAUGUUGUUUUUAGACUCUAGAUGCGGACUUCAUGAUUUUAUCUAAAUUAUACUCCUAAGAGAAGGUCGGAAGUACUCUUUUGGUCCCGAGCUCAAAUGAGCUCGGGAUGAACAGUAGCACGGUCAUACAUGACAAAUGCCCACUCCUGCUAAGGGUGCUAGCGAGGGUGGCCUUGAUUGAGAAAAUCAUCAUAUGAAGCACCACCAUAAAUCAAUAUCGGCAUACAACAACAACAUGGUCAUACAUCAUGUGAAGUGAAAUUACCUUCUGUAAUAAGAGAUCGGAUGGAGAUGACAUGAAAGAUGGAGCCCAUCGUCUAGAGAUGGAGAUGGACGACAAAGGCUCGAUGAUCUAGAGGUGGGUUAAAUAGCAAAUCCUGGGUCAGGUGUAGGUUGAGUUGUUGACUGGUGGAUACAAAGUCAGGGAUGGGGAAGCUCGGGACCCGANNNNNNNNNNNNNNNNNNNNNNNNNNNNNNNNNNNNNNNNNNNNNNNNNNNNNNNNNNNNNNNNNNNNNNNNNNNNNNNNNNNNNNNNNNNNNNNNNNNNNNNNNNNNNNNNNNNNNNNNNNNNNNNNNNNNNNNNNNNNNNNNNNNNNNNNNNNNNNNNNNNNNNNNNNNNNNNNNNNNNNNNNNNNNNNNNNNNNNNNNNNNNNNNGGGGGUCGAACACGGACUUGCGGGUGUGGCGAAGGCUGAGGAACCAUGAGGCUCGAGGAGCAAUGGUGUCUUAGGAGCUUGUCGGAGUAAAUGACCACGGGUAGCCCAACCGGCUCCCCCUGACUCUUCAAAAAAUAUCGGGCCGACUGAGCCCUCAAACAUGCAAGACGCAGGGCCGCCUUCACUUGGCCAGCUAUCCCACCGACCGGCUGCUGGAAGGCGGCAACGCUCAAAGAGCUCUCUCGAAGAGGGCCGGCUCCUAGCAGUCAUCCACCAGAGUGGCUGACUCCUAGCAGGCGGCCUGGUUCAUACCCUCAAAGUUUGCACCCACAAAACCACGAUAAGAUGGGGCGUGGCUACAGUGAAGCCUGCCAACCCCGAAUCCCGGAGCAAGCAUGGCCACAGUGCACCGUCCGGGGCGGCCACUCCCCGUCCGGGGCGGCACUGUUGCCAUGUUGACCACGACAUCACCCACGGCAGGCUGUCAGUAUGACCCGCAGGCGACGGGCCCCUCCCACUAGAGAUAUAUCAGAAGACGGCCGAGCUUAACCAGUCGGUCUGGGGGAGGCCGGCUCCGAUCAGUCGGCCUUGUAGGAUCGAAAGUAUGUCUAGAGGGGGGUGAUUAGACUACUUGACCAAAUAAAAAUCUAGCCUUUUCCUAAUUUUAAUUCUUGGUAGAUUUUAGCAACUAGUAUAAGUCAAGCAAUCAACCUACACAUGCAAUUCUAAGAGUAUAGCAGCAGAAUGUAAAACAAUUGCAUAUGAAGGUAAAGGGGAGGAGUUUGAGGAGGCAAACGCAAUUGGAGACACGGAGAUUUUUGAGCCGUGGUUCUGAUAGGUGGUGCUAUCAUACAUCCACGUUGAUGGAGACUUCAAUCCACGAAGGGUAACGGUUGCGCGAGUCCACGGAGGGCUCCACCCACGAAGGGUCCAUGAAGAAGCAACCUUGUCUAUCCCACCAUGGUCGUCGCCCACGAAGGACUUGCCUCACUAGGGGUAGAUCUUCACGAAGUAGGCGAUCUCCUUGCCCUUACAAACUCCUUGGUUCAACUCCACAAUCUUGUCGGAGGCUCCCAAGUGACACCUAGCCAAUCUAGGAGACACCACUCUCCAAGAAGUAACAAAUGGUGUGUUGAUGAUGAACUCCUUGCUCUUGUGCUUCAAAUGAUAGUCUCCCCAACACUCAACUCUCUCUCACUGGAUUUGUAUUUGGUGGAAAGAAGGUUUGAGUGAAGCAACUUGGGAAGGCUAGAGAUCAAGAUUCAUAUGGUAGGAAUGGAAUAUCUUGACCUCAACACAAGUGUAGGUGGUUCUCUCUCAGAAAAUGUAAGUUGAAAGUGUAGGCAUGUUCUGAUGGCUCUCUCCAUGAAUGAAGAGUGGGUGGAGGGGUAUAUAUAGCCUCCACAAAAAAUCUAACCAUUACACACAACUUACCAAUCUCGGUGGGACCGAAUCCUGAAACUCGGUCGGAUCGAUUUAGCAAAUAAUGUGACCGUUAGGAUUUUCGGUGGGACCGACAUAUCAACUCGGUGGGACCGAUGUGAUUAGGGUUAGGGCAUAAUGUAAUCUCGGUGAGACCGAUUACACAAACUCGGUGGGUCCGAUUUUGGUAAUAAGCUAACCAGAGAGUUGGUCAGGCAAACUCGAUGGGACCGAUUCGCUCAUCUCGGUUAGACCGAAACGUUACGAAAGGGAAACAGAGAGUUUAUAUUGCAAUCUCGGUGGGACCGAUCGCUCAUCUCGGUUGGACCAAAGCGUUACGAAGGGAAACAGAGAGAUUACAAUCCCAUCUCGGUGAGACCGAAAAGACUAGGGUUUGUGGCAGUGGCUAUGACAUCUGAACUCGGUGGCGCCGGAUAGAAAGAAUCGGUGGGGCCGAGUUUGACUUUUGGUUUAGGUCAUAUGUGGAUGUGAGAAAGUAGUUGAGGGCUUUGGAGCAUCUCACUAAGCAUUUUGAGCAAGAACCUCAUUAAGCAACACCUCAUCCCUCCUUCAUAGUAUUGGCUUUUCCUAUAGACUCAAUGUGAUCUUGGAUCACUAAAAUGGAAAAUGUAGAGUCUUGUGCUUUGAGCUUGAGCCAAUCCUUUUGUCCUUAGUAUUUUGAGGGAUCCACUUUUCUCAUCCAUGCCAUGCCAAUCAUUGAGCUUUCCUGAAAAUAUUUAUCUUGAAAUAGCAUUAGCUCAAUGAGCUAUAUGUUGUUAGGAAUUACCAAAACCACCCAGGGAUAGUUGCACUUUCAAUCUCCCCUUUUUGGUAAUUGAUGACAACAUAGAGAUCAAAGCUUCGACAAAUGAUAAUAAGAUUGAAAAACAUUGUCGCUUUGAGAAGUAUGUGAAAAGUAAGAGCUCCCCCUAAAUUUGUGCAUUAUUUAAGAUUUGCUUUGGACUGCAAAUGCACAAUGAGUUAGGAUCAUGGGUUAGUCUUCCAUGUCACAUACAUCUUGGUGGAGCGAUCAAAAUGAUAAAAAUUAAACACAUGCACCCAUCACCAAGCAAAGUGAAUGAUCAUAUGAGAAUAUGAGAGAUAAUUGAAGGAAAUAUGCCCUAGAGGCAAUAAUAAAGUUAUUAUUUAUUUCCUUAUAAUCAUGAUAAAUGUUUAUUAUUCAUGCUAGAAUUGUAUUUACCGGAAACAUAAUACAUGUGUGAAUACAUAGACAAACAUGGUGUCACUAGUAUGCCUCUACUUGACUAGCUCGUUAAUCAAAGAUGGUUAUGUUUCCUAACCAUGAACAAUGAGUUGUUAUUUGAUUAACGAGGUCACAUCAUUAGUAGAAUGAUCUGAUUGACAUGACCCAUUCCAUUAGCUUAGCACCCGAUCGUUUAGUGUGUUGCUAUUGCUUUCUUCAUGACUUAUACAUGUUCCUAUGACUAUGAGAUUAUGCAACUCCCGUUUACCGGAGGAACACUUUGGGUACUACCAAACGUCACAACGUAACUGGGUGAUUAUAAAGGAGUACUACAGGUGUCUCCAAUGGUCGAUGUUGGGUUGGCGUAUUUCGAGAUUAGGAUUUGUCACUCCGAUUGUCGGAGAGGUAUCUCUGGGCCCUCUCGGUAAUACACAUCACAUAAAGCCUUGCAAGCAUUACAACUAAUAUGUUAGUUGUGAGAUGAUGUAUUACGGAACGAGUAAAGAGACUUUCCGGUAACGAGAUUGAACUAGGUAUUGGAUACCGACGAUCGAAUCUCGGGCAAGUAACAUACCGAUGACAAAGGGAACAACGUAUGUUGUUAUGCGGUCUGACCGAUAAAGAUCUUCGUAGAAUAUGUAGGAGCCAAUAUGGGCAUCCAGGUCCCGCUAUUGGUUAUUGACCGGAAAUGUGUCUCGGUCAUGUCUACAUUGUUCUCGAACCCGUAGGGUCCGCACGCUUAAGGUUACGAUGACAGUUAUAUUAUGAGUUUAUGCAUUUUGAUGUACCGAAGGUUGUUCGGAGUCCCGGAUGUGAUCACGGACAUGACGAGGAGUCUCAAAAUGGUCGAGACGUAAAGAUUGAUAUAUUGGAAGCCUAUGUUUGGACAUCGGAAGUGUUCCGGGUGAAAUCGGGAUUUUACCGGGUUACCGGGAGGGUUACCGGAACCCCCCGGGAGCCAUAUGGGCCUUCAUGGGCCUUAGUGGAAAGGAGAAAGGGGCAGCCCAAGGUGGCUGCGCCUCUUCCCCCUCCCCUAGUCCUAUUAGGACUAGGAGAAGGUGGCCGGCCCCCCUCUCUCCCUUCCCCUCCGAGGAAUCCUAGUUGGACUAGGAUUGGGGGGAGGAAUCCUACUCCCAGAGGGAGUAGGACUCUCCUGCGCCUCCCUCUAUGGCCGGCCAGCCUUCCCCCCUCUACUCCUUUAUAUACGGAGGCAGGGGCACCUCUAAACACACAAGUUGACACAAGUUGAUCCACGUGAUCGAUUCCUUAGCCGUGUGCGGUGCCCCCUGCCACCAUAUUCCUCGAUAAUACUGUAGCGGAGUUUAGGCGAAGCCCUGCUGCUGUAGUUCAUCAAGAUCGUCACCACGCCGUCGUGCUGACGAAACUCUUCCCCGACACUUUGCUGGAUCGGAGUCCGGGGAUCGUCAUCGAGCUGAACGUGUGCUCGAACUCGGAGGUGCCGUAGUUUCGGUGCUUGAUCGGUUGGAUCGUGAAGACGUACGACUACUUCCUCUACGUCGUGUCAUCGCUUCCGCAGUCGGUCUGCGUAGGGUACGUAGACAAUACUCUCCCCCUCGUUGCUAUGCAUCACAUGAUCUUGCGUGUGCGUAGGAAAUUUUUUGAAAUUACUACGAAACCCAACAAUAAUAUCAUCCAACAAGCAUUAAUAUAGCAUAGCAUAUGAUCAAACACAUGAUCAUCCAAGUAUCUCACAAAAGGCAUAAUGUAUCAAGCAAACACACGAAACACGAAGUUCAACCACCAAAAACAAGAGAGAAGAAAGCAACACUCUCUCUCGAAGCCUAUGAUCUAUACAUUUUUCUCCCCCUUUGGCAACAAGUUACCAUAAAGUUCAUAGAAAAUGUAUAGUGCUAAACGACUCUCAGGCUUGGUCUUCCGGUGGUGGUGUAGAGAUGACUCCAAGGACGAAAGCAUCAGUCGAUGUAGAUGGAGCUGGUGGAGUGGCUGCUGGAGCUGGUGGCACUGAAGCUGUUGCUGCCUUGCUGGUGCAGAUGAUGUAGCUCUGGUGUCUGGAAUAGGCACUACAACAGAUCUCUGUCCUGUGGGCACUCUAGCAAAUGCAUCUGUAGUAGACUUGCCCUUCUUCUCCUCCACUUCCUCCUGUAGUUGCUCAACAACUGAUUGGAUCUCAGUGACCUUCACAUCAAGAUCAUUGAACUUCUGCUCUAUGAUUCUCUCCAAGCUCUCCUGGUUUUGAGUCAGGGUGGCCAAGCCCUUCUCAAUCCUCAAGGUGGAGGCAAUCAAGUAGCCAAGCUGGUCUUGCUUGCUCUUCAGGAAAUUCUGAGAUGCCUCUUCAGCAGUUGGCAUCCUAAUAGCUUUCUCAGUCCUUGCUUUCUCUUUCUUCUCUUGUGCUUGCACAGAUGAUGGUUCAUUUUCAUCCAUCACAAUGGUGUUGUCCUCAAAGUCAGGGUAGAUGGGCAAGUGCUCUUUGUCCAAAAGAUAUGUGCCAGUGCCCAUCUUGGAGUUUAUGAGCUCCUGAAUGUGUGGGGCAUAUCCACAAGAUCUUUUCUGAUCAGCAGCAGUCCUUUUGAUUGUUUCCACAAUCAGACUCAUGACUUUGAAUUUCCAAGGCACAUUAAAUAUAUGCAGCAAGUUGAAUGCAUGGCCUCUGAUCAUCUUGUGAUCUCCUGACUUGGGCAACAGACUGUGCCUUAAGAUCCAGUUGAUAGUAGGCAAUCCUGACAACAUGUAAUCUACAAAUCCAAGCUUAUGUGUCUCUAGAGCAGCAUCUGGGAUCUCUCUGUACAUUUGAGCCAUAGAGUUGUGGUCUUUCUUCUUAGUGGCAUAGACAUCCAAGUCAUCCUCAUUCUCCUUUGGAGCAUUUAUCAAUUCAGACCAUCCCUCAAUUGUGGAUUGGUACCUUGUACCCUCAGACAUCCAGACAAUUCUCCCAUCUGGGUAGAAAUGAGCUGUGGAGUAAAACUGCAUGAUGAUCUCAUCAUUCCACUUGGUGAGCUUCUGGCCAACAAAGUCAUCUACUCCACAUGCAUUGAAACUAUCAUACACUCCUGGAUAGUGCUCUUCAUUCUUCCUGAUGUACUACCAGUCAACCCAUCUCAUGUCACAUACUAUGGGCUUCUUGUCAAGCAAAACUGUCUCAUAGAAAUCCUGUUGUUCCUUAGUGUGGAACAUGUAGUCCACUACAGUUCUUCUCCUGGCAGCAUAGGGAUUAGUCUGUCUCCACAGUCUCAGACCUGCAUCCUUCCUGAGCUUCAUAUCCUCUGCUACUAGAUGAGCAUCAUUAUGAUCAGGGAUCUUAGGCUUCAACUUUCUCAAAACGAGUGAAUCGUCAUCUUCUUCAUCAUUGGCUGCCUCGGGCACUGGGGCCUUGUUCUUUUCUUCAGCUAGAAUGCUCCUAGUGCUCCUCCUAGGUGCAAUCUUAGGCUUAGGAGCAGCAGCUUUGGGAGCAUAUUUGGGCUUAGAUGGAGCAGCCCCUGAUCUUAUAGCAUCUCCCAUCAGCUUCUGAGCUUUAGGUGCUGGUGCAGCAACCUCUUCCUCUUCUUCCAUCAUUGAGGGCUUUCCAACAACUCUGGCCACUGUCUUCUUGACCUUUUCUUCCCUUCUGGAGCAGCCUCUUUGGGUUCAGAUUCCACAGUUACUUGAGUAGAGGCUCUGGCUUUAGACAUGGGAACUCUUCUUGCAGGUGCUUUGGUCUUCAUACAAGGCUUAAUGGCACCAGUUGUGCCAUAUUCCUUCUUCAGCACCUUCUUCUUAGAUGUGGCCUCAUCAUCAACAGCCACAUAGUCCUCAUCUUUAGAUUCUGAGGUUCUCUUCUUCCUUGUCCUAGUAGCUGCCUUGGCAAGUUACUAGGUGUGCUCCUGCUACCCUCAUCUGAGGUACUGGAGGGACUAGUGCCCUCACUCAUCUGAACUUGCUCCUCAGACUUGUUCUGACUGUCACUCUGAUCUGACAUGAUGCAAACUCUGACAACAGACCCUGUGAAUAGAUGUAGAUGAGGUAGAGUAUAUGAACAUCACAAAGCACAAAGGUUUUUGCAAAACAAUGAAUCAAAGACUUAGUUUUAGUUUUCCACAGAAAGCAUUUCGGAGCUACCGAUUUGUAAACUCGGUGAUACCGAAGCAGUUUUUGGAACCUAAACUAGUGAACUUGGUUGGACCGAGUCACAUUUUGGUGGCACCGAGACUGCUAGGGUUUCAUAGAGAAUCGAUCUUGGUCGCACCGAUUUGCAAUUCUCGGUGGGACCGAGAAUCACAUGUGCAAUGGCCUAAGCCAAAUCGGUGAGACAGAUUUCUACAACUCGGUCAGUCCGAGAUGAAUUCAACGGAAACCUAACCCUAAAUUUUCAAUCCAAGAUUAAUCUACGGAGUAUUUUCGCUUGGAUAGGAAGAUUUCAAACGUGGUAAGAUUCAUGGAAAUGCAAUGUGCUAGGAAUCAGAGUUAGGAUAGCACAAAGUUCAAAUCCAUACCCUAAUGCGGCGAUGGACUUGCUACGGCGACAACGGCGGAGACGAAUCCCAUUGACAGCGGUGGAGACCAGCGGCGGGAGGUCGCUGUCGACGAGGAGGAUGAUCCGGAGACCUAAUGAGGCAGAGCAGUUUGUGCGUGGGCGAAGAGUUUCGAAAGAAUUUUCAAAAAUUUGACCCGUGAGUAUAUAUAGCCUGACCCCGUCGGUGUGACCGAGUGGAACAACUCGGUGGCACCAAGAUGCAAAACUGCAAGCAGUUGCUGCAACUCGGUGUGACCAAAAAGUUCAAAUCGGUUGCACCGAGAUUGAAAACCUAGAUCAACUUAGUGAUCUUGGUAUGACCGAAAUGGAAUCGGUCAGACCGAAACGCACAAAGAGAUUUUGGAAGUUUCAGUCUAUGACAAAUCGGAAACGCCGAGUGCUCCUCACACAGAGUGGUUUGAAUCUGACUUGAUCAAACUUUGUGAUAUAGCAUGAAUAGAGUUUGAGACAAGAAUAGCAUAGAUAGCUAGAGAAGGUUCUUAGGCAUUCUUGUCCAUCCACUUGGCAAAAGAAAAGGAACCAAACAAUCAAACUAUAAGUGGAUGUCCUCGAAUGAGUAAAAUAUGCAUUCAACAUGCUCACACAAUAAAAUGGCAAAUGAAAUAUGUGACAAAGCAUGCACACACAAUUCUAGCAUCUAUCAAGCAAUUGGCGAUGACUAGGUCAUCUAUAUAUGAGUAUUGACUUAGGAGUCAAAUGAGAACAUUUGAUCAUAGGUCAUACUCAUCGUUUAAGCACAAGUGGGGUUACCACUUUUACAUAAAGCAUUGUUAUGUUCACACCAUUAGAGUUGCUUUAGCUCAAUUCUUAGAGUAAAGCUCCCCCUAGAUGUGAGAUCCCCCCUAAGAGGGAUGAACUAACCUUGGGUUUUGUCGAUGAUGACUUCAUGUAGGUGUUGAAGAUGUGGAUGAUCUAUGUUGAUGUAGAUCAUUUGGAGCAAUCCUUUGGAGUGAGUUGCACUUUCAAUACCUACACGGGUUAGUCACACAAGGAACAAACAAGGAUAUCCAUAGACAUGGAGUGAUACACACACAAGAAGAUGUCCAUGAAAGCGUUCGGUUACCUUGUCCCUUGUCUUACCAACAAGAGGGUUUGUGACUCCAUGAACUAGUGCAAGAUGUGGAAGUUGAUUGCACUUGUCCUCGCCAAAAUGAUAAGAGUGAAGUAUGUUGGCGGAGUCACCCUCAAGAACUCUCUAGUUCUUCUUCUUCGGGAUACACACCAUCUUGAUGGGAAUCCUUGGGGUUGUAGUCGUACUUGAUGAAGUAGAACUUGAUGUAGUCUUGGGAACCCACUUGACCAAGGCCUUAGGAGCUUCUUAAAAUGCAUCAAUCUCCUCUUGAAGCUUGUCCUUGCCUUUCUGCUUGUGGUCUUGUGGUGGAAGAUCAUCUUGAGCUUGUGUCCCUUUGAAAGAAGUAGGAUCAUACUUCUCUUGUUAAGGAACAAACUUUGUCUUGGGGUAUUGAUCUUCUUCCCACUCAACUCCAUUAGCAUUGAACUUUCGUUCAAAACCAACACCUUGGUUCUUCUGGUGCCUUCCUUGCUUGCGUACAAUUUCCUCGAAUUGCUUACUCCCGGCAAGACUCUUGUAAACACCUUUCUAUAUGAUUCCCUUCAAUAAGCUAUUUUCUUGCUCAAGUGUAACUUGGCUAAGAGAAUCAUUAGUGGAAUCAAGAGAACUACUAGAAGCAACAACAUUGGAUUUAGCAUGAUGAUUGUUGUUACUACUAGAGUAAGAAUAUUUCUUGUUCUUGUUACUAGACUUGACUUGAGGCAUGUAAGCAGAUAAGAGUAAACGCUUGGCAAUGUAAGAAGAACUUUUCUUGCGAAGAUCAUCAUUCAUAGCCUUUAAGAACUCAUGUUCUUGCUCUAGGUUAAGCUUUUCAAAGCGUAACUUCUCAUGAGUCCUUAAAAGUUCUCAAUGAUCUCCUAAGAUAGUUUCAUGAGCUAACUUAAGAGUGUUUAGUUCUUUAGUUAGGAGCUCAAUCUUCUCCUUAUCAUUGUCAUUCGUUUCAUCUUGAUUAGCAUGAUUAUUUGACGUUUCAUCAUAGUAUUCAUCACUAGAGUUGUCAAUAAGUAAAUCAUCAUCACCUAACAAGUCAUCUUCAUCACUAUUAAAAUCAACAUACUUGGGGUGUAAUACCUUUGGGCCUUUAGCCAUGAAGCAUCUUCCAAGUACUUCAUUUGGUGAGUCAAAUAUGGCGUAGGAGUUGGUUGACACAAGUGCUAGACCGGAAACACCUUCAUCUUGAGUAUGUUCUGAGUCGGAGUGAUAGCUUCUCUCAGAGUAAUGGUCAGAGUCGGAGCCGGAUACCCAUUCACCAACAUGAGCUCGAUGUUUUCAUUUUGUAUAGCUCUUUGAUGAUUUGUCCUUCCUUUCCGAAUCCUUGCUUCUCCAGGAUGUUCUUCGUUCAAAACGAUCAUCUCUACUCCUUCUCUCUCUUGGUGGUGAUUAUUCUCUUCUACUUCUUCUCUUUGGAGAUUCUUCUCUUCUUUUGUAGGGAGCCGUACACUCAUUGGAAUAGUGUCCGGGUCUUCCACAAUUGUAGCAAUUACGCUCACGACUCGAAGAUCUUUUGUCAUUGUAGGACCUUGACUUGGAACUUCUUUCCUUGCUUCUACUCUUGUAGAACUUGUUGAAGUUCUUCACCGUUAGGCUCAAUUCCUCAUUGAAGGUUUUUUUGUCACUUGAUGAUGUGGGAGCUUCACAUGAGGCUUUGUAAGAACCACUUGACUUGUUGUGGAGCUCUUCCUUAUCCUUGAGUGACAUCUCAUGAGCAACAAUUCUACCAAUGACUUCCAUUGGCUUGAGAUUCUUGUAAUUGGGCAUCAUUUGGAUCAAUGUGCACACAGUAUCAUAUUUUCCAUCCAAGGUUCUUAGGAUCUUCUUGAUGAUGAAUUUGUCGGUCAUCUCUUCACUUCCUAAGCCAGCAAUCUCAUUUGUGAUGAGAGCAAGCCUAGAGUACAUUUCAGCGACGCCUUCACCAUCCUUCAUUUUGAACUUGUCAAGUUGACUUUGAAGCACAUCCAAUUUGGAUUCAUAGACGGAGUCGGUACCUUCAUGCAUGUCAAUCAAAGUAUCCCAAAUUUCCUUUGCAUUCUCAAGACGGCUGAUUUUGUUGAAUUCUUCGGGGCACAAUCCAUUGAAGAGGAUAUCACAAGCUUGAGCAUUGUAUUGCAGCAUCUUCAACUCUUCCGCGGUAGCUUCAAGGUUCGGUUCUCUCCCAUCAAAGAAUUCACCUUGCAAGCCAAUACACAGAAUAGCCCAAACGGCGGGGUUAUGUCAGGGAAUAUGCAUUUUCAUAUUAUGCUUCCAACUAGCAAAAUUAGUACCAUCAAAGUAAGGACCUCUACGGUGGUAAUUUCCCUUGCUAGACGCCAUACUCUCCUAGCUUGUGAAACCAAGGUAUGACUACCAAAAGCUAUGGAAAUCAAAGCAAAUGGAGACCAAAGCUCUGAUACCACUUAUAGGAUCGAAAGUAUGUCUAGAGGGGGGGUGAUUAGACUACUUGACCAAAUAAAAAUCUAGCCUUUUCCUAAUUUUAAUUCUUGGCAGAUUUUAGCAACUAGUACAAUUCAAGCAAUCAACCUACACAUGCAAUUCUAAGAGUAUUGCAGUGGAAUGAAAAACAAUUGCAUAUGAAGGUAAAGGGAAGGAGUUUUAGGAGGCAAAUGCAAUUGGAGACACGGAGAUUUUUGAGCCGUGGUUACGAUAGGUGGUGCUAUCGUACAUCCACGUUGAUGGAGACUUCAACCCACGAAGGGUAAUGGCUGCGCGAGUCCAUGGAGGGCUCCACUCACGAAGGGUCCACGAAGAAGCAACCUUGUCUAUCCCACCAUGGCCGUCGCCCACGAAGGACUUGCCUCACUAGGGGUAGAUCUUCACGAAGUAGGCGAUCUCCUUGCCCUUACAAACUCUUUGGUUCAACUCCACAAUCUUGUCAGAGGCUCCCAAAUGACAGCUAGCCAAUCUAGGAGACACCACUCUCCAAGAAGUAACAAAUGGUGUGUUGAUGAUGAACUCCUUGCUCUUGUGCUUCAAAUGAUAGUCUACCCAACACUCAAGUCUCUCUCACUAGAUUUGGAUUUGGUGGAAAGAAGGUUUGAGUGGAAAGCAACUUGGGAAGGCUAUUGGAUCAAGAUUCAUAUGGUAGGAAUGAAAUAUCUUGACCUCAACACCAGUGUAGGUGGUUCUCUGUCAGAAAAUGUAAGUUGGAAGUGUAGGCAUGUUCUGAUGGCUCUCUCCACGAAUGAAGAGUGGGUGGAGGGGUAUAUAUAGCCUGCACACAAAAUCUAACCGUUACACACAACUUACCAAUCUUGGUGGGACCGAAUCCUGAAACUCGGUCGGACCGAUUUACCAAAUAAUGUGACCGUUAGGAUUUUCGGUGGGACCGACAUGUCAACUCAGUGGGACCGAUGUGAUUAGGGUUAGGGCAUAAUGUAAUCUCGGUGAAACCAAUUACACAAACUCGGUGGGUCCGAUUUUGGUAAUAAGCUAACCUGAGAGUUGGUCAGGCAAACUCGGUGGGAUAGAUUCGCUCAUCUCGGUUAGACCGAAACGUUAUGAAAGAGAAACAGAGAGUUUACAUUUCAAUCUCGGUGGGACCGAUCGCUCAUCUCGGUUGGACCGAAACUUUACAAAGGGAAACAGAGAGAUUACAAUCCCAUCUCGGUGAGACCGAGAUCCCUAUCGGUGAGACCGAAAAGACUAGGGUUUGUGGCAGUGGCUAUGACAUCUGAACUCGGUGGCACCGGAUAGAAAGAAUUGGUGGGGCUGAGUUUGGCUUUUGGUUUAGGUCAUAUGUGGAUGUGAGAAAGUAGUUGAGGGCUUUGGAGCAUCUCACUAAGCAUUUUGAGCAAGAACCUCAUUAAGCAACACCUCAUCCCUCCUUGAUAGUAUUGGCUUUUCCUAUAGACUCAAUGUGAUCUUGGAUCACUAAAAUGGAAAAUGUAGAGUCUUGUCCUUUGAGCUUGAGCCAAUCCUUUUGUCAUUACUAUUUUGAGGGAUCCACUUUUCUCAUCCAUGCCAUGCCAAUCAUUGAACUUUCCUGAAAUACUUAUCUUGAAAUAGCAUUAGCUCAAUGAGCUAUAUGUUGUUAGGAAUUACCAAAACCACCCAGGGAUAGUUUCACUUUCAGGCCUGCUCUCACCCUGGAAGUUUGUGCGCCAUUAAGGAGAUAAGAUGGGGUAAGGCUACAGUGGAUGCCCGCCAGGCGGCGGCACAAUAGCCAUGCUUACCCCGACAAAGCCAUCGUCACCAAGAGUAAGGCUACAGUAACCAGCAGCCGACAAGACCCCCAGGCGGUGGGCCCAGCCUGUCGGCCAAGAGGCCAGCAGCCGGCAGGACCCACCAGUCGGCAAGCCCUAGCGUCCGGCGGAGAAGCCGACGGCUACAGACACUGACGGCUUGGACCUACAUCCAGCCGGAUUACCAUUGUACCCCUGGGGGGUAGGCCUAUAUAAACCCCCCAGGGCACCCAUGCAAAGGGUUGAUCUCUUAGAGUUUUAGACACCACAUAGAGAGAAGAGGAGAGCUAGCCUUGCCCUUCUUCUUCCUCUAGCGAAACAGCUCAAGGAGCCUCUUGCAGCUACUUGUUUUGAUCUAGUGAUCAUGCGGAGACCCCGCAGAGCAGGAAUAGGGGUGUUAUCUCCUAGGAGAGUCCAGAACCUGGGUAAGAUUCACCGGCGUGCAUGUCUUCGCCUUAUCCUGUUUCCAGGCACCGACGAUGUCUUACUGGCUCCCACAAUGAUAAGCCACCCGUUGGCAUAUGUCGCACCUACCACCCGACAUUUGGCGCCCACCGUGGGGCCAGGUGCACCGUCAUCCGGAGACCUGCUCUGGACGGAACCCUCUUCCUCCCCAACGAGCAUAGCCAGCCUGGCAUGCCCGAUGGCGCUUGCCCCGACAUGAUGCAUGGCAUCGACGACGCCUGUGCAGCGAGCUGCCUCGCCGAUCUUCUCGGCGAGGUCCACCUCUCCGAGGAGCCCGCACCAGACGCGGGUGCAGCCAGCACCGAAAGCUGCCUCGUCGACCUCCUUGGCAAGAUCGACAUCGCCAACGAGCCCGCCUCUGACCUGGAGUCCAUCGGCUCCACCGACCCGAUGCUUGUCGACUUGAACACGGCAUCGCUUGACGCCUUCCCCACAAACGUGGUGGUGAUCAACGACCCUCUCCCUCGAGCUGACAGUGAGGGCAGCACCGUCACCGAGGUAUUGGUCAUCAGCCACGGCGCCGCUUCGGGCAAGAACUCCCACGACACCCUGCGGACGGCGCUGCAUGACCUGUCCGCGCCCGUCCCGGCGGACGCCGACGCCAAGAUCUUGGAGGCACGCCGCCUCGCCCUCAUCGAGAACGGCAAGAAGAUAGCCACCAUGAGACGCCUCACCAAAGCUUACCAGCGUGAGGUCGAUCAUGCUGCCUCGGGCACGCCGGCUGCUGUGGGGCCUAGCCGGCUCAGUGCCGUCAAGAAGCACAGUGCGGCCAUCGCCAGCAUGCUGGGGGCCGACCGCCCCGUCUACGCCACACCACUUGAGAACCUGCGUGCCGCCCAGGCGGCAGCAGACGAGCUGGAAGGACUGGAGGGCAACGAGUUGUGCUACAUGACGAGACGCGUCCAGCAGCUCAUCGACGCGGCCGUAGAGCGGCAAGAAGCCAGCGCCCGCGCCGAGAAUUCCCCCCUUUGCCGAGAGCAUGGCGCGACAUUACAGACACCGACUGCUAACGGCGCCCACAAGCAAAACAACAAGGAGCCGGCUGCUAGCCGCAGUCGGACUCGCAUCACCAUCGAGCGUGACGAAGAUGGCCGCCCCCGAGCCGUGGAGCGGCAAGGUGAGAACCCGGACCCUCCUCCGCCCCGCAGUCGGUGAUAUCCCUCUCUACCGCCUGUCGGGCACCCAACACUCGGAGACCGGCUGGGCCACCGCGAAGGAGUCGGCGAGAAUGACGCCCGCCACCGGAUCGACUGCCUGGCGCGAUCCCUGGUGCUAGAAGAAGAAGACAAUGUCGGGCCACCCUGUUUUGGCCCCCGCAUCCGCGUCGAGCCAUUUCCCAAAGGGUUCUCGCUCCCGAGAGACACGCCAAAAUACAACGGCUCGGUGAAGCCAGAAGACUGGUUGAUAGAUUACUCCGCAGCAGUCACCAUAGCAAAUGGCAACCGGCGCGUUGCCGUGAAAUACGUCCCCCUCAUGCUUCAGGGCACGACACGCACCUGGCUGAACAGCCUCAAGCCCUACAGCGUAAACAACUGGCUUGAUUUCACAGAAGUCUUCAACCGCAACUUCACCAGCACGUAUAAACGGGCACCCAAGCCCUGCCAACUCUCCUUGUGCGUCCAAGGCCCGACCAAGUCCAGCCGCGACUACCUGACGUGCUGGGCCGAGCUCCGCAACUCCUGUGAAGGAGUGAACGAGGUGCAAGCAAUAGAGUACUUCACCACCGGGUGCCGAGAGGGCACCCUCCUCAAGCACCAACUUCUCUGCGACAAGCCGUCUACGCUCGACGAGCUGCUGAUCAUAGCAGAUAAGUACGCCACGGCCGACUCCUCGAUGAAGACCAAGCUCUGGGUGGACGCCUCUAGAAAGUUGCUCCCUCCGGCCCCAAAAAUACCAGCCGGCGACUCCAAUCGACGCCCACAUCAGAACGACAACAAUCACAAGGCCCCUAUGCCGCCUUCCACUAGUUGGCAGGUGGCCACGAUCGAAGACGAGCAGCCAGAGAGGCAGCCUCUGCCCAAGCGUCCGAAAGGCGGUAGGCCGGCUUGGCAGCCGGCUUUCUCCUACGAGCAAACCCUUGAUGCCCCCUGCAAGUUCCACAGUUGCGCGAAGCCGUCCAACCACACAACCCAAAAGUGCCAUUGGCUCACCCGAAUCUCCAAGGGCGAAGGACUGUUACCCCCUCCGCCUGUUGGCCAGCCACCUUCGGCUCCUCAGCAGCCAGCCGCCCGCCCAGCAGUUGGAGCCAUUUAAGAUGGGUUCCCUAACGAGCAUGCAGCCUACAUCGUCUUCACAAGCCAAGUCGAGGACAGGCGCAGCCAGCACCGACAGCACCAAGAAGUCAAUGCGGUCGCCUCCAAAGAUCCGAAGUUUAUGUAUUGGUCUGAAAAGCCUAUUAGCUGGAGCUGGGCCGAUCACCCAGAGGUGAUGCCGUCUCCAGGCUCCUAUGCGUUGGUGUUGGAUGCCACCUUCACAAUAGAAAGGCGAGUUGCCCGUUUCUCCCGAGUUCUGAUUUAUGGCGGAAGCAGCAUCAACAUCCUGUACCGAGACACCAUGGAGAAGCUGAACAUCAAGACAAAGAACCUUUUGCCCAGUCAGACCAUGUUCCAUGGCAUUGUACCCGACCUGUCAUGCUCACCAAUCGGCAAGAUCAAGAUAGAUGUCCUCUUCGGAGACAAGGAUCACUUCCAUCGUGAAGCAGUCUGGUUUGAAGUGGUGGAUCUAGAGAGCCCUUACCACGCUUUGCUUGGCCGACCUGCCCUGGCCAAGUUCAUGGCUGUGCCCCACUAUGCUUACCUCAAGAUGAAGAUGCCGAGCUCCAAGGGCAUCAUCACCAUAGUCAAAGACUACAAGAAAUCAUCUGCUUGUGUUGCUGCUAGAAGCUGGUUGGUCGAGUCCCUCGUGAUUGCUGCUGAGAAGAAGAUCCUUGACCGGGUUGUGGCUAUGGUCGGUAAGCAGCCGGACCUCUCACCUGAUCCCAAGGAGUUGGAAGCUCAGGGCUCCUUCCAGCCGGCCAAGGAAACAAAGAAGAUACCUCUGGAACCAGAGCACCCGGAGAGGUUUGCUGUACUAGGAACAAACCUGGACAGCAAAUAGGAAAGCGAGCUCGUCGAUUUCCUCCAUGAGAAUCGGGAUAUCUUUGCAUGGCCCCCCAAGGACAUGCCGGGUGUUCUGACGGAUUUCGCCGAACACAAGCUACACGUCCGAGCAGAUGCAAAACCAGUCAAGCAGCCCCUCCGCCGACUGUCGGAGAAGAGAAGAAUUGUUGGCGAAAGAUAGCCCGGCUUCUUGCAGCCGGCUUCAUUAUGGAAGUAUUCUUUCCAGAAUGGCUUGCCAACCCAGUCCUUGUACUGAAGAAAAACAAGAAAUGGUGCAUGUGUAUAGAUUAUACCAGCAUCAACAAAGCUUGCCCCAAAGAUCCAUUUGCCUUGCCCCGGAUUGACCAUGUGAUAGACUCCACAGCCGGAUGUGAGUUGUUGAGUUUUCUAGAUGCCUACUCAGGUUACCAUCAGAUCAAGUUGGAUCCAGCCGAGCGCCUGAAGACCGCCUUCAUAGCACCAUUCGAAGCUUUCUUCUACCUGACUAUGACAUUUGGCUUGAGAAAUGCCAGUGCCACUUUUCAGCGUUGCAUGCAGAAAUGACUCCUCAAGCAACUCGGCAGAAAUGCCCACGUCUACAUAGACGAUAUUGUGGUGAAGAUGGAGAAGCAUGGCACCCUGCUGGAAGAUCUCAAGGAAACAUUUGACAACUUGCGCUGAUUUUAGAUCAAGCUCAACCCUGAGAAAUGCAUGUUCGGAGUGCCAGACGGCCAGCUCCUAGGCUUCCUGGUCUCUGAAUGUGGCAUAGAGUGCAACCCAGUGAAGAUCAAGGCCAUAGAAAGGAUGGAGAUUCCUACCUGGCUUCGAGAUGUCCAAAAGUUCGCCGGGUGCCUGGCCUCCCUUAACCGCUUCAUUAGUUGGCUAGGGGAGAAGGCUCUCCCCCUGUAUCAGCUCAUGAGGAAAUCCACUCAUUUCGAGUGGAACGACCAGGCGGAUGAAGCUUUUCACAAGUUGAAGAAGAUGUUGACCAUGCCGCAUGUCCUGGCGGCACCAACUGAGAAAGAGCCCACGCUCCUUUACAUUGCCGCAACUAGCCGGGUGGUCCGCACUGUCAUUGUGGUUCAGCGCCCAGAAGAAGGUAGAGCUCAGCUAGUCUAGAGGCCGGUGUAUUACCUGAGUGAAGUGAUGUCAACCUCAAAGCAGAAUUACCCCCACUACCAGAAGAUGUGCUAUGGCGUAUACUUUGCUGCCAAGAAGCUCAAGCCCUACUUUCAAGAGCACCCCAUCACGGUCGUUUGCACUGCCCCGCUAGCCAAGAUCAUAGGCAGCUGAGAUGCAUCCGGUCAGGUGGCCAAGUGGGCCAUUGCACUGGCUCCUUACACCGUCUUCUAUCAGCCUCGCACCGCCAUCAAGUCCCAAGUGCUGGCCGACUUCCUCGUCGACGGGGCUGAAACCCACUACCUGCCACCAGCACCCGACUCCACUCAUUGGCGGAUGCACUUUGAUGGAUCCAAGAUGCGCACCGAGUUGGGAGCCGGCAUCAUCCUCACCUCUCCCAAGGGCGACAAGCUCAGAUACACGCCGUUGAUAACCCACAAGUAUAGGGGAUCACAACAGUUUUCGAGGGUAGAGUAUUCAACCCAAAUUUAUUGAUUCGACACAAGGGGAGCCAAAGAAUAUUCUUAAGUAUUAGCAAUUGAGUUGUCAAUUCAACCACACAUGGAUAACUUGGUAUCUGCAGCAAAGUAUUUAGUAGCAAAGUAGUAUGAUAGUAAUGGUAACGGUGGCAAAAGUAACAGUAGCAGUUUUGUAGUAACUGUAACAGUAGCAACGGUAAAGUAAAUAAAUAAAGCACAAUAUGUGAAAAGCUCGUAGGCAUUGGAUCAGUGACGGAUAGUUAUGUCAGAUGCAAUUCCUCAUGUAAUAGUUAUAACAUAGGGUGACACAGAACUAGCUCCAAUUCAUCAAUGUAAUGUAGGCAUGUAUUCCAAAUAUAGUCAUACGUGCUUAUGGAAAAGAACUUGCAUGACAUCUUUUGUCCUACCCUCCCGUGGCAGCGGGGUCCUAAUGGGAACAAAGGGAUAUUAAGGCCUCCUUUUAAUAGAGAACCAAACCAAAGCAUUAGAACUUAGUGAAUACAUGAACUCCUCAAACUACGGUCAUCACCGAGAAGUAUCCCGAUUAUUGUCACUUCGGGGUUAUCGGAUCAUAACACAUAAUAGGUGACUAUAGACUUGCAAGAUAGGAUCAAGAACUCACAUAUAUUCAUGAAAAGAUAAUAGGUUCAGAUCUGAAAUCAUGGCACUCGGGCCCUAGUGACAAGCAUUAAGCAUAGCAAAGUCAUAGCAACAUCAAUCUCAGAGCAUAGUAGAUAGUAGGGAUCAAACCCUAACAAAACUUACUUGAUUAGAUGGUAAAUAUCAUCCAACCCAUCAACGUCCAGCAAGCCUACGGUGGAAUUACUCACGCGCGGCGGUGAGCAUCCUGAAAUUGGUGAUGGAGGAUGGUUGAUGAUGACAACGGCGACGAAUCCCCCUCUCCAGAGCCCCGAACGGACUCCAGAUCAGCCCUCCCGAGAGAGAUUAGGGCUUGGCAGUGGCUCUGUAUCGUAAAACGCGAUGAAUCUUUUUCUCUGAUUUUUUUCUCUGCGAAAGAGAAUAUAUGGAGUUGGAGUUGAGGUCGGUGGACGUCCAGGGGGCCCACGAGGAAGGGGGCACGCCCAGGGGGAGGGGCGCGCACCCCACCCUCGUGGACAGGGUGUGGGCCCCCUGACGCUAUUUCUUUCGCCAAUAUUUUUUAUUAAUUCUGAAAAGUUGCUCUGUGGAUUUCCAGGACAUUCCGAGAACUUUUAUUUCUGCACAAAAAUAACACCAUGGCAGUUCUGCUGAAAACAAUGUCAGUCCGGGUUAGUUCCAUUCAAAUCAUGCAAGUUGGAGUCCAGAACAAGGGCAAAAGUGUUUGGAAAAGUAGAUACGAUGGAGACAUAUCAACUCCCCCAAGCUUAAACAUUUGCUUGUUGAGGGAGUCCCGGACUAGGGGGUGUCCGGAUAGCCGAACUAUCAUUAUUGGCCGGACUCCAAGACUAUAAGAAACAAGAUUGAAGACUUCGUCCCGUGUCCGGAUGGGACUUUCCUUGGCGUGGAAGGCAAGCUUGGCGAUACGGAUAUGUAGAUCUCCUACCAUUGUAACCGACUCUGUGUAACCCUAGCCCUCUCCGGUGUCUAUAUAAACCGGAUGGCUUUAGUCCGUAGGACGAACAACAAUCAUACCAUAGGCUAGCUUCUAGGGUUUAGCCUCCUUGAUCUCGUGGUAGAUCUACUCUUGUAACACACAUCAUCAAUAUUAAUCAAGCAGGACGUAGGGUUUUACCUCCAUCAAGAGGGCCCGAACCUGGGUGAAACAUCGUGUCCCUUGUCUCCUGUUACCAUCCGCCUAGACGCACAGUUCGGGACCCCCUACCCGAGAUCCGCCGGUUUUGACACCGACAUUGGUGCUUUCAUUGAGAGUUCCUCUGUGUCGUCACCGAUAGGCUCGAUGGCUUCUUCGAUCAUCAUCAACGAUGCAGUCCAGGGUGAGACCUUCCUCCCCGGAUAGAUCUUCGUAUUCGGCGGCUUUGCACUGCGGGCCAAUUCGCUUGGCCAUCUAGAGCAGAUCAAAAGUUACGCCCCUGGCCGUCAGGUCAGAUUUGGAAGUUUGAACUUCACGGCGGACAUCCGCGGGGACUUGAUCCUCGAUGGAUUCGAGCCACAGCCAAGCAUGCCGCACUGUCACGGCAAGCAUGAUUUCGCUCUGCAGCCAGACAGUACCCUAGAGGCCGCACUCGAGCCCGCUCCAAUCUUCAAUUCGGAGCCGGCUGCGCAGGUCGAGGACGGAUGGCUAGACACAGCCUCGGGGGCUGCAACCUCUACGGCGAUAGAGCCGAACACUGACCUUGUCCCUCAUGAAGCUCGUGACUCCGAGGAGCCGGACUCCUUGAAGGACUCCGAACCUCCCGCGCCCCCUCCGAUCGAAUCCGAUUGGGCGCCGAUCAUGGAGUUCACCGCGGCGGACAUCUUUCAACACUCACCUUUUGGCAACAUCUUGAGUUCGCUAAAGUAUCUCUCGUUAUCAGCAGAGUCCUGGCCGGACUGCGGCCAGGACGGUUGGAUGCGGACGACGAAGAAAUUCAAAGCCCACCCACCACCCACUUGGUAGCCACUGUCAAUGAUCUCACCGACAUGCUAGACUACGACUCCGAAGACAUCGACGGUAUGGACGAUGAUGCCGGAGACGACCAAGAACCAGCGCCUACCGGGCACUGGAAAGCCACCUCAUCAUAUGAAAUAUACAUGGUGGAUAUCCCAAAGGAUGGGAAUGGCGAAGGGGCAGUGGAGGAUGACCCCUCCAAGAAACAGCGCAAGCGCCAGCGUCAGCGGCGCCGCUCUAAAUCCCGCCACAGCAAGAACGAAGAUUCUGGCACCAGAGAUAAUAAUACACCGGACAGUGCUGAAGACAACCCACUCCAGCAAGAUCCAGCGCAGGAGGAUGGAGACGCCAGCCCUCAUGAGAGAGCGGCAGAAGAAGAGGUAGAGGAUUACAUGCCUCCCUCCGGAGAUGAGGCAAGCCUCGACGAUGAUGAAUUCGUCGUGCCUGAGGAUCCCGUCGAACAAGAGCGUUUUAAACGCAGGCUUAUGGCCAUGGCGAACAGCCUCAAGAAAAAGCAGCAACAGCUUAGAGCUGAUCAAGAUCUGCUAGCUGACAGAUGGACUGAAGUCCUCGCGGCCGAAGAGCAUGAGCUCGAACGCCCCUCCAAAAGCUACCCUAAACGCAAGCUGCUCCCCUGAUUAGAGGAGGAGGCGUAUGAACCCGCAUCACCAGGAGACAAUACGGCUGACCGACCACCCCAUGGUCGCGACAGAGAGGCCUUUAGGCCCUUCACUAAACCCGUACCCCGGCAUCGCUCCGGACUUGCGAGAUAUAUUAGAGGAUAGGGCAAUACAAUCAAGAUCGAUCUAUGGAUCGCGUGGGCGCCCCAUGAUACAUGACGACAACCGUCGCGCCGGACACAGUAAGUCCGGUCGGGCCGAACAAAAUAGACAAAGCCCUUUUGAGCUCCGUCAUGAUAUCGCCCAGUACAGAGGCGCCGCACACCCACUAUGCUUCACAGAUGAAGUAAUGGAUCAUCAAAUCCCCGAAGGGUUUAAACCCGUGAAUAUUGAAUCUUACGAUGGCACAAUAGACCCCGCGGUUUGGAUUGAAGACUAUCUCCUUCACAUCCACAUGGCCCGCGGUGACGAUCUUCACGCCAUCAAAUAUCUCCCCCUCAAGCUUAAAGGACCAGCCCGGCAUUGGCUUAACAGCUUGCCAGCAGAGUCAAUUGGGAGUUGGGAAGACCUGGAAGCCGCAUUCCUCGAUAACUUCCAAGGCACGUAUGUGCGACCACCAGACGCUGAUGACCUAAGCCACAUAAUUUAGCAGCCAGACGAAUCGGCCAGAAAAUUCUGGACACGGUUCUUAACCAAGAAAAACCAAAUCGUUGACUGUCCGGAUGCGGAGGCCCUUGCAGCCUUCAAGCAUAAUAUCCGUGACGAGUGGCUUGCCCGGCACCUGGGAUAGGAAAAGCCGAAAUCCAUGGCAGCCCUCACAUCACUCAUGACCCGCUUCUGCGCGGGUGAGGACAGCUGGCUAGCACGCAGCAACAACCUCAGCAAAAAUUCUGGUAGUCCGGAUAUCAAGUACCGUAAUGGCAGGUCGCGUCGUAACAAAAACAAACGCCGCAUUAACGGCGAUAAUAGUGAGGAUAUGGCAGUCAAUGCCGGAUUCAGAGGCUCUAAACUCGGUCAAUGGAAAAAGCCAUUCAAAAGAACUACCCCGGGUCAGUCCAAUUUGGACCGAAUACUCGACUGCUUGUGCCAGAUACACGGCACCCCCGAAAAGCCAGCUAAUCACACCAAUAGGGACUGUUGGGUAUUCAAACAGGCAGGCAAGUUAAUUGCCGAAAACAAUGACAAGGGGCCGCACAGCGAUGACGAGGAAGAGACCCGACCGCCGAACAAUAGAGGACAGAAAGGUUUCCCCCCACAGGUGCAAACGGUGAACAUGAUCUACGCAACGCACAUACCCAAAAGGGAGCGGAAGCGUGCACUAAGGGACGUAUACGCGCUGGAGCCAGUUGCCCCGAAGUUCAAUCCAUGGUCCUCCUGCCCGAUCACUUUUGACCGGAGGGACCACCCCACCAUCAUCCGCCAUAGCGGAUUCGCCGCAUUGGUUCUAGACCCAAUCGUCGAUGGAUUUCACCUCACCAGAGUCCUGAUGGACGGCAGCAGCAGCCUGAACCUGCUUUAUCAGGACACAGUGCGCAAAAUGGGCAUAGACCCCUCAAGGAUCAAACCUACCAAGACGACCUUUAAAGGCGUCAUACCAGGUGUAGAAGCCAAUUGUACAGGCUCAGUUACACUGGAAGUGGUCUUCGGAUCCCCGGAUAACUUCUGAAGUGAGGAGUUAAUCUUCGACAUAGUUCCGUUCCGCAGCGGCUAUCAUGCUCUGCUUGGACGUACCGCGUUCGCAAAGUUCAACGCGGUGCCGCAGUACGCAUACCUCAAGCUCAAGAUGCCAGGCCCUCGAGGGGUCAUCACGGUCAACGGAAACACUGAACGCUCUCUCCGAACGGAGGAGCAUACAGUGGCUCUCGCGGCAGAAGUACAGUGCAGCCUCUUAAGGCAAUUCUCGAGUCCGGCCGUUAAGAGACCGGACACGGAUAAACGCGCCCGGAGUAAUAUACAACAAGACCACCUGGCACGUUUCGAGCAUGCGUAGCAGUGCGGCCCCAACCCCAGCCCCUGUAAAACGUCAAGACAGAUCCUUCGUGUACACCAUUACGCUCUGAAGAUACCAUGGGCAUGGGGAGAGGGGCACGACCACGAUAGGCCCAGACUGCAGCUCAACCACACCAGGGGCUCUCAAGUGUGUCGUUCUUUUUUCUUUUUCUUUUUUUACUCACAGGACUCCGUUCGUCAAAGGCCCUGUCUGGCAGCAGACCUGCCGAACUCACGAUGCAACAGCCAGGGAAGGAUAAAGGCUACAACGAAUAUCCAGGUGGUCUCCAUUAUGAGCAUUUAAUCCGUUUUACGCACCAUUCCGUAGCCUACCCCUGGAGGGGGACAUGUUUAACAGUCCCAUCCCUUGCUUAUCGCACCAUUUGUAUCAUUCUGCACUUACAGCAGUUUUUCUUGAAUAAGUAAUGCAGCACCUUUUUGCUUCCAAUUGCAUUUAUCUUUUAUACAUAUGUUCAUUUGUGACAUUACGCAUCCGUACGUUUUUGGUACGGCUACAUACACGAGGGGCUUAUGUUUCCCGCAUCAUGGUGUGAUAAGUCUGAACACUUUCACAAGUGCAGCACCCCGAACUUAUAGCAUUAUAUGCAUCAGCUCCGAAUCAUGUCUUGGGUCAAUAGUUGGGUUUGCCCGGCUCCCAUGUUUUGGUACCUUACGUUCCGUUGUAUCGGCUAAGGUAGCACUGGGAGAACCACUGCGAUUGCGCCCCAGUUGAGCUGGGUUAACGCCUCAGUCGAGAAAGCUAAAACUGACUGUCAUGAUGAGGCGAGAACUGGUUGCUGUUCGAGAGGUUUUUUGCGAGUCCCUAAAGACUUAUGCCGCUUAGAGCGAGGAGCCGAUUUUUGUCCGGCCCAGGCGUGGAUAGCGCCCCAAAUUCGGCCUUCCGAAGACUAUGGGCUUCGCCAAAAUUUAAAAUUAUAGAAUUCUAUGGCUAAGUGAGAGUGUUCAAGCAUUAUAAGUCCGGUUGCCUUGUUCGUUGUGUUGAGCGCCUCCUAGAUGGACCCAAAUAUGGGAACAAGAGUGCUCAAAUUUAUCCCGAACACCCCAGCACUCGUGGCAUGGGGGCUGAAGUCGACGACUUGCCAUCUCUCAGAUUUGAUAAACAGCCGCACCGAAGGUAAUAUUUUAAAUUAAAAUGCGUUGCUUCGCGCAAAUGAACUAAGUUUUUAGCGCACAUGAUAACAAAAUGCGAGUCUACUCAAAUAUUACAUCUUUGGAGCACUCACCCGCAAUAGUGCGGGCGCCCUUCAGCACACUCUUAUAAUACAUCUCGGGCGUGCGAUGCUCCUUGCCCUCCGGUGGUGGGUCCGUCACGAGCUUUUGGGCAUCCAUCUUGCCCCAGUGCACCUUUGCACGGGUAAGGGCCCGACGGGCACCCUCAAUACAGGCGGAGUGCUUGAUGACUUCAACCCGCGGGCACGCAUCCACCAGCCGCUGCACCAGGCCGAAGUAGCUCCCAGGCAUGGCCUCCUUAGGCCACAGCCGAACUAUGAGGCCCUUCAUGGCCUGUUCGGCCGCCUUGUGGAGCUCGACCAGCUGCUUCAGCUGGUCGCUAAGGGGCACCGGAUGUCCGGCCUCAGCAUACUGAGACCAGAAGACCUUCUCCGUCGAGCUCCCCUCCUCGGCCCGGUAGAACGCGGCAGCAUCAGACACGCUGCAAGGAAGAUCUGCGAAUGCUCCUGGAGAGCUCCGAAUUCGGGUAAGCAACAGGUAAUUAACACUCACAUGCUUACUUUGCAUGAAAAAUGCCUUACCCGCUGCUAUUUUCUUUAACGCCUUGAUUUCCUGGAGGGCCUUGUAGGCUUCGGCCUUAGCGUCUUUGGCACUCUCAAGAGCCGUUGCAAGCUCAUACUCUCGAGUCUUCGAGUCAUGCUCCAGGCUCUCAUAUUUCUGCAUGAGAUCCUGGAGCUCUUGCUGUACCUCCGCCACCCGCGCCUCCUGCUUCUCUCGCUCGGUGCGCUCCGCGGCCGCAUUGCAUUUGGCCGCGGCCACCGCCUCUUUCAGGGUCUCCACCUUGUUAGUGGCCCCUGCAAUACCCACGUUAUCCUUGUCAUUCUUUUUGCAACCAAAAUCCUUUUCUGUAAGGUACAAUUUUAAUAAGGUGUUACUCACCUUCCUUGUCCUCGAGCUGCUUCUUGGCACGGCCGAGCUCGUUCUCGGACCGCUCGAGGUUUUCCUUCAAAGUAUUGACCUCCACAGUCAGUGCGGCAGAGGUAAGCAGCGCAGCCUGCAAUCCCAUAUCGACAUAUUUUUUAUGACUCCUGCGUAUAUCUUCUUAGAUCCUCAGUCCGGCUUUUCUUUCCGAACACCGAACCGAGCAUCAGGGGCUACUGUCUAUGCGGUACUAUUUUACAUAUCUCAAAAUUCUUACCUCAAAGCCUGUUAGAAGGCUGCUGGAGGCUUUGGUAAGCCCGCUCUUGGCGAGCUGCACCUUCUGAAUCACCGCACUCAUAACAGUGCGGUGUUCCUCUUCAAUGGAGGCGCCAUUGAGCGCCUCCAGCAAGUUAUUCGGCGCCUCCGGUUGGACAGAGGCUGCCAGUGUCACGGUCUUGCCCUUCUUAUGAAGGGGCCGCACGCCGGACUCCGGAGCCACUAUGGGAUCCAGAGCCGAGUCUGGUGCAAAGUCCGGGAGGUUGUCAUGCGACACCUCUGGGGCCUCCUCCUCCUGGCGGGUCCCUUCCCGGGAUCCCACCUCGGCAUCGUCCGUGUCACGGGGGGUGGAGGCGGUCGGAAGAGAAUCCAUAUCCGACGCACCUAAGGACCCGCUCGACGAAGCGGGAAGAUCGUCCUUGGGCGGACUGCAAGGUUGUAUGUGGCAUUAGAAAGACAAUGUGUGGCAAAAAAGAAAAACCAUGAAGUUAUUCGGGAGUCUGGAUACUUACGAUCUCGCCGGAGGCUUGGCCCUUGGAGGCCAGUCCUUGUCGUCGUCACUGGCGUUGGCAGAGCAGUCUGGGGAAAGAGUUUUUCCCUUCUUGCACCCUUCAGCCUCCCCCGUAGGGGAAGCCUUCCUUUUCUUCCCUCCCCCCGCUGGGGGAGAGGCUUUCUUCUUCUCCUCCUCACCCUUGUGGGAGGAUUCGGCCUCGGAGUCAUCGUUCGAUAACACCUGAAAGCGGGAACUCUUUCGAGUACCCGUGGCCUUCUACUUGGCCUUCUUCUCCGGCACCACGUGGGGUGCUAGAGCCAGCAGCCCCGUCAAGCGGGCGUCCGCUGGGUCCUCUGGCAACGGGGCCGGACAGAUAGUCUGUUCGGCCUUCUUCAGCCAGUCCUGUCAAAGGAAAGGGAGUUUAGAUCCCGCAUAGAGUCAAACUAUGGAAAACAAGCAUCCCAUAAAGGACAAAAUCACUUACCUCGUCAGCUGGACGCUGCAAGCUGAAUCCGCGAUCUUCGGUAGCGGAUGCGGGAGCCUCGGUGCCCUUGAACAGCACCUUCCAGACAUCUUCAUACGUAGUGUCGAAGAGCCCGCUCAAAGUCUGGUGCUACGCCGGAUCGAACUCCCACAUAUUGAAGCCCCGUCGUUGGCACGGGAGAAUCUGGCGGAUGAGCAUGACCUGGACCAUGUUGACAAGCUUGAGCUUCUUGUCCACCAGCUUUUGGACGCGGGCUUGGAGUCUGGUCAGCUCCUCCAAAUCACCCCAAGUCCGGCCACUCUCUUUCCAGGAGGUGAGCCGUGUGGGGAUGCCAGAUCUGAAUUCGGGGGCCGCUGCCCAUUCGGGGUCACGCGGCUCGGUGAUGUAGAACCACCCCAAUUGCCACCCCUUGAUGGUUUCCAUGAAAGUGCCCUCAAGCCAAGUAAUGUGGGACAUCCUGCCCACCAUGGCGCCUCCGCACUCCGCUUGGCUGCCCUUCACAACCUUCGGCUUGACACUGAAGGUCUUGAGCCACAAGCCGAAGUGGGGCUGGAUGCAGAGGAAGGCCUCACACACGACGAUAAACGCCGAGAUGUUGAGGAUGAAAUUCGGGGCCAGAUCAUGGAAAUCCAGGUCGUAGUAGAACAUGAGCCCCCGGACAAAGGCAUGGAGUGGGAAGCCCAGUCCGCGGAGGAAAUGGGGAAGGAAUACUACCCUCUCAUGGGGCCUAGGGGUGGGGAUGAGCUCUCCCUCGUCGGCGAGUCGGUGCGCGAUGUCGCUGGACAAGUAUCCGGCGCUGCGCAGCUUCCGGAUCUGCCCCUCCGUGAUGGAGGAGGCCAUCCACUUGCCUCCUACUCCGUACAUAUUUGGAGAAGGUUGAGGUGAGAUGUGCGGACUUGGGCGCUGGAGCUCGAGUUUGCGGAGAUGGAUAAGCCAAGGAGGAAGAAGGCGCAGGUAAAAGGGUUGGAUCUUUAUCCCCUUAUAUGGGCGGACGAAAACAUGCGUCCCCACUGGCCUGAUAAAACUCGCUUAUCUCCCAAGCGCCGCAAUCAAUGGCGCGGUUGGGUUACCCACAUCCAUAUUUAUGGGAAUCCCGGGAUAAGGGAAACACGAUCUCUUCUUCGACAAGACGUGCCAAGGAAACCGCUUCGCUAAACGCGCUGAGGUGGUACAAUAAAAACAAUUUAAGUAAAGGCUUGGUAGUGAUGUGACGUCACACCAUCAAAUACGUCAGCAGAUUGAACUUGUGUAAUGUUAUUUUCUCUACGGUGGUGCGUGGAAUUUAUCUUGCAGAGCCGGACACUAUCCUGGUGUUCACAUUCUUCUAUAAAUUAUUCGGAGGAGGAACCUGCCUUGCAAUGCCGAAGACAAUAUGUGCGCCGGACUCGUCGUCAUUGAAGCCUGGUUCAGGGGCUACUGAGGGAGUCCCGGACUAGGGGGUGUCCGGAUAGCCGAACUAUCAUUAUCGGCCGGACUCCAAGACUAUGAAGAAACAAGAUUGAAGACUUCGUCCCGUGUCCGGAUGGGACUUUCCUUGGCGUGGAAGGCAAGCUUGGCGAUACGGAUAUGUAGAUCUCCUACCAUUGUAACCGACUCUGUGUAACCCUAGCCCUCUCCGGUGUCUAUAUAAACCGGAUGGCUUUAGUCCGUAGGACGAACAACAAUCAUACCAUAGGCUAGCUUCUAGGGUUUAGCCUCCUUGAUCUCGUGGUAGAUCUACUCUUGUAACACACAUCAUCAAUAUUAAUCAAGCAGGACGUAGGGUUUUACCUCCAUCAAGAGGGCCCGAACCUGGGUAAAACAUCGUGUCCCUUGUCUCCUGUUACCAUCCGCCUAGACGCACAGUCCGGGACCCCCUACCUGAGAUCCGCCGGUUUUGACACCGACACUUGUCCUCAAGCAAUUCAGUUGACAAACUGAAAGUGAUAAAGAAAAACUUUUACAAACUCUGUUUGCUCUUGUUGUUGUAAAUAUGUAAAGCCAGCAUUCAAGUUUUCAGCAAAGAUUAUGAACUAACCAUAUUCACAAUAACACUUAGGUCUCAUGUUUACUCAUAUCAAUGGCAUAAUCAACUAGCGAGCAAUAAUAAUAAAUCUCGGAUGACAACACUUUCUCAAAACAAUCAUAAUAUGAUAUAACAAGAUGGUAUCUCGCUAGCCUUUCUGAGACCGCAAAACAUAAAUGUAGAGCACCUUUAAAGAUCAAGGGCUGACUAAACAUUGUAAUUCAUGGUAAAAGAGAUCCAGUCAAGUCAUACCCAAUAUAAACUAAUAGUAAUGCAUGCAAAUGAUAGUGUGCUCUCCAGCGGUGCUUUUUAAUAAGAGGGUGAUGACUCAACAUAAAAGUAAAUAGAUAGGCCCUUCGCAGAGGGAAGCAGGGAUUUGUAGAGGUGCCAGAGCUCGAUUUUAAAAUAGAGAUGAAUAACAUUUUGAGCGGUAUACUUUCACUGUCAACACAACAACUAUGAGAUCUCGAUAUCUUCCAUGCUACACACAUUAUAGGCGGUUCCCAAACAGAACGGUAAAGUUUAUACUCCCCCUCCACCAAAAACCAUCAAUCCAUGGCUUGCCCGAAACAACGGGUGCCUCCAACUAACAACAAUCCUGGGGGAGUUUUGUUUGAAUUUAUUUUGAUUUGAUUUAAUCUUUUGAUCAUGGGACUGGGCAUCCCGGUUACCAGCCAUUUUCUCGUGAAUGAGGAGCGGAGUCCACUCCUCUUGAGAAUAACCCGCCUAGCAUGGAAGAUACAAACAACCCUAGUUGAUACAUGAGCUGCUCGAGCAUACAAAACAGAAUUUCAUUUGAAGGUUUGGAUUUUGUCACAUACGAAUUUACUUGGAACGGCAGGUAAAUACCGCAUAUAGGAAGGUAUGGUGGACUCAUAUGGAAUAACUUUGGGUUUAUGAAGUUUGGAUGCACAAGCAGUAUUCCCGCUUAGUACAGGUGCAGGCUAGCAAAAGACUGGGAAGCGACCAACUGAGAAAGUGACAACAGUCAUGAACAUGCAUUAAAAUUAAUCAAUAUCAGGUGCAAGCAUGAGUAGGAUAUAAUCCACCAUGAACAUAAAUACCGUGAAGGCUAUGUUGAUUUUGUUUCAACUACAUGCGUGAACAUGUGCCAAGUCGAGUCACUCGAAUCAUUCAAAGGAGGAUACCACCCUAUCAUACCACAUCACAACCAUUUAAAUAGCAUGUUGGCGCGCAAGGUAAACCAUUAUAAGCUCCUAGCUAAUUAAGCAUGGCAUAAGCAACUAUAAUCUCUAAUUGUCAUUGCAAACAUGUUUAUUCAUAAUAGGCUGAAUCAUGAACGAUUGAAAGUGCAACUAUCCCUGGGUGGUUUUGGUAAUUCCUAACAACAUAUAGCUCAUUGAGCUCAUGCUAUUUCAAGAUAAAUAUUUUAGGAAAGCUCAGUGAGUGGCAUGGCAUGGAUGAGAAAAGUGGAUCCCUCAAAAUGCUAAAGACAAAAGGAUUGGCUCAAGCUCAAAGCACAAGACUCUACAUUUUCUAUUUUAGUUAUCCAAGAUCACAUUGAGUCUAUAGGAAAAUCCAAUACUAUCAAGGAGGGAUGAGGUGUUGCUUAAUGAGUUUCUUGCUCUAAAUGCUUAGUGAUAUGCUCUAAAGCCCUCAACUACUUUCGCACAUCCACAUAUGACCCAAACCAAAAGUCAAACUCGGCCCCACCGAAAUUAUCUAUCCGGCGCCACCGAGUUCAGAUGUAAUAGCCACUACUACAAACCCUAAUCAAAUCGGUCUCACCGAUAGGGAUCUCGGUCUCACCGAGAUGGGAUUGCAAACUCUCUGUUCCCCUUUGUAACGUUUCGGUCCAACCAAGAUGAGUGAUCGGUCCCACCGAGAUUGCAAUGCAAACUCUCUGUUUCCCUUUCGUAAUGUUUCAGUCCAACCGAGAUGAGCGAAUCGGUCCCAUUGAGUUUGCCUGACCAACUCUCUGGUUAGCUUUUUACCAAAAUCGGCCCCACCAAGUUUGUGUAAUCGGUCUCACCGAUAUUACGUUAUGCCCUAACCCUAACCAUAUCAGUCCCACCGAAAAUCCUAACAGUCACAUUAUUUGCUAAAUCGGUCCGACCGAGUUUCAUGAUUCGGUCCCAUCGAGAUUGGUAAGUUGUGUGUAACGGUUAGAUUUUGUGUGGAGGCUAUAUAUACCACUCCACCCACUCUUCAUUCAUGGAGAGAGCCAUCAGAACAUGCCUACACUUCCAACAUACAUUUUCUGAGAGAGAACCACCUACACUUGUGUUGAGGUCAAGAUAUUCCAUUCCUACCAUAUGAAUCUUGAUCUCUAGUCUUCCCCAAGUUGCUUUCCACUCAAAUCUUCUUUCCACCAAAUCCAAAUCCUGUGAGAGAGAGUUGAGUGUUGGGGAGACUAUCAUUUGAAGCACAAGAGCAAGGAGUUCAUCAUCAACACACCUUUUGUUACUUCUUGGAGAGUGGUGUAUCCUAGAUUGGCUAGGUGUCACUUGGGAGCCUCCGACAAGAUUGUGGAGUUGAACCAAGGAGUUUGUAAGGGCAAGGAGAUUGCCUACUUCAUGAAGAUCUACCCUAGUGAGGCAAGUCCUUCGUGGGUGACGGCCAUGGUGGGAUAGACAAGGUUUCUUCUUCAUGGACCCUUCGUGGGUGGAGCCCUCCGUGGACUCGCGCAGCCGUUACCCUUCGUGGGUUGAAGUCUCCAUCAACGUGGAUGUACGAUAGCACCACCUAUCGGAACCACAACAAAAACAUUCGUGUCUCCAAUUGUGUUUGCCUUCUCAAACUCCUCCCAUUUACCUUCAUAUGCAAUUGUUUUACAUUCCGCUGCUAUACUCUUAGAAUUGCAUGUGUAGGUUGAUUGCUUGACCUGUGCUAAGUUGCUAAAAUCUUCCAAGAACUAAAAUUGAGAAAGUCUAGAUUUUUAUUUGGUCAAGUAGUCUAAUCACCCCCCCCCCUCUAGAUAUACUUUCAAUCCUACAAGUGGUAUCAGAGCGUUGGUCUCCAUUUUCUUUGAUUUCCAUAGCUUUUGGUAGUCAUAGCCUUGGUUUCAGAACCUAGGAGAGUAUGGCGUCUAGCGAGGGAAAUUACCACCGUAGAGGUCCAUACUUUGAUGGUACUAAUUUUGCUAGUUGGAAGCAUAAGAUGAAAAUACAUAUUCUUGGACAUAACCCAGCCGUUUGGGCUAUUGUGUGUAUUGGCUUGCAAGGUGAAUUCUUUGAUGGGAGAGAACCAAACUGUGAAGCUACCAUGGAAGAGUUGAAGAUGCUGCAAUACAAUGCUCAAGCUUGUGAUAUCAUCUUCAAUGGAUUGUGCCCCGAAGAAUUCAACAAAAUCAGCCGUCUUGAGAAUGCAAAGGAAAUUUGGGAUACUUUGAUUGACAUGCACGAAGGUACCGACUCCAUCAAGGAAUCCAAAUUGGAUGUGCUUCAAAGUCAACUUGACAAGUUCAAAAUGAAGGAUGGUGAAGGUGUCGCUGAAAUGUACUCUAGGCUUGCUCUAAUCACAAAUGAGAUUGCCGGCUUAGGAAGUGAAGAGAUGACCGACAAAUUCAUCAUCAAGAAGAUCCUAAGAGCCUUGGAUGGAAAAUAUGAUACUGUGUGCACAUUGAUCCAAAUGAUGCCCAAUUACAAAGAUCUCAAGCUAACGGAAGUCAUUGGAAGAAUUUUUGCUCAUGAGAUGUCACUCAAGGAUAAGGAGGAGCUCCACAACAAGUCAAGUGGUGCUUACAAAGCCUCAUGUGAAGCUCCCACAUCAUCAAUUGAGAAACAAACCUUCAAUGAAGAAUUGAGCCUAAUGGUGAAGAACUUCAACAAGUUCUACAAGAGUAGAAGCAAGGAAAGAAGUUCCAAGUCAAGGUCCUACAAUGACAAAAGAUCUUCUAGUCGUGAGCAUAAUUGCUACAAUUGUGGAAGACCCGGACACUAUUCCAAUGAGUGUACGUAUCCCUACAAAAGAAGAGAAGAUUCUCCAAAAAGAAGGAGUAGAAGUGAAGACUCACCAUCAAGAGAAAGAAGGAGUAGAGAUGAUCGUUAUGAACGAAGAACAUCCAGGAGAAGCAAGGAUUUGGAAAGGAAGGACAAGUCAUCAAAGAGCUACAUAAAGCGAAGACAUCAAGCUCAUGUUGGUGAACGGGUAUCCGGCUCCGACUCCGACAAUCACUUCGAGAGAAGCUAUCACUUCGACUCCGAAUAUACUCAAGAUGAAGGUGUUGUCGGUCUAGCACUUGUGUCAACCAACUCCUAUGACUUAUUUGACUCACCAAAUGAAGGAAUUGGAAGAUGCUUCAUGGCUAAAGGCCCAAAGGUAUCACACCCCGAGUAUGUUGAUUUCAAUAGUGUUGAAGAUGACUGGUUAGGUGAUGAUGAUUUACUUGUUGACAACUCUAGUGAUGAAUACUAUGAUGAAACGUCAAAUAAUCAUGCUAAUCAAGAUAAAAUGACUGACAAUGAUAAUAAGAAGAUUGAGCUCCUAACUAAAGAACUAAACACUCUUAAGUUAGCUCAUGAAACUAUCUUAGGAGAUCAUCAAGAACUUUUAAGGACUCAUGAGAAGUUACGCUUUGAAAAGCUCAACCUUGAGCAAGAUCAUGAGUUUUUAAUGGCAAUCAAUGAUGAUCUUCGCAAGAAAAGUUCUUCUUACAUUGCCAAGCGUUUACUCUUAUCUACUUACAUGCCUCAAGUCAAGUCUAGUAAUAAUAACAAGAAAGAUUCUUCUUCUAGUAGUAACAAUAAUCAUGCUAAAUCCAAUGUUGUUGCUUCUAGUAGUUCUCUUGAUUCCACUAAUGAUUCUCUUAGCCAAGUUACACUUGAGCAAGAAAAUAGCUUAUUGAAGGGAAUUAUAGAGAAAGGUGUUUACAAGAGCCUUGACGAGAGUAAGCAAUUCGAGGAAAUUGUACGCAAGCAAGGAAGGCACCGGAAGAAUCAAUGUGUUGGUUUUGAACGAAAGUUCAAUGCCAAUGGAGUUGAGUGGGAAGAAGAUCAAUACCCCAAGACGAAGUUUGUUCCUCAACAAGAGAAGUAUGAUCCUACUUAUUUCAAAGGGACACAAGCUCAAGAUGAUCUUGCACCACAAGACCACAAGCAAAAAGGCAAGGACAAGCUUCAAGAGGAGAUUGAUGCAUUUGAAGAAGCUCCUAACACUACAAAAAAAAUACACUUCUGUGAUGAUACGUGUUUGUCAUAGUAGGUCGCGUUUUCUGUCAUGCAUGUACAUCCAUGAUGAUUUUAUGACAGAAUCAAGAUAGUCAUACCUGUGCUGUCGUAGAAGUGUUUCAUGAUAUUACCAAAAUUAUCAUCACGGAAGUGUCCACUUCCAUGACGAUAAAUCGUGCGUCACAGAAGUGCUUUCGUCAAGGGUGACCGACACGUGGCAUCCACCGUAACGGAACACCGUUAAGCUAUCGGGUCGGGUUUUGGAUCCGAUAACCCGUUAACAGCCCGGACCAAUGGGAAAUUUCCAUGUGUAAAAUUCUUAUUGGCCGGACGAAACACGUGUCAGCUCGUCAGUGGGUCAGAUAGGUGCCUAUGAUAUGUCGACACGUGCCACGGCCCACCACUGGCCCAUUUAGCUUACAAAGCCGGCCCGUUUGACUUGGUCAAAAGUUAACGGCUGGCCCAUGAAAAGCUUGUUAAUGGCCUCUUUGCAAAUAGCCCAUUUUACGGCCCGGUAACUCACGGCCUGUUAGGCCCUAAUGGAGAUCGGCCCAACAACGUCAUGUGGGUCGUCGAAUACAACACCAGCCCAUUUCACUUUCAGCCCAUGUAUGGCCCAUGAUGUCUUUCGGCCCACAUGAGGCCUUCGUAUCUUUAGGCCCUUUAGAGGCCCACGGUGACUCUAGCCCAUAAUGAAUAGUAAUUUUCUUUGUACCCAUUAACGGCCCGUGAUUCACAUGGGCCAUUUCUAGCCCGUGUUAGCUUUCGGCCUAUUAAUGGCCCAUACGUUCUUGGGCUCCUUUCCGGCCCUCGAUUACUUCCGGCCCGUUACUAGCCUGUUCCCCUAAUGGGCCAAAUUCGGCCCAUGGCAAGAGUCGGCCCGUUUCUGGCCUGUUAACCCGUUGCGCAGUUUCUAGCCCGUGUUAGCUUUUAGCCUAUUGACGACCCAUACGUUCUUGGGCUCCUUUCCGGCCCUCGAUUACUUCUGGCCCGUUACUGGCAUGUUCCCCUAAUGGGCCAAAUUCGGCCCAUGGCAAGAGUCGGCCCAUUUCUGGCUUGUUAACCCGUUGUGCCAUUUCCAGCCCGUCCUAUAUUCUGGCCCAUUAACGACCCGUUAUGCCUGUGACAGAAUUAAGCCUUUGCUGUCCUCCGGCCUGUUAACGGCCCAUUACCGUGCUGGGCCGGUACCAAUUACGCCCAUUUACGGCCCAUGUAGAUCCAUUUAUCCGACGACCCGAGGCCCACCGACUCUACGGCCCUGAUGGAGGCCCAUUUAUCGAUGGCCCGUAGGAGACCCAUGGAUCCUAUGGCCCGUAGGAGACCCAUGGAUCCUAUGGCCCGUAUAUGGCCCAUGGUUGUUGCGGCCACUAACAAACCAGGGAAAAGUAGACUAGGAAAUAAAUAAGGCCGAAACUAACGCUAGGCUACUAAGGCGAUUGCACAGAUUACAAGCACUCGGCAUCAAAGAUCGCCACCAGUGCAAAUAUGGGGAACACCCUACACUAUACAAAAAUGGCUUGUUGUUUUCUUCAGCCGGUGGCUGGACGUUAAGAACAAAUUUUGUAUCGCACCAAAACAAAUUACAACUAUAUAACAAAAGGAAGGUUGGCAUAAAACUUAACAGUCUAGCAGAUAAAUGCACCACCAGAAGUUCAGAAGCUCAGUUCAUUUGACUUGACUGUUACGUUUUCAUGUUGUAUUGUCUGAUGGAGCACCAUAACCCUCGCCUUCAUUUCUCCUAGGCUCCUGAACAACAUAGCAAAUGUCUGAUAGUAUGGUUUCAAAACCAUGCAUAUCUUGACGACAUCGAACAAUGUCUCCUUGUUUCACAAAGGGUCUUUGUUAGGGAUGGACUUGUGUCUGGAGCGCAGAUACAACAUUGCUUUGAGCUUGCAUAUCUUGAUCAUGAGGCAGUUUGGACGAGAUUGCCUUAACAACCAACCCAGUAUUACGCAGGAACGUGCUUUUGCUACUGUUAGUGGACAGGUACUGACCCACUGCAGCAAGAGCUGGCAUUGCGAUUAUAGUUGCCUCGCCACCUUCAGAAGGUGGCGGUUCCACCAUUUUUUCCAUAGCUAGCUGAAAAGUUGAAUUUUUACAUUAGUAGUACCAGAACAGAAGACAUUAAGGAGGCAGCAAAACCAAACAAAAUAGCUUUGGUCUAUAUACAGAAUUUAUUCUAGUGAACCCAUGUAAAAUAUUAGUUGUAUUUUAUUGCAAAGUACAUAAUAAAACCAGGUUCCAAACAUAUGACCAUGUACCAUCGCUAAUGUAUUGUCUAUUUCUUCACAUUGUAUUGAGGGUUAAGGAUAAAGAGACGAAGUUUAUAAUACGGUAAGCAUAGUAUGACAUCAUUCAUAUCACAAAACAACUGAGAACAGACAAACAGACAAUUGUAACAUUGUGUGGGCAAGUCCAGCACGGAACUAGAUUAUGGGUCAAGAUCAAAGGAACAUCACUCCUCUCUUUUAAACCUUGUAAGGUGCAAUGAUACGCUAAGACAAUUGUGUAUAAAAUUGAAAAGAGUAAUAGACAUUGGCUGCAAACAUGCAGUUCAAGGCACAAGUCAGAGUAAGUAGUAGUUAAAAGGCAUGAGGAUUAAGGACUUACAACAGCGGCUUUGACUGGUGUAGUCAUUCCCUUCCUCUUGCUGGUGUGACAGUCCUUGAAGAUUUCCACAACAUUUGGUUCAGAUACUUUUUGGUCCUUGCGGGCUUUCCUCUGCAUUUCUAACAAGUCAAUAUAGAUCUGAUAAUAUGGUGCAGCGAAAAGAGUGAAACAGCAGCUAAUUACAAGAGCCUCGUAGUGUGCAAUAUAGCUAUGAGAUCCUGUCAUGUGUUCAAAUUUCACUUUUGUACGGUUGGCCUUGUUCUUUGAACAGUUCACCUACAAGAAGAUAGAUUUGUGUGGAACAUGCGUAAAUAGGACCUCAACAUGUGAUCUGAUCACAUAUAUAUAAUGUACCUGAUACUUCGAAUUAGACCAGUGUUUAACAAGGCCCCUCCAGUCUUCAUCCGAUAUAUUUUCCACUGGAGAUGUUUGGGAAAGUUCACUGUUAGCCUUGCCUUCAAAGUGAGUUUUCCUCAAGUUAUACCGAUACUAUCGCAGAGCAGACUUGAAAACAUGGGUGCAAGCUUGUCUGGUUGCAUCAUCUUGGCUAUCCAACUUGAACCUCAUCUGUUGAAAAUUAUGGGAGUCUCAUUAUCAGCAACCUAGAAAGUAUGGGACAGAGCAAGACAAUAUUACUAGCUUCCAUACAUAACCAUACUUACAGAUAAAUGGUCGAGGAAGGCGUUGAACUGGGUUUCGUCUUUGCAUUCCUCUACAGAAUCCAUGUUGGGAGGAUACAUACAUGACACCUAACGGCAACCGCUGCCUCUGAUACUAACUUGGCUGACUCUGUAGCAUCACGUGGCCUUUUUAAACCUACCUCAAAACGGAUCUCCAUUCUUCCUCCUCUAGAUUUAGUUAACCUAUCGAGCAUUAUCCCUGAUGUUGUUUCCUCUUGCGCCUAGGUGCUAGUCCAACAACGAACAUAGGAAGUGUUAGUGUACAUAAAACUGUGAGACUACAUAUAAAGAAGCAUGCAACUGUAACUUGACUCCAGCAACUACCUUCUUGCUGUUGAAGCUCACAAGGUUCAUAUGAUAUUGCCAACUCUUCUUGUGUCAAGAGUGCUUAGGAAGUAGUGUCAGGUGGCAAGGGAGCUUGGGAACGUGCUGCUAGCUCAGUUGACGCACGAGUAACUCGUGCAGCUGGUAGUACUGUGGAAGGUGUUGCAAGAACUAGGGAUGUCUCUACUUGUUUGGUGGCAGCUAUUUGUUUCUGUUUGGCUUUUUUUGCAGCUCGUGUAGCAUGGGAUGCCCUAUUUGUAGAAUUUUCUGUUGGACUUUGACCUUCUAUUGCACCAUCAGUGCCAGCAGAAUCUGCAGGAUUCAUCCGCUUCUCAUUCCCUGCCAUUCUAUGCUUCUUCCUCUUUCUCUGUGCCAUGUUAAGUCAAGCCGACAAGAAAAACGAAUAACAAUUUAGUUCUUCAGAACAAAUUGAUGCGUGAUGCAGAUGAACUAAACUUUGAUGUUAGACAACCACAUGAUAGGAGGAUGUAAUAUGUACGAAAAACAGGACGGAAGAGAUAACCAGAACUAUGAUGUGUAAACUAAGCAGAAGACAUUUCACCAAAUUAGAAGCAAUGCAAUGGAAGGUAGACACCAUAUGAAAGAUGCUACAAAUAUCGCUUUGCCAAGUUAACAGUGUCUCAUUAUAAAUGGCGUUUAAACAAAUGUGAAGUAGUACAAGAAAUAAAUCAUAUGCAAGAUGCAAACAACAUCACACUACCAUGUUAGAGGUCUCUCGUCAUUAGUGCCAUUGCAUAUUCACAGCAGUGCAUAUUCACAACUUAUGAUGUGUAAACUAAGGAGAAGGCAUUUCAACAAAUUAGAAGCAAUGAAAGCUAGACACCAUAUGAAAGAUGCAACGGAUAUCACUCUACCAAUUUAAAUUGUCUAGUCAUAAGUGCCAUUUCAAUAAAUUAGUAGUACAAGCUAGAAAAGAAUGUGAGAUGUAACCUAUAUCACACUCCGAAGUCAAAUGUGUCUUAUGAUAAGUGAUUGUUGCAGGUUACAUAACAGUAGUAAUUUGAUGUAAGAACAUGGUGUGAUAGACAGAUAUUGUAUGUUCUAGAAACAGGAACACGUGUCUUAUUCAAGUAUAAUGUGUAAAGUAAGCAGAUGGAAUUCAACAAAAUUAGAAGCAAUACAAGCUAGACAUCACACAUAACAUGCAACCACAUAUAACAGUGCCAAGUUAGAGGGAGCGCCGGUGAUGGUGCACUAGGGGAGACAUGCUCAUCAUAAACACAGCUUUGUUGAGUGUAUAUGCAUGUGUUGUCUUGGAAAUCAUCUUGGGGGUGAGGAGGAGUAGAAACUAUAGAGGCACUCCGUUCGGAAGGAGCACCUUUAUCCUCUGCCUUGCUAACUUCCUUCCGCUUUAUUGAUUUUGAAUUGUCAAGUAAAAUCAACAAGAAAACGCAAUAAAAUUCUCUCUUCAGAACUCAUUCAUGCAUGAUACUGACAAUCACUACUUUGAUGUAAGGCAAACACAUGAUACCAGGAUGGUAUAUGUACGAAAAACAGGACGGCAUGGCAUGUUCACAAUUGUUUGUGUAAACUAAGCAGAAACCAUUCCAAGAAAUAUGAAGCAAUGCAAGCUAGACACCACAUGAAAGAUGCAACCAAUAUGACUCUGCCAAGUUAAAAGCGUCCCAUCAUAAAUGGAAUUUCAACAAAUUAGAAGCAGCGCAUGCUAUAAAUCAUAUGAAAGAUGCAACUAAUAUCGCACUGCAUAUACUAAAGGUGUCUCAUUGUAUUGAUUGAUGCGGGAUACAAAAAAAAACAAUAGUUUUAUGUAAGGACGUGCUUAAUAGAUAGAUGUACUGUGUACUAAAUACAGGAAGGCAUGUCACAUUAAUAGGUAUAAUGUAUAAGCUAAGCAGACUAGCACAUGUAGUUUAACCAGAUUGGAAGAAUUACAAUCUAGACACCAUAUGCAACAUGCAACCACAUAUCACGCUGCCAAGUUAGAGCAAGCACCUGCGAUGCUAGUGUAGGGAAAAUGCGGUAAUCAACUACAGAGCUACAUUCACUAUCUUCAUCUAGCCUUGUUGUUUCUUGAGAAUCAUGUUGGGAGGCUGACGCUGCAUUCUUUAAAUGAGGAUUAGUCCACUUGCCUGACUGGCUCAUCAUAAGUGACCGAUGAGGGAUACACAAGAACAUUAUUUUGAUGUAAGAACAUGGUUAAUAUACAGAUGUACUGGUAUGUACCAAAAACAGAAAGGCAUGUCAUAUUCAAAGGUAUAAUGUGUAAGCUAAGCAGAUGCAAUUUAACCAAAUUGGAAGCAAUACAAGAUAGACAUCCAGCUAGAGUGGUGAGCAUGAUCAUCUAGGACCUGAGAGCCUGGUGGGAGGCGGGCAGCUUCGCCACCAUCGCAGCUUUUUAGUUGGCUUCCAGGUGAUGCCCGUCUUUGCUGGGCUUGUCACUGGCUCGGCCAGUGCCCUGACUAGCUAUUUGUCUUCUGGUGCUCAUGGUAUGGUGGUUCAUGUAAAAAAUGUAUUUCCUUAUCUUAAUAAAGACUGACUUCGGCCUUUCAAAUACAAGCUAGACACCAUAUGGAACAUACAACCACAUAUGACACCGCGAAGUUAAAGCAAGCACCUGGGAUGGUGGUUCAUUGCGAGCGAGGUCAUCAACUCCAGAGCUAUGUUUACCGUCUCCAUCUGCUGACACUGCACCCUUUAUAGCGUUGUAAUGUGCCAUGCCUACCCGCAUAGCAAGCUGGAGCAACUUCUCUCUUUUCUUUUCUGCUUCCCUCAAGGCAGACUCUGAAAUACCCUUGCAUAAAAACACAAUAGUGAGAGUAUGGGUGAAGUGUGUGCAGAACUAGUGCACUGUAAAAGUAGCAGAUAGCAGGUGGCUGAAAUAUAAAUGACAGGAGACAUAUGAUAGCUCUACAACAUUGCAUGGAAAACAAAAUUAGAUUCUACUCCGUAUGAUUUUGUAAUAUAUGAGCACAGGAAAUGCAGGUACUCCUCGAGCACACCACCACAUGUGGUCAUAUCUAAGAUAACAGUCGAUUGAAAAUAAAUAGGUCAGUCGAUUUUUUUAAUGAAUCGUCCGAUCAAUAAGGAACGGGCAGAUGGCCUUCGUCCACCUCCCACCGGUCACUGUUGACGAUCUUUCUCGAACCGCCAGCGACCACCGUCCCAGACCCCUGCCUCCGCCGCCUCGCCCUCCCCUCGACCUCACACCACCGCUGUGCUUGGCAGCGCCCCCAGGCCAUCCCUUUAAUCCCAGCCGACCUCCAGUCUCCAGAUCGGGUGCCAGUAGCUCUAGGCCGCACACGCCCCUAAGAUAAACACCAAGGCGCUGCUUCCUCGGCGUAAUAGGCGUACUAGUGCCUGUUAUGCUGGGGAAUGCUUCCGUUAAUUGGGAAUCAACUGGACAGAAAUUGAAAUUCAGUGGGGCGACGGACCUCUAGCUAAGGUGAAAUAGUAUAUGAGGAGAAACCUUGUGCAUCGCGAGUUACUAGGAACAUCUAGUAUGAAGAAGAAGCGGUCAACUAGUGUCUUCUGUGGGAUGAAUAUCAUGCAAGCAGACACGUAAGAUUUGCACGAAUAAGGGAAGAGGAGUACUUGUAUCGGUUGCCAGUGUGGUGUCGAUAUGUUGCUGCGAUCUUCUUGUUUUUCCUAGGGGAACCGAUGUUUUGGAGAGCCGUGGUUCCUUGGAAAAACCCAUGGCCAAAUUGUUGACUGUGUUGUCGUGGCUGUAUAUCGGCAGAGGGCAAGUAGAUUCGAGGCGGUGAAGACGGCGUAGCAGGAAUAGCUCCGGUGCGGUGGACGGUCGCGAAGUUGGAGCGGCAGCGGUGAGGCGCAGGACGGCGUGGUUGAACUGGCUCGGGUACGGACUGCUCAGCCUCGGCUUCAACUACUAGCCAUGGAGGGCGUUGCAGUUGAGGUUGCGGUGGACGCUGACGUCGGGGUAUCGGCUCCGGCGUUAUGGAGGAGGGCAGCGGUUGAUGGGUGGGAUGGGGUGGCGGACGGAGGACGCUAGGGUUUCGCGGCUGGUGGAGAGGUAGUUUUGGCGCCCACAGAGUACAAAUGGGGAAUCGGACGGGUGGGUGGGGGGCGGGGGGCGGGGGACGGGGGGAGAACCAUGUUUCGGUCUGGGACGCGCUUGUUUUUGGCUUUUUUGAACGGGAGAUGGGACACGCUUGUUUGAAAUUUGGGGAAAGUACAAACUUUGCCCCCCUCUUAAAUUUCGGACCUACUGUGGGUUGGGGGUAGGACGGUAAUCCCAGGUGUCCCAAAUAGUGGGCGGGAGCGAUUUCGGCUGUCCGCAUGCGUGCUUAGGCGGACAUUGUGUAUGAAUGUUUUUCGGAGGCGGUUGCGUGGCGUCUAGAUGAAGCUACAAACCUACCCCGGUUUAGACCUUUGGACGUUGGGCCGUUAGGUUUCACGGGUCGGAGUUAUUAGAAAAGUAAUUUCCUUGUACUACCAAACAUUGGUCUCACGCGGUUUCGGGUGAGUAGAGGCUCUUUUGGUGCUUCGUUCAAAAUUUUGAAACACAAGCAUUCACGUUUAGAGUACUCUUGAACUAUGAGGAUUGACCUAAAUAGACAACGUUAUAUUUGACCUUGUAUGUUUGAAAACCUCAUUAAAUUAUCCGCUUCUUUUUGAAAUUUUGACAGUUGAAAAUCCUAUAACUACGAUUAUUUUGGAAUGGAGGAGCUAAAUUUGAAGCUAUUUUGUACACGACUACAUAUGCUAUUAUGUACAAAAUCAGAGCAAAGAUUGGUGCCCCCAUAAUUUAGGUAUGAUUUACAAAUGCCAUGAUAUCAAAUUCAAAUAAUUGAAUGGACUUCAUGUUGAAUUUGAUUUUUUUUAAACCACCUUAAGUUGAAUUCAAAUGUAUGCUAGUUCAUAGGUAGCUAUUUAUAAUGUUCAUUGUGUAAAUUACGUAUGUAUAAUGUGCUUUACACACACAACAUGAACUAUACUCAUGUUUAUAUUCGAUUUCUAAAGCGAUGCAUUGUCUGGAGUUCAAAAUACUAACUAUGUGGAUCAAUUGUGUCGAAUAAUAACAUAGACAUGCUCAAAUUCGAUAGAAUCUAGAUGUCUGAUGGAUCAAUGACCGUUCCUUACGUGAAUUGCAAAUAUCAUGAUCCCAUCCUAAUAUCUGGAUACAAUUUAUAUCUUUAAUCAAUGUGUACAACAGUCUUUUACGUGUAGUUUCACUCUUCAUCGGCGGUCUCUCACACAUGCUCACACACUCUCUCCCGAGGUGUCUUUCUCGCACACAUGCUCUAGAUAUAACCCUCCCUUCCUCUCGUAACCAUUUACAACUAUUUUCACUAACCUUUGUCACAAGCACUCUUCCUCUCGCAAGCAUACACACGCACAAUCCCCAUCGACCCUUUCUAUAUACAUGGACCUGCCUACGUGUCUCAUGUACGCACAUUAUCUUUAGGCAUGUCUCUCAUGCAUUGUCUCACACCUCUCUUCCUAAUCGAUGAGUAUGAUUCUAGCAGAGCAUUCUGUAGGAUGCCCCUUAAAGUUAGGUUGGAUGAAUAGUAAUAUCAGAGAUAAAGGGGAUACCUUAGUCCGAGAACCUAGGGUUACAAAUCCUAGCCGGCUUUGUCAGUGGACACGGAGUCCUUCACAAUUCUGCUAUCUUUGUCUUGUACGACUAGUCAUCCAUGGGUCUUCCUAAAUGCGUCACGGGGCGACCAAUGUGGCGCAGGACGGAAACGAACGAAGGGCCUCACCUCGACCCACCGGACCUCACGCGGUGACACACCCUCUGCCCCCACGUCUCAUUAUUUGCUCACACCCACACAUACCAACACAAACACCACACACACAAAACAUUUCUCCUGGUGCCUCUGUCCCCUCCCCCCUUGCAUAUACACACUCAAGGGAAGGGAAUCUCUCGUCGUGAUGUGAUAUGUGUCUCUCUCAAUGUAGACCACUCUCAUUCUCAUGCNNNNNNNNNNNNNNNNNNNNNNNNNNNNNNNNNNNNNNNNNNNNNNNNNNNNNNNNNNNNNNNNNNNNNNNNNNNNNNNNNNNNNNNNNNNNNNNNNNNNNNNNNNNNNNNNNNNNNNNNNNNNNNNNNNNNNNNNNNNNNNNNNNNNNNNNNNNNNNNNNNNNNNNNNNNNNNNNNNNNNNNNNNNNNNNNNNNNNNNNNNNNNNNNNNNNNNNUCUAUCCAUGCCUCUCUCGAAUACGUAAUACACACACAUACCUUUCUAGGCCCCGCCAAAUGCAUAAACUACACAUUCACACAUGUUACAUCACGUACCCCAUUGAUCUAAAAAGCCCCUUCUUCACGUUUAUUUCGCAUACAACAUUCCUUUUGAAUAAAGUGUGGCCAAAAAAUUAUUUUAGAGUUUCUACGUAUGUACAACAUUACAGAGUUAUAUGGAGGAGUACGAACGCUAAUUUGCAUUGCAUGGUGCCCACAAUGAUAUUUAUUCUGCACUGUGAAUUUGUAUAUUUCUAUACUAUAUACAAAGUUAGUCAUAAUAAAGAUAAACGAAGAGCAUCUCUCUCUCCAUCGCAUACCCCCGCCCCCUUGUAUGCCCCUUUUAGUAUGCACACAAACUAUUUCCAGGUCCUCUAAAAGUAAGCCCCCAGCACAUUCCCGCAUGUUUCAUCUUUCUCUCGCGAUAUAUACAAUGACGAUCAUUACAGUCACCAUUUAUGUUUAGUGGUUAUUAUACAGUCACGGGCUCACCGUACAACUCUGUAUUUGCUCAAGACAUGACCAGUUGACCAGUUAAACGCUCCACAUGGCACCUUUAGUGUUGCAUCACAUUAUCUCACUACCAUUGUGCCCACCUAUCGGCUUGUAUCUACUCUACAUCUACAUUCUUAUAAAAUACACUUAAAAUACACUCUUAUAAAAAAUAGAGUUGGUGAUGAUGGUGUGUCUGCCAUCCUGCAAUAUAGGCUGUCUGAUCUAUAUCUAACGGAUAGGAAAGAAACUAUGGCAAUUUUGCAAAAAGAUACCCACACACCUCUCCACAUUUGCAAAUAAGGCCUUCCCUCAUUCAUCCUUUUCUCUCACAAGAUAAACUAGUCAUACAAAUGCAUCUUGAUGUUACGUGCAACGCACAAGCAUCUUGCUAGUAAGAAUGAAAACAAAUGACAAAAAAAUAUAUGGACGGUGGUUCGAAGUCAUGACCACGGGCACAGCGUACAAGGUGACCUUGUAUUGGUAUACUGAGCCGUCUGUUUUAAGUUUUAACACACAGGAGCUGGUGUGGUGAUUAUACACACACGCACGCAUGCACACGAACUGCAUGCACGCAACACUCACACAAACACAUGCACCCACGCACCCACGCAACACUCACACGUACACACGCAGCCACACACGCACGCAACACUCACACGCACACACACAUGCACGCAUGCACACACCAGUACACCACACCACCAACACACACUAUCACGCUCAAGUGCUCAACCUACAUGUGCAUGCGCACACAUCAGGCCCUGACAGACACAUACACAACUAGGUGAUUCCCGCGCACGGGUUGGAGUCUUGUCGCGCUUGCGUAAAUUUGUGUUUAUCUGACCUUUUCCCUAUGUGAACUGAUAGGUGGGACCCACAAGGAACAUGGUCAAUUUAACUAGUCAACAUGGCACCACGCAGACUAUUUGGCUGGUCAACAGAGUGCAAUUCGACGAUGAACCGUGAGCAAGUGACCGUAUAAUCACCGCAAAACGUAUAUAGUGACCGUAAUCAGCUUAUUCUGAAGUUCGGUGACCGUAUUACGCUUUUCUCUCUGUAGGCCCUCCAAAACUACAUCUCUACACAAUCUCGCAUGUUACAUCUAACUAGCAAGAUGCCCAUGCGUUGCACGGAACAUCAAGAUGCAUUUGUAUGAGUAGUUUAUCUUGUGGGAGAAAAGGAUGAACGAGGGAAGGCCUUAUUUGCAAAUCUUGAGUGGGUGUGGGUAUCUUUUUGCAAAUUUUCCAUGUUUCCUUCCUAUCCAUCAACUAUUCAAUACAGCACUACUACUACACUCUAACACAAUAAAUCAUAUGUGUUUUUAGUUUUACUAGAUAUCAUAUUGUUACUUAAUUAUUCAGUUUGCAUACAUUAAAAUUGCCUUUGAAAUUUAUGGCCAGUAUCAUCUACCGCGCGGGAAAAAUCCCGCCCUUUCCUGUUUAAUCAGGUUUGUAUCGAUGGAUCGUGCGAAACAACAAAACUAUAGUACUAUACCGUACAAGUGACAGUUCAUUGGGCCGUCGUGUCGUGUACUCCUCCGUCAUAAGAGUGGAGCGCUUGCUUUCAUAAAUCUUCUAGUCCCUUUCGCCGACAUGUGGGACAUCAAGCUAUCGGGUCCACGUGCCAUACCGGAAUACAGUGCAGAGCAGCCGGGUGAAGCACCCCAGUCAUGGCGCCGGCAUAGUAAUGAGCAAUGAGGCGUCAAAUCACAAAGCUGCACCUUUCCAGCAGUUAAGUUGGGGGACGAAGUAAUAAUGCUAAAAAAGAAGUUGGAGGGACGAAGCAACCAUCAUUUCACUCGUUGUUGAAUUCGCUUCUCCCUCAUCUUCUUCAACUUAACCAUGUGUUGCUUUUGUCGUUGUUCUGCCUCAUGUGGGAUGCAAAUCGGCUUGGUAAAGCACUGACACGUGGGACCGCAUGUUACCAAACCGCUAGGACAACGUCCUCUAAAAAUAAGAAACCUCCCCUGCCAUCCACGCGGCAAAAUCACCUCCUUUUUACUAAUCUUGAUUCUAUAAUUUUUUAGAUCAAUAUAAUUGAGAUUUGUAUAGAAAGCACACAGGAGCAAAACCAAGUGGUACGGUUAAGGGCAUCCACAAUGUGUAGCCAAAUGUGAAAAUUAGCUUUUGGCAUCGUGGGAACCAUUGUGGACGGUGUUGCCAAAGCCAAAAAGAUGGAACUGAAGCUCCCUGAUUGAUUGAUUGAAGGAAUAGAAAACGUCUCUCCUCUUUCUCCCAUGCUUGGACGCAUGUAGUAUAGUAUAGAGCACAGAGUCUACUCCCUUGUCCCUUCUAUCACAAAUCACAAAGCAGUGAGGCGUCAAAUCACAAAAGCACAGACGAAGCAACCAUCAUUUCACUAUUCGCUGACUCCGCUUCUCCAUCGUUUUCUUCGAGAAACCAUCUCACCGCUCUAAGCUGGACGGACGACGCUAUUGUGUACUAGUAGUACUAGUACAUUUACAUGUCCUUUGGUUCAACGGACUUCCUGGAUGCAAAUAAGGUGGUUGUCUCAGCUUGCAGGCGCACUUGCGAACGACUUACCGUGGUCUCCCUCAAGGCCUCAAUGGUGUUCUCCGUUGAACGCACUUCGCCAAACCACAACGUUCGAGAUAUCGUCGACGUCACCGCAAUGGGGAAGGAAGUCAAAUAUAGUUACUACCUCCAUUUUUUGUACACAAGGCCAGUAUAUCAAAAUUACAAUUUGCAAAAGGCCACUAACACUAAUCGAGGCAAAAUUGAUGGGGUUUGCCUCGUACUAGCAACCAAGGACAUUAAUAUCCCCUGCAUGCAUGCGGAAGUGAGAAGGUUCGUUUGCAUGGCGCUGCAUUAAUCAAGCGAUGAGGAGUGAGAUGGUUAGCUCUUUGGUCUUUGGAGAAAAAAAUACGCAUUAAUUGACACGUAAAACGAGGAUUUGUAUCGAUUAAAUACCGCGAAGGAAAACCCCGCCUUUCUUUUUAACACUAGUACUCCUAGUACGUCCUGUUUGGAUCUAGGCCUUGCAUUGCCAUACUUCGCCACACAUUUUUGCAAGCUUGCCUAAAGUUUUCAAAAUGAGAAGGAGGUACACUUGCGCACGGUUGUCGCAGCCGCACCGCACCCUCACAUGGUCGCUCCUGCACGUCGCGGUCGCACCGCACCCUCACACAGUCGCUCAUGCACGCUGCAAACCCAACCAAGGGAACGCACCCUCACUGACACGUGUUGUCGCAUGUGAACAAGCCAAACUCAGCCAUCCUACCGCUGACACAUAAUUUUCAUUCAUAGAGUAUGUUUAUCCAACCGCAUGUUGGGGUGUAUCCGUAUGGCCCGUGCGGUGGUUUGUUGGCUAUUGGGGAAGAAGAAGAGGUGAGGAAGAAGGGUUAGGAGACGUAGGAUAUUCAUCCAACUGCCUGAAAUGGUAGACUGACCCAAGUCAGGCGACUUGCAUAACAAAUAUAUGUUUUUACACAGCAAAAGAUCCAUAAAAACAACAACAUAAAGAAAAACUAUCACUGCUCGCGGAACGAGACGGCCUCGUCGUCUUUGGCUGCCGGCGCGAACCAGCCGUAGUUGCCGACGUGUGUCUCCGCACCGUGGUUGUCCUUGGCCUCCAGCUACUCGUUCACGCGGAGCGUGCGGGCGCUCUGCACGGACGAGAGCACAGCCCGGUUCAAGUCGAGGACGUCUGGUUUCGCCUACAGGAGAGCCUCGAUGGCAGAGGCAUCCGUGCGCUCCGCGUCGAGUCGAGCCUCCGCCGCCCGGUUCAAGUCCAGGACGUCCGGUUCCGCCUGCAGGAGGGCGUCGAUGAGAGCGGCAUCCGCGCGCUCCACGUCGAGUCGAGCCUCUGCUGCUCGGUUCAAGUCCAGGAUGUCUGGUUCCGCCUGCAGGAGGGCCUCGAUGGCAACGGCAUCCGCGCGCUCUGCCUCAAGUUGAGCCUCCGCCGCCCGGUUCACAUCCACGACAUCCGGUUCCGCCUGCAGAAGAGCCUAGAUGGCAGCGGCAUGCACGCGCUCCGUGUCGAGUUGAGCCUCUGCCUCCCGCCUUUAGUAUCGCCAUGUUGAACCGCUAGUCCACCUGCACCAUGGGGGACUUGGACGCAGGCACGAAGUCGACGUCCAUUGUCUCAUACCCAUCAGGGGCCUUCUGUGCCGCGACCUCCGCCAUGAACAUUGGAUCGGCUUCCUCCUCCUCGUAGCUUGGCUCCAGAGAAUUCGGGGAUUGGCCCACCGCAAAGCAAGCUUGGGAACGGAGGUCUGUGGCGCCAACCGCCGCCGCGAUUUCUGCGUGGCGCUCCGGCGUCAGCAUCUUGUAGUAAGUGAUCUUGCGGUGCACCAUGGCUUUCCGGCGAACUAGGGGACGCUUGAUGCGGGCUAGGGGAUCGAAAGGUGGGGGAAUGGGCUGGAGAUUAGGUGUGGUUUUAGGGCAGUGGCUGGCGUAGGCCGAGCAGCGAAGGUUCUGGUGUGAAUAGUGGUUCCGAUGACGACCGGUCAAUCGAUUUUGACUAUACAUCGCUCUUGUCGCGUUCGCGUUGCAGCCCGGCACGCUGGACCCUCCACAUCGCUCACCGAAUGGAACGCGCUUCGUCUUGCAUUUUCGCUCGCUUGUGGGACCGCAGUUGAGAGCAAACCGACGUCCCUCCCCCUCCCCCGCCCGCGUCAUUUAUUAUACUACCACUCCCUCCAUUUUAUGCAGAGUAAAUAAAAACAGAGGGAGUUAUACUACGGAUGAGGAUCCCCUAACGUGGCUGAACCCAUUGAGUAACUGACAUGCGGGGCCUAGCAAGCAUGGGGUCCGCCAGUAAGUGACCGAAAGGGAGGGUAAGGCAGGGAUACCUACGUCAGAGGAUCCACUUCCACUACUACUCCCUCCUUCCAUUUACUAUACAGGGCCUAAUGCGUUUUUACAGGCUAACUUUGACCAAAUGUUAGAGUAAUAAUAUAUGACAUGCAACUUACACAAAGCAUAUGGUCAAAUUCGUAUGUGAAAGGAGUUUCCAAUGAUAUAAUUUUCACAUUAUACAUCUCAUGUACUAUUAAUCUUGUCAAUAGUAAAAUGCGGUUUUAAAAACGCAUUAGAGCAUGGUUAAUAAUAUAGCCAAUCGAUGGCUAUGAGGGACUGCCAUGUCAUCUAUAGCCAUCAUCUAUUAUAUGCACUCAUACGGUAGUGUGGGCUAUAAGGUUGGCUCUUUUCCGCAAAAAAAAGGUUGGCUAUUUUAUUAGCACUUUUUCCAUCUCCUCUCUAUCUCUUUCUUCAUAUUUAUUGUAUUUAACUAGGAAUGCACAUAUAGCUAGGCUCUUGCAUGAGAGCUCACUCCCCUUACUUUUUCACAUCUCUCUCCUCCACAUAGGCCCUAUAUAAAUGGAAGGAUGGAGUACUACUAUGAGCACUGCAUACUCUAGUACAGAUGUUGUCAGUACUCCACGUGUACUAUUGGACAGGGAGCUUAAAAAGUUACUAUUGGACUGGCUAUACGUGGCAAAAUCCUAGUAGGAAGAGCAUGUGCGAGAACAAGCACAUUCAUGUGGUUGAAAACAAAUUGGAAACCAUCUCGAGUACAAAUCUAGGAGUACGUACAAAUCUAACAAUAUUUAUUGGGCGUUGUUAAAUGUUGAUACUUUUUUGAUCAAAGUAGAGAUACUUUGACUACACACAAAACCUAUAUGUAAACUACAAAGGAUAGGAGGGAGUAUAUUGUACGUUCAAAAAUGAAACGAACAUUGAAUACCCUUUAUAUAUGAUUUGCGGAUGCUAUGAUCACCGGUUCAAAAUUUUGAAUCUGCCUUAGGUAUCACGUGCCCCCACUCGUUCUCUCUCGAUUUCAUCUCGGGGUCUGGAGAUCGAUUGAAAGAGGACUAGGGUGGGUAAAUGCAAAUGAUACUCGGCGGAAUGUUCAAAUGAGGCAUGCGGGAGGAUGAACUCGACCAGAGGGCGACACGAUCGACGGAGAAGAGGUUUGGAGAGGAAUGAGAAAUAAGCAAACGCCACAUGAUUAUACUUGAAUGGCUCAAAUAAACAACAAGUUGACAUGUGGGGCACACCCGUCGGGAUGACGUAGCGCAGACUAGUCCAAUGGAGGAGCCUCGCCAACCGACAACCAUUCAUGUGGGUCGUUGGGGCCAACAACGUGGCGCAGCUCCAGCACCGCCUCUGGACACGGCGACCGCGGUGAGCGACACGCUCAUAUUGUCGCUAGACACGGCCGGUUUCAGUGUGCCGAGGGUGGCGUUAGUGCUGUGGCACGACCAACAGUAUGUUUCGUUUGUGCCCAAGGUUACCCCAUCAAAGCAUUGGGUAGCCAAAAUUUUGGUUGAGGUAUUGGUUGCCCAUGAUUUAGCCGACAUUUGCAAGAAAAAUGAACUAGAGUUGGCUAGAGUUCAUUGGCAUGCCAAAAAAAUUGGCAACCAUCCAAACAAAGACCAAUCUUUGGGUCAUGACCAAACUUUUGGUAAGGUGCACUUUGGCCACAAUCCAAACACACCCCAACACCCGGCUCGUCGAGGAUGCACGGGGCGCCGCGACGCGUCCGCGGAGUGGUGUAGCAUGGCCAACUACAUCCUCAGGACCUGAGACCAUGCCGGGUCGUCUUGCUUUUUCAAUGACAUGCGGGGAUCGCAUGUGAGCAAACAGCAUCUCCAACGUUGCCACGACCGCAACUGACUACCCUGGCACACAAAAACCCUCGUCCCUCGCACCGUCGCGCGGUGCGUUCCCAGUCGGCGCCAGCUACCCGCAUUCAUGCCAUCUGUUCGUAUGUCGUUGUUAAGAGGCUCGGUGCCCGAGGAACUAACUCCGGUGACUUAAUGACGCACACGGAAGCUUGGCCUCACUGGAAUGCGCAACUUAAAGCGGCAACGCCCAGCUAACCUCCACACCCUAGCGCAUCGUCCUCGUACCUGGCACCACAUCCUCCAUGACCGCAAGUGCGAACGCUCUGCGGGAGAGCUUGUCUUCGGGGAUGAAGCUUGAGGUUGCGGCCCUCGCUCAAGUCGCCUCUCGCGACGCAAUAGCGGUGUAGCCAGACGCGGACGCGACCGCACAAGCGGUGGCCAUGCUGACAGCCGACGACGGGAGCACUGUCAGCCACGCGUCCUACUUGCCGAUGUCCAAUGUCCGGCACUGCCGAGGUCGGGGACUCCUCCGAGGAUGAGUAGGGCAUGGGAGGCAGCAGGGCCUGGUGUGCCAACUGGCCAAUCCGUGUCCCGUGUUCUACUCUUCCUUGCCGGAGACCGCACCUUCACAUCACGGGUCUUGAACCCCGCCCCCGUACAUAGAGAUCGCAGAUGGAGGACGUCGGUCACCGCCGUAGAAUAGGUUUAGGGUCGGGUUUCUUUUAUUUUUCUGUCCUGUAAAAGUUUGGAAUGUAAUGAAAAUCUGUCGUGUUUGCAUUAAUUUCGGCCGGUGUAUAUGAACUUUCACAAUAAUAUAGUAUAUUGUAGGAGUACUAGCAAGAUGCCCGUGCAUUGCACAAAAGAUCAAGAUCUUGUGGGAGAAAAGGAUGAACAAGGAGUGCGAGUAAAUUGUCAUAGUUUCCUUCCUAUCCGUUAGAUAUAGAUCGGACGGCCUAUAUUGCAGGAUGACAUGCACACCAUCAUCACCAACUCUGCUUUUUAUUGAACUGAGACAAAUCUAACAUGCGAAGUAAAAUAAACACAUAGGGUCUAUACAUACACAAUUUAUCCUAGGCAAUCCAAUAGUACGUCCACUACACAUUCACGCAUUUCACAUCUUUCUACAUCUACGGGAACCUACGAAAGGGUUAACGUAAAUUGCCUCUCUCUCUCCUCCCCUGAUUUUCAUGGUGGUGGGCCCUUCCCUCCCCCUAAUCUACAAUCAACAGCUCACACGUUUCACAUUACGUUAAUUACGUAACUGGGAUUACGUAGGUGUAGCAUUACUCGUCCUAAAAAACCCAACUAAGCCAACCUCCCAGCAUAUCGCGCGGGAAAAGACCCGGCCACGCCAUUUUAGUCAGGAUUACCGAAUUACUAGUACUCUAGUAUUAGUAUCGAUGGAUCGCGCAAAGCAACAAGUUUUUUUAGGGGGCGAAGCACCUAGUUUAAAAUGAAAAAAGGCGGUACACUCACAGCACUCCUGUCGCGGUCGCAUUGCACCCCACACACGUUCGGUCCUACACACGGCUCACGCAAAUGGAACGCGCUUCGGCUUGCCUCUUCACUGACACGUGGGACUGCACUUGGAGAAACCGACCAUGCGCCAAACUCCCCCCGCCCACCGCGAAAAAAUCCUACCCCCCCCACCCCACCCAAAAAUUCCCCUCGAAUCUGAUUCAACCGGCCUUCAGCCAACUAGCCAAUAAUAUUCCCCAAGCCACCCUCCCCGCCACGCUGAUACGUCGGCGCCGCGGUUCGUCGAGGGCACGCACGGCGAUCCUCUCUCUCCCACAGUACGCUCUCGUAGACUGCCAUCCUCUAGCCGCGCCGCCACCGUUGGCUACGUUCUUGUGGAGGUGCACGGCGGUCAGCACCGCCACCGCUGGCGACGUUCGUGUGGAGACGCGCGGCGGUCAGCUUCUCCCACGGUACGCGCAUUCUAGACUGAGGCCCCGUUCAUGUCGGUGUAGCACUGAAUGUUAGCUGAUAGACGCUGUUAAUCUCACUGUUUGCCAAAGUAGUUUACAGUCAAUAUGCUCUGCUUAAGAAGCUUCCUUGCCCUAUUCUGCACUCAAUCUGCUUAGCUCAGAUGGCAUGCCAAGGCCGAUUAGUUGCUAAAAUAUCCUGCCAUAUAUUUAUUGUGACGUAGAUUGCCAUGGUCUAAUAGCCAAUCUGUUAGGUGAAAUAGCUCUACACCGUUUUAUACUCGAUCUUUGUUGUUGCGAUGUCCUUCGAUAGUUUGAUGGUUGUGUGCUCGGCCCCAUUGACUGCUGAAAUAGCCUGCCAUAAUUUAGCACUCAAAUAUGUUUGCUGAAUUAGCUUUACAUAUAUUUCGUUACUUAUAUUUGCUCGUCCAAAUAUCUUGCCAUAGCUUUAGACAUCGACCUAGGUAUAUUUUUUUGGACUUCAUAAAAAAAGCAUAUAUGUUUUUCCUGUAAUAUCUAGUAGAAGAACUAAUUUGUAUGUCUAACAGAUGGACAGGACUUGGAUAACUGCUGCUCGAAGAUUCUCUGCUGCAUAUGUCGAGGGGGUUCAAAACUUCAUGAACUUUAUCAAAGCUGAGUACGGUGGUCCAAAAUCGGAUGUGCUCUGCCCGUGUAGCCCUUGUAUGAAUUCAGUUACAAGACCCCGAUCAACUGUGCAAAAUCAUCUACACUUGUAUGGGAUGUCGGUCACAUAUACUAGGUGGGUUCAUCAUGGUGAAACUGUGAACGUCAAUGUUAUUGACUACGUGGAAGUAGCAGAUCACCAUCUUGAUUUGCCUGAUGCUCAGGUGGAAGAGGAGGAGGAGGUGGUGGUGGCGGAGCCAGUGAGUUUGACCAACAUUGAAACAAUGCUACGAAAUGCUCGUGCAUUCUGCGAACUUUCACCUGCAGAAGAAAAAUGGUGGGCCCGUGUAGGACCUUGAGAAGAGGUGUCUAGAGGGGGGGAUUAGACACUAAGUACCAAAGUUGCAGUUUUUAGCAAUUUUAAGUUUAAGUGGAGUUUAGGCACAAGUUUAACAUUCACAAAACAUAGCAAGCAAGCAUGCAAAGAGUAUAUGAGCAGCGGAAAAUAAAGCAUGCAACUUGCAAGAAUGUAAAGGGAAGGGUUUUGGAGGAUUCAAACGCGGUGGGAGACACGGAUGUUUUUGGCGUGGUUCCGAUAGGUGGUGCUAUCGUACAUCCACGUUGAUGGAGACUUCAACCCACGAAGGGUAACAGUUGCGCGAGUCCAUGGAGGGCUCCACCCAAGAAGGGUCCACGAAGAAGCAACCUUGUCUAUCCCACCAUGGUCGUCGCCCACGAAGGACUUGCCUCACUAGCGGUAGAUCUUCACGAAGUAGGCGAUCUCCUUGCCCUUACAAACUCCUUGGUUCAACUCCACAAUCUUUGUCGGAGGCUCCCAAGUGACACCUAGCCAAUCUAGGAGACACCACUCUCCAAGAAGUAACAAAUGGUGCGUUGAUGAUGAACUCCUUGCUCUUGUGCUUCAAAUGAUAGUCUCCCCAACACUCAACUCUCUCUCAUAGGAUUUGGAUCUGGUGGAAAGAAGAUUUGAGUGGAAAGCAACUUGGGGAAGGCUAGAGAUCAAGAUUCAUAUGGUAGGAAUGGAAUAUCUUGGCCUCAACACAUGAGUAGGUAGUUCUCUCUCAGAACUGGUAAGUUGGAAGUGUAGGUUUGUUCUGAUGGCUCUCACCAUGAAUGAAGAGGAGGUGCAGGGGUAUAUAUAGCCUCCACACAAAAUCUAACCAUUACACACAAUUUACCAAUCUCAGUGGGACCGAAUCAACAAACUCGGUCAGACCGAUUUAGUAAAUCUAGUGACCGUUAGGAUUUUCGGUGGGACCGAAAUGCAACUCGGUAGGACCGAUAUGGUUAGGGUUAGGGCAUAACGUAAUCUCGGUGAGACCGAUUACACAAACUCGGUAAGACCGAUUUUGGUAAUUAGCUGACCAGAGAGCUGGUCAGGCAAACUCGGUGGGACCGAUUACUCAAACUCGGUGGGACCGAUUUUGGUAAUAAGUUAACCAGAGAGUUUGCAUUAUAAUCUCGGUAGGACCGAUUGCUCAAACUCGGUAAGACCGAUUUUGAUAAUGGACAUACACAGAGAGAUUACAAUCCCAUCUCGGUGAGACCGAGAUCCCUAUCGGUGAGACCGAUUUGCCUAGGGUUUGUGGCAGUGGCUAUGACAUCUGAACUCGGUGGCGCCGGAUAGAAAGAAUCGGUGUGACCGAUUUUGGCUUUAGGUUUAGGUCAUAUGUGGAUGUGAGAAAGUAGUUGAGGGUUUUGGAGCAUAUCACUAAGCACAUGAAGCAAGAGGCUCAUUAAGCAACACCUCAUCCCUCCUUGAUAGUAUUGGCUUUUCCUAUAGACUCAAUGUGAUCUUGGAUCACUAAAAUGUAAAAUGAAGAGUCUUGAGCUUGAAGCUUUAGCCAAUCCCUUGUCCUUAGCAUCUUGAAGGAGUUCCACAUCCUUUAGUCCAUGCCACUUUAUUGUUGAACUUGUCUGAAAUAUACUAGAUAAAAGUGUUAGUCCAACAAGAGAUAUGUUGACAUUAAUUACCAAAACCACCUAGGGAGCACUUGUGCUUACAAUCUCCUCCUUUUUGGUAAUUGAUGACAACAUACAUCAAAGCUUUAGAUAAGGAUAUAAAGAAUAGCAAGUAAAGCUUUGGAAAGACAUGUAACAAGCAUAGGCUCCCUCUACAUGUAUGCAAUCAUGUGAAAUAUAGAAUAUAGAAGCAUGUGAGAGCAUAACCAUGGCAGAGUAAGCAAUGUGUUACAUGUAUCUUGGCCAUAUGCAUUAGAGCAAAGAAUAUUAAAGAAAAUACCUUCAUGCUCAUGAGUCCUUCUUGCAAAUAGUUUGUACAUCAGCAAGAAUUCCUCAUACACAUGAUUAUGAUGCAUAUACUUACCUUGUAGUCUUGAGUUGGCUUAGGAUGGAAUGAACCUGCACAAACAGGGUUAGAUAACACAGGUACAUCCACUAACCAGGGCAAACAGAAGAAACCACAAGAAUACCAAGACUGGGAUGACAUGUAGAGAGUGAGUACUAAGUACCACAUUGGAUUAGAAAUGUCCCCAAGAGUAAAGAUAUGCAAUGAAUUUAAAUGAUUUCUUUCCUUUAGAUGUCUUGCUCCCCCUGAAUCUAGCAUGGGAUACUGGGAGAAGAUAGGGAACAGAAAAUCAGAGCUGAAGAAUAUGAAUGAACAGAGCUACUGCAAACUAAUGCAAGUAAGCACAUAUGAACAUGUCUUUCCCCCAAAAAUACAUGUGGCAUCUCUCCUCUUGAACACCAAGCAUCUGGGAUCCUUGAGAAAUACUUUCUACUUGAGUAUUUUCUCCCCCUGGAGAUCUCUCUCUCCCCCUGUGGAAGUGAUAUUCUCUGAUGUGAUCUCUCUCUAAAUGAUAAGCUUUGAUGUGAUAUCUCUCUCCCCCUUUGACAUCUAUUUCCAAGAAGGGCUUCUGGAAUUUGUAGUGAAUGGGUUUGAUCCUUGAGUCACAGCACAAAGCAUUUGUAAAAAUGUGAUGCUUGUAGAGGACAAAAUUCAUUGAGUGGAGCUAGAACAGACAAAACACAGAAUAAGUGGCAAACUGUUUUUCCUGUGGUGAAAUCGGUGGCACCGAGUUGUAUGCUUCGGUUGUACCAAAAGAAUUCGGUUGGACCGAAAAUAACUAAUCGGUGGAACCGAGUUCAUCGCAGAGAAAACACUUAUCACCUUAGCUCACUAGACUAAUAGGAUCUUACAAAGAUUUGCAAGGAAUUAACUAAAUGAUAUGCAAUGAAUUGGAUGCAUAAAACGCAGAGCAAACAAGAAGAAAAGAAAGAAAUCUAGAUGAAGUUUUUUUUUGAAAGGGGAAACAACUAUGCAUGAAACAAAUGCAAAAACACAGAUACGAACACAAGAGAACUUCAUCUAGAGAUGGUCGGCGACAAAGUCACCUAUGUUAGAGUAUAUUGACUUAGGAGUUGAGGGAGUCCUGGACUAGGGGGUGUCCGGAUAGCCGAACUAUCAUCAUUGGCCGGACUCCAAGACUAUGAAGAUACAAGAUUGAAGACUUCGUCCCGUGUCCGGAUGGGACUUUCCUUGGCGUGGAAGGCAAGCUUGGCGAUACGGAUAUGUAGAUCUCCUACCCAUUGUAACUGACUCUGUGUAACCCUAGCCCUCUCCGGUGUCUAUAUAAACUGGAUGGCUUUAGUCCGUAGGACGAACAACAAUCAUACCAUAGGCUAGCUUCUAGGGUUUAGCCUCCUUGAUCUCGUGGUAGAUCUACUCUUGUAACACACAUCAUCAAUAUUAAUCAAGCAGGACGUAGGGUUUUACCUCCAUCAAGAGGGCCCGAACCUGGGUAAAACAUCGUGUCCCUUGUCUCCUGUUACCAUCCGCCUAGACGCACAGUUCGGGACCCCCUACCCGAGAUCCGCCGGUUUUGACACCGACAUUGGUGCUUUCAUUGAGAGUUCCUCUGUGUUGUCACUGAUAGGCUCGAUGGCUUCUUCGAUCAUCAACAAUGACGCAGUCCAGGGUGAGACCUUCCUCCCCGGACAGAUCUUCAUAUUCGGCGGCUUUGCACUGCGGGCCAAUUCGCUUGGCCAUCUGGAGCAGAUCGAAAGCUACGCCCCUGGCCGUCAGGUCAGAUUUGGAAGUUUGAACUUCACGACUGACAUCCGCAGGGACUUGAUCUUCGAUGGAUUUGAGCCACAGCCAAGCGCGCCGCACUGUCACGACGGGCAUGAUUUAGCUCUGCAGCCGGACAGUACCCUGGAGGCCGCACUCGAGUCCGCUCCGAUCUUCAAUUCGGAGCCGGCUGCGCAGAUCGAGGACGGAUGGCUAGACACCGCCUCGGGGGCUGCAACCUCUACGGCGAUAGAGCCGAACACUGACCUUGUCCCUCAUGAAGCUCGUGACUCCGAGGUGCCGGACUCCUUGCCAAACUCCGAACCUCCCGUGCCCCCUCCAAUCGAAUCCGAUUGGGCGCCGGUCAUGGAGUUCACCACUGCGGACAUCUUUCAACACUCACCUUUCGGCGACAUCUUGAGUUCGCUAAAGCAUCUCUCGUUAUCAGGAGAGCCCUGGCCGGACUGCGGUCAGGACGGUUGGGAUGCGGACGACGAAGAAAUUCAAAGCCCACCCACCAUCCACUUAGUAGCCACUAUCAACGAUCUAACCGACAUGCUAGACUUUGACUCCGAAGACAUCGACGGUAUGGACGACGAUGCCGGAGACGACCAAGAACCAGUGCCUAUCGGGCACUGGAAAGCCACCCCAACUCACGAUGUAUACAUGGUGGAUACACCACAAGGAAGUGAUAAUGAGGAACAACGGGACGUGGCGAAGGACAACUCCUCCAACAAACAACCAAAACGGCGACGCAAGCGCCGCCCGAAGUCCCGCCUCGAUAAAAACGGCACCCAUACGGACCCGGCCCUAGAGCACGGUGAAGCAGUGGACGGCGAACAUGCCACCAAGCAACCAUCCGAACAUGAUGAACUGGACAAGCAACCCAUCCCCGGCGAAAACAAGAGCCUAGACGAUCUCACGCCGAACACAUCACCAGAGCAUAAGAACCUUCAUAAAAGGCUCGUCGCCACUGCAAGAAGUUUGAAGAAGCAAAAGCGGAAGCUCAAAACAGCGGAGGACGCACUCAGAAUGAGAUGGAGCAAAGUACUCAAUACCGCAGAUAAAUAUGGCGCUAGUCACCAGGCAAAGAGCUACCCGAAGCGCAAGCUGUUGCCCGAAUUUGACGAGGAGGCCUUAGAGCCCCCGCAAUCAAAAAAUAAAGAGGCCGCCUGGCCGGAUAGACGACCAGAUGACAGGCUAAGAGCAGCAUGGGGCGCCGCACACAAGCCGGCACACGAUCAUCAUAAAGAUCCUCGGAAAAAGGAUGACCCGGUCAGGUCUAUCUAUGGGCCAAAAAAGAAGACUCCAGGAAGCAACACAACCCGCCGAGCGUUUGAAGACAACGGCACACCCAAAUACAGGGGCGCCGCACACCCACUAUGUUUCACCGACGAGGUACUGGAUCAUGAAUUUCCAGCGGGAUUCAAACCCGUAAAACAUAGAGGCAUAUGAUGGAACAAUAGACCCCGGAGUCUGGAUUGAGGAUUAUAUCCUACACAUACAUAUGGCCAGAGGAGACGAUCUCCAUGCCAUAAAAUACCUACCCCUCAAGCUCAAAGGGCCAGCUCGGCAUUGGCUCAAAAGCCUCCCAGAAAAUACCAUUGGAAGUUGGGAAGAGCUCGAGGAUGCGUUCGAGCAAAUUUUCAGGGGACUUAUGUCCGCCCUCCGGAUGCAGACGAUUUAAGUCACAUAACUCAAUAGCCUGGAGAAUCAGCAUGCAAAUUCUGGAACAGGUUCCUCACCAAAAAGAACCAAAUAGUCGAUUGUCCAGACGUCGAAGCCUUAGAAGCCUUUAAGCACAACGUCCGAGACGAAUGGCUCGCCAGACACCUCGCCCAGGAAAAACCAAGAACAAUGGCCGCACUAACAAGCCUCAUGACCCGCUUUUGCACGGGGGAAGACAGUUGGCUGGCUAGAUGCAGCACCAGCGACCCGAGUACAUCCGAAGUCAGGGAUGGAAAUGGGAAAUCACGACGCAGAAAAGAUCAGCGCCGGAAUAAGGAAAAUGGCCCAAAUAGCACGGCGGUCAACACUGGAUUUAAAAGCUCUCGGCCGAACAAUAAAACACUACCCCUCAAGGACAAUAGUGACGAGCUAUCCAACCUAAACAAAAUUCUGGAUAGACUAUGUCAAAUACAUAGUACCCCCGGGAAGCUUGCAAACCAUACCCAUAGGGAUUGUUGGGUCUUCAAGCAGUCCGGCCGACUUAACAUCGAACGCAAGGGGCUCGACACACCAAGCGAAGACGACGACGAACCCCACAAGCAGCACGCCGGAAAACAAAAGACUUUCCCAUUAGAAGUCAAAACAGUGAACUCACUUCACGUGAUAACACGAAAACAUAGUGCGGCGCUUGCCAUACCAGGACACCGUCCGCAGAAUGGGGAUAGACCCUACCAAAAUUCACCAUAGCAGCACUUCCUUCAAAGGAGCGACUCCAGGCCUUUAAGCCAAUUGUACAGGCUCUGUACCACUAGAGGUUGUGUUCGGUUCAUCCGACAACCUCCGUCGCGAAAAGCUCACUCUCCAUAUCGCCCCAUUUAACAGUGGCCCUCAAGCACUACUGGGAUGUGAAGCUUUCGCCCGCUUUAACGCAAUACCACAUUACGCGUCUCUUACGCUUAAAAUGCCUGGUCCACGCGGCAUAAUCUCAUUAAAGAGUAACUCCGAGUGUUCCUCGACCACGGAGAACGUGAGACUGCCUUAACAGCCACACACUAAUCCGACCCUGCAGGUCAAAGCCCCUAAAAACAGGUCAUUCAGACCUCGGACACGGUUAGGCAAGUCCGGCGUAAAUAAACAAGGGGCUUCCCAGCCGCAUACCCCUUUACAAGGGGCCGCGCGUAUAAACGAUGAGAGCCAAUAAAGCUCAACUUUAUUCAUCUUCAAAAUUAUACUUUAUUUUAAAUACAUCUUUUGCACGAUAUUUCUUCCAAACUAAGUCCUUCUCUUUUACAGAUGAAACACGUGCUACACCCGUCCAGGAUACAGCACAACGGAGACACAGGCGCAGACGUGCAGCAGGGACCCGUUGCAAGGAUUCUUUUCAGAUUAAGACCCUGCGUAAACCUUUCUUACUAUCUCUUGUUGAUACACAUCCCCUGGUUUCCUACCAUAACCGAGGAGGAGGCUGGCGUUUUGGCAUCGGCCGCGUCAGAAGUUCCCGCCUGUACCUGGACACUAGGGGCUUAGGGCAUUAUUCUGCCCGGUAUCAUAAAGACCGGACACCUCAGGGAGUGUUCGGCGUCUCGAGUUAGGCCCUAUAUGCAUCAGCUCUGAAUCAUGUCUUUGGUCAAAUGUUGGGUUUGCCCGGCUCCUGUGUUUUGCUGCCUUACGUUCCGCUCCAUCGGCUAAUGCGGCACCAGGAGAACUACUGCGAUUGUGCCCCGGUUCGGCCGGGCGAGCACCUCAGUAGAGAAAGCCGAAAACUGACUGUCAUGAUAUAGCGAGAGACUGGUCAACCACUCGAUCGACUAUUGGAAUGUUUAGAAUUCCUCCGCUUUGUCGAAGGACCGCUUCCCAGUCAGGCACAUACGCGCCCCGAGUUCGGAGAGCGCGGUGCCUCUAGGGGCUAUAUAGUAGCCCCACCAUCGAGCUCCUAUGGCUAAGUGAAAGUGAUAAAGCAUUAUAGUCCGGAUUCCUAGUUUGCUAUGCUAUCACCUCCUUUAAAGGACCAAGACGUUGGAUUAAGUGUGAAAAAGUGCUUUUUUUUGCAAACACCCCCGCACCAUGUGCGUGGGGGCUGAAGCCAAAGACUGCCAUCUUUCAGGUUAUUCAUGCAUAUACAGCCGCACAGGAGAUAGUUCAAUACUUGAACGCACAAGUAUAAAAAGCCGUUGCAUUAUAAACAUGAUCUCAGAAAUCAUACAUGUCAUUUAAACAUAACAUCUUUCAAGCACUGCGACUCUAUUAAACGAGCGCCCUGCAGGACUUCCUCAAAAUAGUGCUCGGCGGGUAAUCGGCUUUUGUCCGAACCCCGGGAUGCAACAGCGGCGGCAUCCAUCUCCGCCCAGUAUGUCUUCACACGGGCGAGCGCCAUCUGUGCACCUUCUAUGCACGCCGACCGCUUCAUCGCCUUGAUAUGCGGCACCACCCCAAGGAAUUGCUGCAACAAGCCAAAAUAACUCUCAGGCUUGGUCCUUUCCGGCCACAGAUGAGUGAACACAUCCGUCAUGGCAAGUCCGGACAAUCUAUUCAGCUCAGCCCACUCAACCAGUCGAUCACUCAAUGGAAGUGGACGCUCCGGACUAUGGAAUUGAGACCAGAAAAGCUCUUCCAUUUCGUGAUCCUCCUGGCUUCAAAAGUGCACGACUGCGUCCGCCGCACUCGCUGCCAAAUCCAGAUAAGGAUCCUCCGCACCACACAAUCGGCCCAGCUGAGCAUACUUCGGAUCCGUGAACUUCCUACGCAACAUGAAGGGCUUUCCAGCCACAAUGUCUUCGGCCUGACGCAGCUCCUCCUUCAUAGCCCGCAUCGCACUACGGGCAUCCUUGGCUUCGGCGGCGGCCUUCUUCAGGUCCUCUUGCUCCGCUCGGCGUUCUCUUUCAAGAACCUCAUAGCGGUCGGCAGCAUCUUUUAAUUUCACGGCCAUUCCGGCCAUCUCUUCCCUGCUUCGGCAGUGAGCAGCCUUUUUGGCUUUUAGCUCUUCCGCUGCCUUCGAGGUAACCGCAUCACUUUUCCUGGCUUGCUCCUUGGCUCGAGCAAGCUCUGCUCGGAGGUCUUCCACAGCAGUGGCACCAUCUGCAUCAAGCAUACAAAUUGUAAGGAACGGGCAUCAGCUCCCUUACUAGGCAACCGCGGAGCAACCACCUACCUUGUGACUCAUUAAGUCAUUUAUUGACCAGCGCGAUGUCCGCAUCCGCAACAUCGAGUUGCCUCUUCAGCUUGGCAACUCCAUCAGUCCGGCUGGCCACCGAACAUUCCGCCACCUGCAUAGGAAAGGCGACUUUCUAUAACUGAGAUUAUGAUCCUUGGCAUGCUGUCGCUUUCAACAGCAUACCAAGUCUCAGGAGCUACUAUCUAUACAGGGCGCACUCCAUGUGCAAAACUGUCAAAAGGUAUGUCAUUUUUUGCGUACCUCAAACCCCGUCAGCAAACUUCCGCCGGCCUCAUACAACCCGCUCUCGGCGGAUGAGAUCGUUUCAAUCACCGUACUCAUUAAUGUGCGGUGAUCUUCUGAGAUAGACGCCCUCUUGAGCAAAUCCUGCAGCUCCACCGGCCGUACUCCAGUGGGUGCCGAACUCCUCGGCCCCACCGGACUAGGGGAGACCCUCCGUGACGACACCUCAGGGUCGUCCGCCCGCCCGACGGGGCGGCAGAUGGAGGCGUUUCGCUCUCCAUCAUCUCCGGACGAAGGUCCCCCGAAGAUGAGCUCAGCUGAGAUGGGCUGAGAUCCGAACUACAAGGCGAAAACUUCGGUUACCCUUAGAGAUAAAGCAGGGGUGUCCCCUAUUACAAAAUUCCCUCUUUUUACUUACGGCUCGCUGGAGGGUUGAUUCCUCUGAGGAGACAGUGCGGCCGGGGCUCUUCCCGGCACAGGACCUUCGCGUGCAGAUUUCUUUCCCCGCUUUGAGGCCUUGGCCUCCGGGUCUUCGGAAGCGGUCCUCUUCUCCCCUGGAAGGAGGGACUCUCGAUUCCCCCCUUACUGAAAUCCUCCUUGGCAGAGGUGGUAGUUUCCCUAUGCCCCCCUUCGCCCUCCUCCGAAGGUGCAACCUCCAACAUUUUGAUUAACACGGGAUCCGGCAUGGUCUCAAGGAGGGGGGCCGGACACCGUAUAAGUUUUGCUUGCGCUAUCCACUCCUGUCCAAGGGAUAGCUAGUUAAAAGGCAAACCCAUGAUAAAUAAAUGGACGAUGUGUCCGGACACGGGGCUACUUACUUGAGUAUCCGGGCGAUUGCAGCUUAGGCCAGCAUCCUUGGUCAAGUCCGGACGCAUCUCUUGCGAUCCGAAGAACAGUUUGUACAUCUCCGCGGGUGUCAAACCCAUGAAGUGUUGGAGAGCUCGUGGCCCCUUCGGAUUAAAUUCCCACAGGCAGAGGGGGCGACGUUUGCAGGGCAGUAGGCAUCGAAUCAGCAUAACCUGUGCCACUACGACCAGAUUGAUCUCCCUUCCUUGGAGGCCUCGAAUCCGGUCCUGCAACAGGGGUAUGUCUUUGGACGGCCCCCAGUCAAGCCCCUUGUUGACCCAUGACGUCAGCCGUUCUGGAGGGCCCGAGCGGAAGACGGGCGGCGGCCUCUGCCUGCUGCCCCUGGGAGCGGUGAUAUAGAACCACUCCUGUUGCCACAAGCCGAGCUCCUCCUGAAAAGAGCCCUCGGGCCAUGGAGCAUCGGCCCUCUUGCUUAUAACCGCCCCUCCGCACUCUGCCUGACGCCCCUCAAUCAUCUUCGGCUCUACGUUGAAGGUUUUGAGCCACAAGCCGAAGUGAGGGGUAGUGCGGAGGAAGGCUUCGCAGAUGACAAUGAAUGAUGAGAUGUGGAGGAUGGACUCCGGAGCCAGGUCAUGGAAUUCCAGCCCAUAGUAAAACAUGAGCCCCCUCACGAAGGGAUCCAUCGGGAAGCCUAAACCCCGACGGAGGUGAGACACGAACACGACGCUCUCGCCGAGCUCGGGAGUAGGAAUAACUUGCCCUUGGGCAGGCAACCUAUGCGAAAUCUCGUAGGUUAAGUACCUGGCGUCUCUCAACUUUAGCAUGUCCUCUUCCGUGACGGAGGAGGGCAUCCACCGGCCUUGUAGGUCGGAGCCGGACAUUGUCGAAGGUCGAAGGUACCCGAAUCUGGAGCCCUGGGUGUUGGAACUCGGGGCGAGGGGCGGAUUCGAUUGAGGAUUGAAGAAAAAGAACAGGCCUUGGUCUCAUUAUAAAGAGGAAGAAUACCAAGAGCCGUCCCCGUGACCGUUUGGAACCCGCCUCCGAUGGAGGGGGCGUGGCAACGGGCGCAGUUGGGUUACCCACGUCCGUAUUUAUGAGAAUCCCGGAAUAAGGGGAACACAAUUUCUGCUUCGACAAGACGUGCCAAGGAAACCGCUUCGCUAAACGCACUGAGGUGGUACAAUAAAAACAAUUCGAGUAAAGGCUUGGUAGUGGUGUGACGUCACGCCACCAAAUACGUCAGCAGAUUGAACUGGUGUGAAUAUUAUUCUCUCUACGGUGGCACGUGGAAUUUAUUUUGCAGAGCCGGACACUAUCCUGGUGUUCACAAUCUUCUAUAAAUUAUUCGGAGGAGGAACCCGCCUUGCGAUGCCGAAGACAAUAUGCGCGCCAGACUCGUCGUCAUUGAAGCUUGGUUCAGGGGCUACUGAGGGAGUCCUGGACUAGGGGGUGUCCGGAUAGCCGAACUAUCAUCAUUGGCCGGACUCCAAGACUAUGAAGAUACAAGAUUGAAGACUUCGUCCCGUGUCCGGAUGGGACUUUCCUUGGCGUGGAAGGCAAGCUUGGCGAUACGGAUAUGUAGAUCUCCUACCCAUUGUAACCGACUCUGUGUAACCCUAGACCUCUCCGGUGUCUAUAUAAACCGGAUGGCUUUAGUCCGUAGGACGAACAACAAUCAUACCAUAGGCUAGCUUCUAGGGUUUAGCCUCCUUUAUCUCGUGGUAGAUCUACUCUUGUAACACACAUCAUCAAUAUUAAUCAAGCAGGACGUAGGGUUUUACCUCCAUCAAGAGGGCCCGAACCUGGGUAAAACAUCGUGUCCCUUGUCUCAUGUUACCAUCCGCCUAGACGCAUAGUUUGGGACCCCCUACCCGAGAUCCACCGGUUUUGACACCGACAGGAGUCAAGUGAGAUCACUUGAUCAUAGGUCAUACUCAUCGUUUAAGCUCAAAAUGGGGUUACCAUUUUUCGUUUAAGCAUCUUGAUGUAUUCACAUCUUGUCGAGUUGCUUUAGCUCAUGUCUUGGAGUAAAGCUUCUCUAAGAUGGAAUAACAUACCUUGGUUGGUGGUGUUGAUCAUGUAGUUGAACUUAUGUGGGUUGCUCAAGGUUGAUGUGGCUCAUCAAGAGUUGGGAGCACCACUUGGAAUGAGUCCAUCUACCUACAUGGGUUAGUUCUUGCACGGAAGAGCACUUGUUUAUCCAGAAAUGACAAUCAUGAAGCUCAACUUGUCAAAGGAUAUGUUUGAAUGGUUCCGUGCUUCCUUGUCUUCAACCACCUUUGUAUAGAGACUUGGUGAUGUAGAGAUUGCUCAAGAUGUGAGUUGGUUACAGUCUCAUGGAAUUUGAUUCAACCAAGUACCUACAUGGGUUAGAUAACAUGCAAGAUGCAAAUAUGUCCAAGAUAUAAGAUUUUCAUCAUAAGAGAAAUAUCAAGGAUUAGUCAUAAGCUCAUGUCUUGCAUGUAUCCAAUGGAGUUUCUACUCCAAGUUUGAAGCAUCAAUGAUGUUCAAUUAUCCUCUCAACCUGCAAAACACUUUCUCAUCAAGAGGUUUAAUGAAUAUAUUCACUAAUUGCUUUUCGGGGCGAACAUGCUUAAGAUCAAUGUCACCCUUAGCAGCAUGAUCUCGAAUGAAAUGAUGACGAACUUCAAUAUGCUUAGUUCGAGAAUGUUGCACAGGAUUAUGUCCAAUUUUGAUAGCACUUUCAUUGUCACAAAGCAAUGGAACAUGUUUCACAUAUAUCCCAUAAUCUUUAAGAGUUUGGGUCAUCCAAAGUAAUUGAGCACAACAUGAACCAGCGGCAAUGUAUUCCGCUUCGGUGGUGGAUAAGGAUACCGAGUUUUGUUUCUUGGAGGACCAAGACACAAGAGAUCUACCAAGAAAUUGACAAGUACCUGAAGUGGACUUUCUAUCAACCUUGUCUCCGGCAUAGUCCGAGUCGGAGUAGCCAACAAGAUCGAAAGAGGCCCUCUUAGGAUACCAAAUGCCAAAAUUUCGUGUCUGAAUUAAGUAUCUCACUAUCCUUUUCAAAGCCUUAAGAUGGCAUUCUUUAGGAGCAGCUUGAUAUCUUGCACACAUGCACACGCUUAGCAUAAUAUCGGGACGUGAAGCACAUAGGUAUAACAAUGAACCAAUCAUAGAGCAAUAGACCUUUUGAUCAACCGGUUCACCAUCUUUGGUCAAAUCAAGAUGUCCACUAGUAGGCAUGGGUGUAGACAUACCUUUGCAUUCUUGCAUAUUGAACUUCUUGAAUAAGUCCUUAGUGUACUUCGUUUGAGAGACAAAAGUACCUUCCUUAGUUUGCUUGAUUUGCAACCCAAGAAAGAAUUUGAGUUCACUCAUCAUUGAAAUCUCAAACUUCUCCGACAUUAGCUUUCCAAACUUCUCACUAAAAUGAGGGUUAGUUGAUCCAAAUAUGAUAUCAUCAACAUAAAUUUGGCAUACAAAUAAUUCUCCAUUAACCGUUUUAGUAAAAAAGAGUAGAAUCGAUUUUCCCAAUUUCAAAUCCCUUUCCAAGAAGAAACUUAGUCAAGCAUUUGUACCAAGCUCUAGGAGCUUGUUUAAGACCAUAAAGAGCUUUACGAAGUUUAUAGACAUGAUUGGGUUUCUUAGGAUAGACAAAGCCGGGAGGUUGUUUAACAUAAACUUCCUCCUCUAUUUCACCAUUUAGAAAAGCACUUUUAAUGUCCAUUUGGUACAAUGUGAUAUCAUGGUGAUUAGCAUAGGCAAGUAAGAUGCGAAUAGACUCAAGUCUAGCAACGGGAGCAUAAGUCUCACCAUAGUCCAUACCUUCGACCUGUGUGUAGCCUUGGGCGACGAGACGUGCUUUGUUGCGAACUACUUGUCCAUCUUCAUCUUGCUUGUUGCGAAACACCCAUUUGGUACCGAUGAUGUUGUGGUUGUUGUCGAGCUUCUCAACCAAUGUCCAAACUUGGUUUCUCUCAAAGUUGUGUAACUCUUCAUGCAUAGCGUUUAUCCAAUCCAGAUCUUCCAAUGCUUCUUCGACCUUCAUAGGUUCAAUGCUAGAGAUGAAAGAAUAGUUUUCGCAAAAGUUAGCUAAACGAGUUUUAGAGCGAGUGAUUCUCCCGGUUUGAAUAUCAUUGUAGAUUUGCUCGACGGGAUGGUCUUUAGCAAUCCUUGCUCGAACUCGUGAAAGCUUUUGCUUGGGUCUUGGUUGAACAUAUUCUUCAUCUUCUUCUUCUUCUUGAUCUUCUUCAUUGUUGGUGUUGUCGUUCUCUUGUCGUGGUGGAGAAGGAGGUUGUUGACGUUCUUGAUGCACUUCCUCGUUUUCUUCAUCUUGGUGUGUCCCACUUGUGGAUGCUUCCGUAUCAACUCUUGGUUCACCUUGUCGUGAAGUAGAAGCUUCCACUUGGAUGGACGAGGUACUCUCCUUCACCUUCGUUGGACGAACCGUGCCAAUAGACAAGUCUUGGAUUGCUUCCGAUGGAUCCUUGUCUCCUACAUCAAUUGGCAAUUGCUCUACUUGCGAGCCGUUAGAUUCAUCAAACUUCACAUCUACCGUCUCUUCAACCUUUCGGGUGAAAUUGUUGUAGACACGGUAUGUGUGAGAGUUUGAGCCAUAACCUAGUAGGAAACCUUCAUGAGACUUAGAAGCAAAUUUAGAACGACGAUGCUUAUCAAGAAUGUAGCACUUUGAGCCGAAUACUCGAAAGUAUCCAACUUGGGGUUUGUUACCGGUGAGGAGCUCGUAUGCCGUCUUGCUGAGUAGCUUGUGAAGAUACAAGCGAUUUGUUGCAUGACAAGCUGUCUCAACCGCUUCUGCCCAAAAGUGCUUCGGCGUCUUGUACUCAUCAAGCAUCGUUCUUGCCAUUUCGAUGAGCGUCCGGUUCUUCCUCUCAAACUCCAUUUUGUUGAGGUGUGUACAUAGCCGAGAACUCGUGUGAAAUCCCUUCUUCAUCAAGAAAGAUGUCCACAUUUGCAUUCUUGAACUCCGUUCUAUUGUCGCUGUGAACCUUCUUGAUCUUCACUUCAAACUGAUUUUGGGCCUUCCUAGCGAAGUUUUUGAAGAUCUUUUGGACCUGCGAUUUAUCAUCGAGAAAGAACACCCACGUAAAUCUUGAAAAAUCAUCAACUAUAACUAGACCAAAAGAAUUUCCACCGAGACUCUUGUAAGAGUUGGGACCAAAAAGAUCCAUGUGAAGUAGCUCAAGUGGCCUCCUUGUGGUCAUGAUGUUCUUCACGGGAUGCCUUCCUCCAACCUAUUUACCUGCUUGAGAAGCACUGCAAAGUCUAUCCUUAUCAAAUAUGACAUCGUUAACACCAAGGAUAUGAUUCCCUUUAAUAAGCUUGUCAAGGUUUCUCAUGCCAACGUGACCUAGUCAUCUAUGCCAUAACCAACCUUUUGAGGAUUUAGCAAUGAAGCAAGUUUUAGGUUGAGCCUUUUUAGUGAAAUCAACAAUGUAUAGAUCACCUCUACGUAUGUCGGUAAAGACCAUUUUAUGAUUGUCUCGACGAAACACUUGGCAAUCUACUUCAGUAAAUAGGACAUUGAAACCGAAAUCAGCAAGUCUAGAUACUGAAAGUAAGUUGUAGCCAAGAGAUUCAACGAGCAUAACAUUCUGAAUGGAGCUGUCAUGUAAUAUGGCCACCUUACCGAGGCCAACCACCUUACCCUUUGAGUUGUCACCGAAAGUGACAUACUUUCGAGGACUAUCAUUUUCAGCAAGCUCACGAAACAUGUCUUUAUCUCCGGUCAUGUGAUCGGUACAUCCACUAUCAAGGACCCAUUCCUUUCCUCCUGCCAUAUAUCCCCGAAGGUUUGCCAUAAGACCAAAAUGUCUCAUUGCAUCAUCAAGAUCAAAGUCAUCAUCAUCAUCCGGAUCAUAGUAUCCAUGUUCAACAUCGUCAUGUGGUGGAUCAAUUCCUAGUGAGAGUGAUUCAUUAGUAUGAGUUUGACAAUAAUCUUGCUUAUGAAUUCUAGUGGCUUCGGAAAUAAUAUCGCUAAUAAUUCCAACAUUUCCUUUGGCACGCAUAAGAUUUGUAAGUUCAAAUAGACGAUCACCUAACAUAGGAUCAUUGGAAUUCAUCUUACUCAAGGCAAUAGACUUAUGAAGAAUUUCAUCAAGAUUUUUCAAAGAAUAAUCAGGAAAUCGUUCAUCAAGAAAUUUCCAUAUAGUGUAAGCACACUCAAGAGUAGGCAGUUUUCCAACCAAGUUUCUAGGCAAGCCUCUAGUGAUAAGAUUAACAGUUCUAACAUUCCUAAUCAUGUCAAUAGACUCAUCAAGGGUAGGAUGCAUAGGAUCAACAUAAGGUGCACAAGGACUAGCAAUGUACUUGUUCAAAUGAUAUUGAUUGAAAAUUACAAGCAUCUCAUUUUUCACUUAUGAAAGUACUCUCUAUCAAGAAUAGGCACUCUAUGUCUAAGACUCCCCAAAGUAGACUCAUACAUCUUCCUCCAAUGGUGAUUAAACUAAAGCAAUGGAGACCAAUGCUCUUAUACCACUUGUAGGACCUUGAGAAGAGGUGUCUAGAGGGGGGGGUUAGACACUAAGUACCAAAGUUGCAGUUUUUAGCAAUUUUAAGUUUAAGUAGAGUUUAGGCACAAGUUUAACAUUCACAACACAUAGCAAGCAAGCAUGCAAAGAGUAUAUGAGCAGUGGAAAAUAAAGCAUGCAACUUGCAAGAAUGUAAAGGAAAGGGUUUUGGAGGAUUCAAACGCAGUUGGAGACACGGAUGUUUUUGGCGUGGUUCCGAUAGGUGGUGCUAUCGUACAUCCACGUUGAUGGAGACUUCAACCCACGAAGGGUAACGGUUGCGCGAGUCCACGGAGGGCUCCAUCCAAGAAGGGUCCAUGAAGAAGCAACCUUGUCUAUCCCACCAUAGCCGUCGCCCACGAAGGACUUGCCUCACUAGCGAUAGAUCUUCAUGAAGUUGGCGAUCUCCUUGCCCUUACAAACUCCCUGGUUCAACUCCACAAUCUUUGUCGGAGGCUCCCAAGUGACACCUAGCCAAUCUAGGAGACACCACUCUCCAAGAAGUAACAAAUGGUGCAUUGAUGAUGAACUCCUUGCUCUUGUGCUUCAAAUGAUAGUCUCCCCAACACUCAACUAUCUCUCAUAGGAUUUGGAUCUGGUGGAAAGAAGAUUUGAGUGGAAAGCAACUUGGGGAAGGCUAGAGAUCAAGAUUCAUAUGGUAGGAAUGGAAUAUCUUGGCCUCAACACAUGAGUAGGUAGUUCUCUCUCAGAACUGGUAAGUUGGAAGUGUAGGUUUGUUCUGAUGGCUCUCACCACAAAUGAAGAGGAGGUGGAGGGGUAUAUAUAGCCUCCACACAAAAUCUAACCAUUACACAAAUUUACCAAUCUCGGUGGGACCGAAUCAACAAACUCGGUCAGACCGAUUUAGUAAAUCUAGUGACCGUUAGGAUUUUUGGUGGGACCGAAAUGCAACUCGGUAGGACCGAUAUGGUUAGGGUUAGGGCAUAGUGUAAUCUCGGUGAGACCGAUUACACAAACUUGGUAAGACCGAUUUUGGUAAUUAGCUAACCAGAGAGUUGGUCAGGCAAACUCGGUGGGACCGAUUACUCAAACUCGGUGGGAUAGAUUUUGGUAAUAAGUUAACCAGAGAGUUUGCAUUGUAAUCUCGGUAGGACCGAUUGCUCAAACUCGGUAAGACCGAUUUUGAUAAUGGACAUACACAGAGAGAUUACAAUCCCAUCUCAGUGAGACCGAGAUCCCUAUCGGUGAGACCGAUUUGCCUAGGGUUUGUGGCAGUGGCUAUGACAUCUGAACUCGGUGGCGCCGGAUAGAAAGAAUCGGUGUGACCGAUUUUGGCUUUAGGUUUAGGUCAUAUGUGGAUGUGAGAAAGUAGUUGAGGGUUUUGGAGCAUAUCACUAAGCACAUGAAACAAGAGGCUCAUUAAGCAACACCUCAUCCCUCCUUGAUAGUAUUGGCUUUUCCUAUAGACUCAAUGUGAUCUUGGAUCACUAAAAUGUAAAAUGAAGAGUCUUGAGCUUGAAGCUUUAGCCAAUCCCUUGUCCUUAGCAUCUUGAAGGAGUUCCACAUCCUUUAGUCCAUGCCACUUCAUUGUUGAACUUGUCUGAAAUAUACUAGAUAAAAGUGUUAGUCCAACCAGAGAUAUGUUGACAUUAAUUACCAAAACCACCUAGGGAGCACUUGUGCUUUCAGCCCGCAUGUUGGAACAAUGCAACGUGGCUGUCACCCCAGGAAAUAAGCUGUCAGUAUUCUCAGCUAUGGUCACCUUUCUUCAGGUGAAGACAUCUGAGUGGAUGACCAACAAAUCAUUCGAUGCGAUGUUGGCUGCUUUCCGCAAAUCUUUCCCAGAUGCGUCUGAGCUGCCACACACCUACAGUAAAAUGAAGAAUUUCCUUCGUGCAGUUGGAAUUGGAUAUGAUAUGAUCCAUGUUUGUAAGAAUAAUUGUGUUCUGUUCCAGAAGGAUUAUGCCAACUUAAGUGAAUGCCCGAAAUGCAAAUCGUCAAGAUGGAAAGAUGGCAAUGCUAUGAAGAGGAUUCCUCAUAAUGUUCUGAGACAUUUUCCAAUUAUACCAAGAUUGCAGAGGUUGUUUCAUGAUGUUGAAACAAGAGAGGAUGUAUUGUGGCAUUCUAGGAACCAGGAGUACAGAGAUCAGAAUAUAAUGAGCCAUCCAUCUCAUGGUAGUGAGUGGAAAAGCUUCAAUCAUAAACACAAAAAGUUUGCUGCUGACCCGAGAAACAUUAGACUUGGCUUAACUUUAGAUGGAUUUAACCCAUUUGGCCACCAGAGCGCCACAUAUAGCAUGUGUCCAGUGCUUGUUAUCCCUUACAACAUGCCUCCAAAUGCCUGCACCAAAGAAUCAAACUACAUGAUGGCCUUGCUCAUCCCAGGUCCAAAAAGUCCUGGAAAGGAUUUUGAUUUGUUCAUGGAGCCUCUUAUGGAGGAACUUCAACAGCUAUGGAGGGGUGUUCUCACUCGAGACCUAUAUAGCAACCCACCAGCUGAUUUCUUUCUGUGUGCUGUUAUAAUUUGGUGCAUCCAUGAUUAUCCGGCUUUGGGAACUAUGUCAGGGCGAACGACACAUGGUUACAAUGCAUGUGUUCGCUGUGACAGGAAUCCGCUGUCAUACGCAAUACUUACCAAGAUCUGUUACAUUGGACACCGCUAUUUCCUUGCCAAGGACAAGCCGCAUCCUAGAAAAUACCGAAGACAUGUGUUCAAUGCAAAGCAUGAAAACCAUGAUGCGCCAAAGAGGCUCACCGCCGAUGAGUUGCAAGUGGAAUUAGAGAAGGUCAGGCAUAUUACACCAGGAAACCAUCCUAGUAAUGGUAGCGGGAAAAGGAAGCGUGGUAGGGUAGAAGAGAGAUUAGUGUUUACCCGCAGGUCCACUUUGUGGGACUUGGAGUAUUGGAAAGAUUUGGAUCUGCGGCAUAAUCUUGAUGUGAUGCACAUCGAGAAAAAUAUAUGUGACAGCAUUAUCGGCACACUUCUUAAUAUUGAAGGCAAGACGAAAGAUACCUUAAAAUCUAGGGUUGAUUUGACACACCUGGGUAUCAGACAGGAUUUGCAGGUGUAAGAUGAAGGUAAACCACGGGAUAUGGCACCAGCUGUGUACAUCUUGGACAAGGUAAAAAGAAAAGAAUUCUGCGAGGUCCUAUCACGUGUGAGAUUCCCACAUGGAUUUGCUUCCAACCCUAAAAGGAGAGUCAGUGCAGAUGGAAACAAGGUACAAGGGUUGAAAACUCAUGACUGCCACGUCCUACUUCAAAGGGUUUUACCUGUUAUCCUUAGAGGAUUGGGCAGCCCUGACUUAUACAGAGCAGUUGCAGAGUUGGGACAAUUCUUCAGGGAACUCUGCAGUAGAAAUAUUAGGAUAGAUGCUUUGGAGCGUCUUAGAGACAAGAUACCAACUAUCCUAUGCGACCUUGAGAAGAUAUAUCCUCCAGCCUUCUUUGAUGUGAUGGUGCAUUUGGUUGUUCAUCUACCUGAUGAGGCACUACUUAGAGGUCCAGUACAGUAUGGUUGGAUGUACCCUAUUGAAAGGCGGCUAGGCACUUUCAAGGGUUAUGUUAGGAACAGAGCUAGACCCGAGGGUUCCAUUGCAGAGGCCUACAUUGCUACAGAAGCAUUGACAUUCUGCUCAAAAUACAUUGAAACAGCUGAUCAGCUUAGCAAAGAGGUGGGUGAAGACAAUCCCGGGCUCAAUGUUUUCGAUUAUUCUGUUCGAGUUACAGGGAAGAGUCGACAAGAGGACAAACCUAAAGAUUUGGACAAAAUGGUUUGGUAUGUGUUGAAUAACUAUCCUAAGAUACUACCUUAUAUCAAGUAAGUGCAAUACUGCAACUUAUACAUCAUAAUCUACUAAACUUGCAGCACAUUCUUAUAUAUUUAGAUGUUUGACGCGAUCACUAUGUUGUGUAGCAUCUACAAAAAGGAGUUACUGCCGCAAAAUCCAAGAAACAUUGACAAACUGGUUAUGGUAGGAUUUGCGAAAUGGUUCAAGAGCCAUGUAAGGUUUUGAAUUGCACUGUCAGUUUUUUUAAUAUAUUGAGUACAUAAGAUGAUCAGUUUGUCAAUUUCUAACCAUAGGUUAAGAAGAUGCGGGGGGAUGGGCAGGAAGUUGAUGAUGCCCUUUACUCACUAGCAAUGGGUCCUGAUACUCGGGUAAGACAUUAUGAAUCUUGCGUUGUUGGAGAUGUGCGCUACAACACCCUUGCACGAGACGAAGGCAGGAAGACACAAAACAGUGCCAUCAUGAGCACGGAUAUGUAUGACAAAGAGACAACUGAAAUGUAUGCUAACAUAACAGACAUUGUUUAGUUGCAGUAUAUCUCCAGUUUCGAGGAUCAUCGGUGUGUGGUUCUGUUGUGCUGUCGUUGGUAUAACCUGUUUUCCAGGAUCGCAAAACCCAGAGCUGAUGAUUAUUUCAAAUCCAUCAAUGUCAAGGUGGCAUACCAGACCAAUGAGCCUUUUAUUUUGGCAAAUCAAGCAACACAGAUAUUUUUCUUGGAAGACACAUUUGCAUGUAGCAAUGACUAGAGAGUAUUACAAAGGUUUGAGCAGAGGAAUUUGUUUAAUGAAAUUGCACAACAAGAUGAUGCUUACAUGGCUCCUGAUGUACAAGAUAACACAGAUGUUCCUAAUAUCUUUGAGAACCAUCACGUCAAUGACACCGGCAAAAAGAUUGCCUGUCGUGCUGUCGACAUACAAGAGUUGAUCAAGAAGAAGCCAAUGUUCAAGGACGUUGAGGACGAAGAAGAAGAUGACGCCGUGGGGAAUUAUGAUUCAGACUGAUACACAUGGCGAAGAUGUUGACGCUGCUGCUGCGAUGAUGAUUACAUUGCUUUUGUCGUAUUUGCCUGUCAGAAGACGUUUUUUAUCUACUAUGUGAAAUUGUGUUUGCUAUGACAACUGAAACCUGACGAACAUGUUGUUUAGUAUUUUGCUGUGAGAACAUCACUUGUUAUGUAUGCUGAUUUGUGUUUGGUGAUUGUAUGAUGACUAAAACAUGAUGACAUUGUUGUUUAGUUGUACUCAUAUUUGGCUGUGAAACUUGAAUUUGAUGACAUAGUUUGCUGUUGGACUGCAAUUUGCUCGACGUCUUCGAAUGAGAACAAAGCUGACCCGACAGGGCCUCUGCUAUUUAUUUAUUUAUGAGAAAAAGGGGAUAUCCCCUGAUUUCCGUUAAUAGAAAUCAUUAGAUGUUCACAACACUACGCCCAGCCUGCUACACAGGUUUCAUUCAUUACUAGUUUCAGCAAAAUGCUCAUGUCAUAGCCACUAAAUACAUCACGAGUGCUACAUACACUGCAAAUAAAGAGACAAUCAUCCUACAGAGCACAUCGAUUUUGCCCAUUAUCUUCACAAGCUCUUUCAUCUCCUCAUUGUUGUCAAGGCCGUUCAGCAGUUGUUGCUUGGCCAUGAUCAGAGGAACUACAUCUUUAACCUUCUGCUCUGCAUCUUCCUUUUCUGUCGUUCCUUCAGUUACUUGUCCAACACCCCAACCCGCUGGUAUUGGGAUUCCUCAGCUAACCAAAUAAUCAGCGUAGUUGCAUUCCCCCACAUCAACAACUUCCCAAAAAUACAAAUCACACGAAUCUUCCCUUUUCUGCACGAAUCAAAUUGGAAGAUCAUCAACCAAACUAUUAAAAAAUCAGCAACUGAAAGCAGCAGAACAACACUUAAACAUAUUAUUACCCCAUGAUUCGGGCAUUUGUAGAAGACUCGGCCAGGGUUGAAGAUUGUGGUUGAGACGCGACGGAUGACUGUGCGUGAUUUGCAGCAGUGGCACCAUACCACGGCAGUGGGUUGCGAUGAGUAAUCGGCUGCGGUCCGCGUGCCGGCAGGGGUGUGAUGAGACCCACAGGCGAUGGUACGGGUGGCGACUUGGCACAUAUCUGGUUGUUGCCUGCUGAAGAGCAGGUGGACGAGUAGCCAGCGAACAUGGUUGCUGCGGCCAGAGCUUCUGAUGCUAGGAAGAGUAAGUAGAGAAGAGGAGAAGCGAAUGUUGGAUAUGUCAGUUUCAUUACUUGCAGAGUAGCAUAGCACCAUAUAUAGUCAUAGUCUAGGUUUGGAUUCUAACCAGCUACAGGAGCACGUCUCUCUUUUUUUUUAAACUCGGCAACGUCUCUUUACUGGUACACUAGCUUGUUUUGUACGCCUUCCCAAGUCUUUGAUUUUCUUUCCCUUUUUUCCAAGGAAGGAAGGAGGACAAAAUUGAGAGUUCCUGGGACUUGAACCCAAGACCUCUCGGUUGAAAACCAAGGGUGCUAUUUUCCUGGGAGGAGGACGGCAGACGAACGCAUCUUCCUCGCGGUUUUAGUUGCAACACAAGAUCGAACGGUCGCAGUUUCGGGAAAGUUAUCAGGCCAACAAGCCCAGAUUUUCUUUUCUUCCUAUAUAUAAAAAAGUGUGCUACUUGGUGUCAGCUUAGUCAACAAACGAUUGUGCCAACCUUGACCGUUGGAUUGACAUUCAACGUCUAUCAUGUUUCUUCAGUCUCUUCUUCCUUGAGCCGCCAAAGCCAAAGCAGCGCCGGUGGGACCGCUUGCUCCCGCCUCCCACGGCUGGCUGUGCUGCCGCGCACGCAUUGUGGCCACAUCGCACCCUAAAACUCUGCGCGUCUUCCCCGGCUCCUAUUCGUUCCCGUCCGAGGCCUCACCAACGUCCUCCGCCUUGGUUCGCUCGCCGCGGCACCGCCCUCCGGUGUUGUCAACAUGGUCAACAACCGAGAGGAAUAAGGAGAUGACUGUACAUGGUGAGGAUGAUAGUAGGGACCCAGCAGCGCGCGCAGUAAUCUUGUUUUUCAGGAUGGAGAAGGGUAUCAACUGGGUUGUGCGGGACCCGUGGCCCAUCUAGCACAUGCUUUUAUUUCAUAUGUUUAGCACAUGACCAGCCCAGUUUGUUUUUUUCCUUUCUGAAAAUGGCUAGCCAGCUAUUUUGUUUUUUUUGCAAAAUAACCAACAUAGGCCUACUUGCUUUUCUAUGCCCUGCUGGGCCGGAAAUCUUUCAAGACGAGGAGGGAUGCAUUUUGCCCAGAAAAUGGGCUAUAAGUAAUAAGAAAUGGGCUAUAAGUAAUAAAAAUGGGCUGUAAAAUGAAAAAUACAGCAAACAGGCAAUUAGUUCCCAAAUACUGUUUUGUUUCGGAUUUUGAUAUUUUAAAUUUCAUUGUUUUUGUGCGGGUAAAAUUUCAUUGAAUUUAAAUUAAGGUAUAUUUAGAUUUAAAAUUAAUUUGAUUCUGGCUAGAAAUUUCGGAUUGUAUGCUGUUUGGGACAGAUUUGGAGGCUGACUUGUGGGUCUACUAGGUUGACAUGUACUUUGGCUUUGUCAACUUAGUGCACAAACGAUUCUAGUAGCAGUGAACCUUGGAUGUUAAUCCAAUGGCCGUGCUGCUUCUUCAAUAUAUGAUCUUCUUGCUCCAGCCGCCCAAACCAGCGCCGGUGGGACUGCCUGCUCCGGCCUCCCGUGGCCGGCUGUGCUGCCGCACAGGCCGCACCGCCCCACCCUACUUCAUUGCUGGCCAGGCCAUUCCUCUACUCACCCACACCUCCUGUUAUUUUCCGGCGAUGGCAGCCGGACCAGUAAACCCUCGUACUCCCCACCGUGUGGGCAACCAUUGCCGAGUCUUCCUCGGCUCCGUGUCAUUCCCUUCCUAGGCCUCGCCGUCGUCCACCGCCAUGGUGCUCUCGGCGUGUCCUGGUCAACGUGGCCAAUGAAUGACAUCCAUCAGACGCGGACUGUACGUGGAGAGGCUGACAGCUGGGUCCACGACCGCACACAAGGAAAUGCCUCCUUAUUACGCGCAAAAUAAUGAUUCCUCCACCUGACAGUUGGGACCCACUGGAAGGGCCUCUAUAUUUCGUGAAACAAAUGUUCCCCCCGCUGACAGGUCGGACCCACCAGCUAUAUCUUCGCACGCACGGAAGUGCCUCCUUAUUACGAACAAAAAAAUAAAUACCCCCUGCUAGCUGGGACCCACCAUAGUGGGAGGAUGACUUGUGGGCCAACUAAGUUGACGGGGACGGAGGGCUUUGUCAACUUAGUCAAUAUGAACGAUUCUAGCUCCAGUGACCGUAUGAUUUCCAUCCAAUGGCCGUAGUGCUUCUUCAACCUCUGGUCUUCUUGCUCCAGCAGCCCAAACCAGCGUCGGUUGUGCCACGUGCUCCUACCUCCCGUGGUCGGCUGUGAUGUCGCGGAGGCCUCACCGCCCCCUACUACUCCCACCGCUGGCCAGGCCAUCCCUCUACUCACCCACACCCCCUGUUAUUCUGCGGCGACAACAGCCUCACACCGCAGUCAAACCAGUGAACCCUCGUUAUCCUCUCCGCGCGGGCUUCCACUGCCGCAUCUUCCCCGGCUCUGCGUCGUCCCCUUACUAGGCCUCACCGUCGUCCACCACCGUGGUGCUCUCAGCGCGGCGUGGUCAACGUGGUCAAGGAAUGAUUUCCAUCGGACGUGGACUAUACGUGGAGAGGCUGACAGCUGGGUCCACGUCCGCGGCAAGGAAGUGCCUCCUUAUUACGCGGAAAAUAAUGAUUCCUCCACCUGAUAGCUGGGACACACCGGACGGGCCACUGUAUUUUGUGAAAAAAACGUUUCCCCCUGACUGCUGGGACCCACCAGCUACAUCUUCGCACGCAAGGAAGUGUGUCCGAGAAAAAAGCAAAAAUGAUUCACCCCCCUGACUGCUGGGACCCACCAGCUACAUCUUCUCACGCAAGAAAGUGCCUGACAGUCGGGACCCACCUGGUCGAAGCGUAUGUAGCAUUGUCAUUCUGGUCGCGAAUGUGUACGUACAUACUGGUGGAUGUAGAGGUGCGCACGUGUCGUACUAGAGGCGUGCACGUAGCAUGUACACGUACGUACAGCGGCCAGUGUGAAAGAAAGAAAAUAUGGCCACGUAUGUGUACAUACGGGAGGGGUCUCGAACGCCUACUCGCGCAUAUGUACGCCCAGGGCUCGUGUAAAUGGCUGGGUCGGAACGGAGAAACAGCAUCGUCGUCGUGUUCAUGUGGAGGCAACGGAAUGUGUCGUGUUCAUGGGGAGGCAACGGAAUGCAUCGUGUUCAUCGGGAGGCAACGGAACGCGUGGGAGCCAACCGGCUUGGACGAAACAGUUGAUGGAAACGAGGCCUGGCGUACCGCAAAACGGAGGAAACGGCCUUGUGUUCGACCGGCCAUGUUUGAAACGGGAUCCUGUUCAUCGGGAGGGGUCUGGUGUACCGCAAAAUGGAGGAAACGAACCUCCUACGUAAGCCGGCAGAUUGACCCAGUCGCCCUCCGGGAAGAUGCGCUUCACGUAGAAGUACGACUGCUGCCACAUCUUCACCGACUGGAUCAGCACGAUGGGAGGAAAUGGAUUGUCGGCCGCCGACCUCCGCAUUGCGACGAAGGCACCACAUUGAGCCGGCAAGCUCUUGACGACGGUGCCGAGCUUGGAGUAGAAGAAUUGCCCCCAAAGCUCGAUGGUGGGGAGGACGCCGAGGAAGCCUUCGCACAGGGUGACGAAGGCGGACAGCAACAACACCGUGUUCGGAGUGAGGUGGUGCGACUGGAGGUUGUAGAAUUCGAGGAAGGCCCGGAAGAAGCCGCUCGCCAACAGGCCGAGGCCGCGAAGGCAGUGCGAGCGGAAGAUGACACGCUCGCCCUCCUCCGGCGCCGGCGAGAUCUCCCGCUCCAGGCGCGAGGUAGACCCUCACGCAGCCGCCAUGUCUUGCGAAGGAAAUCUAUGUGGUCCUCAUGGAUGUUGGAGCCGUCCCGGGCUCCGGCGCGCGCCAUGAGGACGAGAGGAUGACGGAGAAGGCGCGGCGACGGCGAGAGCGACAAGCUGCGGUACAGCAAGGUGGCCUAUGGAGCGGCGCGGUGGCGUGCAGCAGCGGCGACAAAGAAGAGGAAGAAGAAGAGGAUCGCGGAGUGGGAGGCGAGCACGCGUGCGUCUGCCGCUCCCCCUCCUCCCCCUAUUUAUAGCCUCGGUGCGGUGAAGCCAAGGGGGUGAGACAUGGGGGGCGUGGGAUUAACUACGCCUACUCCCCCACGACCUGCGAUUAUUACGCCUUAACGGCAUGCGGUAACUGCCGCAGGAAUGCCAACCGUCCGCCUCGACCACAGAUGAUCCGCGCGUGGGCCGAGGCAUGAUAGUGGCAGGCCCCAGCCUGCAGCGACAUCCCGUCGCGCGCGUGGGCUGGCAGGCUGAUUCGUCAGUAGGGCCAUCCCACGGAUCGCGGCCCCCCUACUACGCCAAGAUCCAACGGCGAGCGCAGCAUGUCACACGGAUCGCUCCCUCCUCUGCUUCCCAAUAAAAGCCGCGCCCACGCCUGCGUUCCAACCCACAAACUCAGAGCAUUCCCAUCCAGCGCAACCGCCGCCAACACCACUCCUCGAGAGUCCUCGCCGCCGGAGAAGUAGCAAGCAGGAUGGCCGGAAGGAAGGGCGGCGACAGGAAGAAGGCGGUGACCCGCUCCGUGAAGGCCGGGCUCCAGUUCCCCGUCGGCCGCAUCGGGCGCUACCUCAAGAAGGGCCGCUACGCCCAGCGCGUCGGCUCCGGCGCCCCCGUCUACCUCGCCGCCGUCCUCGAGUACCUCGCCGCCGAGGUACGCGCCGAUGUUUGCCGUCCUUUCUUGUGCACUCCUGUUCUUUCCGUGCUCGACGGAUAACUGACAGAUUUCGUUUUUGAAUCCCAGGUCCUGGAGCUCGCCGGCAACGCGGCCAAGGACAACAAGAAGACCCGCAUCAUCCCGCGCCACCUGCUGCUCGCCGUCCGCAACGACCAGGAGCUCGGCAGGCUGCUCGCCGGCGUCACCAUCGCCCAUGGCGGCGUGAUCCCCAACAUCAACUCCGUGCUGCUCCCCAAGAAGUCCCCCGCCGCCGCCGAGAAGGAGGCCAAGUCGCCCAAGAAGAAGACGUCCACCAAGUCCCCCAAGAAGAAGACCGCCGCCACCAAGGAGUAACCGCCCCCAUAGCCUAGCCAGUGUUGCUUAGAUCCAUUUCUCAUGGACUAAGAUGAGACCCUGUAUGUAAUGCCUGCUAGUCUGUGAUUUCGUCGAGCAUGGGUGACAUUGUACCUGCUAGUCAUGGACUAAGAUGAGAUCCAAUCAUUUCAGUCUGUUGUUCUAUCUAUGGCUGCAGUCAUUCCAAUCUCUUGUUCUACCUAUGGCUGCAAUUGAUCUUGCGAAUGCUUGCUCCCUGCCUAUACGUCUGAAGGACGCUUUACUUGUAAAUUCUCUCUUGUGUCAUCUGAAAAUUUCCGUUGAUCUGUAAUUUUCAGUGAUUUAUCUUUACUUCCUUGUGAAGUUCACUUCAAGCUUAUUCCUAUCAAGCUGCGGGAAACUGAAUCUAAGAAGAGCUUAUAAAUCAUCCUGCACCUCUCCCUGCGUGGCAGCUUAUAAAUUGAGCUUCAGAAGUCCUGCGGUCAAACAUUUCAAAUUUAGAGCUUGACCAUGCCGAAACAUUUUGAAGAAAUGUAACCUUGAUCUUUCUCUCUGUAGUUGAGCUGGUUACAUGUUGCCAAAAUAUAAUAACUAGUUCAUGUUCAUGAGCCAAAAGAAUUCUUAGAGUUGGAGCUGAGCCGAAAACAUGCGAACUGAAGUUUUGGCUGAAGUUUUGACCUGACAACGUUUUGGCUGCUACUAGAUGCAAAGUAUAAUAACUAGCCAGGUGAGGUGCUCAUUUUGUAAUCAGCUAAAGCAGAAACAGAUAUUGAGAAAUUUAGAUACUAGGAUCAGUCAGGCCCCUUAAAAUGGUCCAGUACAAAAAUGUUCUUCACCGGAGUGCACAAGAUUUCCUGGAUAAAUAAGCAAGUUAAUGUUGCAUGGUGGGAACAAUAAUAAAAAAGAAUUUCAGUAAAACUGAUGAAUAGGAAAAAAAUAGGUUAAAUGCAGAAUGGGUAUUCCGUAUAUUCAUCAGUUAAUUUUUUAUGGCCCAGUGGCGGGUUAACUUUUCUCCAUUCCGCGUCCCCAUUGAAAUUUUAAAUUUAUUGGGGAAAACAGGCAUGUGGUAUUUUUGAAGUUCGGUGGAUGAUUGUUUAGAUAUUUUCCGCUUUAGAAAAACAAGCUAGGAAAAACAAUUUAGAUGUUUCAUUCUAGCUAAAAGUUUAUUAAAGGAGCUGAAGACUUUUCAAUAUUUCCGCAUAUACCAACUGGUAUAUUUGAUGCAUGAUGUAGACAUGUUCAAAUGAAACACUUUGUGAACCGUCAUGAACUGUGAUUCUGGUUCGAUUUGUGGUAUGAUUGAACGCGCUCAUACGACUGCUCGUCUUCGGUUUUGUUAAAUCUAUGGCUUGUGUCCGACUUCUGUUUUGUGGUAUGACUGGACAAGUUUGCAGACACACUCGUAUGAGUAUGAGUGCUUGUCAAUCCUUCUGAUAACUUGGUCAUGCAUGGUCUAUGGGGAUACGAGCUACGAUGCGACCAGGGGCUGUUGUAUCACUAGUCAAUUGAUGGUGUUAUGACCCAGGGGUGCCUCACCUUGUCGAUUACCAGUCCAAGUAGGACGGCCCGAGGCCCGCUAGGCCGGUUCCGCUUGGGCCAUCUUGCCAGCCCACUGGCCCUCUAGGAGAAAGAAUUUGAAGCCUUUUCAUUCAAGAGAAAGAAGUCGGAUCCAUGGAGGACUCCUCUCCAUCGACUUUGUCAACUAUGGCUCUUCUAACUCUAGGGCCCUCGAUAUCUUAUAUAAACCAGGUUUGGGCUAGUUGACAAAAUAUCUUAGACAUUACAAUCCUUCGGUAUUACAUGUACUUUGUACAUCCAGGUCGAAAUAUACACAAAGUAGGAGUAGGGUUUACCUCCAUCAUGAGGGCCUGAAACUUGGUAAUCCGCUUCUUCUUUCUCCUCUAACCUAAUCACCACACUGGGAUAUCCUACCGAGGGAUCUACCGGAAACAUCUCUGACACCAUUGAGGGAGUCCUGAAUUCGGGGGUCCUCAGGUGUCCGGCCUAUUCAAUAUGGGCCGGACUGAUGGGCCGUGAAGAUAAGGCAGAAGACUAUCCCCCCGUGUCCGGGUAGGACUCAUGUGUGCGUGGGCGGCAAGUUUGGUGUCCGGAUAUACUGUUUCCAUCUUUUGUAAACCGAUUCUGUACAAUCCUAGGCCCCUCCGGUGUAUAUAAACCGGAGGGUUUAGUCCAUAGAGGCUAUCAGAAUAAUCAUAGGCUAGACAACUAGGGUUUAGCCAUUACGAUCUCGAGGUAGAUCAACUCUUGUAACCCCUAUAAUCAUCAAAUACAAUCAAGCAGGACGUAGGGUUUUACCUCCUUUAAGAGGGCCCGAACCUGGGUAAACAUUGUAUCCCAUUGUCCUUUGUUACCAUUGAUCCUUAGGCACACAACUUGCCCCCCGCUACCCAAGAUCUGCCGGUUUUGACACCGACAUUGGUGCUUUCAUUGAGAGCUCCGCUGUGUUGUCAAUAGAGGAAUCGAUGGCUCGCCUCGUCAUCAAUGACGAUGCUGUUUCCGGGGAGACCUUUCUCCCCAGUCAACUCUUUGUGUUCGGCGGCUUCGUGCUACUUGCCAACUCGACUGUCCACCUCGAGAAGGUCGACAACUACGCCCCUGGUCACCAGAUCAGGUUUGGAAUCUUGAAUUACACUGCCGAUAUCCGAGGAGACAUGAUCUUCGAGGGGUUCACGGCCUCGGCCGCCGCUCCCCACCCAUACGAAGGAGGCCCUUCGGAUCUACUGUCAGAUCCCGUCCAGGGGUCGACACUCGUAUCAACCUCAGCCUUAGAUCCGGGGCAAACCACAUCAUCUGAAGACGGGAGGAUGAAGCCCGCCGGACUCUUUCCUAUCGCGGAGCUUCCUGCCGGAUACCCAGAUGCGACCACGUCGCCUGUGAACCCGAAGUCAAACGGGACUCUUCCCAUCAUCGAAAAGCCGGACUCGCCUCUGGAUGUCAACUCCGAACUAUCGAUGUUUACAUCCAUCGGGCUCAAUCAAGUGGUCAUCGCCGAGCCUGGUACUGCAGAUCCGCAUCCUCCUAUCCAGCUUUCGCUCUUAAACGAAACAUUGGACUUAAUACGAUCUCUCGCCAUCACAGAAGCGUUACCUCCGAACUACACCCAUCUUGGGCUAGGGACUGAGAGCAGGGAAUUUUAUGUUCCACCCACCACCCACUUAAUAGCCACUAUCGAGGAUUUAACCGACAUGCUAGACUACGCCUCCGAAGACAUCGACGGCAUGGACGAUGAUGUCGAUGCCGAACCAGGUCAAAACCCGCCUAUCACCGGGCGUUGGACGGCCACUUCUACCUACGACGUAUACAUGGUGAAUACACCUGAGAAAAAGGACGAUGAUGUCACUCAAGAUCUAGACAAGGACAAGCCCGUCGAUGAACCACCAAAGCGCGAGCGUUAGCGGCGCCACUCACUUUCGCACCAGAGGUAAUGACACUCCGGACAAUGCCGAAGACCACAACCACCCCGUCGAACCUGCGUUCGAGCAGGAUGAAACGGAAGAGGGUCAAUACAACCUCGAGCACGCCGAUCACGAGGAUUCGGAAGAUAGUAACUACUUACCUGUCUCCAAAGAGGAUGUUAGCCUUGGUGAUGAUGAUUUUAUCGUCCCAGAGGAACCCCUCGAACAAGAAUGCUUCAAGCGAUAGCUCAUUGCCACCGUGCGGAGCCUAAAAAAGAAAUAGCAACAGCUUCAAGCCGAACAGGAUACGCUCAACGACAGAUGGACCAAGGUCCUAGCUGUCGAAGAAUGCGACUUCGAGCGACCAACAAAGAGUUACCCCAAACACAGACUGCUGCCACAAUUCGACGACGAGGCCCUUGAGCCAAUACCGUCAAAGUACGAUCAUGCUGAUCAACCGGACCGACCACCACGUGGACGGGGCAAAACAACCCAUCAUGCCGAACACCGACACGUGCCCCCCCACCGUAGAGGCAAGGAGAGAGCGGCUCCGGACUACACAUACGACUUACGUCAGUACUUGGCCAAUGAAGCCGGCCAGACUCGAUCAAUCUAUGGAUUAAGAGGACAUGUUCCAACACGAGAUGACGGCCAUCAGGCCCGGCACGAUGAAUAUAAUCAAGUUCGGGGUCAGCACCAAACGCAGAUGUCAUCCAAACUCCGUCGCGAUGUUGCCCGGUAUAGAGGUGCCGCUCACCCUAUGUGCUUUAUCGAUGAAGUAAUGCUGCACCAAUUUUUGGAAGGGUUUAAACCCGUGAACAUCGAGAAGUACGAUGGAACAACGGAUCCUGCCAUAUGGAUUGAAGAUUUUCUUCUCCACAUACACAUGGCUCGCGGAGAUGACCUCCACGCCAUUAAAUACCUCCCCCUAAAUCUAAAAGGACCAACACAUCGCUGAUUGAAUAGCCUCCUAGAGAACUCCAUUGGAAGUUAGGAAGACUUAGAAGGCGCUUUUCGGGCCAACUUUGAGGGCACUUAUGUCCGACCACCGGAUGCUGAUGACCUAAGUCACAUAGUCCAGCAACCCGGAGAGUCAGCUCGCAAACUUUGGAAUUGGUUCCUAAUUAAAAAGAACCAAAUCAUGGACUGUCCAGACGCCGAAGCCUUAGCGGCAUUCAAACACAGCGCCCGUGAUGAAUGGCUCGCCCGACACCUCGGGCAGGAAAAACCAAAGACCAUGGCAGCUCUUACUACACUUAUGACCCGCUUUUGUGUGGGAAAAGAUAGCUGGUUGGCUCGUAGAAGCAACACUUCCAGCGACCCCGGCACUUCUGAGGCCAGGGAUGGCAAUGGUAGACCACGACGCCACAAAAACAAGCGUCAGAACAAUAACGAAGAAAUAGAUGAUACGACAGUAAAUGCCAGAUUCAGUGGUUCCAAACCCGCUCAGCGGAAGAAGCCUUUCCAGGGCAAUCAAGACAGUCCAUCCAACUUGGACAUAAUAUUAGAGAGACCUUGCCAGAUUCAUGACAUCCCUGACAAGCCUGCCAACCACACCAAUCGAAAUUGCUGGGUUUUCAAGCAAACCAGUAAAUUAAAUACCGAACACAAGGGGAAAGGACCUCCAAGCAAGGACAAUGAUGAGCCUCGUCAGCCGAACACUGGGGGACAGAAGCAGUUUCCUCCCGAGGUGAAAACAAUGAACAUGAUCUAUGUCACCCACAUCCCUAAGAGGGAGCGCAAACGCGCAUUAAGGGACGUCUACGCCGUAGAGCAUGUCACCCCAAAAUUCAACCCAUGGUUGGCUUGUCCGAUCACCUUUGAUCGCAGGUACCACCCAACCAGUAUUCGUCACGGAGGUUCGGCGACCCUAGUACUCGAUCUUAUCAUUGACGAAUACCAUCUCACUAGAGUCCUUAUGGACGACGGCAGCAGCCUUAACUUGAUCUAUCAAGAUAUUGUCUGUAAAAUGGGUAUCGACCCGUCAAGAAUUAAGCCUAGUAACACUACCUAUCGGCGGGUUAACUUUUCUCCAUUCCGCGUCCCCAUUGAAAUUUUAAAUUUAUUGGGGAAAACAGGCAUGUGGUAUUUUUGAAGUUCGGUGGAUGAUUGUUUAGAUAUUUUCUGCUUUAGAAAAACAAGCUAGGAAAAACAAUUUAGAUGUUUCAUUCUAGCUAAAAGUUUUUUAAAGGAGCUGAAGACUUUUCAAUAUUUCCGCAUGUACUCACAGAUAUAUUUGAUGUAUGAUGUAGACAUGUUCAAAUGAAACACUUUGUGAAGCGGCAUGAGCUGUGAUUUUGGUUCGAUUUGUGGUAUGAUCGAACGCACUCAUACCACUGCUCGUCUUCUGUUUUGUUAAAUCUAUGGCUUGUGUCCGACUUCUUCUGUUGUGGUAUGAAUGGACAAGUUUGCAGACGCACUCGUAUGGGUAUGAGUGCUUGUCAAUCCUUCUGAUAACUUGGUCAUGUGUGGUCUAUGGGGAUACGAGCUACGCUGCGACCGGGGGCUGUUGUAUCACUAGUCAAUUGAUGGUGUUACGGCCAAGGGGUGCCUCACCUUGUCGAUUACCAGUCCAAGUAGGACGGCCCGAGGCCCGCUAGGCCGGUUCCACCUGGGCCAUCUUGUUAGCCCACUGGCCCUCUAGGAGAAAGAAUCUGAAGCCUUUUCGUUCAAGAGAAAGAAGUCGAAUCUGUGGAGGACUUCUCUCCACCGAUGUUGUCAACUAUGGCUCUUAUAACCCUAGGGCCCCCGAUAUCUUAUAUAAACCAGGUUUGGGCUAGUUGACAAAACAUCUUAGACAUUACAAUCCUUCGAUAUUACAUGUACUUUGUACACCCAGGUCGAAAUAUACACAAAGUAGGAGUAGGGUUUUACCUCCAUCACGAGGGCCUGAACCUUGGUAACUCGCUUCUUCUUUCUCCUCUAACCUAAUCACCACACCGGGAUACCCUACAGAGGGAUCUACCUGAAUCAUCUCCGACACCAUAAAAGGACCACAUCACCCGUAGAACAACACCACAUCACCACUGAUACUGUAGUACCAUCAGAGGGGCCAACUUUCUGUUAAGGAGUACAUAUCCCAUAAGAAGCAGGAUUAACAAAACCCAACGAACAAGCUACGUAAGCGAUAAGGUAGGAGAUAAGGAUACUCUCACGUAGCAUAGAGGUGGAUGGCUGCUCCAGAUCCAGGUAGAGGCAUGGCGGGGCGUGGCGCGGUCCAGUUCCGGGCAUGGCAAUCAGGCGCAUGCAUGCGAGACUGGGCGCGACGAGAAGGUGUGUAUGGUCCAGAUCCGCACGGUGCAUGAUGAGUUGGGGCAGGCCGGUGUAUUAGGGCACGGACAUAAGGUAUUUGCGGCCCAGAUCUGCAUGGUGCAUGCUCCUAGUGGCGUGUUCUCGCGAGUGUGCACUUUUACGAUGCGAUGGAGGAGUUUGACGCAGGAUGCUAAUCGAGUGGUGCGACGCGUGGAUGGCUUGUUAGGGGGGUUGCUUGAGUCCUUGGGCUUGGAGGGUGAUGCAAGCGAAAGCUGUACUCUGACGAUGGCGCCUUCGAGCCCCUUUUCCUUGUUGGAGGUGUCAAGGUGAUAGUCCUUACUUUUCCUCCCGACAAGCUACGAUGGAAAACCUAGAUCCGGUUUACCGAAUUUGGCAAUGGCAGCAUUGUGUUGCUCGCAUUCCCUCUUGAUGGCAUCGUUUCGAAGGUGCCGGUCGGAGGGACUUGUGGGUUGUGGCUUGUGGAGUUGGCCGGUGACGACUAGUGUGUUUUCGGCCGUGUGGCGUGGUUACUGAAUUGGGCGGUGGGUACUAGGAGCAUCCUUCACAUAUGCGAGGUGCGUCGGGUGGGCCAUGUCAGCCAACCUCGUGGGAUCGAAGCGGCAUAUGUUUGAAUUUAUCAGACGUAUCAUUCCUCUCUGGCGCCGUCGUGGUUCGUGGACAAUCUUGUGACAAGCCCGGACUAAUGCAACGGUUCUCUCCUUUAUCCCGUUGCUAAUGAAUCAAUAGAGAGAGGCCUCCCUAAAAAAAAUCAAUAGAGAGACAUGGGGCUGCAAUGUAUUUCUUGAGCAUCCUCCAGCCAAAAAAACAAACUCUUGAGCAUCUUUUUGUGCUCUGCGACGUGCGGUAUGUACACGGUGCUGGAGCGUCCGUCGUCCCACAGCGCGACAUGGCCGGAGCGUACGUCCCACGAGUACGCGGGAGUCCACACGCUAUCGAUCCGCGCCGCGCCCGUGUGCGUUCUCGCCACGUCAUCGAUCCGCGUCCGAACGCAUCGGGUCCGUCCGUCCCAAGCAUCACCGAACGGCUGGAUCCACUCCACGGCAUCGAUCCGAGGCACCAUCCUCUCCGCCAACCACAGCCCACCUCCCUCCUUCCUCCUGCUCCCUACAUAACCUCGCCGCCCCCAUCCGUCUCUGCACACCACAGCAUCCGCAGCCCCCCUCACACCCCACCCCACCACACCCUCGAAUCACCACCACCAGCAGCACCCAUGGCACCCAAGGCGGCGGAGAAGAAGCCGGUGGCCACGGCCGAGAAGACGACGGCGGGGAAGAAGCCCAAGGCGGAGAAGCGGGCGCCGGCGUCCAAGGAGGCCGGCGGCGAGGGGAAGACGAGGGGCAGGAAGAAGGGCAGCAAGGCCAAGAAGAGCGUGGAGACGUACAAGAUCUACAUCUUCAAGGUGCUGAAGCAGGUGCACCCAGACGUGGGCAUCUCCUCCAAGGCCAUGUCCAUCAUGAACUCCUUCAUCAACGACAUCUUCGAGAAGCUCGCCGGGGAGUCGGCCAAGCUCGCCCGCUACAACAAGAAGCCCACCAUCACGUCCCGGGAGAUCCAGACCUCUGUGCGCCUCGUCCUCCCCGGGGAGCUCGCCAAGCACGCCGUCUCCGAGGGCACCAAGGCCGUCACCAAGUUCACCUCCUCCUAGGCAGCUAGGAUUGAUCCUCGUCGCUUCAUGCGUUCUGUAUGUACGUAGUUGGCAGUAUGAUGUUACAAUCUUUGUAAGGAUUGUGUUGCUUGCUCGCGGCCUUGAAAGAAAUAGUGAUGUUGUUGUUGUUUGAAUCAAUGUUCAUUGUGCUUGCGCGUCGCUUCAGUUCAGACUCUUCUUGAUGCCAUUUGUUUAUGUCAGCAAAUUUCUGUUUAUCUAAUUUUAAUUUGCUGCCAUUUUAUCUACUGCUGUAGUUUCUAAGCCUACAGACAGAAACCUCUAAUUUUAAGUCUAAUUUUGAACCUCUAAUGAACCUCUGGACUUGUCAUCCAUAUGGCAAGAAGCCAAGAACAGCUUGCCAACUAGUGUUCAGAAAUUCAGAAUGCAUUAUUCAGAUUAGCUUCUUGAGAUAAAUUAGAGGCUUUUCGCAAAAAGAAGAAGAGAUAAAUUAGAUGUGGUUCACCCACGUUUUUUUAGAGUCAAGGAACAUGCCAGAUGCAACCAUCAUCUUGAGUAUUGAGACAUGUGAGUUUUUCAUCUAUUAUGUUUUUAUACUACACUAGGUAAUUUUUCUUUGUAGCACUGCCACACUAGGUAAUUUUUCUUUGUAGUACUGCUACACUAGGUAAUUUGUGAUCACGAAGCGACCCAUUUUGUGAAGGCGCAAAGUUUUUCUAAUGAUUCAUCUAUGAUCAUGAAGCGACCAAUUGAUCUGCAUUCUGCAAGUAAUUAGGUUUUUGACAGCAAUUAGACUUUAUUCCUCAGAUAAUAGAUAAAUUGUUUACAAGAGAGUGAGAAAUAAAGCCAGGGAUCAUUUGCCGAGGGGACUGAAGCUCCACAAGCAGAAAAGGUGGAGUGGGGAAAAAGAAUUGUUUGUCUCAAGGAACAACUUGCAGCUAGCGCUAAAGAUGCAGUUGAGAUACAAGAGAACCAAUACAGUUUUUUUUUUCUUAUAUGCAAGAACCAAUACAACUUGAGGUAUACCUUAGUACAUUAAUUUUUCCUAGCUAAAUCCAGUAGUACAAAGCAAAUCAAUAACCUAAGAAACAACCAAGGCUCCAUGGACAUGUGGAGGAAACAAUCUGCUACAGCAACAUAUGCCUGCGUACAGACCAUGACUAUACAGAAGCAACAUAUACUCUGACGUGGAAUUUCUUACAAUGCAUAGUGGCCUUGCCAUUUCUUACAGUGGAGCUGGUAAAUCUCGUAGACGAUGACUAUACAGAAGUAACUUUUUGGCAAAGCUUGCCACCAAAGACAGAAGUAACUUUUUAGCAAAGCUUGCCACCAAAGAGAACUAGGGUCUACGAGUAUCUCCAUGGGAAUAGUUGGUACAAGUGGAGAUACAUUUUAGUGUUCCUGAUCACUUUUAUCAGCAAGAUCUUGCAAGAGAGUCCGUUGUUUUGGACCAUCAUCGUCUGGUCCAGGAUCAUGAGAUCUAACUACAAACAUAAUCUAUUUUCUUGACAAUAGAACGAUAACCCAUCACCCGUUUACUGACUUGGCAAAUUGGCAAUCCAUCAAAAACUGCAGCCUGAAACAUGUCUGCGCAUCAUUUGUUUGGCUAGGUAGAUUCUGCAAGGCAUCCAAGCUUCUGCCUAUUGUUUCUUCUAUCCAGGCAAGCCUCCUCUCAAGUUUUAGCACACUAGCAUGAAUAACCCUAAUAUCAACUUCCGCAAGCUUGGCAAAUGAGCGUACCAACAUGUAAUAAUCAGCGUGUCCAACACAAACAAGACUACCAGUUAUUGUUUUCUUAAGGUAGCCAUCUGAUCUCGUACACUUCCUUGGCGGCAUAUAACAAAAUCCUUGGUCUUCUAUUUCUGACUUGAUACUUAGUAUCCCUGAUGAUGAUGCAGAAAACCACCUUGCGCCGACAAAAGUUCCAUCCCAACCUCGUUUAUUCAGUCCAGUUGUGUUUCACAUUUCCUCCAUGUGCGGUUUUGGAUUCUCAUCCUGCAAUGCAACAAAUUUAGCCAUCAAGUCAACAACAUUCACCCCCAAAAGACGUGUAGUAAAUCCUCAAGGUGCUACAUUUGUACAAAUUUUAAGCUCAGAUACGCUGCGGAUAAAAUAGAGUUUUUUAACAAAUAAUAAUUGUUUUUCUCUCUAUCUUUUAAUUUUAUAAUUUGGCUGUUUCUCAAAAACAAAACCAGUUGCGUUUGGUUUCUAUAAUCAUUUAUGUUUUCUUUCAUGCUGAUUUUGCUCCUCAAAUAAUAUUCAUAGAUAGAAGGUUAUUAAUGGUUUGUACCCAAGGUUCGGAAAUGCUAGGUAGAGAUUGGAAGUUCAAAAUAAAUGUGUGAUUAGAGUACAACAGAAUUUUUUUUCUGAAUACAACUUCAUUGUUCUUAAUCUGUAAAAUUUAUAUUAUGGCAGUUCCUCAAAAUAUAACAAAAAUAUCAUUCAAACCAAUUGUGUUUGGUUUCUAAGUUCAUUUGUGUUUUUUGUGUGUGCUAAUCUGAUAAAUACAAAGCAUAAGACCAUCAAUACAAAGGAGCACUUACAAAGAAUCCGUAAACAAGAUGGCAAGUAGAAACACAACAACAUAAAAACAGAGGAAAAUGUAACCAUGACAAUAUAAAUUUACCACAUGAUAUUGUUUCCAGUAGUUUGCAAACUAUUGGAUGGAACUUUCUGUAAUUCUGCAGCUAUGAAAAGCUAACUGCAAGGCAUGAAAUUGACUAAUGGCACGAAGUGACGAGAAAAAGAGAAGCAAGUGCAGAAGUUCACCAACGAAACAAGCAAUGACCAGUAUCUGAAGAUGGCCCAUCAUUGGACAUUGAUACUUCCCAAAUUACUCUUAAAAUCUCAACAUGGGAAAAAAUGGAACUGACGACACAUAAUUCGUUCAACCAUGAUUUAGAAAAAUAUAAUUAGAUGAGACCAUUCAGCCAUGUCAUCCAGGCUGGCAAGGAGUUUGGCUUUUCACCGGUACAGGCACACACUUUGUUUUAUCAGACACUGCUCUGGCUCACCACCGAGGGGGUGACCCAGAUGAAUCAUGAACUACUACCCAUAGCCAUCAUGCUUGGCUUCUUCUCACACUGCGAACCCAACCUCCUCACCGCGCUCUCCCAAUCCCAGGGUGACAGAAGGUGGCUCCUUGUCCCCCAGAACCCGAUGCGUUUGUCAUCAACUUGUGCACCAGUCACUAGAUGGAGUCAUUGAGAUACAAUCACCAAUAGCAAUGGGGUCACCUCACAACAAGAAAAAGAAGACAGUAGCAUCCAGAAUAAUAGACAAUACAGUGUAUAAGGCAGAUCUCUGUGUGAUAGAGGCCAUAAAUAUAAGAAUACCAGUAAAGUGUUCUUGUGAGUCUAGAGUGUGGAACAGGGCCUUACAGACAAGUUGAUCCCUGGCUAUUGUUGGCACUAUUUGAUAACAUGAAGUCGGUAAUGAAAAUACUACUUGGAGGUGCAGGGCAUAAGAAACAUGAUGGCACACUGAGACUGUGUUUAUACCUGGAAAAUUGUCCAGCAGGUGUGUGCAGAGGCAUGGAUUCGACAGCUCCACCAGUUGAAUCUUGAUUAGACAGCAAAGAGUAUUGAUCUAGCGAGACCUUACAUAAUAUCACUGCAUAUUAGUAGAACAAAAAAAACUGAGCUAUUAUUUGCUUUUUGUUUCAUCUUCCAUUAAAUGUGGUAACUAUCUCAUACUGAAGUCCUAACUUCCUCUGUUCCAGAAUUAGUUACCUGGGUUACAAACUUACAAAAGAACCAGUUUGGUCAACUUAAUUAUUUUUAGGCGCGUGGAAUUGAAGUAUACUAUUAAUAUUAAAGGCAAUCAUAAGAAAAUGUUUGCAGUUCUCUGAAUACAACCACUCAGUCACAGGAUGGAAGAACCAUGUUUUUCCUCUAGUACACAACUAAAGUAUUUGUCCUUGUGUGGUACAUCAGUUGCAUCAAUGGAAAGUAGAUUCAUAUAUAUCAGAGGGACAUUAUGCUGAGUGGAGAACUGGCAUUACUCCCACUUCAGUAAAAUGCAUAUGGUCUACUUCAGUGGCAGCACCACAAGGACCAAGGAUGUAAAUUAAUGGAUAAAUUUGACAUACAUAAAUACAUAAACUUUAGUAAAUAUAGAUAAGAAUAUUUUAUAUAACUACCUAGCUGUCGAGCAUAUCCAUGGUGACAAGCUUUGUGCCAUUUUCUUUUGUUCCAGAUUAACAUGUCGAUUGAUCUCAGAAUGCAGUCUUCCCCUGACACAGCAACAUGCUCGACCAGACAGAACUGACCCCACAAACCAUAUAUGCCAACCAUGCAGAAGGAAUAUAAUAUAUGUGUAAAUAGAGUAAGGAAUUCUCUCUAUCUGCAUGCAGUGGCCUUCCAUGCAUAAUAUUCCUGAUUUGCUAAUACCAAUUUUUCUUCCUGUGAGUGCUUAGUAGAACUAAAACCGAGUACAUGAUGUGCGGUUUCAGUACUACUAGGUGUGAGGAGGAGGAGGUUAGCCUUGAUGGCCAGGUGGUACCUCGGAAGGACACCUUUCGGUAUUUGGGGUCAAUGUUGCAGGAGGAUGAGGGUAUUGAUGAAGAUGUGAACCAUCGAAUCAAAGCCGGAUGGAUGAAGUGGCGCCAAGCUUCUGGCAUUCUCUGUGACAAGAGAGUGCCACAAAAGCUAAAAGGCAAGUUCUAUAGGACGGUGGUUCGACCCGCAAUGUUGUAUGGCGCGGAGUGUUGGCCGACUAAAAGGCAACAUGUUCAACAGUUAGGUGUGGCGGAGAUGCGUAUGUUGAGAUGGAUGUGUGGCCACACGAGGAAGGAUCGAGUCCGGAAUGAUGAUAUACGAGAUAGAGUUGGGGUAGCACCAAUUGAGGAGAAGCUUGUCCAACAUCGUUUGAGAUGGUUUGGGCAUAUUCAGCGCAGGCCUCCAGAAGCUCCAGUGCAUAGCGGACGGCUAAAGCGUGCAGAGAAUGUCAAGAGAGGGCGGGGUCGACCGAAUUUGACAUGGGAGGAGUCCGUUAAGAGAGACCUGAAGGAUUGGAGUAUCGACAAAGAGCUAGCUAUGGACAUGGGUGCGUGGAAGCUUGCUAUCCAUGUGCCAGAGCCAUGAGUUGGUUGUGAGAUCUUAUGGGUUUCACCUCUAGCCUACCCCAACUUGUUUGGGACUAAAGGCUUUGUUGUUGUUGUUGUAGUGUGAGGAGUCUUGAAAGAUUGGCAUUUGUUGUUGUGACGGUUAAAUAGUAUGGAGAUACUCCUCAGAAAUAGUAUGGUGAAUAAGUUCUGUGCACAUGUCCAGCAGAAAAUUUACAUCAGAAUAAUUAGGUCUGUUUUUCUUUUAUUUCAGAGGUAGUUAGCUGGAAUUUCUGAGUAAACACAUAAGUCUAAUCCCAGUGAAAAAAAUCAAGCUAUCUUAACCUCCAAUUUUGAUCAAGUAAAACCUGUUUACGGAAGUUAUGAAUCUGAAGAGCAGAGUGACUUUUUCCUAGUGGCAAUAUGCUUAGAUAUAUCCCUCCUAUUUGAACAAAAUAUCCAAUGCAUUUGUCCCCACAUAAAUAUAAAGCACUGAUCAACACAAGCAUGUAUACGUCCCUCCUAGUGUUUCACCCCCCACCUUUUAAAUCCCUUAAGAUCUUCUCUGUUUUGGUCAUGAAAUUCAGGAAAAGCAAGUUAACUCAGCUCAGUUCAAGUCACUGAGCAGAACAAAAAAUAGCGACAGCAGCCCAGAUCUGCUGACGCUCUGCAGAAGCAACAGAACAGAGGCGCACUACAUUCAGUGGCUGACAAGCGAGUUGGAGUCACCGCACUGAUGUACACUUCAUUACCGAGGUAUAACCUUUACUAAUUCAUGAAUUAAUAUUUUUCUUUUACUGAAUAUAUACUAUUUUUCAUUUUUCUCUUCUUUUUCAGAUUGAUAUGAUUGCGAUCAUGUUUCAACAGGAAAAAUGUUUGUAUAUAAUGCCAUGGUAACAAUAUCCCUGUUAGUUAUCCCUGCUGCUCAUUAAACACAAUCAGAAUAGAUAUAUAAAUCAUUAAACACCAAGGAUUACAAGUACCCAGGUCACCGACUCGUGGACAUGCUAUGACACUAGUUUGGUUGCAAGACAAGUACUAGUCAAGCAACUCUUAAAUCUGAAUCCUUGCUAAACAAAACAAUUUGCAACUUUUUUGUUAGGAUGGACAACAGGUUGAAGGUCUCAGUGUCGGCUCAAGGCAGCAAACUAUGAUGAAUUUUGUUGCAAAAUAUAUUAUUAAAUCUAUGAUUUCACUCAAUUGUAGACAGAUAGAAGAAAACACUUUUGCCCUCAGUGCAAGCUGUAGGUUGUAGAUGGAAAAUCUCAUAUCAUUUUCUUCUUCAUAUGUUAACAAGAACAAAUGUUAGUUCAACCUUCAUUGGAUUUGCUUGUUAUACAUGGCACCUCCAUUCGUUUAUUCUGACAAUUAGUGGCGGAUGCAAAUGAUAAGACUGAUUCAUAUGUAGAAAUUUGAAAAUUGCCAAACUAAAAAAAGGUCAACUAUGGUAUUUAGGAACAAGUAAGGAGGAAGAAAACAAAAGGUUAAAAAAGAACAGACAUCCAUUAGAAUAUAUAUCUAAGCAAACUUUAGUACUAACUGUCACAAUAUUUGUAAGAAUAAUCCAAAUACUGAACAUUGAACUGCAAACUUAGUAGUAACUGAAAUAUGAUGCAACUCAAAAUACAAUGAAGUCAAAAGGGAACAUGCUAGAUAAACGUUGCCAUGAAAGCAGACCACACUGAUAUCUUCUCUAAGGAAUGACAACAACAUCAUAUCAGGGUUCAGGAAUCAAAUUAUCAGUUACAUCAAAAGUCAGCAAUGAGCAAACUGGCAUGUAAAAACCACACUACAAAAGAUAGCCCGCUUCCAGUUAGGCAUAGAACAAUGAGGCAGGAGUUACCAGCUUCCUACGCAGAGUGAAAACUUUGUUGCGCCAGCCAUACACACGUUAUGAAUUUUCAUAGCCUGUUCCUGGUUCAUCUAAACAAGAAAUUAGUUGGUAUAUCCCCUUUGCAAGCGGCUGCAUAGUCCUCAGCGAGGUGUGGUGCAGCUUUCUUGUGAGGGCAUAUGUACUUGUCCAUGAAAUACUUCUCAGGCGUACUAACUGCAGUAUAGAAGCUCAGCUUGCAAUCUACCAAUCCAUUUUCCUUGAGGAACUUGAGAACAUAGUACCGGGGCCUAACCCGGCCCUCCAGGCUAAGGCAAGUAAUUAUCGGUCAAUGAGCAAUGUACAUGGGCUCCAACCCCACCUCAGAUAGCAGGAACUCGGACUUGCGCUGUAGCAUGUCCUUAGAAAUCCUGAGCAGCAUCGGAGCCUUAGACAAAGCAAUGACCACCUCAGCAGCAGACCACCUGAAGGUGUUCUUCAAGUAGUCCACUUUGGCGGCGAUCUUGUCCUCACUGAGAAACGCGACAGCCUGCAGCGCUUGCCUGAACAUCCCAGAGCCACGCGGCACACCUAAUCUGUCAGCACAUGCCACCAUCGCACGGACGUGCUCCGGGUUGGUGGCCAGCAUCCUCGACACAGCGACACACGGAUUGACAAUAUCGCAGUCACCUAACCCGCAGCACUCUCGCAGGAACACGACAUUGGGCUUGAUCACCUUGCCGAGGUCCGACGAGAGUAGGCAGGAGGAGCGCUGGAGCGCCCGGAGGAAGUUGUCGAAGGAGCCGAAGAGGGGCAGGUAGUACUGCAUCUUGGAGACGAUGUGUCUGGAGCGGAAGCAUUGGGGGCCGAGGGAGACGAGGCGGGCGAUCUCAAGACGCGAGAGACCUAUGCCACUGAGCCCGACGGCCUUAGGGGCCAGGGUUCGGUCCACUUUGGCGCAAAGUAGCCGCGGGUCUUUGGCGACGACGGCUGCGGCGUCGGUGCCGGAUAGGCCGAGGCCAGAGAGGAAGACGAGGACGGCGUCGGGGUUGGCGAGGGACUUGAGGUGGGAGAGCUUCUUGGAGGCCUUGAGGGCUUGGGGCCGGGUGAGGCCGCAGGUGCCGACGAGGUAGUCCGUAGUCCUCGACGGUGAAGCUACUAGGGUUCGGAGAAAUGGGGUCUGCGGCAGUGGAGAGGAUGAGAUGGCUGAGGACGGAGCUUCGGAGGCGGAGCAUGGCGGCGACGGCGGACGGAGCAGAGCAGAGGUAUCUCCUCCGAUGGGUUGCAACAGGCAGCGUGUCUGUGGUUGGUGGUGGUGUGAAUGGGCUGCAAUCCUUCCGUUUGUCGUGUGUAUGUGGGCUCUAUUCGGCCGGAGUUUUGGUAGGCCCACAUAAAAUAUUUCUUACAUCUCAGAAAAAAAAACAUAUGAUGUUUCUUGGGCUUUUGGUCGUUGGUUGAAUAUUUCGAAAUCUCUGGUUAAACCAUCCCACUAAACUGCUACUCCUAGCCGCGGACAUGACAAAGAUAAAAUGUGUCCAGGAAUAAGGAGAAAGGAGAUGUUGGUGUCUUAUUAUGCCGUGACGGAGAUGGACGUUAUCGGGAGGACUCGACGGUCAUCUUCAGUGGCGACCCUGACCCUUGGGCUCUCGAGGUUGUGGCCUGCAUAGAAGCUUUCGCAUUGGCAGAAGCAGUAACGGAGCUAGAGCUAGACGGAUUAUGCUGGGGGCCAAUGACAAAAUACGAGUGUUUGGAGUCAAGAUGGGAAUGUGUUGGCAUGGACCUGGACCCAUGGCCGCAAGGCCAAUUUCAGGGGCCACGGGUCGACCCAUUCUGACAAAGUCAUGUGGCCUCGCUGGCCCAUUGGGUGCCCAGGACUGACCCGAAAUUCAGCUAGAAUUCCACAGCUUUUUAGCUAUGCAUGAAUACACUACUUUUGCAGACUACUUCCACAACAUUUAAGGCAUGUCCAGAACAGUUAAGAUACACACCAUGAUAGAGUAAAUUGCAUAAAACCACCACUUUGAGGACUAGUUUGCGAAAAACACUAGGAUACAGAAUCGUUGGAGAAAGCACCACGUCUAGCGUAAUUGUUUUGUAAAAAACCACUGAUCGGUGGAUCGGGCCGUGUUAAGUGAGUUUAUGAUAGGUCGGACCCGUUUUUCGACUACGUGGCACUCCAGGCUGUCCCGACAGCCGGCAGACGGCGUUAGACGACGCCGUUAGGGCUCGUCUUUAGUCAUCCACUCCCGCAUCCGUCUCUUUUCCCCAUUCUUCUUCCCCCUCCUCCUCACUCCCGCCACCGUCACCCUCCCCCAUUCUUCUUCCCCCUCUCCCUCACCCCUCGCUCCCGUCGCCCCUCGCACUGCAGAGAUGCGUAGUCCGACAAAAGGUGGAGAUGCUGGUGGCGGCGCUCCGCCCGGCAGCGCCGCACGCAUCGUACGUAGUGGAUGAGGACCCGCAGUGGAUCCAAGCGAGCUUUGCGGUAGCUCGAACCCUAGCAAGCCGACGGAGGAAGAGGAGGAGGAGAAGGACCGCAAUAUUCGACGAAAUACAGGGCGGCCAGAGCAUUCGCCGCGGCGGUGAGGGCCAAUCCGACGGGAAGCCAGCACAUCGCGUCAUCCUUCGGCGGUGUAUAGUGAGAUCCACAUUUCUUUGCUCUUCCCUUCCCGUUCUCCAUUCAAUUGCGUUGCCAGGGUACUCCUAGGGUUAGGGUUCAUAUUGUUCUAUCCUAUCAGAUGCAGUACAAGUGUUAGAUGUUGUGAUUUUGUUGUCAUGUGCCCUAGGACAUUAUUUAGAUUAGCUCAGAUUAUGUGCUUUGUUUGUCCUGUGCCUUAGGGUUGACAUUUUUAGAUUAGUUCUGAUGCUGUGCUUUGUUUGUCCUAUGCCCUAGGGUUGACAUUUGGUUAAUUUAGUUAUCCUAUUAUCUACUUUAUAAGUGACAAAGCAUUUAAACUAUGUAUUUUAUUAGUGUUAUUAGUGUUAUUCAGUUUUGGUUAUUAGUGUUAUUAGUGUUAUCCUGUUAUCUGCUUUAUUUGUUUGUCCUGUCCUGUGCACUAAUAUGAGUUGUUUCAUUAGUGUUAUUCAGUUUUAAUUAAGCACUCAUACUGCUAUGUAUUUUAUAUUAUUUGCAGUCUGGAUGAUGAGGUUUGAGAAUUGAGGAUGCAUUUCCAUGACAGAGACAACAUUGAGAGAUCUAUGAUGGUGUCAGACAUAACAUUUUACAACCUAGUAGCACUGAUAGAAACAGAAGGUUAUGGAUUUAAAGAUUACAUGUACUAUGUCAGGGAUCCUGGGCUAGGGAUAGAAGGAAUGGAAGAAAUAGAUGAUGAUGACAAGCUUGAGGAAAUUCUAGAUAACAUAGCAGUGCAAAAUCAAAAGAUAUUGAAUGUGACAGUUGUUAGGGCCAGUUCUCCCAAUGCUGCAAGUAUAAACACCAGCUCCAAUGUUAUUGAGCAGGAAAUCCCUCUAGAAGAAAUUGGAGAGCCCAAACUGUAUCAGAUAGAUAAAGAAGGAGUGUUGUUCAGUGCACCAAAUGUGCAUGUAGCAGCAGCAAGUUCAAAAGCAACAGAAGUGGAGCCAAUGCCCAUACAGUUUCAAACACAACAUAACACCAAUUUGGAGGAGCAACUUACUUUAGGUUAUGUACAAGUGGAAUAAAAUCAUGUAUACAAUUCAGAGGAGCAAAUGGAAAUUGAAAAGGUUAUGGAGGAGACAAGGAGGAAGGAAAUUGAAAUAUUUAGGAAGAAUAGGAAAAAUAAAGAGAAGGACACUUCUGUGAAGAGAAAAUCUGUAGUGAUGGAUAAUGAGGAGGACAGUGAUGAUGAUAAUUUGGAAGAAUAUGGUGAUAUCCUUGCUAGGCUUGAUGAGAUGAAAAGACAGAGGGAAGAUCCACUCCUUCAUUUUGAAGGGGACACAUAUGUUGAGGAAAUGUAUGAGAUAGAGGAGGAGGAGGAUGCACUAUAUGAGCCUGAAAGAAGAAGAUGAUGCAGAGGAGGAAGAGAGUACUCUGGAGGAAGAGGAGCAGGUAGGGCAAGAUGGACAGAAGAAGAAAAAGGAGAAGAAACACAGAAAAGUCCCAACAAGCAGAUCACAUGCAAGUGUAGAGGAGUUGUUUGAGGAGGACUGGAUACCAUCUUCUGAUGAAGACAACAAACCAAUGGACUUGGGUGUGGAAGAUGAUGAUGGUGCAGAGGCAUUGACAUAUGUUUUGCCCAAUGGCAGGAAAAACAGAGCUAAGAAGAUGAAGAAAAGGUUAUGGUAUGCUGAGAAGAGAGCUCACCGAGCUGAGCAACUUGUGAAGCAUCUUUGCUUCAUGAUGUGUACCAGUUCAGGAAUGCACUUCAAACAAUGCACAUUGCACAGAACAGGAACUAUGAGUACCAUAGAAAUUGCAGUGACAUGGUUAUAGCACAAUGCAUAGAUGAGACAUGCCCUUUUUAUGUAGCAUCUUCUCAGAUUGCAAAUGAGAAGACAUUUACCAUAAGGAAGCAGUAUGUGGUGCACACUUGCCCUUCUAUGUCAGAGAACACAAAAAUUACUGCUAAGUGGGUUGCAAAAUUUUGUGAGGAAGCAAUCAGAAAUGACCCAUGCACAACAAUCACUACUAUAGUUAACACUGCAACGAGCAAGUAUGGAGUGGAAAUAUCAACCCACAUGGCAUACAGGGCUAAGAAGACAGCAAAGAAUGUUGUGCUAGGAGAUCAGAAGGCCCAAUACACCAGGAUUAGGGAUUAUUUGCAGGUUGUGCUAGAUACUAAUCCAGGUUCAAGGUGUAUAGUGACAACAAGACAUCUGAGGGAGCAUACAAGCAAAAACCCUAGGUUUCAUGCAUUAUUCUUUUGCCUAAAUGGAUGCAAAGAAGGGUUUCUCAGUGGAUGCAGACCAUUCAUAGGUAAUUCCUUGGUGUAGGUCUAAUGUGUGUUUGCCUAAUGUGUGUUUUCAACUAGUUCCUGCUGACCUGUUAACUUGUUAUAGGUCUGGAUGGAUGCUUCAUAAAGCUCACUACUGGUCAACAGAUCCUUGCUGCUACUGGAAGAGACGGGAACAAUAACAUUUUUCCCAUUGCUUUUGGAAUUGUAGACAAGGAGGACACAAAUUCCUGGACAUGGUUUCUAUACCAGCUGAAGGUAGCAUUAGGUGGGGAAUCUGGCCAGUUUGGACAGUACACAAUCAUUUCAAAUAGGCAGAAGGUAAUGAAAUCCACUUGUGCUAGUUUUCAUUUAGCCCUUUCUAGUAGUUACUUACAUUUAGUUGUAGCUACUUUCUGUACACAAUCAUUUAGUUCUUUAUAGUAGUUAAUUUCAUAUAGAUGUAGUCACUAAGUUAGUCACUAAGCUUUACUUAAAUUUAGACAAGGCCUGCUGAAAGCCAUAAACAUAGUCUUUUCCAAUUGUCCACAAAGGUUUUGCCUCAGACACAUUUACCAGAACUUUCAAAAUGCUGGGUUUAGAGGGCCAGAAUUAAAGAAAUACAUGAAUGAAGCAAGUUACUCAUACACUGAACAUGGUUAUAAUAUUGCAAUGGAUGAGUUGAAGAGAGAGUGUGAGGCAGCAUGGGCUUGGCUUAGUAAAAUCCCAAAGCACACUUGGGCCAGACAUGCCAUGGACACAAAUUGCAAAACAGAUUUAGUAGUUAACAACUUAAGUGAGGUUUUCAACAAGUGGGUUCUAGAUGUCAGGGCUACGCCAAUAAGGGCCAUGGUUGAUGGAAUUAGAACAAAGUUAAUGGUCAAGUAUAAUACAAAUAGAACCAAGACUCAGACUGUCAGAUGGGAGAUUUGUCCAACAUAUGCACAGAAAUUGGAGGAAGCAAAGAAGUGGUCUAGAAACUGCCAAUCAUUGAUGGUUGGCCCCAACUUUUACCAAGUUACUAGUGGGGAGAGAACAUAUGCUGUCAACCUAGCACAUAGGACUUGUGGGUGUAAGAAGUGGGAUAUGACAACAGUUCCUUGCAAUCAUGCUGUUUCUGCUAUACACAAGGCUAAGCUUUAGCCAGAGGACUUUGUUGAUGAUUUCUUCAAAAAACCUAUGUACCUGGCAGCUUACAGUCCUAUAAUAUAUCCUGUACCUGGCCCUGACAUGUGGCCAAGGACAGAAAGUUUGGACAUUGAGGCUCCUGUUUUCAAAGAACACAAGGGCAGAGCACAGACUAAGAGGAGAAAGGGCCAAUUUGAGAAGCCAGCUCCCAAAGACACUUCAAGGAUGACCUCAAUUACCUGCCCCAAUUGUAAUAAGGUGGGCCAUAGGUACACCAAUUGCCAUGAUGCUCUCAAGCCUGCACUUGCUAUGAGAAAGAACAAACAUCAGGUAACCACUCUACUAUGAGAAAGACUAAAUUUGUUGUUACUUUGUUACUUACUAAUAUUAAACUACUUGUUUCAUUGCAGCCAAGCACCAGCUCUUACCCACCUGAUAGUAGAAGUACACCAGCACCGGCAAGGACUGCAACCUCUGCUGCUGCCACUUCUGGUGGAUCAUCAAGGAGGGCAACAUCUGCUGCCAGUCCAGCUCCAGCAAGGAGGGCAACAUCUGCUGCUGCUCCACCUAGGAGGCAGCCAGCUGCUCCAGCUGCUCCCAAGGGUAAGGCAGCAGCCAGUAAAUCUUCAUCAUCUGCUCCCAAGAGUAAGGCACCAGCUGCUCCCAAGGGUAAGGCACCAGCAACCAGAUUUUCAUCAGCUGCUGCAAAGGGACCAAGGUUAGCUUUCAUGCCUCCAAGACCAAGUGAUGGUUCCCAGAGAGUCAGGAAGCCCAGCAACAGAAUGAAGGAUUACUUGACUGCCACUGGUGCAGAAUGGUGAUGAUGGUGAUUUGGUUGUGUUGAUGCUGUAUCAAACUAUGGCAUUUUGGUUGUGUUGUGAAACUAUGUUGUGUUGGUACUAUUCUGCUACUCCAGUUAUGAUCCUUCUGUCAAACUUAGGAAUUCUAGUAGUCCUGUGAUGAUCAACUGUUAUGAUCAUUUUGUGUCAAAAACUAUGGCAUUCUAGUAGUACUGUGAUACUCUUGUGAUGAUGGUGAUGGUGUACUCUUCAUGCUACUAUACUCUUGAUGAUGUCAUACUCUUGAUGUUGUGAUAGUCAUGAUGUUGUGAUAGUCAUGAUACUGUGAUACUCUUGAUGCCUCGGCGUCGACAAAAAGCCAAAAAAACAUCACUUGACCCUACUUGAUGCCUCAACGUCGACAAAAAGCCAAAAACCCAAACUUGACCCUAAUUGAUGCCUCGGCGUCGACAAAAGGCAAAAAGCAUCACUUGACCCUACUUGAUGCCUCGGCGUCGACAAAAAGCCAAAAACCCAAACUUGACCCUAAUUGAUGCCUCGGCGUCGACAAAAAGCCAAAAGCAUCACUUGACCCUACUUGAUGCCUCAGCGUCNNNNNNNNNNNNNNNNNNNNNNNNNNNNNNNNNNNNNNNNNNNNNNNNNNNNNNNNNNNNNNNNNNNNNNNNNNNNNNNNNNNNNNNNNNNNNNNNNNNNNNNNNNNNNNNNNNNNNNNNNNNNNNNNNNNNNNNNNNNNNNNNNNNNNNNNNNNNNNNNNNNNNNNNNNNNNNNNNNNNNNNNNNNNNNNNNNNNNNNNNNNNNNNNNNNNNNNNNNNNNNNNNNNNNNNNNNNNNNNNNNNNNNNNNNNNNNNNNNNNNNNNNNNNNNNNNNNNNNNNNNNNNNNNNNNNNNNNNNNNNGAUGCCUCGACGUCGAUAAAAAGCCAAAAACCAUCACUUGACCCUACUUGAUGCCUCAGCAUCGACAAAAAGCCAAAAACCCAAACUUGACCCUAAUUGAUGCGUCAGGGUGGACAAAAAGCCAAAAGCAUCACUUGACCCUACUUGAUGCCUCUACGUCGACAAAAAGCCAAAAUCAUCAAUUGCAAACAUCUUACUUAAGAUAACAUUAACCAGCUCUAAAUACCAACACAUUCAACACUAGUUCAAAUCCAUACAUAACCAUAGCUUGACAUUCACCACUAGUUCAAAUACCACCACAUUCAGCACUAGUUCAAAUGCAAACAUCUUAAUUAAGAUUACAUAUCCAUAGUUCAGGAGUACUCAUAAUUAAUAGAAUUUAAACUACUAUCAUUACAGCAAAUGCCAAACCACACCCUGCAAAAGGUCAGCAAACGCCAAAUGAUAUUGCCCAUUCUUUCUCUUGCACUUCUUAUCCAUUUAUGAUGGCCUUGAUCCCAUCCAGCUUCACAUUGUUCUCUUCAACUGUCUUCUUGAGCUCAUCAAUGUGGAUCUGCAAAUUGUUCCUCUCUUCAGCUAGCUUCAACUUCACGUUCCUAAUGACAGUAGCCUGAGCAGCUGCUAUGUUCUUCACAGUGUCAUACUUCUCCUGCAACUUCGUGGUUUCAGCAUCUUUCCUUUGUAUCACUGCCCUCUGCUCCUGGGCAUCCAUAAGUGCAUUGACAUCUUCAACCAACUUCUCAUAGGCUGCCUGGAGUUUCUUCUUCUCUUGUGUCAGGUCAUGAACAACAAAUGAAUGCAUCAGACAUUCCUCAGUCCUGUCUAUCUUAGUCUGUUCAUACAUAGACCAUAAUUUGGACAGUGCAUUCUCAAGGGUAUUGGGCCAAGAUGGAUCAAUCCACUCUACUAGUCCACAGUUUUUACCUUCCUGAAAAAACAAUAUUAACAUAAAUAAUUACAUAACAGUGACUUGCUUACAAUUAUAGGCUAGAUUACUUUAUAAUAAAGAGUACUCUUAUAAUAAACAAUGCUCGUGUGCUAACGCAUGAAUCUUCUGUCCUAAAAUAAGCUAACAUGACAGAGUUAACAAAAUGACCUAACUAAACAAUAUUGCCAGAUCCAGACUAAAACAAUGCUGGUGUGCUAACCCAUGCAUCUUCUCUGUUAGAAUAAGCUAACCUGGCAAAGUUAACAAAAUGACCUAACUAAACAAUGUUGACAGAACCAGACUAAACAAUGCUGGCAGAGUAAAUAAUUAAUGAAUCCACUUCACAAUAUAAUACAAUGCCUGCUGGAGUACCACAUUACAUGUCCAUAGCAAACAAAUGACAGAUCUAUUAAGUUAAUCAACAACUUCCCCAAAUAUACACGCCUGCCAGUGCAAACAAAUGACAUAUAUGUCAUAGUUAAGUUGGAACCAUACCUUCUCUGCACAAAAAAGAAACCUCCUACCAGUGUGAAUCCCUUCGAAGGCAACACGCCUUUCUGCUGCCUUCCCCGUGUCCAUGGCACAAAACAUACAUAUCUGUCUCAGGGCCCUCGAAAUCUGAGUCUUCGGUGCUAGCAGGAACCUAGAGUGCAAAGGAAUGACAAAGAUUUGGUCCAUUGUUUGAAAAGAAGCCCAUUCAAGAAAUACCCAAAUAUCAAACCCUAAUCCUAACUUCGAGAACUGACCUUAAUGGUGCCGUUGUCGGAAGCUGAGCUCAUGUACUCCCUGGUGUGCUCGCUGCUAUCUGACCCAUCACUCCACGACACCAUGGCGCUGCGGCGGCGGCGACGGAUGCGGCGACCAAGAACAGAGUGAGAGCGAGAAGAGAGCGAGCGAGUAGAGUGGAGAAGGAGUAACGGUUCGCGCUUUUGACUGCUAGGACCGAACGGCGACCGUCUAACGCCGUCUGCCGGCUGUCGGGACGGCCUGGAGUGCCGCGUAGGUGAAAAACGGGCCCGACCUGUCAUAAACUCACUUAACACGGCCUGAUCCGCCGAUCAGUGGUUUUUGCAAAACAAUUACACUAGACAUGGUGCUUUCUGCAACAAUUAUGUAUCCUAGUGUUUUUCGCAAACCUAGUCCUCAAAGUGGUGGUUUUAUGCAAUUUACUCCACCAUGAUGCAACCAUCCUAGAUACAUAAGGCAGGACCAGAGCAUUAUGAAGAUGUCGGAUUUAGUAGCAGAAAUGCACUAUUGCAAACUCGGAUCAACUUCUAUACGCUAAGAAAAAUCAGAUCAACUUAUUUUACAAUACGGUUCUUCCAUGGAACAAAAUUAGCACUCCAAAUUGGAAGGCUGUGGGGGCAAGUUUCACCUGUGCUUGGCAGCGGCUUGAGGAAGGGUAAGCUAGAAAAAUGCACUACUGGACCGAUUCCUAUACGAGGCCGAUCCAACAGACCCAAUGUCUUGGACUCGAGAGUUUGCCGUGUGCUGUACUGAAACCGUGCAUGAAGUAUUUAUACUGACAGUGCACGCCAGGGACGUAAGCUAGAAAAAAAAAGCUUGAUGGGGUCAUAUCCAUGGCAAUGGGGUCAUCUUCUAUAAAUCAACAUUGAUUACUAUUAAGAUAAUGAAGGAUUUAGUAAUUUUAUUGGGGUCAAUUGAUCCCAAUGCCUACAUGUCAGCUCCGUCCCUGGUGCAUGCAGAGUUUGGCCUCUCGCAUGGAGACCAAACUCUGCAUCACUCAUGGACAGAUCAAACUCUGCAUCACUCAUGGACCCGACCAGUAACCAUCUUGAGUUUGGAGGGGCCAAAAGCUAAAAAAGUUUUUAUGUAAGUCCUCCUAAUUUUUUUCCUUCACAAUUUGGUUCAAAGCUGGGGGAGGGGGAGGGGGGGGGGGCACUGCCCCCCAACACAACACAUGGCUCCGCCAUUGGGCAGAUUUAAAAAAAAAGGCAAACGAUUUGCCAUUUCAUUGAUUAAGAAGGAAGUUUCAAACAAAUGCCUCAAAGCAGCUAAAAGGAAAAACAAUAAGGGGUCUACUCUCGCGGCAUUACAACACUCAUGUGCUUCGCACCAGCCAUCGCCCAAAGAGACACCUUCAGUUUGAUCUUACCGAUAAGAACCGUGGAAGGGAUGACCGUGUUUCUGAAGACCCUGGCAUUACGCCCCGUCCAUACUCCCAUGAGAUAAGUAUCAUCAGGGAGGCGAGCGCCUUAGGGGAUCCAAGGCGAAUCUGAAGGUUGUUGUUCCACCAUGCUCUCACCGAAGUUACUGUUUGCCAAGCCGCCGUAGAGAUGUGAUGCAUUCCAAGCCACAGAAGAAUAUGAUUCCAAAUGCGGGUGGUGUAGCGGCAUUGGAAAAGGAGAUGGGCGGCCGACUCUUGGCAUUGCUUACAAAGAGGACAGAGACCACAGUUUGGCCAACCGCGACGUAUCAGUCGAUCCGAUAUCCAAAUCCUAUUUUGAAGGACAAGCCACACAAAGAACUUGCACNNNNNNNNNNNNNNNNNNNNNNNNNNNNNNNNNNNNNNNNNNNNNNNNNNNNNNNNNNNNNNNNNNNNNNNNNNNNNNNNNNNNNNNNNNNNNNNNNNNNNNNNNNNNNNNNNNNNNNNNNNNNNNNNNNNNNNNNNNNNNNNNNNNNNNNNNNNNNNNNNNNNNNNNNNNNNNNNNNNNNNNNNNNNNNNNNNNNNNNNNNNNNNNNNNNNNNNNNNNNNNNNNNNNNNNNNNNNNNNNNNNNNNNNNNNNNNNNNNNNNNNNNNNNNNNNNNNNNNNNNAAGUGAGUCCCUCGAACUGAGACCUGUAGGCUGAGGAAGUAGAGUACACCCAUCCUUGGUGAACUUUCAAACGAUGGAAUCUUCUAUGUCAUCCAUCAAAGAGGUCAUGGAAAUCUUCUCCCAGAGGUUAGCAAACUGCUGAACAUGUGCGAGCGACAAGCCAUUGGAGGUGUCAAUAAGAGAAAUCCAGUUGUUGGCAAGGGCUUGCUGGACGGAGGAAUUCUUGUUGCGUGAAAUGGCAAAGAUGCUCGGUGCUAAGUCACGGGGGCACAAACCGUUUAACCAUGGCGAGUUCGAGAAUCUUGUUGUGCGCCCAUUUCCCACAGUAACCGUUGUAGCAACAGCAAAGAAGAUACGGUCGUCUCCAGUGCAUGGAGAUCCCAAGCAUAUCCAAGGCUUGCUUUUGUCCACCCACUCAAACCAAAGCCAUCGAAGAUGGAGGGCCUUAGCGAAUUUGUCCAGGUUGAGCACACCUAGGCCACCAAAUUGUUUAGGCUUGCAGAUGAAAUCCCAGUUAAUCUUGCAUUUUCACUUUGUCUAUACCCGCCCAAAGCUAUGCACGCCGAAGGCUGUCAAUAGCAUUCAGCACCUCCACGGGGAUGUCGAGAGGCGUGAGGUGAUAAAUCGUGAUGGCCGUGAGGACCGCUUUGACAAGAACCAUACGCCGAGCACUGGCAAUGUGUCUUCCCUACCAAGGGGGAGCUUGCCAACAACCUUGUCAAUGAGGUGUUGGAAGUGAAUAUUUUUGAGAUGCUUGAACGAUAGCGGAAGACCAAGGUAUCACAUUGGGAAAGCAGAGCGCACCGCCGGGAAGGCUUGUAGAAUGUCGUCCAGAUUUAUGUUGUCACAUCAGAUGGGAGCCACCAUACUUUUAGCACAGUUAGUAACCAGACCAGUCACUUCUCCGAAAGCGGUCAAGGAGGAAGCAGGAAAAUGGACGUCCUCCCUCAUGGGUCUAACAAAAAUGGCAGCAUCGUCUGCGUAUAAAGACGUCCUGAUGGUCGGCGCUCUUCCACCUAUAGGGUGGAGAUGCCCCUGUGAGGUGGCCUUGUUGAGAAGGUGAUGCAGAGGCUCGAUAGCCAGGACAAAGAGGAGCGGGGAUAGCGGAUCCCCCUUCCAGAGGCCACAACCGUGCUUCAUUGGGUCACCCACCACCCCAUUGAUCAAAACCCUCGAGGUGGCCGUGGAGAGGAGUGCUGAAAUCCAAUCUUGAAAUCUGGCCGGGAACCCGAGGUGUCUCAACAGGUCCAUAAGGAAGUCCCAUCUCACUGAGUCGAAAGACUUCUUGAUGUCAAGUUUGAACAGCAAGGUCGGUGUACCAUUUCUGUGGAGCUUCCUUGCCAAGUUUCUGACAUACAUGAAGUUGUCGUGGAUACUUAUUUUCUUUAUGAAUGCGCUUUGGGCAGGGGAUACAAGAUUGUUCAUAUGAUGAGCUAGGCAUGUAGCCCACACCUUGGUGAUGAUGUUCGCAAUGGCGUGGAUGAGGCUAAUUGGACGAAAGUCUGAGAUGCUCUCUGCCCCCUCUUUCUUAGGUAUGAAAGCAAUGUUGGCCGAGUUGAGCCAAUGAAGAUUGAACGUGUGCAAGUUUGGAAAGUGUCUCAUAGCAGUCAUGAUGUCAUCCUUGAUGAUCUCCCAACAUUCCUUGAAGAAGGCUCCAAAGAAGCCACCGGGGCCCGGGGCUUUAUCAUGGGGUAGAUAAAAAAUCGCCUUCCUGACCUCCUCCUUCAUGAAGGCCGGCCCAAGCACGGAAAGGUCGCCAGCAAGCACCGGAAUGUUAUUCUAGUUGAUGCCCUUGCAGCGUGGCGGGCCACGCUUCAUGACCUCGGCAAAGUGGUUUUGGAUGAUGGACUUUUUGUGAUCAUGAUCAACUACCCAGCCGUUGUUGUGCUUGAGCAGGUUGAUGAAGUUCUUCCUUCUUCUGUGGUUGACUUGCAAGUGAAAGAAGCGGGUGUUUGCAUCACCUUCUUUGAGAUUGGUGAUUCUCGAAUUUUGCCUCUUUCGAGCACGUUCCAUGACGGCCAGGGCGACAACCUUCCUCUUGAGCCUCGUACGCACAGAAUGGUGGUUGAUGAUAUCAAGAAUGGAACCCGAGGAAUUAUAUAGUGACAUGGUCAGCGAGAUUGAAUGGCGAUACAAGUGAGAACGGUGUUUUGGCUCCUAGGUGUAUAUGCACCCAUUAUCGAAAUACAUAUUUCAAAAAAUUGAAAAAUUCGGAACAAAAAUCCCACGUGUAUAUCCAGACAUUUUAUGUGCGUGCACAAGGUUUCCGUGAAAAACGACAUUUUGUGGCUUGUGUAAAAAAAGAUAAAGAAAUGCCUCAUGAAUAGUUAGAAUGAAGCAUCAGAAAUUGUCUUUUUUACACAAGCCACAAGAAACAUCGUUUUUCACCGAAACCUUGUGCACGCACAUAAAAUAUCCGGAUAUACACGUGGGAUUUUUGUUCCGAAUUUUUUAACUUUUCGAAAUGUGUAUUUCGAUAAUGGGUGCAUAUGCACCUAGGAGCCAAAGGCAAUUACCGGAUACAAGUCCUUUACGACCUGCACCUUUAUUCAUGAGCUGCGUAAUUUAAACUAUAAAGCCAUGAUUAUCAAAUUUUGCCACGAUUAUCUUCGCUGCUCGUGUUUUUAUCAUUGCACCACAUAUUCUAUGUACAUAGAGAUUCAAGUUAGCCUCAAUGGAGUGGUUAACUGACUGCCUGACAGUUUCGGACUGUCUUCAUUUUUCAAAGUACUCUCAAAGGUUUUUCUUCAUAUCACACCAUAUAAGGCCAGCAGCUGUUCAUGUGCAGCUCUCCAAGGUUUUUCUUCAUAUCACAAAUGAGAGACAGAAUGGAUACUAAGUGUGCAACAAUAUCCACAAAUAAAACUCUAGUUCUCACAACAGAAACUCAAAAGUUGAUGCACAAAAAAUGUCAUCGGACGAGUACUCUCAAAAUGAGGAACAAAAAUAAAUUAGCAUUGCAUAGAAACAAUUUUGAUAUUAAGUGUGCAACAAUAUCCACAAAUAAAACUCUAGUUCUCACAACAGAAACUCAAAAGUUGAUGCACAAAAAAUGCCAUCGGACGAGUACUCUCAAAAUGAGGAACAAAAAUAAAUUAGCAUUGCAUAGAAACAAUUUUGCGGGGCAUGAUGGUUGUUGCAGCUUGCGAGCAUAUAUCCGCAAAUAAAGCUAAACCGCUGAUGAGAAGCUACUGGGCAAGUAAUGUUUGUGAGCGCGAUGAAGGAAUCUCACACACACGUCUACUAUUUUGUUAGGACAAGGAAUUUUGUUCUGAGAAAACCAAACACUGCAGAGAAGCCAUCAUGGCUAGAUCAACAUCAUAUAAAGAAAAUAUAAAGGAAUACCUAAAAUAAAUUUGCUUCAAUAUCCCAGCUUAGCUUACAGAAGGCGCAACAUAUGUAGCAUGUUUCCCAAGAAUCCCAUGAAGGCACAAAAGAACUUUUCUCUUAAACUCCAGUAAUCACUGAUCUAUUUUAAGAGAAGAAAGUGAUAAGAAAGUGAUUUUUCAACAGAAUUAUUUAAGCUCAGUCCCGAUGCUCUGAAAACAUAAGAACUCAUGUCAUAAAUAUGCUGGUGUGGUAAAGGAAAUAUUGAUAAAAUACCUCUGGCUCUGUCUCUGUCUCUGAAGAGUAGCUGAAGCAUAUGAAAAAAUGGCUGAUAUUGCACCUUACUGUGGCCCUAAGUCACAAUUAAGUUUUCAAAGCCAAAGCAUGAGAAAACAGCAGACCAAAAAAUCUAGCUUGCAAAUUUAAAAUAUGGUUUGACAAAAGGCAUAUUACUUAUUUCAUGAUAUCAAACAACUUUCUCUUGAGUUAAGGCAGAUAACUUUUAAGCUAUGCCACUAAAGAAUAGGGACACCUAACAGAAUAUAGUCAGCUUCUGAUGUUCAUCCAUAUAUGAAUGUUUGCAACAGAACCCUGAACAUGACUCUGCAGCAGAUACAGAUGUCCCUGGAUAGUAUCUGGCUGCCACAAAUUCGAAGAAAAGGCUGAUUAUUCAUAUCCUCGCCGAUAAAGAUACAUGUAGUAUAAUAUUCUUCAGCGGCAGGCUUCCUACUGUGAUGUGCAUUCUACUUCUCCACUGAUUUUUCCUUUUUUGUAUGGGCAAACCUAGCCCUGUUUCACUGAACCAUGCAACUAAAAACACCAAACCGGAGUUUACAAUCAAAGACAGAAGAUUGCAUUAUGGCACUUGAGCAGAAACCAAUACAAUUAAUCAGGCAUUGGUGCGCCAGUGUUCUAUUCACGAGACCAUUUAUAGAAGCCAACAAAAUUAUGCAAGACAAAGUAUGUGGAGGCACAUGGAUAUUUUCCAUCUUCUGUAAGUAAAUGAGAUGUCGACAAACAAUCUAGGUGCUUCACAGUACUAAACUGCUAAUGGAUGACUGACUGAAUGUAGGUCUGAAAUAAAAAGCUGAGUACCCCAAAAAUGGAGCGAUAAAGGAAUUAGCAUUGCAUAGAAACAAUUUGUGGGACACGAUGGUUGCUGCAGCUCACAAGCAUAUAUAACUGCAAACAAAGCUAAGCUGCUAAGAAGCUUGUGGGCAACUAAUGUAUGUGAAACCGACAAAGGGAACAGAGGAGCUAUCAUGGCUGUAUCAAUAUCAUGUUAAGAAAGUGUAAUGGAAUACCUAGAGAAUAAUUACGCCCAGCUUAGCUUACAUAAGGCACCACAUAUGUUGCAUGUUUCCCUUGAACCCCGUGAAGGGCUUUGCCACAUCAUCCGGAAACAAUAAAAGGAAUGUUUCUCUUGAACUUCAGUAACCACCAAUGUAUUUAGGAUAAUAAGAAAGUGUUUUUUCAACAGAAUUAGUUAAGCCCAGACAGAGUGCUCUGAAACCAUAAGAACUCAUGCCAUACAGACGCGGGUGUGGUAAAGGAAAUUAUUGAUAAAAUAGAGAUUGCACCUUCUAUUAAUUAUGGCCCUAAGUCCUGAUGAAAAAUGAAAAGACAGAGCCUGAGAAACAAAAAUCCAGUUUGCAAAUUGCAAAUUUAGAAUAUGGUUUGACAAAAAGCAUGUUGCUUAUUUCAUGAUAUCGAACAACUUUGAUUUGAGUCAUACAAGGCAGAUAGUUUUGAACUUGGCAAAAUGAUUUUCUGAAUCUACAGUUCAUCGACAUUUUUGUUGCGAAAAGAUAGAUGCAGUUUUGUGAACAGCUGUAAUAUCACAUAUGCAAGCACUAAAUGGUAGACCCUGACAAGACCAGUUCAUGCCAUCUUCACUGGCUUAGUUCCACAAUUAAUCACAGAUGUUAAUGGUUUAGACUAAUCUACUGGUCAUGCUUUAGCAGGUUACAUUAUCAAAUUUGGAAGAAGAAAACCCAGCGAAAGUAAGGCCAUCUACAGCCUACAGGACUUGGGAACAAAGAUAAUCCAUCAUUAAGAUUUAAGAAUAAGGUGACAGAAACCAACAUGCAUAAUAAGCAUACAAAAAAUCAUAAUCUAAUGAUUGAAGACUGAACUGCCAUUUUAGAGAGGAUAACAAGCGUCUGUUUUGGCGAACAACACAGGAAGGGGACUAACCAGUUUACUGCACAGAAUGUAAACUUUGCUGUGCCAUACAGAGUUACACAUUUUAACAGCAGGAUCCUGGUUCAAUGAAAUAUGAACCUACUGGGUACUUCUCCUCGGCAAGCAGCCGCAUAGUCUUCANNNNNNNNNNNNNNNNNNNNNNNNNNNNNNNNNNNNNNNNNNNNNNNNNNNNNNNNNNNNNNNNNNNNNNNNNNNNNNNNNNNNNNNNNNNNNNNNNNNNNNNNNNNNNNNNNNNNNNNNNNNNNNNNNNNNNNNNNNNNNNNNNCAAGGUGCGGCGCAACUUCAAUGUGAGGGCGCACGAACUUGUCCACAAAAACAUUCUCGGUCAAAUCGACUGCAGAGAUGUAGCUCCGAUCGCGAUCUAGCAACCCAUUUGCCUUGACAAACUUUAGAACGUAGUGCCGGGGCCUGAGCCGGCCCUCCAGGCUGUAAGUGAGCAUUAUCGGGCGAUGAGCAAUGAGCGUGGGUUCCAACCCCACCUCAGACACCAGGAACUCUGACUUGCUCUGCAGCAUGUCCUUUGACCUCCACAGCAGCAGCGGAGCUUUAGACACAGCAAUGCUCGCUUCGGCAUCAGACCACCUGAGCGUAUUCUUCAAGUAGUCCACUUUGCCGGCAAUCUUCUCCUCGUUGAGAAACGCGACAGCCCGUAGCGCUUGCCUGAACAUCCCAGCGCCACGAGGUACACCUAAUCUUUCAGCACAUGCCACCAUUGCGCGGACGCGUUCCGGGUUGGUGGUCAGCAUCCUCGGCACAGCGAUACACAGCUUGGCAAUAUCACAAGCACCUAGCCCGCACUCCCUCAGGAAGGCAACAUUGGGCUUGACCAACUUAUCAAGGUCCGACGACAGAAGGCGGGAUGAGCGCUUGAGCAGCCGGAGGAAGCUGUGGAAGGAGCCGAAGAGGGGCAGGAAGUAGUGCAGCCUGGAGACUAUGGCUCUACGCCGGAAGCGGUCCGGGGUGAGGGAGACGAGGCGGGCGAUCUCAGGAGGCGAGAGACCUAGGCCAGUGAGCUCGACGACCUUAGGGGCCAGUGUUUGGUCCACUUUGGUGCAGAGUAACAGCGGAUCUUUGCCGACGACGGCGGCGACGUCGGCGCCGGAGAGGCCGAGGCCGGAGAGGAAGGCGAGGACGGCGUUCGGCUUGUCGGGGGUCUUGAGGUGGGCGAGCUUCUUGGAGGCCUUGAGGGCUUGGACCCGGGUGAGGCCGCAGGUGGCGACGAGGUACUCUUCCACGGCGAAGCCACAGGGAUUUGGGGAAAUGGGGGCCGACGCAGUGGCCGAGAGGAGACGGCGGAGUGGGGAGGUAGCAGAGUUGGAGGGUGAAGAGAGGAGAUGGGAAACGACGCACUCUCGGAGGCGGAGCAUGGCGCAGGAGCGGCGGCGACGGCGGACGGCGGCGGCGGAGAUGUGUUCGAUGGAUUGCAAAUGGUACUGCGUGUCGUCGUCGGAGUGAAUGGGUUGUCGUCUUUUUGGUGAUUGGACCAGAGUUUGAUGGGCCUGCGUGUGAAUGGGUUCGUAUCCACAUUUUUUUAUCUGUCAUCCAUUUUUCUGGUUCGCUUUAUAUUUAUAUUUUCAUUUUCCUUUAUUUUAUGUGAAAUAUGUUUUCUUGCAUUUUUUUGUUUUGUUUCUGCAAAUAAUUUCAUUUUAGGAUUUUUCACUAUAUACAAUGUACUAUCUUUUUCUUUACCGCUUGCUACAUAAAUGGAUAUUUUUCCUUCUAGUAUGUAUGUGAUAAUAGAUAACGGACGCGUAUAUCUGGCCGAGUUUACUGUUUUUUUAAAUGUCGUGGAUAAAAAAAUACAUAUCCAUGGUAUUAUAAAAAAUACCAUGUACCUGAAGGAAGACAUCUUGUAAUAAUAAAAAAUACCAUUUCUUAAUAUAAAAAUCUCAUCUCUUUAAAAUAAAAAUGUCAUCUCUUAAUAUAAAAAUUUAAUCUCUUUAAAAUAAAAAAUCCCAUCUAUUAAUAAUUUAAAGCGACAUCUCUUAAUAAAUAAAAAAUGUCAUCUCUUAAUCCAAAACGCCAUCUCUUUAACAUAAAAAAAAUGCUAUCUCUUAAAAACGUCAUCUCUUUCCUCAGUAACAGGCCAGGCGAACCAGUUCUGUGCACAAGUAUAGCAGAAAAUUCACAUCACACUAAUUAGGUUCAUUUUUCUUUUAUUUGAGAGAUGGGUAGUUGGACUUUCUAAGUAAAACAUAAGUCUAAUCCUAGUGAAAAAAAUCAAGCUAUCUUAACCUCCAAUUUAAAUCAAGUAAAACCUGUUUAUGGAAAGUUAUGAAUCUGAACAGUAGAGUGAUUUUUUCCUAGUGGCAAUAUGCUUAGAGAUAUCCAUCAUAUUUGAACCAAAUAUCCAAUUCAUUCGUCUCCAUGUAAAUAUAAAGUACUGAUCAAUACAAGCAUGUACAUCUUGCCAAAGUUUUUCAUUUUUCNNNNNNNNNNAACAUAAUAUAAGCUUGCACAAGUAAAGGUAAGAGAUAACCAAGAGUAGAUCCGGUGGAGACGAGGAUGUGUUACCGAAGUUCCUUCCCUUGAGAGGAAGUAUGUCUCCGUUGGAGUGGUGUGGAGGCACAAUGCUCCCCCAAAAGCCACUAGGACCACCGUAUUCUCCUCACGCCCUCACACAAUGCGAGAUGUCGUGAUUCCACUAUUGGUGCCCUUGAAGGCGGCGACCGAACCUUUACAAACAAGGUUGGGGCUCUCUCGACAACCGAAUUGGAGGUUCCCAACGAAACCACGGAGCUUCACCACAAUGGAAUAUGGCUCCGAGGUGACCUCAACCGUCUAGUGUGCUCAAACACCCUAGAGUAACAAGAUCCGCAAGGGAUUAGUGGGGGGGGGGAAUCAAAUUUCUCUUGGUUGAAGUGUAGAUCGGGGCCUUUUCAACCAAUCCCUAGAAAAGCAACAAAUUUGGUUGGCUAGGGAGAAAAAUCGGGCAAAAAUGAGCUUUUGAAUGGUAAUGGAGUUUUGAGGGGAAGAGGUCAAUUCUAGGAAGAAGAAGACCCCUCCUUUAUAUAGGGGAGCAAGAAUCCAACCAUUUUCUACCCAGGCCCGCAGCUAAGCGGUACUACUGCUCCUAGGAGGUACUACCGCUUAGGCGGUACUACUCCACACAAGUCUAAAAAUACACAGAGUGCAUCAACGGUAGUGCCGUAGGAGCGGUACUACUGCUGACCCAGGCGGUACUACCACCUGGGGUUUUAGACCUGAGAAGGCAGCCGUGGUAGAGGGUGCCGGGGGCGGUAGUACCGUGCGAAGCGGUACUACCGUUCUAGUGCCGCUCUACAACCGCUUGGGGCAAAGUGGGUACCGAACCUUGCACAGAGGAAAACCCCGCAAGCGGUAGUGGAGACGGUAGUACAGGCGGUACUACCGCGCUACUACUACCGUUAAAAACAAACCGAUAACAGAAUGUUGCACGCUCGGGGAAACCCUAAGCCGUAGUGCCACGGAAGUACCCAGCGGUACUACCGUGGGCAUUAGCGGUACUACCGCUGGCAAGAUGCAGAUAACACCACAGAAAAUAUUGGAAAAGCUCCAGAGAAGGGAAAGGAGGUUGUGGGUGCAUAUGGGGUUGUGUACGUGUUGAUUCACCCAUACCUUUCUAAAACGGACCCCCUCUUAAUAGUACGGCUUCCCUAUGACUCAAAUCCACGGAAAAGAAACGUAGAGAACUAUCAUCUUCGAUAGGCUUCGAGGGGCAUCGAAUCAUCAAGUGCCUAGACAUGAGAUAUCUGAAAUGCUCAAUGCAUACACGAUUAGUCCACAAAAGCAUUGUCAUCAAUCACCAAAACCACUUAGGGAGACAUAUGCCCUUACAAUCUCCCCCUUUUUGGUGGAUUUAUGACAAUACGGGAUUUGCACAUAGAGAUAUAUAAUAAGCAUAAGCAAACCCAAAAUCUAUAAAAUAUAGACAGGACCCCCCUAGAUGUGUGCAUUUUAUAGAUGUGCUUUGGACUGCACAACACACCCACUAGGAUCAACCCGCCCCCCUAUAUUUUAUAGACAAGGCAAUUCUAGCAACAAAAAAAGGGACACUAAGCAUGAGAAAUAAUAAGACAAGCAUAAUCUCACACAAAGGGACACAAUAAGGAUAACCAGGGUAGCAUAGCAUAUGUCUUACACCAUAUGAUAGAGUCUCACACAAAACCAAAGCGAACGAAGGAAAAGAGUUCACAAGCAAAAACACACAGAAGCAACAAGAACCAAUCUUGUGACUCAACAACACCAUACAGAAAGACAAAUCCCCGGUCCUAAACCUCUCCCCUUUGGCAUCAAGACACCAAAAGAGGCAAAGAGUGACCUAACGCAACUCCAGAUGGCACUAGUUUCCUCCCAUGGGCUUGCUAGACUCCUCAUAAGCAGACCCAUCAGCAGACUCCUCCUCAGACUCGUCGGUCUCCUCCUCGAUCUCUUGAUCCUGAGAUGGAGCAGAUGUAGCAGCAUUGGACUCAUCCGAGUCCGUCCAGUGAGAGUGCAAAGAAAUCCACUUGUCCUUCGGAGUGAUACGGUCCUUAGAGCCAUCCUGAACUAGGAUCUCAAGCUUCCUCAUGAUAGUAUUCCUCUCCCGACGAGCCUUCUUGGCAUCCACAUGUGCCAAGUACAUCUUGUGCUGAACAUCGGUCUGAAGGCAAAAGAGCUUCUUCACUUUGUGCUUGAGCUUAGCCCCCCAACCUGACUGACCAGAGGAAUGCACUGUGCGGGGAGCAAGACCAUCAUCAUCGCCCUGAUCCUCUCCAGAAGCAGACGACACUGGCGCUUCAGGACAAGUAGUAGAGGCCCAAGGCUCCUUCUGACGCAAGUUGAGUACGUCAUGAGGAGUCAAGGGUCCGGUCUCAAGAGGCACACCAGGGAAAGUGGAGCUCUAGGUAGACUGAAUCAACUUAAAGAUGAAUGGAGCAUAAAUUAGGCAAUGGUCUCCAUAGGUAGCAUUCACUAGCUCGUUCCACAUGACAUGAGAGACAUCCAAAACCACAUUUCUGCCCUUCUUAGAGUGGCACAACAGGAGCAUAUCCACAAGGUACCCAUGCACCAUGUCCAAGUUGCCAAUGCGAGGAAAGAGAGUGUGCCGGAAGAUGCGGUCCAUAAUGUCAAAGAAUGGCUUCAACUCCUUCAUGACUCCUUUCGCUGUCCUAGUGAUAAUCAUAUGAGGCAGCAGCUCAUCCUUGUGAGUAAGCCCCCCUCAUGGCGAGCACGAAGGCCAAGAGGCUUCCUCAGCCCCUCGUCAGGAUAUCCUAGAAGCGACAUAAAGGCACUCCAAGUGGCGCGCAACUGCCUGCCCUUGGUCAUCCAGAUCAAAGUGUGCUCUGGGUUUGUGCCAUACCAUAUGGUGGCAAAAACCUAAGCAACCAACUCUGCAUCGAAAUCAUAGUUGAAGGUCAUGAGGGUCACGAUGUUGAGCUGAUCAUAGAGGGCACGAGCUUCUCCAAAGUAUGCCUAGUACUUCUCCAUGUGAUCCAAGUUGGUUGACUUGGUCUUCACAAACAUGUUCUUCCUUCCCUUGAUCCGAUCAACUAGAUAUUGGUCCUUGUCCCAGAAUGGUGAUCCAACAAGAGAAGGAUCCUGAGAAAGGAUGUAGGGUUUUGCUCAUGGUAUUGCGAAUACUCAUUUUGCUUCAAUUCGGCNNNNNNNNNNCAAGGUGCGGCGCAACUUCAAUGUGAGGGCGCACGAACUUGUCCACAAAAACAUUCUCGGUCAAAUCGACUGCAGAGAUGUAGCUCCGAUCGCGAUCUAGCAACCCAUUUGCCUUGACAAACUUUAGAACGUAGUGCCGGGGCCUGAGCCGGCCCUCCAGGCUGUAAGUGAGCAUUAUCGGGCGAUGAGCAAUGAGCGUGGGUUCCAACCCCACCUCAGACACCAGGAACUCUGACUUGCUCUGCAGCAUGUCCUUUGACCUCCACAGCAGCAGCGGAGCUUUAGACACAGCAAUGCUCGCUUCGGCAUCAGACCACCUGAGCGUAUUCUUCAAGUAGUCCACUUUGCCGGCAAUCUUCUCCUCGUUGAGAAACGCGACAGCCCGUAGCGCUUGCCUGAACAUCCCAGCGCCACGAGGUACACCUAAUCUUUCAGCACAUGCCACCAUUGCGCGGACGCGUUCCGGGUUGGUGGUCAGCAUCCUCGGCACAGCGAUACACAGCUUGGCAAUAUCACAAGCACCUAGCCCGCACUCCCUCAGGAAGGCAACAUUGGGCUUGACCAACUUAUCAAGGUCCGACGACAGAAGGCGGGAUGAGCGCUUGAGCAGCCGGAGGAAGCUGUGGAAGGAGCCGAAGAGGGGCAGGAAGUAGUGCAGCCUGGAGACUAUGGCUCUACGCCGGAAGCGGUCCGGGGUGAGGGAGACGAGGCGGGCGAUCUCAGGAGGCGAGAGACCUAGGCCAGUGAGCUCGACGACCUUAGGGGCCAGUGUUUGGUCCACUUUGGUGCAGAGUAACAGCGGAUCUUUGCCGACGACGGCGGCGACGUCGGCGCCGGAGAGGCCGAGGCCGGAGAGGAAGGCGAGGACGGCGUUCGGCUUGUCGGGGGUCUUGAGGUGGGCGAGCUUCUUGGAGGCCUUGAGGGCUUGGACCCGGGUGAGGCCGCAGGUGGCGACGAGGUACUCUUCCACGGCGAAGCCACAGGGAUUUGGGGAAAUGGGGGCCGACGCAGUGGCCGAGAGGAGACGGCGGAGUGGGGAGGUAGCAGAGUUGGAGGGUGAAGAGAGGAGAUGGGAAACGACGCACUCUCGGAGGCGGAGCAUGGCGCAGGAGCGGCGGCGACGGCGGACGGCGGCGGCGGAGAUGUGUUCGAUGGAUUGCAAAUGGUACUGCGUGUCGUCGUCGGAGUGAAUGGGUUGUCGUCUUUUUGGUGAUUGGACCAGAGUUUGAUGGGCCUGCGUGUGAAUGGGUUCGUAUCCACAUUUUUUUAUCUGUCAUCCAUUUUUCUGGUUCGCUUUAUAUUUAUAUUUUCAUUUUCCUUUAUUUUAUGUGAAAUAUGUUUUCUUGCAUUUUUUUGUUUUGUUUCUGCAAAUAAUUUCAUUUUAGGAUUUUUCACUAUAUACAAUGUACUAUCUUUUUCUUUACCGCUUGCUACAUAAAUGGAUAUUUUUCCUUCUAGUAUGUAUGUGAUAAUAGAUAACGGACGCGUAUAUCUGGCCGAGUUUACUGUUUUUUUAAAUGUCGUGGAUAAAAAAAUACAUAUCCAUGGUAUUAUAAAAAAUACCAUGUACCUGAAGGAAGACAUCUUGUAAUAAUAAAAAAUACCAUUUCUUAAUAUAAAAAUCUCAUCUCUUUAAAAUAAAAAUGUCAUCUCUUAAUAUAAAAAUUUAAUCUCUUUAAAAUAAAAAAUCCCAUCUAUUAAUAAUUUAAAGCGACAUCUCUUAAUAAAUAAAAAAUGUCAUCUCUUAAUCCAAAACGCCAUCUCUUUAACAUAAAAAAAAUGCUAUCUCUUAAAAACGUCAUCUCUUUCCUCAGUAACAGGCCAGGCGAACCAGUUCUGUGCACAAGUAUAGCAGAAAAUUCACAUCACACUAAUUAGGUUCAUUUUUCUUUUAUUUGAGAGAUGGGUAGUUGGACUUUCUAAGUAAAACAUAAGUCUAAUCCUAGUGAAAAAAAUCAAGCUAUCUUAACCUCCAAUUUAAAUCAAGUAAAACCUGUUUAUGGAAAGUUAUGAAUCUGAACAGUAGAGUGAUUUUUUCCUAGUGGCAAUAUGCUUAGAGAUAUCCAUCAUAUUUGAACCAAAUAUCCAAUUCAUUCGUCUCCAUGUAAAUAUAAAGUACUGAUCAAUACAAGCAUGUACAUCUUGCCAAAGUUUUUCAUUUUUCCCCUCUGAAAGGAUCGAUAUGGUUGACUAGAGGGGGAGGGGGGGUGAAUAGACAACUAACAAUUUUUAGCUUUUCUUGACCAAAGUAAACUUAGCAUCGAAGUAGGUUGUCUAGAUGUGCAAUUAGGUGAACAACCUAUAUGAUGCAACAACAACAAGUACACAAGCAAGCAAUGAAUACAACAUAAUAUAAGCUUGCACAAGUAAAGGUAAGAGAUAACCAAGAGUAGAUCCGGUGGAGACGAGGAUGUGUUACCGAAGUUCCUUCCCUUGAGAGGAAGUAUGUCUCCGUUGGAGUGGUGUGGAGGCACAAUGCUCCCCCAAAAGCCACUAGGACCACCGUAUUCUCCUCACGCCCUCACACAAUGCGAGAUGUCGUGAUUCCACUAUUGGUGCCCUUGAAGGCGGCGACCGAACCUUUACAAACAAGGUUGGGGCUCUCUCGACAACCGAAUUGGAGGUUCCCAACGAAACCACGGAGCUUCACCACAAUGGAAUAUGGCUCCGAGGUGACCUCAACCGUCUAGUGUGCUCAAACACCCUAGAGUAACAAGAUCCGCAAGGGAUUAGUGGGGGGGGGGAAUCAAAUUUCUCUUGGUUGAAGUGUAGAUCGGGGCCUUUUCAACCAAUCCCUAGAAAAGCAACAAAUUUGGUUGGCUAGGGAGAAAAAUCGGGCAAAAAUGAGCUUUUGAAUGGUAAUGGAGUUUUGAGGGGAAGAGGUCAAUUCUAGGAAGAAGAAGACCCCUCCUUUAUAUAGGGGAGCAAGAAUCCAACCAUUUUCUACCCAGGCCCGCAGCUAAGCGGUACUACUGCUCCUAGGAGNNNNNNNNNNNNNNNNNNNNNNNNNNNNNUACCGCUGGCAAGAUGCAGAUAACACCACAGAAAAUAUUGGAAAAGCUCCAGAGAAGGGAAAGGAGGUUGUGGGUGCAUAUGGGGUUGUGUACGUGUUGAUUCACCCAUACCUUUCUAAAACGGACCCCCUCUUAAUAGUACGGCUUCCCUAUGACUCAAAUCCACGGAAAAGAAACGUAGAGAACUAUCAUCUUCGAUAGGCUUCGAGGGGCAUCGAAUCAUCAAGUGCCUAGACAUGAGAUAUCUGAAAUGCUCAAUGCAUACACGAUUAGUCCACAAAAGCAUUGUCAUCAAUCACCAAAACCACUUAGGGAGACAUAUGCCCUUACAAUCUCCCCCUUUUUGGUGGAUUUAUGACAAUACGGGAUUUGCACAUAGAGAUAUAUAAUAAGCAUAAGCAAACCCAAAAUCUAUAAAAUAUAGACAGGACCCCCCUAGAUGUGUGCAUUUUAUAGAUGUGCUUUGGACUGCACAACACACCCACUAGGAUCAACCCGCCCCCCUAUAUUUUAUAGACAAGGCAAUUCUAGCAACAAAAAAAGGGACACUAAGCAUGAGAAAUAAUAAGACAAGCAUAAUCUCACACAAAGGGACACAAUAAGGAUAACCAGGGUAGCAUAGCAUAUGUCUUACACCAUAUGAUAGAGUCUCACACAAAACCAAAGCGAACGAAGGAAAAGAGUUCACAAGCAAAAACACACAGAAGCAACAAGAACCAAUCUUGUGACUCAACAACACCAUACAGAAAGACAAAUCCCCGGUCCUAAACCUCUCCCCUUUGGCAUCAAGACACCAAAAGAGGCAAAGAGUGACCUAACGCAACUCCAGAUGGCACUAGUUUCCUCCCAUGGGCUUGCUAGACUCCUCAUAAGCAGACCCAUCAGCAGACUCCUCCUCAGACUCGUCGGUCUCCUCCUCGAUCUCUUGAUCCUGAGAUGGAGCAGAUGUAGCAGCAUUGGACUCAUCCGAGUCCGUCCAGUGAGAGUGCAAAGAAAUCCACUUGUCCUUCGGAGUGAUACGGUCCUUAGAGCCAUCCUGAACUAGGAUCUCAAGCUUCCUCAUGAUAGUAUUCCUCUCCCGACGAGCCUUCUUGGCAUCCACAUGUGCCAAGUACAUCUUGUGCUGAACAUCGGUCUGAAGGCAAAAGAGCUUCUUCACUUUGUGCUUGAGCUUAGCCCCCCAACCUGACUGACCAGAGGAAUGCACUGUGCGGGGAGCAAGACCAUCAUCAUCGCCCUGAUCCUCUCCAGAAGCAGACGACACUGGCGCUUCAGGACAAGUAGUAGAGGCCCAAGGCUCCUUCUGACGCAAGUUGAGUACGUCAUGAGGAGUCAAGGGUCCGGUCUCAAGAGGCACACCAGGGAAAGUGGAGCUCUAGGUAGACUGAAUCAACUUAAAGAUGAAUGGAGCAUAAAUUAGGCAAUGGUCUCCAUAGGUAGCAUUCACUAGCUCGUUCCACAUGACAUGAGAGACAUCCAAAACCACAUUUCUGCCCUUCUUAGAGUGGCACAACAGGAGCAUAUCCACAAGGUACCCAUGCACCAUGUCCAAGUUGCCAAUGCGAGGAAAGAGAGUGUGCCGGAAGAUGCGGUCCAUAAUGUCAAAGAAUGGCUUCAACUCCUUCAUGACUCCUUUCGCUGUCCUAGUGAUAAUCAUAUGAGGCAGCAGCUCAUCCUUGUGAGUAAGCCCCCCUCAUGGCGAGCACGAAGGCCAAGAGGCUUCCUCAGCCCCUCGUCAGGAUAUCCUAGAAGCGACAUAAAGGCACUCCAAGUGGCGCGCAACUGCCUGCCCUUGGUCAUCCAGAUCAAAGUGUGCUCUGGGUUUGUGCCAUACCAUAUGGUGGCAAAAACCUAAGCAACCAACUCUGCAUCGAAAUCAUAGUUGAAGGUCAUGAGGGUCACGAUGUUGAGCUGAUCAUAGAGGGCACGAGCUUCUCCAAAGUAUGCCUAGUACUUCUCCAUGUGAUCCAAGUUGGUUGACUUGGUCUUCACAAACAUGUUCUUCCUUCCCUUGAUCCGAUCAACUAGAUAUUGGUCCUUGUCCCAGAAUGGUGAUCCAACAAGAGAAGGAUCCUGAGAAAGGAUGUAGGGUUUUGCUCAUGGUAUUGCGAAUACUCAUUUUGCUUCAAUUCGGCNNNNNNNNNNNNNNNNNNNNNNNNNNNNNNNNNNNNNNNNNNNNNNNNNNNNNNNNNNNNNGCCAUCUUGACUGGUUCCUUCUUCUUCUUGCAAGCAGCGGUUGACAUGACAUUUGAUUUGCCCUUGUUCCUGGCAGCCUGACAACGAGCAAGCAACCGUGUGGGGGCAACCUCUUCUUCAUCUUAGGAAUACACAACUCUAGCAUGAUAGGUGCACCCACGCUUGGAUGGGGGAUUCACAUUCUUGCGACGAACCUUGGAGCUACUACCACCUAGAGAGGCACAAAACCGCAAGGGAAAGCAUGAAUACAAACGAUGCAUAAGCCAGGGAGAAACAAAAGUGAGAACGGAAGGCUCAGGGAGCAUUCUGAAAUUUGCGGACUAGAGCGGUAGUACCGCGGAACUAGGACAACUAGGACGGUAGUACCACCAGAGUGGUAGUACCGCUGCACAGGAGCGGUAGUACCGCUCUAGGAACAGACGCAUGGAACCCCCAGAUCCGGUAGUACCAGAGGUCACAAAUUCAAAAAUGCUCCUCUAAAUCUUUAAUCCUUCUAUCUAGCAGUCAUUCAACGUCCUACUCAAGCCCCGAUUUAGCCAAAAAUCGAGAAACCACCAUGCAUUGCCCUAGAAACCUAUAUUCAAAGGAGAGAACUAUAUGAGCAACGAACGAGGGCAAUACCGGGUUCCNNNNNNNNNNNNNNNNNNNNNNNNNNNNNNNNNNNNNNNNNNNNNNNNNNNNNNNNNNNNNNNNNNNNNNNNNNNNNNNNNNNNNNNNNNNNNNNNNNNNNNNNNNNNNNNNNNNNNNNNNNNNUGGCGAGAGGAGGUGGUGGGGAAUGAUUCCACCAGUCGGAAUCGUUGAAGACGGCACAGAAUCGGCCAGCCGGAGCGGCGGUCGGGGCUGUUCUUGGUUGCCUGAGAGAGAGAGAGAGACGUGAGAAGGGAGAAUCAAAGGGUAUGGGGGAGUUAGAACUCCCCCUGCUCGAUACUUACCCCCUCGGCGUCCCGCUAAGCGGUAGUACCACUAUGGGUAGCGGUAGUACCGCCCAGGUAUUACAUCCGGGCAGGAGGCCCAGUAGUACCGCUCAAGCGGUAAUACAGCUAGAUGGAACCGUAGUACCGCCGGUAGGGAGACAGAAUAGCCCAGAAAUAAGAGUGGAUUAUGCAAGACUAGGGUGGUUGAAGCAUAAAGAUAGGCUUGGGACGGAGACUCAAAUGGACAGCGAAGGGAAGAGAUACUCCAAGUUCGAAAAACCAAUAAACCAAGAGCAACUUGGAGUAACUCAAAGCGCAAACNNNNNNNNNNNNNNNNNNNNNNNNNNNNNNNNNNNNNNNNNNNNNNNNNNNNNNNNNNNNNNNNNNNNNNNNNNNNNNNNNNNNNNNNNNNNNNNNNNNNNNNNNNNNNNNNNNNNNNNNNNNNNNNNNNNNNNNNNNNNNNNNNNNNNNNNNNNNNNNNNNNNNNNNNNNNNNNNNNNNNNNNNNNNNNNNNNNNNNNNNNNNNNNNNNNNNNNNNNNNNNNNNNNNNNNNNNNNNNNNNNNNNNNNNNNNNNNNNNNNNNNNNNNNNNNNNNNNNNNNNNNNNNNNNNNNNNNNNNNNNNNNNNNNNNNNNNNNNNNNNNNNNNNNNNNNNNNNNNNNNNNNNNNNNNNNNNNNNNNNNNNNNNNNNNNNNNNNNNNNNNNNNNNNNNNNNNNNNNNNNNNNNNNNNNNNNNNNNNNNNNNNNNNNNNNNNNNNNNNNNNNNNNNNNNNNNNNNNNNNNNNNNNNNNNNNNNNNNNNNNNNNNNNNNNNNNNNNNNACACCCCUCUCAAAGGAGGGCGGUGGCCGAUGCCACCUAUGUUUGAGUCAAUUGGUAUGGCACCGUGAAGAUUUUAACCUUGGGCCCAUGACCAAAACUCGUCUUUGAAGCACAAGGACCAUCAACAAUGGCGAAUGUGAAAGAGAUGAUCAAUUUAUGCAUAAUGGGGGAGGGAGAGUUCACUGAGAGAACAACACUCCCCCUAUGCCCAUGCCUACAUCUAAACAAGACAACAUGAUGAGUGUGGUGGGGUGUGCAAAGGUUCAAACCGCAUUGCUCAAAUCAAUGAUAUUUAGCUCAUGCCUUAACUCGCGAAAUCUUGCUUCAUCCAAGGGCUUCGUGAAAAUAUCUGGAAGAUUAUCAUGAGCGUUGACAUAUUUGAGCUCGAUCUCCCCUCGCCUAAUGUGAUCCCGGAUGAAGUGAUAUCGAAUCUCAAUAUGCUUCGUCUUGAAGUGUUGCACCGGGUUGAGAGAGAUCUUGAUGGCACUUUCAUUGUCACACCAAAGAGGCACUUUGUCACAAAUGACACUGUAAUCCUUUAAAGUUUGCGUCAUCCAUAGAAGUUGAGCACAACAACUACCGGCGGCCACAUACUCCGCUUCGGUGGACGAGAGAGACACACAACUUUGUUCUUAGAAGACCAACUCACCAAAGAGCAACCAAGAAAUUGGCACCCUCCGGAGGUUAACUUCCUAUCCACUUUGUCUCCCGCCCAAUCCGAGUCUGAAUAGCCCAUAAGGUUGAAGUUAGCUCCUCUUGGGUACCAUAAGCCAAAGUUUGGGGUAUGAGCCAAAUAUCGAAAGAUUCGCUUGACCGCCACAUAGUGGCUUUCCUUAGGUGCGGCUUGAAACUGUGCACAAAUUCCCACACUUAACAUGAUAUCUGGUCUAUAUGCACAAAGGUAAAGUAAUGAGCCAAUCAUGGAACAAUAUACCUUUUGAUCCACCGCUUUACCAUUGGAUCAAUGUCAAGUUGGCAUUUGACGGGCAUUGGAGUGGCAGCCGGCUUGACAUCACUUGGCUUGAAUAUCUUGAGCAUAUCUUGGGUGUAUUUGGCUUGGUUGAUGAAAGUUCCUUUUCUUAUUUGUUUGAUUUCGAACCCGAGAAAGAACUUCAACCAUCCCAUCAUGGACAUCUUGAACUUCGAGGUCAUGAGAGCGGCAAACUCCUCAUUGAGAGCUUCGUUAGGAGAACCAAAGAUAAUAUCAUCAAUAUAUAGUUGGCAUACAAACAACUCCCCUUUGACCUUCUGUGACGCCCCCGAUUCAAUCAUACACUAAUCAUGCACGCAAAUGUGUACGAUCAAGAUCAGGGACUCACGGGAAGAUAUCACAACACAACUCUAAAAGUAAAAUAAGUCAUACACGCAUCAUAUUACAAGCCAGGGGCCUCGAGGGCUCGAAUACAAGUGCUCGAACAUAAACGAGUCAGCGGAAGCAACAAUAUCUGAGUACAGACAUAAGUUAAACAAGUUUCCAUAAGAUGGCUAGCACAAACGGGGAUACAGAUUGAAAGAGGCGCACACCUCUUGCCUGGGAUCCUCCUAAACUACUCCUGGUCGUCGGUGACCUGAACGUAGUAGUAGGUGCCAUCGGUGUAGUAGGGGUCGUCGUCGACAGUGGCGUCUGGCUCCUGGGCUCCAACGUCUAGUUGCGGCAUCCGAGAAGAAGAGGAAAGGGGGGGGGGGGGAAGAGGGAGCAAAGCAACCAUGAGUACUCAUCCAAAGUACUCGCAAGCAAGGAUCUACACUACAUAUGCAUGGGUAUAUGUGUAAAGAGGCAAUAUCGAUGGAAUGAACUGCAGAAUGCCAGAAUAAGAGGGGGAUAGCUAGUCCUAUCGAAGACUACAUUUCCGGCAGCCUCCAUCUUGCAGCAUGUAGAAGAGAGUAGAUGGUAAGUUCACGAAGUAUCAUCGCAUUAACAUAAUCCUACGCGGUGAUCCUCCCCUCGUCGCCCUGUGGGAAAGCUAUCAUCGGGACNNNNNNNNNNNNNNNNNNNNNNNNNNNNNNNNNNNNNNNNNNNNNNNNNNNNNNNNNNNNNNNNNNNNNNNNNNNNNNNNNNNNNNNNNNNNNNNNNNNNAGAUCGAGGGAGAGAUCAGAGGGGAAACAUCGAGGAGCUCACCGCGGAGUCAAAGGCGAGCUCGAGAUGGGUCGGGGAGGGCCAACAGUAGGAAUCUGGCGAUGGUGUCAUGGUGGUCGUGGAGGAGGAAGCGAUGUGGGCUUCGUCGUGGUGGCCUCCAGGCUCGAAUCCAGGGGCGUAGUCGAUGAAGAGAUGCCCGAGAAGCUUCUGGACACCGCCUCUCAGCGCCAGGAGGCUAGUAGACACGAGAUCGACACGGCGACAACGACGGUGGCGGCAGCGCUCGGGCACGAGCGAAUCUGAGAGGAGGAGAGGGAAAAGAGAAGCUAGGGUUGGUAGGGGGUCGAGGGCAUCCGUCUUAACCACCUAGGGGGCCAUGGGAUGGCCGGCACGUCCGCACCAGUGGCCAUGGUGGACGGAUGGCUGCCACGGUCCCCCUCCCAUGAAUAGGACGAAGGGGAUGGCGCCACUGGUGGGUUGGGCCUCCCGUGAGUACUUGAGCCCCAGAUGCUCAUUGCGUUUCUUUUUUUAUUUCUGUUUUUUUUUAAAAAAAAUUGGCACGGUCUGUAUUCAUUUAAGUUAUCAAAAGACUUUGCCAAAAAUGGAACUUGGCCAUAUCGAUGCCCUACAAUAUUUGGCACAGCCAAAAAAAUUUGGAGAGUUAAAUGAAUUCAUUUGAGUUUUUCUUAAAUACAAAUUAAUUAAAUAGGUUGUUUUGGGCAUUGUUUCAUAUAUGUUAGGGGCAAUUUAAUAAUUCAAAUAAUGCUUGUUUAUUUAUGACAAUUAGUUAGUGGAUUUUUUAACCCAACGAACAUUUUUGUUUUACCGUUUGAAGAAAUAUUUUUUUGGACUUUAUUUUAGAUCUGAAUUGAAUUCGGUUUGGCUCAAAUUGAGGUUUAGAAAAUAAUUGCGAAGACAUGACACCAUUACGGCGUGGUUACUGUAGCUUAACUACUAUGGUGUUACAAAUCUCCUCCACUACAAGAAAUCUCAUCCCGAGAUUUAAGANNNNNNNNNNGCGGCCAGGCAACGGGAGGGGCGGACGAUGGUGGGCGCGCGGGCCGGCUGCGGAGGUGGGCAGCGACAGGGGAGGGCGCUGGGAGUUGCGGGCACAGUGGCAGGAGCAGCCGGCGCGUGCGGUCAGAGGCAGCGACAGCAUGCUAGCAGCGGCGAGGCACGCAGCAGACAACAGCAAGUGCUGCGGUGGCAGAAGCUGGGGGCGCGGGCGACUGCAGAGAAGCGGCAGCACGGACAAGCAGCGGCCAGCGCGGCCAGGCGCAACGGCGCGCGCGGACAGCGGGGUUCGCGGACAUGCGUGGCCAAGCUAGGCAGGCACACAGCCGGGGAAGGUGCAGUGGCGAGCGACAGAGGCGGGGCGACCUUGAGCUCAAGCUCGCCGGCAGGGAUAGGGCUUCAGCCGGAGCAAAGAAUGACGACGGCGGUGCUAGUGUUAUAGAUCGAGGGAGAGAUCAGAGGGGAAACAUCGAGGAGCUCACCGCGGAGUCAAAGGCGAGCUCGAGAUGGGUCGGGGAGGGCCAACAGUAGGAAUCUGGCGAUGGUGUCAUGGUGGUCGUGGAGGAGGAAGCGAUGUGGGCUUCGUCGUGGUGGCCUCCAGGCUCGAAUCCAGGGGCGUAGUCGAUGAAGAGAUGCCCGAGAAGCUUCUGGACACCGCCUCUCAGCGCCAGGAGGCUAGUAGACACGAGAUCGACACGGCGACAACGACGGUGGCGGCAGCGCUCGGGCACGAGCGAAUCUGAGAGGAGGAGAGGGAAAAGAGAAGCUAGGGUUGGUAGGGGGUCGAGGGCAUCCGUCUUAACCACCUAGGGGGCCAUGGGAUGGCCGGCACGUCCGCACCAGUGGCCAUGGUGGACGGAUGGCUGCCACGGUCCCCCUCCCAUGAAUAGGACGAAGGGGAUGGCGCCACUGGUGGGUUGGGCCUCCCGUGAGUACUUGAGCCCCAGAUGCUCAUUGCGUUUCUUUUUUUAUUUCUGUUUUUUUUNNNNNNNNNNUCUUGUGUCCUUUGUCCUGUUUAACCCUUUUUAAGCUAAUCUAGUUGUGAUGGCUCCACGACUAAAUCCUUGCACUAGGACAUCUGCCGUGACUAUUCCACGACAGUUGGCGCCCACCAUAGGGCCAACGCACCGUGGUUUCGAGUUCUUAAAGGGCAGAUUCGAAGGGAUCAAGGGAUACGCUGUGGGCCGGAUGACCAAGAGUCAUUGCGGCAAGCUCUACAUCGACGAUGCAGGCUGGGGCCCCGAGGCCGGCUCAAUUGAGUACGGGUACCGGGUCCCCUUUGGCGGAAUUCACGUCUUCAUUGGCAAGAUUGGCGAGCCGGGCACUGAGCCGAACAUCUGCACUAACAUCAUCGAGACGGCUCAGCAUGCAAGACGCGCCCGAGCUCAACCCGCCAUAAAACGUGCCUUCAUGGGAUUCAUCCAUGGGGCGGAGUUUGAUGAAGGAUCUAUGUCUGGCGGUGAGACGACCAUCUAUUCUGACGGUGAGUCGUCCACGGGUGAGACUACUUCAUUAUAUCAAUUGCAAGAUGGCAGGCUUGGGGGUUGUUCCGAUGGCGACAAUAUUACGGACCCCUGCGAGCCGCCGAACAGGGUCACAAUCUUCAUGGCCGAAACACAGCCUGGGUAGAAUUCUUCGACGGCAGCAACAAUGAUUUCCAGGUCAAUAGCAGUGAUGGCAGCCGGGGCAAGAGGCCCUGUGCACCCGCCGGCUCAAGUUUUGACUGCAUUGCUGGAUAAUUUAACAGCUUUGUUGACAACAGAAGUUAACCCGGCAAAUCAAGCUCAGCACAACGCGGAAGUUGCAAACCUACGAGAUGAGAUAGCAGAACCCAGGGAGGGGUUGAAUGCACAGAACAUUAGGAUGGCUGUGGAACGGGCCGCCCUGGAUGCUCAAGCACAACGGAUUCAGUCAGAGGCCUUCCGGCUUACGAUGGAUCAAAACGCUUCAAAUGAAAUCAUGAGGAGGAGGCACAAGUCUCGUCUACCUCCGCUUUACGAGGCGAGAAACCUCUUUUGCACGCCUAGAGCGGGGACCAGUAACCCGCCAGAGAUAAACUGGGUUGCGGCGCCUGGGGCUGGAGCGCCGGCUCAACCGCGCAUGACGGAGCCACCUCGUCCGAAUAAUACUCCACCUCAGCAUGUGCCGACACCAUCGGGUCAUUAUUCUAAUCCUUUGGAUAAUAUGAUCAUUGUGGCGACACGUUUGGCGGCUCUCCCGGUGGAAGAAGAUUCUCGAGCGGCAGUUGAAACACGNNNNNNNNNNUCUCUAGAACUUGUUUGGGUGUGUUUUAUUAAGUAUCCGGUUCUAGUUGUCAUAAGGUCAAGGUACAACUCCGGGUCGUCCUUUUACCGAGGGACACGGCUAUUCGAAUAGAUAAACUUCCUUGUAGGGGUGCACCACAUUUCCCAACACGCUCGAUCCCUCUGGCCGGACACACUUUCCUGGGUCAUGCCCGGCCUCGAAAGAUCAACAUGUCGCAGCCCUACCUAGGCACAACAGAGAGGUCAGCACGCCGGUCUAAAUCCUAUGCACGCAAGGGUCUGGGCCCAUCACCCAUUGCACACCUGCACGUUGCAAGGGCGGCCGGUGAGCAGACCUAGCAACCUCCAGUACAAAGGAAGUUGCAUUACGUGGUCCAACCCGGCGCACACCACUCAGUCGCUGGCGUCAAGAAGGCUUCGGCUGAUACCACAACGUCGAGUGCCCAUAACUGUUCCCGCGUAGUUGGUUAGUGCGCAUAGGCUAGUGGUCAGACUCAGAUCAAAUACCAAGAUCUUGUUAAGCGUGUUAUUUUGAAGUAACUGCGGACGUCGACCAGGGCCAGGCCCACCUCUCGCCUAGGUGGUCUCAACCUGCCCUAUCCCUCCACCACAAAGUAACCAUCAAGGGGCUGUCGGGAACCCAGGCCCAUCACUACCUUGAUGGUACCACCUGCCCCUUCAGCCCCCAUCUCUGAAACACUUGCGGGUAUUCUAUGAGCCGACCCAACUUUAGUCACCAUCUGUAUAGCAUGUAUGUAUGUAUAUAUAUACCCGUGAUCACCUCCCGAGUGAUCACGGCCUGAUAGUACAGCAUGGAACACGGACAAGAAUGUAGAGGCCGCUGGUGGUAAACUAGCAUCCUAUACUAAGCAUUUAGGAUUGCAGGUAAGGUAUCAACAACUGUAGAAACAAUGACAGACUAUGCAACAAAAUAGGAUUAAUCAAAAACAGUAACAUGCUACACUAUAAUGCAAGCAGUAGAGGGAAGAAUAGGCGAUAUCUGGUGAUCAAGGGGGGGCUUGCCUGGUUGCUCUGCAGACAGAAACAUACCCUCGAAGGUGAAGUAGUCAAUCACCGGUUCAACCGCGGUCCCGGGGUCUACCAGAAAGAAGUAACGGAAGGGGAACACAAUAAAUAAUAGAGCAAACAAAGCAUCACAAAAUUUAACAAGGCAAUGCACAGUGCCAUGGGUGAUCUAAAGCGGGGAUAGGUGAUACCGGCGAAGGGGGAAAACAUCCGAGAAAGUAUUCCCAGUGUUAGGCAUUUUCGGAUAAAUGUAACGGAGGGGGCGGUUCCAUGUUUGCAGUGCCGGAGGGAUGUGACAGGUAUGUGGAUGGCAUAUUCGGAUUCAUCAUAUUUUUCUGAUCGAUUUUCAUAUAUAAAUUAUUUUCGUCGGAGCUAUAGUUGAAUUUAUAUGAAUUUCCGAAGUUUAAACAAUACUCUGAAAUUCCUAGGUUUUAUUUUAAUAAUAAAAAAUAAGGCAGAAAAGGCUAGGCGCACCCGGUGCAGCGCACCCAGAGGUGCACCAGUGGCCAACAGGUGGGGCCAGUCAACUGCUGACGCAGAAGUCGACUCGUCAGACGUUGACCGGUCAGCGGGUUCAGUGGGAUCCACGUGUCAGUGUCUCACAUUUAUUUUUAUUUUAUUUCCAUUCUCUUCUUCUUCUUCUUUUUUGGCUGGCCCCACUUGACAGUGGGCCAGCAAAUCACAGGGGUUGUGCCCAGGCACGGGCGCCCAUGGCCGGCCGAGGGGACGCGACAAGCAGCGGGAGGGGAGGCCCCGGUGCGGCAUCCGGCGCGGUCGGGUGCGGCCAAGCAACGGGAGGGGUGGCCCCGGCGCGGCCCCGGUGCGGCCUCCGGCGCGGCCAGGCGCGGCUGGNNNNNNNNNNNNNNNNNNNNNNNNNNNNNNNNNNNNNNNNNNNNNNNNNNNNNNNNNNNNNNNNNNNNNNNNNNNNNNNNNNNNNNNNNNNNNNNNNNNNNNNNNNNNNNNNNNNNNNNNNNNNNNNNNNNNNNNNNNNNNNNNNNNNNNNNNNNNNNNNNNNNNNNNNNNNNNNNNNNNNNNNNNNNNNNNNNNNNNNNNNNNNNNNNNNNNNNNNNNNNNNNNNNNNNNNNNNNNNNNNNNNNNNNNNNNNNNNNNNNNNNNNNNNNNNNNNNNNNNNNNNNNNNNNNNNNNNNNNNNNNNNNNNNNNNNNNNNNNNNNNNNNNNNNNNNNNNNNNNNNNNNNNNNNNNNNNNNNNNNNNNNNNNNNNNNNNNNNNNNNNNNNNNNNNNNNNNNNNNNNNNNNNNNNNNNNNNNNNNNNNNNNNNNNNNNNNNNNNNNNNNNNNNNNNNNNNNNNNNNNNNNNNNNNNNNNNNNNNNNNNNNNNNNNNNNNNNNNNNNNNNNNNNNNNNNNNNNNNNNNNNNNNNNNNNNNNNNNNNNNNNNNNNNNNNNNNNNNNNNNNNNNNNNNNNNNNNNNNNNNNNNNNNNNNNNNNNNNNNNNNNNNNNNNNNNNNNNNNNNNNNNNNNNNNNNNNNNNNNNNNNNNNNNNNNNNNNNNNNNNNNNNNNNNNNNNNNNNNNNNNNNNNNNNNNNNNNNNNNNNNNNNNNNNNNNNNNNNNNNNNNNNNNNNNNNNNNNNNNNNNNNNNNNNNNNNNNNNNNNNNNNNNNNNNNNNNNNNNNNNNNNNNNNNNNNNNNNNNNNNNNNNNNNNNNNNNNNNNNNNNNNNNNNNNNNNNNNNNNNNNNNNNNNNNNNNNNNNNNNNNNNNNNNNNNNNNNNNNNNNNNNNNNNNNNNNNNNNNNNNNNNNNNNNNNNNNNNNNNNNNNNNNNNNNNNNNNNNNNNNNNNNNNNNNNNNNNNNNNNNNNNNNNNNNNNNNNNNNNNNNNNNNNNNNNNNNNNNNNNNNNNNNNNNNNNNNNNNNNNNNNNNNNNNNNNNNNNNNNNNNNNNNNNNNNNNNNNNNNNNNNNNNNNNNNNNNNNNNNNNNNNNNNNNNNNNNNNNNNNNNNNNNNNNNNNNNNNNNNNNNNNNNNNNNNNNNNNNNNNNNNNNNNNNNNNNNNNNNNNNNNNNNNNNNNNNNNNNNNNNNNNNNNNNNNNNNNNNNNNNNNNNNNNNNNNNNNNNNNNNNNNNNNNNNNNNNNNNNNNNNNNNNNNNNNNNNNNNNNNNNNNNNNNNNNNNNNNNNNNNNNNNNNNNNNNNNNNNNNNNNNNNNNNNNNNNNNNNNNNNNNNNNNNNNNNNNNNNNNNNNNNNNNNNNNNNNNNNNNNNNNNNNNNNNNNNNNNNNNNNNNNNNNNNNNNNNNNNNNNNNNNNNNNNNNNNNNNNNNNNNNNNNNNNNNNNNNNNNNNNNNNNNNNNNNNNNNNNNNNNNNNNNNNNNNNNNNNNNNNNNNNNNNNNNNNNNNNNNNNNNNNNNNNNNNNNNNNNNNNNNNNNNAUAAUUGCGAAGACAUGACACCAUUACAGCGUGGUUACUGUAGCUUAACUACUAUGGUGUUACAAAUCUCCUCCACUACAAGAAAUCUCAUCCCGAGAUUUAAGAGGGAGAGUAAGGGGGGGGGGAGGGAUUUGGUCAUGAAAUUCUAACGAGUCUUUCCGGUCUUGGUUGCUUUUAUCGAAGAGGUCGAUCUAAUAUGUUUAUGUCUUCAUUCCUCUGUGUUGGGGAUAUAACUAUUAGGUAUGACCCGCCUAGGAGGGGCCGGGUUAUACCUAUGGCGGUUCAUCAAUAUGAAGCCCACUAGGAUAUUGAAGAUGGCGGUUCAUGGGGCGAAGGCCCAAGAGCAACUUAAGGCCCAUAGGGUAAACCGCCAUAUGUGUAUGACUUAUAUUGUAAGGCAAGUAUAUUUAGUCACAGAGCCGGACACAUUGUCUAUGAGCCGGCCGGGACUCCGUAAGCCGCUGGGCGUCAACCUGUGUAUAUAAACGGACGACCCGGCGGUGGUUCAGGGCAAGAAACAAGAGAUCGAAAGCUAGGUCAAGCGUAUUCGCUCCCUGGUAAUCAAGACAUAAGCAAUACCACCUCAAACUGGAUUAGGCCUUUACCUUCACCGCAAGGGGCCGAACCAGUAUAAACUCUUGUGUCCUUUGUCCUGUUUAACCCUUUUUAAGCUAAUCUAGUUGUGAUGGCUCCACGACUAAAUCCUUGCACUAGGACAUCUGCCGUGACUAUUCCACGACAGUUGGCACCCACCAUAGGGCCAACGCACCGUGGUUUCGAGUUCUUAAAGGGCAGAUUCGAAGGGAUCAAGGGAUACGCUGUGGGCCGGAUGACCAAGAGUCAUUGCGGCAAGCUCUACAUCGACGAUGCAGGCUGGGGCCCCGAGGCCGGCUCAAUUGAGUACGGGUACCGGGUCCCCUUUGGCGGAAUUCACGUCUUCAUUGGCAAGAUUGGCGAGCCGGGCACUGAGCCGAACAUCUGCACUAACAUCAUCGAGACGGCUCAGCAUGCAAGACGCGCCCGAGCUCAACCCGCCAUAAAACGUGCCUUCAUGGGAUUCAUCCAUGGGGCGGAGUUUGAUGAAGGAUCUAUGUCUGGCGGUGAGACGACCAUCUAUUCUGACGGUGAGUCGUCCACGGGUGAGACUACUUCAUUAUAUCAAUUGCAAGAUGGCNNNNNNNNNNNNNNNNNNNNNNNNNNNNNNNNNNNNNNNNNNNNNNNNNNNNNNNNNNNNNNNNNNNNNNNNNNNNNNNNNNNNNNNNNNNNNNNNNNNNNNNNNNNNNNNNNNNNNNNNNNNNNNNNNNNNNNNNNNNNNNNNNNNNNNNNNNNNNNNNNNNNNNNNNNNNNNNNNNNNNNNNNNNNNNNNNNNNNNNNNNNNNNNNNNNNNNNNNNNNNNNNNNNNNNNNNNNNNNNNNNNNNNNNNNNNNNNNNNNNNNNNNNNNNNNNNNNNNNNNNNNNNNNNNNNNNNNNNNNNNNNNNNNNNNNNNNNNNNNNNNNNNNNNNNNNNNNNNNNNNNNNNNNNNNNNNNNNNNNNNNNNNNNNNNNNNNNNNNNNNNNNNNNNNNNNNNNNNNNNNNNNNNNNNNNNNNNNNNNNNNNNNNNNNNNNNNNNNNNNNNNNNNNNNNNNNNNNNNNNNNNNNNNNNNNNNNNNNNNNNNNNNNNNNNNNNNNNNNNNNNNNNNNNNNNNNNNNNNNNNNNNNNNNNNNNNNNNNNNNNNNNNNNNNNNNNNNNNNNNNNNNNNNNNNNNNNNNNNNNNNNNNNNNNNNNNNNNNNNNNNNNNNNNNNNNNNNNNNNNNNNNNNNNNNNNNNNNNNNNNNNNNNNNNNNNNNNNNNNNNNNNNNNNNNNNNNNNNNNNNNNNNNNNNNNNNNNNNNNNNNNNNNNNNNNNNNNNNNNNNNNNNNNNNNNNNNNNNNNNNNNNNNNNNNNNNNNNNNNNNNNNNNNNNNNNNNNNNNNNNNNNNNNNNNNNNNNNNNNNNNNNNNNNNNNNNNNNNNNNNNNNNNNNNNNNNNNNNNNNNNNNNNGUUUUGACUGCAUUGCUGGAUAAUUUAACAGCUUUGUUGACAACAGAAGUUAACCCGGCAAAUCAAGCUCAGCACAACGCGGAAGUUGCAAACCUACGAGAUGAGAUAGCAGAACCCAGGGAGGGGUUGAAUGCACAGAACAUUAGGAUGGCUGUGGAACGGGCCGCCCUGGAUGCUCAAGCACAACGGAUUCAGUCAGAGGCCUUCCGGCUUACGAUGGAUCAAAACGCUUCAAAUGAAAUCAUGAGGAGGAGGCACAAGUCUCGUCUACCUCCGCUUUACGAGGCGAGAAACCUCUUUUGCACGCCUAGAGCGGGGACCAGUAACCCGCCAGAGAUAAACUGGGUUGCGGCGCCUGGGGCUGGAGCGCCGGCUCAACCGCGCAUGACGGAGCCACCUCGUCCGAAUAAUACUCCACCUCAGCAUGUGCCGACACCAUCGGGUCAUUAUUCUAAUCCUUUGGAUAAUAUGAUCAUUGUGGCGACACGUUUGGCGGCUCUCCCGGUGGAAGAAGAUUCUCGAGCGGCAGUUGAAACACGGAGGGCUAAGGAGCUUCUUCAAACAACAUUGGUGCAGCAGGAGGCGUACUCUUACAGUCAAGAUAGGAUUCAUUCGACCCCUCGCCCAAGCCGGAGCUAUAGCAGACACAUGGACUCACCAGCCAUUUCAAGCAAUGACUAGCACUGUAACCAGCCGCGCGGGCAUGACCUGACGCGUGAUGGUGCUCAUGCUUGGUCGAUCAGGACAGGGCACGUUGAGAAGCGGAACAGGUGGCUCAGCGGGCGGUUCAUCAAAAACUUUCGGUUUAUCCGACGGCUUCGGUGGAGCGGGUGUAACCUAUAGAACCACAGGUGUACCAUGCUUGGUGUCGGCUCUACGGAAUGAGCGUCCGCCUAAGGAUUUCAAAGGACCUUGCAAGGUACCUAAUUAUACAGCCGACUUACCCCCUGAGGCGUGGAUUGAGAGUUACGAGAUGGCCAUGGAACUGUUGGAAGUCAGCGAUGCUGCGUGUGCCAAAUACUUCACCAUGAUGCUGGAUGGGACGACCUGUACUUGGCUAAAAGGGCUGCCUGCCAAUUCCAUCGGGUCAUGGAAUGAGCUAAAGGCCCGGUUUAUCCAGAACUUUAAAGAUACCUGUAAACAGCCCAUGUCGAUUGUGGAUUUGGAUGCUUGCGUCCAGGAAGAGGGCGAGUCAACAACCCAUUGGGUGUGCCGGGUCAAGGCUAUUCUGCAUUCAUCGGACAACAUCAAUGCCGGCUCAGCAGUCCUAAUGCUAGCAAAAAAAUACCGUUUUUUGACUCUUAAGCGGAAGCUAGGGUGGAUGAAGCGUGAUUGCAAUAACAUGGGGGAGCUGAUGGCGGCUCUAAUGAAAUAUGCCGACUCUGAUGGUACCAAGGACCCCAAGUCUGAUGAUGAAAAACCGGGAAAGGGAAAGAAGAGUGGCAACACCAAGGGUCCACAACAUAACCCAGCGAGUCAGGGGGGCAACGGUAAGCGCAAGGCUAAUGGUAACUCAGAUUUUGUGGCUAAUACCAAUACACAGAAUGAUAGUCAGUGUCGUAAGGGGAGGUUGCCUCCUCGGACCAGUGGAUCAGGUCCCAAUCUUGAGCAGUUGCUGAAUGAGCCCUGCCCAAAGUAUGGCACGAAGGAGAGGCCAGCCACUCACCUUUGGAAAGAUUGUUCAAUUAUGAGGGCUUUCAAAAAUUCUAAUUUAUUCCAGAACAACCAUGGGCCGGGCGGCGGCUCAGGUUCUGGUAGUGGUGGUUCUCAUGGCCCGGGUUACAGUGGUGGCGGUUCUAAUUCCGGCUUCCAGGGUCACCAGAACCAUCAAGGUAAUCGGGGUGGUUACAAUCAACAAUCUGGUCAGGGGGGUCAACAGCAGCAGCAGUUUGGAUAUCAAAGUCAUCUGAAGCAGUUGAAUAGUGGCUAGUAUCACGUUUUCACCACAGGUUUAUGCAAGCGGGAUCAGAAGCUUCAUAAAAGGGUUGUGAACGCCAUUGAACCGGCAGUUCCCCAUUACUUGCGGUGGUCCGAGCAACCCAUUAUGUGGAGUCGAGAGGAUCACCCGCCACGGGUUGAUAAUCCGGGUCACUUGGCUUUGGUGGUAGCGCCUCAAGUUGGUGGAUACAAAUUCACUAAGGUACUCAUGGAUGGAGGUAGCAGCAUUAACAUCCUUUAUUAUGAUACUUUCCGUCGCAUGGGAUUGACUAACAAAAAUCUUAAGCCGUCCAAUACUGUUUUCCACGGAGUGGUGCCUGGUAAGUCGGCGUACCCUAUAGGCAAGAUUGAGCUGGAAGUAGCCUUUGGGGAUGAACAUGAUUCCAGGGCCGAGAAAUUAACCUUUGAAGUGGUCAAUAUUAGAAGCCCGUACCACGCCCUGUUUGGACGACCGGCUUAUGCCAAGUUCAUGGCACGACCUUGCUAUGUUUAUCUACAACUCAAGAUGUCAGGUUACAAGGGAACCAUCACAGUGCAUGGAAGUCGGAAGAUAGCUCUGGAGUGUGAAGAAGGUGAUGCUGCUUAUGCUGAGUCUAUCUGUGCAACAGAGGAGUUGAAGUUUUACAAAGACAAUGUUGAUCCGGCGGAUAUGACAUCUUUGAAAAAGACAACUGUAGAGAAUGAUCCGGUACUGAGUUUAAGUCAGCUGAUGACACUAAGCUAGUUGACUUUGUUCCUGGCGAUUCAUCCAAGCAGUUCAAUAUCAGUGCUAACCUGGAUCCUAAAUAGGAAAGCACGCUCAUCGAGUUCAUCCAUGAGAACGGGACAUCUUUGCAUGGAAACCUUCUGACAUGCUGGGUGUACCGAGGGAACUCGCUGAGCACACUCUUAAUAUUGAUCCAAAGUUUAAGCCGGUCAAGCAAUUCCUUCGUCGCUUUGAUGAGGAGAGGCGUAAAGCCAUUGGUGAAGAAGUGGCCCGACUCUUGGCGGCUGGGUUCAUUGUUGAAGUCUUUCAUCCUGAAUGGUUGGCUAAUCCGGUGCUGGUGCUUAAGAAGAAUGGUACUUGGCGUAUGUGUGUGGACAACACAGAUUUAAACAAGGCAUGUCCGGCUGAUCCUUUUACUCUCCCUCAUAUUGAUCAAAUCAUUGAUGCUACGAUGGGAUGUGAGUGUUUGAGCUUUUUGGAUGCUUACUCUGGUUAUCGUCAUAUCAAGAUGGCAGUUAAGGACCAGGAGAAGACAACUUUUAUCACUCCCUUUGGAGCCUUCUACUAUGUACCUAUGCCUUUUGGGCUCAAGAGUGCCCAGGCAACUUACCAGCGAUGUGUGCAGAAUUGUCUUCACGAUCAGAUUGGGUGCAAUGUUCAUGCUUAUGUGGAUGAUAUUUUGGUGAAAUCCAGAGAGAAGGAAACUUUAGAUGAUUUGAAGGAGACCUUCAACAAUCUCCGGGUCUACAAGAUGAUGCUUAACCCGACCAAGUGUGUUUUUGGUGUGCCAGCGGACAAGCUUUUGGGUUUCCUGGUUUCUAACAGAGGCAUUGAGGCUAACCCGGAGAAGAUCAAAGCCAUUACUUCCUUGGCAAAGCCGGCGUGUAUCAAUGAUGUUCAAAGUCUGGCAGGUCGUAUUGCUGCCUUAAGCCGGUUCAUAAGCUGGUUGGGUGAGAAGGCCAUACCUCUGUACUAGAUGAUGAAGAAAACAGAUGACUUUGUCUGGAGUGAUGCUGCUAAUGACGCGUUUGAAGCGUUGAAAAACAGCUAGCUGAGCCGCCAGUCCUUGCCGCUCUUAUUGAUAAGGAGUCGUUGUUAUUAUAUGUGGGUACUAAUGCCGAGGCUGUCAGUGUAGCCAUUGUGGUGGAACGGAAGGAAGCAGGCAAGGAAUAUCCGGUUCAACGCCCGGUUUACUAUAUCAGUGAAGUUCUUAUUGAGUCCAAGCAAAGGUAUCCACACUAGCAGAAGCUCGUAUACGGGGUGUUCAUGGCGAGUCAGAAGCUUAAACAAUAUUUUCUGGAUCAUCCCAUCACUAUGGUUAGUUCUGCUCCUUUGGGAGAUAUUAUUCAAAACAAAGAAGCCACAGGUCGAGUAGCCAAGUGGGUCAUUGAGCUUGGAACUCAUGGUUUGAACUAUAUGCCUCGCAUGGCCAUCAAGUCUCAAGCACUUGUGGAUUUCAUCAAUGACUGGAUAGAGCUGCAGAUGCCUGAAGAGAAGCCAGAUAACACAUAUUGGACUAUUCACUUUGAUGGUUCCAGGAAAUUGGAGGGCUCGAGGGCUGGAGUUGUCUUAGCUUCCCCUCAAGGUGAAAAGUUUUGUUAUGUCUUAAGGUUGAUGUUUCCCUGUACUAAUAAUGCAGCUGAGCAUGAAGCCUUGCUCCAUGGUCUUCGGAUGGCUAAGGAGAUGAACUUAAGCCGGGUGAGGUGUUUCGGCGACUCAGACUUGGUGGCUCAGCAAGUUUCAGGCACAUGGGACUCUAAGGACCCACUCAUGGUGGCUUAUCGCCGCGAGGUUGAUGCUAUUGCUGGACACUUCAAGGGUUAUCAAGUGGAACACAUUGAUCGCAGGAAAAUGAGGCGGUUGAUGCCUUAAGCCGGUUAGGGUCCCAGCGUAAGCCGGUGCCACCUAACACUUUCUUGGAUAUUCUGCAUAACCCUUCUGUCAAAUUGCCUACAGAGGAAGAUCUGGCUAUUCCUGACCCGGAAGCGCAACUGGUGGCGGCUAUUCACGCUAUUCCUGAUUGGAUAGUCCCGCAUUUGGCUUAUAUGAUCCGGGGCGAGUUACCUGAGGAUGAAACUUUGGCCAGGCAGAUAACCCAGCGGUCUAAGUCAAUGACAAUUUCUAACGGAGAGUUACACCAUCGCAGUGUCACUGGGGCGUUUCAACAUUGCGUUUCUCCUGAAGAGGGCCGUGAAGUUCUUCGCGAGAUUCAUGAAGGAGAUUGUGGUCAUCAUGCCGGCUCAAAAUCUCUUGUGGCUAAGGCUUUUCGUCAUGGGUUUUACUGGCUGACAGCUCAUGCUGAUGCAGAGGAUUUGGUCAGUAAAUGUGAUGGUUGUCAGAAAUUUUCACGACGAGCUCACGUGCCGGCUCAAGAAUUGAGGAUGAUUCCAAUUACUUGGCUGUUUGCAGUUUGGGGGCUUGAUAUGGUUGGGCCUUUUAAAAGGUCCAAGGAUAAAAAGACCCACCUUUUGGUGGCAGUUGACAAAUUCACAAAGUGGGUCGAAGCAGAGCCAGUCAGUAAGUGCGAUGCGGCAACAACGGUUCAAUUUAUCAAAAAGGUGAUUUUUCGCUUUGGUUUUCCUCACAACAUUAUAACUGAUAAUGGCACUAAUCUCUCCAAGGGUGCUAUGAAAGAGUUUUGUCAACGUGAGCAUAUUCGACUCGACGUCUUGUCAGUGGCUCACCCCCAAUCCAAUGGUCAAGCUGAAAGAGCCAAUCAAAAUUUUUUGAGAGGCAUCAAGCCCCGGCUUAUGGUUCCUUUGCAAAGGAUGCCAGGUUGUUGGGGUGGAGGAGUUACCUUCAGUGCUAUGGAGUAUCAAUACUACCCCCAAUAGAUCUACGGGUUACACGCCUUUCUUCAUGGUUUACAGAGUAGAGAAGGUUCUCCCUAGUGACAUCCGUCAUGACUCACCCCGUGUGGCGGCUUAUGUUGAAGCUGAUAAUGAACAAGCACGUCAGGAUGCACUUGACAUGUUAGACGAGGAGCGUGACCUUGCGGCGGCUCGCUCGGAGAUUUACCAACAAGAUCUGUGCCAUUACCACAGCCACCGGGUUAAGUCCAGAACCUUUCAAGAAGGUGACUUAGUGCUCCGGCUCAUCCAGAAUCAAACUGAUAUGCACAAGUUAUCCCCACCUUGGGAAGGACCCUUUGUGGUCAGCAAGAACUUGAACAAUGGGUCAUACUACCUUAUCGAUAUUCGAGAGCACAAGGACUAACGUAAGUCAGAGGAGGAGACCUGCCAGCCGUGGAAUAUUGCUCAUCUUCGUCCUUACUACACUUGAGCCAUCAGCUCUUAUGAUGUACAUAUUUUGACAAUGUAUAUAUUAUGAUGAUUAUAAUAAAGCCAGCAUCCCUGAUAAAGCAGGGCCUCUAUCAUUUCAUCUUCAAGAAUAAUGAGUCCUUUUCAUCAUAAUUUCAAUGGUUAUUUGGGGCUUCCUAUUCAAAGAUAGGUGUAUUCACAAAAGAGAACAUAGAUGUCGGUACCCUCUUGAUCGACGCAAUGCCAAAACUUAUGGUCACUUGGGGGCUUCCUGUUCAAACAUAGGUGUAUUCACCAAAGAGAACAUAGCUGUCGGUACCCUGUUGAUCGGCGCAAUGCCAAAACUUAUGGUCACUUGGGGGCUUCCCAUUCAAACAUAGGUGUAUUCACCAAAGAGAACAUAGUUGUCGGUACCCUCUUGAUCGGCGUAAUGCCAAAAUUUAUGGUCACUAGGGGGCUUCCUGAUCAUAUUUGAAUCAUAGCUGUCGGUACCCUUUUGAUCGGCUCAAUGCCACAAACCACUUGGGGGCUUCCUGAUCAUAUUCAAAUCAUAGCUAUAAAUAACCCUUUUGGUCCGGCUUCCUCUCGUAUUUGAAGCAUAGCCUCGUUUUCUCGUUUUUGCUUGGUUUUUUGAACAUUUUUUGGUUCAUCUUGAUGCCAGCUUGAUAUAUGGUUUAAAGUGAUUCAGGCCAUAUAGCCUCAAUUUUCAGAGCUCAUAUUUGAAGCAUAUCUGUGGUUUCUGUUAACCCGACCUGGAUUUGGAUGAUAAGUCGCCAACAUAUGACAAUAUUAAAUACUUGGAAGUAUUGGCUUAUAAAGUUUUGGGUUAUCACCCUUACUGCAUUGGUAUCAUAAGCCAGCAGUAUGAUUCAAUAUCACAGGUAUGAUAUUUUUGUUAUGAUUAUGUCUAAUUAUGACCGAACCGACCCCAUUUAUAAACUGUUUUACACAUCAGUUAUUAUAUAUGGGAUGUUAUGACCCGCCCUGCAGUAAACCGCCAGGGCUCUUGUGAUCUACUUGUGUGUAGACUAGGACUAAAUUUCAUCUGCAUAAAUCAACGCCAUCAUAAAGGAUAUAAUGAUAAUUUUCAAGUGGCGGAUCAAACAGUACUGGGCAAAACAUAAACGUGCAUGAUGGUACGACAGAGCAAAGUUUUACUAGCCUAUUACAUGACUCAAGGAGCCAAAUGAUUAAGUGUUUUCAGAAGACCAAAUAUAUAAACCGCCCGGCGGGUCAAUCUUCUUGGGUCUCACGGUUUGAAGCUUUUGGAUCGUCCUUCUCUGCUUCUUCGUCCUCUUCUACUGCCUGGAAGUUUGGUGAUGACCAGUCAAUGCCACUCAAGGCUUGGAAUUCAGCUUCAUCAUCUAUAAGCUCAGACGGGUCAACUUCAGGAGCAAAAGUGUGCUUACGGAUUGGGGGAAUUAGAUCCAUCACUUUAUAAGACGGUGUAGGGGGCUUAUGAUUUUCCAUGUCAUAAGCCGGUUGAUAUCUAGAAAGAUCCGUUUCAUUGGCAAUCAGGCUGGCCAAGGGACGUAUCUCCUUCACGCAGGCGGCCAAGUCCUUCUUAUCAAAGGGAGUGCCAUCUUCUUUCAAUCUUGGGUACCCGGUAGAUAUAUUGGUCGGGUCUAGCUCUGGUAGCCAUGCUUUGGCCUGGCUUAAAGCUGUCACAGCGCCGACUCUUGCAGAUGAUCGCUUCAUUUCACUAAACCUCUCAGGCAGAACAGAAAGCUUCCUCAAGACAUCAACCAAGAAAGUAGGUGCUUGAUUAGCCGGAGAAAUUGUGGCCAGUGCACGCUGAGUCCCAGUAUAGUGCUGCUCGACAAGUGUAUAAACAGCUUUUAGCUUCACAAGUAUCUCUUGGCUAAGAUUGGUGCUCCUGGGACCUGAAUAAUAACCAUGAGUUGGUUAGACACGGUUUAUACCAUCAAAGAAGAGAUUCAACUUUGAUAACUAGCAAGGCGACUUACCAAAGAUAGCAGACACCAUCUGAGCCACAUGGCAUUUUAAGCUGGUAAGCUCAGUGGUCACCUCCUGAAGAGCCGUCUCUGCCUUCUCAGCCCUCUGUAUCAAAGCGGUCUUUUCUUCAGCCCAGAUGUUUCCUUCAACCUCAAAACUGCUCUUCAUCUUUUCUGUUUCAACCAUGCUAAACUGGAAUUUUGAGUCGGCCUUCCAGGUCUCAGAUUCUUGCUGCUCAAGCCUAGCUUUCACUUCCGUUAAUUGUGAUUCAAGUUGAGCAGUGGUGGCCUAUAUAUACACCAGUUCAAAGUUAAGCUUAGAUUUAGAUUACAGAAAUAAAGUCCCAAGACUUUUGCAAGCAACAACACUUGGCACUUGGGGGCAAAUGCGUGCCGAAACAGUAUUCAUACAAGGGCUCAUGUGAAUAAGUCCCAAGCACUUUGCAAGCAAGAAUACUUGGCACUUGGGGGCUAAUGCGUAUUGCUUGUCUUUAUACUACUUUAUGAUGACCCGGUCGUGCCGCAAACGGUCACAACCGGUUCAUGAGGGCUACACAAGUAAGUUCUGCUUUAUACACAAAGGACCGGCUAGUUCAUGCUGAUUACACCGGCCCUUGGGGGCUACAGAUUUAGUGUUAAUCAUUAUAGAUCUCCUUUAACCCGGAGAGUGUAAGUCGGAUUUUGACGGGUUCUAUCAAAAGAUAUUAUUUAUACUCAUAGUUAAUCUAAGUCUACAACAUAUUCAAUUCCCUCAUAAACAGUAGACUUGGGAGCUGACAAGAAGUGCAUAACUCAAUAAAGGAGUUCAUACCUCAAAUUUUUGAUGCAUCUGCCUCACCAUGUCAACUUCAAGAUCACGGUUGGUGUGCGCUUGAUUGAGAUAGCCAGAAUAUACUUCACCAAUGCUCAGUUGAGAGUAGUUGGCUACAUCAAAUCUCACUUUUCGCCGUUCAAGGUGUUCUUCCUUGGCGGAGUGCUUGGCCAAGACAGUAGUUCUUCGCGGCUCUCUAAAGCCGGUGUUGGUAAUCACCACAUCAUCAUCAUGUGCCUCAGCCGUUUUAAUUGGGCUUGAGGAUUCAGUGUUCAAAGGAUCAUUAUUUGCCUGAUCAAUAGAAGGGUCAGGAGUCAUUGGUGGAACGUCAAGAACCGAUUCUUCUGGUUGAGGGAUGGAAGUUUCAGGUGCGGGAACUUGUUGCUCCGGUUCACUGACUUUGGGGUCUUCAGCCGGCUUUGUCACCCGUGCCUUCUUGCUAGGCUUGGCCUUUCCACUACAUGGGUUAUGACAGGUCAGUAAAAAUAUAAAGGAGCAUAAGAAGCAAAUAAUAAAAAUUUAUUAUUACCCAGGAGCACUUUUGAAAGCUGGCAGAUGGGAUUGUGAUGAGUCACCGGAAGAGGAGCGAGACGUCUUCUGGUAAUUUGAAUCAGAAGAAUUAAGUGGUCGGCGGAUGAGACCCGCCAGAGGUUAAGAAUAGUUUAAAUCAGGGAUGACCUCGUUUUAGCGUUUCCCUGGAGUGUUCAGUAAGCUGGAUAAUUCUCCAUCACCACUGGUCCGAGUCUGUCGCCAGCUCUCGUGUUGCUGUUGCUUCAAAAGAAAGUGAUGAUCCAGAUGAGCUAAGGGGUGUGAAAAGCUUACUUUCUGGGUUACUCUUCGAAUUUUCUGUCUUGGCUCAGAGUCAGAGGAAAUGAUAGUUACCUCUUCCUUGAUUGCUUGGCUGGCCCUUGUGUCAUCCUGAUGAUAAUCAAUAUCAAUAAGGUAGUUGAAAAAGGAGCCAAGAGAAUCAAGAGCUACCUCCGACUCAGAGCUGUCGGCCAGUUCAAACAGCUCAGAAGUACUGGUUUUCUUCCUAUUCUUCUUGGCAGUUUUCUUGGCGGCUUUCUUGGCAGCCCUGGCCCUCUUGGCAGCUUCAUGGUCAUACUUCUUCUUCCAAAAAUCAUCAUCAUCCUGUGAAAGUAAUAGAAGUUGAGCUAAUAGAAGAUUUGAACGAUGAAGGUAAAGUAAGUAAUUUAAAUACUCACCUUUGGUGUCGGGUUAAGUGAGCAGAAAGGGUUUAGACCCACUUUGCUACAGUCAGCCGGGUCUUCAUUCAAAAGGGACUUUGUCAUUUCAUUGAUGGUAGCAUCAGUUAAGCGCAUGGAGCUGUGGCGUAGGGGAUCCUUUUUACCACCCAUGUAAGUAUACAUUAAGCUGGUUCGGCGGCUCAAAGGUAUGAUCCACCAAGCAACCCAGCAUCAAACCAAAUCAAUGCAAGUUAAGCUGUUUCCCAGCAGAGCCUUGACCCUUGCAAUGGUGGGGGCGAGUUUUUUACGUUCAGUAGCGGUCAGCUUAUCAGGAAGUUGACGUUUUGAGUCAAUACGCUGGGUACGGUAACCCGACAAUGGAUUCUCGUUAGCCGGAGAAGUAUCUUGGCAAUAAAACCAUGUUUGGUACCAAUCUUUUGGGUGACUCGGCAAGCAAGCGUAGGGGAAGAUGGCAUCUCUUCUCCGUUGAAUUGAGAUUCCACCAAGUUCCAAGCUGGGUCCAUUCGUAUACUCAUUUUGGCGGUUCAAAUUAAAAUAUUCCCUGAACAGUUCGACACUAGGCUCCUCCUAAAGGUAUACUUCACAGAAAACCUGGAAGUUGCAGAUGUUUGUGAAGGAAAUAUGCCCUAGAGGCAAUAAUAAAGUUAUUAUUUAUUUUCUUAUUUCAUGAUAAAUGUUUAUUAUUCAUGCUAGAAUUGUAUUAACCGGAAACAUGAUACAUGUGUGAAUACAUAGACAAACUGAGUGUCACUAGUAUGCCUCUACUUAACUAGCUCAUUAAUCAAAGAUGGUUAUGUUUGCUAGCCAUGGACAAAGAGUUGUCAUUUGAUUAACGGGAUCACAUCAUUAGGAGAAUGAUGUGAUUGACUUGACCCAUUCCAUUAGCUUAGCACCUGAUCAUUUAGUAUGUUGCUAUUGCUUUAUUCAUGACUUAUACAUGUUCCUAUGACUAUGAGAUUAUGCAACUCCCGUUUACCGGAGGAACACUUUGUGUGCUACCAAACGUCACAAUGUAACUGGGUGAUUAUAAAGGUGCUCUACUGGUGUCUCCAAAGGUACUUGUUGGGUUGGCGUAUUUCGAGAUUAGGAUUUUUCACUCUGAUUGUCGGAGAGGUAUCUCUGGGCCCACUCGGUAAUGAACAUCAAUAUAAGCCUUGCAAGCAUUGCAACUAAUGAGUUAGUUGCGGGAUGAUGUAUUACAGAACGAGUAAAGAGACUUGCGGGUAACGAGAUUGAACUAGGUAUUGAGAUACCGACGAUCGAAUUUCGGGCAAGUAACAUACCGAUGACAAAGGGAACAACGUCUGUUGUUAUGCGGGUUUGACCGAUAAAGAUCUUCAUAGAAUAUGUGGGAGCCAAUAUGAGCAUCCAUGUUCCGCUAUUGGUUAUUGACCGGAGACGUGUCUCGGUCAUGUCUACAUAGUUCUCGAACCCAUAGGGUCCACACACUUAAAGUUCGAUGACGGUUAUAUUAUGAGUUUAUGUGUUUUGAUGUACCUAAGGCAGUUCGGAGUCCCGGAUGAGAUCGGAGACAUGACGAGGAGUCUCGAAAUGGUCGAGACGUAAAGAUCGAUAUAUUGGAUGACAAUAUUCGGACAUCGGAAAGGUUCCGAGUGAUUCAGGUAUUUAUCGGAGUACCGGAGAGUUACGGGAAUUCGUCGGGGAGAAGUAUUGGGCCUUAUUGGGCCAUAUGGGAAAGAGAGAGGGGCUGCCUAGGGCAGGCCGCGCACCCCCCCCCCAAGGCCUAGUCCGAAUUGGACUAGGGGGAGGGGCUGUGCCCCCUCCUUCCUUCCCUUCUUUCUUCCCUUUCCUUGACUCCUACUCCUACUACAUGGAGGGGGGGGAUCCUACUUUCGGUGGGAGUAGGACUCCCCAGGGCGCGCCAUAGAGAGGGCCGGCCCCUCCCCUCCUCUCGUCCUUUAUAUACUGAGGCAAGGGGCACCCCAUAGACACAACAAUUGAUCCCUUGGAUUUCUUAGCCGUGUGCGGUGCCCCCCUCCACCAUAAUCCACCUCGAUAAUAUCGUAGUGGUGCUUAGGCGAAGCCCUGCGUCGGUAGAACAUCAUCAUCGUCACCACGCCGUCGUGCUGAUGGAACUCUCCCUCAAAGCUCGGCUGGAUCGGAGUUCGAGGGACGUCAUCGAGUUGAACGUGUGCUGAACUCGGAGGUGCCGUGCGUUCGGUACUUGAUCGGUCGGAUCGUGAAGAUGUACGACUACAUCAACUGCGUUGUGCUAACGCUUCCACUUUCGGUCUACGAGGGUACGUGGACACACUCUCACCUCUCGUUGCUAUGCAUCACCAUGAUCCUGUGUGUGCGUAGGAUUUUUUUUGAAAUUACUAAGUUCCCCAACAGUGGCAUCCGAGCCUGGUUUUAUGUGUAGAUGUUAUAUGCACGAGUAGAACACAAGUGAGUUGUGGGCCAUACAAGUCAUACUGCUUACCAACAUGUCAUACUUUGGUUCGGCGGUAUUGUUGGAUGAAGCGGCCCGGACCGACAUUACGCGUACGCUUACGCGAGACUGGUUCUACCGACGUGCUUUGCACUUAGGUGGCUGGCGGGUGUCAGUUUCUCCAACUUUAGUUGAACCGAGUGUGGCUACGCCCGGUCCUUGAGAAGGUUAAAACAUCACUAACUUGACAAAAUAUCGUUAUGGUUUUGAUGCGUAGGUAAGAACGGUUCUUGCUCAGCCACGUAAAACUUGCAACAAUAAAGUAGAGGACGUCUAACUUGUUUUUGCAGGGCAUGUUGUGAUGUGAUAUGGUCAAGACGUGAUGAGAUAUAAGUUGUUGUAUGAGAUGAUCAUGUUUGGUUGAAGUUAUCGGCAACUGACAGAAGCCUUAUGGUUGUCUCUUUAUUGCAUAAGAUGCAAGCGCCAAAUAAUUGCUUUACUUUAUCGCUAUGCGAUAGCAAUAGUUGCAAGAGCAAUAGUUGGCGAGACGACCAUGUGAUGACACAUUGAUAUAGAUCAAGAUGAUGGAGAUCAUGGUGUCAUGCCGGUGACGAUGGAGAUCAUGACGAUGCUUUGGAGAUGGAGAUCAAAGGCACAAGAUGAUGAUGGCCAUAUCAUGUCACAUAUUUUGAUUGCAUGUGAUGUUUAUAUUUUAUACAUCUUAUUUUGCUUUGAUUGACGAUAGCAUUAUAAGAUGAUCUCUCACUAAAUUUCAAGAUAAAAGUGUUCUCCCUGAGUAUGCACUGUUGCCAAAGUUCGUCGUGCCCAGACACCAGGUGAUGAUCGGGUGUGAUAAGCUCUAUGUCCAUCUACAACGGGUGCAAGCCAGUUUUGCACACGCAGAAUACUCGGGUUAAACUUGACGAGCCUAGCAUAUGCAGAUAUGGCCUCGGAACACUGAGACCGAAAGGUCGAGCGUGAAUCAUAUAGUAGAUAUGAUCAACAUAGUGAUGUUCACCAUUGACAACUACUCCAUUUCACGUGAUGAUCGGUUAUGGUUUAGUUGAUUUGGAUCACGUGAUCACUUAGAUGAUUAGAGGGAUGUCUAUCUAAGUGGGAGUUCUUAAAGUAAUAUGAUCAAUUGAACUUUAAUUUAUCAUGAACUUAGUCCUGGUAGUAUUUUGCAUGUCUAUGUUGUUGUAGAUCAAUAGCUUGCAUUGUUGCUUCCCUAUGUUUUUAUAUAUGUUCCUAGAGAAAAUUAUGUUGAAAGAUGAUAGUAGCAAUGAUACGGACUAGGUCCGUGAUCUGAGGUGUAUCCUCAUUGCUGCAUAGAAGAAUUAUGUCCUUGAUGCACCGUUAGGUGACAGACCUAUUGCAGGAGCAGAUGCAGACGUUAUGAACAUUUGGCUAGCUCAAUAUGAUGACUACUUGAUAGUUUAGUGCACCAUGCUUAACGGCUUAGAAUCGGGACUUCAAAGACGUUUUGAACGUCAUGGACCAUAUGAGAUGUUCUAGGAGUUGAAGUUAAUAUUUAAAGCAAAUACCCGAGUAGAGAGAUAUGAAGUCUCCAACAAGUUCUAUAGAUAAAAGACGGAGGAGAAUUGCUCAACUACUGAGCAUGUGCUCAGAUUGUCUGGGUACUACAAUCGCUUGAAUCAAGUGGGCGUUAAUCUUCCAGAUAAGAUAGUGAUUGACAGAGUUCUCUAGUCACCAUCACCAAGUUACUAGAACUUCGUGAUGAACUAUAGUAUGCAAGGGAUGACAAAAACGAUUCCCGAGCUCUUCGUGAUGUUGAAACCGACGAAGGUAGAAAUCAAGAAAGAGCAUCAAGUGUUGAUGAUUGACAAGACCACUAGUUUCAAGUAAAUGGCAAAGGUAAAGAAAGGGAAACUUCAAGUAGAAUGGCAAGCAAGUUGUCGCUCCCGUGAAGAAUCCCAAAGCUGGACCAAAGCCUGAAACUGAGUGCUUCUACUGCAAAGGAAAUGGUCACUGGAAGCGUAAAUGCCCUGAAUAUUUGGUGGAUAAGAAGAAUGGCAAAGUGAACUAGGGUAUAUUUGAUAUACAGGUUAUUGAUGUGUACCUUACUAGUGUUUAUAGUAUCCCCUGUGUAUUUGAUACUUGUUCGAUUGCUAAAAAUUAGUAACUUGAAACAGGAGUUACAGAAUAAACAGAGACUAGUUGAGGGUGAAGUGACGAUGUGUGUUGGAAGUGGUUCCAAGAUUUAUAUGAUCAUCAUCGCACACUCCCUAUACUUUCAGGAUUAGUGUUAAACCUAAAUAAAUGUUAUUUGGCAUUUGCGUUGAGCAUGAAUAUGAUUUGAUCUUGUUUAUUGCAAUACGGUUAUUCAUUUAAAAGUCAGAGAAUAAUUGUUGUUCUGUUUACAUGAAUAAAACCUUCGAUGGUCAUACACCCAAUGAAAAUAGUUUGUUGGAUCUCGAUCGUAGUGGUACACAUAUUCAUAAUAUUGAUGCCAAAAGAUGCAAAUUUGAUAAUUAUAGUGCAACAUAUUUAUGGCACUGCCGUUUGGGUCAUAUCGGUGUAAAGCGCAUGAAGAAACUCCAUAAAGAUGGAUUUUUUGAAUCAUUUGAUUAUGAAUCAUUUGUUGCUUGCGAACCGUGCCUUAUGGGCAAGAUGGCUAAAACUCCGUUCUCCGGAACAAUGGAACGAGCUAGUGACUUAUUGGAAAUAAUACAUACUGAUGUAUACGGUCCAAUGAGUAUUGAUGCUCGUGGCGGGUAUCGUUAUUUUCUGACCUUCACAAGAUGAUUUGAGCAAAUAUGAGUAUAUCUACUUAAUGAAACACAAGUCUGAAACAUUUGAAAAGUUCGAAGAAUUUCAGAGUGAAGUGGAGAAUCAUUGUAACAAGAAAAUAAAGUUUCUACCAUCUGAGUGUGGAGGAGAAUAUUUGAGUUAUGAGUUUGGCCUUCAUAUAAAACAAUGUGGAAUAGUUUCAUAGUUCACACCACCUGGAACACCACAACAUUAUGGUGUGUCCGAACAUCGUAACCGCACUUUAUUGGAUAUUGUGCGACCUAUGAUGUCUCUUAUCGGUUUACCACUAUCAUUUUGGGGUUAUGCAUUAGAGACAGUAGCAUUCACUUUAAAUAGGGCACCAUCGAAAUCUGUUGAGACGACGGCUUAUGAACAGUGGUUUGGCAAGAAACCAAAGUUAUCGUUUCUUAAAGUUUGGGGCUGCGAUGCUUAUGUGAAAAAGUUUCAACCUGAUAAGCUCGAACCUAAAUCGGAGAAGUGCGUCUUCAUAGAAUACCCAAAGGAAACUGUUGGGUACACCUUCUAUUACAGAUCCGAAGGCAAGAUAUUCGUUGCUAAGAUGGAUCCUUUCUAGAAAAGGAGUUUCUCUCGAAAGAAGUGAGUGGGAGGAAAGUAGAACUUGAUGAGGUAAUUGUACCUUGUCCCUUAUUGGAAAGUAGUUCAACACAAAAGAUAGUUCCAGUGAUUCCUACAUCAAUUAGUGAGGAAGUUAAUGAUGAUGAUCAUGAAACUUCAGAUCAAGUUGCUACCUGAUACGUCUCCAACAUAUCUAUAAUUUUUGAUUGUUCCAUGAUAUUAUUUUACCUGUUUUGGAUGUUUAUGGGCUUUAUUUUAUACAUUAUUAUCAUUUUUGGGACUAACCUACUAACCGGAGGCCCAGCCCGUAUUGCUGUUUUUUUGCCUAUUUCAGUAUUUCGAAGAAAAGGAAUAUCAAAUGGAGUCCAAACGGAAUUAAACCUUUGGGAGCAUGAUUUUUGGAACGAACGUGAUCCAGAGGACGUGGAGUGCAAGUCAAAAAACAACCGGAGCCUCCACGAGAUAGGAGGGCGCCCCCCUGUAGGGCACGCCCCCUGUCUCGUGGGCCCCUCGGGCGUCCACCGACAUACUUCUUCCUCUUAUAUAAGUCUACGUACCCCGAAAACAUCCAGGAGCCACCUGAAGAAAUAUUUACGCCACCGUAACCUUUUGUAUCCGUGAGAUCCCAUCUUGGAGCCGUCGUCGGCGUUCUGCCAGAGGGGGGAUCCACCACGGAGGGCUUCUACAUCAACAUCCUUGCCCCUCCAAUGAGUUGUGAGUAGUUUACCACAGACCUACGGGUCCAUAGUUAUUAGCUAGAUGACUUCUUCUCUCUUUUUGGAUCUCAAUACAAUGUUCUUCCCCUCUCUUGUGAAGAACUAUCCGAUGUAAUCUCUUUUUGCAGUGUGUUUGUCAAGAUCCGAUGAAUUGUGGGUUUAUGAUCAGAUUUAUCUAUGGAUAAUAAUUGAAUCUUCUCUGAAUUCUUUUAUAUGAUUGAGUUAUCUUUGCAAGUCUCUUCGAAUUAUCGGUUUGGUUUGGCCUACUAGAUUGAUCUUUCAUGGGAGAAGUUCUUAGCUUUGGGGUCAAUCUUGCGGUGUUCUUACCCAGUGACAGAAAGAGUUGCAAGACACGUAUUGUAUUGUUGCCAUCGAGGAUAAAAAGAUGGGGUUUAUAUCAUAUUGCUUGAGUUUAUCCCUCUACAUCAUGUCAUCUUGCUUAAUGCGUUACUCUGUUCUUAUGAACUUAAUACUCUAGAUGCAUGCUGGAUAGCGGUCGAUGUGUGGAGUAAUAGUAGUAGAUGCAGGCAGGAGUCGGUCUACUUGUUGCGGACGUGAUGCCUAUAUACAUGAUCAUGCCUAGAUAACGUCAUAAUUAUUCACUUUUCUAUCAAUUGCUUGACAGUAAUUUGUUCACCCACCGUAAUACUUAUGCUCUCGAUAGAAGCCUCUAGUGAAACCUAUGCCCCCCGGGUCUAUCUCUUAUCAUAUUUGCUUUCAAUCUACUUUUAUUUGCAUCUUUAUUUUCUGCAUCUAUAUUAUAAAAUACCAAAAAUAUAUUUAUCUUAUCAUACUAUCUCUAUCAGAUCUCACUUUCGCAAGUGGCCGUGAAGGGAUUGAGAACCCCUUUAUCGCGUUGGUUGCAAGUUCUUUGUUUGUUUGUGUAGGUUCGUGGGACUUGUUGAGAAGCCUCCUACUGGAUUGAUACCUUGGUUCUCAAAAACUGAGGGAAAUACUUACGCUACUGUGCUGCAUCACCCUCUCCUCUUCAAGGAAAACCAACGCAAGCUCAAGACGUAGAAAGAAGGAUUUCUGGCGCCGUUGCCGGGGAGGUCUUUGCUCAAGUCAAGACAUACCAAGUACCCAUCACAAACUCAUCUCCCUCGCAUUUACAUUAUUUGCCAUUUGCCUCUCGUUUUCCUCUCCCCCACCUCACCCUUGCCGUUUUAUUCGCCCUCUCUUUCCCAAUCUCAUCUCUUUUGCUUGUCUUUUUGUUUGCUCAUGUCUCCAUAUGCCUUCUAUGUGCUUGCAUCUUUGCUUGCUAAAAAUCUAUUGAUAUGGAUCCACUUAAAGUGUUCUACUUGGAUCAUCUUCGAUCCUUAUGCGCUCGUGCUGAAACCCCAACUAGCCUAGUUGAUGGGAAAUCUUUAGAUGAGCAUGCUCAUUUUGUGCAUCAUCGUUUGUCUGAAAAAGGGAAGGUAUUAUGGUUUCAUAUAAACAGUUUGCUAUGCUAUGCUUGGAAUCUUUGUGAAAUUUGUGAUUUUUCUUGUUGCUCUAAGAACCCUAAAAAACACCUUCUCUACCUAUGUGAGUUCAAUGAUAAUGAAAUUUUAUCUUCUUAUGCAAAGGGUGUUUAUAGUUACUAUGAUAUCGAACAAAUUGAAGAAUUUGUCGUUUUUAAGGGUGCUCAUGAAGUUUCUUCUUUGAUUGAAAAGUAUGAUUUUACUCUUAACAAGUCUGAAAAUUCUGUCAUACUUAAAUAUUGCAAUGAAAACUUUGCUCAUAAUGUCCAUGUCCAAGAUUUUAUUGAAAGAAUGACCCUUGCUUUGGAAGAAAAUAAUGAUAUGCAUGAAUCUAUAGAUUAUGAUGAUUCCGAUGAUUUGGUUGAAAUAUACCUUGACGAACAUGAUGCUUGCUAUUCUUGUGGCCAUGAUGCCAAUAUUUAUGAAGACGAAUUUGCUAUAGUUCCUUAUGUUAAACAUGAGAUCGUUGCUAUUGCACCCAUACUUAGUAGUUCCUUCAAUGAAAAGCAUGAUUGCAAUGAUGUUACUAUAAAGUCUCUUGAUGUCAAUUGUGCUAAUAAUAUGCAAAACCCUAAGCUUGGGGAUGCUAGUUUUGCUAUGUCUACUACUUGUUGCAAUGAUCAUGAUUGGGGUGAUUCUUCUUAUGAUCGUGAAAAUUUAUUCAAGCCCCAUGAUGAAUAUGAGAUUGAUAAUAAUGUUUGCGAUAAUAUUGAAUGUGGGUUUGUAAGAGUGUCAACUUUAGAUCCCACAUAUUUGGAUAAUGUUUAAUCUUAUGAAGUUUUUGAUAAAAGUGGGUUUGGAGAGGUCAUGACUUUAGUUAACGUUAAUCCCACUAUUUUGGAAGAGUGACAACUUUGCAUGCAUGUGGAUUGUGUUGAGAAUAUGUUAUGUGAUAGCUAUUUUGUUGAAUUUUCUUAUGAUCCCGCAUGUAAUUAUUAUGAGAGAGGAAAAUAUGGUUGUAGAAAUUUUCAUGUUACUAAGUUACCUCUCGUUAUGUUGAAAUUGCUAUUGUUUCUUUCCGCUUCCUUGCAUAUGCUAGUUUUUGCUUGCUAUGAUAAUUUGUUUUCCUAUAAGAUGCCUAUGCAUAGGAAGUAUGUUAGACUUAGAUGUGUUUGUCACAUGUUUCAUGAUGCUCUCUUUGCGCUUCAACUCUUGUCUCUCAUGUGAGCAUCAUUGAUAUCUCAAUGCCUAGCUAGAGGCGUUAAACGAUAGCGCUAGUUGGGAGGCAACCCAAUUUUCUUUGUGUUCUUUGUUUUUGUUCCUGUUUAGUGUUAAAUUUUGUUUCUACUUUCUGUUUAUAUGUGUUUUCAUGUUUUAUUUAGUGUUUGUGCCAAGUAGAACCUAUAGGAUAACCUAUGAUGAUAGUUGAUUUGAUUCUGCUGAAAAACAGAAACUUUGCGCUCACGAGAAAAACUUCAAUAAAUCACAGGAACGAGAUUUUUCGUUGAUUCUUUUUUCUGCUGUUCAAUAAACAAAUUGGUUAGGACUUCCUAUUUUGGUAGGAUUUUUAUAGUUCCAGAAGUUUGUGUUAGUUACAGAUUGCUACAGACUGUUCUGUUUUUGACAGAUUCUGUUUUUCGUGUGUUGUUUGCUUAUUUUGAUGCAUCUAUGGCUAGUAAAAUAGUUUAUGAACCAUAGAGAACUUGGAAUAUAGUAGGUUUAACACCAAUAUAAAUAAAGAAUGAGUUCAUUACAGUACCUUAUGUGGUGGUUUUGUUUUCUUUCACUAACGGAGCUUAUAAGAUUUCCUGUUGAGUUUUGUGUUGUGAAGUUUUCAAGUUUUGGGUAAAGCUUUUAUGGACUAUGGAAUAAAGAGUGGCAAGAGCCUAAGCUUGGGGAUUCCCAAGGCACCCCAAGAUAUUCAAGGAUAGCCAAAAGUCUAAGCUUGGGGAUGCCCCCGGAAGGCAUCCCCUCUUUCGUCUUCGUUCAUUGGUAACUUUACUUGGAGCUAUAUUUUUAUUCACCACAUGAUAUGUGUUUUGCUGGGAGCAUCGUGUAUUAUAUUGGUCUUUGCUUGUUAGUUUACCACAAUCAUCCUUGCUGUAACACACCUUUUUGGAGAAUCCUAUUUGCUUAGGAUUUGAUAGAAUACUCUAUGUGCUUCACUUAUAUCUUUUGAGCUUGAUAGUUUUUGCUCUAGUACUUCACUUAUAUCUUUUAGAGCACGGUGGUAGAUUAAUUUUGAAGAAAUUUCUAGUCUCUCCUGCUUCGCUUAUAUUAUUUUGAGAGUCUUUUAUAACAGCAUGGUAUUUUCUAUGGUCAUAACAUUGGUCCUAGAAUGAUGAACAUCCAAGUUGGGUAUUAAUAAAAACUAUCAUAGAAAGUGAAUUGGAUGCUAUGAUCAAUUUGAUGCUUGAUAAUUGUUUUGAGAUAUGGAGGUAGUGAUAUUAAAGUCAUGCUAGUUGGGUGAUUAUGAAUUUAAAGAAUACUUGUGUUGAAGUUUGUGAUUCCCGUAGCAUGCACGUAUGGUGAACCGCUUUGUGAUGAAGUUGGAGCACAAUUUUAUUUAUUGAGUGUCUUCCUUAUGAGUGGCAGUCGGGGACGAGCGAUGGUCUUUUCCUACCAAUCUAUCCCACUAGGAGCAUGCGCGUAGUGCUUUGGUUUUUGAUGACUUCUAAAUUUUUGCAACAAGUAUAUGAGUUCUUUUGACUAAUGUUGAGUCCAUGGAUUAUACGCACCCUUUCACCCUUCCAUUAUUGCUAUCCUCUCUUGUAACGUGCAACCUUCACCGGUGCCAUACACCCACCAUAUACCUUCCUCCAAACAGCCACCAUACCUACCUAUUAUGGCAUUUCUAUAGCCAUUCCGAGAUAUAUUGCCAUGCAACUUUCCAUCGUUCCGUUCAUAUGACACGCAUUACUUUUGUCAUAUUGCUCUUUGCAUGAUCAUCUAGUUGACAUUGUAUUUGUGGCAAGGCCACCUUCAUAAUCUUCAUACAUGUCACUCUUGAUUCAUUGCAUAUUCCGGUACACCGCCGGAGGCAUUCAUAUAGAGUCAUACCUUGUUCUAGUUUUGAGUUGUAAAUCCAUAAAAGUGUGAUGAUCUUCAUUAUUAGAGCAUUGUCCUAGCGUGGAAAGGAUGAUGAAGACUAUGAUUCCCCCACAAGUCGGGAUGAGACUUCGGACUUUACAAAAAGAAAAAAAAAGAAAAAAAGAGAAAGGCCAAAAAAAAGGGGAAGGCCAAAGGAAAAAAAGGAAAAAAAGAAAAGGAAAAAAAGAAAAAGGAAAAAAAAUAAAAUGAGAGAAAAAGAGAGAAGGGACAAUGCUACUAUCUCUUUUUCCACACUUGUGCUUCAAAAUAGCACCAUGAUCUUCAUGAUAGAGAGUCUCAUAUUUUGUCACUUUCAUAUACUAGUGGGAAUUUUUCAUUAUAGAACUUGGCUUGUAUAUUCCAAUGAUGGGCUUUCUCAAAAUGCCCUAGGUCUUCGUGAGCAAGCAAGUUGGAUGCACACCCACUAGUUUUCUUUUGUUGAGCUUUCAUAUAUUUAUAGCCCUAGUGCAUCAGUUGCAUGGCAAUCCCUACUCACUCACAUUGAUAUCUAUUAAUGGGCAUCUCCAUAGCCCGUUGAUACGCCUAGUUGAUGUGAGACUAUCUUCUCCUUUUUUGUCUUCUCCACAACCACCAUUCUAUUCCACAUAUAGUGCUAUGUCCAUGGCUCACGCUCAUGUAUUGCGUGAAUGUUGAAAGAGUUUGAGAUUAUUAAAGUAUGAAACAAUUGCUUGACUUGUCAUCGGGGUUGUGCAUGAUUAAAUACUUUGCGUGAUGAAGAUAGAGCAACAGCCAAACUAUAUGAUUUUGUAGGGAUAACUUUCUUUGGCCAUAUUAUUUUGAGAAGACAUGAUUACUUUGCUUAGUAUGCUUGAAGUAUUACUAUUACUUUUGUCAAUAUGAACUUUUAUUUUGUAUUAUUUGGAUCUGAACAUUCAUUCCACAAUAAAGAAAAUUACAUUGAGAAUUAUGCUAGGUAGCAUUCCACAUCAAAAAUUUCUUUUUUAUCAUUUACCUACUCGAGGACGAGCAGGAAUUAAUCUUGGGGAUGCUUGAUACGUCUCCAACGUAUCUAUAAUUUUUGAUUGUUCCACGCUAUUAUUUUACCUGUUUCAGAUGUUUAUGGGCUUUAUUUUAUACAUUAUUAUCAUUUUUGGGACUAACCUACUAACCGGAGGCCCAGCCCGUAUUGCUGUUUUUUUUGCCUAUUUCAGUAUUUCGAAGAAAAGGAAUAUCAAACGGAGUCCAAACGGAAUGAAACCUUCGGGCGCGUGAUUUUUGGAACGAACAUGAUCCAGAGGACGUGGAGUGCAAGUCAAGAAACAACCGGAGCCUCCACAAGAUAGGAGGGCGCCCCCCUGUCUCGUGGGCCCCUCAGGCGUCCACCGACGUACUUCUUCCUCCUAUAUAAGUCUAUGUACCCCGAAAACAUCCAGGAGCCACCUGAAGAAAUAUUUCCGCCACCGUAACCUUCUGUAUCCGCGAGAUCCCAUCUUGGAGCCAUUGCCGGCGUUCUGCCGGAUGGGGGAUCCACCAUGGAAGGCUUCUACAUCAACAUCCUUGUCCCUCCAAUGAGUUGUGAGUAGUUUACCACAGACCUACGGGUCCAUAGUUAUUAGCUAGAUGGCUUCUUCUCUCUUUUUGGAUCUCAAUACAAUGUUCUUCCCCUCUCUUGUGAACAACUAUCCGAUGUAAUCUAUUUUUGCGGUGUGUUUAUCAAGAUCUGAUGAAUUGUGGGUUUAUGAUCAGAUUUAUCUAUGGAUAAUAAUUGUAUCUUCCCCGAAUUCUUAUAUGAUUGAGUUAUAUUUGCAAGUCUCUUCGAAUUAUCGGUUUGGUUUGGCCUACUAGAUUGAUCUUUCUUGCCAUGGGAGAAGUGCUUAGCUUUGGGUUCAAUCUUGCGGUGUUAUUACCCGGUGACAGAAAGGGUUGCAAGACACGUAUUGUAUUGUUGCCAUCGAGGAUAACAAGAUGGGGUUUAUAUCAUAUUGCUUGAGUUUAUCCCUCUACAUCAUGUCAUCUUGCUUAAUGCGUUACUUUGUUCUUAUGAACUUAAUACUCUAGAUGCAUGCUAGAUAGCAGUCGAUGUGUGGAGUAAUAGUAGUAGAUGCAGGCAGGAGUCGGUCUACUUGUUGCAGACGUGAUGCCUAUAUACAUGAUCUUGCCUAGAUAACGUCAUAAUUAUUCGCUUUUCUAUCAAUUGCUUGACAAUAAUUUGUUCACCCAUCGUAAUACUUAUGCUCUCGAGAGAAGCCUCUAGUGAAAUCUAUGGCCCCCUGGUCUAUCUCUUAUCAUAUUUGCUUUCAAUCUACUUUUAUUUGCACCUUUAUUUUUUGCAUCUAUAUUAUAAAAUAUCAAAAAUAUAUUUAUCUUAUCAUACUAUCUCUAUGAGAUCUCACUUUCGCAAGUGGCCGUGAAGGGAUUGACAACCCCUUUAUCGCGCUGGUUGCGAGUUCUUUGUUUGUUUGUGUACGUUCGUGGGACUUGUUGAGAAGCCUCCUACUAGAUUGAUACCUUGGUUCUCAAAAACUGAGGGAAAUACUUACGCUACUGUGAUGCAUCACCCUCUCCUCUUCGAGGAAUACCAAUGCAAGCUCAAGACGUAGCACUACCGAACCUCGUAGGUCUUCCAGAAUAAGAUCCGCACUAGAGUGGUACGACAAUCCUGUUCUGGAUGUCAUGUUACUAGACCAUCAUGAACCUACGAACUAUGAGGAAGCGAUGAUGAGCCCAGAUUCCGCAAAAUGGCUUGAGGACAUGAAAUCUGAGAUUGGAUCCAUGUAUGAGAACAAAGUGUGGACUUUGGUUGUCUUGCCCGAUGAUCGGCAAGCCAUAGAAAAUAAAUGGAUCUUCAAGAAGAAGACGAACGCUGAUAGUAGUGUUACUAUCUACAAAGCUCGACUUGUCGCAAAAAGUUUUUCGACAAGUUCAAGGUGUUGAAUACGAUGAGAUUUUCUCACUCAUAUCGAUGCUUAAGUCUGUCCGAAUCAUGUUAGCAAUUGCUACAUUUUAUGAAAUCUGGCAGAUGGAUGUCAAAACUGCAUUCCUUAAUGGAUUUUUUGAAGAAGAGUUGUAUAUGAUGCAACCAGAAGGUUUUGUCAAUCCUAAAGGUGCUAACAAAGUGUGCAAGCUCCAGUAAUCCAUCAAUGGACUGGUGCAAGCAUCUCGGAGUUGGAAUAUACACUUUGAUGAGUUGAUCAAAGCAUAUGGUUUUAUGGAGACUUUUGGAAAGGCCUGUAUUUACAAGAAAGUGAGUGGGAGCACUACAGCCUUUCUGAUAAGUAUAUGUGAAUGACAUAUUGUUGAUCGGAAAUGAUGUACAAUUUUCUGGAAAGCAUAAAGGAGUGUUUGAAAGGAGUUUUUCAAAGAAAGACCUCAGUAAAGCUACUUACAUAUUGAGCAUCAAGAUCUAUUGAGAUAGAUCAAGACGCUUGAUAAGAUUUUCAAUUAGUACAUACCUUGACAAGAUUUUGAAGUAGUUCAAAAUGGAACAGUCAAAGAAAGAGUUCUUGCCUGUGAUGCAAAGGUGUGAAGUUGAGUAAGACCCAAAAACCCGACCAUGGCAGAAAAUAGAAAGAGAAUGAAAAGUCAUUCCCUAUGCCUCAGUCAUAGGUUCUAUAAAGUAUGCUAUGUUGUGUACCAGACCUAUUGUAUACCUUGCUCUGAGUUUGGCAAAGGAAUACAAUUUUGAUCUAAGAGUAGAUCACCGGACAUCGGUUAAGAAUAUCCUUAGUGAGGACUAAGGAGAUGUUUCUCGAUUAUGGAGGUGAUAAAAAGAGUUCAUCGUAAAGAGUUACAUCGAUGCAAAGCUUUUACACCGAUCCAGAUGACUCUAAGUCUCAAUCUAGAUACAUAUUGAAAGUGGGAGCAAUUAGCUAGAGUAGCUCCGUGCAGAGCAUUGUAGAUAUAGAAUAUUUGCAAAAUACAUACGACUUUGAAUGUGACAGACCCGUUGACUAAACUUAUCUCACGAGCAAAACAUGAUCAUAACUUAGUACUCUUUGGGUGUUAAUCACAUAGCGAUGUGAACUAGAUUAUUGACUCUAGUAAACCCUUCGGGUGUUGGUCACAUGACAACGUGAACUAUGGGUGUUAAUCACAUACAUAUGUGAAUAUUGGUGUUGAAUCACAUGAUGAUGUGAACUAGAUUAUUGACUCUAGUGCAAGUGGGAGACUGAAGGAAAUAUGCCCUAGAGGCAAUAAUAAAGUUAUUAUUUAUUUCCUUAUUUCAUGAUAAAUGUUUAUUAUUCAUGCUAGAAUUGUAUUAACUGGAAACAUGAUGCAUGUCUGAAUACAUAGACAAACUGAGUGUCACUAGUAUGCCUCUACUUGACUAGCUCAUUAAACAAAGAUUGUUAUGUUUCCUAGCCACCCUGCUGCAUUGUCUUCAUCUCUCCCUCUUUGUAUAAAUAUUUCACAUUUCGGAUGCAAGUUUGAAAGAUUGCCCUGCUUUUUAUUUUUCUACACAAAAGAGCCCCCCUCCUAAUUCACUAAUUUGUAGGAAGGUACUGAACUUUUGGAUUUGAAAAAAGUUUCAGAAGAUAUAUCUAAUGUAGAUGGUGAUUGGAUCCCUUGAGAUAUGUUGGAUAUUGUGUAAAAUUAAAUUACAGAUGAUGUCACGGUGGGUUACCACAAUCACAGGAUAUGACGUCAUGGCGGGUUAUGAGAUCUCGUUCAAAUGAAGACAGAAGAAUUUUUUGUAAGUGGUGAAGAUUGACAUGAACAAAUUCAAAUCAAUCUGGAGCCUAAUGUUGGGGAUAUAACUAUUAGGUAUGACCCGCCCAGGAGGGGCCGGAUUAUACCUAUGGCAGUUCAUCAAUAUGAAGCCCACGAGGAUAUUGGAGAUGGCGGUUCAUGGGGCGAAGGCCCAAGAGCAACUUAAGGCCCAUAGGCCAUAGGGUAAACCGCCAUAUGUGUAUGACUUAUAUUGUAAGGCAAGUAUAUUUAGUCACCGAGUCAGAACGUUGUCUAUGAGCCGGCCGGGACUCCAUAAGCCGCUGGGUGUCAACCUAUGUAUAUAAAGGGACGACCCGUCGACAGUUCAGGGCAAGAAACAAGAGAUCGAAAGCUAGGUCAAGCGUAUUAGCUCACUGGUUAUCAAGACAUAAGCAAUACCACCUCAAACUGGAUUAGGCCUUUACCUUCACCGCAAGGAGCCGAACCAGUAUAAACUCCUAUGUCCUUUGUCCCGUUUAACCCCUUUUAAGCAAACCUAGUUGGGAUGGCUCCACGACUAAUUCCUUACACUAGGACAUCUACUAUGACUAUUCCAUGACACUCUGCUUAAAGUCAUCAUGAUGAAGUCGACAUCCUUUCUUCAGGAUCUCCAUCGUACUUACGAUAAGAUUAGGGGGAAACUUAGGAAGGACGGAGCUCAACACAAGUUAGGUACCUGGGGGCUAUCUCAGUGAACAAGGCCUGGAGGCAUCUCUCGAGUUUGAGGAUUUUAAUAACAUCAUUGAGAGCAAAGUACGAAGGAGCAAAAUAGAAGUUUCAAGUGGAUAGGCAAUCAUUCUUUGCCUGAAACAAAGUGUAAAAGGGGUUCAGAGCAACGGGAAUAAGUAUUGUGUCUGAUACUAGAAUUGUUGAGCUCUCGGAAGGUGGCUCGUGAAUUACAUAUAAAGCCAAGCAUGAGGAAUAACCUUGGGAACAGGGAUGUACAAAAGAGUCAGGUUUCAACCUGUGGAACUGUGGGUUAUGGGCCCACCAUGUGGUUAAAAGUAGGGAGGGCGAUGUCAUCUUGCACAAACAUGAUAGCAAGGUAUGUCAGAGAAUAGCCUGAUAGUUAUGUCAGCAACAACGUUGGUGUCGGUGUCAAAACCGGUGGAUCUCGGGUAGGGGGUCCCGAAUUGUGCGUCUAAGGCUAAUGGUAACAGGAGACUGGGGACACGAUGUUUACCCAGGUUCAGGCCCUCUCGAUGGAGGUAAUACCCUACUUCCUGCUUGAUUUAUCUUGAUGAUAUGAGUAUUACAAGAGUUGAUCUACCACGAGAUUGUAGAGGCUAAACCCUAGGAGCUAGCCUAUAAUUAUGAUUGUUGUUCUCCUACGGACUAAACCCUCCAGUUUAUAUAGACACUGGAGGGGGCUAGGGUUACACAGAGUCGGUUACAGAGAAGGAGAUCUAACAUCCGAAUCGCCAAGCUUGCCUUCCACGCAAAGGAGAGUCCCAUCCGGAAACGGGACGAAGUCUUCAAUCUUGUAUCUUCAUAGUCCAACCGUCCGGCCAAAGUAUAUAGUCCGGCUGUCUGGAUACCCCUAAUCCAGGACUCCCUCAGUAGCCCCUGAACCAGGCUUCAAUGACGAUGAGUCCGGCGCGCAGAUUAUCUUCGGCAUUGCAAGGUGGGUUCCAUCUCCAAGUACUCCAACAUGAAAUUCCGAACACAAGGAUUGUGUCCGGCUCUGCAAGACAAAUUUCACAUACCACCGUAGAGAGAACAAUAUUCCACAAAUCUAAUCCGUUGACAAUCGCGACAUCACACCAUGGCCAAGUCAUUAUUCGAGCCGUUUUCUCACAGCCAGCCACCGCACAUAUUGCAAGGCGGUUUCCUCGGCAUGUCUUGUCAAAGUAGAGAUCGUGUCCCCUUAUCACGGGAUUCUCAUUAAUACGGGUACGGAUAACCCAACCGAGUCAUUUAAUGUGGCGCUUGGAAAAUAAGUGAUUUUAACAGGAAAGUGGGGAGGCACACAGUUUUCGCCGCCUCUAUAAAGGGACAUGGAUCCCCCAUUCUUACCCACACCUUCUUCCUCCUUUGCUCAUCCAUUCUCGCACUCUCGAGCUCCAACGCCCAAGUUCUCACCUUCUCCGCAGAACCAUUCGUAGUAUGUCCGGAGCGGGAGGCAAGUGGAUGGCCUCCUCCAUCAUGGAGGAGGACAUUACCAAGCUUCGGGCGGCCGGGUACCUGGCCGAAAACAUCGCGCACAGGCUUCCAACAGAGGGACGGAUCACCCCCACUCCAAAGUCUCGGGAGAGAGUAGUGUUCCUUUCUCAUUUUGUCCGCGGACUAGGAUUUCCACUUCACCCCUUUGUCCGCGGGCUCAUGUAUUACUAUGGUUUAGAUUUCCAUGAUCUAGCCCCAAAUUUCAUCCUCAACAUCUCGGUGUUUAUCGUCGUGUGUGAGGCCUUCCUUCGCGUCAAGCACCACUUUGGCCUGUGGCUGCAAAUCUUCUGCAUGAAGCCGAAGAUCGUGAGCGGCCAGCAGGCGGAGUGCGGAGGCGCCAUGGUGGGCAGGAUGCCCAAUGUUACAUGGCUUGACGGCUCCUUCGUGGAGACCAUGAAAGGGUGGCAAUCGGGGUGGUUUUAUAUUACCGAGCCGCGCGACGCCAACUGGGCGGCAGCCCCCGCAUUCUGAUCCAGAAUCCCCAUGCGGCUCACCUCCUGGGAGAAGAAGGGCCUGGCCUGGGGCAUACCUGCCGAGCUGACCGGACUGCAGAACUGCAUCAAAAACAUGAUAGAGAAGAAGAUCAAACUCGUCAAUGUGGUCCAGGUCAUGCUCAUCCGCCGGAUCCUCCCGUGUCAAAGACGGGCGUUCAAUAUGUGAGAGUUCGAUCCGGCCGAACACCAGAUGCUGCGAGAGCUCUUAGACAUGAUGCAUAAGGAUGUCUGGAAGGUGUUGUUCAAGACCGGCGAAGUUCCUCCUCCCACUUCCGAGGACCGCGAACUCAGCACCGCGUGACUGCCAAUCCGGUAAGUUCUCUAAACAUCACAAGAUGUACCUUUCCCAACAUAUUCGUGGGAGGAUUUUGAGUCACCAUGCUUAUCCAAACAGGAUUACGUGUCGACGGAGGAAUGGAUCGACUGUCCGGCUCCGCUGCCGGAAGAUCCAACAACCGCACUCUUGACGGAGAUGCUGGUUCCGACGCCUUACAAGGUGCCGAGAAGAAGGCCGAAAAGAAGGCCACAGGGACUAGGAAGGGUCUCCGGCGCAAGGUUGCGCCAGACGCCUCGUCCAAAGACGACGAGGCACGCUCCUCCCACGAAGGGGAGGAGAAGAAGAGGAAGAAGGCCGCCCCAUACGGGGAGGCUGAAGGGUCCAAGAAAGCGGCCGCAUGGACCAGGAAGGGUCUCCGGUGCAAGGUCGUAAUAGACUCGGCGUCCGAGGACGGCGAGGCAGAUUCCUCCCACGGAGACGGGGGGGGGGGGGAAACAUGAAGACAUUCCCCGUCCCCGCAUUGGGGAGGAGAAGAAAAGAAAAGCUGCCCCACAGGGGGAGGCCAGGACGCCGAAGAAGGGAAAGGGGCCCCUUCUGGAUCACUCCACUACGGCCGCCUACAACGAGGAGGAGUGGCUGCCCAAGGGCAAGCCCCUGGCGAGAUCGUAAGUAUCCGCACUCUAUAAUAUUUUUCGUGCGACUUAACUUCAUAGUUUGUAAUAACGCCGAACACGUAUAUGCAGUACGACCGGGUCCCAUCUUGGGGUAUCUUCUUCGGAUGGGUCCUUGAGUGAAUCGAAGAUGAAUAGCGAUUCACUCCUGACGGCCACCUCCCCACGGCGUGCGGACGACACCGAGGUUUUGUCCCAAAGGAUACCAGGGCAAGGGACGAUAGUUCUAGAGACGCCCCAGGGUGAAAUCCCAGAUGUUGGGUACAUGGGGGGCAAGGUCCCCAUGGAUUAUACAGACAGGAGCCACAUCAAGUUUGGCUCCCAGCCGGUUACCGUGCCGGAGCCUCCAAAGGUUCCAGAUUCAAGUAGGCAGCCCCUCACUAAGGAGGGCGAGCCAGUCGUGCCGAUAACCUCCAUCUAGCCGGAGGCAUCGGAUAAUUUGCUGGAAGUGCUUCGCGGCGCUUCCAUUAACGAAGAGCACCAUACUCUUAUGAGUACGGUGAUUGAGAAAGUUUGGUCCGCCAAAAGCGGAUUGACCGAAACCUGCACCAGCCUCCUAACAUGCUUUGAGGUAAGUAAUGAAAAGUGUGAGAAAAUAUCACCCAAUAGACAGUAGCCCCUGAUACUCUGUUUGGUGUUCGGAAAGAAAAGCCAAACGGAGGGUCAAUAUGUAAUCCGCAGGAGUGUAACAAUGAAUGUCUACGUGAAUAAGCAGGCAUUGCUGCUGGCCGCUGCGGCCCGUACGGCGGAGGUCGAUGGACUCAAGCGGGACCUGAAGCCGGCCGAAGAAGAGCUCAGCCUCAUGAAGAGGCAGCUCGAAGAGAACAAAGGUAAGAGAUACCCCGUUCGUGUGUCAUCUAGAGGGGAAAAUAGGUGAUGCUAACAAAAAGCAUCAUGAUUUUUAAUAGGGGCCACGACCGAAGUGGCGGCCCUGAAGAAAGCGCUAUCCGAGGCCGAAGACAAGGCGGCCAUGGAGUGCACCGAGCGUGAAAAAGCAAGAUGCCCGAGUGGGAGAGGUACGGCAAGAGCUCCAGGAGUUCAGCAAGAGGUUCGAGUCCUUGGAGCAUGACUUCAAUACGCAAGAGUCCGAGCUUGCCAAGGCCCUCCAGAGCGCGAAAGACGCCAAGGCUGAAGCCCAAAAGGCCCUCCAGGAAAUCCAGGCGGCCAAGAAGAUAGCGGCGGGUAAGGCAUUCAUUAUGCAGAGCAAGCUUGUGGAGGAGGCAUUUCUUUUACUUAACCGAAUUCGGAGCUCUCCUGGGCAUUUGCAAAUCUGCCAUGCAGCAUAUCGGAUGUCACAGAGUUCUACCAUGCCAAAGAAGGGAGCUCAAUGGAGAAGUUGUUCUGGUCCCAGUAUGCCGGAGCCGAACACCCGAUGCCUUUGAGUGACCAACUAAAGCAAUUGGUCGAACUCCACAGGGCAGCCGAACUGGCCAUGAAGGGCCUCAUAGUCCGGAUGUGGCCUGGUGAGCCCCUGCCUGACAGCUACUUUGGCCUUAUAAAGCGGGUGGUAAAUGCCUGUCCGUGUCUUGAAGUUAUCAAGCAAUCCGUCUGUAUUGAGGGUGCCCGCCGAGCCUUUGCCCGUGCGAAGAUGCAUUGGGCCAAACUGGAUGCAGAGAAGCUGGUGAAGGAAGGACCGCCAGAGGGUAAGGCGCAUCGCUACCCCGAGAAAUAUUAUGAUGGUGUUAUGAAAGGCGCUCGCCUCGUGGCUGAUGAAUGUACCAAGUACAUAAUCUCUGAGUGAAUGUACUCAUGUCGUUUCUGUAAGAUGAAAACGAGUUAGUUUGCGCUUAUAUGACGCUUUGUUGAUUUAAAAAUAUUACCUUUUGUACGGCCGUUUAGAAAAUUCUGAAAGUAGGCCAGUCGUCGGCUUCUGCCCCCGUGUAACUAGUACUGGGGUGUUCGUGGAAAACCCAAACACUCUUUAUCCAAAUUUUUGGUACUUUAAGGAGGUGUUCAGCGCAGCGAACAAGGUAAUUGGACUAUGCGGCUUUAUAACUCUCACUUAGCCAUAGAAGUCUAUAAUUUUAAAUUUUGGCGAAGCCCCUAGUAUUCAGAAAGCCUAAUUGGGGCGCUAUACACGCCUAAAUUGGACAAGGCCGAUUCCUCGCCUGAAGCGGAAAAAAAUCUUUAAGGAUUUUAGACCUCUCGAACAGCGACCAACUCUCGCCGCAUCAUGACAGUUAGUUUUCGGCUUUCUCUACUGAGGUGCUUGUCCGGAAGAACCGGGACACAAUCGCAGUAGUUCUCCCUGCGCUACCUUAGCCGAUAUAACGGAACGUAAGGUACCAAAACAAGGGAGCCGGGCUAACCCAACUAUUGAACCAAGACAUGAUUAGGAGCUGAUGCAUAUAAUGCUAUAAGUUCGGGGUGCCGCACUGUCGAAAGUGUUCAGACUUUUCUUGCCAUAUUAUGGGGCGCAAUAGGAAGCCCCUGGCAGACUAAACGUACCAAAGUGUACGGAUGCAAUAUUAAAUAAACAUUCCAUGAAGAUAGAAAUAACAAGCUAACGUUGUAUAUUGUUUCCCGAUGUUAUUUAAAUAAUACGUCGAAGCGUAUGUGUACAACUAAUGCGUUUAAGCAAAAAUAGGAUUAUUUGACAUGUCCCAUCCAAGGGAGGGCCGCAUGUGGGUAUGUAAAACAGGUAUAACGAUCGUUAAUCAGAGACCACCUGGGUAUUCCCUUGAGCACGAUGCCUCUUGCCUCCUUGGUUUUCCCUCAUGUGAUGAGUCCGAUGAUCAGGCUCUCUGAAGGGGCUGCCCGAAAGUGGGGUCCUGAAAGAAAAGGAAAGUUACAAAGGCAUGUGGGCCUCGUGGCGGUUGAACCGCACUGUGGAUCGCCUCGUCAUCGCGCCUCCGCCUAUGCCCAUGGUAUUUUGAGUGCGUAAUUGUGUACACAGCGGCACGAAUGCCGCCUGAACGGGGCUGGGGCAGAAGCUGGAUUGCUAAUCAUGCUCUUGGCGUGCCUGGCGGUCCUGUUGCGGGGUGCUCCGGACUCUCUUAGCGGUGUUCGGGGUUGUCAUCGCUGAAUUGGCGGUCUGCCGAAGAAGGCUUUGUACUUCUGCCGCGAGGGCCGCAGUGUGCUCUUCCAUACGGAGAGAGCGGUCUGUGUUUCCAUUGACUGUUAUAACCCCGCGAGGUCCUGGCAUCUUGAGCUUCAGGUAUGCAUAGUGUGGUACCGCAUUGAAUCAAGCGAACGUGGUUCGUCCAAGUAGUGCAUGAUAGGCACUACGGAAAGGGACGAUAUCAAAGAUUAACUCCUCGCUGCGGAAGUUAUCCGGAGAUCCGAAGACCACUUCCAGUGUUAUUGAGCCCGUACAACGGGCCUCUACCCCUGGAAUACACCUUUAAAGGUGGUUUUGGUGGGUUUGAUCCUUAAGGGAUCGAUGCCCAUUUUGCGCAUCGUGUUCUGAUAAAGCAGGUUCAGGCUACUACCACCGUCCAUAAGGACUCGCAUGAGGUGGAAUCCGUCAAUGAUUGGGUUAAGGACCAAUGCGGCUGAACCGCCAUGACGUAUGCUGGUAGGGUGGUGCCUACGAUCGAAAGUGAUCGGACAGGAUGACCAUGGGUUGAACUUUGGGGCGACUGGCUCCAUCGCAUAGACGUCCCUUAGUGCACGCUUUCGUUCCCGCUUGGGAAUGUGGGUGGCAUAGAUCAUGUUUACCGUUUUCACCUGGGGAGGAAAUUUCUUUUGUCCCCCAGUGUUCGGACGCUGGGGCUCCUCGUCAUCAUCGCUGUGCACCUUGUCCUUGUCUUCGGUAUUUAGCUUGCCGGCCUGUUUGAACACCCAGCAAUCUCUAUUAGUGUGGUUGGCUGGCUUAACAGGGGUGCCGUGAAUUUGGCACGAGCGGUCGAGUAUGCGGUCCAGACAGGACAAUCCCGGGUUGUUCCUUUUGAACGGCUUUUUCCGCUGACCGGAUUUUGAGCCACGGAAUCCGGUGUUGACUGCCGUGUCUUCGGCAUUGUCGCCAUUGUUGUGACGCUUAUGUAUGUUGCAUUGUGGCUUACCGUUACUGUCGCGGACGUAUGAUGUUCCGGAAUUUCUUGACGUGGUGCUACUACGAGCCAGCCAGCUGUCCUCGCCCAUGCAAAAGCGGGUCAUGAGUGUCGUGAGGGCUGCCAUGGACUUCGGUUUUUCUUGACCGAGGUGUCGGGCGAGCCACUCGUCGCGGAUAUUAUGCUUAAAGGCCGCCAGGGCUUCGUCAUCCGGACAGUCGAAAAUUUGGUUCUUUUUAGUUAGGAACCAAGUCCAGAAUUUCCUGGCUGACUCUCCGGGCUGUUGGGUAAUGUGACUUAAUUCAUCAACAUCUGGUGGUCGCAUGUAGGUUCCUUGGAAGUUGUCGAGGAACGCGUCCUCCAGGUUUAAGGGGAAGAUACUUGAUGGCGUGUAGGUCAUCACCAUGGGCCAUGUGAAUGUGGAGAAGGAAGUCUUCGAUCCACACUGCAGGGUCUAUUGUGCCAUUGUAUGAUUCAAUGUUUACGGGUUUAAACCCUUCUGGGAAUUCGUGAUCCAUUACUUCAUCAGUGAAGCAGAGGGGGUGUGCGGCACCUCUGUGCUGGCUAUGUCGCUACGCAGUGCGACUAAGUCUGGCCAGUUAUGUUCGGCCCGGCUGGACUUGUUGUAAGCGUAUCCGGCAUGACGGUCAUUGUCAUGUGUUGGGGCGUGCCCCCAUGAUCCGUAGAUCGAUCUUCGCUGUCUUGUUUUGUUUUCCAAUAUCUCUCGCAGGUCCUGCGUGUUGCCCCGGGCCGUAGUGAAUUGGCGUGGGGGUGCGGGCUGGUAUUCGGGAUGAUACACCGUUUUAUCUCGGCCACGAGGUGGCCGGUCAGCCUCGUCCUGUGCUGGAAGUGUAUGCUCUAUGGCCUCCUCCUCGAAUUGAGGUAGCAACUUGUGCUUUGGGUAACCUUUGGUGGGGCGCUCGAGUCCGUAUUCCUCGGCCGCCAGGACCUCGGUCCAUCUUUCUCUGAGCAGAUCUUGAUCAGCUUGGAGCUGCUGCUGCUUCUUUUUCAGGCUUCUAGCAGUGGCUAUAAGCUGGCGCUUGAAGCGCUCCUGCUCUAUGGGAUCCUCAGGCACGCCGAAUUCAUCGUCGCCGAGGCUCACCUCAUCUUCGGAAGGAGGCAUGUAGUUGUCAUCCUCCAAGUAUCCGUCCAUCGCCUGUUCAACUGGGCUAACCUGCCCAUAUUCCUGUUCGGCCUGCUCGAAGGUAGGCUAAUCGGAAUUGUCUUCUUCUUCGGCAUCGUCCAGAUUGUUUUCGUCUCCUAUGCCGGUAUUGUUGUGGUGGGGCUUAGAGCAGCGCCGAUGACGCCCAUGCUUUGAUUUCUUCCCUAAGGAUUUAUCUUCUAUUGCCUCAUCGCCAUUGUUUUCUUUGGGAGUACCCACCAUAUAUAUAUCAUAUGAGGAGGUGGCUGUCCAGCGCCCUGUGGGCAGUGGAUCCUGUUCUUCUCCUGCAUCGUCAUCCAUACUGUCGAUGUCCUCGGAGUCGAAGUCAAGCACGUCGGUCAAAUCAUCGACAGUGGCAAUGAAGUGGGUGGUGGGUGGGUAACGAAUUUCUUCGUCACCUGCUUCCCACUCGAGCCGGACAUAGUUCGGCCAAGAGUCUCCUGACAAAGAGAGAGACCUUAACGAAUUCAGCACGUCGCCGAAGGGGGAGUGUUGAAAGAUAUCCGCAGCGGUGAACUCCAUUACCGGAGCCAAAUCAGACUCGGUGAGCCCGGGCGCGCGCGGUUUGGAACCCACAUCCGGACACAAGUCCAGGGGUCCGGUGACACAUAUUUCCUUAACGACAGAAUCUGUGUUCGGCUCUACCGCUGAAAAGUGUGCAGCCUCUGUGGCGGGGUCCAUCCACCCGUCCUCGGACAACACGAUCUGCCCCGGAUUUAGGUCCGGAGCUGCUGCAGGUGCGAUAUCUCGAAUACUGUCCGACAACAGAUCUAAGUCGUGCUCGUCGUGACUGUUCAGUGCUCCUGGUGUAGGCCCGAAUCCAUUGAAGAUCAAGUCUCCGCGGAUAUCGACCAUGUAAUUCAAGUUUCCGAACCUGACCUGAUGGCCAGGGGCGUAGCUGUCGAUCUGCUCCAGAUGGCCAAGCGAGUUGGCUCGCAGUGCGAAGCUGCCGAACACGAAGAUCUGUCCUGGGAGAAAGGUCUCACCCUGGACCGCGCCAUUGUUGAUGAUUGAAGGAUCCAUAAAGCCUUAUGGUGACGACACAGAGGAACUCUCAAUGAAAGCACCAAUGUCGGUGUCAAAACCGGCGGAUCUCGGGUAGGGGGUCCCGAACUGUGCGUCUAAGGCUAAUGGUAACAGGAGACUGGGGACACGAUGUUUACCCAGGUUCGGGCCCUCUCGAUGGAGGUAAUACCCUACUUCCUGCUUGAUUGAUCUUGAUGAUAUGAGUAUUACAAGGGUUGAUCUACCACGAGAUCGUAGAGGCUAAACCCUAGGAGCUAGCCUAUGAUUAUGAUUGUUGUUCUCCUACGGACUAAACCCUUUGGUUUAUAUAGACACGGAGGGGGCUAGGGUUACACAGAGUCGGUUACAGAGAAGGAGAUCUAACAUCCGAAUCGCCAAGCUUGCCUGCCAUGCAAAGGAGAGUGCCAUCCGGAAAUGGGACGAAGUCUUCAAUCUUGUAUCUUCAUAGUCCAACAGUCCGGCCAAAGUAUAUAGUCUGGCUGUCCGGAUACCCCCUAAUCCAGGACUCCCUCAGUUGGUACCAAGGGCGAUGGACGCAGAGAACCAUUUUCCUGCUCGUUGAACGAGGCAGACCCAUAGGCAAAGUUCUCGUCCAUCGGUGGUUACCGGAAUUUUAUCAACAAUAGUAACAGGGCCUUACUGACAGAUUUAUACACGGAGGUGUUCACAUAAGUAGGGAAUCAUUAAUGCUUAUAUUAUAUAGAUCACAAGAAGGGUUAAACAAACCAAUGGAAAGGAAAAUGUGAUUAUGGGUUAAAUAGAUCAAUGGAAAGAAAAUUGUGUUUAAACACAUGUUCCAGGCGUAUAUCCUUCCUAAGGACAAACAGAGGAUGAUAUCCGUGUCAGGAUAUAAAGUAGAAAACCCUUUAGGUAAGGGGAGAGAAACUUCAUGACAUUACCCAUACAACGAUAUUCGGAUAAUUGAUAAGGAAAAUCUAGCAUUGUGCUUCAAGUGUUCUUAUUCAAACUCGGAGUACCACAGACAUGCUUCGAGAUAGCAUUGACAUGGUCUCCAGGCAAAGGUCAGACUUUGGAUACACCAAGGAUCCAUCAGAGACAACUUAUUGAAUAAAUAUUACUAUUUCCUCAUGGAAGAAUAGCUAACCUUGCAAAAAAUGAAACCAUAACAAAAAGUCCUCCGACCAGGUGUGCUAGGCAUGACAUGACCUUAACGGGUCAAAGACCAAUGUUAUAAAUCUUGGGCAUAUGUUCCAACCAUCAUCUGUGACCGAGAUUCAAAUCUGAUUGGUGUCAGGAUAACUCAGACUCAUGAUACCUGAAAAGCAAGGUGAAACACAAAUUGUCGAGAUGACAUUGUAAGAUUCUCGGGAAUUGAACUAUGGAAGCGAGUUCCGAAACAAGAGUUCGUCAUUAAAUCAAGGAGAGGUGAGGAGGUGGCCGAUUGACUCAGCGACAAUUCAUUGAGAUUUCUAAAAGAGAUGGGUUUCCACAAUUAUGUGAACAAGGAGAUAACAUUAGUCAGGUUAAAUGAUACAAUGUUGUAUGCUCGAGGAAAACAUACACAAUUUAACAAUGAUAGAAGGGUGCACCCGAAAAUCUGGACUAGGUAGCAUGAUUAAUGUUUGAAUGAUGAUUCAAUAAGAAAUAGACUUAGAAUGAAACUAUCGACCAUUAACUUCAAAGCAAUAGGGUUGCUAGGAGUACAGAUUCCAUGCAACAUCGUUCACUUGUUGAUAUUCCCGAUUAAUCAAUACAUGGACCAAGAAGAAAGGUGCUUGUGAGAAGUAUCACUGUACUAAGAAUUAUUAAGAGGUGGAGCAAUCCUUGCAACAUCCUUGACAUAAGGACAGUAAUACUUCAUGGUGAUGAAGGAAUGAUGAAGAGGAAUGAUGAAGGAAUGAUGAAGCGAAAGGUUAAUGGAUCCAAGGGUACGACACAAACUCCAAACCAAUCUUGCUAUCCAAAGCGAAAUGAUAUGAUGAGGAAGAUCGACGUAAGCUUAGCUCAUCAUCAAAAAUUGUGCUCCGGGAAGAAGGACCAGGUAGCACAGUUAAAAUUUGGCACGAUAAUGAUAUAGCCGAUCAUGCUUGGGAUGACUUGAAGGAUUAUUAAACUCGUAAGUGAUAUGUCUCCAACGUAUCAAUAAUUUUUGAUUGUUCCAUGCUGUUAUAUUACCUGUCUUGGAUAUUUAUGGGCUUUACUAAACACUUUUAUAUCAUUUUUGGGACUAACCUAUUAACCGGAGGCCCAACCCAAAUUGCUAUUUUUUUGCCUGUUUCAGUGUUUCGCAGAAAAGGAAUAUCAAACAGAGUCCAAACAGAAUGAAACCUUUGGGAGAGUUAUUUUUGAACAAACGCAAUCCAGGAGACUUGGGGUGGACGUCAAGAAGUAGACAAGGAAGCCACGAGGCAGGAGGGCAUGCCCUACGGGGGUGGGCGCGCCCCCACCCUCGUGGGCCCCUCGUGGCUCCCCUGACCGACUUCCUUCGCCUAUAUAUAUCUACGUACCCCGAAAACAUCUAGGAGCACCACGAAACCCUAUUUCCACCACCGCAACCUUCUAUACCUGUGAGAUCCCAUCUUGGAGCCUUUUCCGGCGCUCGGCCGGAGGGGGAAUCGAUCAUGGAGGGCUUCUACAUCAACGCCAUUGCCUCUCCGAUGAGUUGUUAGUAGUUUACCACAUACCUCCAGGUCCAUAGUUAUUAGCUAGAUGGCUUCUUAUCUCUCUUUGAAUCUCAAUACAAUGUUCUCCUCGAUCUUCUUGGAGAUCUAUUCGAUGUAACUCUUUUUGCGGUGUGUUUGUCAAGAUUCGAUGAAUUGUGGGUUUAUGAUCAAGUUUAUCUAUGAGAAAUAUUUGAAUCUCCUCUGAAUUCUUUUAUGUAUGAUUGGUUAUCUUUGCAAGUCUCUUUGAAUUAUCAGUUUGGUUUGGCCUACUAGAUUGAUCUUUCUUCCAAUGGGAUAAGUGCUUAGCUUUGGGUUCAAUCUUGCGGUGUCAUUUCCCAGUGAUAGUAGGGUCAGCAAGGCACGUAUUGUAUUGUUGCCAUCAAGGAUAAAAAGAUGGGGUUUAUAUCAUAUUGCUUGAGUCUAUCCUUGUACAUCAUGUCAUCUUGCCUAAUGUGUUACUUUGUUCUUAUGAACUUAAUACUCUAGAUGCAUGCUGGAUAGCGGUCGAUGUGUGGAGUAAUAGUAGUAGAUGCAGGCAGGAGUCGAUCUACUAAUCUUGGACGUGAUGCCUAUAUACAUGAUCAUGCCUAGAUAUUCUGAUAACUAUGCACUUUUCUAUCAAUUGCUCGACAGUAAUUUGUUCACCCACCAUAAUACUUAUGCUAUCUUGAGAGAAGCCACUAGUGAAACCUAUGGCCCCCGGGUCUAUUUUCCAUCAUAUAAGUUUUCUAUCUACUUUAUUUUGCACUCUUUACUUUCCAAUCUACAUCAUAAAAAUACCAAAAAUAUUUAUCUUAUCUUAUUAUCUCUAUCAGAUCUCACUUUCGCAAGUGGCCGUGAAGGGAUUGACAACCCCUUUAUCGCAUUGGUUGCGAUGUUCUUGUUUGUUUGUGUAGGUACGAGGGACUUGGAGUGUAGCCUCCUACUGGAUUGAUACCUUGGUUCUCAAAACUGAGGGAAAUACUUACGCUACUUUGCUGCAUCACCCUUUCCUCUUCAAGGGAAAAACCAACGCAUGCUCAAGAGGUAGCAAGAAGGUUUUCCGGCGCCGUUCCCGGGGAGGUCUACACGCAAGCCAAGACAUACCAAGUACCCAUCACAAACUCUUCUCCCUCGCAUUACAUAUUUGUCAAUUGCCUCUCGUUCCCCCCCCCCACUUCACCCUUGUCGUUUUAUUCACCCUCUCUUUUCCGUUCGCCUCUUUUCGCCUUCUUCUUGUGUCAUUGCUCGUCGUCAUGGCUAGUCCUCCUAUCAUCGUUAGUACUCCCGAUCAUGAAGUUCUUAAUUUUAAACAAAGGAGGGAGAAAAUCUAAAAGAUGCUUGGCAUAGAAUUUGCAAUGCUAAAAAUAGAUCUACUAGGAAGCAAUCUACUUCCAUUCUUCUUUGCAAUUUUUAUGUAGGCAUUACUCCUUGGAAUAAAUGCAUUCUUGAUACCAUUACCAGUGGGAAUUUUUGGGUAGCCAUACUUUUGAUGCUUAUAAUGCUAUGUUAGAUUUGUUUGGUCCACCACCUCUCUUGGUUAAUGGAAUUGUUUUAACUUUAGAACAUGUAAUGCAAAGGCUCGAAAUUAUUGAAAAUAAAGUUGCCACUGUUGAGUUAAUUGAAAAUUUGGAUAAUAAGAUCCACCACCAAAUUACCCAAUAUGAAUCUAAGGUUGGAGUCACUCUGAAAUUUUUUAACGAGAAGGAACACAUAGUUAAUGAAAGAAUAGAUCAAGAUUUUACAAGAAUCGGUAAACUUGAGGACAUUAUUACCAACUUAGGGUCUGCCUUUUUCAUCCGUGAAAAAUACUCCAACUCCUCCUACCAAAAUUGCCAAAUUAAUGUACGUUCCUAAAAAUAAGGGUGAAUUUUCUAGUAAGGAAAAUGCGGAUCUCAAAUCAAUAAGUGUUCAUCCCAACUUUUUCGCUUUCAUUAAGGAACCUUUUGCUAUAAAUGUAUAUUGAUUUCUUGCCUAGGAGUUGAAUCAUUACUAAAAAGAAAGAAACUCCUAAGGGUUAAGUGUUCCAUUGAAGAAUUGAAUACCAAAUAUGGCAAUACUUAAAUCUAUUAUCGCUUUUAUGCCUAGCUAGGGGCGUUAAACGAUAGCGCUUGUUGGGAGGCAACCCAAUUUUAUUUUUGUUCCUUGAUUUUUGUUCCUGUUUAGUAAUAAAUAAUUCAUAUAGCCUAUGUUUAUAUGUGGUUUUAUGUUUUAAUUAGUGUUUGUGCCAAGUAGAACCUUUGGAAAGACUUGGGUGAAGUCUUUAUGAUCUUGCUAUAAAAAAACAGAAACUUUAGCGCUCACAAAAUUAGUUGCCAUUUAUUACUGGAGAGUGCUUUUAGGUUGAUUAUUUUUGCAGAUGAUUAAUAGACAAAUUCCUCAAGUCCAAAAUUUUAUUUCAGAAUUUGUGGAGUUAUAUAAGUAUUCUAAAGUUACAGAUUUCUACAGACUGUUCUGUUUUUGACAGAUUCUGUUUUUCGUGUGUUGUUUGCUUAUUUUGAUGAAUCUAUAGCUAGUAUCGGGGGGUAUGAACCAUAGAGAAGUUGGAAUACAGUAGGUUUAACACCAAUAUAAAUAAAUAAUGAGUUCAUUACAGUACCUUAAGUAGUGGUUUUUCUUUCUUACACUAACGGAGCUUAUGAUAUUUUCUGUUGAGUUUUGUGUUGUGAAGUUUGCAAGUUUUGGAUAAAGAUUUGAUGGACUACAGAAUAAGGAGUGGCAAGAGCCUAAGCUUGGGGAUACCCAAGGAACCCCAAGAUAAAUUCAAGGACAACCAAAAGCCUAAGCUUGGGGAUGCCCCGGAAGGCAUCCCCUCUUUCGUCUUCGUCUAUCGGUAACUUUACUUGGGGCUAUAUUUUUAUUCACCACAUGAUAUGUGUUUUGCUUGGAGCGUCUUGUAUGAUAUGAGUCUUUGCUUUUUAUUUUACCACAGUCAUCCUUGUUGUACACACCUUUUGGGAGAGACACACAUGAUUCGGAAUUUAUUAGAAUACUCUAUGUGCUUCACUUAUAUCUUUUGAGCUAGAUAAUUUUGCUUUAGUGCUUCACUUAUAUCUUUUUAGAGCACGGUGGUGGUUUUAUUUUGUAGAAAUUAUUGAUCUCUCAUGCUUCACUUAUAUUAUUUUGAGAGUCUUUUAGAACAGCAUGGUAUUUGCUUUGGUUAUGAAAUUAGUCCUAAUAUGAUGGGCAUCCAAGUUAGGUAUAAUAAAAACUAUCAUAUAGAGUGCAUUGAACACUAUGAUAAAUUUGAUACUUGAUAAUUGUUUUGAGAUAUAGAGGUGGUAAUAUUAGAGUCAUGCUAGUUGGGUAAAUAUGAAAUUGAGAAAUACUUGUGUUAAAGAUGGAAAGUCCCACAGCAAGCACGUAUGGUAAAAGUUGUGUAACAAAUUUGUAGCAUGGGGUGCUCUUUGAUUGCCUUCCUUAUGUGUGGAGGUCGAGAUCGCGCGAUGGUUAACUCCUACCAACCCUUCCCCUAGGAGCAUGCGUAGUAGUACUUUGCUUCUAGGGCUAAUAAACUUUUGCAAUAAGUAUAUGAGUUCUUUAUGACUAAUGUGAGUCCAUGGAUUAUACACACUCUUACCCUUUCAUCAUUGCUAGCCUCUACGGUACCAUGCAUUGCCCUUUCUCACCUUGAGAGUUGGUGCAAACUUCGCGGGUGCAUCCAAACCCUAUGAUACGAUACGCUCUAUCACACAUAAACCUCCUUAUAUCUUCCUCAAAACAGCCACCAUACCUACCUAUUAUGGCAUUUCCAUAGCCAUUCCGAGAUAUAUUGCCAUGCAACUGUCCACCGUUCCAUUUAUUAUGACACGUUCCAGCAUUGUCAUAUUGCUUUUGCAUGAUCAUGUAGUUGACAUCAUAUUUGUGGAAAAGCCACCUUCAUAAUUCUUUCAUACAUGUCGCUCUUGAUUCAUUGCAUAUCCCGGUACACCGCCGGAGGCAUUCACAUAGAGUCAUAUUUUGUUCUAAGUAUUGAGUUGUAAUUCUUGAGUUGUAAAUAAAUAGAAGUGUGAUGAUCUUCAUUAUUAGAGCAUUGUCCCAAGUGAGGAAAGGAUGAUGGAGACUAUGAUUUCCCCACAAGUCGGGAUGAGACUUCGGACUUUAUGAAAAAUAAAAGAGGCCAAAGAAGCCCAAAUAAAAAAAGAGGACAAAGAAGCCCACCAAAAUAAAAAAAUGAGAGAAAAAGAGAGAAGGGACAAUGUUACUAUCCUUUUCCACACUUGUGCUUCAAAGUAGUACCAUGAUCUUCAUGAUAGAGAGUCUCCUAUGUUGUCACUUUCAUAUACUAGUGGGGAUUUUUCAUUAUAGAACUUGGCUUGUAUAUUCCAAUGAUGGGCUUCCUCAAAAUGCCCUAGGUCUUCGUGAGCAAGCAAGUUGGAUGCACACCCACUUAGUUUCUUUUGUUGAUCUUUCAUAUAUUUAUAGCUCUAGUGCAUCCGUUGCAUGGAAAUCCCUACUCCUCAUGUUGACAUCAAUCGAUAGGCAUCUCCAUAGACCAUUGAUUAGCCUCGUCAAUGUGAGACUUUUUCCUUUUUUUGUCUUCUCCACACAACCUCCAUCAUCAUAUUCUAUUCCACCCAUAGUGCUAUAUCCAUAGCUUACGCUCAUGUAUUGCGUGAGAGUUAAAAAAAAGCUGAAGCGCGUUAAAAAGUAUGAACCAAUUGCUUGGUUGAAACCGGGGUUGUGCAUGAUGGGAGUAUUUUGUGUGACGAAAAUGAAGCAUAGCCUAACUAUAUAAUUUUGUAGGGAUAAGCUUUCUUUGGCUAUGUUAUUUUGAUAAGACAUGCUUACUUGUUAGUAUGCUUGAAGUAUUACUAUGUUUAUGUCAAUAUUAAACUUUUAUCUUGAAUCAUUUGGAUCUGAACAUUCAUGCCACAAUAAAGAAAAUUACAUUGAGAAAUAUGCUAGGUAGUAUUCCAUAUCAAAAAUUCUGUUUUUAUCAUUUACCUACUCGAGGACGAGCAGGAAUUAAGCUUGGGGAUGCUUGAUACGUCUCCAACGUAUCUAUAAUUUUUUAUUCUUCCAUGCUAUUAUAUUACCUGUUUUGGAUGUUUAUGGGCUUGACUAAACACUUUUAUAUCAUUUUUGGGACUAACCUAUUAACCGGAGGCCCAGCCCAAAUUGUUGUUUUUUUGCCUGUUUCAGUGUUUCGCAGAAAAGAAAUAUCAAACGGAGUCCAAACGGAAUGAAACCUUUGGGAGAGUUAUUUUUGGAACAAACGCAAUGCAGGAGACUUGGAGUGGACGUCAAGAAGCAGACGAGGAAGCCACGAGGCAGGAGGGCGCGCCCUAGGGGGGUGGGCGCGGCCCCCACCCUCGUGGGCCCCUCGUGGCUCCCAUGACCUACUUCCUUCGCCUAUAUAUAUCUAUGUACCCUGAAAACAUCCAGGAGCACCAUGAAACCCUAUUUCCACCGCCGAAACCUUCUCUACCGGUGAGAUCCCAUCUUGGAGCCUUUUCUGGCGCUCUGCCGGAGGGGGAAUUGAUCAUGGAGGGUGAGGGAGUCCUGGAUUAGGGGGUAUCCGGAUAGCCGGACUAUAUCCUUUGGCUGGACUAUUGGACUAUGAAGAUACAAGAUUGAAGACUUCGUCCCGUGACCGGAUGGGACUCUCCUUUGUGUGGAAGGCAAGCUUGGCGAUUCGGAUAUGUAGAUCUCCUCCUCUGUAACCGACUCUGUGUAACCCUAGCCUCCUCUGGUGUCUAUAUAAACCGGAGGGUUUAGUCCGUAGGACAACAACAGUCAGAAUCAUAGGCUAGCUUCUAGGGUUUAGCCUCUACGAUCUCGUGGUAGAUCAACUCUUGUAAUACUCAUAUCAUCAAGAUCAAUCAAACAGGAAGUAGGGUAUUACCUCCAUCGAGAGGGCCCGAACCUGGGUAAACAUCAUGUCCCCAGCCUCAUGUUACCAUUAGCCUUAGACGCACUGUUCGGGACCCCCUACCUGGGAUCCGCCAGUUUUGACACCGACAUUGGUGCUUUCAUUGAGAGUUCCUCUGUGCUGUCGCGAUAAGGCUUGAUGGCUCCUUCAAACAUCAGCAGCGAUGCGGUCUAGGGCGAGGUUUUUCUCCCCGGAUAGAUCUUCGUAUUCGGCGGCUUCGCACUGCGGGCCAAUUUGCUUGGCCAUCUGGAGCAGAUCGGCAGCCACGCCUCUGGCCAUCAGGUCAGGUUCGGAAACUUGAACUACACGGCCGACGUCCGCGGGGACUUGACCUUUGACGGAUUCGAGCCUGUGUCAGGAGCACUGAACAGUCAUGACAUGCAUGACUUAGAUCUGCCCUCGGACGAUAUUCGGACUAUCGCACCUGCAGCUGCCCCGGCCUUAAAUCUGGAGCAGAUCGCGCCAUCCGAGGACAGGUGGAUGGACCCCGCCACGGAGGCCACACACCCAUCGGCGUUGGAGCUGAACACAGACUCCACCCCUCAAGAAAUCUGUGUCACCAGACCCCCGGACUUGUCUCCGGCCUUAGGAUCCGGACCGCGUGUAUCCAUGCCUAUCGAAUCUGAUUGGGCCCCGAUCAUGGAGUUUACCUCUACGGAUAUCUUUCAACACUCACCCUUGGGUGACGUGCUAAAUUCAUUGAGGUCUCUCUCUUUAUCAGAAGACUCUUGGACGAACUAUGUCCGGCUCGAGUGGGAUACGGACGACGAAGAAAUUCGCUAUCCACCCACCACCCACUUAAUAGCCACUGUCGAUGACUUAACCGACACGCUGGACUUCGACUCCGAAGACAUCGACGGUAUGGACGUCGAUGAGGGAGAUGAUCUAGAACCACCGCCCACGGGGCGCUGGACAACCACCUCAUCAUAUGAUAUAUACAUAGUGGACACAUCCAAGGAGAACAACGGCGACAAAAAGGACGCCACCGAGGAUAAUCCCCCAGGGCAGAAACAAAAGCGACGGCGCAGGUGCCGCUCUAAGUCCAGCCGCAGUAAAAAUAGCAAUAACAGCGCAAGAAAAAUUGACACCCCGGUCGACUCCAAAGGAAACGACGACCCCAUGGACCUAGCGAUGGAGCAGGAUGAGCCAGGGCACGCCGAACAUAGUCUGGAGUAGACGUCUGAUCACGGCGACCCCGAGGGUAAAACUCAUCAACCUACCUCCGGAGAGGAGGACAGUCCGGACGACGACGCAUUCAUCCCGGCAAAACACUUGGAACAAGAGAACCUCCACAAAAGGCUAAUGGCCACCGCAAGGAGCCUGAAGAAGCAAAAGCAAAGGCUUAAGGCCGCGCAGGAUACGCUCAACCGCAGAUGGAACAAAGUGCUAGACACUGAAGAAAAAUAUGGCGAUGAUCGCCACACAAAGAGCUACCAAAGCGCAAGCUGCUUCCCGAAUUUAACGACGAGGCCAUAGAGCCCAUCCCGCCGAAGAAUAAUACGGCCGAUCUGCUGGACCGACCACCUCGUGGCCGCGACAGAGCAGCUACUGACGCCGCACACAAGCCAGCACACGAUUUACGUGAGCUCCUGGACAAAAAGGCUGGUGCGACCAGGUCCAUCUAUGGAUCUAGAGGACGUGCUCCGGCGCAAGAUCAUUGCCACCAAAAUGAUCAUAUUGAUCGAAUACCAGUUCGGAAUCAACACCAAUCACAACAGCCGUCAACAGCAUGCCACGACAUGUCCAGAUACAGAGGUGUUGCACACCCCCUGUGCUUCACCAACGAAGUGCUAGAUCACGAAUUUCCACAGGGAUUCAAACCCGUACAUAUAGAGGCAUACGAUGGUGGAACAACAGACCCUGGGGUCUGAAUUGAGGAUUUUAUCCUCCAUAUCCACAUGGCUCGUGGAGAUGAUCUCCAUGCCAUUAAAUACCUGCCCCUCAAGUUGAAAGGACCAGCUCGGCAUUGGUUGAAAAGCCUCCCUGAAAACUCAAUUGGAAGUUGGGAGAAACUCGAGGAUGCUUUCAGGGCCAAUUUUCAAGGGACAUAUGUCCGACCUCCGGAUGCAGACGAUUUAAGUCACAUAAUCCAACAACCCGGAGAGUCAGCCCGUAAGCUUUAGGACAGAUUUCUCACUAAGAAGAAUCAAAUGGUUGAUUGUCCGAAUGCCGAAGCCUUAGCGGCCUUCAAGCACAGUAUUUGAGACGAAUGGCUCGCCAGACACCUCGGCCAAGAAAACCCGAGGACAAUGGCGGCCCUUUUUUUGCGGGAUAAAGGGAGUUUUUAUUGCAAGGCAAUAGUGUUACAAUCAAGAGGCCACAACUCCUCAAUACAAGGUGGAGCCGACUGUAACCACACAGCUGUGGUUCUCUCUAAUCGGCUAUAAGUGGCCAAACGAUCUGCGACACAAUUCUGACUACGGUGAAUUUUCUAUGGUAAAAACUCCCUAUUACUCAUCAACUCCUUAAUCUCAAGCACCAACUGCCCAUAAGCUGACUUCAGCAGACCAUUGUUAGACAAGAUCAAUAGUGCUUCUGCGGAAUCUGACUGAACGACCACCGGAAGUGACGUAUUCUGUAUAGCCAGUGCCAUGCCCUGCAUGAGUGCGUGUAUUUCCGCUUCCAGAGAGUCGUUGCAGUGAAAGAUAUAGCGGUAUGCUGAAAAAAUGAUCUUGCCUUCCUCGUCACGUAGAAUCAUAACGAGCCUUAUGACCCACUUUUGCGCGGUGAGGAUAGCUGGUUGGCCCGUAGAGGCACCAGCGACCCAGGCACAUCCGAAAUAAGGGGUGGCAACGAGAAGCCACGACGCAAUAAAAACAAGCGUCGAAACAAUGAAGAGAGUCCGGACAACACGACGGUCAAUGCCGGAUUCAGGGGCUCUUGACCCGGUCAAUGGAAGAAGCCAUUUAAAGGCAGCAAAGAUGGACCGUCCAGCCUGAACAAGGUCCUGGACAGAUUAUGUCAAACCCAUGGCACUCCCAAAAAACCUGCAAAUCACACUCACAGAGAAUGCUGGGUCUUCAAGCAGGCCGGCAAGCUAAAUGCCGAACACAAAGAAAGGGAGACGCCAAGUGAGGACGAGGAAGAACAUCGUCAGCCGAACACUGGGGGACAGAAAAUAUUCCCACCAGAAGUCAAAACAGUGAAUAUGAUCUACAUAACUCAUAUACCUAAGAGAAGGCGCAAACGCGCACUCAGAGAUGUAUACGCUGUAGAGCCCGUCGCCCCCAAAUUCAACCCUUGGUCGGCCUGUCCGAUCACUUUUGAUCGCAGGGAUCACCCGACUAGUAUCCGGCAUGGAGGAUCGGCUGCCUAAGUUGUAACAUCCCGAUUCUCGGAAUGUUUAUGAAAAAGUUUACCAAAAAUCAGGUCGACAAAAUUUCAUUUGCUUUAUUUGGUAACAAAGCUUAAAUUGGGCUUUUAUAAUUUGGAGGAUUUAACUUGAUCUAAUGUGAACUUAAAUUUAACAUGAGUUUUGUUCUUCUCUUCUAGUUGGGUUUUGUUUUUCUCCCUUCAGCAUAUUAAAAUAUGCGCAUUUUUAUUUUGGAACUUAUGUUGAAUUUGCUAGCUUUUGUUCCUUUUCUAGAUUUUCCUAAGAAGGAAAAUCUAUCUAUCUAUACCUCUCUUUAUAUAUAUAUAUACCUAUACUAAUUACAGACUCCCAAAAAAUUACCACGUUAAUCAGUAAUUAAGAGCCGUUAAUUACCAACGCUGCUGCUUCCUGCGAUUCUUUAUUCUUUCAUGCUUGCAUGAUCUCCCGGUGCUUCAUGUUCCAUCCCAUCCCACUUUUGUGCGCCUCCCGGUGGCCACUUCACCUUGCGCAGAUUGUGCGCCUUGACGGCGUGGACUGUCACCCUCCACAACAAUGGCGAGGUGCCUCACCUUGCAUCUAUUGCCAGUUUUUCCCCUGACGUAGGUAAACAACCUUGCUUCUUUCACAUAAUUAUAAACGUGCUUCCCCUUUUAACCCAUGUGCUGCUUGAACAAUGAGUCUGCUAAGUACGUCAUGACUCAUGAGUUAUGAUUUUAUACUAUAUGGAGAACGGGUAACUGUAAAGCAUGUAAUCUAUAUGAAAACAUUACCGAGUGUGAUAGCUGGCAAGAGUAUGUCAUAUGUACUGACGUUCAUACACCAAUAUAGCAUGUAAUCUAUAUGAAAACAUUACCGAGUGUGAUAGCUGGCAAGAGUAUGUCAUAUGUACUGACGUUCAUACACCAAUAUUGUGUACUGAAUUAUUAUUAUCAAUUGUUAGCAAACACUUGAGACUGAUUAUGCAUCUACCUAGAUCGAAAUUUCAGUUGAAUUGUUAUGUUGUACGAGUUGGUGUCAGAUCUAACUGAGAGGUAACAUAAGGUCAAGAUUGAAGGCGGUGUCCCUUUGUGAAACCAUUACGGGGUGUGAGAGAUGGCAAGAGUAUGUUGUAUGUACUGCUAUUCUUGCACCAAUACAGUGUAUUGAAUUAUUCCUAGGAAUUGUAAAGAAACAAGAAUAUCACAUGGGAUUGAUUAUGCAUCUACCUAGAUCGUGAUUUCAGCUGAAAUUGUUCUGAUGUACGAGUUAGUGCCAAAUCUACAUGAAAAGCAAUAAAAGAUCAAGACUGAAGGUGUUAUGUUGCUUACAUUUUUCUAUGAAGCCAUAUAUGUAUGCACAUGUUUAUGCUCAUAUAUAUGCUGAAACAAGUGUUCAUACAUAGUGAUAUAUCUUCAAAAAUAUUCUAGGGAUAUUUGCAGCAUGGUCACACAAGGCAAGCACGAGCUCUCUCCAUAUGCCAGGUUUCAGUACAUCUGUUGCAGUUUUACUAGAAGCUCCAGUCUUCUUUUAACAUAUCUUCAUUAUUUGUCCUUAUUUUAUUCAUAUCUUCACAAUCUUAAAUAUUUAUCUAUUGUAGGUAGCCUUAGUUUCUAACUUCCAGAUUUAAUUUACAGUCCCCACCCCCCUCUCUAUUAUGAAUUGAUAAGUCUACCAUGGCGUUUUGUGCACUUCAUACAUGACACCCUUGAAGGUAUAAAAUUUUAGCUCAUAUGAUCUGCUAAAUGUAUGAUAUGGCCAGGGGAGAAGAGACAUGGAAUACUUGCUAUGUUCAUUGAUUUUUUUCACGCAUGGUCAAGUGCCUUAAGCCUUUGUCUCUGUUUAUAGUAGUCCUACAUCUAAAAAAAUUACCUUACAUGGAAGUUAUUUCAAUUGUCUCUUUUGUACCAAACCCUUAUUAUUAUGAUGGGUUUCAUGAAUAAAUGGUUUUAAUAAAGCUAAUUAUUGGCCUCACUACUCUCUCAAAUAAAUGCAAAUGACUUUUUGUUUCCUGAUUCAUUCACAUAAUUUCACUGCGCCCUGCAAAAUAUGUGACAGAACUUAAGGCCUUUUAGAUUUAGGGAAGUGAUAGAGCCGCCCUGAUGACUAAAUCCAGUGGAUUCUUACACCAUAUGUUUGUCCUUUUCAACCAAUUUAUCCUUUGUUGAUAACUACAUAAGUAAUCGCAUUUGGUAACUUCAAUGGAUCCUAUUAAGGAGAGAUUGUUUUUCAACCUAUUGAAUUUUCUUUCAUGGAAGUCGUUUUUCCAACUGUCACUUGCUGUGGAUUUGCCGGCAAUGAGUAUAAUAGAUCCCAUCCUCAUAUUUGUUAUAACGAAGUUUACGUAAUGUUAUCCCAUUUUGUAUUCUAUGUCUGCAGAGGGGUGGAGACGCUCUUGCCAAUAAUGGAGUUGAAUUGGAAUUUGUUAGUUUGGUCACAACUGGCUUUAAAUUUAGUCUACAUUUGGCAAAUUACCAAUCCUGCAAAGUAGGAAGCUUAGAAGAAUUUGUGUCUUAUUCCUUUAUGUCAUCUGGAUAGCAAUUUAUAUUUAUGAUGAAUUUUGCAGAUCAUGUGUUCAUAAUAAUAGUUUGUGUCAUGCUUCACAUGUCUGCUACAAAUUGUAGAUUUCCGAUGUAGAUAAUUAUUACUUGCAGGUCCUAUGCUUCAGUCUCAGUAUGUAUUUAUAUGGUUUCCCUAGCAGUAAUUUGGUAACCUCAGUCAUGUCAUAUACAUAUUAGCACUUAGCAAAAAGAAAUCACACACGUGACGCCUGUAUAAUGUUGUUGAAGUGUGGAACAAUGUGCGUUAUGGAAUUCUGUUAUUGGAAUAAUUUUUGUUAUCAUUUCUACUAUGUUGAGAAAUAUGAUUAGUAUUUAAACACUUGAUUCUAAUUUUUCAGGUUUUAAACCAUAAAUCAUGUAGUUGUGCCCUCUUUAAAAUGCUAUUGCACUUAUCUUGCGAUCUGAAAUGUUUUUUUUCUGUUGCUGUUAUCAGGGAAGUGCAUAGCAGCUAUCCAGAAAACAGAAAAGAAUCUUGGCCAUGGUUGGAUGUAUUCUGACAUUACUUCUACCAGUAAAAGGGAUAAAACUUAAACCCAUCAAAAUGGGAUGGGACUGAACAAGGCAACAACCCCCAUGAAAGUGGAAACAAGAUAACAUCAUUGGUGCCUAAUGCCCGUUUAUCUUUUUCAUUAGCUGCAUUUGGUGUUGCAGCGCUGCACUCAACUUGGUUUCCUCGAGUGAACUUCACAAAUUAUAUAUGAUACUACUAUAUAAUCUCUGAGUCGGCCCUGCCAAGAAGUUUAAUAACAAACUAUAGAAACACGUUUGAUUGUAUUGGUUCCUACAAAUGACAUAGAUAAACGACACUGUACGUAGAACACACUUCUUGACAAAAAUGAUUUUGUUGUUUCCUAGGACUUCAAUAAUUGCUAUAUCUAAGUCAAGCAAGAUGUGGCACGAAAAAUAGAGUUAUCCAAAAAGGCUGUACAAUUCUUGGUAUAAAAAUGUGCAACGCCUUGCACACGAUUCUGAAUAUUUUAACUGUCCAAUUUUCAUUCGAUAAAGAAUCAGGGGGCGAAAUCAUUGACUAAUAGAUAAGAAUACCUAUAUCUAACGAAGAGUAAGGCAAUUCGGAUCUAGGCUCUAGGGAGACUAAUAUUUUUUAAAUCGAAAUGUCUAUUUGGAGUAUAGAACUACACAUACAUAUAUAUGAUUUCUCUACAAACAUGUCAAGUUACAUUAAAUAAUAAGAUGAUUUGUAGGCCAUACAGAAAAAGUUAAAUUUCUAACCCAAUACAAAAUGUUAGCUAAGUUUAAUAUGUGUGCACGUACUACACAUGUGGAAACAUAUUGAUAAAAAUAUUUGUGCACAUACUACACAUCUCUAUGUGUAUGUACAAUUUUGUCUCGGUAACUUUUUAGUAUCAAAAUAAUGUUUAAAAAAUUUGGCAAUAAAAUAGGACUCGAAUUUAGAAAAAAGCAUAUAAGUAGGCAUUGCGAAUAGUAUUCCAAUGUUUUCCUGGCAAAGUAUAUUAUUCAUUAACUGGCAUCUACUCAACAUCUAGCCCAUGCAUAUGCACGGGUUGACGACUAGUAUACCUACCUAUACUAAUUCUUGACUUCCUGUAAAUUCCCACGUUAAUCAGAUUUUACGAGCCGUUAAUCUGGUGGGACCGAAUUAUAACGGUGUAGAUUCAUCCUUAUAAUUCUGGGCAAAAAAUAAAAAAAUACCUCAGAUUUUACGAGCCGUUAAUCUGGUGGGACCGAAUUAUAACGGUGUAGAUUCAUCCUUAUAAUUCUGGGCAAAAAAUAAAAAAAUACCUCCAAAAACUAGCACGUAAUCCAGUCUCACGUAUCUCUCUCCAACGAUAGAAAAAAAACUCCUACAUAUCUCCCACGACCCAAAACUGUCUCCACCUUUCACGUAUCUCCACCUAAAAAAAAGAUAAGUUCAGGCAUCUCUUCAAAAAUCCUUCGCAAUAUAUCUCUCCAAUAAGGAAAAAAUACAUCUAAAAAAUCUCUCAUGCAUCUCUCUCCAAUGAGAAAAAAAAACACUCUCCGUACAUAUCUCUCCCAUAAACUCCCGAAGACUUCGCCGCCUCCAACAUGAUCCGCUUCCUCACCCCAGUACUGCCUCCUCAAUAUCCACAUCGAAUCCAACUUCGGCCAGUACAUCACCAGCGUCAAGGCAUGUCCUCUCCUGGCCAAGAUCUCCGCUGCCUUAUUUGUGCAAGAUCGGCCAUGAUGUUGCCGCUGGUUUAUUCUCCAAUAUGACUUACAAUCCUAUCUCAACAAAUUUGAGAUCCCAGGUUCCUUCUGGCAAAAGCUCGAUUCAAUCCCUAACCAAUUGCAGAUGUACAAAAUACUAAUUCUUGACUUCCCGUAAAUUCCCACGUUAAUCAGAUUUUACGAGCCGUUAAUCUGGUGGGACCAAAUUAUAAUGGUGUAGAUUCAUCCUUAUAAUUCUGGGCAAAAGAUAAAAAAAAUACCUCCAAAAACUAGCACGUAAUCCAGUCUCACGUAUCUCUCUCCAACGAUAGAAAAAAAACUCCUACAUAUCUCCCACGACCCAAAACUGUCUCCACCUUUGACGUAUCUCCACCUAAAAAAAAGAUAAGUUCACGCAUCUCUUCAAAAAUCCUUCGCAAUAUAUCUCUCCAAUAAGGAAAAAAUACAUCUAAAAAUUCUCUCAUGCAUCUCUCUCCAAUGAGAAAAAAAAACUCUCCGUACAUAUCUCUCCCAUAAACUCCCGAAGACUUCGCCGCCUCCAACAUGAUCCACUUCCUCACCCCAGCACUGCCUCCUCAAUAUCCACAUCGAAUCCAACUUCGGCCAGUACAUCACCAGCGUCAAGGCAUGUCCUCUCCUGGCCAAGAUCUCCGCUGCCUUAUUUGUGCAAGAUCGGCCAUGAUGUUGCCGCUGGUUUAUUCUCCAAUAUGACUUACAAUCCUAUCUCAACAAAUUUGAGAUCCCAGGUUCCUUCUGGCAAAAGCUCGAUUCAAUCCCUAACCAAUUGCAGAUGUACAAAUUUUUAUGUCCAAAGCUUAUUAAAUAUGUUGGCGAGCAUACGUUUGAGGCUACAGGACAGCGUUAGAUCAGUUUAGUUCAAUUCAACCUACCCGAAUGCUAUUGUACGCAGCUAGGGGGGACUGGUUGCAGAGGAGGCAGUUGAAGGAGGAUGGCCAUGAUAUGUUACGGGAGAGUGAAUAGGGGUGCCUUCCUGCGCUAUGAGACAAUAGUUUAUCCCUCUCCAAUCUGACCAGGUACUUCUUUCUACCUCUUCAUAGUCAAAUCUGAGUGCUUAUGAACUCCUCGAUUGUACGCAGUUGUGCUGUGGCAGCUAUUUAUUUGACGGAAGAUUGGAGCGGGCGGUUUGUCAUGAAUCAUAUGGUUUGUUUCUAUUCAAUCUUACUGAGAAAUAUGAUAUAUUUUCCUUUUCGUUCUCAUUAGAGGGAACAAAGUCGAACAUAAAGAGACUAUCAGUUUGUGGCUAUAAGCCCAUAAUUAUGUGAUUUAUAACACAAGGUGUGUGUAUUUAGUUGAGUGGGAUGUGCUAAUUAUCUGGCAUCUCUUUUUUUGGUUCUCAGAUAAUUAGUAUAAUCGGUUGACAUAUGAGAUGCCUUAUGCCGCCUGACACUGACACUGACAUUAUACUGCAAUAUACCUGCAGUAUAAGAAAUUACCAGAAGUAAAUACCAUCGAAAUGAUUGUUGCUUUUUUGGGGCUAGAAAUACGUGAGAUAUAUUAAGCAAUAAGAGGGCAAGGAAUGAUGGUUGCUGAUAACUAUACAUUUUUAUGGAUAUUCAUCUACCUGGAUGACCUUCAAGCAUGAAUGGUAGAUACCUUCUAGCACAAAUACUUGAAUUCUUACCAUAGUAUAAAAUCGCGGGCGAACAGAAAUUGCAGCAGAGAUUUUAGCCACGAUGUGUAAGGAAGAAAUGGCGCAAUCUCCGGCGAUAGCGCCACGAUCUCCGGCCAUUUCCAUUCCAUGCAGAUUUCGCAUCCGUUUCAGAUCCGUGAUAGCGCCGAAAUAGAGGCAGUUUCACCCGAGAUUGUUUAUUCUUAUAGUACAUAAACGAUAUUGUUUGCCAGUGAUUAUUUCUUAUGUAGUUUUCCUUUCCUGAGUUCGUAUGUUUGUGUCAUAGUAUAUCUUUCCAUGAGAAUGAUACUCGGAAAAUCCAUCUGUAACAUGCAUGGCAGAAUAUUAUCAUUGUAUCGUAACACCCGACAGUUAAACUGUAGCAACAUACAAACAGGGAUGGGCAAAUCAGCUUGAUUACAGUGGAUGGACAAAAGAGCAUUGGAUUAUUGUUUCACAGAGCUAGCUCUUGCCGCAUUAUCAUCUAUCUCUAUAGCUUUCAAGGAACAGUAAUUGUAUGAUUGUAUGUGAUUGGUACAACAAAAUUGACAAUCUUUGUUUAUCACCAUCUUAAUUUCAGGAUGAAUUGGAGAAGGGAGUCUGUACUACGUUUUCUAAUCUGCCACAGUCAAUGUGAAUUUCUGGUAUAUUGAUGUACAGUUAUUAAGGAUGUUUUAUUUUCCAGAUAUUCUGCUAAUGAUAGGAAGCAUGGUUGAAACUUGCUCUAACUGGAGUUGUAUGCUUUGUAACUGAAGACUAGAGACUGGUCACUGGCGCCACGGCGACUUGCAGCCACUCCUGAUGGUCCUACCACCCAGCUUCCACUCUCUUGAUUUUUUUUAUUUUCAUAUUAACACUGCUAUUGGGGUCAAACUAUGUUGUUUACUGAUCUGACUAUCCUCAUGUCCUUUAGGCAGUUUUAACUAUCACUCCUUCAUCUAUUCUUGGACCUGCUCGCUGUGUAUUAGGUAUUGUGGGAACAAAAUAACCAUUGUGAUGGUCAAGACACUCGAGGCGUCCAACUGGAAGUGUGUAAAGAAAUGUAAUUAGCAUUUUUUAACCAGACUAUGCUACACAUACGAUGCAUUAUCCUUCACCAGCGAGGGGUCAGACAUACUGAGGUUUUUCAAGUCUCACAUAUAUUCUCUUAUAUUGGCUCUUUCCAGCACGUCAUUAAUAUCUGAUCCUGUAUAAUAUAGGUCAGCACAUAUAUAUGCAAGGUUCAUUGCUAUUCAACAAAAGCUCUUUCCAUGUUGUGCCUUUCUUCAAAUUCCAACACUAUCAUGUUGCCGGUUUGUCUAAUGCAAAGUUAUUGGUUCUAUAAUUGCCUGAUUUUGUAACUCACAACAUCCCAUAUGAGGUUUCAAGCAUAUCAAAUAUCUGAGAGUACUCUUAUUGUUUUACAUGGAAUGAUUUAAUUUGCAGGAAAAAUAGUUUCUAUAGAUAAGGAAAUAAAUUAGCUUCGCACUCUUUAUUUCAAUAUAAUAUAAUGUUUUCAUAGAUGACUAUAGUAUGUAAAAAUGCUAAUAUUUCCAAAUAGUACACAUAUAAAUACCAAGCAUAUACAUAUACAGAUUAGACCUAAGAAAGUAAGAAGUAUAUACUAGGCUACUCUGCAUGCUUUUGAAGUAGUUCUAUCAAUCUCGGUGAGCCUCUAUAAAAUUCCUUUAGCACGUGUACUCAUCAUUAUCUACUCUAUCUCAUAGACAUCAUUGUUCAACCUAUCUAUGUCGUUGCUCGCGCCGAUGCAUGAAUCGAUGCCAUCCAAUGGCAUCAACAUGUCCUCGUACUUUAUGUCCCUCGGAUGACUUUGUGCCUAAUAGAUGAAAUGUUUUCCAUGGCCAUAGUAACCUCAUAGUGGAGUUAGAUCACUAGUUCCGUCAAUCAUUUUUGUUUAUAUAUUUUUAGUUGUUUGACCGAGUUCGAUGGGUUUUUUUAUGUACAGUGGACUUUUGUGUUAGUAUAUUUGUUAUUUUCAUAUGUUCUUGAUAUGCCUAGGAGUGCAGGGUAUUCGCCUCGUAAUUUUAGUGUGUCAUGUCACUUGCUUGAUUUAUUUACCAAUUAUAGUCAUUUGAUAAUCGUUGAACGUGUUAUACCAUGUGACAUUUUUCUUUGGUGCGGCACAUGGUCAUAUCAUAUGUGUGUGUACAGGUUUUUGUGAAUGAUUACCAUGUGCAGAACUUGCUUGGUGUACCGGAUUAUCAUUGUUCAUACAUGUGUGGCGAGUGUUAUUAUUUCAAUUAGAUUUGGAUCAUCAUUAGGAUAAUCUUAUUAUUAUUAUUGUUUUGGCAAUGUUUGAUACUUAUUGUUUGUGUGCGUACAAAUUUUGGUGAAUGUUGUCAUGUUUAUAAUUCUUUAGAAUUGUUUUAGGAGUUGCUUUUAUUUAUCUAAUCAUGGAAGAAUUAAAGUUUGAUUCUUUAGUUUUUUGUUUAGCAUGACUAUACCUUAGGUUUGUUGCAUGGAUAAUUCUAUGCCAUGUUGCACAUGUGCUGAUAGACUAGAAUCAUGCGAUGUCUAUGAUAUAUGUGUAUCUACUUAUAAUACAUGUUGUUGCAUAAUUUUCUUUAUGCCAGGUUCUAGAUGUCAAAUGAAGUGUUAUGUUACCCUAGAACAAAUCCAGUAUAGUUCCAUGUUGCAUAACACAUUAUGGUGUAGUUGUUCCUCUGGUUUGGUAGAUCUCACCAUCCAUUACCUAGUUGGUUCAUAUUUAAGAUAUAUAUUGCUGCAUAUGGUUUAUGCUUCUAGCAUAUAACUUUGUUUAUUAUUUGUCAGUUAUGCUAGGUGUUUUGUUUACCUAGGAUGAUAGUUGUGCAUACUUAGUUGAUUGACAUGCCAUGUUAGUACUUACUCAAAGUAGAAUGCAUAUUUUGGUUAUAUGCCUACCAUGUGUUAUACUGUCGCUAGUUUUUAUCUUGUAUUCAUGCUUUUGGUUAUACCUUACUUGGUAGAUAUACAUGAUAGUAGUUUGAUGAUAUCAUGCGUAGUUAUGUAUUCUAUGUCAUUGCAUGUGUAAGUGGUACUACAUAGGUAAUACAAGUCAUCUUUGUUAUUCAUGCUAUGAUAUUUCAUUGCUUUAUGUUUUUGAUGCCAUGACAUAGAUGUUCACUUGCUUACAUGCUAAUUGCUUACUAGAUGUGCUUAUGUGUUAUAACUAUUAUGUAUGCUUGUGUCCUAUUGCCAUGCUUGAUCGCCAUGUUAGUUGAUAUCAACUAUGUUGUAUCAUUGUUCUGAGUUGUAUUCUAUUAGUAUCAUACUUUGGCAUCUAGUUUGAUGUUCAUUCAAACUUAGCAUUAUACAUUCAUAUCUAGCUGUUGCAUUGCCGUAUUUAGAUGCCAUUCACGCAAGUGAUCUUUCAUGUCUUAUGAAGUUCUAUGUGUGAUAAUUGCCUAGUUUAGUUCUUCAUUGUAGAUGUUUAACUUCGUUACAUCUUGGCCUUAUGAGUGUUUGAAUACUUGUAGCUAUGACUCGUAUACUUAGGAUGAGUCAUAUGUCAUGUUAGUAGAGUUGUGCUUUGAUCACACACCGAGUGUGUGUGUGUGUGUGUGUGUGUGUGUGUGUGUGUGUGUCGUGCUUUAUUAUUGCAAGCAUGUGGUGAUAAUAUUGUUGCUGGUGGUCAUUAGUAUUAGUUGUUCUUUAUUAUUAAGACCAUGACCUAGUUUAGAAUCUCCUCACGAUCACUCGUAUGUCUGAUGCUUGUGUUAUUUGUUAAGACCUCCAGUUAUUUUCCAUUCACAUGCCUUGUAUGAUGUGUAUCUUACUAUUAAUGGUUUGAUUACCUUUCACCUUAGUGUUAGUUUGGCUUUUGUUGUGGAAUGCUUGCUAUUAGAUGUUGCGUGGGUUCAUAUCCUUUAGUUAAUGUUUGUCCAUUAUAAAUAUUUAGAGUUAUCAAAUAUUUACUUGUGGUUAAUUAUUGAUCUUAAUCAUAUCAUGUCUAGGAUAGUUGUUCAUCCUUUUGUUCUAUUUCUUGUAUAGUUUCUUGUUAAUUGUUUGAUAUACUUGAUUGCAUUUUCUUAUAGUAAUGAUUUAUGUCUAGACCUAGAUCAAUUCAAUUCAUUUUAUUGAAUUGUGUUUGAUUGCUUGACUACUAUGGUUUAUAAUGUUGGUUUGGUUAUCUUAGGGAAUGCUUCUUUUUGAACUAUCAUAUAGUUGAUGUAAAUAUUUGUUGCUAUUGACCAUUAUAAAUAUUUAGAUUCCAUCUAAAUAUUUAUAUGUGGUUAUCUUUUACAUUUAUCAUGCCAUGAUGUGAUCGUGUAGUUAAAUGCAUAUGGUGGUUCCAUUCCAUGUGUGUUGAUGCCAUUGCGUAGUUUCCUAUAUAGUUAGUUGAGAUGUGUAGUGGGGACUACUAGUGGUUAGUAUCGUAGAUCCUAUUAGAACGACAGUCUUGAUCACCAAGUCUUCCUUAGCUUUGUCAACCUAAACCAUGUCACUUCAUUGAAUCAUCUCUCUUACCUCCUUACCUCAUUUCAGAAUCUCCAUCUUGAUCAAUAUCUUGCUACCAGUCCACUCUUAAUUUGUUUUGGGUGUUAUUCAGAUUUACUUUUACUUUGGCAUUUAUUUGAUUUUCGUUUGCUAUCGUUACGACGAGUAGGGAGUGACGAUGAUGUUGGACAAGGACAAAUCAGGUUACCGAAGAAGGACUCAACAACGAAGGCAUGCCUCCUUCUUGAUCACACUUAUCCUAUCGUUUACAAAAUUGCAUUGAGUUUUAUUGUUACUAUAUGCAUGCUAUUUUAAUUCUCGUAGCCAGCAUGUCGAUUGACACAUCACCCUGAUCCGCUUGUCGCCUAUUUACUUGACACCUGUGUAGAAGUAUAUAAUUCCGGUAGAGUAGAAAUGCUUAGCCAUGCUUAUCACCCUAUAGGUGCUUUGUUGAAUGACCUCUAAGUCAUUGACAUUUGAAACUUAUCGCAGAGCUAGGCCAGUUGGCCCUUGUUGACCUUCUCUAUCCUCUUCUACUCUGGAUGAAACUUACCAUCUAAAUACUGGUGCGGGCGACAGCCGAAUCAAGGAUUGAAGGAGCGAUUGGCUGCCCUUCAUAAGUUGAAGGGGGCAAUCAGUCGUCCGUGCCGCAUGAGGCCUAAUAAGUCUUGGAUUUGAAGAUUGUGAUAAUAGUACAGCCACAUGCUAUAUGGGCACUGGCUUGGUCAAGUAAGCUAGUCAGCCUUAGGUGUCGAUGUCGACGUACCGCAGAUGGGAUAGCUGCCUUGCGAGGAGUAUCCUCGGCACAGAUGGGGGGACCGGUUUGAGGACGUACUCUCAGUUCCGUGCACCAGACCCGGUGGGCAUGUCACAUCUUUGGGGGAUCUAGUCCAAAGACCUCGUCACAAUCUCCCUGCUGGUAUACCAGAUGGUGUACUACGCUAGCGACGGCUAGUGGCAACAAGGCGGGAUUGUGUCAUGUGGGUAAAGUGUACAACCUCUGCAGAGUGUAAAACUAUUCGAAUAGCCGUGUCCACGGUCAUGGACAACACAUGAAUCUUUCUUGACGUACAAGACCUGUCUUUCUUAUUCCCUCUUUGCCCCUAUUCUUGGAACCUAUGAAGAGUGUGAGUUGAUCGAGGAUCCUCACUUCGAUGAAAAUUAUUAUGGAGAUAAAACAUGUUUUCAUUAAAACUGCUUUCGUCCAACUGCUAUAUUAACAAAAUUAGCUUUUAUGCAAAUGAGCCAUACAACCUUCCUUUGAAGCCACAUGUAGCUAUUAGGUCCUUCCUUGAGGGAGGCAUGUUGAGUACGUAAUGUACUCAUGGCAAUAAUUUUGUUGACAACAGAGUUCCAUGAAGACGAAGGUGAUGACUAUGACAACUAUGGCGAUCCGUAGAAGUGAGAUCACGUGGACUACAUCGACUACCUGUGGCUGAGAUGGAGUCGCUAUGCAUUGUACUUUCCGUUGUUUUUCUGAAUGUAAUAAAUGGCAUGAGAUAUUUAUCUAGGUAUGCCUUGUGGCAAGACAUAUUUAAAUUUGUAAUACCUUUUACAUACUGUGCAAUGAUAUCAUUUCGCUGUGUUGUCAACAAUGAUCCUGGGGUUGAUAAAUAUACACAGGAGGGUCUGGAAGUUAAUUCCAGGUUCUCACAUUGGUGCUCGAUCCAAUAAUUGAUGGAUACCAUCUCGCUCGAGUCCUUAUGGACGGCGGUAGUAGUCUUAAUCUGAUAUAUCAGGACACUGUCUGCAAGAUGGGGAUAGACCCUCCUGUGGCAAGAUAUAUUUAAAUUUGUAAUACAUUUUACAUACUGUGCAAUGAUAUCAUUUCGCUGUGUUGUCAACAAUGAUCCUGGGGUUGACAAAUAUACACAGGAGGGUCUGGAAGUUAAUUCCAGGUUCUCACAUUGGUGCUCGACCCAAUAAUUGAUGGAUACCAUCUCACUCGAGUCCUUAUGGACGGCGGUAGUAGUCUUAAUCUGAUAUAUCAGGACACUGUCCGCAAGAUGGGGAUAGACCCAUCAAGAAUCAGCCAAAGUAACACUACCUUUAAAGGAGUAAUACCAGGCGUUGAGGCCCGCUGCACGGGCUCCCUCGUAUUAGAGGUUACAUUCGGUUCUCCCGACAACUUCAGAAGCGAAGAAUUAAUCUUUGACAUCCUCCCUUCCGAAGCGGCUAUCACGCACUACUCGGAAGAGCGGCCUUCGCUCGCUUCAACGCAGUACCGCACUGCGUCUAUCUUAAACUCAAGAUGCCCGGUCCACGUGGCGUCAUCACAGUUAGCAGAAACACAGAGUGUUCCUUACAUGCGAAUAUGUGGCAGCUCUAGCAGCCGAACACUAAGUGCCCUCUCCAACCAGAAUACAUGGACACGGUUAGACGAGUCCGGUACACCACCGGUGGUAAUAGCCCAGAUAAACCUGAGCCGGGGUCUAUAGAUAUACCCCCAUAGGUGGUGCUAGGGGUUGCAAACAUGUAACAAUGCCCACAGUUCGGCUUGACCCUAUUAAUAUAACAAUAUAUUGCACUUUCAUGAUUCAUUGAGAAUAACCAACUUCUCGCACGAUUACACUAGACUCUUUUACCUGAGUUUUCCUUUUUUACAGAUACCAAUCAAGUGACACCCUUCCAGGAUAUGGCACAACGGAGACAAAGGCGCAGACGUGCAGCAGGGCCCCGCUCAAAGGUUUCUCUUUAGAUUAAGCCCCUGCGUAAACCUUCUUUAAUGUCUCUUGUUGCUUGACAUCCCAAGGGUACUUAAUACACCCACAAGGUAUACAGGCGUUAUUGGCAUUUCGCCACGACAGAUUAAUGCACGUACCUGGAAAUUCUGGGUUCAUUAUCGAGGGCGUUACUCAGCCCAGUAUAUGUUAUAAAGUGUGAAUACCUUCAGGAGUGUUCGGCGUCGCGAGUUUGGCCUUAUAUGCAUCAGCUCCGAAUCAUGUCUUUGGUCAAAUGUUGGGUUUGCCCGGCUCCUGGGGUUGCUACCUUACGUUCCGUUUUAUCGGCUAAGGCGGCCAAAGGAGAACUACUCGAUUGUGCCCUGGUUAUUCCGGAUGAGCACCUCAGUAGAGAAAGCCGAAAACUGACUGUCAUGAUACAGCGAGAGACUGGUCAACCACUCGAUGACUUAUCGGAAUCUUUGAGAUUCCUCCGCAUUAACGAAGCACCGUUUCCCGGUCAUGUACAUAUGCACACCGUAUUCGGAUGAACGCGGAAGUACCAGGGGCUAUAUAGUAGCCCCACCGUCAAACUCCUAUGGCUAAGUGAAAGUGUUAAAGCUAUAUAGUUCGGUUGCCUAGUUCGACGUGUGAUCACCUCCUUAAUGGGCCAAGACGUUAGAUCAAGUGUGAUUACGUGCAUUUUACGAACACCCCCGCAUUAUAUGCAUGGGGGAUGAAGCCAACGACUGCAAACUUUCAGGUUAUAUACAUACAUAAACGGCCGCACAGGAGGCACUACAAUACUUUCGGGCAAAAGUAUAAACACAGCCUUUAUAAUUAAAAUAGGAUUGUCUUUACAAUCGAGAUAUUUGUCACUCGAACAUGAUACUCUGCGAGCAUUGAGCCUCUAUUAAACGGGCGCCUUCUAGAACUUGCUCAAAAUAGUGCUCGGCCGGGUCCUGGCCUCCUGCCGAACCCCGGGUUGCAAUACCGGUGGCCUCCAUAUCUGCCCAAUAUGUUUUAACAUGGGCAAAAGCCAUCCACGCACCCUCUAUGCACGCCAACUUCUUUACAGCGUCGAUAUGCGACACGACGCCAAGGAAUUGUUGCACUAAACCAAAAUAACUGUUCGGCCUUGGUCCCCUCGGCCAAAGAUGGUCUACCACAGACCUCAUGGCAAGUCCGGACAGCCUAUGGAGCUCGGCCCAUGCGGCCAUCCUUUCAUUUAAGGGCAGCGGACGCGUCGGGGAACUAAAUUGCGACCAGAAUAACCUUUCCACCUCAUUAUCUUUCUAGUCUUUGAAAAACUUAGUCGCAUUAGCAGUACUUUUUGCCAGGUCCGCAUACGCAUCUACAGCACUCCAUAGCUGAUCCAGAGGGGCAUACUUCGGAUCUCCAAACUUCAUCCGCAACAAAAAGGGCUUCCUAGUCGUGAUAUCUCCGGCUUGUCGAAGCUCCUCCCGCGCAGCUCUGAUUUCAGAGCGCGUUUCCUUGGCUGCCCCCAAGGCCUUCUUCAGGUCAGCCACUUUUGCUUGGCUCUCCUUUUCAAGGAGCUCGUAUCGGCCGGCGACAUCUUUUAGCUCCACAGCCAUCUCGGCUAUCUUAUCUUCGCUACGGCGAUGAGCAGCUUGUUCGGCUCUCAACUCUUCGGCCGCCUUUAGGGCGGCCGCAUUGCUUAUCCUAGCUUGUUCCUUGGCUAGGGCAAGUUCCGCCCUUAGAGCCUCCAUGGCAGCAGCUCCAUCUGCAGCCACAGCACAUUAUAUUAGCAUCAUGCUCCUCUUAAUAUUUGCUAACAAUUUAGGAAAAGAACACAUACCCUGUGACUUGUCAAGCCGCUUGUUCACAAGCGCGAUGUCGGCAUCCGCCACAUCAAGCUGUCGCCUCAGUUCAGCGAAUUCAGCAGUCCCGUCAACCGCCGGACCCUUAGCCAUCUGCACAUAAUACAGUGCGAUCAUUACUUGGGAGUGUGAUCCUCCAUUUGCCGCCUAGGGCUGGCAACCAGAGUCUCAGGGGCUACUAUCUAUAGGGAGCACACCUGGCGUGUGCGAUACAACCAAAAGAUUAUGUAUUUCUUUACGUACCUCAAAGCCUUUGAGCAGGCUCGUAAAAGCUUCAUUCAACCCGCUUUUGGCGGAUGAAAUCUUCUCAAAUACCGUGCCCAUUAAAGUACGGUGAGCCUCUAAGAGAGCAGCUCGCUCCAGAAGGCCCGUCAGUGUGUCCGGCUGAGUGCCGGACAUUCCCGGACUCUUCCUAUUACCCUCUUUGGGAGCCGAACACUCCGGGCUUCGGGUGGCCGAAGCAUUGACUUCUGGCCUUGACGGAUCAGGAAUCCUCCAUGACGACACCUCGGGGUCGCCCUCCCGUGGGGCGGGGAGGCAGGUGGAGUUUCACUCUCCAUCAUCUCCGAAAGAAGAUCCCCCGAAGACGAACUCUGUUGAGAAGGGCUACAAGUCGGACUGCAAGAGAUAGAUCAUGGUUAUUGUUCUCGGAGGAGAAGCAGUAUAUAUUUAUUAAAAUAUUUUUAAUUCACUUACAGCUCGGUCGAGGACUGGCCCAUUUUCGUGCGUUGUGCGGUGAGGACGCCCUCUGGGGUAGGGCUCCCUGGCGAAGGUUUCUUCCCUAGUUUUGACGCCUCCACUUCUAGGUCUUCGAAGGCAGCCCUUUUCUUCCCAUGGAGGGAGGGAAUUUGAGAUUCACCUCCUCGAUUAUCCUCCUUCGUGGAGACAUUAAUUCCCGCGGUUUGGAUGUACAAUGUAUGAAGCCCGCUUUUGGCUUCUCUACUCCUCCCUUCGUCCUUCCCCGAUGGCACUUGAUUGGGUGCGUGUUUAAGCAUCCGGGUUAGUACCGUAUUCGGCGAUCCUUCGGGAAGAGGGGACGGACACCUGAUCCUCUCCGCCUUUCUUAGCCAAUCCUGGUCGCAGAUAGUUUUUAGAAUAAAGUUAUGAUAAAAAUGAACAGUGAGUUCGGUUGCAAAGUUACUUACUUGGGUAUCUCGAUGAUUGCAGUUCAAGCCCGCAUCCUCGGUGGUAUCCGGACACUUUAUUCGUGGUUCAAAGAAUAACCGAUACAUCCCUUCAAGCGUCAUGCCGAAGAAGUGCUGAAUAGUUCGCGGUCCCUCUAGGUUGAACUCCCACAUUCGGAGGGGUCGACGUUUGGACGGCAGGACCCGUCAAACUAGCAUUACCUGAAUUACUUUGAUGAGGCUGACAUCCCUCUCAAGAAGAUCCCGAAUGCGGCACUACAGUGUCGUUAUUUCACUAGCGGGCCCCCAGGCCAGUCCCUCGUUGACCCAGGAUGCCAGUUGGGGUGGAGGGCCCGAGCAGAAGGCAGGGGCUACCGGCCACCUUGUGCCUCGAGGAGCAGUGAUAUAGAACCACCUCCAUUGUCAUAAAUCGGACACCUCCGGGAAGGAUCCCUCUAGCCAUGGGGCAUCGGCACUUUGGCUUAUUAUAGCGCCUCCGCACUCCGCAUGUCUCCCGUCGAUCACCUUCGGCUUUAUAUUGAAGGUCUUGAGCCAUAAGCCGAAGUGUGGGGUGACGUGGAGGAAAGCUUCGCACACAACAUAAACGACGAAAUGCGAAGGGUGGAAUCCGGAGCUAGAUCGCGAAAAUCUAGCCCGUAGUAGAACAUGAUCCCUCUCACAAAGGGAUCAAGACUAAAGCCUAAGCCUCGGAGGAAGUGGGAAACAAAUACAACGCUCUCAUUGGGUUCGAGAGUGGGGAUGACCUGCCCUUGGGCAGGUAGCCUGUGCUGGAUUUUGGUGGUCAGAUACCUGGCCUCCCUGAGCUUCUCGAUGUCCUCCUCUGUGAAAGAGGAGGCCAUCCAAUGACCUUGAAGGUUGGAUCCAGACAUGAUUGAAGGUCCGAAGUGCUUAAGCCUGAGCUUUGGGUGUUGGAACUCGAGGUGUGGGAAGAGGCAAGCGUGGGAAGAAAGGGACAGGUCUCGGUCCCUCUAUAAAGGGGGAGAAUACCAAGCGUCCUCAACGUGACCGUUCGGGACUUGCCUAAAAUCGAGGAGUUAUACCAACUGGCAUAGUUGGGUUACCCACACCCGUAUUGAUGACAAUCCCAUGAUAAGGGGGACACGAUCUCUGCUUCGACAAGACGUGCCAAUAAAACCGCCGUGCAAUACGUGUAGUGGCAGGCUGGGAAAAUGAUUCGUAAUAAACAGGGCCACGGUGUGAUGUCACGCUAGGAAAAGUUGUCAGCAGAUUAGAUUUGUGGAAUAUUAUGCUCUCUACGGUGGUAUGUGGAAUUUAUUUUGCAGAGCCGGACACGAUUCAUGUGUUCAAAAUUUACCAUGGAGUAUUCAGAGAUGGAACCCACAUUGCAAUGCCAAAGACAAUCUACGCGCCGGACUCAUCGUCAUUGAAGCCUGGUUCAGGGGCUACUGAGGGAGUUCUGGAUUAGGGGGUAUCCGGACAGCCGGACUAUAUCCUUUGGCCGGACUGUUGGACUAUGAAGAUACAAGAUUGAAGACUUCGUCCCGUGUCCGGAUGGGACUCUCCUUUGCGUGGAAGGCAAGCUUGGCGAUUCAGAUAUGUAGGUCUCCUCCUCUGUAACCAACUCUAUGUAACCCUAGCCCCCUCCGGUGUCUAUAUAAACCGGAGGGUUUAGUCCGUAGGACAACAACAAUCAGAAUCAUAGGCUAGCUUCUAGGGUUUAGCCUCUAUGAUCUCGUGGUAGAUCAACUCUUGUAAUACUCAUAUCAUCAAGAUCAAUCAAGCAAGAAGUAGGGUAUUACCUCCAUAAAGAGGGCCCAAACCUGGGUAAACAUCGUGUCCCCAGCCUCCUGUUACCAUUAGCCUUAAACGCACUGUUCGGGACCCCCUACCCGAGAUCCGCCGGUUUUGACACCGACAUAGGGCUUCUACAUCAACACCAUAGCCUCUCCGAUGAGUUGUGAGUAGUUUACCACAGACCUUCGGGUCCAUAGUUAUUAGCUAGAUAGCUUAUUCUCUCUCUUUGAAUCUCAAUACAAUGUUCUCCUCGAUCUUCUUGGAGAUCUAUUCGAUGUAACUCUUUUUGCGUUGUGUUUGUCAAGAUCCGAUGAAUUGUGGGUUUAUGAUCAAGUUUAUCUAUGAGAAAUAUUUGAAUCUCUCUGAAUUCUUUUAUGUAUGAUUGGUUAUCUUUGCACGUCUCUUUGAAUUAUCAGUUUGGUUUGGCCUACUAGAUUGAUCUUUCUUGCAAUGGGAGAAGUGCUUAGUUUUGGGUUCAAUCUUGCGGUGUCCUUUCCCAAUGACAGCAGGGGCAGCAAGGCACGUAUUGUAUUGUUGCCAUCAAGGAUAAAAAGAUGGGGUUUAUAUCAUAUUGCUUGAGUUUAUCCUUCUACAUCAUGUCAUCUUGCCUAAUGAGUUACUCUGUUCUUAUGAACUUAAUAAUCUAGAUGCAUGCUGGAUAGCGGUCGAUGUGUGGAGUAAUAGUAGUAGAUGCCUAUAUACAUGAUCAUGCCUAGAUAUUCUCAUAACUAUGCACUUUUCUAUCAAUUGCUCGACAGUAAUUUGUUCACCCAUCGUAAUACUUAUGCUAUCUUGAGAGAAGCCACUAGUGAAACCUAUGGCCCCCGGGUCUAUUUUCCAUCAUAUAAGUUUUCUAUCUACUUUAUUUUGCAUUCUUUACUUUCCAAUCUACAUCAUAAAAAUACCAAAAAUAUUUAUCUUAUCUUAUUAUCUCUAUCAGAUCUCACUUUCGCAAGUGGUCGUGAAGGGAUUGACAACCCCUUUAUCGCGUUGGUUGCGAUGUUCUUGUUUGUUUGUGUAGGUACGAGGGACUUGGAGUGUAGCCUCCUACUGGAUUCAUACCUUGGUUCUCAAAACUGAGGGAAAUACUUACGCUACUUUGCUGCAUCACCCUUUCCUCUUAAAGGGAAAAACCAACACAUGCUCAAGAGGUAGCAGUAAGCAACAAAAAUUACUUAGGGUUAUCGACCGAAAUGUGAAAUCGAUUCACAUAUAGGUGUUCUCGGUUGACGAAAACCCAGAACCCGGGAAAAUUGGAAUCGGUGGGAAAUAAUAGUUGGUGAAGAACACAUAAGAAGUUAUGCAGUUCCAUGAUAUUCUUGAGAUACCAUAGUGUAAUACUCAACGGUAGAUCAAAGUAAAGGUCGGAUAGGUUCAAUGAUCUGCAGAAGAUAAGUACUUCAACUUGUCCGAGAAAUGGUAUUUAAGGGAGAACAUGGCUGGAGCCAUGAUUGCAAAAGGCCAGAUCCUAGAUAUAAGAUGAACUUAUACCAAGGGAAUAUUUAAUUGAAGAGGAGCUUUAAUGAUACGAUCUACAUCAUGUCCAUGGGCAUGAACACAAGUUCAAGGUCGACUCCCACUUCUCCAAUGCAUAACCUUUCAUUCACUUUUCAUUCUCGAAGAGUUGUAGUGUAGAAAUUUUAUCUAGCAAAAUACCAAAAGAGUAUGAUUCAUGGAAACUUUUGAGUUCACACAUAUUAAGGAAGGCAUAGGUUCAACCCAUUGGGGUAUUGCGAAAACAUAUACCACAAGCUUCAAUAGUAAAUAUCACCAGCUUAAAAGGAGAGCAUGGUUGGGCAACCAGAGGAUAAGAUUUACCAACGGCAUUACAUCAUAGAGAAAGAACUUCCAAAGUGAUUGAGUAUGAAGGACGCUGUCGGACAAAAUCCAACAAAGGAUCUGGUGGUCCUCAAGGGAUCUGAUGUGAGCAUCAGUACUCAACCAGAGGCAGAAGGAAUGCAAGGAGAUUAGAUUAUAGAAACAACUGACUAAUUCAAAGCUCUAAUGUAAAGGAAUUAUGAUCUUCAAAUCAAGGGAUCUGAAAGCAAACACUUUGGUCAAGGAUCGAUAAGUUGAGUAAGCUUAGAGGUACAAUCAAGGACAAUUUGAUUGGUCGAGAUCCAACUCAUGUUUAAAAUUGAGCCGGAAGGACGAAUUCUAGGAUCUUAUUGAGGAUUGUGAGCAUCCGCAACAUAUUGAAUUCAACAGACCCAAAAUGAUAAUGGAAAAGGAUGCUAAUAAGAUUACCAGACUUAUGGGAUUAUUCAUAAUGCAAGCAAGGAGCAAUAGGCUGCUUAGGAUUUUUGGAAGAUCGAAUGGUAUUUCAGAGACUUUUGUGAAACACAAGAACAACUGGGAAUGAGCGGAUACUCGAUAAGUGCGAGGAAUUAUCCGUAGGGGUGUUCAUGUGGCAAGGAACUGUAAGGCAGUAGGCACAAAGUAUUCUCGUAACAAUAAAGAGGAAUUUCAGGGUAUCUUGUAAUAACAAGAUCAACAGGGAGUGAUUGUAAGAAUGGCAAGUGUACAUGGUUAUCCAUAGGGGUUUAUCGUUGGAAGGGAAUUGCAAUAGCGAUGGCACAAAGUCUCAAGAGAACAGCAAUCGUCUGGAGUGAGGGUCUCUCCGGGAGGAAGUAAUUACGAGAACCUAGAGUUAGAGUUAGCAAAUUCAUUUAACCCAAGAAGAGAGAUCAGAGUCCCAGAGUAUAGAUGAGGAGUAAAAGAUCCUAAUACCAUCCAAUCGCAAUGUGGGGCCGUAAGCCACACAGUCAUGUUAGUAAAAGUUUUGCAAUUGACUAGACUCGACUUUGGCCAAGGAGUGUCGAAGGGGGAUUCCUACAGGCAGUCGGCUCUGAUACCAACUUGUGAUGCCCCUGAUUCAAUUGUACACUAAUCAUGCACGCAAAUGUUUACGAUCAAGAUCAAGGACUCACGGGAAGAUAUCACAACACAACUCUAAAAGUAAAAUAAGUCAUACAAGCAUCAUAUUACAAGCCAGGGGCCUCGAGGGCUCGAAUACAAGUGCUCGAACAUACACAAGUCAGCAGAAGCAACAAUAUCUGAGUACAGACAUAAGUUAAACAAGUUGCCAUAAGAUGGCUAGCUGAAAGUGCAACUAUCGCUGGGUGGUUUUGGUAAUUCCUAACAACAUAUAGCUCAUUGAGCUAAUGCUAUUUCAAGAUAAAUAUUUCAGGAAAGCUCAAUGUUUGGCAUGGCAUGGAUGAGAAACAUGGACCCCUCAAAAUGCUAAGGACAAAAGGAUUGGCUCAAGCUCAAAGCACAAGACUCUACAUUUUACUUUUAGUGAUCCAAGAUCACAUUGAGUCCAUAGGAAAGCCAAUACUAUUAAGAGGGGGUGAGGUGUUGCUUAAUGAGUUUCUUGCUCAAAGUGCUUAAUGAUAUGCUCCAAAAACCCUCAACUACUUUCUCACAUCCACAUAUGUCCCAAACCAAAAUUCAAACUCAGCCCCACCGAAACUUUCUAUCCGGCGCCACCGAGUUUAGUUGACAAAGCCACUGCCAGAAACCCUAGUCUUUUCGGUCUCACCGAUAGGGAUCUCAGUCUCACCGAGAUGGGACUGUAAUCUCUCUUUUCCCUUCGUAACGUUUCGGUCAAACCGAGAUGAGCGACCGGUCCCAUCGAGAAUGCAAUGGAAACUCUCUGUUUCCUUUCAUAACAUUUCGGUCCAAUCGAGAUGAGCGAAUCAGUCCCACCAAGUUUUCCUGACCAACUCUUUGUUUGUCUAUUACCAAAAUCGGUCUCACCGAGUUUGUGUAAUCGGUCUCACCAAAAUUACGUUAUGCCCUAACCCUAACGAUAUCGGUCCCACCGAGUUGACAUGUCGGUCCCACCGAAAUGCCUAACGGUCAUAUUGUGAACUAAAUCGGUCUGACCGAGUUUCACGAUUCAGUCCCACCGAGUUUGGUAAGUUGUGUGUAACGGUUAGAUUUUGUGUGGAGGCUAUAUAUACCCCUCCACCCACUCUUCAUUCAUGGAGAGAUCCAUCAGAACAUGCCUACACUUCCAACAUACAUUUUCUGAGAGAGAACCACCUACACUUGUGUUGAGGUCAAGAUAUUCCAUUCCAACCACAUAAAUCUUGAUCUCUAGCCUUCCCCAAGUUUCUUUCCACUCAAAUCUUCUUUCCACCAAAUCCAAAUCCUGUGAGAGAGAGUUGAGUGUUGGGGAGACUAUCAUUUGAAGCACAAAAGCAAGGAGUUCAUCAUCAACACACCAUCUAUUACCUUUUGGAGAGUGGUGUCUCCUAGAUUGGUUAGGUGUCACUUGGGAGCCUCCGUCAAGAUUGUGGAGUUGAACCAAGGAGUUUGUAAGGGCAAGGAGAUUGCCUACUUCGUGAAGAUCUACCCUAGUGAGGCAUGUCCUUCGUGGGCGAUGGCCAUGGUGGGAUAGAGAAGGUUGCUUCUUCGUGGACCCUUCGUGGGUGGAUCCCUCCGUGGACUCGCGCAGCCGUUACCCUUCGUGGGUUGAAGUCUCCAUCAACGUGGAUGUACAAUAGCACCACCUAUCAGAACCACGACAAAAACAUUCGUGUCUCCUAUUGUGUUUUCAAUCUCCAAACCCCUACCUUUACAUUCUUGCAAGUUGCAUGCUUUACUUUCUGCUGCUUAUAUACUCAUUGCAUGUUUGCUUGAAUUGUGUUAAGAUUGCUUGACUUGUGCUAAGUUGUUAAAAUCUACCAAGAACUAAAAUUGGGAAAAGGCUAGAUAUUUUAUUUGGUCAAGUAGUCUAAUCACCCCCCCCCCUCUAGACAUACUUUCGAUCCUACAAUUGGUAUAAGAGCUUUGGUCUCCAUUUGCUUUGAUUUCCAUAGCUUUUGGUGGUCAUAGCCUUGGUUUCACAACCUAGGAGAGUAUGGAGUCUAGCGAGGGAAAUUACCGCCGUAGAGGUCCUUACUUUGAUGGUACAAAUUUUGCUAGUUGGAAGCAUAAGAUGAAAAUGCAUAUUCUUGGACAUAACCCCGCCAUUUGGGCUAUUGUGUGUAUUGGCUUGCAAGGUGAAUUCUUUGAUGGGAGAGAACGGAACCGUGAAGCUACCACGCAAGAGUUGAAGAUGCUGCAAUACAAUGCUCAAGCUUGUGAUAUUCUCUUCAACGGAUUGUGCCCCGAAGAAUUCAACAAAAUCAGCCAUCUUGAGAAUGCAAAGGAAAUUUGGGAUACUUUGAUUGAUAUGCACGAAGGUACCGACUCCGUCAAGGAAUCCAAAUUGGAUGUGCUUCAAAGUCAAUUUGACAAGUUCAAAAUGAAGGAUGGUGAAGGCGUCGCUGAAAUGUACUCUAGGCUUGCUCUCAUCACAAAUGAGAUUGCCGGCUUAGGAAGUGAAGAGAUGACCGAUAAAUUCAUCACCAAGAAGAUCCUAAGAGCCUUGGAUGGAAAAUAUGAUACCGUGUGCACAUUGAUCCAAAUGAUGCCCAAUUACAAAGAUCUCAAGCCAACGGAAGUCACUGGAAGAAUGUUGCUCAUGAGAUGUCACUCAAGGAUAAGGAAGAGCUCCACAACAAGUCAAGUGGUGCUUACAAAGCCUCAUGUGAAGCUCCCACAUCAUCAAGUGAGAAACAAACCUUUAAUGAAGAAUUGCACCUAAUGGUGAAGAACUUCAACAAGUUCUACAAGAGUAGAAGCAAGGAAAGAAGUUCCAAGUCAAGGUCCUACAAUGACAAAAGAUCUUCCAGCCGUGAGCGUAAUUGCUACAAUUGUGGAAGACCCGUACACUAUUCCAAUGAGUGUACGGCUCCCUACAAAAGAAGAGAAGAUUCUCCAAAAAGAAGAAGUAGACGAGAAGAAUCACCGCCAAGAGAGAGAGGAAGAGUAGAGAUGAUCGUUAUGAACGAAGAACAUCCCGGAGAAGCAAGAAUUCAGAAAGGAAGGACAAAUCAUCAAAGAGCUACACAAGACAAAGACAUCAAGCUCAUGUUGGUGAAUGGUUAUCCGGCUCCGACUCUGACAAUCACUCCGAGAGAAGCUAUCACUCCGACUCUGAAUAUACUCAAGAUGAAGGUGUUGCCAGUCUAGCACUUAUGUCAACCAACUCCUAUGACAUAUUUGACUCACCAAAUGAAGGAAUUGUAAGAUGCUUCAUGGCUAAAGGCCCAAAGGUAUCACACCCUGAGUAUGUUGAUUUCAAUAGUGAUGAAGAUGACUUGUUAGGUGAUGAUGAUUUACUUGUUGACAACUCUAGUGAUGAAUACUAUGAUGAAACGUCAAUUAAUCAUGCUAAUCAAGAUAAAACGAAUGACAAUGAUAAGGAGAAGAUUGAGUGCCUAACUAAAGAACUAAACACUCUUAAGUUAGCUCAUGAAACUAUCUUGGAAGAUCAUCGAGAACUUUUAAAGACUCAUGAGAAGUUACGCUUUGAAAAGCUCAGCCUUGAGCAAGAGCAUGAGUUUUUAAAGGCAAUCAAUGAUGAUCUUCGCAAGAAAAGUUCUUCUUACAUUACCAAGCGUUUACUCUUAUCUACUUACAUCCCACAAGUCAAGUCUCGUAACAAGAACAAGAAAGAUUCUUCUUCUAGUUGUAACAAUAAUCAUGCUAAAUCCAAUGUUGUUGCUUCUAGUAGUUCUCUUGAUUCCACUAAUGAUUCUCUUAGACAAGUUAAACUUGAGCAAGAAAAUAGCUUAUUGAAGGGAAUUAUAGAGAAAGGUGUUUACAAGAGCCUUGCCGGAAGUAAGCAAUUCGAGGAGAUUGUAUGCAAGCAAGGAAGGCACGGAAGAAUCAAGGUGUUGGUUUUGAACGAAAGUUCAAUGCCAAUGGAGUUGAGUGGGAAGAAGAUCAAUACCCCAAGACAAAGUUUGUUCCUCAACAAGAGAAGUAUGAUCCUACUUCUUUCAAAGGAACACAAGCUCAAGAUGAUCUUCCACCACAAGACCACAAGCAAAAAAGGCAAGGACAAGCUUCAAGAGGAGAUUGAUGCAUUUGAAGAAGCUCCUAAGGCCUUGGUCAAGUGGGUUCCCAAGACUACAUCAAGUUCUACUUCAUCAAGUAAGACUACAACUUCAAGGAUUCCCAUCAAGAUGAUGUGGAUCCCAAAGAAUAAGAACUAGAGAGUUAUUGAGGGUGACUCCGCCAAUAUACUUCACUCAUAUCAUUUCGGCGAGGACAAGUGCAAACAACUUCCAUAUCUUGCACUAGUCCAUGGAGUCACAAACCCUCUUGUUGGUAAGACGAGGUACAAGGUAACCUAAUGCUUUCAUGGACAUCAUCUUGUGUGUGCCUCACUCUAUGUCUAUGGAUAUCCUUGCUUGUUCCUUGUGGGACUAACCCGUGUAGGUAUUGAAAGUGCAACUCACUCCAAUGGAUUGCUCCGAAUGAUCUACAUCAACAUUGAGCAUCCACAUCUUCAACACCUACAUGAAGUCAUUAUCGACAAAACCCAAGGUUAGUUCAUCCCUCUUAGGGGGGAUAUCACAUCUAGGGGGAGCUUUACUGUAAAGAAUUGAGCUAAAGCAACUCAAAUGGUGUGAACACAACAAUGCUUUAUGUAAAAGUGGUAACCCCACUUGUGCUUAAACGAUGAGUAUGCCCUAUGAUCAAAUGUUCUCAUUUGACUCCUAAGUCAACAUACUCAUAUAUAGAUGACCUAGUCAUCGCCAAUUGUUUGAUAGAAGCUAGAAUUGGUUGUGCAUGCUUUGCCACAUAUUUCAUUUGCCAUUUUAUUGUGUGAGCAUGUUGGUUGCAUAUUUUACUCAUUCGAGGACAUUCAUUUGUUGCUUUGAUUGCUUGGCUUUUUAUCUUUUGCCAAAUAGAUGGACAAGAAUGCCUAAGAACCUUCUCUAGCUAUCUAUGCUUUUCUCGUCUCAAACUAUAUUCAUGCUACAUCACAAAGUUUGAUCAAGUUAGAUUCGAACCAAUCUGCGUGACAAGCACUCGGAGUCCCUGAUUCAUCAUAGACUUAAACUUCCAAAACCUCUUUGUGCAUUUCGGUUUGACCGAUUCAUCCUUUUCGAUCACACCGAGAUCACUAAGUUGAUCUAGGUUUUCAAUCUCGGUGCAACCGAUUAGAACCUUUUGGUCACACUGAGUUGCAGUAACUGCUCGCAGUUUUGCAUCUCGGUGCCAUUGAGUUAUUCCACUCGGUCACACCGACAGGGUCAGGUUAUAUAUACUCACGGGUCAAAUUUUGGAAAAAAUUAUGAAACCCUUCACCCCGCGCGUAACCUGCUCUGCCUCUUCGGGUCUUCAAAUCGUCUUCUCACCGCCAGCGACCUCCCGCCGCUGGUCUCCGCCACUAUCAACGGCAAUCUGCCCUGCCGUUGCCGCCGUAGCAAGUUCACCGCCGAGUUAGGGUAUGAACUUGAUACUUUGUGCUAUUCAUUAACUCCGAUUCGUAGCACAUUGCUUUGCCAUGAUUCUUGCCAUGUAUGAAAUCAUCAUGUCCAGCGAAAACAUCUUGUAGAUUAGAUUUGAUUUGAAAAUUUAGGGUUAGGUUUCCGCCGAACUCAUCUCAGGCCGACCGAAUUGUUGAAAUCGGUCUCACCGAUUUGGCUUAGGCCAUUGCGCAUGCGAUUUUUGGUCUAACCGAGAAUUCCAAAUUGGUGUGACCGAGUUCGAUUCUCUGUGAAACCCUAGCAGUCUCGGUGCCACCGAACUAUGACUCGGUCUGACCGAGUUCACUAGUUUAGGUUCCAAAAGCUGCUUCGGUAUCAUCGAGUUUACAAAUUGGUAGCUCUGAAAUGCUUUCUGUGGAGAAUUAAAACUAAGUUUUGAGUCAAUUGUUUUGCAAAACAUCUGUACUUUGUGAUGCUCAUCUACUCUACCUCAUCUACAACCUAUUCACAGGGUCUGUUGAUAGUUUGCCUGAAGAUGUCUGAUAGUGAUAGUCAGAACAAGUCAGAGGAACAGGUUUAGUUGAGUGAGGGCACUAGUCCCUCCAACAGCUAUGAUGAGGGCACCAGGAGCACACCUAGUAACUUGCCAAAGGCAGCUACCAGGACAAGGAAGAAGAGAACAUCUGAUUCAGAGGAUGAAGACUAUGUUGUUGUUGAGGAUGAGGCCACUUCAAAGAAAAAGGUGCUGGAAAAGGAGUAUGGCACAGCUGCUGCAAUAAAGCCAGGAAUGAAAACAAAGGCUCCAGCAAGAAGAGUUCCUAUGUCUAAGGCUAGAGCCUCUACUCAAGAGAUAAUGGAAUUCACUCUUGAACCCAAAGAAGGAGGUGAAGGCAAGAAGAGGAAAGAAAGGGUCAAGAAGACCACUGCCAAAGUUAUUGGGAAGCCCUCCAUGAUGAGAUGAUGAUGAAGAGGAAGAGGAUGCUGCUACAGUACCCAAAGCUCAGAAGCUUAUGGGAGAUGCUAUCAAGUCAGGGGCUGCUCCUAAGCCCAAGUCUACUCCCAGAGCUCCAGCUCAAAAGUAUGCACCCAAGAGGAACACUAGAAGUAUACCUGCUGGGGAGAAGAACAAGGCCCCAGUGCAUGAAGCUGCUGAUGAUGAGGAAGAUGAUUCACUUGUUCUAAGAAAGUUGAAGCCCAAGAUCCCUGAUCAUAAUGAUGCACAUUCUGUUGCAGAGAACAUGAAAAUCAGGAAGGAUGCAGGAUUGAGACAGUGGAGAAAGGCUGACCCCUAUGCUGUCAGGAGGAGAACUACUAUGGACUACAGGUUCCACCACUAAAAAAAUACACUUCCAUGAUGAUACGUGUUUGUCACAGUAGGUCACGUUUUUUGUCAUGCAUGUACAUCCAUGACGAUUUUAUGACAAAAUCAAGAUAGUCAUACAUGUGCUGUCGUAGAAGUGUUCCAUGACAUUACCAAAAUUAUCAUCACAGUAGUGUCCACUUCCAUGACAAUAAAUCGCGCGUCACAAAAGUGCUUUCGUCAAGGGUGACUGACACGUGGCAUCCACCGUAAUGGAACACCGUUAAGCUAUCGGGUCGGAUUUUGGAUCCGAUAACCCGUUAACAGCCCUGACCAAUGGGAAAUUUCCACGUGUAAAAGUCUGAUUGGCCGAAGGGAACACCUGUCAGCUCGUCAGUGGGCCAGAUGUCGCCCGUCCAUUGGAGGAGACAUGCCUAUGAUAUGUCAACACGUGGUUGGGCCCAACAGAGGCCCAUAUAGGUUAAAAAGGCCGGCCCAAUCAAAGGUCAGUAGUACUUAAUCAGGUACUAGUAUGCCAGCCCAAUAACGGCCUGCUUAAUAAAGGCCCAUUUAUGGCCCGAAGCCAGAUCUGGCCCGUUAAUUGUUCGCCCAAUAUUUGGGCCCAUUUACGGCCCGAAGCCAGAUCUGGCCCGUUAAUUGUUCGCCCAAUAUUUGGGCCCAUUAGCGGCCCGAAGCCAGAUCUGGCCCGUUAAUUGUUCGCCGAAUAUUUGGGCCCAACUACAGCCCAGUGACUUUCGGCCUGUUAGAGGCCUGAUGUAGACAUGGGCCCAUUUCAGCCCGGUGGGACUUUCGGCCUAGGAAUGGCCCGUGCUGCCCAUGUGCCAUAUAUGGUCCGGCGGGACAUCGGGCCCACUAACGGCCCGUGCUAAAGGUGGCAAAAGUUAAGCCCAACGUGACUUUGGGCCUGUUAAAGGCAUGUCACGUAAUUCGGCCCGUUGAUGCCUGUACUAAGCUUUCGGCCUCUUAAAGGCCCAUGAUAUCAGUGGGCCAACUAAGGCCCGAGAUAUGUUUCGGCCUGGUAACGGCCCGUGAGCUAACUGGGCCCAAAAAGGCCCGGUCUACAUUUCGGCCUACUGAAGGCCCGUCGACGACUAGUGAAAAUUGAGGCCCAACAUGCAUUUUGGCCUGCUAAAGGCCCGUGGUUUCAUCUCGGCUGUAACAUGCCAGUACAAUAUUCAGCCUGUUAAUGGCCCAACGCUACCUGGGCCAAACUAAGCGCUGGGUCGACAAAAGCCCAACUAAAAUAUAGGUCGGUGUAAGUUUGAGCCUGGCGCAAUGUGUGAAGGCCCCAAUCAUUCGGGCCCAAGAAAGACGCAGGCCGGCCCAAUUGUGGCCCGCUAAAAACCUAGCCUGUUAGAGUCAAAUGUUUCGUCUCGGUCGACUACAUCUGAUUUUUUUUCCAGAUAGAGAAUGGUGGCAGUAACUAGUAGGAAUUAAGAACAAACCUACUCUAUACAAUAAAGAAAUUACAGCACAGUAACUAAGAAUAAACCUACACUAUACAAUAAAGGAUUUAAGGUAUAUUACAUCCACUGGGCAUCUAAGUUCGCCACCAGUGAUCAUAAAGCGCAACAAAGAAGCAGAUUACGAAAACUGGGCACCGUUGCAGCGUAACAAAAUAAUACUGAACCGAGACCACUUCCAAGACAAUUCAAGAAAGGUUAGCCUUGCGGGGGAACUGUUGCGCAAGCUGCUGAGCAAGCCUGUGAGACCGGCCUAGCAUGUCGGUCAUAGCUUCCAGGUGUAGUUGUUUAGCGAUGAGGUUCUCAUUGGUGUUCUCCGCAAUCUUUCUUAGAGAUAGGACUUCAAGUCGAAGUUGAGUUGCAGAAUGCCUUUCUGCUAGAACUUUGGACUGAAGAAGUCAAACUGAUUCAGACAACGAAUUUUAUGAGCUUGUCUGACUGUUAGUCUCGAGUAACUUGAAUACUGCAUCAAGACAAGACUUUGGGGUUGUCUCGCUAUCUUCAAGAUGUUUUGCCUUCUUUGCUACAAUAUAUGUUGGGUUUGUCUCACAGCCUUCAGCAGACUUGUGCAUGCCAUCAGGCAUAUCACCCUGAAACAAAGCAGAGAGAUGACAGGUUUUGCACGUGUAUAAACAAAGAUGAUAACUGUGCUGUCAAUUCCAUCCAAUUUCAAAUUAGAAAAUAAAGAGUAAGUUCAAAAUAUCAAUAGCAUAAUUUGGCAUUGUUCAUAAUGCGGGGAGCUUUACCACACUACUGGAUUACAAUGUCAACAUAACAAGCAUAGAUGAAGGGCAAAGAAAAUCAUUGUAUCUACUUUGGAUAAUGUGCAUGGCAUGUUGUUCAUAUCAUCAGCCACAUCAGUAAGAUAAAACGGGAGAUGACAAGGUGCAAACAUGGGCUGCUUCACCACACACUGGAUUAUAGAUACACAAAAACAAGCAUACAUAUAGGGAGUAUUAAGUAAUGUGCAUGGUAUGAAUAAGGAAUUUGGUUUUACAAGUAAAACUUAGAACUUACAGUUCUUGCGAACAUGCAUUUUGGUAGAAAUAGCAAACUAAACAGCAAUAAACGAUAGGGAGUAUGAGAAAAUUAAACAGCAGUUGAGGAUAAAGGCUUUAGAAGGACUGACUUACAUUAACAGUUAACACCGGCUUUAUAAUGCCCUUCUCCAUGUCAAGGGAAGGAUAACUCAAGAAUUUCAGCACAGAAUCUUCUUCAUAAGCAUUGCAUGUACUCUACAUUUUGUAGAGAGUAAUUAUAGAUAUGAUAAUACUGGAAGGGAUAGAGGAUAAUGAAGAUAAGAUGCAGAUUGAUGCUACAUAAUCAACUACCAAUCCCUGGAAGUACAAGCAUUACAGGACAAAAUGUACUGACAAGAGCAAUGGGCUACACUUCUGCACUGGCAUUGUCUGUGUAUUCUACUUGUUGGAAAGAUUAAAUAUAGAUCUGAUCUUUUUUAGUAAAUAGUGGGCGAGGGAGAUAAGAUGCAGAAUGCUACAAAAUGAACCAAUCCCUCUUCCCAUAAUACAAGAGUGUUUUUAACACUGGUGUACUGUACAAAACGUUCUUAUGUUAUGGGACGGAGGGAGUAGCUGUUAAUGUAAGUACAGUGAUAGACCACGUUCAGUCCUUACAAGAGGACUGCAGAGCUAAACCUCUUCAAAAGCAUUGGGUUGAUUCUAAAUUUAUGUAAGAGUCCAUACAGAUCUUAUAAUGUCCACCAAAUGUACGAUUAUGAGGCUAACAUGUGCAGUGAUGCUACAUAAUCAAACAGCUAUGAAAGUAAGUAUGGUCAUAGAGGGCAAGAGGUACUCACAAGAGCAAUGCAGUGCGCAGUAUAGUUGCGAGAUUCUGUGGUCCCUUGAGAACGAAUGUUCUUCUGCUAACAGUUUGUGACAACCUGAUUUUUGGCCCUUUCUUUUUCUUUUGUUUUUUCGAGGUUUUUGCCUGAGUUUUUCUUUUUCGUGGCUUUGUGGCCUAGAAACUAAAGAAGAUGCCCUCUUCUUUGCUUCCAGAGUGGAUUGUCAUAUCCAAAUAUUUCCCUAGACCCUGUCAUUUCCAUCCUAGCCCAAAUCCCAAUAUUCUUUUUAUUGGGAAUAUUCCUUUUCUAUUAAAGGAAUAACUCAAAUUGCCCUAGGUUGUGAAGCAACCUAUAUUUCGAUCACUCCAAAAAUUCUCAAAUAAUUCUCAUAAAUUGUUUGGGUCAUAUCUUGAUCAAAUAUGGCAAAACUUUUCAUUGCCAUGUUCAAAAAUAAUUCCCCAAUAAUUAUUCUUCAUUUUUGUCCAGUGUGGUUUUCUGUGAAGGAAGUGCCACCUAUAUUUUCCUGAUUGCUCCCCAACUCCUUGGGCAUGCUUAUAUGUCCAAAUAAUUGCCUCGUGCACAAUUUCAAAUUUAUUUUCCUAGCCAAUAUUCCUCAGUGAAUUUUCAAAGUUUCUGUCAAACAGAAGCCAUUGUGGAGGAAGUACUAGCUAGGAGUAGCCAAAUGAGUUGAACUCUUGCACACUCCUUAAUGUGCUCCUAUUAACCUCUUCUACCCAUUUGAAGCUCCAUACAAUCAUCUAUGUGAGCACAGGAGCAAAUCUUUGUUUCUGGCAAUAUUUUCAGGUUGUGAAGCAAGUGCAUUUUAUAUUGCUUCAAAAAUCCUGAUAAAUUACCAGAUCAUUCUUAUAUCCAUAAAACAUCUCUCCACCCAAUUUGUCAUCAUUUAAUUAAGCCAUUAUCCCUCUAGAAUAUUUCAAAGUUUCUGGCCAGCAGAAAUAUUUGUGAAGCAAGUACCAUUUUGGCUUUGCCAAAUGGUAUGAUACUUGGUGAGAAUCUUCAUAUGAUCAAAUAACCUUGCCUUGCUCAAACUCAGCUCAAUCCAAUCAACCAUGUGAGUGCAUCAUCAUAGUCUUCAUUUCUGACCAGAUUAUGUGGUUGUUAAGCAACUGCAGUAAAUAUUGAUCCAUUGACCCUCAAAACCUCCAGGAUGAAAGUCCUUCAAUAGAUAAACCUCCCAACCAAGCUAUUUACUGAGUUACCUAGCUGGUGUCCCCACUGCAUAGCACAAACACUUGGUUGCUGGUUUACUUUGGAGCUAAGUGCAAAUCUCUUCUUUGCCCCUAGACUGAUUUAUUUCCUUAUUUAGACUAAGGUCACUAGGGUCAAUCCACUGGACAUGGUCGUCCUGGCCAAAACGAGCAAUUUGCACCAGUGCGCGUGGUGAUCACGCUUGCGUCAUGCAGAUUGCCCGCUCUGGCUUCUUCUUGUCCCUGUUCUCGUCGGCUCCCUCCUCGUCUCGACCUCCAUUCAUGUCCUGGAGCUCCUUCGUGAUGCCCUGCAUCGCCCUGCAUCGAUGGCUCGUCGUGGUUCGCCAUGAAUGCAUCGCUAGGUCCAUGCCCGUGCCAUGCCUAGCCACUACCCUCCAUUAAUGCUUGGUCGGGAGCUCGUCCGUGAGCUCUAGAGCUUUCUCCCGCGGCUAUUUAAAUACCCCCGACCUCCUCCGCAGCCCCCAAGUCCCUCCCUCGCCUCUCUAGUCCACCGGAGUCCUCGGCCCCCUCCUCGUUUCGCCGGAGUUCGCCUCGGUUGCCGGGGUUCCUCCUUGGUUCCGGCGAGCUCGAGCCUCCUCUCCUCCCCUGGUGUUGUCCAUGAUCUCCCCCACCUCCUCGCGGUUCGCCUAAACCGCUUGCCCCUCACGGGAAAGUUCUGUGGCCGCGUCGCCCGGUCCGGCCGUCGUCUCUGUCCUUCGGCCACCGCAUCCUCCGGCCGUCCCGAGCCUCCUCGUGCCUCCCCGACCUCACCACGGCCUCCCCCUUGUCCCCGCAAGCCGCCCCGACUCCUCAGCCCUCGCCAGAGCGCCUUGCUCCGACGAACACCACCUCUGCCGAGCCGCCUCUGCCCUCCCAUGGAGCCGCCUCUCCCCUCCAACCCUCUCCUCCCCGACGGUCGUGCUCCCUCUGGACGGGUGCGGCGCAGCCCCUCGGUCCCGCCGGUGCCCUCAGCCAGGCCGGGGAUCGCCGGAGCUGGCCGGCCCCUUGGCCGCCUCCCUCCUCUGCUUCCGUUCUGUUCUGCUCAGGAACGAACAGGAGCGAGGGAAGGAGGAAGACGACGCCUUGCCAACUGGCCAGGCGGGCCCCAUCCCCUGCGCAUGGACCCCACCAGUUAGCCACCUAGCCGCCAGCCCCGCGUUGACCGGUCCAUGCUGACGUGGAUAAGUGGAGAUGCAUUCGGGCGUCUACGUUUUCAUCCACCGAAAACGUAUUUCAUCAAAUGCGCUUUCCGUUUUUCUGUCCAGGCCCCUGGUUGAAAAUAUUUUCAUUACAGAUGGGUCCCUGGUAGUAAAACCCUUAUAUCUCCGCAACCGUAACUCCAAAUGAGGUGAUUCCAAAGCCUACUUCUUUGGUUCAUUGAGCCCGUUCUGUUGGUUUCAUCUUCACUAUGGUUUGACACUGUGAAAAUGACCUUUUUGACCUUGUGCGUAAACAGCCCUUCCCUGAGAGAAUUGUUUCCGGCAAAUCUUUCUGCGAGUUUCUCGCACUUUCUCCCGGUGAUUUAUUCCACCCCAGACAAGCCACAAUACCCACUUGCAUGAUAGUCAUGUUGUAGCCAUGGUUUUGAACUUGAAUCUUUAUUAAAUGUUUGCUUGUUGAAAAGAUGGUUAUUGUUGUUCCGGUGAUGUUUAGAUUUGCAUGUUCCCUUUUGAGCUAUGUUGUCUUGUACUCGGUUAUCAUGUUCUACCUGCUAGUAUUACCUUUCAUAUGUUUAUGCUUGCUAGUAGUACAUGUUUAUGUUGGUGAUGGUCAUGCUAGUCAGUAUGCCAUGCUAAGUGGAUAUGAUUUAUUAUUGAUAUGGUGGAUAGUUAUGUGAUACCCUCAUGAUUAUGUUGAUAUCAUCUUCAUGCAUUUUAUCAUGGCUCAGCAUAUUUGCAUUCAAGUUAACCAGAUUAAAUUGAACUUGAACAACUGUUGGUUGAGUCAUGGUGCCGCUGAAUCGAUGCUGACCAGUGCAACCACGCUUACCGGUAUAGGACGGUUUUGUCGGAACGCCGUUGGUCCACCUGAAUAGGAGUGCGAGGCCAUGGGUUCCGUAGUGUGGGUACAGUGUACUAACCUCUGCAGAGUGUAUAUUAAAUCUAUCGAUAGCCGAGCCCGUGGAUAUGGGCCCAGGUCGAAAGUAGGUCACACCAUGAGUCAACAGUAAUAAGAAUAAUGUGCUUAAUAACAAUGAGAUAAGUUGGUUGUGAUCGCCGUAAGGGUCACAGGCCAAGUGUUGGUCGGGUUGUGAUCGCCAUAAGGAUCACCGUGGUAUCGAGGAUACCGAGUUGUUGUAUAUUCGUGAGGUUGUACGAGAAUCAUGGGUAAAGGUCAAGCUCCUUGUGGUCAUUUACUGAUCGUUGCGGUAUUGUUCAUACCAAGCUUGAUUUGAUCCUAACAUGAUCGUGUGAUGUCCGAGGUUGGUAAGUGAUGCAUGUGUUGGUUACGAGGUAACCCGAGCAGGAUAAGUGGUGCAUAUGGUGUCAUCAUGUUGCAUGCUAGUAUUGUCGGACUAAUAUGCUCAUAUUGUUCAAGUUGUAUCAUGUUAAUUCCUGUUUAACCUGUAAUUGCCAUGCUGUUGUCUGUCUUGAAUGCUUCUGGUUAUUGUGAGCUUGGAAGUACAUUCAAUGUACUGACCUGGCGUGUCAUGCCAGUUUGCAGGUUAUGCCGGAUUUGAUUGCUUGCUUGUCGUGGUUUCCGUUCGUGCGAGCUAGAAAGCGUUCCAGCCAGAGUCCCUGCGGAGUGGAGUUCACCACCGUCACCGUUGUUCUGCUGCUAGAGUUCUUCUGCUGCAUCAUGUUGUUCUGCUGCUUGCAUAAAGCAACAGUGGAUGGCGUAGUGUCGCCGUACCGAUGUUAUUCAUUGUAAUAUCGGAAGCCUUGUAUUCAUAUUCGAGUAAUAAUAGAAGGUUGGUUUGUUCUAUGCUAAGCAGUGCCGUAUUCCAGAAGACUUCAUCUUGAUCUCUAGGCUGGAAUACGGGGCGUUCCAGUUUUCUCUGAGCCGGGGUGCCACAGGCUUGGUAUCAGAGCAGGUCUGGCUGUAGGACGCCCUAGACCGUGUGAACGUUAGAAAGCGAUAGUAUAGACCCCAGUUGGUUUGUUGCAUAGCAUGCAUAUAGCCUUAGUAUUUGUGAUAACGGUUUAUCUGGUGAGUGUAGCUGGCAUCGGUUUGGAUCCACUACAACUCAACCUUUGCAUUUCUCCAGUUCUUUUUUCGUUCGGUGUUUGGUGUCAUUUCUAUCCCAGCAGAGUGAUGCCAAGUGAUCCUGACACUAUUUGCAAAAAUGGUGCUCAUGUAUCGCGUCGAUGUCUUUCUUUCAGUCAUGUCUAUCAUUUCAGUGAUGGACAUGUUUCUAUCCCAUAUCGUUCUUUUGUCGUGUUGGCAACCCUUAAUGAUCUUAGUUAUCAAGAAAGGGCAAUGUCAGCAGCCUCAGUUUUUCUCCGCUAUCCUAUUUCUUGGACUAGUACGGAUCUUUUUCCGUCCGCUUGAUAAUAAUGUGGUUGCGACCUUCGUGUCCCACUGCAUGAUUACCGAGUGCGUCCUCGCCUCCGAGCUAGUUUAGGCCGCCACCUGGCUAAGCUAGCACUUGGUGUAGCGCUGUUUACACCAAUUCUUCCACACAUUUAAUUGUCCUCGUGCACAUCAUCACAGCAUGCUAGAUCGUAGAACCGGAGAUCCCGCGAGAUUUGUGUGCUUAGGUGUGCAUGCAUAUUAUUGUGUGAGUAGCAGUAAUAUGUGAUGAUUGCUUGAUUAAUUAUAUUAGUGGUCUGCUUUUGUGCUUUUGUUUUAGUCGUUUCUGUUGUUCUUUUUUUUGGGCCUUCGGUGUUACAAAUUUUUUUCCCCUAUUAAAGUUGCUCGUCAACCGACACCGGACCAGAAGAGUCAACAAGAAAUGCAUAUAUUUGGAAAUUCAGCUAAACAAAAUGGAAUUAUCAGCAGACUGCAGUGAAAUUGGGAAUAUCUUGUCGAGAUGCAAAAGAAAUCCUGGAUGGACCGUCAGUAUCAAGUUUGCAUUAGCAUGCACUCAUCACAACAAAAUGAUUAAAUCAGCAAGAAGAUAAAUUGUGUGCAAGUUGACAGAAUAUUAUCAAAGGUAUGGCUCAGAUACAAGUUUAAUUUUUCAUUGAGGAUGAUUUUGGAACUUGAUGUACCUGGAAGUAAGAAAAAAUAUGGCAUAUACUCAGAAAGGAGGAUAGUCUAGUAAAACCAUGUUUCAUGCAAGAAAUCAAUAGCAAAAAUAUUCAGAUGGUUAUAUAUGUGGAAAUCGGUCUACAUAUCACAAUAAGAAGCUUCUGGUGAAAGCAACCCAAUCUUCCCUCGCAAGAUACCCGAGAAGCUUCCAAGACAAGAUUCAUCUAUCUUCCUCAGUAUGAUACGUGGAUGAUUCCCCGUGCAAGGUACUCUGUCUUCUUCAGUAAGCAACCGCAAAAGCUUCCAGCAUAAGGUAUCGAGUCUUUCCCCAGCAAAGUCUUUAAGGGGGUAAGCUUCUGAAGCACGAUACCCAGUCUUCUUCAGCAAGCUGUCCUAGGAAAGUUUCAAGCACAAGACAGCCCAUCUUCCUCAGUAAGACAUUGGUACAAGGUAGUAUGAUGUGAAUUGAUAGCAUAUGGCAGUGAAUCCCAACAAUCAGAACUUGAGAGGUGUUGAACCUGCCAUUUAAUGGGUUACCUUAUCAGAAAAAUGAGGAUAAACUUCAUUUGCCGAAAAAUUGCACCGACAGUACCUAUGGUCAAACAAAGAAACAAUAUGGCCCAACUCUUUCAGCCAAGGAUAUAGACCAAGAAAACAAUAAUGAAGGAGCAAGACCAGUGAGGCAGGUAUGAAAAUUGUACAGGACCCCCAUGGUGCAGAUCCCCCGGAUAGUCUAAGUUAGUAUUGAUCCACAUGGAUAUGCCUACAGCAUGAGUAAUCAGCAUGAGGAGUAAUAGUCUGGAAGCCUGAGUCCUCACUUAUAUGAAUCAUUCUGGAUAGCCUGUUGUGAACAAAAUUUUUCCGACAGAACCACCGUCAGUCAAGUCUGCAGAUAUUAUCACACAGGCCAAACCCUUUAUGCUGGCCACGAUAGGAGACAAUCAAAUAUUUGGUACGGAUCCGAUACUGAUGACAGUGGAACCGGUUAAGAUGAUUCAGAAACUUCUGCGAUGAAUCAGAAUCUGUCAGGAAAUGGUUAUGUUUUAACUCAUUGUUUGGAACCCAAAGGACCUGCAUUUAGUGGAGAAACCCAAUGCAAUGAGUCAGAGCUUGAGUUUUCAUUAGGAAAUUCUGAUCAUCAUUACAUGAAAGGUUGUCAGUGCCGGGUGGCACACCCAGCGGAAAUCACUUUUGGAUUUGUGAGACGGACGUAUAUUUCAGUCAUGAUAAUUAAAUCACACUCGGCUAGUCAGUAGAUCUAAAAAGAAACAAGUAAGGUAAGAUCUGUCAGAAGGAGGAUACAAUGAAUCAAACCACCCCAGGGCCAGUCAGAUAAAAAUUUAGUUGGGAACAUCAAUAAAGGAAAAAGGAUACCCGAGUUGGAAACAGUUUGCUUAAGUCAGAAUAUUCAUACUAGUUCCCUGAGCAACCAAAUCUCGAGGAUGAGAUUUCUUUAAGGGGGUAAGGUUUGUGACAGCCUGAUUUUUGGCCCUUUCUUUUUCUUUUGUUUUUCUGAGGUUUUCGCCUGAGUUUUUCUUUUCCGUGGCUUUGUGGCCUGGAAACUGAAGAAUAUGCCCUCUUCUUUGCUUCGAGAGUGGCUUGUCAUAUCCGAAUCUUUCCCUAGACCCUGUCAUUUCCAUCCUAGCCCAAAUCCCAAUGUUCUUUUUAUUGGGAAUAUUCCUUUUCUAUUAAAGGAAUAACUCAAAUUGCCCUAGGUUGUGAAGCAAUCUAUAUUUCCAUCAAGUACCAUUUUGGCUUUGCCAAAUGGUAUGAUAUUUGGUGAGCAUCUUCAUAUGAUCAAAUAACCCUGCCUUGCUCAAACUCAGCUCAAUCCAAUCAACCAUGUGAGUGCAUCAUCGUGAUCUUCAUUUCUGACCAGAUUAUGUGGUUGUUAAGCAACUACAGUAAAUAUUGAUCCAUUUACCCUCAAAACCUCCAGGAUGGAAGUCCUUUGAUAGAUAAACCUCCCAGACAAGCUAUUUACUGAGUUACCUAGUUGGUAUCCCCACUGCACAGCACAAACACUUGGCUGCUGGUUUACUUUGGAGCUAAGUGCAAAUCUCUUCUUUGCCCAUAGACUGAUUUAUUUCCUUAUUUAGACUAAGGUCACUAGGGUUAAUCCACUAGACAUGGUCGUCCUGGCCAAAACGAGCAAUUUGCACCAGUGCGCAUGGUGAUCACGCUUGCGUCAUGCAGAUUGUGCGCUCUGGAUUCUUCUUGUCCCUGUUCUCGUCGGCUCCCUCCUCGUCUCGACCUCCAUUCAUGUCCUGGAGCUCCCCCGUGAUGCCCUGCAUCUCCCUGCAUCGAUGGCUCAUCGUGGUUUGCCAUGAAUGCGUCACUAGGUCCAUGCCUGUGUCAUGCCCAGCCACUGCCCUCCAUUAAUGCUUGGUCGGGAGCUCGUCUGUGAGCUCUAGAACUCUCUCCCGUGGCUAUUUAAAGACCCCCGACCUCCUCCGCAGCCCCCCAAGUCCCUCCCUCGCCUCUCUAGUCCACCGGAGUCCUCGGCCCCCUCCUCAUUUCGCCGGAGUUUGCCUCGGCCGUCACGGUUCCUCCUUGCUUCCAGCGAGCUCGAGCCUCCUCUCCUCCCCUGGUGUUGUCCAAGAUCUCUCCCACCUCCUCGCGGUUCGCCCAAACCCCUUGCCCCUCGCCGGAGAGUUCCGUGGCCGCGUCGCCCAAGUCCGGUCGUCGUCUCCGUCAUUCGGCCACAGCAUUCUCCAGCCAUCCCGAGCCUCCUCGUGCCUCCCCGACCUCACCAUGGCCUCUCAUCCCCACGAGCCGCCCCGACUCCUCAGCCCUUGCCGGAGCGCCCUGCUCCGACGAACACCGCCUCCGCCGAGCCGCCUCUGCCCUCCCAUGGUGCCGCCUCUCCCCUCCAGCCCUCUCCUCCCCGGCGGCCGUGCUCCCUCUGGACGGGUGCGGCGCAGCCCCGCGGUCCCGUCGGUGCCCUCGGCCCCUGGUUGAAAAUAUUUUCAUUACAGAUGGGUCCCUGGCAGUAAAACCCUUAUAUCUCCGCAACCGUAACUCCAAAUGAGGUGAUUCCAAGGCCUACUUCUUCGUUUCGUCGAGCCCGUUCUGCUGGUAUCAUCUACACUAUGGUUUGACACUGUGAAAAUGACCUUUUUGCCCUUGCGCGUAAACAGCCCCUUUGAGAGAGAACUGUUUCUGGUAAAUCUUUCCGUGAGCUUCUCGCACUUUCUCCUGAUGAUUUCUUCCACCCUAGGCAAGCCACAAUACCCACUUGCAUGAUAGUCAUGCUGUAGCCAUGGUUUUCAACUUGAAUCUUUAUUAAAUGUUUGCUUGUUGAAAAGAUGGUUAUCGUUGUUCCGGUGAUGUUUAGAUUUGCAUGUUCCCUUUUGAGCUAUGUUGUCUUGUACUCGGUUAUCAUGUUCUACCUGCUAGUAUUACCUUUCAUAUGUUUAUGAUUGCUAGUAGUACAUGUUUAUGUUGGUGAUGGUCAUGCUAGUCAGUAUGCCAUGCUCAGUGGAUAUGAUUUAUUGUUGAUAUGGUGGAUAGUUAUGUGAUACCCUCAUGAUUAUGUUGAUAUCAUGUUCAUGCAUUUUAUCAUGGCUCAGCAUAUUUGCAUUCAAGUUAACAGGAUUAAAUUGAACUUGAACAACUGUUGGCUGAGUCAUGGUGCCGCUGAAUCGAUGCUGACCAGUGCAACCACGCUUACCGGUAUAGGACGGUUUUGUCGGAACAUCGUUGGUCCACCCGAAUGGGAGUGCGAGGCCAUGGGUUUCAUAGUGUGGGUACAGUGUACUAACCUUGCAGAGUGUAUAUUAAAUCUAUCGAUAGCUGCGCCCGCGGAUAUGGGCCUAGGUCGAAAGUAGGUCACACCAUGAGUCAACAGUAAUAAGAAUAAUGUUCUUAAUAACGAUGAGAUAAGUUGGUUGUGAUCGCCGUAAGGGUCACGGCACAAGUGUUGGUCGGGUUGUGAUCGCUGUAAGGAUCACAGUUUGGGGCCAAGUGUUGGUCGGGUUGUGAUCGCCAUAAGGAUCACGGUGGUAUCGAGGAUACCGAGUUGUUGUAUAUUUGUGAGGUUGUACGAGAAUCGUGGGUAAAGGUCAAGCUCCUUGUGGUCAUUUACUGAUCGGUACGGUAUUGUUCAUACCAAGCUUGAUUUGAUCCUGACAUGAUCGUGUGAUGUCCGAGGUUGGUAAGUGAUGCAUGUGUUGGUUACGAGGUAACCCGAGCAGGAUAAGUGGUGCAUAUGGUGUCAUCAUGUUGCAUGCUAAUAUUGUCGGACUAAUAUGCUCAUAUUGUUCAAGCUGUAUCAUGUUUAUGUUGGUCAUACCAUGUUAUUCUAAUGAUCUCAUGUUAAUUCAUGUUUAACCUGUAAUUGCCAUGUUGUUGUCUGUCUUGAAUGCUUGUGGUUAUUGUGAGCUUGCAAGUACAUUCAAUGUACUGACCUGGCGUGUCAUGCCAGUUUGCAGGUCAUGCCGGAUUUGAUUGCUUGCUUGUCGUGGUUUUCGUUCGUGCGAGCUAGGAUAAGCGUUCCAGCCAGAGUCCCUGCGGAGUGGAGUUCACCACCGUCGUCGUUGUUCCGCAGCUAGAGUACUUCCGCUGCAUCGUGUUGUUCUGCUGCUUGCAUAAAGCAAUAGUGGAUGGUGUAGUGUCGCCGUACCGAUGUUAUUCAUUGUAAUAUUGGAGACCUUGUAUUCAUAUUCGAGUAAUAAUAGAAGGCUGGUUUUUUCUAUGCUAAGCAGUGCCGUAUUCCAGAAGACUUCAUCUCGAUCUCUGGGCUGGAAUACGGGGCGUUCCGGUUUUCUCUGAGCCGGGGUGCCACAUAGUUUUCGUACAAGUGAGACAUUAAGGCAAAUGCAGAAUUGUAGUUCAAAUUGUGAUGUGAUAUCAUAGAUAGUACCUUACGCUACAGCCGAGACCAAUGUGUAACAAGAUUAUUCCAGUCACCAUUGGAUAAAUGUAGCAUCGGAGACUUUAUAGAGAUUUUGUUCAGAGGCUUGCCAUCGAAGUGCGCUUGCCUCAGGUAGGAAUGAUACUUCAUCAAUGAGUGCUUGAAAAGUGCAACCAACCCUUGCUUGUCAUCACAGUAUAGUUUACUCCUCGCCUAUUUAAAAGAAUGAAAUCGUAUGUCUUCUGUCAGUAGAAACAUAUGCAGUAAUGACCAUGAAUAACAAUAGUAUAUUACUUACGUGUAAGUUGCGGAGGAAGACUGGAAAUUGUUCUGUGUCUGCGGUAUAAUCUUUCCAUGAAGGAAAGAUGCACACAAAGUUCCUGACAACAACAUAAGCUUCGUCUUCUAAACUGGGAAGAAAUGGAACAGGGGUCCUAUUUGCUGCAAUUAGGGCUCCCUCUGGUUCGAAAAGGGAUUUGGCAACUGGAUUUGGUGUACUCUUUGCUGGAAUGGGGGUUUUGCGUCGUACAGCUGGUGCUAUGUCAACUGGCAUAAUCAUACUGUUUGCUGCAGUUGGGGUCUGCUGAGUUGGGGCAUCAGAAAUGACCAGUGUAGUAGGGCUAGAGUCUGCUAGAGUUGGGGUGUUUUGUGGGUCAGGUGAUAUUGCAACUACACCUAAUGGGCUAUUUGAUUUAUCAAGUGCCACUACCUUUUCCAAAUACUUUGCUUGUGCUCCUCCACGAUCAGCAAUUGCCCUCUUCCUUUUGAACGUCGGAUACACAAGAACAACAUUUGAAAUGAUAAAUAUGGUAUGAUGACAGAUGGAAUAUGUACUGAAAAUGGAUAGGCAGGACGUAUUCACAUACACGAUGUGUAAACUAAGCUAAUGGCAGUUCAACAAAGUAGAAGCAAUGCAAAGCAUCAGUUGCAAGAUAUGUGCAAGCAAUGUAACCUUGGAAAGUUAGAGCAAGUACCUUGAUGGGUGAAUAAGAUAGGGCAUCUUCCUCUGGCUCCUCCACUAGGGAGCUACAUUGACUUAGGUCUCCCUCUAGCUCAGAAUCACUGCUAGGAUCAUAUUCUGAGCAUGAAUCUGCAGGUGGAGAGCAUUUGCAUUGCAUUGCAUCCAGACUUGAUUUCAGUCCCUUAAUGCCAAGUUUGACAGCCAUGGCAUUGUUCUACUUUAUUCUUUUCAUGCGCGCAAGCUCAUAAUCAUUAUGAUGCUGUUCAGAAUCUGAGAUUCAUGAAAACAUAAAAAGUAGUCAGGUUAUCUAUGGAAUGCAUUGCGGAUUCCACUCGGAGAGUGUCUCCCUAUAAACCCCUGCAUAUGCAAAGUUCACCUCCCCAACCAUGCUGACCAGACCACACACAGAAAUACAAACCCAUUAUGUCUCUAUAACAGGCAGGCACACAUUUCAAAACUAAAGUAGGAACAUUAGCAUAUGAAAUUCGUAUUUGAACAAAUAAACUAAGCAAUUAUGAGUGGCAUAAUGUUUAGCUUCAAGGGUGGAGUAUUGGUAGUGCGACACAAAGCAAGUAGGCAGAUUGUAUUCCAUGUAAAAGAUCGAAACCUAUGUAAAAGCUGGAAAUGACACUUUCUUUCUAUACAAUGCAGUGUUCGUCGCCCACACAUGAUGGAAGAAAUCACAUAGAGAAAUACUAUUCACUCAUGUCUACGGUUCCAGUAUUUAGAAACAGGGUGGUCCACCCUAAAAGAAUAUUGACAACUAAUAUGACAAGGCAAGCAUAGAUGUAGUGAAUCAAUCAUUUACUUGCAAGCUUACUAGGACAAGUAUGAAGAAUUGUAACUGCAGUAAGAGACCGUCCAAAAUCUGAAUGAGGAACUUUGUCUAGCACUUAUUGUUUGCAACUAAUCGACGUGAAUAAUUGGAUAUUAUAUCGAAUGAGUAAGAAAGACAAGUAAAAUUGUCAACAAACCUAGCUUGCAGUAGUAAUCUGGGUCAAUGUCACUAUGACCAACAGUCCAAAAUGACUAGUGUCUGUUCCGAGGGCCGGAAUUUUGAAAACCUUGUGAACUUUAGAGGUACUAAAGAUUACCGAAAUACAUCUAAACCAUUAAGUGUAGGUAGCACUGAGCACACAACAAACCCUAAUGACAAUCCUGCCUAAUGAGUAACGAAUCAAUUAGAAAAUGGGUGAUGAGGAGUGGCUGCUGAGUGUUGAGGACGUAUCUCAGGAUAAAUCGGGUUGGCUUGGUGGGUGUUGCACGCCUGAGCCCUGAACGGACUGGGAAGGUAGGCACAACGGCGCGCCUGGGUAGCGGUGACGCUAUUGGGCGAGUGGCUCCUGGCCUCCUGUUAGUCCAGCGUCUCCUCCUAGAGUCAUGCCGUCUGGGGAUGGCAAGUCACCGGCGAGGCAGGCGGCUGGGGGCGAGUAGAGAUCGGAAGCACGCAGCAGAACAGAGGGGAAUCGGGGCCUGGGAUGACCCAAAAUCCCAGGGUGGGCCGGCCCACCGUGGGCACCUAUAGAGAUACACACCCGAGCGGCGAACAUGCAUUUUCGAAACUAAUUUAGGAACAUUUAGCUGACCAAUUAAACAACUCUAUUUUAAUAAUAUCAGAUUCGUAUUUGAACAACUAAGAUUGUUUAGCUUGAUGGGUGGAGCAGUGUUAUUAUGACACGAAGCACGUAUUCUGACGUAUAGUGAUCAUAAAAGGGGGAAACUCUAAGCAUAUUUUUUUUAGCAAAAGAGGGUUUCCCCUUCGAUUUUUAUUAAAGAAACCACCACGGAACCUAUAUGAUCAAUUAAACCUUAAGCAUGAUCAAUUAAACCGUAUUAUGGCUGUGCCAUGGCAGAUUUGAAGCUGCAAACCGGAGAAAUGAUAUUUAGCAUCCAUUGUUUGCUUCGAACUAAGAACUAAAUUCUAAGAGCUGAAAAGAAAGUAUAGUAACCAAGUUAAGAUCUAUUUUCUGGUUGAGAUCAAAAAGUUGAGGAGAUAUGAAGUACCACCUCUCUUGCGGCGCCGUGUAGGCAUCGAGGGUGCGAUGGCUGUCGGUGGCGUUGAAGCAGAUCUGCGACGGUAGACGGGUGCAUCGGGGGAUAAGUCCCGUUGCGGUGGAAGAGAAGGUCGUGUGAGCGGCCCCGGCAAAGAGGACAACGGCGCCGAUGAAGCGAGGGGACGCAAUGCAAGGCUAUUGGUCUAUUGCUAUGGAUGAGAAACGUCCAUCUCUAGAAGUGGACGACACGGUCUUGGUAGGCGCUCUGGCAUGGUGGAGGACAGUGGCGAUGGAUGUGGUGGAGGACGGCGGCGAUGGAUGGGGUGGCGGAUGGAGGCUGGUGUGGGGAUGGGGUGUUCUAGCGCGGACAGUGUAUGAAUGGGAAAAUGGAGGGAGAGGUACAGGGAACCAUGUUUUUGGGACGCGCCUGUCUGAAAUAUGGGAAAGGUGCGAACUUAGCCACCGUUUAAAAUUUGGACAUCUCGUCGGUUGGGGAUAGGAUGGUAAUCUCGCAUCUCGCCAAUAUUUGCCCAGAGCGAUUUCGGGCGAGGAGAGGGUGGUUGGCGCCCAUGGUUGGCGCCCACGGUGUAUGAACAGGGCUGGCAGGUAGGGCGGUUGUGUCACGUAUGAGCGAAGUUACAAACCUGCCCCUAUUGAAAAUAUUUGCCUACAUCGAUUUCGUCUGAGUCGAGUUUGUUUUGUCGCCCACCGUAUAUGAAUGGGGAAUGAAGGGAGAAACAAAGGUCUUUCGGACGAGCUUGAAACAAAUGUGUUUAGCCGCCCAUGUUUGACAUCCACCAUGUCGGAAUGGGCUCAGAGGCGGUCGUGUCACGUCUAAUUGAAGUUACUAACCUACCCCUAUUUAGAGCAGUGGAAAUCGGGCCAAUGUAUUGUCCGCGCAAUGGGUAGACAGUAAUUUCCAUCUCCCAAACACUUUGCUUCGGGCAGCCAACGUGGGAGUGGACAUUUUGCCGCUUCUUUCGAAUUUUGGGACAAUAAGCAUCCACGUUUACCCUGGCAACUAAAUUCGAAUCCAUUUUGUAUUCCUAUAUGAAUCUUUAUAAAUCAUUUUGUGUGUUUUUAUAUAUCUUCAAAAGGACGACAAAGAUGUAUUCCACUGUCAUAUAUGAAUAUGGUUUACAAAUGCCGAUACUCAAAUUCAGAAGCUAGAAUCCAGUUUAAGGUGAAUUCGAAUAUUUGGAACACUUCAUGUCUAACUCAAAUGUCACAUGCAGCUUAAUGUGUACUCCCAUUUAGAUAUGUACACAAGCGAUGUAUCAAGAUUCAAAUACGAGUCAAUCAACCAAGAAUGUACAGAAAUAACAGACAUAUAAACACUUAUAGAGUAUAUGGAUCAAUAAUAUCAACUAAUAUACAUAAGCCAGGCCGCUGUACUUUUUUUCGCUACAACAGUAUCCUAUUUUUAGCCAGCAUCUUGGCCCUUUCCGAUGCGUGCCACUUAUGGUCCAUCUAUACUACUACUAUUGUUGAAUGCACAGUCAGCCCGAUUGGCAUAUUUGUAGGUCUGGCACAGCAAUCCAAAUGAAAUGUCUCUGAGUCUUAUCAAUUAAUACAAACUUGUGCUCAAAUAAAAUUACAAACCAAAAAACAAAAAAAAAACAAUUAUUACAUGAUCUCUAAAACAAAUGGUUUGAUUGGUUACAUGAACAGACAACUCAAAGGUUAUUCAACGAUGGAAAGAACAUUUCACCUAUGAUUUACCAAGUAGGAAUUUAAUUUCCUUUUUUCCUCCAGGACCUUACCAAUCUGGUCAGUCUCAGCUUGCUUCGUUUUUAAAUCCACCAAAUAUUUAAUGGUUGUCUUGAGUACUGCUUGUGAUUGUGUUGUUUGCUUCCUCAACAUGUCAACUUCAUCUCUAAGUACAGAAGCAGAAUCUCUUUCUACCACUAGUUUAGCCUCUAGAGCAUCAGCAGUUGGCAAUUCAUAAUGCACGAUUGGGCCAGUGCCACUGCUGUGGGAUGAUGCAACGUCCAUGGGGACCUCGCUCUUUGAUCUUGGGCUAACCUAUUUUGCCAUUAAAGUUCCGAUUGGAUUCAGAAAAGUUGAAGUUAGCAAAACAUAUCAGCUGGGAGUUAUAACAGCAAACCAAUUAAACAAACAAGGAAUUAAAAAGUUUCAAUUGGAUGUUGAAAAGUAGUUAUUAACAUCAUUGUAACCCGUUGUUGCAGCAGCAAAGCAGUUAAACAAACAAGUAGAUAUUUAAGUUAAGGCAAACAGGUAAUUCUUAACAGUAAGUAUCAAACACAUAGAUAGGCGCAGUCUACAAUAUGAUUAACAGGCUGUGGCAUUAUGUAAUCAGUAGCAAACUAAAUUAAGCCGAGCAACAUAAUUGAACAAUUUUGCAAUAAGUGGCUAACUAAAAUUCCGAGAAGCAGGUAACUGAACUUAUGCUAGUUCUUUGUACAGGCACACUGCAACUUCUUUUUUGCUUACAAGGUUGUACGAAGGAGUCCAUGGCAUCAAUUGCUUGGAUACGCAGUCCCAAUACUUCUUUCUUCCCACACUGCAUGGGUAAUUCGAAUGGUUAAUCUAGUAAGAUGGUGCGUCCUUGAUAUGUUAUAUGAGGACGUGUAGUCAGACUAGUUGUAGCCACACACAUCACACUGGCUUUUACUGUAUAUUUCAUGCGAUUACUUUUGGCAUAUCAAGAUCUAAGCAAUCUACAAUAGGAUGAAAAGACUGGCAUCCUUCACAUUAUUGGCGAACUUAGUUCAUAGAAACAAGCAAUUCAACCAUUCUGUGGGUAAAUCAAAAGCGCCACUGGAAUAUUUUUCACUAUCCAAUCAUACACGCAAAAAGGGGCGUUGCCACCAUAGGGGCUGGUAUGGGCGGCCGCCUCAGGUGGCUGGAAAAUGUGCACCUGGUUUGAGUCGUCCAGGUUGGCCCAUGCUAGUUUUUUUCAUCCCAACGCACGAGUAGGCAAUGUAAAAACUAAACAAAAAUGUUUUAAUUUGGAUGGGCCAAUAACAUAAGUGCAAGGCAGGCCCUAUAGCAGGCUCGCGGCCCAAACGAGCGCCUCCCAUAUCGAUCAACAGCAGGAAAAAUCCCAAUUCAUUCGCUCCAGCCUCCCGUCUGGUUCGCUCCUAACCUAGCCGCCGCUGGACAGACCGACAUUGCACUUGCUUGCGCCCUUGUUGGGGGCGGUCGCCGGGCUUCAAGCGAACAGAAGGACAAGAAGAUGAAGAUCCAACCUUGGGUGUAGCCUGCGUGGGAGGCAGCGGUGGCAGCACGGGGAUGGCAUCGAGCUUGCGCAAACGGACAGUCACAGCUUGCAAGAGUAGCAUGUGCAACGAGCAGGUACAUCACAUUCCUGAUUAUAUCUAAUUCAACUCUUCAAUUUUUGGCCAAUAGUUAAAUCUGACGGUGUUGUAAAACUGCUUGUAUGUAGGGAAUCUAUGAGAAAUUGAAACCAACUUCUACUUAUUUUAUAACUCCCCCAAUCAAUACUGAACUGACUGAAUAUGAUGUAUCUAAUCAAGUUUUUGGUGCAAACAUACAAGUUCAUGUUGUUCUUGAGCCUGAAGUGUCUAAUGAAAAGACUGCUAAUGAAGGAUUUGAUGCAAACAUUUUACAUGCUCCUGGUGAUGAACAUAUAGUGUCUAAUGAGGGAUCUAAUGCAAGCAUUUUGCAAGCUCAUUGAAGGAUUUAGUGUCUAAUGAUGAUCUACUAUGUUGAGAGAGACAGAGAUUUGCAGGCAUUGAUGACAAGCAAAUUAUAGUGCAUUUUCAUAGCUUGAGGAAACGUCGAGGCCAUCUACCAGAAAGUCCCCGUAUCAUGACAACAUAGCAUAAAUACUUUUGUAAUCUAUUGUUUGAAACUAUUGGCAUGUUGGGGAACGUAGCAGAAAUUCAAAAUUUUCUACGCAUCACCAAGAUCAAUCUAUGGAGAUACUAGCAACGAGAGAGAUGGGAGUGCAUCUUCAUACCCUUGAAGAUCGCGAUGCGGAAGCGUUACAUGAACGCGGUCGGUGGAGUCAUUCACGAAGCGAUUCAGAUCGUGGCCGAAUCCGAUCUAAGCACCGAAGAAUGGUGCCUCCGUGUUCAAGACACGUGCAGCCCGGUGACGUCUCCCGUGCCUUGAUCCAGCAAGGAGAGAGGGAGAGGUUGGGGAAGACUCCGUCCAGCAGCAGCACAACGGCGUGGUGGUGAUGGAGGAGCGUGGCACUCCAGUAGGGCUUCGCCAAGCACUGCGAGAGACGGGGAGGGGGAGGGGUAGGGCUGCGCUAGGAGAGAGGGAAACUCAUGUGCUUGGCAGCCCCAAACCCCCACUAUAUAUAGGGGAAGGGGAGAGGGAGCCGUCCCCCUCCAGAUCCCAUCUAGAGGGGAGGGGCGGCGGCCAGGAGGGGAGGCUUGCCCCCCAAGCAAGGUGGAGGCGGCCCCCUCCCCUAGGGUUUUCAACCCUAGGCGCCUUGGGCCCUUGGGGAGGGGCGCACCAGCCCACUAGGGGCUGGUUCCCUCCCAUAUUCAGCCCAUCAAGUCCCCCGGGGCAGGUGGGCCCACCCGGUGGACCUCCCGACACCUUUCGGUGGUCCUGGUACAAUACCGAUAACCCCCAAAACUAUUCCGGUGACUGAAACUGGACUUCCCAUAUAUAAAUCUUUUACCUCCGAAACUCCUCGUGACGUCCGGGAUCUCAUCUGGGACUCCGAGCAACAUUCGGUAACCUUAAGUGUGUAGACCCUAGCAUCAUCGAACCUUAAGUGUGUAGACCCUACGGGUUCGGGAAUCAUGCAGACAUGACCGAGACACCUCUCCGGCCAAUAACCAACAGCGGGAUCUGGAUACCCAUGUUGGCUACCACAUGUUCCAUGAUGAUCUCAUCGGAUGAACCACGAUGUCAAGGAUUCAAGCAAUCCCGUAUACAAUUCCCUUUGUCAAUCGGUACGUUACUUGCCCGAGAUUCGAUCGUCGGUAUCCCAAUACCUCGUUCAAUCUCGUUACCGGCAAGUCACUUUACUCGUUCUGUAAUGCAUGAUCCCGUGACUAACUACUUAGUCACAUUGAGCUCAUUAUGAUGAUGCAUUACCGAGUGGGCCCAGAGAUACCUCUUCGUCAUACGGAGUGACAAAUCCCAGUCUCGAUUCGCGCCAACCCAACAAACACUUUCAACGAUACCUGUAGUGCACCUUUAUAGUCACCUAGUUAUGUUGUGACGUUUGGUACACCCAAAGCACUCUUACGGUAUCCAGGAGUUACACAAUCUCAUGGUCUAAGGAAAUGAUACUUGACAUUAGAAAAGCUUUAGCAGACGAACAACACGAUCUUGUGUUAUGCUUAGGAUUGGGUCUUGUCCAUCACAUCAUUCUCCUAAUGAUGUGAUCCCGUUAUCAAUGACAUCCGAUGUCCAUGGUCAGGAAACCAUGACCAUCUGUUGAUCAAUGAGCUAGUCAACUAGAGGCUCACUAGGGACAUGUUGUGGUCUAUGUAUUCACACAUGUAUUACGGUUUCCGGUUAAUACAAUUAUAGCAUGAACAAUAGACAAUUAUCAUGAACAAGGAAAUACAAUAAUAACCAUUCUAUUAUUGCCUCUAGGGCAUAUUUCCAACAGUCUCCCACUUGCACUAGACUCAAUAAUCUAGUUCACAUCACUAUGUGAUUGUAAUGAAUCAACACCCUUGGGGUUUGAUCAUGUCUCGCUUGUGAGAGAGGUUAUUAGUCAACGGGUCUGAACCUUUCAGAUCCGUGUGUGCUUUACAAAUCUCUAUGUCAUCUUGUAGAUGCAGCUAGCACGCGCUAUUUGGAGCUAUUCCAAAUAACUGUUCUACUAUAUGAAUCCGGUUUACUACUCAUAGUCAUCCAGAUUAGUAUCAAAGUUUGCAUCGACGUAACCCUUUACGACGAACUCUUUUACCACCUCCAUAAUCGAGAAAAUUCCUUAGUACACUAGUUACUAAGGAUAAGUUUGACCGUUGUCCUGUGAUCCAUUCCUGGAUCACUCUUGUACCCCUUGACUGACUCAUGGCAAGGCACACUUCAGGUGCGGUACACAGCAUAGCAUAUUGUAGAGCCUACGUCUGAAGCAUAGGGGACGACCUUCGUCCUUUCUCUCUCUUCUGCCGUGGUCAGGUCUUGAGUCUUACUCAAUACUCACACCUUAUGACACAGCCAAAAACUCCUUUGCCGAUCUAUUUUGAACUCCUUCAAAAUCUUGUCACGGUAUGUGUUCAUCUGAAAGUACUAUUAAGCGUUUUUUGAUCUAUCCUUAUAGAUUUUGAUGCUCAAUGUUCAAGUAGCUUAGUCCAGGGUUUCCAUUGAAAAACACUUUUCAAAUAACCCUAUAUGCUUUCUAGAAAUUCUACAUCAUUUCUGAUCAACAAUAUGUCAACAACAUAUACUCAUCAGAAAUGAUAUAGUGCUCCCACUCACUUCUUUGGAAAUACAAGUUUCUCAUAAACUUUGUAUAAACCCAAAAUCUUUGAUCAUCUCAUCAAAGCGUAUAUUCCAACUCCGAGAUGCUUACUCCAGUCCUUAGAAGGAUUGCUGGAGCUUUGCAUACUUGUUAGCAUCUUUCAGGAUUGACAAAACCUUCUGGUUGUAUCACAUACAACCUUUGCACAAGAAUAUCAUUGAGGAAACAAUGUUUUAACAUCCUAUCUGCAAGAUUUCAUAAAUCAUGCAGUAAUUGCUAAUAUAAUUCUAACAGACUCUUAGUAUCGCUACGAGUGAGAAAGUCUCAUCGUAGUCAACUCCUUGAACUUGUCGGAAAACAUCUUAGCGACAAGUCGAGCUUUCUUAAUGGUGACACUUACCAUCAUUGUCCGUCUUCCUUUUAAAAUCCAUCUGUACCUAACAGCCUUACGACCAUCAAGUAGUUCUUCCAAAGUUUAUACUUUGUUUUCAUACAUGGAUCCUCUCUCGGAUUUUAUGGCCUCAAGCCAUUCGUCGGAAUCCGGGCCCACCAUCGCUUCUCCAUAGCUCGUAGGUUCAUUGUUGUCUAGCAACAUGACCUCCAAGACAUGAUUACGUACCAUUCUGAAGUAGUACACAUCCUUGUCGACCUACGAGUUUGGUAGUGACUUGAUCCGAAGCUUCAUGAUCACUAUCAUCAACUUCCACUUCAAUUGGUGUAGGUGCCACAGGAACAACUUCCUGUGCCCUGCUACACACUAGUUGUAGUGACGGUUCAAUAACCAUAUCAAGUCUCCACCAUCCUCCCACUCAAUUCUUUCGAGAGAAACUUUUCCUCGAGAAAGGACCCGUUUCUAGAAACAAUUACUUUUGCUUCCGGAUCUAAAUUAGGAGGUAUAUCCAACUAUUUUGGGUGUCCUAUGAAGAUGCAUUUAUCCGCUUUGGGUUCGAGCUUAUGAGCAUGAAACUUUUUCACAUAAUCAUCGCAGCCCCAAACUUUUAAGAAACAACAGGUUAGGUUUCUCUAAACCAUAGUUCACACUGUGUCAUCUCAACGGAAUUAUGUGGUGCCCUAUUAAAGUGAAUGUGGUAGUCUCUAAUGCCUAAUCCAUAAACGAUAGUGGUAAUUCGAUAAGAGACAUCAUGGUAUACUCCAUAUCCAAUAGGGUGCAUCUAUGAUGUUCGGACACACCAUCACACUAUGGUGUUCCAGGCGGUAUUAGUUGUGAAACAAUUUCCACAAUGUCUUAAUUGUGUACCAAACACAGAACUCAGAUAUUCAUCUCUAUGAUCAUAUCAUAGACAUUUUAUCCUCUUGUCACGACGAUCUUCAACUUCACUCUGAAAUUACUUGAACCUUUCAAUAAUUCAGACUUGUGUUUCAUCAAGUAAAUAUACUUAGCAUCUACUCAAAUCAUCUAUGAAGUAAGAACAUAACGAUAUCCACUGCGUGCCUCAGCACUCAUUGGACUGCACACAUCAAAAUGUAUUACUUCCAACAAGUUGCUUUCUUGUUCCAUUUCAUUGAAAAUGAGGCCUUUCAGUCAUCUUGCCCAUGUGGUAUGAUUUGCAUGUCUCAAGUGAUUCAAAAUCAAGUGAGUCCAAACGAUCCAUCUACAUGGAGUUUCUUCAUGCGUAUAUACCAAUAGACAUGGUUCACAUGUCUCAAUCCUUUCAAAAACGAGUGAGUCCAGAGAUCCAUCAACAUGGAGCUUCUUCAUGCGUUUUAUACCAAUAUGACUUACAUGGCAGUGCCACAAGUAGGUGGUACUAUCAUUACUAUCUUAUAUCUUUUGGCAUGAACAUGUGUAUCAGUACGAUCGAGAUUCAAUAAACCAUUCAUUUUAGGUGCAAGACCAUUGAAGGUAUUAUUCAAAUAAAUAGAGUAACCACUAUUGUCCUUAAAUGAAUAACCGUAAUGCGAUAGACAUAAUCCAAUCAUGUGUAUGCUCAACACAAACACCAAAUAACAAUUAUUUAGGUUUAACACCAAUCUCGAUGGUAGAGGGGGCAGGCGAUGCUUAAUCACAUCAACCUUGGAAACACUUCCAACACACAUUGUCGUCUCACCUUUAGCUAGUCUCCGUUUAUUCCGUAGCUCUUUUAUUUCGAGUUACUAACACUUAGUGACCGAACCGGUAUCUUAAUACCCUGGUGCUACUGCUACCUCUUGAGCAUUGCGUUGGAUUUUCCCGAAGAGGAGAGGAUGAUGCAGUAAAGUAGCGUAAGUAUUUCCCUCAGUUUUUGAGAACCAAGGUAUCAAUCCAGUAGGAGAUCACGCACGAGUCCCUCGUACCUACACAAAAUGAUAGCUACUCGCAACCAACGCGAUUAGGGGUUGUCAAUCCCUUCAUGGUUACUUACAAGGUGAGAUCUGAUAGAGAUGAUAAAUAAUAUUUUUGGUAUUUUUGAUAUAGAGAUGCAAAGUGAAAAGUAAAAGGCAAAGUAAAAACAAAGCAAAUAAAUAAAGUAAUUGAGAUUGAUAUGAUGAGAAUAGGGGCAUAGGUUUCACUAGUGGCUUCUCUCAAGAGCAUAAGUAUUCUACGGUGGGUGAACAAAUUACUGUUGAGCAAUUGAUAGAAAGCGAAUAAUUAUGAGAUUAUCUAGGUAUGGUCAUGUAUAUAGGCAUCACGUCCAAGACAAGUAGAUCGAAAUGAUUCUGCAUCUACUACUAUUACUCCACUCAUCGACCGCUAUCCAGCAUGCAUCUAGAGUAUUAAGUAAAAUAGAGUAACGCCUUAAGCAAGAUGACAUGAUGUAGAGGGAUAAAUUCAUGCAAUAUGAUAAGAACCCCAUCUUGUUAUCCUCGAUGGCAACAAUACAAUACGUGCCUUGCAACCCUUUCUGUCACUGGGUAAGGACACCGCAAGAUUGAACCCAAAGCUAAACACUUCUCCCAAUGCAAGAACUACCACUCUAGUUGGCCAAACCAAACAGAUAAUUCGAAGAGACUUGCAAAGAUAACUCAAUCAUACAUAAAAGAAUUCAGAGAAGAAUCAAAUAUUGUUCAUAGAUAAGCUGAAUCAUAAACCCACAAUUCAUCGGUCUCAAAAAAUACACCUCAAAAAGAAGAUUACAUCGAAUACAUCUCCACAAGAGAGGGGGAGAACAUUGUAUUGAGAUCCAAAAAGAGAGAAGAAGCCAUCUAGCUAAUAACUAUGGACCCGAAGGUCUGAAGUAAACUACUCACACUUCAUCGGAGAGGCUAUGGUGUUGAUGUAGAAGCCCUCCAUGGUAGAUGCCCUCUCCGGCGGAGCUCCGGAACAGGCCCCAAGAUGGGAUCUCGCGGAUACAGAAGGUCGCGGUGGUGGAAUUAGGUUUUUGGCUCCGUUUCUGAUUUGACGGGGGUACGUAGGUAUAUAUAGGAGGAAGGAGUACGUCAGUGGAGCAACAGGGGGCCCACGAGGCAGGGGGUGCACCCAGGGGGGCAUGCCCUCGACCCUCGUGACCGCCUCUGGCACUUCUUGGAGUAGGUUCCAAGUCUCCUGGAUCACGUUCGGUGAGGAAAUCACGUUCCCAAAGGUUUUAUUCCGUUUGGACUCCGUUUGAUAUUCUGUUUCUUCGAAAUACUAAAAUAGGCAAAAAAACAGCAAUUCUGGGUUGGGCCUCCGGUUAAUAGGUUAGUCCCAAUAAUAAUAUAAAAGUGGAAAAUAAAGCCCAGUAUAGUCCAAAACAGUAGACAAAGUAGCAUGGAGUAAUAAAAAAUUAUAGAUACGUUGGAGACGUAUCAAGCAUCCCCAAGCUUAAUUCCUGCUCGUCCUCGAGUAGGUAAAUGAUAAAAAAGAAUUUUUGAUGCGGAGUGAUACUUUGGCAUAAUUUCAAUGUAAAUCUUCUUAAUUGUGACAUGAAUAUUCAGAUCCGAAAGAUUCAAGACAAAACUUCAUAUUAACAUAAAAGUAAUAGUACUUCAAGCAUACAAAUUAAAGCAAUCAUGUCUUCUCAAAAUAUCAUGGUUAAAGAAAGUUAUCCCUACAAAAUCAUAUAGUCUGGAAAUGCUCUAUCUUCAUCACACAAAGUAUUUAAUCAUGCACAACCCCGAUGACGAGCCAAGCAAUUGUUUCAUACUUUAGAAAUCUCAAAAAAAUUCAACUUUCACGCAAUACAUGAGCGUGAGCCAUGGACAUAGCACUAUAGGUGGAAUAGAAUGGUGGUUGUGGAGAAGACAAAAAAGGAGAAGAUAGUCUCACAUCAACUAGGUGUAUCAAUGGGCUAUGGAGAUGCCCAUUGAUAGAUAUCAAUGUGAGUGAGUAGGGAUUGUCAUGCAACGGAUGCACUAGAGCUAUAAGUAUAUGAAAGCUCAACAAAAGAAACUAAGUGGGUGUGCAUCCAACUUGCUCGCUCACGAAGACCUAGGGCACUUUUGAGGAAGCCCAUCAUUGGAAUAUACAAGCCAAGUUCUAUAAUGAAAAAUUCCCACUAGUAAAUGAAAGUGACAACAUAUGAGACUCUCUAUCAUGAAGAUCAUAGUGCUAUUUUAAAGCACAAGUGUGGAAAAAGGAUAGUAGCAUUGUCCCUUCUCUCUUUUUCUCUCAUAUUUUUUCUUUUUUCUUUUUCUCUUUUUUUUGGUGGGCUUCUUUGGCCUCUCUUUUUUUAUUUGGGCUUCUUUGGCCUCUUUUAUUUUUCAUAAAGUCCGGAGUCUCAUCCCGACUUAUGGGGGAAUCAUAGUCUCCAUCAUCCUUUUCUCACUAGGACAAUGCUCUAAUAAUGAUGAUCAUCACACUUAUAUUUUUCUUACAACUCAACAAUUACAACUCGAUACUUAGAAAAAGAUAUGACUCUAUAUGAAUGCCUCCGGCGGUGUACCGGGAUAUGCAAUGAAUCAAGAGUGACAUGUAUGAAAAUUAUGUAGAUGGCCUUGCCACAAAUACAAUGUCAACUACAUGUUCAUGCAAAGAGCAAUAUGACAAAAGUAAUGUGUGUCAUAUGAACGGAAUGGUGGAAAGUUGCAUGGCAAUAUAUCUCGGAAUGGCUAUGGAAAUGCCAUGAUAGGUAGGUAUGGUGGCUGUUUUGAGGAAGGCAUAUGGAGGGUGUAUGAUACCGGUGAAAAGUGUGCAGUAUUAGAGAGGCUAGCAAUGGUGGAAGGGUGAGAGUGCGUAUAAUCCAUGGACUCAACAUUAAUCAAAAGAACUCAUGCACUUACUACAAAAAAAAUUGGAAGUCAUCAAAAACCAAAGCAUUAAACGCAUACUCCUAGGGGGAUAGAUUGGUAGGAAAAGACCAUCGCUCGUCCCCGACUGCCACUCAUAAGGAAGACAAUCAAUAAAUAAAAUUGUGCUCCGACUUCAUCACAAGCGGUUCACCAUACGUGCAUGCUACGGGAAUCACAAACUUCAACACAAGCAUUCUUUAAAUUCAUAAUCACCCCAACUAGCAUUGCUUUGAUAUUAUCACUUCCAUAUCUCAAAACAGUUAUCAAGCAUCAACUUAUCUUAGUAUUCAACUCACUCAAAAGAAAGUUUCACAUAUGUUGAAUACCAAGUAUAUUAACAUUAAGAAAAUUACCAUGCUAUCAAUAACUCUCAAAAUAAUCUAAGUGAAGCAUGAGAGAUCAAUAGUUUCUUUAAAACAAAUCCACUACCGUGCUCUUAAAAGAUCUAAGUGAAGCACUAGAGCAAAAAUUAUCAUGCUCAAAAGAUAUAAGUGAAGCACUAUGAGCAAAAACUAUCAAGCUCAAAAGAUAUAAGUGAAGCACAUAGAGUAUUCUAGCAAAUUCCAAAUCAUGUAUGGCUCUCUAAAAAGGUGUGUACAGCAAGGAUGGUUGUGGCAAACUAACAAGCAAAUACACAAAUAAUACAAGACGCUCCAAGCAAAACACAUGACAUGUAGUGAAUAAAAAUAUAGCUCCAAGUAAAUUACCGAUGGAAGUAGAUGAAAGAGGGGAUGCCUUCCGGGGCAUCCCCAAGCUUUGACUUCUUGGUGUCCUUGGAUUAUCUUGGGGGUGCCAUGGGCAUCCCCAAGCUUAGGCUCUUGCCACUCUUUGUUCCAUAAUCCAUCAAAAGAAUUCACCCAAAACUUGAAAACUUCACAACACAAAACUCAAUAGAAAUCUCGUGAGCUCCGUUAGUGAAAGAAAACAAAAGACUACUUCAAGGUACUCUAAUGAACUCAUUCUUUAUUUAUAUUGGUGUUAAACCUACUGUAUUCCAACUUCCUUAUGGUUUAUAAACUAAUUUAUUAGCCAUAGAUACAUUGAAAUAAGCAAACAACACACGAAAAACAGAAUCUGUCAAAAACAGAACAGUCUUUAGCAAUCUGUAACUAACGUAAACUUCUGGAACUCUAAAAAUUCUACCAAAAUAGGAAUUACUGUAAAAUUUGUUUAUUGAUUAGCAGAAAAAAGAAUCAAUGCUAAAGCAAGUUCCUGUGAUUUAUUGAAUUUUUGCUCGUGAGCGCAAAGUUUCUGUUUUUCAGCAGAAUCAAAUCAACUAUCAUCAUAGCUUAUCCUAUAGGUUCUACUUGGCACAAACACUAAUUAAAACAUAAAACCACAUCUAAACAGAAAGUAGAAACAAAAUUUAACACUAAACAGGAGCAAAAACAAAGAACACAAAAUAAAAUUGGGUUGCCUCCCAAUAAGCGCUAUCGUUUAACGCCCCUAGCUAGGCAUAAAAGCGAAGAUAGAUCUAAGUUUUGCCAUAAUAAUAGGAAAGAUCUUGAAAACUCAUCUCAUAUGCUCUACGUUCGGCAGCAAGCUUCCUUUGAGGCAAGCAAAAGUAAUCAAAAGGGCUAAAAUUGGUAGGACAAAGGUCCCCAAGAUCAAUAAAGGGAGGAAUAGGAUCCUCCUUCGGCCCUUCAGAGUGCACAACUAUUUCAUCACUAAAAGCAUUCUUUUGGCAAAAUUUUGUGAGCCUAUACUCAAGAGAGUAUCCUAGCUCAUCGUUUCAAAGAGCAAAGUCAUUAUUAAGUUCGUUAAUACAAUCAAUCAAGACUUUGGUAGGAACCUUUUUUCUAAGGUUUUCAUUAAAAGGGACAUAGUCGGAAGAUUGAAAGCGUCUAAAUUCCUCUUGAUCAUAAAGGAUUGCUUCUAUGGGAGGACGACCGGCGUCCACCCUAUAGUGCGCAAAGAUUUCUUUGGCUUCUCUAAUGAUAAAUCUAAACUCAUGAGCCAAAAAGAUAGUAAUAGCGCACUUAACAGAGGAGUUCUCAAUAUUAGAAAAUUCCAAGAAAAUUCUUUGUAUGCAAGGAUGCAUGUGCAUAAAUUGUCUUUCAAGUUCAACUACAAGCAUAGCGAUAGCAUCCGCAAGACUACUAGUUUUAUGAAGUAUAGAACAACCCAAGGAAGGUAAAGCACCGGUACAAGUAAAGAAAUCUUGAAUAACACCUUUGACAAUAAUGUUACCACUGCCGAUUCGAAACUUUUUAGUAUGCAAGAUAUGGGGUUCAUCGGCUGGAGCCUCAGGAUUUUCUAUACCAUUAUUAUUGUCCAUAUCGACGAUAAUCUCCCCAGUUUCAGACAUAGCGGCAAACAAAAAGGCGAAGAGAAAAAGGCAAAGGAGAAAAGAGAGGAGGAGAUUGGGAGAGAGAGGGCGAAUAAAACGGCAAGGGUGAAGUGGGGGAGAGGAAAACGAGAGGCAAAUAAUGUAAUGCGAGAGAUAGGGAUUGUGAUGGGUACUUGGUAUGGUUGACUUUUGCACAACUCCCCGGCAACGGCGCCAGAAAUUCUUCUUGCUACCUCUUGAGCACUGCGUUGGAUUUCCCCGAAGAGGAGAGGAUGAUGCAGUAAAGUAGCGUAAGUAUUUCCCUCGGUUUUUGAGAACCAAGGUAUCAAUCCAGUAGGAGAUCACGCACGAGUCCCUCGUACCUACACAAAACGAUAGCUACUCGCAACCAAUGCGAUUAGGGGUUGUCAAUCCCUUCACGGUUACUUACAAGGGCGAGAUCUGAUAGAGAUGAUAAAUAAUAUUUUUGGUAUUUUUGAUAUAGAGAUGCAAAGUGAAAAGUAAAAGGCAAAGUAAAAACAAAGAAAGUAAAUAAAGGAAUGGAGAUUGAUAUGAUGAGAAUAGACCCGGGGGCCAUAGGUUUCACUAGUGGCUUCUAUCAAGAGCAUAAGUAUUCUACGGUGGGUGAACAAAUUACUGUUGAGCAAUUGAUAGAAAAGCGAAUAAUUAUGAGAUUAUCUAGGUAUGAUCAUGUAUAUAGGCAUCAUGUCCAAGACAAGUAGAUCGAAAUGAUUCUGCAUCUACUACUAUUACUCCACUCAUCGGCCGCUAUCCAGCAUGCAUCUAGAGUAUUAAGUAAAACAAAGUAACGCCUUAAACAAGAUGACAUGAUGUAGAGGGAUAAAUUCAUGCAAUAUGAUAAGAACCCCAUCUUGUUAUCCUCGAUGGCAACAAUACAAUACGUGCCUUGCAACCCUUUCUGUCACUGGGUAAGGACACCGCAAGAUUGAACCCAAAGCUAAACACUUCUCCCAAUGCAAGAACUACCAAUCUAGUUGGCCAAACCAAACGGAUAAUUAGAAGAGACUUGCAAAGAUAACUCAAUCAUACAUAAAAGAAUUCUGAGAAGAAUCAAAUAUUGUUCAUAGAUAAGCUGAAUCAUAAACCCACAAUUCAUCGAUCUCAACAAACACACCGCAAAAAUAAGAUUACAUCGAAUAGAUCUCCACAAGAGAGGGGGAGAACAUUGUAUUGAGAUCCAAAAAGAGAGAAGAAGCCAUCUAGCUAAUAACUAUGGACCCGAAGGUCUGAAGUAAACUACUCACACUUCAUCAGAGAGGCUAUGGUGUUGAUGUAGAAGCCCUCCGUGGUACAUGGCCUCUCCGACGGAGCUCCGGAACAUGCCCCAAGAUGGGAUCUCGCAGAUACAGAAGGUUGCGGUGGUGGAAUUAGGUUUUUGGCUCCGUUUCUGACCUGACGGGGGUACGUAGGUAUAUAUAGGAGGAAGGAGUAAGAAACUUGUCGGAGGUCUCACACCUCUUGUCCGCUUUUCUCCCUUAGUUUGCAGGCUUAAGAAACUUGUCGGAGGUCUCACACCUCUUGACGUGGCACUAGCCUGAAAUACCAAUUUUAGCCCUUGGAACAUCUCAUAUGUUCCGUGACGUUUCAAAAAUCGUCUUCGGCGCCUCAAUUCUAAACUGUUUAACAUUAUUGAACUAUCACAUAGUCAUCAAAACGUGUAUGUCAGAUGUUCGCAACAUCCACAGACAACGUUCGAGGUUCAGCACACUGAGCGAUGCAUUAAGGACACAAGCCUUCUGUGUAGCAAUGAGGAUAAUCCUCAGUUUACGGACCCAGUCCGCAUAAUUCCUACUAUUAACUUUCAACUAAAUUUUCUCUAGGAUCAUAUCUAAAAUAGUAGAACUAAAGAGCGAGCUACGACAUAAUUUGCAAAAACCUUUUGACUAUGUUCAGGAUAAUUAAGUUCGUCUUAUGAACUCCCACUCAGAUAGACAUCCCUCUAGUCAUCUAAGUGAUACAUGAUCCGAGUCAACUAGGCCGUGUCCGAUCAUCACAUGAGACGGACUAGUCAUCAUCUGUGAACAUCUUCAUGUUGAUCGUAUCCACUAUAUGACUCAUGUUCGACCUUUCGGUCUCUUGUGUUCCGAUGCCAUGUCUGUACAUGCUAGGCUCGUCAAGUCAACCUAAGUGUUUCACGUGUGUAAAUCUGGCUUACACCCGUUGUAUGCGAACGUUAGAAUCUAUCACACCCGAUCAUCACGUGGUGCUUCGAAACAAUGAACUUUCGCAACGGUGCACAGUUAGGGGGAACACUUUCUUGAAAUUAUUAUGAGGGAUCAUCUUAUUUACUACCGUCAUUCUAAGCAAAUAAGAUGCAUAAACAUGAUAAACAUCACAUGCAAUCAAAUAGUGUCAUGAUAUGGCCAAUAUCAUUUUGCUCCUUUUGAUCUCCAUCUUUGGGGCUCCAUGAUCAUCAUCGUCACCGGCAUGACACCAUGAUCUCCAUCAUCAUGAUCUCCAUCAUCGUGUCUCCAUGAAGUUGUCUCGCCAACUAUUACUUCUACUACUAUGGCUAACGGUUUAGCAAUGAAGUAAAGUAAUUUUGGAAUUAUUCAGUGACACACAGGUCAUACUAUAAAUAAAGACAACUCCUAUGGCUCCUGCCGGUUGUCAUACUCAUCGACAUGCAAGUCGUGAUUCCUAUUACAAGAAUAUGAUCAAUCUCAUACAUCACAUAUAUUUCAUUCAUUACAUCCUUAUUGGCCAUAUCACAUCACACGGCAUAUGCUGCAAAAACAAGUUAGACAUCCUCUAAUUGUUGUUGCAAGUUUCUACGUGGCUGCUAUAGGUUUCUAGCAAGAACGUUUCUUACCUACGCCCAACUUGAUAUGCCAAUUUCUAUUUACCCUUCAUAAGGACCCUUUUCAUCGAAUCUGGUCCGACUAAAGUGGGAGAGACUGGCACCCGCUAGCCACCUUAUGCAACAAGUGCAUGUCAGUCGGUGGAACCUGUCUCACAUAAGUGUACAUGUAAGGUCGGUCCGGGCCGCUUCAUCCCACAAUACCGUCGAAACAAGAUAGGACUAGUAACGGUAAGCAUAUUGAACAAAUCAUCGCCCACAACUACUUUGUGUUCUACUCGUGCAUAGAAUAUACGCAUAGACAUAGCUCAUGAUGCCACUGUUGGGGAAUGUAGCAGAAAUUCAAAAUUUUCUACGCAUCACCAAGAUCAAUCUAUGGAGAUACUAGCAACGAGAGAGAGGGGAGUGCAUCUUCAUACCCUUGAAGAUUAUGAUGGGGAAGCGUUACAAGAACGUGGUCGGUGGAGUCGUUCACGAAGCGAUUCAGAUCGCGGCCGAAUCCGAUCUAAGCACCGAAGAACGGUGCCUCUGCGUUCAACACACGUGCAGCCCGAUGACAUCUCCCAUGCCUUGAUCCAGCAAGGAGAGAGGGAGAGGUUGGGGAAGACUCCGUCCAGCAGCAGCACAACGGCGUGGUGGUGAUGGAGGAGCGUGGCACUCCAGCAGGGCUUCGCCAAGCACUGCAAGAGACGAGGAGGGAGAGGGGUAGGGCUGCGCCAGGAGAGAGGGAAACUCAUGUGCUUGGCAGCCCCAAAAAACCCACUAUAUAUAGGGGAAGGGGAGAGGGAGCCGGCCCCAUCCAGAUCCCAUCUAGAGGGGAGGGGUGGCGGCCAGGAGGGGAGGCUUGCCCCCCAAGCAAGGUGGAGGCGCCCCCCUCCCCUAGGGUUUUCAACCCUAGGCGCCUUGGGCCCUUAGGGAGGGGCGCACCAGCCCACUAGGGGCUGGUUCCCUCCCAUAUUCAGCCCAUCAAGUCCCCCGGGGCAGGUGGCCCCACCCGGUGGACCUCCGGACACCUUUCGGUGGUCCCAGUACAAUACCGAUAACCCCCAAAACUAUUCCGGUGACUGAAACUGGACUUCUCAUAUAUAAAUCUUUACCUCUGGACCAUUCCAGAACUCCUCGUGACGUCCGGGAUCUCAUCCAGGACUCUGAACAACAUUUGGUAACCACAUACAAACUUCCUUUAUAACCCUAGUGUCGGUGUCAAAACCGGCGGAUCUCGGGUAGGGGGUCCCGAACUGUGCGUCUAGGCGGAUGGUUACAGGAGACAAGGGACACGAUGUUUUUACCCAGGUUCGGGCCCUCUCGAUGGAGGUAAAACCCUACUCCUACUUGAUUAAUAUUGAUGAUAUGGGUAGUACAAGAGUUGAUCUACCACGAGAUCAGAGAGGCUAAACCCUAGAAGCUAGCCUAUGGUAUGAUUGUUGUUCGUCCUACGGACUAAAACUCUCCGGUUUAUAUAGACACCGGAGAGGGCUAGGGUUACACAAAGUCAGUUACAAUGGGAGGAGAUCUACAUAUCGUAUCGCCAAGCUUGCCUUCCACGCCAAGGAAAGUCCUAUCCGGACACAGGACGGAGUAUUCAAUCAUGUAUCUUCAUAGUCCGGGAGUCCGGCCAAAGGUCAUAGUCCGGCCAUCCGGACACCCCCUAAUCCAGGACUCCCUCAGUAGCCCCUGAACCAGGCUUCAAUGAUGACGAGUCCGGCGAGCAAAUUGUCUUCGGCAUUGCAAGGCGGGUUCCUCAUCCGAAUACUUCAUAGAAGAUGUUGAACACAAGGAUAGUGUCCGGCUCUGCAAAAUAUUUUCCACAUACCACCGUAGAGAGAAUAACAUUCGCACAAAUCUAAUCUGCUGACAUAUUUCGUAGCAUGACAUCAUGCCACAGCCAAGCUUUUAUUCGAAUCGUUUUACUGUCCCACCUCAGCGUGUUUAGCGAGGUGGUUUCCUUGGCACGUCUUGUCAAAGCAGAGAUUGUGUCCCCUUAUUCCGGGAUUCUCAUCAAUAUGGGCGUGGGUAACCCAACCGCGCCAUUAUUCGUGGUGCUUGGGAGAUAAGCGAGUUUUAUUAGGCUGGUGGGGGCUCAUAGUUUCGUCCGCCCAUAUAAGGGGAUAAGGAUCCACCCUUUCCAUCUACGCCUUCUUCCUCCUCUGCUUAUCCAUUCCUGCGCACUCGAGCUCCAGUGCCCAAGUCUGCACUUACCACCUCAACCUUCUCCAAUCAUGUCCGGAGCGGGAGGUAGAUGGAUGGCCUCCACCGUCAUGGAGGGGCACAUCAAAAAGUUGAGGAAAGCCGGAUACUUGUCUAACGACAUCGUGCACCGGCUCCCAGAUGAGGGGCAACUCAUCCCCACCCCUAGGCCCCAUGAGAGGGUCGUGUUUCUCCCCCAUUUCCUCUGCGGACUGGGCUUUCCUCUUCACCCGUUUGUCCGGGGGCUCAUGUUCUACUACGGCCUGGAUUUCCAUGAUCUGGCCCCGAAUUUUAUCCUCAACAUCUCGGCGUUUAUCGUCGUGUGCGAGGCCUUCCUCCACAUCAAGCCUCACUUCGGCCUAUGGCUGAAGAUCUUCAGCGUCAAGCCGAAGGUCGUGGGCGGUCAGCAAGCGGAGUGCGGAGGCGCCAUGGCGGGCAAGAUGCCCAACGUCACAUGGCUCGAGGGCUCCUUCAUAGAAACCAUCAAAGGGUGGCAAUCAGGGUGGUUCUAUAUCACCGAGCCGUGUGACCCUGAGUGGGCAGCGGCCCCCGAAUUCCAAUCUGGCAUCCCCACCUGGCUCACGUCCUGGAAAGAGACGGGCCUGUUGUGGGGUAAUCCGGAAGAGGUGGCCGGACUCCAAACCUGCGUCCAAGACCUGGUGAACAAAAAGUUAAACUUGUCAACGUAGUCCAGGCCAUGCUCUUCCGUCGGAUCCUCCCGUGUCAACAACGGGCUUUCAACUUGUGGGAGUUCGACCCGGCUUAGCACCAGACUCUGUCCAGGCUCUUUGACACAAAGCAUGAGGACGCCUGGAAGGUGCUAUUCAAGAGCUCUGAGGUCUCCCCUCCCGUCACCGAGGAUCGUGGAUUUUGCGCCAAGUGCCAAGCCACCGAAGUAAGCUUGUUUUUAUCCUUUACAGGAUACUUGAUUUUCAUAGUUUGACUCUAUGCAGGAUCUAAACUCCCGCUCCUUUAACAGGACUGGAAGAGGACGUCCGAACAGUUUGACUGUCCGGCCCCUUUGCCCGAAGGCCCAGCAGAUGCACGCUUGACGAAGCUGCUAAUUCCGGCACCCCACGUGGUGCCGGAGAAGAAGGCCAAAAAGAAGGCCACGGGGACUCGAAAGAGUAGCCAACGCCUGGUGGUGUCGGAUUCAUCGCCCGACGACCCCGAAGCACCCUCCGCCUCCAAAGACGAGGAGGAGGAAGAAGAAGCCUCUCCCCCUCCAGCGGGGGGAGGAAAGAAAAGGAAGGCCUCCCCAACUGGGGAGGCCGAAGGGUCCAAGAAGGGGAGGACCCUUCUACCGGACUACGCCUCCGACGCCAAAGACGGCGGAGAAGAAUGGCCAUCUAGGGUCAAGCCCCUGGCAAAAUCGUAAGUAUCCAGAUACCAGAAUAACUUAUGGCGCUCCUCUAUUGUACAGUACCUUCUAACGCCGAAUUCAAUCAUGUAGUCCGCCCAAGGCUCAGCUCGGCGAUUCGUCGAGCGGCUCCCUGGAUUCGUCGGAUGUGAAUAGCAAUUCACUCCCGACGGCCUCCACCCCUCGCCCUACGGACGAUGUUGAGGUGGAGUCCCAAAAGGGGCUAAACCAGGAGGAGGUGGUCCUGGAGGCGCCGCAAGGCGACCUCCCAGACUCCAGGCCCAAAGGGGAUGAAGCCCCAGAGGGAUCUAAGUCCAGCCCUAGGCUAGAUACCGCUCCGGAACCUUCAUUGGUUCCGGAGUCUGGCAGGCGGCCCCUUCGCAAGAAGGGCAAGCCUACAACGCCGGUGGCCUCCGUCCAACCGGAGGCGCCGGACAAUUUGCUGGAGGUGCUUAACGGCGCCUCCAUCGACGAGGAGCACCGCACUGUUAUGAGUGCGGUGAUUCAGAAGGUUCAGUCCGCCAAGAGCGGGCUGACAGAAGCCUGUACCGGCCUGCUAAGAUGCUUUGAGGCAUGUAUUUAAAACAUAUAAAAAUGUUACCGCAUAGACAGUAGCCCCUGAUGCUCAGUUUGGUGUUCGAAAAGAAAAGCCGGACUGAGGAUCUUAAAAAUAUAUACGCAGGAGUCUAACAUAAAUAUGUCAAUUGGGAAUGCAGGCUGCGCUGCUGACCUCUGCCGCACUGACUGCGGAGGUCGAUGCAUUGAAGCAGAGUCUCGAGCGGUCCGAGAAUGAGCUCGGCCGUGCCAAGAAGUAGCUCGAGGACCAGGAAGGUAUGUAAUACCUUAUGUAAGUAUAUAAAAAAUACCUAGUUGCAAAUAAUGACAGGACCAACGUGAAUGUUGUAGGGGCCACAUCCGAGGUGGCGACCCUGAAGGAAGCGCUAUCCAAGGCCAAAGACAAUGCGGCCGUGGAGCGCACUGAGCGAGAAAAUCAAGAGGCGCGGGUGGCGGAGGUGCGGCAAGAGCUCGAUGCUCUCGUGAAAAAACAUGAGAGUUUAGAGCUUGACUCAAAGACUCGAGAGUCCGAGCUUGCCUCGGCACUUGAAAGCGCCAAAUCUGCCAAGGCCGAAGCCCAGAAAGCCCUCCAGGAAAUUGAGGCGAUGAAAAGGAUUGCGGCGGUUAAGGCAUUCUUUAUGCAAAGCAAGCACGUGAAAGUAAAUUACCUAUUACUUACACACAUCCGGAGCUCUCCAGGAGCAUUCGCAGAUCUGCCCCAUAGUGUAUCCGACGCCGCCGCAUUCUACCGGGCCGAGGAAGGAAGCUCGGCGGAGAAGGUGUUCUGGUCCCAGUAUGCUGAGGCCGAAUCCCCAGUGCCCUUGAGCGACCAGCUGAAGCAGCUGGUCGAGCUUCAUAAGGCAGCCGAACAGGCCAUGAAGGGCCUGAUAGGCCGGCUAUGGCCUGGGGAGGUCAUGCCUUUGAGCUACUUUGGGCUGGUGCAGCGGCUGGUGGAUGCCUGUCCACAGCUUCAAGUCAUCAAGCGCUCUGUGUGCAUCGAGGGUGCUCGUAGGGCUUUUGCCCGUGCUAAAGUGCACUGGGGUAAGCUGGAUGCUGAGAAACUAGUGAAGGAUGGGCCACCGGAGGGGAAGGAGCAUCGCAGGCCCGAGAUGUAUUAUGAGGGCGUCCUGAAGGGUGCCCGUCUUGUAGCAAAUGAAUGUACCGGGGAUGUAAUUUUUGAGUAAACUCGCUCUUGUUUAUCCUGUGCGCUGAAAACUUGUUCAUAUGCGCUAAACAACGCUUUUUGAAUUUAAAAUAUUACCUGCUAUGCGGCCGUUUAUGAAAUCUGAGAGAUGCAAGUCGUCAGCUUCUACCCCCAUGCCACGAGUGCUGGGGUGUUCGGGAUAAACCUGAGCGCUCUUGUUCCCAUUCUUGGGUCCAUCUAGGGAGGGGCUCAGCACAACGAACAAGUCCAUCGGACUUAUAAUGCUUUAUCACUCUCACUUAGCCAUAGAAUUCUAUAAUUUUAAAUUUUGGCGAAGCCCCUAGUAUUUGGAAGACCAAGUUCGGGGCGCUAUCCACGCCUAGGCCGGAUAAAUCCAGCUCCUCGCUCUAAGCGGCAUAAGUCUUUAGGGACUCGAAGAACCUCUCGAACAGCGACCGGUCUCUCGCCCUAUCAUGACGGUCAGUUUUAGCUUUGUCUACUGAGGUGUUAACCCAGCUCAACUGGGGCACAAUCGCAGUAGUUCUCCCAGUGCUACCUUAGCCGACAUUGCGGAACGUAAGGUACCAAAACAUGGGAGCUGGGCAAACCCAACUAUUGACCCAAGACAUGAUUCGGAGCUGAUGCAUAUAGUGCUAUAAGUUCGGGGUGCCGCACUCAUGAGAGUGUUCGGUCUUCUCACACCAUAUUAUGGGGUACUUAAGCCCCUGGUGUAUUGGCCGUACCAAAGUGUACGGUUGCAUAAUGUCAUGACUGAACAUAUUUAUAUAAAAAUAAAUGAAUACAAUAACAGACAAGAGCUAUGUAUUGUUUAUUAAAAAGGGCUGCUAUGAAAGCAGAAUAAUACAAAUAGUGCGAUAAGCAAGAGAUGGGAUUAUUUGACAUGUCCCCCUCCAGGGGCAAGCUGCGAGACUUUAAGUAAAACAGGUAUUUAGCUCGUUAUAGAGACCACCUGGACAUUUGACGUGGCUUGUUGUCUCCCUGGCUAUUGCAUCGUGUAUUCGGCGAGUGUAUUGCCGGACAGGCCUUCCGAAUAGUUGGGUCCUGAAAGUAUAUAAAAAAGAAAUGGCAAAAUCGGGAGCCCCUAGUGCGGUUGAGCCGCAUUCUGGGCGUGCCGUGGCUGUGCCCCUCCCCUUAUGCCCAUGGUAUUUCCAGAGCGUAGUUAUGUACGCGUGGUACCACUAUUGCCAUCUUGCGAGGGCUGGGGUUGGGGCCGCACUGCUAUGCUUGCUCGAAACGUGCCAGCCGGUUUUGUUGUAGGUUACUUCGGGCGCGCUUGACGUUGUCCGGACGUUUAACAGCCGGAUUGGAGAAUUGCCUUGAGAGGCUACUUUGUACUUCCGCGGCCAGGGCCGCCGUGUGCUCCUCUGUUCGGAGAGAGCGUUCGGUGUUUCCAUUGACCGUAAUGACUCUGCGAGGGCCUGGCAUCUUGAGCUUGAGAUAUGCGUAGUGCGGCACCGCAUUAAAUUUUGCGAAUGUGGUUCAUCCGAGCAGGGCGUGAUAGCCACUGCAGAAUGGGACUAUGUCGAAGAUUAACUCUUCACUUCGGAAAUUAUUCGGGGAUCCGAAGACCACUUUGAGUGUAACUGAGCCUGUACAACUGGCUUCUACACCUGGUAUGACGCCUUUAAAGGUUGUCUUUGUGGGUUUAAUCCUUGAGGGGUCUAUACCCAUUUUUCGCACUGUAUCCUGAUAAAGCGGGUUCAGGUUGCUGCCACCGUCCAUGAGGACUCUAGUGAGGUGAAAUCCGUCAAUGAUUGUGUCUAGGACCAAUGCGGCGAAUCCGCCAUGACGAAUGCUAGUGGGGUGGUCCCUUCGAUCAAAAGUGAUCGGGCAAGAGGACCAUGGGUUGAACUUUGGGGCGACUGGCUCCAACGCAUAGACGUCCUUGAGAGCACGCUUCCGCUCCCUUUUGGGGAUAUGGGUUGCGUAUAUCAUGUUCACCGUCCGCACUUGUGGGGGGAAGCCCUUCUGUCCUCUGUUGUUCGGCGGCCGGGGCUCCUCCUCGUCAUCGCUAUGCAGCCCCUUGUCUCUGCUUUCGGCACUUAACUUGCAUGCCUGCUUGAACACCCAACAAUCCCUGUUGGUUUGAUUGGCUGGUUGUUCAGGGGUGCCGUGUAUCUAGCACGAGCGAUCGAGUCCGGUCUAAACUGGAUGGGCCCGGAGGAUUACUUUUGAAUGGCUUCUUCCGCUGACCGGGUUUAGAGCCUCUGAAUCCGGCAUUAACUGGCGUAUCCUCAGUAUUAUCGCCGUUUAUGCGGCGCUUGUGCUUGUUACGACGUGACCUGCCAUUGUUGUCCUUGGUAUCUGAGUUACCAGGGAUCUUGGUUAUGUUAUUGCUACAAGCUAGCCAGCUAUCUUCUCCCGCGCAAAAGCGGGUCAUGAGUGUCGUGAGGGCUGCCAUAGAUUUCGGAUUUUCCUGUCCUAGGUGUCGGGCAAGCCAUUCGUCUCGGAUGUUGUGCCUGAAGGCUGCAAGAGCCUCUGCGUCCGGACAGUCGACUAUUUGAUUUUUCUUGGUUAGGAACCGCGUCCAAAAUUUUCUGGCUGAUUCUUCUGGCUGCUGGAUUAUGUGGCUUAGGUCAUCAGCGUUUGGUGGUCGCACAUAAGUGCCCUGGAAGUUGUCAAGGAAUGCGGAUUCCAGGUCCUCCCAGCAACUAGUUGACUCUGCUAGCAGGCUGUUAAGCCAAUGCCGAGCUGGUCCUUUAAGCUUGAGUGGGAGGUAUUUGAUGGUGUGUAGAUCACCAUGGGCCAUGUGGAUAUGAAGGAGAUAAUCCUCGAUCCAUACCGCAGGAUCUGUUGUGCCAUCGUAUGAUUCGAUGUUUACGGGUUUGAAACCCUCGGGGAUUUGAUGAUCCAUUACUUCGUUUGUGAAGCAUAGUGGUUGUGUGGCGCCCCUGUACUGGGCUAUAUCGCGACGUAGCUCGGAUGAGCUUUGUCUGUUGUGUUCGGCCUGGCCGUAUUUGUCAUAUCCGGCAUGACGGUUACCGUCAUGUGACGUGGGGCGCCCACGCGAUCCGUAGAUUGAUCUUGUUUGCCUUGCCUUAUCCUCCAAUAUGUCUCGUAGGUCUGGUGCGUUUCCCCGUGCUCUGGUGUUUUUUGAGCGGCACUGGGGUGCGGCUUGAGUUGAGGGCCGAAAGGCCUCUCUGUUGCGGCCACGGGGUGGCCAAUCGGCCGCAUCAUACGCUGGUGAUGUGGGUUUAGUUGCUUCCUCCUCUAGUUAGGGUAGCAGCCUGCGCUUUGGGUAGCUCUUGGAGGGGCGUUCGAGUUUAUACUCUUCGGCCGCCAGGACUUUAGUCCAUCUGUCGGCUAGCAAAUCUUGGUCAGCUCUAAGCUGCUGCUGUUUUUUCUUGAGGCUGCUUGCCGUGGCCAUAAGCCUGUGUUUGAAACGCUCUUGUUUGGCAGGAUCCUCUGGCACGACAAAUUCGUCGUCGUCGAGGCUUGCCUCGUCUUCGGAGGGAGGCAUGUCAUUGUCGUCCUCGACCUCCUUGUCUGCCGCUCUCUCAUGAGGGUUGGCUUCUCCGUCCUCCUACGCUGAAUCCUGCUGGAGGGGGUUGUCUUCGGCACUGUCCGGGGUGUUGUUAUCUCCAGUGCCGGACUCGCCAUUUUUGCUUUGGCGGGAUUUAGAGCGGCGCCGCUGACGUCGGCGCUUAGGUUGCUUCUUGGAGGGGUCAUCCUCCGUUUUUUCAUCGCCAUUCCCUGCUUUUGGGGUGUCACCAUGUAUAUGUCAUAUGACGAGGUGGCUUUCCAGUGCCCUAUAGGUGCUGGUUCUUGUUCUUCUCCUUCAUCGGCGUCCAUACCGUCGACGUCUUCGGAGUCGAAGUCGAGCAUGUCGGUUAAAUCGUUAAUAGUGGCUAUGAAGUGGGUGGUGGGUGGGUUUCGAAUUUCUUCGUCGUCCGCAUCCCAACCUUGCUGACCAUAGUCCGGCCAGGGCUCUCCUCACAAAGAGAGGGACUUUAGUGAAUUCAGGAUGUCGCCAAAGGGCGAGUGCUGAAAGACGUCUGCGGCGGUGAACUCCAUGAUCGGAGCCCAAUUGGGUUCGAUCGGAAGGGAUGUGGAAGAUCCGGAGUUCGGAGGAGUCCGGCACCUUGGAGUCACAGGCCUCACAAAGGACUAGGCUGGUAUUCAGCUCGAUCACCGUAGAGAUUGCAGCUUCCCGGGCGGCGUCCAACCGUUCGUCCCCGAUUGGCGCGGUCAGCUCCGAGCUAAGGGUCGGAGCGGACACCUGAGCGGCGCUCUGAGCACUAUCCGGCGGCAGAGCUAGAUCAUGCCCGUUGUGACAGUGCGGCGUGCUCGGCCGUGGCUCGAAUCCGUCGAAGAUCAAGUCCCCGCGGAUGUCGGCCGUGUAGUUUAAGCUUCAAAAUCUGAACUGAUGGCUAGGGGCGUAGCUUUUGAUCUGCUCUAGAUGGCCAAGCGAAUUGGCCCGCAGUGCGAAGCCGCCGAGCACGAAGAUCUGUCCGGGGAGAAAAGUCUCACCCUGGACUGCGUCGUGGUUGAUGAUCGAAGAAGCCAUCGAGCCUAAAGGUGACGACACAGAGGAACUCUCAAUGAAAGCACCAGUGUCGGUGUCAAAACCGGCGGAUCUCGGGUAGGGGGUCCCGAACUGUGCGUCUAGGCGGAUGGUUACAGGAGACAAGGGACACGAUGUUUUUACCCAGGUUCGGGCCCUCUCGAUGGAGGUAAAACCCUACUCCUACUUGAUUAAUAUUGAUGAUAUGGGUAGUACAAGAGUUGAUCUACCACGAGAUCAGAGAGGCUAAACCCUAGAAGCUAGCCUAUGGUAUGAUUGUUGUUCGUCCUACGGACUAAAACUCUCCGGUUUAUAUAGACACCGGAGAGGGCUAGGGUUACACAGAGUCGGUUACAAUGGGAGGAGAUCUACAUAUCGUAUCACCAAGCUUGCCUUCCACGCCAAGGAAAGUCCUAUCCGGACACGGGACGAAGUCUUCAAUAUUGUAUCUUCAUAGUCCGGGAGUCCGGCCAAAGGUCAUAGUCCGGCCAUCCGGACACCCCCUAAUCCAGGACUCCCUCACCUAGCGUCAUUGAACCUUAAGUGUGUAGACCCUACGGGUUCGGGAAUCAUGUAGACAUGACCGAGACACCUCUCCGGCCAAUAACCAACAGCGGGAUAUGGAUACCCAUGUUGGCUCCCACAUGUUCCAUGAUGAUCUCAUCGGAUGAACCACGAUGUCAAGGAUUCAAGCAAUCCCGUAUACAAGUCCCUUUGUCAAUCGGUACGUUACUUGCCCGAGAUUCGAUCGUCGGUAUCCCAAUACGUCGUUCAAUCUCGUUACCGGCAAGUCACUUUACUCAUUCUGUAAUGCAUGAUCCCGUGACUAACUACUUAGUCACAUUGAGCUCAUUAUGAUGAUGCAUUACCGAGUGGGCCCAGAGAUACCUCUCCGUCAUACGAAGUGACAAAUCCGAGUCUCGAUUCGCGCCAACCCAACAAACACUUUCGGAGAUACCUAUAGUGCACCUUUAUAGUCACCCAGUUACGUUGUGACGUUUGGUACACCCAAAGCACUCUUACGGUAUCCGGGAGUUAAACAAUCUCAUGGUCUAAGGAAAUGAUACUUGACAUUAGAAAAGCUUUAGCAGAUGAACUACACGAUCUUGUGCUAUGCUUAGGAUUGGGUCUUGUCCAUCACAUCAUUCUCCUAAUGAUGUGAUCCCGUUAUCAAUGACAUCCAGUGUCCAUGGUCAGGAAACCAUGACCAUCUAUUGAUCAACGAGCCAGUCAACUAGAGGCUCACUAGGGACAUGUUGUGGUCUAUGUAUUCACACAUGUAUUACGAUUUCCGGUUAAUACAAUUAUAGCAUCAACAAUAGACAAUUAUCAUGAACAAGGAAAUACAGUAAUAACCAUUUUAUUAUUGCCUCUAGGGCAUAUUUUCAACAUGGCAUACUUGUGCAGGAUAGAUAUAUUGAUAAGCAGUUUGCGCACUGGUUAUACGUGCAAUUACACUUCGAUAUUUUCAGCCAGAGAAUGAAUAAUUCAAGCAGGUACAGACCAUGUUUUUAGUCCUUGUACACCAUGUUGCAUUUUUGUUUUUUGGUGCUUGCAUCAUUUAGUGUUUAUAAUCUAAACUACUUUGGAUCAUUAGCUGGUUUUCAAAGUGCAUGUAGCUUCACAUUUCUCAAGUUAUGUUGAUUUCCGGAGUGCAAGUGCCUUCGUAUUUUUUAAGUUAAAUGUUCGCCCCUGGUAACUUGAAUUCAUGGAUCAGCCACUGCACACAAAUCAUACACGAAGGCCAGUACGGAUUAAAUGAAAUGCAGGGACUUACGCUAGCUCGUUGUACGGGCUCACCGCAGCUCUGCUUGCGCUUGGGAUGUUCCAUGUACAAGUCCAUGUUACCACUUGCUUGGAUGUGCAGGCCUUGUGCUCCUUGCAUCCCCCUCUGUAUUUUUGACACGGCGAAUGGUUGAUCAAAUAAGAGGAAUCGACCUUGAUGUUGUACCGGAGGAUAGAUACUUACAAGGUUAUACGGGUGUGCAGGAUGUGUACCAAAUCCCGUAGCGCCGUCAUGCUUCGCUAAAAAUGGAUUUGCUUGUUUCAGAUGAUAUCUCCAGAAGAAAUAAGAGUUAAAGUCAGAGUUGCAUAGGCGUGUAAGCUAAGAGAGCGGUGAAAGGAUAUCCAAACAUCGUCGGAACAGUGCACAAGGGAGUGAUGUGUGGGCAUGCUCGCCUAGCUAGAGUGCGGGUCACUUCAGAGCCAUUGAGAGUGAUGCGCUGGCGUUGGCUGGCCGUGCAUGGAUGCAGAUCUUGAGUGGCAGCGGAGUGCAACGAUGCAGUGGAUGAGACCGUUGGUGAAGCCCCAACGGCCUCGGGGAGAGAAGGUGCGACGAUGUGCUCGCUGAAGUAGCCCCGGUGAGCUGGGAGAUGGCGUCGGUGAAGCGCACCUGAUGCGGUGGAACUCGGUGUCUGUGAGGCACGUCGGUUGCGGCGGCCGACGUUGUCGGUGGACCACCCGGUGCGGUGGACGAGGGCGUAGAUGAGGUAGCUCCGGUGCGGUGGUGAAGCGCGAUCGUCGUCUUCGUCGUCGUUGUCCGGCCCAGAGGUGGGGAACGGUGGGGAAAGAGAUGAGACGAGGGGCGAUUCGAAUUUGCUUGGGUUGACGGCGAAUUAGGGAUUUGAGCAAUCUAGGCGCGGAAGGGGACGGUGGAGAAGAGAGAUUUUGCAGGGCUGGAAUUGGGGCCGCCAGAUAUUUCAAUCCGAAACAUGGAAGCGCGAACUUAUUUUGUCGUCGUCCUUUUCUUUGGGGGGGUGGGUGGCUGGGUGCUAUGCAUCCGUCCGACACACGCAACCACCCCGACAGAACUAUGCUUCGGUGCCUUAAGGCACCUGCCUUUGUGUCCAUGACAUGUGGGCCCAACAGGUGGCUGGCUCACAUGUCAGUGACCCAAAGGCAGUUGCCUUUAAGGCACCGAAGCAGCGUCCACCCCGACACGACCCUGGUCUGCCUGGUGCGCCUACAUUUGAGAAUGCAAACGAAUCUUCUUUCAUUUGCAAACGAAUCUGUAUGUAUUACCAUGCCNNNNNNNNNNNNNNNNNNNNNNNNNNNNNNNNNNNNNNNNNNNNNNNNNNNNNNNNNNNNNNNNNNNNNNNNNNNNNNNNNNNNNNNNNNNNNNNNNNNNNNNNNNNNNNNNNNNNNNNNNNNNNNNNNNNNNNNNNNNNNNNNNNNNNNNNNNNNNNNNNNNNNNNNNNNNNNNNNNNNNNNNNNNNNNNNNNNNNNNNNNNNNNNNNNNNNNNNNNNNNNNNNNNNNNNNNNNNNNNNNNNNNNNNNNNNNNNNNNNNNNNNNNNNNNNNNNNNNNNNNNNNNNNNNNNNNNNCAGAUAUUUCAAUCCGAAACAUGGAAGCGCGAACUUAUUUUGUCGUCGUCCUUUUCUUUGGGGGGGUGGGUGGCUGGGUGCUAUGCAUCCGUCCGACACACGCAACCACCCCGACAGAACUAUGCUUCGGUGCCUUAAGGCACCGAAGCAGCGUCCACCCCGACACGACCCUGGUCUGCCUGGUGCGCCUACAUUUGAGAAUGCAAACGAAUCUUCUUUCAUUUGCAAACGAAUCUGUAUGUAUUACCAUGCCCGUGUUUUCUUUGCAAUAAUUAGUUAUUCGAAACGAGAUACUCCCUCCGUUCACUUUUGUAAGUCGUUUCAGAUAACUUAAAAUGAACUGUUUUGCACAUUGUCUGAAAUGUCUUCAAGGUCUUGUAAAAGUGAACAGAGGGAGUACUAUAAAUUAAUUAAUGAGGAGUUAUUUGAAAAAAAAUCAAAACGGUACCCACGCUAAUGUGGAUUAGAGUGUGUGUGUGUGUGUGUUACAUAAUUAGUUAUUUGAAUUAGAGUGUGUGUCACGUAGUUAGUUAUUUGAAUUAGAGUGUGUGUCAUGUAGCGAUCUCCAAUUCUAACGUGGAUUUUGCAUUUCACUGUAUCCAUGCUACUUUUUUAAUACAAAUUCAUAUGUAUAUGAUGAACACCAUGGUAGUGAGAAAACUUUUGGAUGGAUUCAAACAUAUGACCUACAAAAAAGCACAAAAAAUUGAGUCAAUGUCAACUUUUCGAAACUUAGUAUGGCACGAAUUCAAAAUAAUUACCCGUAUGCCUCAUCCUCGGUUCAAAUCUUACAAUGUACACCGAAUUGAGACAUUGAUAUUAAGUCUCGUACUAUGUACAUUCAAAUGUUAUUUUUNNNNNNNNNNNNNNNNNNNNNNNNNNNNNNNNNNNNNNNNNNNNNNNNNNNNNNNNNNNNNNNNNNNNNNNNNNNNNNNNNNNNNNNNNNNNNNNNNNNNNNNNNNNNNNNNNNNNNNNNNNNNNNNNNNNNNNNNNNNNNNNNNNNNNNNNNNNNNNNNNNNNNNNNNNNNNNNNNNNNNNNNNNNUCUCCAUGUUUCGAUCUCUAAGUCUCUCAACUACACAACCCCAUUUUCCAUUCUGUUACCAAAUGUAUUUACCUCACACACCCGCCAUUGCACCCCAUGCCAAGCUCUUUCUCCCUCCCCCCUCUCCCUCUCACCCUCUCACGCUAAAUACAUGCAUUGCCUAUCUAUCCCCCCAACCUCUCGUGCGCACGCAUGCACGUUGUAUAUCUAGGUCACUCCCUCGAGACUGUCUCACUCUUUCUUCCGCACGGCGGGACACACUCGCUCAAUCUCGCUCUCUUUAUCUGAGUCUCGUUUAACCUCGUUUUCUUUCACACACAAAUGAUAUAUCUCCCUGUUCAGGCCUCGAUCGACACACUCUAUACUCACUCACGCAGAUUGUCUAUCUAUGCCAGUCCAUCCAAGCCGCCGCCACUCCUUCGACCUCAUGGUGGGCCACGCUCACUCAAUCUCUCUCUCUCACUCACUCUCUCUCUCUCUCUCUCUCUCUCUCUCUCUCUCUCUCUCUUUGUAUGUCUCGAUUUACCUCGCUCUUUCUCGGACAAAAACGAUAUAUCACCAUGUUUGAGCCCAAUUCGACCUAUUCACAUUGUAUACUCUCUCACGCACAUUGUCUAUCUAGGUCACUCUCUCCAACCCGUCUCACUCUUUCGAUCGCACGGCGACCCUAUGUGAUCGGUUGACCUUGCUUCCUCCCACGCACAAAAUAUAUCUACACAUUUGUGACUGGAUCUUCUCUCAAGCUCUAUCUUACAACCCUCACCCUUGCCAAAAGCUCAAUCGGACAAUAUCUCUCCAGAGCAUAUAUAUUUGUUCAAUGAAUGUCGGACCACACUCACUUUGUCUCUCUAUCUAUAUGUCUCUCGAUUGACCUCGCUUUCUCACACCGUAUCUUCCACGCGUUGAAGCUACUACCUCUCCACCCCUUGCAAAGCCAGAGCUAUUUACAUUGCGAGGGGCACUACAACCUUGGAUUAAUUUGUGUAGGCAUUUAUUCCGGUCGGUUUAGAUUAUAUUAUCGUAGCAUUCGGUCCACAACUACUCCAAACACCGUUGCAACCCACACUACUCCCCUAGUUGAUUUCCCUCUGGCUCAGUCAUCGCUCUCUCACACGUCCUUUCUCGCCUUCAACGUCGCACCAUGGUAUUAUUGAAAAAACUAUGUUGGUCUCUUUAAUUAUUAUAAAUAAGCUACAAAACUACACACCGAUAGUCCACUUGGAAUGGAACAAAUUUCGACCCACAAAUUAAAGUGCUAAAAACUACACAACGAGGGGCCCACAUGUCAUGAAACAAAUUUGGACCCAUAUACAAAUUAAAAAAUAAAGGACCAGGAUCGAACAUGCGACCGGGCCUUCAAGCCACACGUCAAUAGGCAACAUACACGUAGAAUAGCAAUGUUUGCUGUACCCCCUUUGUUCACAUAAUGUUUUUAUAUUACCACAGCCUAAUUAAUGGAUAACAUGUAAUAUUAUUUUUAGUACUAUUCGCCUUCACUUACUGGUGGGUUCCAUGUGUGCUCUCUCUCUCCUCACCUUUUGCGUUUAGACGCACGGGCAAACAGGAAGAACUCGCAGACGAUGUUGUCGUUGACCAUAUCUGGACGCGUUCACAAGUCACGGCACCAGUUUCACGUACUAGCAGCACUAGUCAGUGUGUACAUGCAAUGCACGUUAAUUUGUAAGUAUAUUAAGUGCAUGCGGAUAUUAAGUACUAGGAUAUUAUUUGCGUGUUGUUAUGUGAUUAGCACUAUUUUUGGCAUGAAAUUAACUACACGCUAAACGUGUUGAGCGCUCGACAUUGAAGCAGUCUAGGUCGUUGGAUGACAAGGAAUACAUGUGGCUUGAUGACGUUUUAUAUUUAAUUUGAUACGGCUCUAGCAGGACAUUCAAUCGAUCAAAUCAUAGAUUUCGUUCAGUCUGACUCCGACUUUAAAUUAUACGAUGAUCGAUAUAAAAUAAACGGAAAUGAUAAACGUUCGGAUUUUAAGCAUGGCAAUCCGAACGGUUUUCAUGGCAAAUUUAGAUUACGCGACGGCGGGGGGGGGCGUCUCGCGGUGGGAAGCGGCUCCUCUGUCGUGCUAUGUGUGUCGUCGGGCCACUGGCCGACGGUGAUGGCGGCGUCUUGCGCCGUUGUUGGCGUACUCCUGGACGUUGGCCUAGCUUCAAGGAAGGCCAAAAUGUUCUGGACUUCGGAGCGAGUCAACUGGCUGGAGGACGCAACUGACGUUGGUGCAAGGAAGCGGUCGACGGCGGCCAUCUAUGCCGCUGAGGGGGGCACUGGCACAUGUACGGGGACAGGCGCUGUCAACGGCGCGGCGGAGACAUUCGUGAGCACAGGCGCGCACGUAAAUGCACGCGCAGGCGCAUGCGCUGGCAGGUGCACGGGCACCGGCACGGGCGUGCGCGUCAGCACACGCGCAGGCGCAUGCGUUGGCAGGUGAUGGGCGCGUGAAAGUCGGCGGGGACCUCGUGGAACCCCGUGGGAUCAAGCUCGGCGACAAUAUGCGACUCCCAGCCCAUCAAUGCCAUGGGGAUGGGUGCUGGCGCAGUCGCGGCGACGGGAGCCGGAAAGGGAGCAGGGACAGGCGCGGCAUCUUCCCGCAAGGCCAGUUCAAGUGCGUCCCAAAGCACCUUAUGUUCUUGAGACUCCGGCUGGGUGUCUUCCUCAGGAAACUGGAACACUAAGGGCAGACCAUCGUGAUGCGGCAUGGCGUACGUUUAGGUCAGGCUAGUUGGAGGUAGACGACAGGAGAAUCGGAGAGGAAGAGAGAAGAUUGUAGCGAUACCGGGUAGUGCAGGGUUGAUUUUAAAUUGCGGCACCGGCGACAUUAAAAAAGUGGGAGCAGUUGGGACGACAGUGGGCGGCGGAGCCUGGUCAAAGGGCUCGCCUCCUGGUGAGCCUUCACAGCAGUCUGCUCGCACGCCUUCCUGACAGCCGGCACAGCGGUCUGCUCGCACACCUCCCAUCGACCCACACGCUUGCUCGGACGGCACCUGCCGAUGAGAAGCGGGGACUCGUGGCGGCACGUAAAUGCCCAUGGUUUCAAUAGUGAAAGCGUUCACCUUAACGUGACAGGUCUUUGUUCCAGAAUACCUUGGCUCUUCAUUUGUGCAACUUGUCAUAAGCAGCUUGUCUCAAAUUGAAGAAAAAACUUACGAAGUAAUAUUUGUGCUAUAUCAUGUGACCAUGCUCAGUUUCAAGAAUUUAUGCUCACUUUUGGAUUUUCUGAAAUUUAAGAUCCAGGAUUCGAAACAAUAUCAUAACCCGCAUCAUGCAAUAAAUUUUCAAGCCGUACAUCUGUCAUGUUGUAUUUCUUAAGAAAGGAUUUGGUUAAACAUUUUGCUUAGUUAGACUUCAGACAAGUUAUAUAUGCAGAGUAACAGGAUAAUCCCUCCAUACCAGUGCAUGCCUGAUAUAUUAACUCAAGUACUAGGCACGAACAAACAGGCUCAAUUCUGUGCUCAUCCUGGUGUAGUAGUAGUAGUACUAGGCAAUGCAGUUGAUGGGUGACCUUGACGAGCGGCGACCGAGGGAAUUGAACUGUGCUCGGCACGGUAGGUAACGUUGUCUAGUUACUAAAGCAUCCCUCCGUAGUUCAUCGGUAGUCAUUAUGGACCGGGGACAUGAGGGGAAUUUCCUAGGGCUAGAAUUCUGGCUGCCAGAUAUUUCGACUUGAAACACUGAGGCUCGAGUGGUUGGGGUUGCCUAAUGUGCGUACCACGCAGGCCACCGAAGGACACGAGCCCGGUUUUUUUUAGGAUCAACGCGAGCCAAAGUCUGGUUGGUACGCCGUUGGGUCCUACCAUUCGAGAAUACGAAAGGAACCUUUUAAAUUGCCGAACGAAUCUAUGUGUAUUACAAUACCCAUAUUUUCCUUGCAAAUACUAAUCUCAACGUGGUAAUUGAUUUAUGACGAGUUGUUGAAUUAGAGUGAGUUUGUGAUAUAAUGAUCUCAAUGUGGAUUUCACAUUUCAUGGUAUCCCUAAUAAGUUUUCCAAUGCAAAUUCAAAUUUAAAAGAUGAACAAUAUGGAGGUGAGAAAACUUUGUAUGUAUCAAGCAUAUGACCACACACACACACGCACGAACACAACAACAAUCUAAUAAGUAUAGUGCAUCUAUUUUUCCAAACCAUGCAUGUAUGACACGAAUUCAAAAAUACUCCUUCUAUUCCUAAAUAUUAGUUUUUUAGAGAGUUCAACAGGUGACUACAUACGGAACAAAAUGAGUGAAUCUAGACUCUAAAAUAUGUCUAUAUACAUCCGUAUGUGCCAGUCCAUUUGAAACCUCUAAAAAGACUAAUAUUUAGGAACGAAGGGAGUAAAAUGUAAGACAUCCAUGGUCCUCAGUUCAAUAUUUAAAAUGAACAUGAAACUGAAACAUGAAUAUUAAGUCUAGUACUACAGUACAUGCAAAUGUUGUGUUAAGGCGGAGCCACGAUUGUCGGGGAUCAACCCCUCGACCUUAGAUAAAAUUGUGGAGCUCUGUUUAGGGUUGUUUAGAUUAUAUUUGUCCUCACCCUCCCAACCACCGAUUGGUUGUGCACCCCCACCCCUCCUCCCCGGGGGAAUAUCAUGUGCCCCCAUACCUUAGAUGCUAUAUGCCGAUACGAGUUGCUUGGAGCCUGUAGAUCUGAGAUAUAGCAGCUCACAUGAUGUGUCUCAAUUUUUUUGCAGGAAACCUUGAUGAGUUUGAGAAUUGCACACAAUUUGUACAAAAACUACUUAGAUGCCCUUUGAUCCCAUAUCUAAUGACCUCGAAGCUCGUAUCAUCGUAGCAUCUAAGAUGAAGGAGGACAUCAUAUUCUCCUGUAUGUAAGAAUAUCAUGUGCUACCACACCUUAGAUGCUUUGGUGAUACAAGCUCUUCGGAGGCGUUGGAUUUGUGACCCAACACCUCCUCGGUGGUUCAAAUGGUUUUUUGCAGAAAAGCCCCAAAAGAGUUCGGCCACUGCUUACAAGCACAAAGACUGCUCAGAUGCCAUUGGAUCUCAGAUCAAACGACCUCCAAGAUCGUAUCACCGUAGCAUCCAAGCUGUGAUAGCACCUUAUGUUUUCUCGCAUGGGAGAAUAUGAGGUGCUCCCGCACCGUAGAUUCUAUGGUGAUACGAGUUCACUGAGAUCUAACGGCCCAUAGUAGGAGGUUUGAAUGUUUUUGCAAUAUACGGCUGAUAGAGUUUGGGAAAUGUGCAGAAAGUACAAGUACUACGCAUGUGCCAUCUGAUCACUGAUCAUACGACCUAGAUGCUCAUAUCACCGUAGCGGGUAAUUAAGCUACGGGGAGCACCUAAUAUGAGCAACGGGGAGCCGUUGGAUCGAAGAUGCAGCGGCACACACGAGGCCUGAAUGUUUUAUUUGCAAAAAAAACCUUUGGAGAGUUUGGAAAUUGUGCAUAAUUACAAAGACUACUCCCAAGCCAUUGGAUCUCACUUCCAACGGUAUAAAAACUCGUAUCACCAUAGUAUCUAAGCUGCGGGGUGGAUGUGAUAUUCUAUGCGGCUGACAUUUUUGUUCGUAAACUUGCAAAAUACGUGUAACUCGUGCCGUUACUUGUCUAACCGCACAAAGUGUUUGUUCAAAAAAACAUCCUACACUGAAAUAUCAGAACAACACAUGGGGGUACCACUUGUCAUUAAUCAAAUUUGGACCUAAAACUAACAAAUCUGAAAGACGAGAUUCGAACUGGCAAUUUGUACUACAAAACGUAAGUCGAUAGCCUGAAAAAACAAACGGUUGUUGGCUUUGUCCCAUAACUUGAUUUUAUACAGUACUUGCGUUGAGUAGAGUAGAGGGAGUGCCUCGUCAACACGUGCAGGACCGUUGUCUCACUUACUGGUGGGUCCCAAGUCUGCGAUCUCAAUCUCUUUUCUCUCCAUCAUCUAACCUUUGCACGGGCACACAUGAAGAGCGGCGCUAGCUUGCCGUGGUGUUAUUACAACUAAAAAAAAGCUUGGAAAAUAGAAGAAUCGCCUAGAACAAGAGACGUUGUGGCUGGUCGAGACGGAGCUAACCACAUCUAUCCUCUGUGCCAUGUUUGCAUGAUGAAGCUGUGUGGCUAGUGGGGUGUUUUCGACCGACUGGUUGGGUCCCGAGGUCGAACCAUAAGUACUACGUCUGAUACAGUAUAUUUUUACACGCACAUUUUUCCUCCGUGCUGAGACGUGGCACACCCUACCGCAUGGUUUCGGGGUCCUCUCGGGUGGUGCACGCAUAUAUUCUUCCUGACGUGGGACGCCCUAUCGCGCGUUUUCUAGGUCAUCCUCGGGCAUAGCGCCGAAGCAAGUAAAUGAGUCGUCAAAUCACGAAAGACCACCUUUCCCGCCGAGUACAUCAGUGAAGCACGGUGGCUAGCUAGUUGGGCUAGUUCGACCGAUUAGCUAGGCCGCCGCAACAUUUGUUUUUUCACCCCCUUUUUUAUCUACUUGCCGGCAGGUAAAUUUAAAUAUCCACCGCGGUGUUGCUCUGGUGUUUGGGUGUGGCAGGAUUUUUAAUUUUUUGAUUGACGGGAGUAGGCGUGGCAGGAUUUUUAAUUUUUUGAUUGAUGGGAGCAGGCGCGGCAGCAAUUAGUCACGAUGACUCCGCAUGUAAAACCCACUGCUCCCUGAUGUGAGAAGUCGUCAACUGGUGUUUUACCAUGGUGAAAACCAAAAGAUUCCCCGCUCCUCGGCUGGCUCCCUCCGCCUUCCCGUAGAUUGCAUUGCCUUUCAGCCGUUUCGCCCCCUUUGCUUCCUCUCCCCAUUGCUUCUACCUGGUGCCAUGGCAGCGCAGCAGAUCACGGAGUCCGAGGUGAGGCGCCUGACACAGGAGCUCCAUGCCAAGGAUAUGGAGCUCAGGGCCAAGGACGUGGAUCUCCGUGAGCUCGAGGAGGAGAGGAGUGCCAUGCUCCUCCGUUAUGUGCUGGAGUUCAUGGAGCUUCAUAAGCGGCAGGCGUACACCACAAAGAUGCUCGAGGCGUCAACGGCGUUGCUGCAGAAAGCGGGAGAUAUGAUAGGCCGUCAGGGGAGCCGGCUGGAGCGCGAGUGGGCCAAUCGUGACGUGGUCCGGGAUCGCCUCAGCCACUUGGUGAACCAAGUUGCCACGCACGUGUUGCAGCUGCGCGAUGCCUACCGUCGUGCCAGCGCAACCAUGCCGGCCGUCGGGCUAAACCCGUUCGACCACCCAGUCGACUUCAACGAGCUGCAGCUUCCUGACCUGGUCUCCUUCUUCACCUAUAUCUCCGAGGAGCUGAGCCGUCUCCGCGCGAUGGUGGGGGCUGAGCUGGACAAGGAGGGGUUGUGGGCUGCCGUCGCCAUUGUCGGGUGAAUCCUUUCAGGGCUCCAUCACUGGAAUCCAUUCGUGCCAUUGGACGCCGUCUUUGACGAGCUGGCUCCCGUCAACCGGGAGCGGGCUCUACGGGCGGUUGCACCCUGCAUCACCAACGUCGUGCGCCUCGAGAAGCAGAGGGACUUCGGUGGUGUUUAGGCGCCUUCUGCAUGGGCAUGUCCAUGUCUCGGCGCAACAUAACCGUUGGAUCAAACUCAGACGGUGCAGAUCAGUCACUGUAGCACAAAGCAUGUGGGUGUGUUUGGUUGCAUUCUCAUCUCAAUAUAGUUGUUUCCUCUUCGUGUAUUUUUGUCAACCUACUAGUGUGGACUCAUGCACCCUUCAUGCACUCUGCCAAACACCCAAAAGUGGGUCGAGAAGGGAACUUUUGCUCCCAUCCUGUGCACCCUUCAUACACCCUGCCUAACACUAUUUGUGCUUCAUAUGGUUCAUGUUUCGUGGAGUACUGUAGCAUCAUACUCUCCGUACGCUGUGGACCUAGUUCUGUUAACAUUGAUCUCACCUUCCAUUCUCGACCGGACAGUCGAAAAAGCGGUACUAUGUUACAUAUAGGAGUAGUUGACAUGCGCACAACAUCAUUUGUUAUCGUCAUAUCUUACUACACUAGCAACAAGAUUGUGUAGUACUGACGUAUGAACCGCUGCACAUGCCUAGUAGUAGGAGCACUGUGUAUGUUCAAGUGGUUGCCGUGUUUCGCACUCCUCCGUCGUAAGAGUGGAAACGCUUGCUGUAAUCAUUUUUUUUCUUCAAAAAACAGUGGACACGCUCUACCGUGCGGAUCCUCCUCCAGCCAUGCACUAAAUUACUCACUUUCACCGACGUGUGGGACAGCCAGCACCUGGGUCCACCAGCCAUGCACUAAAUUACUCACUUUCACCGACGUGUGGGACAGCCAGCACUUGGGUCCACCAGCCAUGCACUAAAUUACUCCGUAGUAGAGUGACGGUAGACUACCUCGAUCGAACCGUGAUAGUAAUGCCUAAUGAGCCGUCAAAUCACAAAACCCCCUCCUUUCCAGCAGUAAGUUGGACGGACGAAGCAACCAUCAUUUCACUCUUCUCUCUCAGCUUCCUCUCUUGAAGAAAACCCCCACUCGCUUUGCUUCUCCCUCAUCUCGUUCCUCCUUUCACUCUUCUCUCUCAGCUUCCUCUCUUGGAUGGAUGCCGGUGCACCGGCCGAUGUGAUGUCUAUGGCUCUGGCCAAAACCAUCGAGGCUCAUGGUACGAAGAAGCGCAAGCACCCCACCGAGACUACCGCAGACAAGCUCAAAGCCAUCGCCCUGUCCAAGCCCCCCUCUCCGGGAUCCCUCAUUAAGCAAGUCCAGGUAAUGUCUCUUGUUGACGUCUUUUUCUAGAUCUUGAUCGUGUUUUUUCAUCUAACACGCAGUACUAGUACUGGUAGUAUAACUUUCUGGGUGAUCUUGCAUGUGAUUUUAGUGUGCUAAAUGACGGUUCUAAAUUCUUCUUUUGACCAAAACAUGCGAGAGGUUGACACUGAUUUCUUAUAGAUUACUUUCAACUAGUACUUUAUGAACAUCAAUGCAACCUUUGAAGAGGGUAUAUUUGCCUCAGUAACUUGUGUUAUGGAUAUUGCAAGUAAUCCCUCUGCUCUCAUGCCUUUGAAGACAUGUUCUAGUGUCUUUGUUCGCUCAUUUUUGUGCGUAUAUGUAGUCAUAUAUGGAGUAUAAUAUCGAAAAUCAUCUUAUAUUUCUGAAUGGAGGUAGUAAUAAAAUAUGGUUUCUGUUUGAAUUAGAACCAGGUCCACGAUGGAGAUGAAGUUAUCAAAGUCAUGUUGUGUGAACUGGAAGACCUGAUGAUGAGUUCUACUACUGAACUAUCCAGCUGUUGUGUCCUUGUCGCCACGUGUCCUGAACUAGUGUUUUACUGUAGCUUUGUUGUCAGGCAUGUUCUCGAGGCUGUACUUGACCACAACAAUUUCCUGGUUGUGCCUUUGAUUACGAAGGGUGUGGUUCUUGUAAAGCUUCCCAACAAAUCUGAUGCGGCAUGUCUUCAUCAUCAUGUUUAUGAGUGGAAAGACCACUCUGUUAGGUUCUCCAAGGUUGACAAGAUGGUGAUGGUGCAUGUAGACAUCUCACACGAAGUCCAUGGCCUAGUCAGUUAUGCGGGGUUCAUCCCGUAGGUCGGUGGCAAGAAAUAGUCUGCAGAGUUUAGUUAGUGCAACUUUGCUUGUCUGUAGUAAGUACUAUUGUUCAAUACUUGAUUUGUGUUUGUGAACCCUGUAUUGUUUAUUAGUACUGGCGCUUUUGGUGUGUGGUCAGUCUUGAGAACGGUCUAUGUUAAUGUCUGUCCACUCAAUUCAGUCUGUAUAUUUUGAAGUAUCCAGAUCAUAUUUUUUGUGAGGACGGUUUAUCAAUUAUGGUUACACUCCAAUAUCUGUAUGCAUUGCAGGGUUUAUCGCACCCACCAGGAUUUCCAGUCCCAUGGAUGUUCGGUCCAUACGAUUUGUCACGACCUUUGGAUUGUCCUGCUUGUGGGAGUAGGUGGGGCCCCUACAUGCCACGCGUAGUUGGACGAUCAAUCUUCUGUUUAGUACUUCAACAUAGUGAUUUCUCGGUAAGGAUUCAAUCGUGUCACAUCAAGUAAAUCUUAUUGAUUUACUGUCUAAAUCUUAUUGAUUUAAUGUCAUGUUUUCUUUCUUUUCUUGCAAUUUUACGAUGCAGGUUUUGCCAUGUGACAUUCAUCACAGAAUAAACUGUUUGGUUUGCUCUACGAUGGCUAUUUUUGCAGGUUUCAUUUCUUAUGUCAUGUCAGUAACGAAGGCACUGUCCAUCACUUAUAUUACUGGAAAAAAUUGGAUCAGUCUGUUGUCUGAGUACAAACUGAAUCCCUAUGGAGAACUGAAGUUUGGUUUAACAAAAACGCCACAAUUAGUCCUUCUCGCGUUUAAAAGAAAUGAAGAAAAAAACUGGAUCACGGUCACGGAUCCUAGUCAAGUUAGAAAGCUGAUCAUAGCAGACCAGACACGAUCGCCGUUGUCUCGCACAUCGGUACCACCUUCAACAACGGAUCAAGCACUGGCAGUUUGCUCUAGCACUGACAGCGGCAGUAGCUCAGUCUGAUCCAGCUGAGGAUUGGGCACCGACCGCGUCAGUGGAUCAGUCUGAUCUAUCAGAGGAUCGGGCAUCGACACCGGCACCAGCUCUACAAGGAGCACCAUCUCUGGCAGCAGCGACGGCUUCGGCACCUGCACCAACACUUGCACUUGCAUCUGCUCCGGCCCGUGCAGUUGCACCAGCAACAGACUAGGCUGCAGUUCGCACUUCAUAUACCAAAGUCCUUACAAAAACCGACAUGUCCACCUUCUUGGUAAGCAUUGGCCGCCCAAUUGCUUCGUUCUUUUUUCUUUCCAUGUUGUUUCACAUGAUUCACUAUGUUGAUCUAACUAUUUGGGUAUGUCUUCUUGUUUGCAAACAGAGAAUUCCUAGAGCAACGAGGGAGUCGUUCAACAAUCCGGGCGACCGCGGCCAAGUUUCUCUUACCAUGCGCAGCCUUGGUGUGAAUGAACCUGCUUAAUAUACCGUAAGUACAAAGGAUGGUCGCAUGAUGAUUGAUGCUAAAGGAUGGUCAAGGUUCAAAUCUAAAUCAUAUCUUGCGGUAGGGGAUGAUGUCAAAAUCGAACUUUCUCGGCAAGGAGAGCUGGUCCAAAUCAACUUUGAAAUUCUUCAGUAGCAGCACGCAACUGCCGAACUGAUCUAUCCUCCGAGAGAUUUUGAUGUAAUAAUAUGGCAUGGUGAAACAAGUGUCCUAAGUGUAUAAGUAGUACGACAGUAUUAUUUGUCACAUGGUAUAUCGUUGAUAGAAUUGCAACUCUGAUUGCUGGUUAGGAACUGUCGUUCGAUUUCAUUCCUGCCGUGCUUUAUUCAAUUUUGUGUAUUCGCCUUGCGACAGCAUCUAAAACUAGCGCCAUACCGAUCGCUUGCAAUAUGAAAAGCGCUGAGGUAGAACACAUGGGCCCCCAAACAUGCAGGGUUGGCCUGCGGCCCAAAGUCCAGAACCGUGAGCAUAUCUGAGUAUUAUAUUCUCAGUUGAACCCCCAUAAUGCAUGUGCGUUGCAGAUGGAGUAUAUUUCUCGGCAAGGUGAGCCUGUCUGUGAUAUAAAAGAUUUGUAUAUUUCUUUACAGAGGGAGUAUCUCUCUAUCAAAAAAUAUAUUUAUGUGUAACUAGUUACUCAUGUCUUUCUACUUCCUUUCACUGAUAUGUGGGGCAACCGGCAAUGGGGUCCACGUGCCAUAUGCACAAAUUAGAGUGCACAACUUCACGGUAGACACACCCCGGUCGUAGUGCCGCAGUAAUGCCCAAUGAGCCGUCAAAUCACAAACCCCCCCCCCUUUCCAGCUUUAGCAGUAAGCUGUACGGACGAAGCGGCAAUAUUUCACUGGGCCUGAAUCCCCUUCUCCCUCGUCUGCUUGCUCAGAGAAAAAACCCUCUCGGCGAUUGCAUAGGGUUUUCUCAUGGAGAACCAGGUACGAAUUCUUCACCCAUCCCCGAUAUAUCCAAGUCCCUUGGUCGCAGGUAAUCCUAGGAUGGCAGCUGCCGCCGUUGAUGCAUUUUUCUUCCUACUGAAUCUAGUGUGUUUCAUUUGCAGUACCCAAAGUGCAAGUACCCUACAGGUUUCUGCACCCUCGGUGAGACGCCACACUUGUUCCUUCUCAUCCUAACACAGCAUUUUGAAACGUGCAUAGUAUGCUCCUAGAAUCCUCUUUUCUAUCCGGGAGGGUGGGGGUUUUUUGAACAUGCUGUGUUCUCAUAUUAUUUUUCCUGCAGUGUAUUAUUUGCUCUGCCAGAACACAUGUACUCAAGAUGCCUGGCCUUGCCAUAACUGAAUACACUAGUUUAAUGGUCAAAGUGAAGACAAGCCAUGGAUAUAAGUUCCGAGUUGGGUUCAUGAACCAAGAAGAUCGCUGCUUUUUUUAUGGCCGAACUUGGAUAAACUUUUUCAAGUGUUACGGACUGAAAGUUGGCGCACGAAUGUUGAUGGAAAUAGCAGAACCUAGUCUCAUCUUCACUACGAUCUUCCACCCCGACGUCGUUCCAAUUGUUCAUCCAUGUUAGUUUUGUAUCUGGUUCUUGCUUGUUGCCUCGAUUACUUCUUAAUCCACCUAAUCUGUCUAACUAAUCACAAUUUAACUUUAGAAGUAGCAUCGAAUCUCUCACGAAGAUGCUACUUCUAACUAAUAUUUUCUUAUAAUUGGUGGCACGUGUAUAUUUUUUCAGAGUUAAGCAGUCUGCCCAUUUGUUACUCUGUAAUAACUCGGCUGUUACUGAUGGCACUGAAGUUGACUGGAUCGACAUCCACAAGUUCCUACACUUUAUUGAUCGUCUUGAGGUCCUUGUGGGGCGUUUCAAUGGUGGAAGGCCACGUGGGAUAUGUGUGCCACUGCUGCACUUGUUGAACAGGUCCAACUGUGUCGAGAAACUUAUGGUACGAGUUGUUUUCUGUUAUAUAUGUUGUUUAUAAACUAUUGCUUAUACACAGUUUUACAGUUGUGAUCUUCUUGAAACAGGAACUGCCCAGUUCUAUUGUUCCUAUACAAAUGCCUGAUCAUGGUCAGGUAAGACUUGCGCUUGGUCACAACAUGAUGUUUAUGUCGACCUAUUCAAUUCCCCUUGGAGGUGAAAAGAUACUUAUUUAUGGGUGGUCUCAAAUAAUGAAGACCCGUCCAUCUUGGAGAAUAGGACAGAAGAUUAUGUCCAUGCUUUUCCAUGGCUCUAAAGCGAAUAUCCUGUUUAUUGACCACGUUGCAAGAUGAAGCCGCUUUCAGAAGGUUGUGGAUGCGCGGGGUGGCGCCUGGGCCUUGUCCUGGGGCUUGGCGGCCUCACCCUUGGUUAACUGUAGGCAAAGUAGCACUGUUCGAGGCGUGCUUUGUACGGUUGAACUUGUAUAAGUACUCAUACUGCUUUCAGCUUUGGUUGUUAAGUGCCCCUGCUGGUUUCAGUUAAGGUUGUUAAGUACUCCUGCUGCUUUUACAGCCUGUCGUGUUUCUUCAGUCCUAUCUUCCUCCAGCCGCCAAAACCAAACCAGCGCCGGCGGGGCCGCCUGUUUCCGCCUCCCACGGCUGGCUGCGCCUCAGCGCACGUAUCGCCGCCCCACCGUCUCCUAAAUCGUUAACGCCGACGUCCUCCGCGCGCUUUGCUACGCUCGCCGCGGCGCCGCCCUCUCGCGUUGUCAACAUGGUCAACAAACAACAGGAAUCAGCAGAAGUACAUAGAGAGGAUGACAGUAGGGGCCCACCACAUCAGCGUAUGGAAAAAUAAAAUGCUUCCUCCUAGUGUUUUCCUGACAUCUGGAACCCACGACAUUGUGAGCGUAUAUAGUCAAUUAAGAACAGUAAAAUUGGACCUAAUACCUGCCAUCCCGUGAAUUAGGCUUUCCUGGCCAUUUGAUUUUGUGUGAUGCACAUUCCUGGCCGUUGGAUCUUCGUUUAAUGUUAUGUUUACCACGAACUGGGCUAAACUUCGUAUGGGCAGCUACUCCCUUAGCUUUUUUGGAGCCAUGUGGUUAAUUGGGCCUGUUUUUGGUGCUUAGCCCAAAGCAGAGAACUGACCGCAGUCCACGAGCAGCCCUAGGCGAGAGGCAUUCUCUCGACGCCUCCUCUCUCCUCGACAUAUCCUCUUUCUCGUCGCUGCAGCCAGAUGCGCCAUCCAGCAGCGGUUCCCCUCUCCUCCCUUCUACCUCUCUCUCACGAGCGAUGGCGACAAGGUGCUGCUGGCGGCCACCCCUCGAGCGAUCAGCCCUUCUUCCCUACUGGCAAGCCCUCGUGUCUCACCCAGAAAACCAUGGUCAGGCACCGCCUUCAGUGACCCCGCAAUCUAUUCCUCCUGGUCACACAGGCCAUCGCGCUCAACCAGCGUUGACCUCAAGUGGCGGUGACAACCAUGAGUAGCCAUUAAGUCCAGCGGUGACGCCGCAAGAAUCAGUGUCGCCAUGUGUGUUACCGUCCAAGACGGUGGCUGCCCUUCCACACUACAUCCACGCCGGUCGUUCCUGCCUUACAGGUUUUGAUAUAAGGUUGGGAUUCUUUGCUGGUACGACUGUUGGCCUCUAUAACGUUAUGUAUUGUUUGUUUAUUGGUUCAUGGAUUUGGGUAUGGAGAUGCUUGGGCACGUACACAUGUUGAUUCUUUGUUUGGAGGAAUUGGCGUAAUUCUAAGUCAAUAAUUUGCACACUGUCAAGACCUGAAUCUAAUUGGCUUCAUACCAUGGUAUUGUAUUGUAUCUUUUUACGGGUUAGUUCUUGAUGCAACAACUGGCAUCAUCAGAUUGUGUGUGGAUCAUUCAGUGCUCACAUGAAUUAUUGAUUAAUCUUGAAUGAACCUUCAGUUCUGAGAAGUCCAAAGACAUUGUGCACCACCAUGGUACCAUCGACAGCAAGAAACAACUCAUGUAGCUGUGACUUCACAAUAGAUGAUCUAGGUCCUUCUAGCACAAAUCUUGUCUAUAAAUUGAAGAAGGGAGCGUAUUUUGAUUUUUGACAAACAGUUUAGCAACUUUAUUACUCCAUUCCCAUCACAUGGAUAAAUAGCAUACAGAGAUAUAUACUUACUGUAGCAUACAAAGAGACGAUUCUAAUUUUCCACCCUUCAAUUAUCUUCUCUGAUGAUGUGUUCCUCAAUUUGUAAAUGAGUGUGGUUUCUAAUCAUUCUUACGUGACUAGGCUGCAGAUGGGUGUUAUGGCUUCAGAUCAGACACUAAAUGCAGACACACCCUGAAAAUAUAAACAUGUUGAACCGUGUGAGAUCCAUAGUAUAUUUAAUUAUUUACACUAUUUUGUAUGUGAAGGUUAUUGCAGAAUGGAGCAGAAAGAAAAGAACAUCGCUUUUCUCUUAGCUUAACAUGGAAAGACUUCAAGACAUUUAAUUUUGAGGGGAAAUCAUGUCCAGGGAAAAAACAAGAAUCAGUUGUCUAACCAGGUUAAUUAGCUAACCACCUAUGCAUUUUUUUAUCCUAUGUAUUCAUUACUCGAUUUUAGCCACUCUCUUCAUCUAUUGGAAUUAUUACGGAAACAAAUAUAUUUUUCAUCUGUUCCGCAGAAACCAUGUUUGAAGUUGGCAUGCACGACAAGGAGGAUUAUGUGCCUCUUUAAGUCAUCCACGAUCACAUUCAUUAUUGUCAAAUAUCCUCUUUGAAAAUGAUGUUAGUCAGAAACUAAAAAAUAAUUUUGUAUUUUUUAGAAAAAGUCGAGUUUGUUAUGUAGCAUUAUAUUUGGCUGACAUAGUUUUUGGAUGCCUUCCACAGUUCAACGGGAUGUUGGGAGAUUUGCUCUUAAAAAGUAAAGGCAGUGAAGAAAUUUCUAAGGUGUGAAGACUCAAAAUUCCACAGAGUUAAGUGUGCCAUGCUAUCCCUUUUUCGAUAUCAAACUUGUUGCUCAUGUGGUUUUUAAGAUUGUAUAUUCAUCUUCAAGCAUGGAGGAAGCUUUGGCAUAAACGAUGCCACUUAUAAGCUGCAAGGAAGGAGGGCUUAAGUGCUUAACUAUCGAGGUUUAUUUAUACAUCUUAAGAUGGUUUCUACUUGCAAACCUAGAAUGAUCCCCUCAUGGAAAACAUUCACUAAUUUUACUUUUUGUCCCUCAUUGUUGUACAUAAUGAUCCCCUUCAUCUUGUGCGUUCACAAAUAUCAUUUCUCUUUAUUUGUGUCCCUCAUUGUUUUAUAUUAUAUGAAAGUUGAACAUAUCAGUACCUUUUUGCAGAGAGGACUGUAUACACUGGACACUUGAGUGGAGGUUUAGUUCAUCAGAUAUUGUCCUGACUGGCGUGAGUGAAUUUACAUUAAUCUAUCACUACACAAUGUUUUCUGUUUUCCCAGUCUGCAUCUUUGUGAAUUUACCACUUUUCCAAGAUGGUAAUAUAUCUGCCUGAGACUGUUCUAAUUGCUCUCAUGUUACAAUAGCUACUUUAAGCUUCCAUCCAAAAACAAACAACACUUGCUUUAAGCCAGAUGUAGACCCUUUUUACAUGAAAUGUUCUGGUUUUAUCACUUUUUGUUGUUCAUAGAUGAGUUGAACCAUGUACAUGUCUUGAGAUUGUCCCAUGGGUGAGCCCAGGUUCAUGACUGAUAUUUUGUUUGUAGGUCCAAUGUUUUGCGAUUAAUCUUUUUUUUUUGUUAUAGGACUCUUUCCUCUUUCACUGUAACUAGCUUUGCCAGCCAUGUACAGUUUUCCCCCUGCUUUAAUGAUAUAUGGCAGAGCUCCUGCCUUUCCAGUAAAAAAAGAAUGAUAUUUUGUUCCACUAGCACAUCAUGAGCUUAUUAAUAAGAAAAUAUUAAGCCUUUUUGAGAAAUACUGAGAGAACAUAUUAUUACAAGCGAACUACUUGUAGCUCUUCACUUUGCUGGUCAAGUAAUUAUCAAAUAAAACCACUCUCUUUGUUCUGCCUCUCUUAUGCACACAAACUGUUCCGUCCACACCUAUGAUUAAACGUAAGAGUAGGAGUACGAUAGUUCUUUUUUAUUUCAAUACAGCUCAUAUGAGCUAGGAUCGUCUUCAUUUUUUCUGAAACAUCUAAGAUAAUUGUCAUUAGUAAAUAUGCAUAUCUUUUCAGAUGAGAUUGCUAUUGCAUCCAUACUUCCAUCAAAAGAUCCAUCUUGGGAAGACACAUCUCGAUGUGACAAGCACAACUCAUUGAAGGUACAAAGGAUCCAGGAUAGGAAGGCAUGUUUUGAAGGUACAAGCAUAAGUCAUGGAAGUAUUUCUAUUGGUGGUUGCAAAAUCUAUGUAUCUACAUGUGAUGUUGAUGAAAUAUGUUAAAUCUGCUUGCUCUAUAUGUCUAAUCUUUAUGCUGGCAUCCUGGUGGAUGUUGGUUGGCUUAACAUUUGUGUUCCCUGUGCAUGUCAAAAAAAUGAAAAUAAUGUGCAAAUGUAAUGACAUGAGCUAAUGGUCUUUGCUUUUUUUUGUUGCACAAGCUUGUGGUAAUCAUCUCUCCCUCACGUAAGUGUACUUUUUCUCUUGUUCACGGUUUCGUACUAUAAGCCACUUAUCACAAUAUUUCUUUUUGCAUCAUGUUGUUGACAUGUGCUACAUGAUAACCAGUGCAGCUUCUUUUUUGUCUUUGCUUUAUUAAUAUCCAUUGCUGAAUUGAUGCAAAAAUGGGAUGAAAGAUCGUGCCACUGGUAAGAAUAACAUUAUCUUUGAAUUUAUUGAUCAAAUAAUCUACAUAUUUACAAAACUCCCAAUAUUACAUUCAAAUGGACGGGCGCCGCAACGCAUGCCAUCAAUGAUCUAGUAGACAAGAGAACAGCGCAAGAUUGGCUGACACCUGGGACGUAGCUACUCGAGCAGUAUUUUUUUUUGUUAUUGUUGAGACGGAGCAGAGUUUGAACUGGGAUGUGGCCCGUCUAGCCCAGGCUUAUAUUUUAUGUUCACCAUGUGACCAGCCCAGUUAUUUUUUUUCUUUGUGAAAAUGAGCCUAGUUUAUUUUUUCUAAAGAAUACCCAAUCCAGGCCUACUUAUUUUUCUACGCCCUCAUAGGCUACAACUCUUUCAAGACGCCUGCAAAUCUUGAAAAUAAUAUGAAAUGGGUUGUAAAUAUAAAAACAGAUGGCAAAUUGGCAGUUACUUUAUAAUUUCUGAAUUUUUUCACAUUUUCAGAUUCCUAUUUCACUGGGCAUUAACCUAAUUUAAAUAUAUCUUCAAAGUACUUUAAAUCUGGCUUGACAUUUCGGUAUUAAAAAUAGUUUGGAACCCACAGAAAUAUGCGAAAUUGGCCCUGGCCAACCAAAAAAAACGGCUGCAAUAAAUUGCAUAAGAAGUUGCCAUGAGCUAUAUAUAAAUUAUUAAAAAAAGAGGGAGUGGUCUGACUUGUGGGCCUGUUUAGUUGACGCGUAUGCAAGAUUUUUUUAGUUAUUAUAUACGUCAACAAACGAUUCUAGCAGACGUAACCAUUGGAUGUCAAUCCAACGGCCGUCGUGUUUCUUCAAUCUCUGAUCUUCUUGCUCCAGCCGACGGGACCGCCUGCUCCCGCCUCCCGUGGCCGGCUAUGCUGCCGCGCAGGCCUCAGCGCCCCCUACUAAUCCCACCACUGGCCAGGGCAUCCCUCUACACACCCACACCCCCUGUUAUUCUGUGGCGAUGGCAGCCUCACACCGCAGCCAAACCGGUGAACUCUCGUACUCCUCUCCGUGCGGGCUUCCACUGCCGCAUCUUCCCCGGCUCUGCGUCGUCCCCUUCCUAGGCCUCGCCGUCGUCCAUCGCCGUGGUGCUCUCGGCACGGAGUGGUCAAUGUGGUCAACGACCGACUUCCAUCGGAAGAGUACUGUAUGUGGAGAGGCUGACAGCUGGGUCCACGGCAGCCGCAAGGAAGUGCCUCCUUAUUACGCGGAAAAUAAUUAUUCCUCCACCUGACAGCAGGGACCUACCAGACGGGCCACCAGUAUUUCAUGAAAAAAACGUUUCCCCCUAACUGCUGGGACCCACCGGACGGGCCACCGUAUUUCGUGAAAAAAACAUUUCCCCCGCUGUCAGCUCGGACCCACCGGAAGUGCCUCCUUAUUACGCACAAAAAAAUGAAUACCCCCUGCUAGUGGGACCCACCUUGGUGGGAGGCUGACCUGUGGGCCUACUAAGUUGACUAGGAUGGAGGCCUUUGUCAACUUUAGUCAAUAUAUGAACGAUUCUAGCUCCAGUGACCGUACGAUGUCCAUCCAACGACCGUAGUGCUUCUUCAACCUCUGGUCUUCUUGCUCCAGCCGCCCAAAGCAGCGCCGGUCGUGACGCCUGCUCCUGCCGCCCGUGGCCAGCUGUGAUACCGCGGAGGCCUCACCGCCCUCUACUACUCCUACCGCUAGCCAGGCCAUCCCUCUACGCACUCACACCCCCUGUUAUUCUGCGGCGACGGUAGCCUCACACCGCAGCCCAACGAGUGAACCCUCAUACUCCUCUACGCAUGGGCAUCCACUGCCGCGUCUUCCCCGGCUCUGUGUCGUCCCCUUCCUAGGCCUCAUCGUCGCCCACCGCCCUGGUGCUCUCGGUGCGGCGUGGUCAACGUGGUCAAGGAACGGCUUCCAUCGGACGUGGACUAUACAUGGAGAGGCUGACACCUGGGUCCACCGCCGCAGCAAGGAAGUGCCUCCUUAUUACGUGCAAAAUUAUUAUUCCUCCACCUGACAGCGGGGACCCACCGGACGGGGCACCGUAUUUCACAAAAAAACAUUUCCCCUGACAGCUGGGACCCACCAGCUACAUCUUCGCACGCAAGGAAGUGCGUCCGGGCAAAAAAACGAUUCACCCCCCUGACUGCUGGGAUCCACCAGCUACAUCUUUGCACGGAAGGAAGUGCGCCCGGGCAAAAAAAUGAUUCACCCUCCCUGACUGUUGGGACCCACUAGCUACAUCUUUGCACGCAAGGAAGUGCGCCCGGGCAAAACAGGACUCCACGGGAUACUGUUCAUCUCCACUAUCGACCUCCUCCAGCCUCCACAGGCUACUGUUCAUCCACCGUCGACCUCCUCCAGCCUCCACCUGCGACUGUUCAUCCACAGGCUCCUGUUCAUCCAGCCUCCACCGCGCGCUACUCCAUCGGCUACUGUUCAACCAGCCCUCCACGGGCUCCUGUUCAACCAUCCCUCCACGGGCUACUGUUCAUCCACCCCUCCACUGUCUACUGUUCAUCCAGCCCUCCACGGGGUCGUCCUGUUCAUCCAGCCCUCCACGGGGUCCUGUUCAUCCAGCCCCAACCAGCUCGAUCAAUCGGGGUCCUGUUCAUCCAGAGGCAACGCCACGGGUCCUGUUCAUCCACUCCCACCACUCACUGUUCAUCCAAACCCCCCGCAACACUCACUGUUCAUCCAGAGAGGCAGCAUCGAUCGGCUUCAGUUAGCAGCAGUAGCGAAGGAAUCACUCGAUCGGGUUUAGUUAACAGUCAUCGAUCGAUCGCUCGGGUUUAGUAACGCAUAGCCUGCAGUGCAAUCGUUCGGGUUCAGUUAGAGCCCAAUGCCUCGCUCGGGUUCAGUUAGAGCCAACGCCUCGCACGCAUCGCUCAGACCCCGACCUCCCACCGUAACCGGGAACUCCCCGAAAUUUUCCUCACCCUCGCUUCUACCACGGUUUUUUCCAUCAUGGACGGCCCAAAGAAUGUCAUGCAGCUGCGUCUCCGGCCCGCACAGGACGAAAAUCCCAUUUUCUGUCAUGAUUUUUGUCAUAGAAUUAGGAGCCCACCACAUCUAUGAUGAUAUCAGGUUUUGUCACAAUUAUCGUCAUAGAAGUGGCAUAUGUAUGACAAAAAAAAUUCGUUCGGCCCAAAAUGUCACGGAUGUGUCUUUUUUUUGUAGUGCAUACAAAGGACCAACAAGAUUUCUAUGAGACAAUCCUGCUUGACAAGAUGUCCAUAGUGUGUGACAUGAGAUGGGUGGACUGGACCUACAUAAGAGAGAAUGAAGAGCACUUCCUAGGUGUAUAUGACAGCUUCAAGGCAUGUGAGGUUGACAAGUUUGUUGGCCAGAAGCUUACCAAGUGGAAUGAUGAGCUGAGCAUGCAAUUCUAUUCAACUGCUCAUUUCUAUCCAGAUGGAAGAAUAGUGUGGAUGUCAGAGGGUACAAGGUACCAAUCUACAGUUGAUGAGUGGGCUAGAUUGAUCAAUGCCCCAGAUGCUCAUGAAGAUGACUUGGAUGUCUAUGCCAAGAAGAAGAAGGAUCACAACUCAAUGGCUAGCAUGUAUAAGGAGAUUCCUGAUGCAGACCUAGAGACUCACAAGUUUGGCUCAGUGAACCACCUACUGUCAGGGAUGCCAACCAUCAACUGGAUCCUAAGGCACACAUUGCUACCCAAGUCAGGUGAUCACAAAAUGAUCAGAGGACACUCCAUCAACUUGCUGCAUAUAUUUGAUGUGCCUCUAAAGUUCAAGGUGAUGAGUCUAAUUGUGGAAACAAUCAAGAGGACUGCUGCAGAUCGGAAGAGAUCUUGUGGGUAUGCUCCACAGAUUCAGGUGCUCAUCAACUCCAAGAUGGGCACAGGCACAUAUUUGUUGGACAAGGAGCAUCUACCCCUCAAGCCAGACUUUGAGGACAACAUUGUUGUCAUGAAUGAAGAAGAUCCAUCAUAUGUGCAAGCACAAGAGAAGAGAGAGAAGGCAAGGGCAGAGAAAGCUGCAAAGAUGCCAACAGCUGAAGAAGCAUCUCAGGUAUUCUUGAAGAGCUAGCAAGAUCAGCUUGGAUAUCUGAUUGCCUCCACCUUGAGGAUUGAGAAGGGCUUGGCCACCCUGACUCAAAACCAUGAGAGCUUGGAGAGGAUCAUUGAGCAGAAAUUCUAUGAUCUUGAUGUCAAGGUAACUGAGAUCCAGUCAGUAGUUGAGCAACUUCAGGAGGAAGUGGAGGAGAAGAAGGGCAAGUCUACUACAGAUGCUUUCACUAGAGUGCCCAGGAGUCAGAGAUCUACUGCAGUGCCUGUUCCAGACACAAGAGCUACGACAUUUGCACCAUCAGCCACAGCUUCAGUACCACCAGCUCCAGCAGCCACUCCUCCAGCUCCAGCUACAUCAACAGAAGCUUUUGUCCUUGGAGUCAUCUCUACGCCACCUCAUGAAGACCAAGCCUGAGAGUCGUUUAGCACUAUGUGUUUUUUAACUUUUUGGUAACUUGUUGCCAAAGGGGAAGAAAAUGUAUAGAUCAUAGGCUUCGAGAGAGAGUGUUGCUUUUUAUCUCUCUUGUUUUUGGUUGAACUUCUUGAUUGUGUGCUUGUGAGCUACUUGUUUACUUGUUCGAUCAUGUGUUUGAUCAUAUGAUAUGCUUAAUGCUUGUUGGUUGAUAUUAUCUCUUAUAUCCUUAUAUGAUCAUUCACUUGCUUUUGAGUGCAUGCUUUUAACUUCUAUCUUUUUGAGCGCUCCACCAAGAUGUAUGUGACAUGAAAGAGUAACCCAUGAUCCUAACACAUUGUGCAUUUUCAGUCCAAACCAAAUUUUAAAUAAUGCACAAAUUUAGGCGGAGCUCUUGCUUAUCACAUACUCCCUCCGUUCCAAAAUAGAUGACUCAACUUUGUACUAACUUUAGUACAAAGUUGGGUCAUCUAUUUUGGAACGGAGGGAGUACUUCUCAAAGCGAUAAUGUUUUUCAAUCUUAUUAUCAUUUGUUGAAGCUUUGAUCUAUAUGUUGUCAUCAAUUACCAAAAAGGGGGAGAUUGAAAGUGCAACUAUCCCUGGGUGGUUUUGGUAAUUCCUAACAACAUUUAGCUCAUCGAGCUAAUUCUAUUUCAAGAUAAAUAUUUGAGGAAAGCUCAAUGUUUGGCAUGGCAUGGAUGAGAAACGUGGACCCCUCAAAAUUCUAAGGACAAAAGGAUUGGCUCAACCUCAAAGCACAUGACUCUACAUUUUACUUUUAAUGAUCCAAGAUCACAUUGAGUCCAUAGGAAAGCCAAUACUAUUAAGAGGUGGUGAGGUGUUGCUUAAUGAGUUUCUUGCUCAAAGUGCUUAAUGAUAUGCUCCAAAAACCCUCAACUACUUUCUCACAUCCACAUAUGUCCCAAACCAAAAGUCAAACUCAGCCCCACCGAAACUUUCUAUCCGGCGCCACCGAGUUCAGUUGACAUAGCAACUGCCAGAAACCCUAGUCUUUUUGGUCUCACCGAUAGGGAUCUCGGUCUCACCGAGAUGGGAUUGUAAUCUCUCGGUUUCCCUUCGUAGCGUUUUGGUCAAACCGAGAUGAGCGAUCGGUCCAACCGAGAUUGCAAUGCAAACUCUCUGUUUCCCUUUCGUAACGUUUCAGUCCAACCGAGAUGAGCGAAUCGGUCCCACCGACUUUGCCUGACCAACUCUCUGUUUGUCUAUUACCAAAAUCGGUCUCACUGAGUUUGUGUAAUCGGUCUCACCGGGAUUAUGUUAUGCCCUAACCCUAAUGAUAUCGGUCCCACUGAGUUGACAUGUCGGUCCCAUCGAAGUGCCUAACGGCCACAUUAUGAACUAAAUCGGUCUGACCGAGUUUUACGGUUCGGUCCCACCGAGUUUGGUAAGUUGUGUGUAAUGGUUAGAUUUUUUGUGGAGGCUAUAUAUACCCCUCCACCCACUCUUCAUUCAUGAAGAGAGCCAUCAGAACAUGCCUACACUUCCAACAUACAUUUUAUGAGAGAGAACCACCUACACUUGUGUUGAGGUCAAGAUAUUCCACUCCAACCACAUAAAUCUUGAUCUCUACCUUUCCCCAAGUUGCUUUCCACUCAAAUCUUCUUUCCACCAAAUCCAAAUCCUGUGAGAGAGAGGGAGUUGAGUGUUGGGGAGACUAUCAUUUGAAGCACAAGAGCAAGGAGUUCACCAUCAACACACCAUCUAUUACCUUUUGGAGAGUUGUGUCUCCUAGAUUGGUUAGGUGUCACUUGGGAGCCUCCAUCAAGAUUGUGGAGUUGAACCAAGGAGUUUGUAAGGGCAAGGAGAUCGCCUACUUCGUGAAGAUCUACCCUAGUGAGGCAAGUCCUUCGUGGGCGAUGGCCAUGGUGGGAUAGACAAGGUUGCUUGUUUGUGGACCCUUCGUGGGUGGAGCCCUCCGUGGACUCGCACAACCGUUACCCUUCGUGGGUUGAAGUCUCCAUCAACGUGGAUGUACGAUAGCACCACCUAUCAGAACCACGACAAAAACAUCCGUGUCUCCUAUUGCGUUUGCACUCUCCAAACCCCUCCCUUUACAUUCUUGCAAGUUGCAUGCUUUACUUUCCGCUACUUAUAUACUCAUUGCAUGCUAGCUUGAAUUGUGUUAAGAUUUCUCGACUUGUGCUAAGUUGUUGAAAUCUACCAAGAACUAAAAUUGGGAAAAGGCUAGAUAUUUAUUUGGUCAAGUAGUCUAAUCACCCCCCUCUAGACAUACUUUCGAUCCUACACUAGCACAAACGGGGAUACAGAUCGAAAGAGGCGCAGGCCUCCUGCCUGGGAUCUUCUGAAACUAUUCCUGGUCGUCGGCGACCUGAAGGUAGUAGUAGGCACUGUCGGUGUAGUAGGGGUCAUCGUCGAUAGUGGCGUCUGGCUCCUGGGCUCCAACAUCUGGUUGCGGCAUCCGAGGAGAAGAGGAAAAAGGGGUAAAAGAGGGAGCAAAGCAACCGUGAGUACUCAUCCAAAGUACUCACAAGCAAGGAUCUACACUAAAUAUGCAUGGGUAUAUGUGUAAAGAGGCAAUAUCGAUGGACUGGACUGCAGAAUGUCAGAAUAAGAGGGGGAUAGCUAGUCCUAUCAAAGACUAUGCUUCUGGUAGCUUCCAUCUUGCAACAUGUAGAAGAGAGUAGAUGGUAAGUUCACCAAUUAUCAUCGCAUGGCAUAAUCCUACCCGACGAUCCUCCCCUCGUCGCCCUGUGGGAAAGCAAUCACCGAGACGCCUUUGGAACUUGUCUGGGUGUGUUUUAUUAAGUAUCCGGUUCUAGUUGUCAUAAGGUCAAGGUACAACUCCGGGUCAUCCUUUUACCGAGGGACACGGGUAUUAAAAUAGAUAAACUUCCCUGCAGGGGUGCACCACAUUUCCCAACACGCUCAAUCCCUCUGGCCGGACACACUUUCCUGGGUCAUGCACAGCCUUCGAAGAUCAACACGUCGCAGCCCUACCUAGGCACAACAGAGAGGCCAGCACACCAGUCUAAAUCCUAUGUGUGUAGGGGUCUGGGCCCAUCGCCCAUUUCACACAUGCAUGUUGCGAGGACAGCCGGUGAGUAGACUUAGCAACCUCCAUUACAAAGGAAGUUACGUUACACGGUCCAACCCGGCGCACGCCGCUCAGUCGCUGAUGUCAAGAAGGCGUCGGCUGAUACCACGACGUCGAGUGCCCAUAACUGUUCCCGCGUAGUUGGUUAGUGCGUAUAGGCCAGUGGUCAUACUUAGAUCAAAUACCAAGAUCUCGUUAAGCGUGUUAUUUUAAAGUAACCGCGGACGCCGACCAGGGCCAGGCCCACCUCUCGCCUAGGUGGUCUCAACAUGCCCUAUCGCUCCGCCACAAAGUAACCAUCAAGGGGCUAUCGGGAACCCAGGCCCAUCACUACCUGGAUGGUACCACCUGCCCCUUCAGCCCCCAUCUCUGAAACACUUGCAGGUACUCUACGAGCCGACCCGACUUUAGUCACCAUCUGUAUAGCAUGAAUGUAUGUAUAUAUAUACCCGUGAUCACCUCCUGAGUGAUCACGCCCGAUAGUAUACCAUGGCAAACGGACAAGAAUGUAGGGCCGCUGGUGGUAAACUAGCAUCCAAUACUAAGCAUUUAGGAUUGCAGGUAAGGUAUCAGCAACUGUAGCAACAAUGAUAGGCUAUGCAACAUGAUAUGAUUAACCAAAAAUAGUAACAUGCUACACUACUCUAAUGCAAGCAGUAGAGGGAAUAAUAGGUGAUAUCUGGUGAUCAAGGGGGGGCUUGCCUGGUUGCUCUGCAAACAGAAACGGACCCUCGAAGGUCAAGUAGUCGAUCACUGGUUCAACCGCGGUCUUGGGGUCUACCGGAAAGAAGUAACAGAAGGGGAACACAAUAAAUAACAGAGCAAACAAAGCAUCACAAAAUAUAAUAAGGCAAUGCAUGGUGCCAUGGUGACCUGACGCGGGGAUAGGUGAUACACGCGAAGGGGGAAAACAUUUGGGAAAGUAUUCCUGGUGUUAGGCAUUUUCGGACAUAUGUAACGGAGAGGGUGGUUCCAUGUUUGCAAUGUUGGAGGGGUGUGACAGGUAUGUGGAUGGCAUACUCGGAUUCGUCGUAUUUUUCUGAUCGAUUUUCAUAUAUAAAUUAUUUUCAUCGGAGCUAUAGUUGAAUAUAUAUGACUUUCCAAAGUUUAAACAAUACUCUAAAAUUCCAAGGUUUUAUUUUAAUAUAAAAAAUAAGGCAGAAAAGGCUAGGUGCACCCGGUGCAGUGCACCCAGAGGUGCACCAGUGGCCGACAGGUGGGGCCAGUCAACUGUUGACGCAUCAGUUGACUGGUCAGACGUUGACCCGUUAGCUGGUCUAGUGGGGCCCGCGUGUCAGUGUCUCACUUUUAUUUUUAUUUUAUUUCUAUUCUCUUCCUUUUUUUGGCCGGCCCCACUUGGCAGUGGGCCAGCAGGUCACAGGGGUUGUGCCCAGGCACGGGCGCCCAUGGCCGGCUGAGGGGACGUGACAAGCAGCGGGAGGGGCGGCCCCGAUGCGGCAUCCGACGCGGCCAGGCGCGGCCAAGCAACGGGAGGGGUGGCCCCAGUGCGCCCCCGGUGCGGCCUCUGGCGCGGCCAGGCAAUUGGAAGGGCGGACGGUGGUGGGCGCAUGGAUCGGCUGUGGAGGUGGGCAGCGGCAGGGGAGUGCGCUGGGAGUUGCGGGCGGAGGCGGGCGCAGUGGCAGGAGCAGCCGACACGUGCGGUCAGAGACAGCGACAGCGUGCUAGUAGUGGCGAGGCGCGCAGCAGAUAGUAGCAAGUGCUACGGCGGCAGAAGCAGGGGCGCAGGCGACUGCAGAGAAGCGGCAGCACGGGCAAGCAGCGGCCAGCGCGGCCAGGCGCAACGGCGCACGCGAACAGCGGGGUUCGCGGGCAUGCGUGGCCAGGCUAGGCAGGCACACAGCCGAGGAAGGCACAGUGGAUACUUUAAGAGUCUUGCUUCACAAGAGGGCCACGGUAUCAAUAUCAAAGAAAGUGGCAAGGCCCAUGAGUGCAAGUUGACGAACGGAAAGGUAAGUUGUAUGCAAGGGACUCAACAAGCAUGACUUUCUCGAUCGUGAGAUCAUGAGAAAUGACAACCUUGCCAAGCCCCCAAUACCUUAGAAGAUGAAGCAUCACCCCAUUCGACAUUGGUGGGCAUAGAUGAAACUUUAUGCACGUCCACCACCAAGUCCUUGCUUCCGGUCAUAUGAUUUGUGGCUCCACUAUCGAGCAACCAUGAUCCCCCACCGGAAGCAAACACCUACAAGAGAUCAAUGCUUGGUUUUAGGUACCCAUUUUGUAAUGUCCUUUGAUGUUAGCAACAAGGUUCUUAGGAACCCAAAUAGACCAUUCAAUUUACUCAUAAGAAGAACCAGCAAAUUUGGCAUAAACAUGCCCAUCACUAACACGUCACAACACAUAAGAAGGGUUAAAAUCGCCGGUUUUAUUGGAAGGGGUGGCAUUGCCCUUCUUGACACCACCACCCUUCGUGUUCUUCUUCUUCUCCUUAUUAGUACCCUCUCCCUCCUUCACAAAGGUUUGCUUGAGAGGAGGAGGUUGUGUGGUCUUGUCAGUCUUCUUCUUCUUCUUGGACUUGGGUGCAAACCCAAUCCCCUCCUUGGCCACAACUUCCUUUUGAUUGCUCAAAAGGUCGUUGAGGUUCUUCUCUCAUUGUAUGCACGACACAGGGCCCUUCUCAAGUUGCUCCUUCAACUUGGCAUUCUCCUCCACAAGAUGCACAUGCUUACAACACGGGUUAGUAGAAUUUGCAUUAUCAAUUAAAGCCAUAUGAGGAAACGUGGCUUUCUCCUUGGUUAGCUUCACUUGGAGUUGAUCAUGAGACUCUUUGAGGCUUGCAUGAGCACCCUUCAAGGCCUUGUGAGCCGUGUCAAGUAUGUCAAACUCCUCCUUGAGUCUAGCAUGGUCAACCCCAAGUUUAGCUAUCUCGGAAUUGAGCACACGAGAUACAACAAGAGCAUGAUCAAGAUCUUUCUUUAAUUUAGCACGAUCAUCAUUCUGUGACUUCUCAAGAGCCAAACGAUGACCACGCUCUUCCUCAAGCGCAUUAGAGGGAUCUGAUAUCUCAUCGGCAUAGUCACGACUAUGCUCUUCCAUCUUAGAGAUGGUUUCUUCGUGAGCCUCAAUCAUGUCAUUGGCUUCACCAAGUUGUUCCAAGAGAGCAACGAAGUGCUUCUUGGUUUUACCCUUGAGCUUACUCAUAAAAGAAUCAAAUUCAUUUUCUUCCUCCUUCGACCCCUCACUUUCAUCAAUGCAAUCUAUCAAGGAAUAAUUAGUAGCGAUGGUGGUUUUGAUGUUGGGGUUUACCUUGUUGGUGGCUUUAGCCAUGAGGCACUUGGCGGUGAUGUUCUCGUUGGGUGAGUCAAAGAGGGACACUCAUGGAGUUGUUGCAAUGGCGACGGAGGCCAUGGCAACCGUCUUCAUCAUCAUCCUCAUUGUACUCUUCUUGUGCCACCAACCCCUUGGGAGGAGUCUUCUUGGUGAAGUUGUUCUUGUUGGGGAAGGACUUGGCCUUGUCUUUUCGGAUAAGCUUGCCUCCAUUGUCUUCCCUCUUCUCGUACGGGCAUUCUGCAACAAAGUGGCUCACAUUGCCACAAUUAUAGCAUGUCCUCACACGUUGCUUGCCCUUGGUGCCACUUGAGUUGUUCUUGUUGAAGUUGGGCCUUGUGUUCUUCUUGCUCCAAAAUUGCCGUGACGCAAGAGCCAUGUGCUCAUGAUAGGCAUACUUGGUAUCUUCGGGACAACAUUCCUCUUCUUCCUCUUCACUCUCUUCUUCCACACUAUCCUUGCCCUUUAAAGCAAGGUUGGGCUUCUUUGAUCACUGAGAAUGCAACACCGCAUUGUCAGCGGUCUUGUCCAAGAUCCUCAUAGCAACAAAUUCAUCCAACACUUCACUUGAGGACAAGGCGUGAAAGUCCGGCCUUUGACGGAUGAUAGAUGACAUGGCCUUGUGAUAGGGCAUCAUGGCCUUGAGAAACUUGCGCUUGAUCCGAUUGUCAUCUGUAUCCUUGCUCCCAUGAUCUUGGAGUGAGACCGCGAGAGUGGUUAAUCUCCGGUAAAGCUCACGUGGUUCUUCAUCUUCAUUCAUAGCAAACUCACCGGCUUCGUCUUGUAACACUUAAAAGUUAGAGUGUUGAAUGCUAGAACUUCCCUUGUAAAUGGAAACAACAUGUUGCCAUGCUUCCUUGGCCACGGUGAAAGGUCGGAGGUGUGCAAUAUCUCCGGGAGGGAUUGCUUCUUGGAGAAUGAAAAGAGCGGACUCAUUGAAUUGAUGAUCUACGACUUCUCUAGGAGUGAAGUUUCUUGGGUCAUGCAGGUAGAAAUCUUGCUCAAUAAUUCUUCAAAUAUUAGUAGAACUAUGAUUUAAAUGGCGUUUAAAGCGAUAUACCCAAGAAGCAAAAUCCUCAUUUUUCACAAGCUUAGGAGGAGUACCAACAUGAUUCAUAUGUGUGGAAGGAACCGAUCCUCCAUAAGUAAGUGGAGGUUCAACAUGGGCAAAGAUGCCACUUCCACUUCUACCACUAGGCAUGGGAGCAUGCUCACUACUAGCUUCCCCCUUUUUGGAGUUAGCAUACGUCACCUUGUUAGCGGGAUCAACCACUUCCAAAGGUCCGGUGGAUAAUUUAAGCUCAUCAAGAAACUCCUUAAACAUGCCUUUAAUCUCGGCCAUCAUGGAGGUUUCAAUGUGUCCAUAGCCACAUUGAACUCCUCACGAGAGACCAAGGAUCCCGCAUCGCCCGCGGACAAAGUGGGAUUUGCACCGGGGUGACCCUCCACCUCAUCCGUGGUGUCAAUCAUACUCUUCGGACGGCAAAGUCCUUAAUAAAGAGACGAGGCUCUGAUACCAAUUGAAAGGAUCGAUAUGGUUGACUAGAGGGGGGUGAAUAGGCAACUAACUAUUUUUAGCUUUUCUUGACCAAAUUAAACUUAGCAUCAAAGUAGGUUGUCUAGAUGUGCAACUAGGUGAACAACCUAUAUGAUGCAACAACAACAAGUACACAAUAAAGCAAUGGAUACAACACAAUAUAAGCUUGCACAAGUAAAGGUAAGAGGUAACCAAGAGUGGAUCCGGUGGAGACGAGGAUGUGUUACCGAAGUUCCUUCCCUUGAGAGGAAGUACGUCUCCGUUGGAGCGGUGUGGAGGCACAAUGCUCCCCAAGAAGCCACCAGGGCCACCGUGUUCUCCUCACGCCCUCACACAAUGUGAGAUGUCGUGAUUCCACUAUUGGUGCCCUUGAAGGCGGCGACCGAACCUUUACAAACAAGGUUGGGGCUCUCUCCACAACCGAAUUGGAGGCUCCCAACGAAACCAUGAAGCUUCACCACAAUGGAAUAUGGCUCCGAGGUGACCUCAACCGUCUAGGGUGCUCAAACACCCAAGAGUAACAAGAUCCGCAAGGGAUUGGUGGGGGGAAUCAAAUUUGAACCUUCUCAACAAAUCCCUAGAAAAUCAACAAGUUUGUGGUUGGCUAGGGAGAGAGAUUGAGCAAGAAUGAGCUUUUGAAUGGCAAUGGAGCUUUGGGGGGAAGAGGUCAAUCUAGGAAGAAGAAGACCCCUCCUUUAUAUAAGGGAGGAAAAAUCCAACCAUUUUCUGCCCAGGCCCGCAGCUAAGCGGUACUACUCCGCACAGGUCUAAAAAUACACAAAGUAUAUUGAUGGUAGUGCCGCAGGAGCGAUACUACUGCUGACCCAGGCGGUAGUACCGCCUGGGUUUAGAUCUGGGAAGGCAGCGGUGGUAGAGGGUGCUGGGGGGCGGCAGUACCAUGUGAAGCGGUACUACCAUUCUAGUGCCGCUCUACAACUGCUUGGGGCAAAGUGGGUACCGAACCUUGCACAUGAAAACCCCGCAAGCGGUAGUGGAGACGGUAGUACAUGCGGUAGUACCACUCGAGCGGUACUACCGCGCUACUACCGCGCUACUACCACUCAACUACCGUUAAAAACAGACCGACAACAGAAUGUUGCACGCUCGGGGAAACCCUAAGCGGUAGUGCCACGGAAGUACCCAGCGGUACUACCGUGGGCACUAGCGGUACUAUCGCUGGCAAGAUGCAGAUAACACCAUAGAAAAUAUUGGAAAAGCUCCAGAGAAGGGAAAGGAGUUUGUGGGUGCAUAUGGGGUUGUGUACAUGUUGAUUCACCCAUACCUUUCCGAAACUAACCCCCUCUUAAUAGUAUGGAUUUCCUACGACUCAAAUCCACGGAAAAGAAACGUAGAGAACCGCCGUCUUCGAUAGGCUCUGAGGGACAUCGAAUCAUCAAGUGCCUAGACAUGAGAUAUCUGAAAUGCUCAAUCACACGAUUGGUCCGCAAGAGCAUUGUCAUCAAUCACCAAAACCACUUAGGGAGACAUAUGCCCUUACAUCCUCUUGUGUCCCUUAAGUUCUUCUCUGUUUUUGAUCAUGAAAUUCAGGAAAAGCAAGUUAACUUACCUCAGUUCAAGUCAGUGAGCAAUAGCAGCCCAGAUCUCCUGACACGUUGCAGAAGCAAUAGAACAGAGGCACACUGCAUCUGACGUGUGACAAAGCGAGUUGGAGUCACUUUUUCUACAUGAAUUAAGUUACACAUUAGAAAUAAUUUCAACUUUCUAGGUUUUUCAUAUUUGAUUUGCUACUUUUAGGUUUUAAAUGCAAUUUUGGCAUUUUCAUCCAAAAAUUAGGAAUGAACCAAUAUGGUUGAAAAAACGCAAAAGUUUGCAUGGGCUCAUAUUAUGGGAUUAGGAGAUAGGUGAAAAAUUCUCACGAGAUUUGACAAUUUUUUAUUAUACUUUUCUUUACCAUGGAUGGAUCUUCUACGAUGUUGAUUAUAUAUUCAAGACACAUGUAUGCAUUGUUGAGUUUAUUGUUUUUGUCAUGAUGCAUAUGGGAUGAAUGGGACCAAUACAUACCUUAAUGCUAUGAUUGAGUUUACUUUAAUGAACGUGUUAGUUUUUGCAGAUGCUUGCUAGUAGUUCUAAUCAUAAGCACGUAUGCUUCCAGGUACGAACCGUAUGUUAGCAGAGGCCUCUCCCACAUAUCAAACUGCAAUGAGCACGAUCAGUCUAGUAAUUUAGCCAAUUGCCUAGGAACAAUUUCCCAUAUCCUAUCACCGCUUUUUCACCCUCGCUAUCUUUGUUUUAUUGUACUUUUACUCAAACAACACUGACCUUUAUUUUCUAGUUAUCCGUUACCUUGCAAAGCUAUCCUUUUAUACCUAGAAAGUAGUUAUAGUUCAUUUCCUAGGUGAAGCAAAGGUUUAGUGUACGUGGGGUUGUACCAGUGUCAGAUAGGACCUGACAGAAUAUUAACCUACCUUUAGCUCCUUGUCAAUUCCACACUCCAUACUAAUCACAUCCACCUUUGGAAAUUGCUAAGGCAAUUCCUUGUACUUGGGGAAUAUCAAGCUCUUUUCUGGCGCUGUUGCUGAGGAGCAAUAUCAUAUGGUGGAUAUCUUGUGUGCGCUUGUUGGCUUUAUCACUAAAUAGUUUUUUUUUUCAUUUCUUAGUUGUUUUCCACCUAUAGUUAUGGAUUGGUGACACAAGUUAGUAUAAAAAUAGUUGUACCUGUUACUCUCAAGGUUGUGGAACCCUCCAAAAUCCUCACCUCUGAAAAUCACAUGGGUUAUCUUCAACCCAUGAAUCCUUGUGUUGGAACCUCAACAUACUUGAUAAGGGGAAAACAUUGGAUCAAUGCAAAUACUUUCUACAAUACCGCUUGUACUAAAAUGGGAAACACUUGUGGGAUCUUAUAAAUAUCUUGAAUUACUUUGCUAGAAAUUUGUGUAAUCAAUGCAAUACAACUUGUUGCUUUAGGAAGAAUAAAUACUAGACACCUCCCAUUCCAAUGUUAGUACAAUGAUAAUGACAAUGACACAUUAGCUCCUCAUGCCAAUGGUUAUCAAAAUAUACUACUCCCACCGUCCCAAAAUAAGUGUAUCAAUGUUGGUACAACUUUGUACUAAAGUUAGUACAAAGUUGAGACACUUAUUUUGGGACAGAGUGAGUAUUUGAUAGUACUAAAUCUUCUUACGAGUGCUGCUAAACCCUAAUGAUCCAUCAUUGUUGUGAGAUGGUGAAUGUUCUCUGCAAAGGCUCGCAUUUAAGAGGAAUAUUGUAAAACAUAAACAAUGAUAAAAUAUACUCAAGGAUAUUUAUUAUAUGAGUUUUUAACCACCGAUUUGCUUAAUACCGUUAUUCAUCAUGAGUUCUUCAAAAGUCACACUUUUUCGAUAUAAUUCAUACCAUAUCUUUAAGUCCACAUGUGAACUCAUGUUUUCUCGACCUUUUCUUCUACUAGACCAACUUAGGUUCCUAUGUCUUCGACUUUUCUUUUUCAUCCUACUGCCAUGUAGAGGCUAGAUGGAUAUCGACGAUUUGUACAUAUGUUUUUUCCCUUCUUGGAAUCUUUACAUAUACACAAUUGCACAAUUAUGUGUCUAAAAUUCAAAGUGUGUGGGUGACAGUGGAAGGGGGAUUUUGAUCAGAUGAGCCAUCAACAUAGGUGGUAAGACUGGAUUGGGGAGACAGAGGUGAUGAGUGGAAGAUAGGCAUAGUUGACAUGAACCAAAAAAAAAAUGAAGCCGGAUCCUCUAACUUGCAAGAGGCAAGCCAGAGAGCUACCGCGCGUCUUUACAUAGAACGGAGAAGAGGAAUCAGAAAGAUUGCACCGUUCUACAAAUCAUUGUAGAUGUAUUACUGUUCACGAAUCACUGUUUGUGAUUACUAUUAGUAAAUCACUUGUUAAAUCAUAAUUUUCGAAAGGCCAGCAAAGGGAAGUUAGGGUGCUGUACUAUCCUCUGACUUCCCUCCUAAAGUUAGAAGAUCUCAAUCCAGAAUAUGUAUGCCACUUAAUACCAAUUAGCAAUUUUAUAUACGACCAAACAACAAAAUCAGAACCGAAGCCCAUUUCAACACAUAGGCUGAUCUCAGCUCUCUGAUUGGUUCAUCUGGACCUCCCACGGAUCGCUCCCCCUGCCCUCCACGCUCCCCUCAGAUCCAACGGUGGGCGCAGCACGUCACGCGGAUCGCUCCCCCCUCCCGCGAAGCUCCCCGCCUCCAAUAAAAUCCGCGCCCCCGCCGCCGUCCAAACCCACAAACUCAGAGCACUCCGAUCCACCACCGCCGCCGCACAGACCACAACAUCUCGAGUAGUUUCCAGCUCGCCGGAAAGCAGCAAGCAAGAUGGCCGGCAGGAAGGGCGGCGACAGGAAGAAGGCGGUGACCCGCUCCGUGAAGGCCGGGCUCCAGUUCCCCGUCGGCCGCAUCGGGCGCUACCUCAAGAAGGGCCGCUACGCCCAGCGCGUCGGCUCCGGCGCCCCCGUCUACCUCGCCGCCGUCCUCGAGUACCUCGCCGCCGAGGUAUGCGCCGAUCUCUCCACUCCUCGAGCCUCUGUUACUCUGUUCUUGCCCUGUUCGACGGAUGGCUGACCGAUCUGGUUCCUGGUUGAAUUCUCAGGUGCUGGAGCUCGCCGGCAACGCGGCCAAGGAUAACAAGAAGACCCGCAUCAUCCCGCGCCACCUGCUGCUCGCCGUCCGCAACGACCAGGAGCUCGGCAGGCUGCUCGCCGGCGUGACCAUCGCCCACGGCGGCGUGAUCCCCAACAUCAACUCCGUGCUGCUCCCCAAGAAGUCCCCCGCCGCCGCCGAGAAGGAGGCCAAGUCGCCCAAGAAGAAGAGCACCACCAAGUCCCCAAAGAAGAAGGUCGCCGCCAAGGAGUAGCCGUCCCCAUAGCCUAGCCAGUGUUGCUUAGAUCCAAUUCUCAUGGACUAAGAUGAGAUCCUGUAUGUAAUGCCUGGUAGUCUGUAGUUCCCGUCAGAUUCGUCGAGCAAGUAUGACAUUGUAUCUGUGAUUUCUGUGACAAUGUCGAAAGAUGCAAUCAUUUCAAUCUUGUACUGCGAAAUUCUCUCUUCCAGCAUCCGAAAUUUUCCGUUGAUCUGUCUGAAUCUAUGAAGAACUAGCUCUCCCUGCAUCGCAGCUUAUAAAUUGAUGAUGGUGCUAAUUGAAUUGGAUAAGCAAGAUGCAUCAGAAGUCCUGCAGUCAAACAUUUCAAAUUAGAUCUUGACCAUGCCGAAGCAUUUUGCAGGCAACGUAACCUCUGUAGUUGAGCUGGUUACUGCUCUCUUUGACAAACCACAGACUACAUGCGAUCUGAAGUUCGGAUAGUUUGAUGUAGGUUACAAACCACAGACCUGAGAACGUUUUGGCUGCUAGAUGCAAACUAAAAUAACUAGCUCCAACAUAAAAAAUAUUGAGAAAUUUAGAGUAAGCAAGUAGAACAAGAUUCACCGGAAUGCCUUCAAAGAGUAAAGUAGAAAAAUGUUCUUCACCGGAGUGCACAAGAUUCCUGGGUAAAUAAGCAAGUUGAUGUUGCAUGGUGGGAAAAAUAAUAAGCAAGAAUUUCAGUAAAGCUGAUGAAUGAAAAAAAAAUGUUAAAUGUAGAGUGGGUAUACCGUAUACAUUUUUUUUUAUCAAGGAAUGAGUUUUUUUUAGCCACUGCACUACCUGCGACUUCAUGUCUAAGAAGGUAUCCGAGUUUAUAUGAACUAUCAGCCGCGAUACAUUUCAACUUAUUUUGAAAUUUCAACCGUGAUUUUUUUUAAGUUUUAAAUAUUUGCUGCAAUACUACAUUUUUGGAGGAAAGAGGAACAACAUUGAAUAAUUCAAUAUUGUUUGAAUUUACAAACAUUUUUAGAAACGUGAACAUUUUUUGACAAACAUGAAAAGACUUGAAAACAUGGCAUUUUUUUAAAAUAACAAACACUGUUUCCAAAUCAUGAACAUUAUUGUAUUUGCGAACGAAUUUUGAAAACAUGAUUUUAUUUAAUUUGUGAACAAAUUUGGAAAGCUGAAACAUUAUUUGAAAUUCCUAAACAUUGUUUAGAUUUCAGAACAAAAAAUAAAAGUGUGAACUUUUUUAAAAUUACUAGACCUUUUUUUGAAUUUCAGAACAAAAUUUUAAAACAUGAACAAAAUUUGAAACCGGGAACAUUUUUUAAGUUCGCGAUCAUUUUUUGAGUUUACAAGCAAAAUUUCAAAACAUUAACAUCUUUAAAAUUUGUGCAGAAAUAUUUGCAAAUGGGAACAUAUUUUGAAUUUCGCAAAAUUACUGGAAUUUGUGAAUAAAUUUAAAAUGCAAACAUUUUAAAAUUUCUGAACAUUUGUUAAAAAGGAAAUAAAAUAAAGGGAAACGAAAGGGGGAAAGAAAAAAGGAAAAUGAAAAAAAUAGGGAAAAAACCUUCUGGGAGGUUCCGAAAAUAGAUAAAACCAGAGAUGAACAUUCUUGAAGGUUCCUAAAACCGAAAGUAACAAAUCACAUAACUAGGUCGGUCAAGUGCACUAGAUCCCGCUCGAUUCCCGUGCGUUUGCUCGUCAUUAUGAAUUUCAGAAAUACCACGACCGUCCAAUAGGGGUUUCCCUCUAGUUUAUCCCUCAUAUUUUGGCUGGUGAAUUUUUCUCCAAUUUGCUUCCCCGUUCAAAUUUUAAAUUUGUUUGGAAAAACAGGUGUGUGGUAUUUCUGAAAUUCGGGGGAUGAUUGUUUAGAUAUUUUCUGCUUUAGAAAAAUAAGCUAGGGAAAACAGUUCAGGUGUUUCAUUCUAGCUAAAGAGUUAAGGGGGGAUCUAAAGACGUUUUAAUCUUCCAGCAUAGACAGACAGGCACGUUGACGCGUGAUGUAGACAUGUUCCAAUAAAAUACUUUUGUGAAUCGGCAUGAGCAGUGAUUCUGGUUCAAUUGUGGUAUGAUCGAAUGCGCUCAUACCACUACUCAUCUUCUGUUUUGUCAAAUCUAUAGCUUGUGGCCGACCAUCGGUACAAGUGGACAAGCUUGCAGACGCGCUCAUAUGAGUGCCCGUCCAUCCUUGUGAUAACUUGCUAUGGUGCAACCGAGGGCUUUUGUAUCAGGGAAACGUUUGGGAACAGCGCAUCGGUCGAGCGUUCGGCCGGUCCACGCACGCGCCACGUGGUCAAAGGGGCCCACACGCAUACAUCCCUCCUAUCCUUCUCUUUUUUUUCUUCUUUACCGCUCAUCUCCCUCGCUCCUUCUCUGCUUCCUUCUCAGGCCCUGCCGCCAUGGUUUACCAUCACUGCCUGCAGGCCUCCCAGGGUGCCGCGACCACGGGAAUCAGCCGAUCUGGCGGCCCUCGGCCAGAUCUGCUUGGAUCCGCCCCACCGGAGCUCUGCCUCGCCGAACCCGGCCACGCCGGAGCUGCAACCGACCACGCCGGAGCCGCAACCGUUGAACCUUUUUCCAUAGCCGCUUGUAGCUCUCAUCAACGCUCGUUGCAGCUUUCGCCGUCGCCCCAUAGCUCUCACCAAUACUCGUUUUUUGAAAGCUUCAUGGUGGAAGCUUUUUUCCAUACCGAUUGAAGCUUUUUUCCACAUCGGAUGAAGCUUUUCUGUCAUGGCUGAAGCUUUUUCCUAUUCAGAUCGAAACAUUUUUUCACACCGGUUGAAUCUUUUCUUGAUGCCGCUUGAAGCUUUUUCCCACACCGGAUGAAGCUUUUCUGCCAUGGCUGAAGCUUUUUCCCAUUCAGAUCGAAACAUUUUUUUCACACCGGUUGAAUCUUUUCUUGAUGCCGCUUGAAUCUUUUCUUGAUGCCGCUUGAAGCUUUUUUCCAUGCUUUGAAGCUUUUCUGCCAUGGCUGAAGCUUUUUCCCAUUCCGAUCGAAACAUUUUUUCACAUUGGUUGAAUCUUUUCUUGAUGCCGCUUGAAGCUUUAUUCCAUGUUUGAAGCUUUUUCUUCGACGCCGGUUGUAGCUUUUUUCAUGGUUGAAGCUUUCUCUAAAUCUGUUGUAGCAGGGGGGUUGUAGCAGGGGGUUGGGUGCUCGUCGGUCGCACGCCAGGACUGGACGGUUCCAGCAUCCCCGGACGCAGCCGGGUCGCACGGCUUCGGGAGCUUGAGGACCAUAGCAUGGCCUGUCAUAGGAGCCAUGGCAGGUCUGCGAUGGCGGCGAGCCUGCGUGUGCGGCAGCGCUCUCAUCUCCGGCGAGGGGAAUACACCGAGGGUCGCUGGCGCACGCCGCAACUUUUGUUCCCCCGACGCCCGGCUAUUGCUCCCUUUUUUUCCGAUUGAUGAUGCGGGAGAAGAAGGCAGACAUGAGGAAGAAGAAGGGGAUGAUNNNNNNNNNNNNNNNNNNNNNNNNNNNNNNNNNNNNNNNNNNNNNNNNNNNNNNNNNNNNNNNNNNNNNNNNNNNNNNNNNNNNNNNNNNNNNNNNNNNNNNNNNNNNNNNNNNNNNNNNNNNNNNNNNNNNNNNNNNNNNNNNNNNNNNNNNNNNNNNNNNNNNNNNNNNNNNNNNNNNNNNNNNNNNNNNNNNNNNNNNNNNNNNNNNNNNNNNNNNNNNNNNUUGAAUCGUGCGGCCCGAGGCGCACGCAUCAUGGGGCUGCGAUGCGACCGGCCCAAAUUUGGGCCGAUGAGCCGACGCCUAGCAGUGGCCUUUGUAUCACCGGUCAACCAAUGGUGUUACGGCCACGGGGUACCUCACCAUGUCGGUUACAGGUCCAGGUAGGAUGGCCCGAGGGCCCCUAGGCUGAUUCCACCUGGGCCAUCAUGUCAGCCCAUUGGCCCUCCAGGAGAAAGAAUUUGGAGGCCUUUUCAUUCAAGACAAAGAAGUCGGAUCCUUGGAGGACUCCUCUCCACCGACAUAGUCAACUAGGACUGUUAUAGCCCUAGGGGCCGUGUUAUCUUAAAUAAGCCAGGUUUGGGCUAGUCGACAAAACAUCUUAGGCAUUACAAUCCUUCGGUAUUACAUGUACUUUUUACACCAUAAUCAAAAUAUACACGUAGCAGGAGUAGGGGUUUACCUCCAUCGCGAGGGCCUGAACCUUGGUGAACUCGGUUCUUGUUUUCCCUCUAACCUAAUCACCACGCUGGGAUACCCUACCGAGGAAUCUGCCAGAAUCAUCUCCCACACCAUAUAAGGAACACAUCAACCGCAAAACAACACCACAUCAACACUAAUACUAUAGUGCCAUUAGAGGGACCAACUUACUGCUACUAAUCAAGCUACAAUGAGGAGUACACAUCCCAUAAGAAGCAGGACUAAGAACCCAAACAACGGAUGGGAACUUGGUGCUCUCGGGUUCUGGCGCACCCUAUAUGCGCCAAAAAAUUUAGUAAUCCAAAAAAAAAAUCAAAAAAUUAUAAAUCUUUUUUGAAAUCAAACAUGAUUAGGUAUUCUACUCGUAUAAAAAGUGUGGACAAGAAAUUAUUCGUUUUGACUUCGGGGCAAAAAAGAGAAGUCUAUGACGACAUUAUAGCGUGUAUAGUACUUGUAUAUAGUGUUUUUUGCCGAAUCUUCGACUCAGAAUACAACAAAAGUCUUUCGCUGACGAAUCUUUUUAUACGACUAUAAUAUUUGAUCAUGUUUGAUACCAAAGAAGUUUCGGGACUUUUUGAACUUUUUUUGAAUUACUAUUUUUUUUGCAUAUAGGGUGCGCGGGUACCCAUGUUCUCCUUUGUAUUUUCCCCCAAACAACAAGCUACCUAAACCAUAAGGUAGGAGAUAAGGAUACUCUCAGGUAGCAUAGAGGUGGAUGGUUGCUCCAGAUCCAGGCAGAGGCACGACGGCGCGGUCCAGUUCCCGAUGUGCCAAGCGAGCAUUUGCAUGCGAGACUGGGCGCGAUGAGAAGGUGCACGUGGUCCAGAUCCGCACUAUGCGCGAUGAGCUGGGGUAGGCCGGUGCAGUAGGGAGUGAACAGAAGGUAUUUGCGGCCCAGAUCCGCGUGGUGCGCGCUCCUAGUGGCGUCUUGUCGCGCGUGCGAACGUUGCGGCGCGAUGGAGGAGCCGGACGGGGAUGCUAAGUGAGUGGUGCGAUGCGUAGUGGCUUGUUAGGGGGCUGACAGAGUCGUGGGGCUUGGAGGGUGAGGUUGCCGGCGAAAGUUGUACCCCGACGAAUGCACCUUCGAUCGUCAUUUCCUUGUUGGAGGUGUCAAGGUGGCAGUCCUUACUUUCCCUUCUGACAAGCUCCGGGAGAAAACCUAGAUCUGGUUUACCGAAUUGGGCUAUGGCAAUGUUGUUAGCUUUGCUUGGUGUUGCGCGCAUUCCCUCUUGAGGGCAUCAUUUUGGAGGUGCCGGUCGGAGGGACUCAUGGCUUGGGGAGUUGGCCGGUGAUGACUAGCGUGGUUUCGUGUUGGGGAACGUUGCAGAAAAUUAAAAUUUUUCCUACGGUUUCACCAAGAUCCAUCUAUGAGUUCAUCUAAGCAACGAGUCUAGGGAGAGAGUUUGCAUCUACAUACCACUUGUAGAUCGCGUGCGGAAGCUUGCAAGGUGAUGAUGUAGUCGUACUCGACGUGAUCCAAAUCACCGAUGACCUGCGCCGAACGGACGGCACCUCCGCGUUCAACACACGUACGGAACAGCCACGUCUCCUCCUUCUUGAUCCAGCAAGGAAGGGAGGAGAGGUUGAGGGAGAUGGCACCAGCAGCAGCACGACGGCGUGGUGUUGAUGGAGCUGCAGUACUCCGGCAGAGCUUCGCUAAGCACUAUGGAGGUGGAGGAGGUGUUGGGGAGGGAGAAGGAGGCAACCAAAGGCCAGGGCGUUCAGGUAUGAAGUCCCUCCUCUCCCCCACUAUAUAUAGGGGUGCCAAGGGGGGGUGGCCGGCCCUAGGAGAUCCAAUCUCCUAGGGGGUGCGGCGGCCAAGGGGGGUUUUCCCUCCCCCCAAGGCACCUAGGAGGUGCCUUACCCUCCUAGGACUCUUGCCCCCUUGAACCCUAGGCGCAUGGGCCUAUGUGGGGCUGGUGCCCUUGGCCCAUUAGGCCAAGGCGCACCCCCUUACAGCCCAUGUGGCCCCCCGGGACAGGUGGACCCACCCGGUGGACCCCCGGGACCCUUCCGGUGGUCCCGGUACAAUACCGAUAACCCCAAAACUUGUCCCGAUGCCCGAAACAGGACUUCCCAUAUAUAAAUCUUUACCUCCGGACCAUUUCGGAACUCCUCGUGACGUCCGGGAUCUCAUCCGGGACUCCGAACAACAUUCGGGUUACUGCAUAUACAUAUCCCUAUAACCCUAGCGUAACUGAACCUUAAGUGUGUAGACCCUACGGGUUCGGGAGACAUGCAGACAUGACCGAGACUCUCUCAGUCAAUAACCAUCAGCGGGAUAUGGAUACCCAUGAUGGCUCCCACAUGCUCCUCGAUGUUGUCAUCGGAUGAACCACUAUGUCGAGGAUUCGAUCAAACCCUGUAUGCAAUUCCCUUUGUCAAUCGGUACGUUACUUGCCCGAGACUCGAUCGUCGGUAUCCCAAUACCUUGUUCAGUCUCGUUACCGGCAAGUCACUUUACUCGUACCGUAAUGCAUGAUCCCGUGUCCAACACCUUGGUCACAUUGAGCUCAUACGGAGUGACAAAUCGCAGUCUCGAUCCGUGUCAACCCAACAGCUACUUUCAGAGAUACCUGUAAUGUACCUUUAUAGUCACCCAGUUACGUUGUGACGUUUGGUACACCCAAGGCACUCUUACGGUAUCCGGGAGUUACACGAUCUCAUGGUCGAAGGAAGAGAUACUUGACACUUGCAAAGCUCUAGCAAAACGAACUACACGAUCUUUUAUGCUAUGCUUAGGAUUGGGUCUUGUCCAUCACAUCAUUCUCCUAAUGAUGUGAUCUCGUUAUCAACGACAUCCAAUGUCCAUAGUCAGGAAACCAUGACUAUCUGUUGAUCACAACAAGCUGGUCAACUAGAGGCUUACCAGGGACAUUGUGUGGUCUAAGUAUUCACACGUGUAUUACGAUUUCCGGAUAAUACAGUUAUAGCAUGAAUAAAAGACAAUUAUCAUGAACAAUGAAAUAUAAUAAUACUUUUACUAUUGCCUCUAGGGCAUAUUUCCAACAGUCUCCCACUUGCACUAGAGUCACUAAUCUAGUUACAUUGUGAUGAAUCAAACACCCAUAGAGUUCUGGUGUUGAUCAUGUUUUGCACGCGAGAGAGGUUUAGUCAGCGGAUCUGCGACAUUCAGAUCCGUGUGCACUUUGCAAAUCUCUAUGUCUCCAUCUUGAACAUUUUCACGGAUGGAGUUGAAACGACGCUUGAUGUGCCUGGUCUUCUUGUGAAACCUGGGCUCCUUUGCGAGGGCAAUAGCUCCAGUGUUGUCAUAGAAGAGUUUGAUCGGCCCCGACGCAUUGGGUAUGACUCCUAGGUCGGUGAUGAACUCCUUCACCCAAAUCGCUUCAUGUGCUGCCUCCGAGGCUGCCAUGUACUCCGCUUCACACGUAGAUCCCGCCACGACGCUCUGCUUGCAGCUGCACCAGCUUACUGCUCCACCAUUCAACAUAUACACGUAUCCGGUUUGUGACUUAGAGUCAUCCAGAUCUGAGUCGAAGCUAGCGUCGACGUAACCCUUUACGACGAGCUCUUCGUCUCCUCCAUAAACGAGAAACAUGUCCUUUGUCCUUUUCAGGUACUUCAGGAUAUUCUUGACCGCUGUCCAGUGUUCCUUGCCGGGAUUACUUUGGUAUCUUGCUACCAAACUUACGGCAAGGUUUACAUCGGGUCUGGUACACAGCAUGGCAUACAUAAUGGAUCCUAUGGCUGAAGCAUAGGGGAUGACACUCAUCUCUUCUUUAUCUUUUGCCGUGGUCGGUGACUGAGCUGAGCUCAGUCUCAUACCUUGUAACAUAGGCAAGAACCCCUUCUUGGACUGAUCCAUUCUGAAUCUCUUCAAAAUCUUAUCAAGGUAUGUGCUUUGUGAAAGACCUAUGAGGCGUCUCGAUCUAUCUCUAUAGAUCUUGAUGCCUAAUAUAUAAGCAGCUUCUCCAAGGUCCUUCAUUGAAAAACACUUAUUCAAGUAGGCCUUAAUGCUGUCCAGAAAUUCUAUAUUAUUUCCCAUCAGGAGUAUGUCAUCUACAUAUAAUAUGAGAAAUGCUACAGAGCUCCCACUCACUUUCUUGUAAACGCAGGCUUCUCCAUAAGUCUGCAUAAACCCAAACGCUUUGAUCAUCUCAUCAAAGCGAAUGUUCCAACUCCGAGAUGCUUGCACCAGUACAUAAAUGGAUCGCUGGAGCUUGCAUACUUUGUUAGCGUUCUGAGGAUCGACAAAACCUUCCAGCUGCAUCAUAUACAGUUCUUCCUUAAGAUGCCCGUUAAGGAAUGCUGUUUUGACGUCCAUCUGCCAUAUCUCAUAAUCAUAGUAUGCGGCAAUUGCUAACAUGAUUCGGACGGACUUUAGCUUCGCUACGGGAGAGAAUGUCUCGUUGUAGUCAAUCCCUUGAACCUGUCGAUAACCCUUAGCGACAAGUCGAGCUUUAUAGAUGGUAACAUUACCAUCCGCGUCCGUCUUCUUCUUAAAGAUCCAUUUGUUUUCUAUCGCUCGCCGAUCAUCGGGCAAGUCUGUCAAAGUCCAUACUUUGUUUUCAUACAUGGAUUCUAUCUCGGAUUUCAUGGCUUCAAGCCAUUUGUUGGAAUCCGGGCCCGUCAUUGCUUCUUCAUAGUUCGAAGGUUCAUUGUUGUCUAACAACAUGAUUUCCAGGACAGGGUUGCCGUACCACUCUGGUGCGGAACGUGUCCUUGUGGACCUACGAAGUUCAGCAGUAACUUGAUCUGAAGUACCUUGAUCAUUAUCAUGGUUUUCCUCUUCAGUUGGUGUGGGCAUCACAGGAACGGUUUCCUGUGCUGCGGCACUAUCCCGCUCAAGAGGUAGUACUUCAUCGAGUUCUACUUUCCUCCCACUUACUUCUUUCGAGAGAAACUCUUUUUCCAGAAAGCAUCCGUUCUUGGCAACAAAGAUCUUGCCUUCGGAUCUUAAGUAGAAGGUAUACCCUAUAGUUUCCUUAGGGUAUCCUAUGAAUACGCAUUUUUCCGACUUGGGUUCGAGCUUUUCAGGUUGAAGUUUCUUGACAUAAGCUUCGUAUCCCCAAACUUUUAGAAACGACAGCUUAGGUUUCUUUCCAAACCAUAAUUCAUACGGUGUCGUCUCAACGAAUUUAGACGGUGCCCUAUUUAAAGUGAAUGUAGCUGUCUCUAGAGCGUAUCCCCAAAAUGAUAGCGGUAAAUUGGUAAGAGACAUCAUAGACCGCACCAUAUCCAAUAGAGUGCGAUUACGACGUUCGGACACACCGUUUCGCUGAGGUGUUCCAGGCGGCGUGAGCUGUGAAACGAUUCCACAUUUCUUUAAGUGUGUACCAAAUUCGUGACUUAAGUAUUCUCCUCCACGAUCUGAUCGUAAGAAUUUUAUCUUUCGGUCACGUUGAUUCUCCACCUCAUUCUGAAAUUCCUUGAACUUUUCAAAGGUCUCAGACUUGUGUUUCAUUAAGUAGACAUACCCAUAUCUACUCAAGUCAUCUGUGAGAGUGAGAACAUAACAAUAUCCUCCGCGAGCCUCAACGCUCAUUGGACCGCACACAUCGGUAUGUAUGAUUUCCAACAAGUUGGUUGCUCGCUCCAUUGUUCCGGAGAACGGAGUCUUGGUCAUUUUGCCCAAGAGGCAUGGUUCGCACGUGUCAAACGAUUCAUAAUCAAGAGACUCUAAAAGUCCAUCGGCAUGGAGCUUCUUCAUGCGCUUGACACCAAUGUGACCAAGGCGGCAGUGCCACAAGUAUGUGGGACUAUCGUUAUCAACUUUAAAUCUUUUGGCAUCUACACUAUGAACAUGUGCAAUAUUACGCUCGAGAUUCAUUAAGAAUAAACCAUUGACCAUCGGAGCAUGACCAUAAAACAUAUCUCUCAUAUAAAUCGAACAACCAUUAUUCUCAGACUUAAAUGAGUAGCCAUCUCGUAUUAAACGAGAUCCAGAUACAAUGUUCAUGCUCAAACUUGGCACUAAAUAACAAUUAUUAAGGUUCAAAACUAAUCCCGUAGGUAGAUGUAGAGGCAGCGUGCCGACGGCGAUCACAUCGACUCUGGAACCAUUCCCGACGCGCAUCGUCACCUCGUCCUUCGCCAGUCUCCGUUUAUUCCGCAGCUCCUGCUGUGAGUUACAAAUAUGAGCAACGGCACCGGUAUCAAAUACCCAGGAGUUACUACGAGUACUGGUAAGGUACACAUCAAUCACAUGUAUAUCAAAUAUACCUUUGGUGUUGCCGGCCUUCUUAUCCGCUAAGUAUUUGGGGCAGUUCCGCUUCCAGUGACCCUUCCCCUUGCAAUAAAAGCACUCAGUCUCAGGCUUGGGUCCAUUCUUUGACUUCUUCCCGGUAACUGGCUUACCAGGCUCGGCAACAUCUUUGCCGUCCUUCUUGAAGUUCUUCUUACCCUUGCCCUUCUUGAACUUAGUGGUCUUAUUGACCAUCAACACUUGAUGUUCUUUCUUGAUUUCAGCCUCUGCUGACUUCAGCAUCGAGAACACUUCAGGAAUGGUCUUUUCCAUUCCCUGCAUGUUGUAGUUCAUCACAAAGCUCUUGUAGCUUGGUGGGAGCGACUGGAGGAUUCUGUCAAUGACCGCCUCAUCUGGGAGGUUAAUGUUCAGCUGGGUCAUACGGUUGUGCAACCCAGACAUCUUCAGGAUGUGCUCACUGACAGAACUGUUUUCCUCCAUCUUACAACUGUAGAACUUGUUGGAGACAUCAUAUCUCUCGACCCGGGCAUGAGCUUGAAAAACUAGUUUCAGCUCUUCGAACAUCUCAUAUGCUCCGUGAUGCUCAAAACGCUUUUGGAGCCCCGGGUUCUAAGCUGUAAAGCAUGCCGCACUGAACGAGGGAGUAAUCAUCAGCGCGAGACUGCCAAGCAUUCAUAAUGUCUUGGUUCUCUGGGACGGGAGCGUCACCUAGCGGUCCUUCUAGGACAUAUUGUUUCCUGGCAGCUAUGAGGAUGAUCCUCAGGUUCCGGACCCAGUCCGUAUAGUUGCUGCCAUCAUCUUUCAGCUUGGUUUUCUCUAGGAACGCGUUGAAGUUCAUGUUGACAUUAGCGUUGGCCAUUGAUCUACAAGACAUAUUUGCAAAGGUUUUAGACUAAGUUCAUGAUAAUAAAGUUCUAAUCAAAUUAUGAACUCCCACUUAGAUUAGACAUCCCUUUAGUCAUCUAAGUGUUACACGAUCCGAGUCGAGUAGCCCGUGUCCGAUCAUCACGUGAGACGGACUAGUCAUCGUCGGUGAACAUUUUCAUGUUGAUCGUAUCUUCUAUACGAUUCGUGUUCGACCUUUCGGUCUCCGUGUUCCGAGGCCAUGUCUGCACAUGCUAGGCUUGUCAAGUUAACCCUAAGUGUUUUCGCUGUGUAAAACUGUCUUACACCCGUUGUAUGUGAACGUAAGAAUCCAUCACACCCGAUCAUCACGUGGUGCUUAGAAACGACGAACUGUAGCAACGGUGCACAGUUAGGGGAGAACACUUCUUGAAAUUUUAUAAGGGAUCAUCUUAUUUACUACCGUCGUCCUAAGUAAACAAGAUGCAUAAUACAUAAUAAACAUCACAUGCAAUUAUAUAGUUGUGACAUGAUAUGGCCAAUAUCAUAUAGCUCCAUUGAUCUUCAUCUUGGGGGCUCCAUGAUCAUCUUGUCACUGGCUUGACACCAUGAUCUCCAUCAUCAUGAUCUCCAUCAUCGUGUCUUCAUGAAGUUGUCACGCCAACGACUACUUCUACUUCUAUGACUAACGUUUAGCAAUAAAGUAAAGUAGUUUACAUGGCGUUAUUCAAUGACACGCAGGUCAUACAAAAAAAAUAAUGACAACUCCUAUGGCUCCUGCCGGUUGUCAUACUCAUCGACAUGCAAGUCGUGAAUCCUAUUACAAAGAACAUGAUCUCAUACAUCACAAUUCAUCAUUCAUCACAACUUCUGGCCAUAUCACAUCACAUGAUCAAUCGCUGCAAAAACAAGUUAGACGUCCUCUAAUUGUUGUUGCAUCUUUUACGUGGCUGCAAUUGGGUUCUAGCAAGAACGUUUUCUUACCUACGGAUCACCACAACGUGAUUUUGUCAACUUCUAUUUACCCUUCAUAAGGGCCCUGUUCAUCGAUUCCGCUCCAACUAAGGUGGGAGAGACAUACACCCGCCAGCCACCUUAUGCAACUUGUGCAUGUCAGUCGGUGGAACCGGUCUCACGUAAGAGUACGUGUAAGGUUGGUCCGGGCCGCUUCAUCCCACAAUACCAUUGAGCAAGAAAAGACUAGUAGAGGCAAGUAAGAUGACAAAAUCCACGCCCACAACAAAGUUGUGUUCUACUCGUGCAAAGAGAACUACGCAUAGACCUAGCUCAUGAUGCCACUGUUGGGGAACGUUGCAGAAAAUUAAAAUUUUUCCUACGGUUUCACCAAGAUCCAUCUAUGAGUUCAUCUAAGCAACGAGUCUAGGGAGAGAGUUUGCAUCUACAUACCACUUGUAGAUCGCGUGCGGAAGCUUGCAAGGUGAUGAUGUAGUCGUACUCGACGUGAUCCAAAUCACCGAUGACCUGCGCCGAACGGACGACACCUCCGCGUUCAACACACGUACGGAACAGCCACGUCUCCUCCUUCUUGAUCCAGCAAGGAAGGGAGGAGAGGUUGAGGGAGAUGGCACCAGCAGCAGCACGACGGCGUGGUGUUGAUGGAGCUGCAGUACUCCGGCAGAGCUUCGCUAAGCACUAUGGAGGUGGAGGAGGUGUUGGGGAGGGAGAAGGAGGCAACCAAAGGCCAGGGCGUUCAGGUAUGAAGUCCCUCCUCUCCCCCACUAUAUAUAGGGGUGCCAAGGGGGGGGGUGGCCGGCCCUAGGAGAUCCAAUCUCCUAGGGGGUGCGGCGGCCAAGGGGGGUUUUCCCUCCCCCCAAGGCACCUAGGAGGUGCCUUACCCUCCUAGGACUCUUGCCCCCUUGAACCCUAGGCGCAUGGGCCUAUGUGGGGCUGGUGCCCUUGGCCCAUUAGGCCAAGGCGCACCCCCUUACAGCCCAUGUGCCCCCCGGGACAGGUGGACCCACCCGGUGGACCCCCGGGACCCUUCCGGUGGUCCCGGUACAAUACCGAUAACCCCAAAACUUGUCCCGAUGCCCGAAACAGGACUUCCCAUAUAUAAAUCUUUACCUCCGGACCAUUCCGGAACUCCUCGUGACGUCCGGGAUCUCAUCCGGGACUCCGAACAACAUUCGGGUUACUGCAUAUACAUAUCCCUAUAACCCUAGCGUAACUGAACCUUAAGUGUGUAGACCCUACGGGUUCGGGAGACAUGCAGACAUGACCGAGACUCUCUCAGUCAAUAACCAUCAGCUGGAUCUGGAUACCCAUGAUGGCUCCCACAUGCUCCUCGAUGUUGUCAUCGGAUGAACCACUAUGUCGAGGAUUCGAUCAAACCCUGUAUGCAAUUCCCUUUGUCAAUCGGUACGUUACUUGCCCGAGACUCGAUCGUCGGUAUCCCAAUACCUUGUUCAGUCUCGUUACCGGCAAGUCACUUUACUCGUACCGUAAUGCAUGAUCCCGUGUCCAACACCUUGGUCACAUUGAGCUCAAUAUGAUGAUGCAUUACCGAGUGGGCCCAGAGAUACCUCUCCGUCAUACGGAGUGACAAAUCCCAGUCUCGAUCUGUGUCAACCCAACAGCUACUUUCAGAGAUACCUGUAAUGUACCUUUAUAGUCACCCAGUUACGUUGUGACGUUUGGUACACCCAAGGCACUCUUACGGUAUCCGGGAGUUACACGAUCUCAUGGUCGAAGGAAGAGAUACUUGACACUUGCAAAGCUCUAGCAAAACGAACUACACGAUCUUUUAUGCUAUGCUUAGGAUUGGGUCUUGUCCAUCACAUCAUUCUCCUAAUGAUGUGAUCUCGUUAUCAACGACAUCCAAUGUCCAUAGUCAGGAAACCAUGACUAUCUGUUGAUCACAACGAGCUGGUCAACUAGAGGCUUACCAGGGACAUUGUGUGGUCUAAGUAUUCACACGUGUAUUACGAUUUCCGGAUAAUACAGUUAUAGCAUGAAUAAAAGACAAUUAUCAUGAACAAUGAAAUAUAAUAAUACUUUUAUUAUUGCCUCUAGGGCAUAUUUCCAACAUUUCGCCCAUGUGGCGAACAUGGGGUCAACGAUGAUAAUUCGUCGUCGGUGGGCAGUAGGAGCAUCCUUCACAUGUGAGGUUCGUCGGGUGAGCCAUGUCAGUCAACCUCGUUCGAUUGAAGCGGCAUAUGUUCGAUUUAUGGGACAUACCAUUCCACUCUCGUGUCCUCAUGGUUCGCGGACAAUCUUGUGACAAGCCCGGACUAAUGCAACGGUUUUCUGUGUGCAGCGAAGGCGCCCGAGUCUCUGGCUAGGUGUGGUAUAGGUGUUGUCUUCCCUGACAUGUUGUAUGUAUUGUGGUGCUUCACGCCCAAUCUAGCUAGGCCUUAAGAGCAACUCUAAUGGGGCGACCCAAACGGACAUGGAUUUUGUCCGUUUGGGUUGCUCGUCCGCCUAGCAGACAUGAGGGGUCGCUCGUUCGCCUAGCGGAUAUGAGGCGGACACGAGUGGCCGGUGGAUGAACCCAACACACAAGAUGCAAAAAGCGGACAAGCUUUCCUCUCGCGCCGCCGCGCUCCUCCGCGGNNNNNNNNNNNNNNNNNNNNNNNNNNNNNNNNNNNNNNNNNNNNNNNNNNNNNNNNNNNNNNNNNNNNNNNNNNNNNNNNNNNNNNNNNNNNNNNNNNNNNNNNNNNNNNNNNNNNNNNNNNNNNNNNNNNNNNNNNNNNNNNNNNNNNNNNNNNNNNNNNNNNNNNNNNNNNNNNNNNNNNNNNNNNNNNNNNNNNNNNNNNNNNNNNNNNNNNNNNNNNNNNNNNNNNNNNNNNNNNNNNNNNNNNNNNNNNNNNNNNNNNCACCAUGGCCGACGACCCCGCCUCUGCCGCGCCCUACUGCUCCUUUGACGAAGACGAGGAGGGCACCGAUGGGGACGCCUCCAACAACGAUUCCCACUAAGCCGCUGACUAGGAUGCCCCGCUCCCGACUGCCCGACCCCUCCUCCUCCAGCGCCCGCUGCCGCUGCCUUCCCUGAACCAGCCGGUCCAGUUCCGCCGCCUCCGCCACAUCUGGCGCCCGGCCUUCAAGGGCGACGGCGAGCACCGCAGUGCCCUAUGCUGGUAGCCUCGCCGGUGAGCUAUGCGGUGGCCUGCGUCGUUGGCUUCUUCGCGGCGGGUGCGGAGGAAAUACGACGCGACGGUUGCAGACGAAGUGCGGGUCACUGAUAGGUGGGACCAGGACAGACACGAGAGGGGAGGAGCGGACGAGGGGAGUGCCCAGUUUUGUCUGUCACGUACCCAUUUUUGUCCACUUUUGCGCCCAGUUUGGGUCGGGAAGAACACUACACGGACAGUAGGCGGACACCCGCAUCCGUUUAGGUCGCCCCGUUGGGCCAAAUUUUAUGUCUGAAUGACCCAAACGAAUAAAAUGGGUCGCCCCGUUGAAGUUGCUCUAACUAAACAGAUUUUCGCACGUCUUCUCUCGAUAAAGUGAGCGGCCCUCCGGCGCAUCUUCUUGUUUUGAGCAUCUUUUCAUGCUCCCACACAGCGCGACAUGGCCGGAGCGUACGUUCGACGAGUGCAUGGGAGUCCACAGCCACAGGCCAUCGAUCCGCGCAGCUCCAGCGGGAAGUCGUCUACCUGCCGCCCCACCACGUCAUCGAUCCGCACGCAAGCGCAUCAUGUCCGUCCAUCCCAAGCAUCACUGAACGGCCGGAUCCACUCCACGGCAUCGAUCCGAGGCACCAUCCUCUCCGCCAAGGCGCCAACCACAUCCCACCUCCUUCCCGCUCCCUACAUAACCUCGCCGCCCCCAUCCGUCUCUGCACACCACAGCAUCCGCAGCCCCCCUCACACCCCACCCCACCACACGCUCGAAUCACCACCACCAGCAGCACCCAUGGCACCCAAGGCGGCGGAGAAGAAGCCGGUGGCCACGGCCGAGAAGACGACGGCGGGGAAGAAGCCCAAGGCGGAGAAGCGGGCGCCGGCGUCCAAGGAGGCCGGCGGCGAGGCGAAGCAGCGGGGCAGGAAGAAGGGCAGCAAGGCGAAGAAGAGCGUGGAGACGUACAAGAUCUACAUCUUCAAGGUGUUGAAGCAGGUGCACCCGGACGUGGGCAUCUCCUCCAAGGCCAUGUCCAUCAUGAACUCCUUCAUCAACGACAUCUUCGAGAAGCUCGCCGGGGAGUCGGCCAAGCUGGCCCGCUACAACAAGAAGCCCACCAUCACGUCCCGGGAGAUCCAGACCUCCGUCCGCCUCGUCCUCCCCGGGGAGCUCGCCAAGCACGCCGUCUCCGAGGGCACCAAGGCCGUCACCAAGUUCACCUCCUCCUAGACAACUUAGGCUUGAUCCUCGUCGCUUCAUGCGUUCUGUAUGUACGUAGUUGGCAGUAUGAUGUUACAAUCUUUGUAAGGAUUGUGUUGCUUGCUCGCGGCCUUGAAAGAAAUAGUGAUGUUGUUGUUGUUUGAAUCAAUGUUCAUUGUGCUUGCGCGUCGCUUCAGUUCAGACUCUUCUUGAUGCCAUUUGUUUAUGUCAGCAAAUUUCUGUUUAUCUAAUUUUAAUUUGCUGCCAUUUUAUCUACUGCUGUAGUUUCUAAGCCUACAGACAGAAACCUCUAAUUUUAAGUCUAAUUUUGAACCUCUAAUGAACCUCUGGACUUGUCAUCCAUAUGGCAAGAAGCCAAGAACAGCUUGCCAACUAGUGUUCCGAAAUUCAGAAUGCAUUAGAUUCAGAUUAGGUUCUUGAGAUAAAUUAGAGGCUUUUCGCAAAAAGAAGAAGAGAUAAAUUAGAUGUGGUUCACCUACGUUUUUUUAGAGUCAAGGAACAUGCCAGAUGCAACCAUCAUCUUGAGUAUUGAGACAUGUGAGUUUUUCAUCUAUUAUGUUUUUAUACUACACUAGGUAAUUUUUCUUUGUAGUACUGCCACACUAGGUAAUUUUUCUUUGUAGUACUGCUACACUAGGUAAUUUGUGAUCACGAAGCAACCAAUUUUGUGAAGGCGCAAAGUUUUUCUAAUGAUUCAUCUAUGAUCAUGAAGCGACCAAUUGAUCUGCAUUCUGCAAGUAAUUAGGUUUUUGACAGCAAUUAGACUUUAUUCCUCAGAUAAUAGAUAAAUUGUUUACAAGAGAGUGAGAAAUAAAGCCAGGGAUCAUUUGCCGACUUCCGCGAAGUCUAUUGCAAGCUGCUUUUUCAGCACUAAAGAAAAACAAAAGUCGGAACGAGAGAAAUGAUCAGAGGGGACUGAAGCUCCACAAGCAGAAAAGGUGGAGCGGGGAAAAAGAAUUGUUUGUCUCAAGGAACAACUUGCAGCUAGCGCUAAAGAUGCAGUUGAGAUACAAGAGAACCAAUACAGUUUUUUUUAUGGAAGAACCAAUACCACUUGAGGUAUACCUUAAUACAUUAGUUUUUCCAAACCAAAUCCAGUAGUACAAAACAAAUCAAUUACCUAAGAAACAACAAAGGCUCCAUGGACAUGUAGCAAAAAUAAUCUGGUACAGCAACAUAUGCCCAUGUAGAAACCGUGACGUGGAUUUUCCAUUAAUAAUAAUAAGAAUGAAUGAGAGCUUGUAAACUAAAGUGAACUUCAUAGUGGCCUUGGCCAUUUCUUACAAUGGAGCUGGUAAAUCUCGCAGACAAUGACUAUACAGAAGUAACUUUUUGGCAAAGCUUGCCACCAAAGAGAACUAGGGUCUACGGGCAUCCCCAUGGGAAUCGUUGGUACAAGUACAGAUACAGUUUGGUGUUCCUGGUCACUUUUUCAGCAAGAUCUUGCAAGAGAGUCCGCUAUUUGGACCCUUCUGGUUCAGUAUCAUGAGACCCGAACUACAAACAAAAUCCCUUUUCUCGACAAUAGAACGAUAACCCGUCACCAGGUUACUGACUUGGCUAAUUGGCAAUCCAUCCAAAACGGCAGCCUGAAACAUGUCUUUGAGCAUCAUUUGCUUAGCUUGGUAGAUUCUGCAAGGCAUCCAACCUUCUGCCUAUUCUUUCUUCUAUCCAGGCAAGUCUCCUCUCAAGUUUUAGCACACUGGCAUGAAUAACACCAAUAUCAACCUCUGCAUGCUUGGAAAAUGAGUGUACCAACAUGUAAUAAUCAGCGUGUCCAACACAAACAAGACUACCAGUUACUGUUUUCUUUCCAUAGUGAAGAUAGCCAUCUGAUCUCGGGCACUUCCUUGGCGGCAUAUAACAAGUCCAUGGUCUUACAUUUCUGACUUGAUACUUAGUAACCUUGAUGAUGAUGAAGAAAAGCACCUUGCGCCAACAAAAGUUCCAUCCCGACCUCAUUUAUUCACUCCUGUGGUUCGCAUUUCCUCCAUGUGUGCUUUCGGAUUCUCAUCCUACAAUGCAACAGAUUUAGCCAUCAAGUCAACAACAUCACCCCAAAAGAGAUGUAGCAAAUCCUCAAGGUACUACAUUGUACAAAUUUUAAGCUCAGAUACGUUGCGAAUAAAUAGAGAUUUUUUACAAUUAACAAUUGUUUUUCUAUUUAUCUUUUAAUUAUAUAAUUUGGCUAUUUCUCAAAAAGAAAAACCAGUUGUGUUUGGUUUCUAUAAUCAUUUAAGUUUUCUUUCAUGUUGAUUUUGUUCCUGAAAUAACAUUCAUAGAUAGAAGGUUGUUAAUGGUUUGUACCCAAGGUUCAGAAAUGCUACAUCCGUAGAGAUUAGAAGUUCAAAAUAAAUUUAUUGUUCUUAAUCUUUCAAAUUUUUAAUAUGGCAGGUCCUCAAAAUAAAACAAAAUAUCAUUCAAACCAAUUGUGUUUGGUUUCUAAGAUCUUUUGAGUUUUUUGUUCUGAUUUUGUUCCUGAAAUAGUAUCCGCACAUAGAACCUUGUUAAUGGUUUGAAUUAAAGGUCCAGAUCAAAGGCACUAGGCACUAGGCUGGCAUUUUGUGAUAAUUCAUGAUGAAUGUUAUUAAAUAUAGGAUGAAUAAUUCCAAUAAAGUUUAAUUAUUUUUAAUACUCCAAAACACAUUUUCUUAGUACACGACAACAUUUUUAGUACAUGGUCUUCUUUUUAAACACAUGGAUUAUUCUUAGUGAAAUACAACUAUUUUUUACACACUAUAAAUAUUUUUUAAAUAAAGUUUUGUUAUUUUUAAUAAUUUGUAAAACAUUCUUAAUAUACAUCAAAUAUUUUUUAACCAAUAAAUGAUUCUUUAAUACACAAAGAACAUCUUUUAAAUAAGUAGCUAUUAUUUUUUUUAAUACAUAAUAAUAAAUUAAUACAUGUUGAAUGUUUUUAAUACACGUACACAUUUUUAAUACUCCCUCUGUUCCAAAAUGUAGUGCGUAUAGGUUUUCUGAAAAGUCAAACUUUGACCAAAUUUAUAGAGAAAUAUAGUUAUAUGUAGAAUACCAAAUGUAUAAAAUAGUCCCUCCGUUCAAAAAUAACUAUCGCUCAAACGAAUAUAUAGCCCUAAAAUGCAUCUUGAUACAUCCGUUUGAGCAACAAUUAUUUCUGGACGGAGGUAGUAUGAAACUACAUCUUAUGAUGAGUAUAAUGAUAUAUAUGUUUGGCAAUCUAGAUGUAAAUGUUUUUGUUUAAAAAAUAGGUCUAAGUUGGUGAGGUUUGACUUCUCAAAAAAUCUAUAUGCAUUACACUAUGAAACGGAGGGGGAGUACAUGACAAAACAUAUCUCGAAACAUGGGGACCAUUUUAUGGAAAGUGAUUUCAUAAAUGAUAUGGGAAAAGGAAAAAAAGAAAUAAACAAAAAAACAGGAGAAAGGAAAUCCCAAAAGGGAGAAUUAAAUGUAUAAAAAUAAAAAAAUAAUAGAAAAGUUAAUACGAAAGAAAAAAAAUAUAAGGAUUUAGUAAAAAAAAUAAAAAUUAAGGUGAAAGAAAUAGGAAAACAAGAAAAAAAGUUGGAAACGAGAGUUAAACGGAAAAAAUAUGCACAUAAACCACCAUCCCAAACCCCCAUACAUUGCCCGAGCCAUGACCCAUGUCGAGAUUGCUAGAGGCGAGUACAUAGUAUAUAUAGUAAUAAGCGAGAUAUUCUUUGCAAAAACAAACAACCAAAUGGGAACCGUUGCCAAUACAUAACAAAGCGGCUCCAGGUCUCUUUAUGCAUUAAAGCCACGACGAUCUCGGCGUACUUUCGCUAUGAUGCUGCCUUCGUUGCAUCUGAAUUCCAAAUGCCAUCUUGUUUCCCGAUUGAUGAAGUUCACUCUCCGAACCAACUCCCAUCGUUGUCUUUUAAGAGCAUCUGCAAUGGACCCCGAAGAUGGGGAGAUGGGAGGGGUACUGAACGGUUUUUACUAGGCAUGAUCCCCACAGUGAUGCAACCUCAACCCCUCUUAAUAACGCGACUUUCCUAAGAUUUAAAUAAACCAAAAAAUACUUACCGGCACAUUUUGGGGGAAGGGGGAGGGGUGAACCAUCUCCUUCCUUUCCAUCAAGGAACCAAUGUCAUCAAAUAAAUUUGAUAAACGCUGUUAGUCCUACUAAACAUAUCAUCGUCACAACAAAAUACAAUUAGGGUCUAUAUGCACUCUCAAAACCGUUUACUUUCCUUUUUUUAGUUAGCUGCACACAACUAAGAAAUAUAUUAAGAUAAGUACAUGUACACAUUGAUGGGUUUUGUCUACUAGUAACAACCACUUGGCUGGUUUUAGGUCUACGAACUCAUAGUGUCGUGGUGUUUCCUCGACAUAUGCCAAGGGAUGGCUUAUCAUGUGUGGGGACAGGAGUAUGUUGCCGGGCUCUAGAAGCGGGAAUAGGCAAGACCUCGGACGCUGACGAGUCUUACCCAGGUUCGGGGCUCUCCGUGAAGAUAACACCCUAGUCCUGCUCUGCGGGGUCUCCGCACGAUGGCUAUGAUCGAUAGAGGGGCUACAAGGUUGUUCAUUGAGCUGUUCGGCUAGAGGAAGAAGGCAGGGCUUGCUCUAUCUCUUCUCUAGCUAUGGGUGGAGGGAAAUGGAGUGGGAACCCUUUGCAUGGGUGACCCUAGGGGGUUUAUACAGGCCUACCGGGUACAAUGGUAAUUCGGUCGGGUGGUAGGUCCUGGCCGUUAGUGACUAAGGAGGCCGGGUUCUCCGCCGGCUGCUGGGGCCCGUCUCUUGUGGGCCCUGCCGUCUGCCGAGGAAUCGACCGACAAGUGGGACCCGCCACCUACGGGUCCCACUAACGGCUCUUCACUGUUGCACCAUCCGUGCUGACGGAAGCCGUGUCGGGCGGGCCAUGGUUACAGUGCCGCGCCGGCGGGGUCGGCGACCGCCUGGCGGCGGUCACUGUAGCCAUAUGUCCGGGAUUUGGGGGAAGCAUGGUGCACUGUAGCCAUGCCCCAGCUUGUCUCUUGGUCGGGCUCAGACUCCAAGGAAGGGGACGGGCCGCCUUCUGGAGCGCGUCGUCUUCUUGGGGUCUGCCACCUUCCCGGGAUCCGCCGCCUUCUAGGAGGCGGCGCUCUGGUUCCAGUCGGCCCAGAGGACCAGCCUCGUGACCAGCCGGACUGAGGGGCUCGACCAGCCCCGAUGUCUUGAAAUGUGGAGAAGUGCUGAUGAGGCUACCCGGGGUCUAUCCCCCAGUCAGUAGUCCCCGAAGCUGGUGAGGUUCUAUGGCUUCCAACAGCCGGAGGACCUCAGUAGUUUCCCUCUCAAGUGAUCCUCCGCCUUCUGCCCCGUCCGUCUGAGAGGAGCCGGACGUGGCCCCAGCCGUUAGGUGGAAUUGGAAUCGACGGGCGGGAGUCGGGGCGGCGCCGCCCGCCAAGCACACACCACGUGGUGCCCGCAGGCCAGGCCGGCUUGCCAGCCCAGACGCGCGACGGGACAUCGCCACAGGCCGAGACCCGCCGCUAUAGNNNNNNNNNNNNNNNNNNNNNNNNNNNNNNNNNNNNNNNNNNNNNNNNNNNNNNNNNNNNNNNNNNNNNNNNNNNNNNNNNNNNNNNNNNNNNNNNNNNNNNNNNNNNNNNNNNNNNNNNNNNNNNNNNNNNNNNNNNNNNNNNNNNNNNNNNNNNNNNNNNNNNNNNNNNNNNNNNNNNNNNNNNNNNNNNNNNNNNNNNNNNNNNNNNNNNNNNNNNNNNNNNNNNNNNNNNNNNNNNNNNNNNNNNNNNNNNNNNNNNNNNNNNNNAAAGAGGAGGGAGGGGGAGGGGGAGGAGCAGAACGCUCGCGCACCCACUCCCCACUCCCUAUUUCCCCCUCUCCCUUGCUGUCGCCACGCUGCUCCGCUCCAUCACUGCCGUCGUGCCGCUGCGGCUGCCUCCCUCGUUGCCGUCGCCUUGCCGUGGUCGUCGCCCAGUAGAAGCAGCCGCUCCGCCACGGUCUCCACCGCGGCUUCGCUACAGCGCGGCACCGUCGUAUUCAUCCCUGUCGCAACGACGCCCUUCAUUUUUCUUCUCCGACAAGCUCUCCCUCGCUGUCCUUGCGUCAUGAUGGAGAGUGGAUGGAUGGGAUCCAUCAUUCAUCAAGACCACAUCGACUUCCUCCGCACGAUGCGGAGGAUACCUCACUCCGACAACAUGGGCGUACACAUCCCCAGGCCGGAGGUCUCGCCGCAGCCAGAGCCCGGUGAGUACGCCAUCUUCCGCGCCCACUUCCUUUGUGGCUUCGCGUUCCCUGCCUCCGGCUUCUUCCGAGAGUUCCUGCGUUACUACCAACUGCGGCCGCACCACCUCACCCCCAACACAGUGGUUUGCCUCUCUGCCUUCGUCUCCUUCUGCGAGGGGUACCUUGGCGUUCUGCCUCAAGCUUGGUAUGGCGGCGAAGGACGAGCCGGCCCCGUGCAAGGCUUGCGUGGCCGUGAGGCGCUCAGGAAGCGGUACGCACUUCCCUCUGAUUCCUCUACACGAGUCGGCCAAACUCUGGUAGAGGUCAUACUUCUAUGUACGGAACCUCUGGAAUAUAGACUACAUCAACCUGCCGCCUUACGUGCCCGGGUCGCCUGCUGGAUCACGCGGCAACUGGCAGAAGCAGCCGCCCAAGCACCCACUGCUGCUCAACAUCGUCAGCGUCCUCAUCCGGCUGGAGGAGAUGACCAGCCGAGAGGGUCUCCACCCGGCCGACCGGCUGGCCAGCUUCAUCAUGCGCCGGGUGUCACGGCUCUAGCUCCGACCGCACCUCAUCUACAAGAUGAGCGGCCGCCGGGAUCCGUGCUGGAUGUCGAUGAAGGAUAUGCCGAGGGUGCAGGUGGCCCGCCACGUCAACGACAUCACCAACUGCAAGCUCGACGAGGCAGAGUGGCACAUCGGCAAAGAGCCUUACAACCGGGCCAACCCUCUUCCUGCGGUAAGCAAUAGAUCCGACUGCUCCAUCUGCAAUACUUCUUGUCCUUCUGACUUGACCAGUCGGCUUUUGUGGCAGCGCUUCGUGAGGCAGGGUGCACCGUCUCCUGGUCAUGAAUGGAUGCUGGACCGCGAGGACAGCGACACCGAGGAUCCUAAGCUGGGGGCGCCCGGCAUGGAGGAAGGCGGCAAGGAGGAGGUCGCUGGAGGAGGAGGCGGCGCUGAGGCAGGCCGCUUUGCAGGAGGCGGCAGAGGAUCAGGCGGCCCCGGAGCGGGCGGCUCUGCAGGAGGCGGAGGUGGAGGAGUCGGCGACGUCCUAUCUUGGCCGGACGAUGACGAAGGCGACGACGAGCAGCGCCCGCCUAAGGGAGGCACGGAGAGAGGAGCCGGCACUUCUACAUCGCAGCCGGCGGCCGCACCUAGCGGGCACAAGCACCGCAAGGGGGGCAUGUACGGCAACCACCCGACCAAGAGGACCAAGAAGGCGGACGCCACCAGGCGGCAAGAGGCCUAGAAGGUGGCCGCCAGCCGGAAGGGGCCCAAGCCAUUGACGCUCACAUCCGGGUAAGCAUGCCUGCCUUUUUGACUUUGCGUUUUUCUUCUUUCUUGGGGUGUUUCUUGAUCUUUGCUUUCCUGUUGAACAGGGCAGCCUGUGCCACCUCGUGGGCCUCGUCUGCCUUAGUGAUGCACCCGGUGGAUGGCUCCAUGGAUGCUCGGUGUCCGGAUCCGGCAGCCGCCAUCCAGGAGGCGUGGCGUGGGAGGCGCAGGAGGCCGCGGAGAAGGCGCAGGCUGACGCACAGGCGGAGGUGGCGGCGCAGGCAGAGGCCCGAGCUGCGGUGGAGGCAGAGGCAGCAAGGAAGGCCCAGGCAGAGGCCGAGACCAAGGGCACGGCUGAUCCAGACAAUGGCGGGGUCCUGGAGACCAUCCCCCUCGAUCGGCCGAAGGUGGAGACGUCAGAGAACCAGACGCCGCCUGGAGUGGCCGAGGCCGGUUAGUCGGCGCCGAAAGUGGAGGUUCCCGACACCGUCUUUCCUGAGGUGGAGAGGAUCCAGCGCGAGCCGGCUGCCGACGGGCAAGGAAGCGGCGAGCCCACCCAGCCGUAAGCUCCACCAGCCGGUGCCGGCCAGCCGGUAGGUCGGGCCCUGGUGGUGCGCACUCCUGCACGCCAGUGUGCAGUAUGGGCGGCGUCGGAGCCAAGGCGGCAGGUGGAUGCCGCGUCCUCAAGCUCGCGAAGGGCCGGUGCUUUGGCCACGAGUGUCGUUUCCUCACGUCGGGCGAAACAAGCCGGCCCCACCGCCUUGAACCUGGCGGUGCGAGAGAUGGAGGACCGGUUCCUCGCCCAGAAUGCCUCCAUUCUGAAGACGAGGGAGGACAUGCUGGCGACGCGGUCGGCUGUCCGGGUAUGUACACCUUAUCUUUGCUUUGUUGUUUCGUAGUCCUCCGUGGGGGCGCGCCAGCACACCCACUGGGUGUGGCCCCCAAGUUCUGAGCCAGCUUCUAAGUAGGCGGGUUGGAACUCCAAGGCGCUUUGUUCAUUUGCUGAAAUAAUUGCGACUGUUGUAGGACCUCCACAACAUGCUAGUGGCCGCGUACAACGCGUAGAAGCAGACGCUCUCCACCCAGACUUCUGAGCUUGCUCAGAGCCGAAGUGAGUAAGCCGCCUUCUAGUGGGGGCGCGCUAGUGCACCCACUGGGUGUAGCCUCCGAGAUUCGGGACGACCGCUGAGCAGUCGGGCCAGAUCUUCUCUGGCAGCUUGUUCCUUAGUUUUGUUGAAGUAGAUUGUGAUGUCGCUUGCUCAUUUUUCUCUUGCAACGGCCGCCACCCAGUUGGUCCAGCACGUGGCCGACCUUGAAGGACAACUCCAGGUCGUGAGGCAGGAGCGCUACCAGGCGGCCUCCGAGCGGGAGUGAUGUCUACUACACAACCUUCUUCUUGUAGACGUUGUUGGGCCUGCAAGUGCACAUGUUUGUAGGACAGUAGCAAAUUUCCCUCAAGUGGAUGACCUAAGGUUUAUCAAUCUGUAGGAGGCGUAGGAUGAAGAUGGUCUCUCUCAAACAACCCUGCAACCAAAUAACAAAGAGUCUCUUGUGUCCCCAACACACCCAAUACAAUGGUAAAUUGUAUGGGUGCACUAGUUCGGCGAAGAGAUGAAGAUACAAGUGCAAAAUAGAUAGUAGAUAUAGGUUUUUGUAAUCUGAUAAUAAAAACAGCAAGGUAACAAGUGGUAAAAGUGAGCGUAAACGGUAUUGCAAUGGUAGGAAACAAGGCCUAGGGUUCAUACUUUCACUAGUGCAAGUUCUCUCAACAAUAAUAACAUAGAUAGAUCAUAUAACAAGCCCUCAACAUGCAACAAAGAGUCACUCCAAAGCCACUGAUAGCGGAAAACAAACGUAGAGAUUAUGGUAGGGUACGAAACCUCCUCAAAGUUAUUCUUUCGGAUCGAUCUACAAAAGAGUUCGUACUAGAAUAACACCUUAAGACACAAAUCAACCAAAACCCUAAUGUCACCUAGAUACUCCAUUGUCACCUCAAGUAUCCGUGGGCAUGAUUAUACUAUAUGCAUCACACAAUCUCAGAUUCAUCCAACCAACAUAAAAGUACUUCAAAGAGUACCCCAAAGCUACUACCGGAGAGUCAAGAACGUGUGCCAACCCCUAUGCAUAGGUUCCCAAUGUCAGAAAACCCGCAAGUUGAUCACCAAAACAUACAUCAAGUGGCACAUGAUAUCCCAUUGUCACCACAGAUAAUCAUGGCAAGACAUACAUCAAGUGUUCUCAUAAAAGACUCAAUCUGAUAAGAUAACUUCAAAGGGGAAACUCAAUUCAUCACAAGAGAGUAGAGGGGGAGAAACAUCAUAAGAUCCAACUACAAUAGCAAAGCUCGGGAUACAUCAAGAUCGUGCCAUAGAGGAGCACGAGAGAGAACACGAGAGAGAGAGAGAGAUCAUACACAUAGCUACUGGUACAUACCCUCAGCCCUGAGGGUGAACUACUCCCUCCUCGUCAUGGAUAGCGCCGGGAUGAUGAAGAUGGCCUCCGGUGAUGGGAUCCCCCUCCGGCAGGGUGCCGGAACAGGGUCCCGAUUGUUUUUUCGUGGCUCUGGAGGCUUGCGGCGGCGGAACUCCCGAUCUAGGUUCUGUUCUGGAAGUUUUAGGGUACAUAGGUAUAUAUGGGUGCAAGGGGUACGUCGAUGGACCUCCGGGGUGCUCACGAGGCAUGGGGGCGCACCCAGGGGGGUGCGCCCCCUACCCUCGUGGGUAGCCCGGGACUCCCCUGACGUGCACUCCAAGUCCAUCAGGUGGGUUUCCUUCCAAAAUUAACUUCUCCGGUUGAUUUCGUUCCGUUUUGACUUCGUCUGAUAUUCCUUUUCCUCGAAACACUAAAAUAGGCAUAAAACAACAAAUCUGGGCUGGGCCUCCGGUUAAUAGGUUAGUCCCAAAAAUAAUAUAAAAGUGGAUAAUAAAACCCAAUAUUGCCUAAAACAGUAGAUAAAGUAGCAUGGAGCAAUCAAAAAUUAUAGAUACGUUGGAGACGUAUCAAGCAUCCCCAAGCUUAAUUCCUGCUCGUCCUCGAGUAGGUAAAUGAUAAAAAAGAAUUUUUGAUGCGGAGUGAUACUUUGGCAUAAUUUCAAUGUAAAUCUUCUUAAUUGUAGCAUAAAUAUUCAGAUCCGAAAGAUUCAAGACAAAAGUUCAUAUUGACAUAAAAGUAAUGAUACUUCAAGCAUACUAACUAAGCAAUUAUGUCUUCUCAAAAUAACAUGGCCAAAGAAAGUUAUCCCUACAAAAUCAUAUAAUCUGGCUAUGCUCUAUCUUCAUCACACAAAGUAUUUAAUCAUGCACAACCCCGAUGACGAGCCAAGCAAUUGUUUCAUACUUUAGUAAUCUCAAACUUUUUCAACUUUCACACAAUACAUGAGCAUGAGCCAUGGACAUAGCACUAUAGGUGGAAUAGAAUGGUGGUUGUGGAGAAGACAAAAAGGGAGAAGAUAGUCUCACAUCAACUAGGCGUAUCAACGGGCUAUGGAGAUGCCCAUUAAUAGAUAUCAAUGUGAGUGAGUAGGGAUUGGCAUGCAACGGAUGCGCUAGAGCUAUAAGUAUAUGAAAGCUCAACAAAAGAAACUAAGUGGGUGUGCAUCCAACUUGCUUGCUCACGAAGACCUAGGACACUUUUGAGGAAGCGCAUCAUUGGAAUAUACAAGCCAAGUUCUAUAAUGAAAAAUUCCCACUAGUAUAUGAAAGUGACAACAUAUGAGACUCUCUAUCAUGAAGAUCAUGGUGCUACUUUGAAGCACAAGUGUGGCAAAAGGAUAGUAGCAUUGUCCCUUCUCUCUUUUUCUCUCAUAUUUUUUUUAAAUUUUGGUGGGCUUCUUUGGCCUCCUUUUUUUUAUUUGGGCUUCUUUGGCCUCUUUUAUUUUUCAUAAAGUCCGGAGUCUCAUCCCGACUUAUGGAGGAAUCAUAGUCUCCAUCAUCCUUUCCUCACUGGGACAAUGCUCUAAUAAUGAUGAUCAUCACACUUUUAUUUUUCUUACAACUCAACAAUUACAACUCGAUACUUAGAACAAAAUAUGACUCUAUAUGAAUGCCUCCGGCGGUGUACCAGGAUAUGCAAUGAAACAAGAGUGACAUAUAUGAAAGAAUUCUGAACUGUGGCUUUGCCACAAAUACAAUGUCAACUACAUGUUCAUGCAAAAAGCAAUAUGACAAAAGUAAUGUAUGUCAUAUGAACGGAACGGUGGAAAGUUGCAUGGCAAUAUAUCUCGGAAUGGCUAUGGAAAUGCCAUGAUAGGUAGGUAUGGUGGCUGUUUUGAGGAAGGUAUAUGGUGGGUGUAUGAUACCGGCGAAAAGUGCGCGGUAUUAGAGAGGCUGGCAAAGGUGGAAGGGUGAGAGUGCGUAUAAUCCAUGGACUCAACAUUAAUCAAAAGAACUCAUGCACUUGUUGCAAAAAAUUAGAAGUCAUCAAAAACCAAAGCACUAAACGCAUACUCCUAGGGGGAUAGAUUGGUAGGAAAAGACCAUCGCUCGUCCCCGACUGCCACUCAUAAGGAAGACAAUCAAUAAAUAAAAUUGUGCUCUGACUUCAUCACAAAGCAGUUCACCAUACGUGCAUGCUACGGGAAUCACAAACUUCAACACAAGCAUUCUUUAAAUUCAUAAUCACCCCAACUAGCAUUGCUUUGAUAUUAUCGCCUUCAUAUCUCAAAACAAUUAUCAAGCAUCAAACUUAUCUUAGUAUUCAACGCACUCAAAAGAAAGUUUCACAUAUCUUGAAUACCAAGUAUAUUAUCUUUAAGCAAAUUACCAUGCCAUUAACAACUCUCAAAAUAAUCUAAGUGAAGCACUAGAGCAAAAAUUAUCACGCUCAAAAGAUAUAAGUGAAGCACAAAGAGUAUUCUAGCAAAUUCCAAUUUGUGUGUGGCUCUCUCUCAUUAAAGAAUUUCAGAUCUUGGUAUUGUAUUCAAGCAUCAAGCAGAACAAAAUAAAAUUACAUUGCAAGUAUAGCACAACUCAUGUGAAGAAGCAAAAACUUUGGUUGAACCGAUACUAACCGAUGAUUGCCGAAGAAGAAAGGUGGGAUGCCUACCGGGGCAUCCCCAAGCUUAGAUGCUUGAGACUUCUUGAAAUAUUAUCUUGGGGUGCCUUGGGCAUCCCCAAGCUUGAACUUUUGUGUCUCCUUAAUUCCUCUCAUAUCAUGGUUUCUCUUUUUAUCAAAAGCUUCAUUCACAACAAACUCAACAAGAACUCAUGAGAUAGGUUAGUAUAAACCAAUGCAAAACCAUAACAUAUUCUACUGUAAAAAAUCACUAACAUUAUUAUUCAACAUUGAAUAAUAAAUGCCUCUGCUUAUUUAAUACUCCUAUCCUCAAAUAGAAUCAUUAAACAAGCAAACAUAUGCAAACAAUGCAACCAUAACAGCAAUCUGCCAAAACACUACAGUCUGUAAAGAAUGCAAGAGUAACAAUACUUCCCUGACUCCAAAAAUUAUGAACUAAAAUUCCCACUGUAAUAAAUUUAUCAGAGCUUAAUAUGCAAAAAGAUUCAACGUUAUAACAUUCUCUAACUUUUCUAGGGAAUUUUUGCAACAGCGGUAAACUUUCUGUUUACAAACAACAACAUGUAUACUAGCAAAACAAGCAUGGCAAAGGCUAUCCUUGACUUUUUUUAUUGAAACUAAAUAUGCAAAAAAUUAUUCUAACUAACAUCAAGCAAAAACUAGCAAAAUAAAAUGACGCUCCAAGCAAAACACAUAUCAUGUGGUGAAUAAAAAUAUAGCUCCAAGUAAAGUUACCGAUGAACGAGGACGAAAGAGGGGAUGCCUUCCGGGGCAUCCCCAAGCUUAGGCUCUUGGUUGUCCUUGAAUAUUACCUUGGGGUGCCUUGGGCAUCCCCAAGCUUAGGCUCUUGCCACUCCUUAUUCCAUAGACCAUCAAAUCCUUACCCAAAACUUGAAAACUUCAACCACACAAAACUCAACACAAAACUCGUAAGCUCCGUUAGUAUAAGAAAAUAAAACCAACACUUAGGUACUGUAAUGAACUCAUUCUAAAUUUAUAUUGGUGUAAAACCUACUGUAUUCCAACUUCUCUAUGGUUCAUACCACUUAAUACUAGCCAUAGAUGCAUCAAAAUAAGCAAACAACACAAUGAAAACAGAAUCUGUCAAAAACAGAACAGUCUGUGGUAAUCUGUAUCAAACGUAUACUUAUGGAACCCCAAAAAUUAUGAAAUAAAUUUAUGGACCUGAGAAAUUUGUAUAUUAAUCAUCUUAAAAAAGAAUCAACCUAAAAUCACUUUCCAGUAAAAAAUGGCAGCUAAUCUCGUGAGCGCUAAAGUUUCUGUUUUUCACAGCAAGAUCAUAUAAACUUCACCCAAGUCUUCCCAAAGGUUCUACUUGGCACUUUAUUGAAACAAAAGCUAAAAACAUGAUUAAUACAGUAGCAUAAUCAUGUGUACACACAAAAACAGUAAUGAUAAAUAUUGGGUUGUCUCCCAACAAGCGCUUUUCUUUAAUGCCUUUUUAGCUAGGCAUGAUGAUGGCAAUGAUGCUCACAUAAAAGAUAAGAAUUGAAACAUAACGGGAGCAUCAUGAAGCAUAUGACUAGCACAUUUAAGCCUAACCCACUUCCUAUGCAUAGGGAUUUUAUGAGCAAACAACUUAUGGGAACAAUAAUCAACUAGCAAAGGAAGGUAAAACAAGCAUAGCUUCAAAACUUGAAGCACAUAGAGAGGAAACUUGACAUUAUUGCAACUCCUACAAGCAUAUGUUCCUCCCUCAUAAUAAUUUUCAGUAGCAUCAUGAAUGAAUUCAACAAUAUAACCAGCACCUAAAGCAUUCUUUUCAUGAUCUACAAGUAUAGAAAAUUUAGUACUCUCCACAUAAGCAAACUUCUUCUUUAUAGCAUAUGUAUCAUCACAAUAAUCAUCAUAAAUAGGAGGCAUGCUUUCAUCAUAGUAAAUUUGCUCAUCAAAGCUUGGGGGACAAAAAAAUAUCAUCUCCAUCAAACAUAGCUUCCCCAAGCUUGUGGCUUUGCAUAUCAUUAGCAUCAUGGAUAUUCAAAGAAUUCGUACUAACAACAUUGCAAUCAUGCUCAUCUUUCACAUAUUUUAUGCCAAGAAUUCUAUGUAAUUCUUCUUCUAGUACUUGAGCACAAUUUUCCUUUCCAUCAUACUCACGAAAGAUAUUAAAAAGGUGAAGCGUAUAAGACAAACUCAACUCCAUUUUUUUUGUAGUUUUCUUUUAUAAACUAAACUAGUGAUAAAAACAAGAAACAAAAAGAUUUGAUUGCAAGAUCUAAAGAUAUACCUUCAAGCACUCACCUCGCCAGAAAAGAGCUUAGUGACGGAGUGUGAGUACCCUUUACCUAGCCUCCCCGGCAACGGUGCCAUAGAAGAGCUUGAUGUCUACUACACAACCUUCUUCUUGUAGACGUUGUUGGGCCUGCAAGUGCACAGGUUUGUAGGACAGUAGCAAAUUUCCCUCAAGUGGAUGACCUAAGGUUUAUCAAUCCGUAGGAGGCGUAGGAUGAAGAUGGUCUCUCUCAAACAACCCUGCAACCAAAUAACAAAGAGUCUCUUGUGUCCCCAACACACCCAAUACAAUGGUAAAUUGUAUGGGUGCACUAGUUCGGCGAAGAGAUGAAGAUACAAGUGCAAAAUAGAUAGUAUAUAUAGGUUUUUGUAAUCCGAAAUAAUAAAAACAGCAAGGUAACAAGUGGUAAAAGUGAGCGUAAACGGUAUUGCAAUGGUAGGAAACAAGGCCUAGGGUUCAUACUUUCACUAGUGCAAGUUCUCUCAACAAUAAUAACAUAGAUAGAUCAUAUAACAAGCCCUCAACAUGCAACAAAGAGUCACUCCAAAGCCACUGAUAGCGGAGAACAAAUGUAGAGAUUAUGGUAGGGUACGAAACCACCUCAAAGUUAUUCUUUCGGAUCGAUAUAUAAAAGAGUUCGUACUAGAAUAACACCUUAAGACACAAAUCAAACAAAACCCUAAUGUCACCUAGAUACUCCAUUGUCACCUCAAGUAUCCGUGGGCAUGAUUAUACGAUAUGCAUCACACAAUCUCAGAUUCAUCCAACCAACAUAAAAGUACUUCAAAGAGUGCCCCAAAGCUACUACCGGAGAGUCAAGAACGUGUGCCAACCCCUAUGCAUAGGUUCCCAAUGUCACGAAACCCACAAGUUGAUCACCAAAACAUACAUCAAGUGGCACAUGAUAUCCCAUUGUCACCACAGAUAAUCAUGGCAAGACAUACAUCAAGUGUUCUCAUAAAAGACUCAAUCCGAUAAGAUAACUUCAAAGGGGAAACUCAAUUCAUCACAAGAGAGUAGAGGGGGAGAAACAUCAUAAGAUCCAACUACAAUAGCAAAGCUCAGGAUACAUCAAGAUCAUGCCAUAGAGGAGCACGAGAGAGAACACGAGAGAGAGAGAGAGAGAGAGAGAGAGAGAGAUCAAACACAUAGCUACUGGUACAUACCCUCAACCCCAAGGGUGAACUACUCCCUCCUCGUCAUGGAUAGCGCCGGGAUGAUGAAGAUGGCCUCCGGUGAUGGGAUCCCCCUCCAGCAGGGUGCCGGAACAGGGUCCCGAUUGGUUUUUCGUGGCUCUGGAGGCUUGCGGCGGCGGAACUCCCGAUCUAGGUUCUGUUCUGGAAGUUUUAGGGUACGUAGGUAUAUAUGGGUGCAAGGGGUACAUCGGUGGACCUCCGGGGUGCUCACGAGGCAGGGGGGCGCGCCCCCUACCCUCGUGGGCAGCCCGGGACUCCCCUGACAUGCACUACAAGUCCAUGUGGUGGGUUUCCUUCCAAAAUUAACUUCUCCAGUUGAUUUUGUUCCGUUUUGACUCCGUCUGAUAUUCCUUUUCCUCGAAACACUAAAAUAGGCAUAAAAUAGCAAAUCUGGGCUGGGCCUCCGAUUAAUAGGUUAGUCCCAAAAAUAAUAUAAAAGUGGAUAAUAAAGCCCAAUAUUGCCUAAAACAGUAGAUAAAGUAGCAUGGAGCAAUCAAAAAUUAUAAAUACGUUGGAGACGUAUCUGGGACCGACUAGAGAAGGAGCUGGCGAAGCAGGCCAUGCGGCACACGGAGCGGGUCAAGAAGCUGGAGGCGGACGAGGCGAAGCUCAAGGCCGAGUGCGCGUGCUAGGCCGAGAGAGAGAAGCUCCUUGAUGACGGCUACUCCGUGAUCGAGGACCUGCUCGACGGUGAGCCCUUUUUCUUCUGUCCUGACUUCUCUCUGCCGACUUCUAUUGGGGGCCCGUCUUCUAACACCGCUGUCUUCUUUUGCGCAGAGUUCCUCCCAGGCCACUCGGUCACCGUCUGCAUGGCCAUCGAGGCUGAGCGCGAGGCGAGCCGGCGUGAGGGCAAGGAUAUUCCUUGGGACCGGCCUCAGACCAUGGGUGAGCAGCUUAUGGCCGUUAGGAUGCGCCUUGAGCCGACACACCGCCUGAUCCGUCGGCUUCAACACGUCAGGUCUUAGGUCUUGGAGGCCUUGUGGCUAGGCGGUCCGAUUCCGCGGACUCCAAGUCGGACAGUCGAGUGGCUGGGGUGGCGGUCCAGCGGCUCGACGCCUAGAAGAUCUCUGCCACGCAAGCUGGCGCCGCCAAGGCGCUGGAGUUCGUCAGGGCCUGAUACCCUGACGUGCACAUGUCGCAGCUGGCGACCUUCCGCCAGGAGGUGCUACCGGAGCUGGCAGCAGAGAGCGAGAACAUCGCCAUUCGGGCGUCUGCCCUCGCCGACUAUGCCAACAUCGACGUCUUCUUCCUGGAGAAGGUAGAUGACGGCACCGUCGUUCCCCCCUCCUAGUUUGGUCUGGACCCGUCGGACGGGGAGGACUCGGCGGAGGAGAUCGCCUCCAGCGAUGAAGGCAACGAGGACGGCAACUACGUUGCUCUAGACGACGGAGCGACCAGCCGGACUCAGCCCGACCCAGCGCCGGCUAGCGAUCCGCCAGAGACUUUGUCAGCCGCCGCCAAUAGCCGAGCCGAGCCCCAGCUGCCGGAGCUACGCCUGCCGCCAACCAGUCCACUCAACCCGAGGGGCUGUCUGCCUAGACGGCCUAUUUAUCUUCUUUCAAGUUUUUCUGUCUUUGUGCAUGAAAAACAAUGUUAAUUAUGCGCAAUUCCACCCACUGGGGUGUAUGUUUAAAUUUGAUGAACACUGGCCUUGGGCCUUUCGCAAUGUAUAAAGUUUAAAUCCCCACAUUAUUGCAUGUCUUGUCGGGUUCUAGCUUGAAUUUUCUUUUCUCUCUUUGGCUUUUUUCUUUGCCAUGUUCCUUUGGCCGCCUCCCUGCUAGCCGGACAGCCGCUCUGCGGUCUGUGGCUGGGCCAGGGACUUGGUCAUUUUUAGAACGGGCAAAUUACUUAAGCUGCGUAGAGCAUAGCUAAUCGAGCGAGAAGCCGGCCUGCCGGCUGCUAAGCAGCCGGGCGAGGGAGGCGAGAGGCCGGCUUGGCCUUAGUUGGCAUUUUCCUUAGUCGGCUUUCAUGUGGACAGCGUUCCCGCCCUUUGGCUCUUCGCCAGUCGGACAGUAGCGCUGUGAGCUGUGACUUGGAGCGAAGAGAGGGCUUUGGCGUCGGCACACUACUAGUCGGCUUUGGCUAGUGCGAACUUAGGCUAAGGCGGCGAGCCCCCGGGUCGGCUGACCGGAACCCGGACGGGGCAUGAAUAUAAAAAACUCAAAUCAUGGCAUAAGCUCAACUCAUAGAUAAGAAGGUAGCCCCCGAGUGCACCUCGGGGGACCUGAGGACUUUUACUUAGUACAAAAGUUAGUGUGGUACAUACACUCGAAUCAACUAUAAAAUGGGCGGAGUAGAUUUGCGUUCCAUGGCCGCUCCGUCUCUUCGCCGUCUGUGUAUCGCUUGCGCGCCCUGGGCUUCUAGCGGUCGAUGAGGUAGUACGAAUCAUUGCCCAGGGCCUUGCUAAUGAUGAAGGGGCCUUCCCAAGAUGCGGCGAGCUUGUGCUAUCCGGCUGAUCGCUGGAUCAGGCGGAGCACAAGGUCGCCUUCACGGAAUGAAUGCGGCUUGACCUUCUUGUUGUGGUAACGGUGCAGGCUCUGCUGGUAGAUGGCGGACCUGCUGCACGCUAGCAGUCGGGCCUCUUCCAGCAGGUUGAUGUCGUCUUCUCGCGCCUCCUUUGCUUCCGCCUCCGUGUACAUGGUGACGCGGGGCGAGUCGAAAUUGAUAUCCGUGGGGAUGAUAGCCUCAGCGCCAUACACGAGGAAGAAGGGCGUGAAGUCGGUUAAUAUAUUGGGUGUGGUCCGAAGGCUCCAGAGGACAGCCAGUAGCUCGUCGAUCCAGCAGCCGGCCAAUCGCUCCAGCGGCUCGAUCAGGCGGGGCUUAAUGUCGGACAAGAUGAGGCCGUUUGCUCGCUCCACCUUGCCGUUUGACUGUGGGUGGGCAACAAACGCUAAGUCCCAGUCGGAUUCCCUGAUUUGCGCAGAAACGGGCCAAGGCGCCUUUGGCAAAGUUGGUGCCGUUGUCGGUGAUGAUGCUGUGGGGAACGCCGUAUCGGACGGUGAUGUCGGUGAUGAAUGUGACAGCAGUUGGACCAUUCAACUUCUUGAUUGGCUUGGCUUCUAUCCACUUGGUGAAUUUGUCCACGGCGACCAGCAAAUGAGUCAUGCUACCGCGUGUUGUCUUGAAAGGACCCACCAUAUCCAAACCCCACAUGGAAAAUGGCCAGGAGAUGGGGAUGGUCUUGAGGGCGAAGGCUGGUUGGUGUUGCUUGGUGCUGAACUUAUGGCACCCUUUGCACUUCUUGACCAACUCUUUGGCGUCGUCCAAAGCAGUCGGCCAGAAGAAACCAUGGCGGAAAGCUUUGGCUACGAGGAACCUGAAGGCGGCAUGGUGGCCACAUUCACCUUGAUGGAUAUCCCUGAGGAUUUCCAUGCCCUUCUCCGGCUUCACGCAGUGCUGAUAGACACCGGUCAUGCUUUGCCUCACAAGCUCUCGGUUGACGAUGGUGUAGGCGCCUGCUCUGCGCUGGAUCUGUCAGGCUAACACUUUGUCGGCUAGUAGCACACCGCUCACCAGGUAUUCGCGGAUGGGCUACGCCCAAGAUGGGGCCUCCACCACUGUGAAGACAACAAUUGGCAUGAGGGUGGCCGGGUUGGGAGGCGGCGGGCUGGAGCCGACCGCUCCUGGUGGUGCUGACGAAGUCCCUGGGUUGACUGUAGCAGCCCCUGGGUCGCCUGCUGGGGCUUUUAGGCUGGGUGCUGGUGCUGCAGCCCCGGGCGGCCUGGUGAAGUCCCCGGGCCGACUGCCGAAGUUCCUAGGCCAGCUGCUGAAGUCCCCGAGCCGGAUCCGACUGCUCCGGGGUCUGCUGGCACGAAGAUGGAGUCGGACUCUAGUGAGGGCUUGAUAGACAGCUUGUGCAGGCACUCGAAGGAGACGCCGACUGGUAUGGCCUGCCGGGUGGAGCAGAUGCGAGCUAGGGCGUCCGCUGCGUUGUUGUCGGCUCAUGGUACAUGGAGGAACUCACAUCCAUCAAAGUGCCCACUCAUCUGCUGGACGAGGAAUCGGUAGCUUGCCAUGUUGGUGUCCUUGGUGUCCCAAUCGCCGGCCGACUGCUGGACCACCAAGUCCGAGUCACCGUAGCAGAGGAUGCGGUGGAUGCCGAUUUCUUUGGCCAAUCGGAGCCCAAAGACGAGUACCUCGUACUCGGCUACAUUGUUUGAGGCAACGAAGUGUAUCUGUAGUGUAUACUUCAGCUUGUCGCCUUCGGGGGAGGUGAGGACGAUGCUGGCUCCCAAGCCAGUGCGCAUCUUUGAUCCAUCAAAGUGCAUCCGCCAAUGUGUAAAAUCAGCCGUUGGCGGCAGGUACUGGGACUCGGCCCAAUCGACGAGGAAGUUGCCCAGCGCUUGGGACUUGAUGGCGGUGUGAGGCUGGUAGAUGAUGGUGUAGGGGGCAGCUCGAUGGCCCACUUGGCCACCCGGCCUGAAGCGUCUCUAUUGCCCAUGAUCUCGGCGAGGGGGGGCAGUGCAGACAACCGUGAUGGAGUGCUCUUGGAAAUAUGGCUUCAGCUUCUUGGCGGCAAAAUACACGCUGUAGCACAUCUUCUGGUAAUGGGGGUAGUUCUGCUUGGAGGCGGACAAGACCUCGCUUAGGUAGUACAUCGGCCUCUGGACCGACUGUACUUUGCUGUCUUCUGCAUGCUCGACGAUGAUCAUCGUCCUGAUGAUUCAGUUGGUGGCGGCGAUGUAGAGGAUCAUGGGCUCUUUAGCAGCCGGAGCCGCCAGGAUAGGCGGCGUAGACAUCAUACGCUUGAGCUGGAGGAAAGCGGCGUACGCCCGGUUGUUCCACUCAAAGCAAGUAGUUUUCUUCAUGAGCUGGUAUAGGGGGAGUGCCUUCUAGCCCAGCCGACUGAUGAAGCGGCUGAGGGAUGCCAGGCACCCGGUGAACUUUUGAACGUCACACAGCUUGGUGGGUUUCUUCAUCCGUUUGAUGGCCUUGAUCUUCACGGGGUUGCACUCGAUGCCGCGCUUUGAAACAAGAAAGCCAAGGAGUUGGUCGGCUGGUACACCGAAGACACACUUCUCCGGGUUGAGCUUGAUGUUGAAACGACGCAGGUUCUCAAACGUCUCCUUGAGGUCUUCCAUCAGGGUACCACGCUUCUCGGUCUUCACCACAAUGUCGUCCACAUAGACGUGGGCAUUGUGUUCGAGUUGCUUUAACAAGCACUUCUGCAUACAAUGUUGAAAUUUGGCACCGGCAUUUCUCAGGCCGAACGUCAUGGUGAUGUAGCAGAAAGUAUCGAAUGGUGUGAUGAAGGCGAUUUUCAGGUGAUCAGUCGGAUCCAGCUUGAUCUGGUGGUAGCCAGAGUAGGCAUCAAGGAAAGACAACAGCUCGCAUCCGGCUGUGGAGUCAAUCACUUGAUCUAUCCAUGGCAGAGCAAACAGAUCUUUGGGGCAGACUUUAUUGAGGCUAGUGUAGUCGACGCACAUGCUCCACUUUUUGUUCUUCUUCAGGACAAGGACUGGAUUGGCAAGCCAGUCCGGGUGGAAAACUUCCAUGAUGAAGCCGGCUGCCAGAAGUCGGGCGAUUUCUUCACCAACGAUCCUUCUCUUCUCUUAUGAUAGGCAGCGGAGGGGUUGCUUGACCGGAUUAGCAUCCGGCCUCACGUGUAGUUUGUGCUUAGUGAAAUCCGUCGGGACACCCGACAUGUCUUUGGGGGGCCAUGCAAAGAUAUCCCGAUUCUCACAGAGGAAAUCAAUGAGCUCGCCUUCCUAUUUGCUGUCGAGGUUGGUACCUACGACAACAAACCUCUCUGGGUGCGCCGGGUCUAGGGGGAUCCGCUUGGUCUCUUUGGCCGGCUGGAAGGAGGCCCCUGCUUCCGUCUCCUUGGGAUCAGUCGGCACGGCCUACUGCUCGCUGCCAUGGCUACCAUUCGGUCAAGGAGACUUUUUUCUUGAGCGAUGAUGAGGGACUCAGCCAGCCGGCUGCUGGCGGUGGCGCGAGCUAGCGACUUCUGGUAGUCGCCGGCAACAGUGAUGAUGCCCUUAGUACCCGGCAUCUUGGCCUUCAGGUAGGUGUAGUGCGGGACCAUCAUGAAUUUGGCCAGUGCAGGGCGGCCCAAGAGCGCGUGGUAGGGGUUGUCCAGGUCGACCACCUCGAACCAGAUCGGCUCGUGGCGGAAGUGGUCCUUGUCGCCGACCAGGACAUCAAUCUUGAUUUUGCCAAUUGGAGAGCAGGAAAGGCUAGGAACUAUGUCGUGGAAGACAGUUCGGCUGGGCUGAAGCUGCUUGGCCCUUAUGACCAACCGAUCCAUGGUCUCAUGGUACAGGAUGUUGAUGCUGCUGCCGCCAUCUAUCGGAACUCGGCCGAAGCGGCAGGUCCGCCUCUCCGUUGAGAAGGUUGAUUCGAACACCAAGGUGUAUACACCCGGAGAGGGCAUCACGGCUGGGUGGUCAGCUUGGCUCCAGGUGAUGGGCCUCUUGGACCAGUGCAUGUGGGUGGGAACCUCUGAGCUGACGGCGUUCACCUCGCGGUGCUGCUGCCGUCUGUUGGGGAUACACAUAACAGGUAGGCCCACGAAGGGUCGAAAUAUCAUAAAGCAUGGGGUCCACACAACACGUGGGUCUAGAUAAAUUUCAUACAGACAUACUAUCCACUCGGACAAGCAGCAUACGAUCCACUCGACCAAGCAGUAUACCAUCCACUCGGAUGACAGUUCACCACUCGACCGCUCGACUCACUCGGAUAUACGGAGACCAGCAGGCAACAAAGCAGUCGGCAUCAUUCUCGUGGUGAGGGCUUGGUAGUGGGCUAACAUUAUGGCAUUCAUGCCCCACUUUGUAACAUAGGAGGUGAGGGGGUGGCGCACUCUAUAUAAGCCACCCCCCACCACUAGACUUCGGGGGUUCUUUUCUUCCACCUCUCUCUCUUUUCGCCAUUAGUCUCAGGACUUAGCUCAGGCACGGGAUCCGUUCCCUUCUUUCAUACAUUGUAAUCUCUGGAUACAUAUACAGAUAAAACAAAGCCUCUCCGGAGCACGAGACGUAGGGUUGUUAUCUCCACCGUGGGAGGCCCGAACUCGCUAAAACCACCGUGUCACCCAUAUGCAUCUCGAUAGAUCAUGCUCCGUUAUCCUAUCCCUCUCUUACUGUCGGAGUCGUUCCCACGACAGUUGGCGCCCACCUUGGGGCAUGGCAUCUAUCGAUCCAUGAUACAGAUGGUUUCUUUUUCAUUCGUCUAUGUUUAAUUUCCUGUUCAUCCUGAUCGAAUUGUUCAUCUUUGCAGCAGGUAAUUAAAGCAUCUCAAAAGGAGAGGAUAAGAUACAUCUUCACUUGAUGUUGCAGGCGUACAUGACCGUUCGCAGACGGAUCGAUCAAGGGAUUUCUUUCUAUGCUAUCCUCUUAUGAUCUAACAAUCAUCGUAGCUCUAAACAAAUCCGUUGUUUUCCUCCCUGUACUAGCAGGCGCCCAUCGGGAUCAACAACAAAAACUUCCGAUGGAUAGAUCAGACAAGAGACGAGGAAGAGAAAAGGGCAUUGACGUGCUGCGCCAAGGGUCGUGGCCAUCGCCCUCACACUGUCACACACGGCCGCCAGCUUGCUGGACUGCGCCUCCUGCUUCCUCUUCUCAGUCGACCUCAACUCACCCAUCAUCCGGGUGUAGCGAUCGCAAGCGCUCGGCAGUCCAUCUGGCGACGCGGGCGCUCGGCCAUGGUCGUUGCGAUGUGCGCAUAGGCCUCGUGCUGCAGCGGCCUCCCUGCGACGGCCCGACAUGGCACGCUGCAGCGGCGUCCCUCGUCAACCGCGGCGCGGCGACCUCCGCGGUCGAUGCACGAACCUGACGCGGCGUCGUGGUCGAGGUUGUCCACGUCCUUGGACACAACAAGAUGGGAGCCACCGGAUCGACUAGCCGCCGCCUCAAGCUCCGCCUGCGCGCAGCCUCGCAGAAGAACGUGGUCCGCACUCGGACUUGUCGCGGGCCGCCUCACCUUGCGUUGGAUCCAUGUCAAAGCCGCCGCCGCCGCUGCCGUGGCCGACCAGGGAGCUCUGCGCCCCUCUACUCUCCUUUUAAUCUUAAUUCCAUCCCAUUUAUGUCCUGCAUGCAGGAGAUAAAUGACCGUGGGAAACGUUCAUUACAUGCAUGAAUGGCUCUAACCCUCGCUUAAUUAGUGCUCUCUUGCAUGCAGAUUCCGUGUACACGUCCUGGACAUGGGCAACUCCUUCAAUGCGUAAUUACCAAGGAUUUAUUGCUCCAUGAUUGUCUGGACUUUGUACCAAGUCGACCUCAUCGUUUGCCCUCGGGCGCCCAGCUCCGACGCCGUCGUGCCUGGCUGCCUCCGCUGCAUGGUGUCCAUGGCCGCUAGCAGCCGCCCGCCUCCAGCGGAGGAAGCAGCGCUCGUUCGCUCAUGGGCAGUUCCACGCCGAACCUUGCCAACGCCUCCGAGCCCAACACUCCGAGUCGGCCUGCCGAACCAGCUCCACACCGUCCAGAUCGCAACCUAGCUGAGUAGCUGUGGUUCACUUAGAUGGGCAGGAACACUCAGAUGAGGCCUCCACUCGAAUGGCCCUCGUUUGCCGUGAAGCCCCUGGGUUCACUCGAUAGGUUAACAUCCAGAACAUCAUCGACAGCAACUACGACCGUGAAUCUAUGGAACUAACCACAUCUUCAUCCACUUCGCCGCUCCGCGCGUCACCACUCCGCGGGACGCGUCUACUUCAUUCGGAUGUUCUGCACCUCGUCACUCUGCGUCACGCGUCUACAUCACUCGGAUGCCCCGGCGCAUCGUCACUCCGCGGGACGCGUCUACUUCACUCGGACGUCCUGCACCUCGUCACUCUGCGGGACGCGUCUACAUCACUCGGACGCCCCGGCGCAUCGUCAUUCCGCGGGACGUGUCUACUUCACUCAGACGUCCUGCACCUCGUCACUCCGCAGGACGCGUCUACUUCACUCGGCCGCCCCGCGCGUUGCCAUUUGGUUGGUCACCUCAUAACCACUCGGCCGCUCCGGGCCUCGUCAAUCGGUUGGUAAACCUCAUCACCACUCGGUCACCCCGCGACACAGUUUUUACAAUCUCAUAAAUGACUGUUAUUCUUUUCUAUAUGCUCUAAAUCCCCUAGUGGGUGACUUAGUUGCGAAUCCGUCUCACCUAAGUUUCAAAAAAAAUCCUGCCGAGUGGAGAGCAACCCUCCCACUCGGGGGCUUAGCUGCAGUCUAGUACUCGCCUAAAUUUUAAAAAAAAUCCUGCCGAGUGGAGAGCAACCCUCCCACUCGGGGGCUUAGCUGCAGUCCAGUACUUGCCUAAGUUUUCAAAAAAAUCCUACCGAGUGGAGAGCAAUCCUCCCACUCGGGGGCUUAGCUGCAGUCCAGUACUCGCCUAAGUUUCAAAAAAAAUCCUGCCGAGUGGAAAGCAACCCUCCCACUCGGGGGCUUAGCUGCAGUCCAGUACUCGCCUAAGUUUUCAAAAAAAUCCUAUCGAGUGGNNNNNNNNNNNNNNNNNNNNNNNNNNNNNNNNNNNNNNNNNNNNNNNNNNNNNNNNNNNNNNNNNNNNNNNNNNNNNNNNNNNNNNNNNNNNNNNNNNNNNNNNNNNNNNNNNNNNNNNNNNNNNNNNNNNNNNNNNNNNNNNNNNNNNNNNNNNNNNNNNNNNNNNNNNNNNNNNNNNNNNNNNNNNNNNNNNNNNNNNNNNNNNNNNNNNNNNNNNNNNNNNNNNNNNNNNNNNNNNNNNNNNNNNNNNNNNNNNNNNNNNNNNNNNNNNNNNNNNNNNNNNNNNNNNNNNNNNNNNNNNNNNNNNNNNNNNNNNNNNNNNNNNNNNNNNNNNNNNNNNNNNNNNNNNNNNNNNNNNNNNNNNNNNNNNNNNNNNNNNNNNNNNNNNNNNNNNNNNNNNNNNNNNNNNNNNNNNNNNNNNNNNNNNNNNNNNNNNNNNNNNNNNNNNNNNNNNNNNNNNNNNNNNNNNNNNNNNNNNNNNNNNNNNNNNNNNNNNNNNNNNNNNNNNNNNNNNNNNNNNNNNNNNNNNNNNNNNNNNNNNNNNNNNNNNNNNNNNNNNNNNNNNNNNNNNNNNNNNNNNNNNNNNNNNNNNNNNNNNNNNNNNNNNNNNNNNNNNNNNNNNNNNNNNNNNNNNNNNNNNNNNNNNNNNNNNNNNNNNNNNNNNNNNNNNNNNNNNNNNNNNNNNNNNNNNNNNNNNNNNNNNNNNNNNNNNNNNNNNNNNNNNNNNNNNNNNNNNNNNNNNNNNNNNNNNNNNNNNNNNNNNNNNNNNNNNNNNNNNNNNNNNNNNNNNNNNNNNNNNNNNNNNNNNNNNNNNNNNNNNNNNNNNNNNNNNNNNNNNNNNNNNNNNNNNNNNNNNNNNNNNNNNNNNNNNNNNNNNNNNNNNNNNNNNNNNNNNNNNNNNNNNNNNNNNNNNNNNNNNNNNNNNNNNNNNNNNNNNNNNNNNNNNNNNNNNNNNNNNNNNNNNNNNNNNNNNNNNNNNNNNNNNNNNNNNNNCGCGUCGCCAUCGGUUGGUCACCUCAUCACCACUCAGCCGCCCUACGCGUCGCCAUCGGUUGGUCACCUCAUAACCACUCGGCUGCCCCGCGCGUCACCAUCGGUUGGUCACCUCAUCACCACUCGGCCGCCCCGCACGUCGCCACGCCGCGUGAUGCGUCUACUUCACUCGGCCGUCCCGCGCGCCUUCAGACAGCUAAGUCAUUUUACAUUCUGUUAUUUUCGCCUUCCCGAGUAUUUCGUAAGUCACACAUCACGUUUACUCGGAGGCGACGCCACCAAGUGUACCUCUACACUCGGUUGCUUAUUUUCACAUACUUGCUUAGUACUGGUUAUGUGACUCCCAAGCCCAACUUCCAUUUUUUCGCAGACAUCAUUCACGAACACCAGGUGUCGUUCUUCAUUUCGAGUUUGCAUCGGUCCUCCAGGGCUGCAACUCACUCAGUCGAAACACUACACUUCCAUUUUAUUUGAGCUAGUAUUCCAAUGAGUUCAGUCGGAUCGGUCGCUUCGACAAGUUCGAACGGAUCCUUCGGUCUUUCAGACUCUUGCUGGUUAACCAGCAAGCCCCUUACACUCCCAGCGGGUGUCUAUGGGUGUUAUUCACACAAAUCAUUUAGCACACAUCAAAUUUCCUCGAGAAAUUAUUUUGUUGGCUUGUGCCCUUUUUUACACAAGUUACGCGGUCACUCGACGGCCCUUUGCGCCAACUUCAUCGCUGCUCGGACUCGGUCACCAUACCGGUCCCAGCGCACCACAACACUGACCUUGUCGUUCUGUUGGCUUCAAACACAUCCGGCCAACCCCUCUGUGGAAUCCUCUUCAUCGAUAAUAUAGACCUUAUCAGGCAUGAGACAGAUAAGUCCCUUUUAUAAUUAAACUUCACACGUCACUCUUUUUGCGAGUUUGCCUCUUUCGAGCUUCACUCAGAAAUUUCUCCUCAUCCUUACCCGAGUCCGACUCGAUGGAUUGCAAAUUAUUCAUUCAACACUAAAUUUCCCGUAUUCCGACAUGUCCGUUGUUGAAGACUGUAGUACGCUCGGGAGCUACGCCGCACUCGGGGGCUGCAACUCAUUUGGAAUGACACUCUCCUGAGUGGUCAAGUGCUUCAUCCCCAGUUAGAUCCUUCACUUCAACAAGUGCAUUUGACCCACCACUUUGAGAAGUUUUAUAAUCACCCAGACGCUCUGCGCGCCAUCUUCAUUCCUACUCAGACUCAGUUGUCACACCGGUCUUGUUGCGUCGCAACCACACUACAUCAACCUCGUCGCUACAUUAACUUCGAAAACAUCUGGCUAAAUCCUUCGAAGACAAUUUCAUCCACUUGGCUGGACACGUAGUCCUUCACUCGACCACCUCACAUAUUUUCACUCGGCCGUCCCGCACGUCGCCACUCGGUUGCGCACAUCUUCACCGCUUGGUCGCUCCGCGCGUCGCCUCUUGGUUGUGCACGUCUUCACCACUUGGCCGCUCCGCGCGUCGCCUCUUGGUUGUACAUGCCUUCGCCACUCGGCCGCCCCGCAUGUUGCCACUCGGUUGUGCAUGUCUUCACCACUCGACCGCCCCGCGCGUCGUCACUUAGUUGUACACAUCAUCGCCCCUUAACCACCUCGCGCGUCACCAUCAGUUGGACAUGUCUUUACCUCUACACCCCCAACACGGGAACGACUAAGUUACUCAUAUGAUCAAACCUCAUAUCACAUUCUGUAGCAAGCUUGCCUCUUUCGAGCAUCACUCGGGGGCUACGCACAGCCGUCGGCCAUGCCGCCCUCAGGGGUUAUGCCCAUUCAAUCAACCCAUUGAUCACAUCAGGAAAAUCUUUCUGACCAUACUUGCCCGGUCUGCCGAAAAUCUAUAAGGGUAGUAUUGUCCACUCGGACGAUCGCCCAAUUCAUUACCUAAAGUCAUCUUCAAAAACUGCAAAAAGGGUGAAAACAACGCUCCUCUACGGAUAACUUGGCCCUAUCCUAGGUUCCAAGGCGUCAGUUUCACAAACUUGGACUCAGAGAUGGCAUGUGCUGGUGUUCCCCCGGGAUAAUGAGUGGCUUCUCCCCGGAGAGUCAGCCUACACACUAGCCCCGUCACUCGGGUUUCAUGGCACGUCCAUGUCAGACCACUAGUCUAUCUCCUCCGGGAGACAUACAAGUGCCACUAAGUCUUUCCUUGCAAGUCAACAUACCUCGAUCAGUCGAGAAGCACGUCCACUCGGACAAAUACCCCUUUCAUGCAAAAGGGUGAAAAUGAAGCUCCUCUGCGGAUACAAUGUGCUCUUACAAAUACCCCUUUCAUGCAAAAUCUAACGGUAGAAGUACUAAUGGAAAUAUUACUCCCUGGAGUGUCCAGCUUUUUUCUACAGUCGGCAGUUUCAAAGCCGAAUUCAUUCACCGUGCCGAGAGCAUGAAGAUUCACCUGCUUGACCGAGUUCCAGGCUGAAUUUAUUCCGUGUCGAGUGCACGAAGAUCAUUCCGACCGACUCAGCUCCAGACUGAGCUUAUUUACCAUGUCAAGCACCUGAAGAUGCAUCCGAUUGACUCAAUUUCAGACUAAAAGAUAUUUACCGUGUCGACUGCGUGGAGGUUUACCAGGAGACUUAAACCCUCUGCCCGAUUCAUCUAGUCCGACAGAAGCUCGGGGACUACACCCAGCGGGUGCACUCAGCGUGCCCCCACUGGAAGAGAACUCAGAAAGAAACAUUUUGCUCGAUGCAAAACCAGCUCCAGAAUUACUCGACCUCCGAGUCAGAGAAGAACAAGUUCGAUCAGUACCAUCUAAGAAGAGUUUUAGUUCUCUCAGACCCCCGCCGACUGCCCGCAGUCAACGGUGGUCUCGGGGACUACACCCAGUGGGUGCACUCAGCGUGCCCCCACUGGAGUAAUCUCCACUCGGUACGGCCUGACCAGUCCGAGUGAUGAACACCACAACAAAAAAGACAGGCUCUAAGACUCCCGCCGUGGGUGCACUCAGCGUGCCCCCACUGGAAUGGUAUCCACUCGGACGGUCCGCCCGGUCCGAGUGACGGCCAAACAACAAAAAAAGACACGUUUCAGGCGUGAAGAAAUUCCGAGUAAUCAGUUACUCGAUGCAGGACCAGCUCCAAAUCACUCCCAAAAAAAUUGCUAUAAGGUGAGUUUAAGGCUCCUCUGUGGACCUGUUUUGAGCCUUCUUCCAGGACUCAGAGCGUGAAAGUCAUAAGUUUGGAUCUAGAGCCGACUCGUAUUGACGUUCCUCCGGGAUAAGAAUGGCAUCUCACCGAGAGAGUUGUCCAUGCGUCGAUCUUGUUGCCUGGAUUUAAUGACACAUCCAUACUCUGAUCACGAGUUAACCUCUUCCGAGAGAUGAUCGAAUGUUACCAAGUUGCUCCUCGCGGGCACUUACCCCAGAUCAGUCGGAAGCGGAGUGCCGAAAUCCAUUGAGAUUUUGUUCAAACCUUGGUUGUCUGAAAGUACGAUGACAGCUACCGAGUAAUCACUCGGGCCAAGUUGUGUCUUUCACAAACUCGUUCUGCAAAAUCGCAAUCGAUUCGGGGGCUAAUGUUGGGGAUACACAUAACAGGUAGGCCCAUGAAGGGUCGAAAUAUCAUAAAGCAUGGGGUCCACACAACACGUGGGUCUAGAUAAAUUUCAUACAGACAUACUAUCCACUCGGACAAGCAGCAUACGAUCCACUCGACCAAGCAGUAUACCAUCCACUCGGAUGACAGUUCACCACUCGACCGCUCGACUCACUCGGAUAUACGGAGACCAGCAGGCAACAAAGCAUUCGGCAUAAUUCUCAUGGUGAGGGCUUGGUAGUGGGCUGACAUUAUGGCAUUCAUUCCCCACUUUGUAACAUAGGAGGUGAGGGGGUGGCGCACUCUAUAUAAGCCACCCCCCACCACUAGACUUCGGGGGUUCUUUUCUUCCACCUCUCUCUCUCUUUUCGCCAUUAGUCUCAGGACUUAGCUCAGGCACGGGAUCCGUUCCCUUAUUUCAUACAUUGUAAUCUCCAGAUACAUAUACAGAUAAAACAAAGCCUCUCUGGAGCACGAGACGUAGGGUUGUUAUCUCCACCAUGAGAGGCCCGAACUCGCUAAAACCACCGUGUCACCCAUAUGCAUCUCGAUAGAUCAUGCUCCGUUAUCCUACCCCUCUCUUACUGUCGGAGUCGUUCCCACGACACCGUCUGAUGUACUUGUCGUCGGCUUCGCUCGUGAAGAAGGCGUAGGCGGCGUGUUCGUCGGGGAAGUCAUCUUGGAGCAUGCCAACAGGUCAAGCUGUCGGCUGCUGAGCGGCCGGGACGGCUGGUGGGGGAGGCGGGAGGGCCUCGCCCUUGGCGAUCCGAGCGAGCCAGUUGCAUUUCCAGGUGAUGUGGUUGGACGGCUUCGCACCGCUAUGGAACUUGCACGGGGCAUUAAGGGCUUGCUCAAAGGAGAAGGCCGGCUGCCAGGCACCCUUGCUGCCCCAUUGAUGCUUGGGGCCGGGCUGCCCAUCUGGCUGGUGGUCCUCAACUGCCGCCACUUGUCAGCUGUUAGAAGCUGGGUGAUGGGCCUUUUGCUUGUUGUUGUUUGGCUGCUGGCGCCUGCUGGAGUCACUAGCCGGUGUCUGUGGAGCCGGGGGGAGCACCUUCCCGGACGCAUCCACUCGGAGCUCCGACUUCAUGGAAGAGUCAUUCAUGGUGUACUUGUCUGCUAUGACCAGCAGUUCAUCUAGGGUGGCUGGCUUGUCGCAGAGGAGCUUGUGUUUGAGCAGGGUGCCUUCUCUGCACCCGGUGGUGAAGUACUCUAUGGCUUGAACCUCAUGCACCCCUUCGCAGGAGUUGCGCAGCUCGGCCCAGCGUGUCAGGUAGUCGCGGGUGAAAUCAAUCGGGCCUUGGACGCACAUGGAGAGUUGGUGAGGCUUGGGCGGCCGCUUGUAGCUGUUGGUGAAGUUGCGGACGAAGACAUCGGUGAAGUCCAACCAGUUGUUGACGUUGUACAACUUGAGGUUGUUCAGCCAUGUCCGGGCUGUGCCCUGGAGCAUGAGCGGAACAUACUUCAUGGUGACACGCUCGUUGCCGUUUGCUAUGUUGACGGUCGUGAAGUAGUCGGCCAGCCAAUCCUCCGGAUUCAUAGAACCGUUGUAUUUGGGAGUGUCUUGUGGGAGCGAGAACCCUUUGGGGAAGGGCUCAUUACGGAUGCGGAGGCCGAAACAAGGUGGGCCAAUUGCAUCUUAUUCUUCUUCCGCCAGGGACCGAGCAAGUCGGUCGAUCCGGUGGCGGGUGUCAUUCUCUCCGACUCCUUCACGGGGGCCAAGCCGGCCUCUGAGAGUCGGAUGCUCAACAAGCGGCGGGGAAGCGCACCUCUCCCUGCGUGGGGGAGGCGGGCGAUUGUCCCGUCAUUCCACUGCUCAUGGGCGGCCGUCUCGAUCGCGCUCGAUCGUGAUGUGGGUGCGCCGACUGCGGCCGACAGCCGGCUCUUGGUCUCUCCGACCGUGGGUACCGACUGUUGGGGGCUGAGAGGUUGCGCCGUGCUCGCGGCAAGGAGGACGAUUCUUGUCUUGUACGUCGGGCUCCACCACACGGCGGCCGGCUUGCUGCGCAGCAGCCGCGUCGAGGAGCUGCUGGAGGCGCUCCAUCAUGCAGCGCUGCUCGUCGCCCUCCAGGUGGUACAGUUCGUCUGCCGCCGCCUGGGCAAUGUGCAGGUUCUCCAUCAGGGUGGCGUAGACGAAGCGGUCGGCUCCCAGCAUGCCGGCGAUGGUCGCGCCGUGUUGCCGGAUCGCGCCCAAUCGGCUGGGCUUGCCAACAGACGGUGUGCCGCCCACGGCGCGCUCAAUCUCACGCUGGUAGGCCUCGGUGAGGCGCCUCAUGGUGGCCAACUUGUUGGCGCUGUCGAGGAGCGAGACGCGUAGUGUUUCUAGCGUCGCACCAUCCGCGCCUACCUCGAUCGGAGCGGACAGAUCCUGCAGCGCCGCCUGCUGCGGGUCAUGGCCCACUCCGGCAGAUGCUCCGUCCUCGCUAAUGACCAACACCUCUAUGAUGGUGUUGGCACUGGUGUUGCCGUACGCAGAAGGGAGCGGGUCGUCAACGAUGUCCACAUAGUCGGGUAGACGUCGGUGUUUGCCACGUCAGAAUGGACGAACAUCUCGACGGGCGGGUCGGUGGAGCCGACGGACUCCAAGUCAGAGGCGAGCUCGCUGGCGAUGUGGAGCUUGCUGAGGAUGUCGAUGAGGCAGCUCUCGGAGCUGGCCGAUCCUGCGUCGGGCGCGGGCUCGUUGGCGAGGAGGAUCCCGCUGAGGAGGUCAGCGAGGGAGCUCGCAGCGUAGACGGCCUCCACGCCGCGCAACGUGUCGGCGCAAGCGCCAUCCAGUGCGCCGGGCUGGCUGCACUCGCCGGGAAGGAAGAGGGUCCCCGUCUAGAACGUGUCUCCAGCCAACGGUGCACUUAGCCCCACGGUGGGCGCCAAAUGUCAUGGUGUUUCCUCGACAUAUGCCAAGGGAUGGUUUAUCAUGUGUGAGGAAAGGAGUACGUUGUCGGGCUUUAGAAGAGGGAGUAGGCAAGACCUCGGACGCCGACGAGUCUUACCCAGGUUCAGGGCUCUCCGUGGAGAUAACUGCGGGGUCUCCGCAUGAUGACUAUGAUCGAUAGAGGGGCUACAAGGUUUCUCCUUGAGUUGUUUGGCUAGAGGAAGUAGAAGGGUAGGGCUUGCUCUAUCUCUUCUCUAGCUAUGGGUGGAGGGAAAUGGAGUGGGAAUCCUUUGCAUGGGUGAGCCUAGGGGGUUUAUAUAGGCCUCCCCCCAGGGGUACAAUGGUAAUUCGGCCGGGUGGUAGGCCCCGACCAUCAGUGACAAAGGAGGCUGGGUUCUCUGUCGGCUGCUGGGGCCAGUCUCAGGUCGGCCCUGCCGGCUGCUAAGGAACCGUCUGACAGGUGGGCCCCGCCGCCUGCGGGUCCCACUGAUGGCUCUUCACGGUUGCACCAUCCGUGCUGAUGGAAGCCGUGUCGGGCACGCCAUGGAAUACAGUGCCGCGUCGGGCGGGUCGGCGACCGCCUGGCGGCGGUCACUCUAGCCAUAAGUCCGGGAUUUGGGGGAAGCAUGGCGCACUGUAGCCAUGCCCCAGCUUGUCUCUUGGUCGGGCUCAGACUCCAAGGGAGGGGACGGGCCACCUUCGCCGCCUUCUGGAGCGCGUCGUCUUCUCGGGGUCUGCCGCCUUCCUCGGAUCCGCCACCUUCUAGGAGGCGGCGCUCUGGUUCCAGCCAGCCUAGAGGACUAGCCUUGUGACCAGUCGGACUGAGGGGCUCGGCCAGCCUAGAUAUCUUGAAAUGUGGAGAAGUGCUGAUGAGGCUACCCGGGGUCUAUCCCCCCGUCACAUAGUUUUUUCAGUGAACAAAUAUACAUCGCUUUGGCGGCUCAGCGUUCUUAUGGGCCGCCCCAGGUGAGCGUCUCGUUGUCCCUGGGUGAGCUAUAUCUCGCGUACUGCGAGACAAAUCGUUGUGUGUUCGGUGAGUGGGCCGACUCAUUUAAGCGGAUUUCAGAACUCUCCAUGGGAGGCCUGGAUUUGUUUUAGGAACCUUCUGGUUGGUUUUCUGUCAAUUUUUUUCUCCUUUUCUAUNNNNNNNNNNNNNNNNNNNNNNNNNNNNNNNNNNNNNNNNNNNNNNNNNNNNNNNNNNNNNNNNNNNNNNNNNNNNNNNNNNNNNNNNNNNNNNNNNNNNNNNNNNNNNNNNNNNNNNNNNNNNNNNNNNNNNNNNNNNNNNNNNNNNNNNNNNNNNNNNNNNNNNNNNNNNNNNNNNNNNNNNNNNNNNNNNNNNNNNNNNNNNNNNNNNNNNNNNNNNNNNNNNNNNNNNNNNNNNNNNNNNNNNNNNNNNNNNNNNNNNNNNNNNNNNNNNNNNNNNNNNNNNNNNNNNNNNNNNNNNNNNNNNNNNNNNNNNNNNNNNNNNNNNNNNNNNNNNNNNNNNNNNNNNNNNNNNNNNNNNNNNNNNNNNNNNNNNNNNNNNNNNNNNNNNNNNNNNNNNNNNNNNNNNNNNNNNNNNNNNNNNNNNNNNNNNNNNNNNNNNNNNNNNNNNNNNNNNNNNNNNNNNNNNNNNNNNNNNNNNNNNNNNNNNNNNNNNNNNNNNNNNNNNNNNNNNNNNNNNNNNNNNNNNNNNNNNNNNNNNNNNNNNNNNNNNNNNNNNNNNNNNNNNNNNNNNNNNNNNNNNNNNNNNNNNNNNNNNNNNNNNNNNNUAGGUUGAACAUUCUUCACAUACUCCUUGAUUUUUUUUAAAUCUGCAUUAAAAAAAUCUGUUUGAUUUGUUCUGUUUUCUCCUUUUCGUUUUUAUGUAUUUAUUUUUUAUUUUCAAACAAAAUUUUAAUAUUAGAUCUGAUUUUUUAUCAACGGUGUCUUGCAUUUUUCCUCAAUAUAUACAAGGUUAUAUAUCAUAUCAACAAUUGUAUUUAGAUCGCUAUGCAUAUACCAAAGAAUUAAUCCAAUGAAGAAAAUCUCGAGAUAGAAUGAAACUUCUAAACUAUUCUCUAUCUUUUCUUUUCUUGAACGGGAAUCUGUAAACUACUAUCUGAUUUUCAAAACCAAAAAAACUUUCAACAGGGAAAAACAAAGGAAGAAAAUGAAAUGAGAGAAGCGGAGAAAUGAUAAAUCCGAUGGAGGGCUUGGACUGGGUCAACCCGCUACAUGUUGGGUGCAGGUAGACAUAGACUGGGUCAACCAAUGUCUAGGCGUCCGCAUCGAGACGAUGGGGGUAAGAGGGGAGCUAUGCUCUUAUUCAUGGCUCUUAAGAUACAGUCAUAUACUCCCUCUGUUCUUAAAUAUUUGUCUUUCUAGAGGUUUUAAUAAGUGACUACAUACGAAGAAAAAUGAGUGAAUCUACACUCUAAACCAUGUCUAUAUACAUCCGUAUGUGGUAGUCCAUUUGAAAUCUCUGAAAAGAUAAUUAUUUAGAAACGGAGGGAGUAGAAGACAUGUCUAAGGUUUAGUUCGCAAUUAGUGAAUUAUAAUGUAGUGUGCUUAUUUUAUAAUUUGUUUUGAAAAAGUAGACACAAAAGUAAGAAAAAACAGGUCAAACAAACACUAAAAUAUGGACAAAAAAGGGUGGGCAAACAAGAAUAUGAGAAUACACCAUGAUUCAAGCGCAUCAUAAAGUACCAAGUUCUAUAUUACCGACACUACUAGAAGAAAAUUCACGAAAUAUUGAAGAAAUCAUGUUAGCAAAUAAUGUCCUCGUGUUUGCUUUGUUUCUUAAAUUAGUAAGAUGCAAGGUUAGAAGUUGAUGCACAUUGGGAUGCUUAGCUGUAUUAUGAUGAUAUCAUUUGACUUUGAGAGCAGAGUUACAAUUGGUGCAAAAUGUAAAAGAGAAAGGGGUGAGAAGGGGGAAAACUCAAAACGGUGUCCAGGCUCAUCUGCUCCCUCUCAGCAAAAAAUUCAAAAAAAAUACUAGAAAAAUUCAAAAAAUUCCAAUUUUUUUUGUGGUGGUAGAUAAUUUGACGCGUGAGGUGCGUCCCAAAAUUCAACUCAUUUGAACAUCUGAGCAGCUCUCGGCAAAAAAGACAAAUCGGGUCAAAACAGUGCGUGAACAGUAUACAUUUUUACAGACCCUGAUUUUGUCUUUUUUGCCGAGAGCUGCUCAGAUGUUCAAAUGAGUUGAAUUUUGGGGCGCACCUCACGCGUCAAAUUAUCUACCACCACAAAAAAAUUUGAAUUUUUUUGAAUUUUUCUAGUAUUUUUUUGAAUUUUUUUCUAAGCGUGGGUGCAGAUUAGCCGCACUCGUGAGAAGGGUACUUAUUAGUUUGUAACAUUAUGUGCGAAACCUCUGACUAUUCACCGUUUUAUUGAGUUUAUUACCUGUUAUUUUCUCCAUGGUGGUAACUUUGUUUUCUGAAAAUGUUUUUUUUUAUUGAGACAUGAAGCGCAGCAAUAUUUGCCCUCCUGUGACAAACCUUCAUCUACAGGAGUAUCUUGAUUUCUCAGUAAGUAAUACUCCUACCUGUUUCACAACCCAAAACUAAUGCUGGUAUCUCAUUUGCCUAAUUGCACAUUAAUCAGAUCCGUCAGUUUUGUCAGGUACAUCUGACUAUCCAAAGUUUAGUUCGGUGGCCAUGUUUGUCUGAAAGCAACUUAGGAGUAUCUAAUUUAGCACUGUCAUCGGUUUAAACGGACAAAAGGUACAAGAUGUUAAUAACCAGAAGCUGACAGUCUCUGAAGCAAAGGCAGGUAACCAAACAUACACAAAAUGGAUCGCAGCAAUGGACAAAAAAGAGACAAUGAUUGAAAGGAUUGCAUCUUUAGCCAUUCCAGACAUAAAUUAGGGAUAAAUUACAGCCCUGACUGGCCCGUUCAUCAAACCAAUGAAAGUGCCACUACAACUAGGCAAUUACAUACAGGAUCCAAACAACCAAAUCUCCUCAUCCUCUCCCUGAUAUGGACCUAAGUAAUGUCACGACAGUAGUCUAUGGGGGCGGCUACUCCUUGGCAGCGACCUUCUUCUUGGGGGACUUGGUGGAGGUCUUCUUCUUGGGCGACUUGGCCUCCUUCUCGGCGGCGGCGGGGGACUUCUUGGGGAGCAGCACGGAGUUAAUGUUGGGGAUCACGCCGCCGUGGGCGAUGGUGACGCCGGCGAGCAGCCUGCCGAGCUCCUGGUCGUUGCGGACGGCGAGCAGCAGGUGGCGCGGGAUGAUGCGGGUCUUCUUGUUGUCCUUGGCCGCGUUGCCGGCGAGCUCCAGGACCUGCGAUCCAAAACGAAAUCUGUCAGUUAUCCGUCGAGCAGGAGAAGAACAGAGCAGAACAGGUGCUCGGGGACAGGAAAGAUCGGCGCAUACCUCAGCGGCGAGGUACUCGAGGACGGCGGCGAGGUAGACGGGGGCGCCGGAGCCGACGCGCUGGGCAUAGCGGCCCUUCUUGAGGUAGCGCCCGAUGCGGCCGACGGGGAACUGGAGCCCGGCCUUGACGGACCUGGUCACCGCCUUCUUCCUGUCGCCUCCCUUCCUUCCGGCCAUCUUCUUGCUCCUUCUCCGGCGAGCUGGAAACUACUCGAGAUGCGUGGGCGGCGGUGCGGGAUCGGGAUGCGCUCUGCUCUGAGUUUGUGGGUUGGGACGCCAGCGAGGGCGCGGCUUUUAUUGGGAAGGUGCAGACUUCGUGGGACGGCGGCAGGGGGGAGCGAUCCGCGUGACGCAGUGUGCCUGCCGUUGGAUCUGUGAGAAGUGGGCGGUGGGGAUUGGUUUGGGGGUGCGAUCCGCGAGAGGGUCCGAUCGGCCAAUCAGAGCGCGGGGAUUUGCAUCAAGAAGGGAUUUUGCUUUAAUUAACACCUGGUUUUCUUUUUGUGCAUCAUUUAGGCAUUUUCUUUCACUCUUAUCUUGCAUCUAAUUGAUUUUUUUCAGAUGUAGUAUUUGCUUAUACAUUUAUGUAUACCAUUGUUUUGCUAUUAUCUAACGUUUCAUUUGGAUGAAUGUACUAAGGCCCCAAUUUGGAUUUGAUAUUCUCCAAAUUCCAAUCCGGCUGUUUGGGAUGCACACGAAAAUAGUCGUCAAAAAUAGAACAAAUACAUGCAUGAAAUUGACAACUUGUCCCUUGUUUUCCCCAUCGACGGUGGCACCCAGGUAACCUCCCUUCGUCGGCCCUCCUUCUCCUUCUACUCCGGAACCUGAAUACCGGAUAACGCGGCUCGUUCCCCUCCUCCCAUGCCCCCCAUCUCCUCCUCACAUGGCCUCUACGGCCUGGUCCUAGCCGUCUUUCGCCGCUUCUCCUCCAAUAUUAGAAGUAUGAAAGGUACGUGAUUUCGAUGAAAGUAAUUAUCCUCACAAUUUGUGUCCACUCAAAUUGGCAACAAUAGAACAUAUCCGACAAAAUAGAAAGAAGAAGAAGAGCUCCAAGAAUAACCUUAAGAACAAAUCUUGGGAGGAGCGUAAGGAUGGGCCUUACUAUCCCAAGAAUCUCCAUCCUCUUUUCACUAAGGUAAAAAAAUUCAAUUUCACUAGCUUAUUAUAACAAAGUCGUGUCGAGGUUUUUGUGAAGGGUACGACCAUUGGUACAAGCGUAAGUGCUCGUACCACACCAUACUGUACCUCUAUUAAUUUUUUACCAAUGCCAAGAGACUCAGUACGGGCAAUGUCUUUGACGACGUGGUACAACCUAUGUUACAAGCACGAGCACUCGUGCCAUAGGUCGUCUUCCCCUCUGACUCCGAACCCCUAAAAAUAUUUCUUUUUCGCAUGUGUGGAACCCAAGUUAGACCACCAGUACGAGCCCGGCCGCUCUGGCUGAAGGCCGUCUUCCGUUCUAGAAAAAAGAUUGCUUUCGCCAGAACCCAAUACAUGCACGAAUACGAGCACCAGCUCUCGACCCGACCACGUCUUUUUCUCUGGUUCCUCUAUAACUUGCAAAUUCUCUAGGAAUUUGCCUUGUUUAUUUCCUAAUCUUCUUUAGUUAUCCUUAUCUCAUGAAACACUAUGGUUAUGCCCUAAGGGGACCAUCGACAGAUUGUUGACCCAAAUUGUCAUUUCCAAUAUCAACCACAUUCUCUUUAGGCGAUUAUGCCCUAAUAAAGAGGCAUUCCUUUGGUACUAAUUGGAAGGAUCGAUGCGAUCGACUAGAGGGGAUGAACAAGAGACUACAAAUUUUAAGCUUAUCUUCUAAUUUUAGGGAAUUGUGGAUAAUGUAGGUCCUCUAUAUGUGCAACUAGGUGAACAUGGCAUAUAUGGCAAACAAGCUCAAAGAAAAAUACAAGAGGCAAUGCUGUAAUUAGCAAGCCAACAAGCAUACAAAAAAGUGAAGGAAUGGGAAUUAUUAACCACAAGUGAGUUGAGAAUGCAUAUUUUAUCCCAAAGUUUGCACACUUCUGGUAGUGUUAAUCUUUGUUGGAGCAGUGCCAAAGCCAAAGCUAUAGAAGACCACAACGUGGCUCACUUUAUUCUACCUUCGAGUCACCCCCAAUGGAUGAACCUCGAAUCACUCGGUGUUGGUCUCGGAGGCUACCACCACACGUUUACAAACUUCUCCAGAGCACGCCAUACGCAAGGAAGCUUAUAGAGGAACCUCUACCACCUAGGAGCCCAAACUCCAAGAGUAAAAAGUAUUGAUGAAGAAAUUGAGUGGGGAACACAAAUCAGUUUGGUAGAAGUGUAGAUUGACUCUUGCUCUCCCAUAUCCAAAAGUAUUGGAGUCUUUGGGUAGAGGGAUUGAGAGUAUUAAGAAAAAUGGAGGUUAGCAAUGGUGGAGCAACUCUCAAGACAUUAGGGUUGGGUUGGAGGAAGAAGUUGCUAUUUGUACUCCUUCAACAAAUCUAGUCGUUGUCCUCCUGGAGCCCCCCGUGCACACGGGGUCACCCGAGGCAUUCCCCAUACCUCAUGGGCACGGGGGGUCAUAGACACCAUGGACAUGUGGGUUACAUAGGAUUCGCACUUGACCCCGUGGACAUAGGAUGACAGGGGUCCCAUGCACACGGGGAUCCAGAGAAUCAACCCUAGACCAUGUGGGCACGUGGUAGGAUGACAAAUAACACAUUUAUGAUGAGUUUGUGGUAUUUCAUGGAUAUAGCGUAGGGAAUGUUGGUGUAUGAGUUUGUUGUGUUCCAUCACUUUCUUUCGAGCACCUUGACCCCUCCUAAUGGUGUGGUUGCCCUAGGACUAAAAUAAAGCGAAACCAAAGCUUCAAGUCAUCAAAAAACCAUAUAUUUAUCCUUUUUGAAGUGUGUGUGUGGGGGAGGGGGUAUACUAUCUCCUUAAUUAUCAAUCAAGGAACCAAUGACGUGAGAUAAGAUUAUAAUAACCAUCAUUAGUUCCACUAACCAUGGUGUCAUCACACAAAAACACUCCCUCCAUCUCAAAUUAGUUGUCUUAGAUUUGUCUAGGUGCACAUGUAUCUAGACACGUUUUAGUGUUAGGUACAUCUGCAUCUAAACAAAUCAAAUUCAACUAAUUUAGGAUGGAGGUAAUAUCACUUAGAGAUAAAUGCACUUUAAACAUUAAUUCCCAAAAUGCACGACCCUAAAGGCAUCGAUGAUUAUAUGUAGGUCUCGUUGGUCAUCAUGCCCAUGAAAUUUGUCAUUGAACUCUUGGCCAACAUAGUACAAAAAAAUUUAUUCGUGUGAUGCAUUAGAACUAACAUGGUCUUAUGAAGGGAAAACAAUCCAAGAUUGCCUAUGCUGGGAUUUUGAAUAUCUACACCUUUGUCAAUUAUCCAGAAACCAAUUUUCAUACUACAGUUGGAUUUUGAAAUGGCAUUUGAUAAAGUUAAGUACAAGUGUAUAUUGUCUAUGUUGAAUGAAAAAGUUUUUGGCCCUAAAUGGCUUGGAUGGGUUGAAAUCCUACCGCCUAGGAGUACCCAACCUCCAAGAGUAACAAGAACGAUGGGGAAAAGCUCAAGACUUGCUCAAAUCAUGAAUUCCUUUGGUCAAGAGAGGGGGAGGGAGUGAAUCUAUCACUUGAUUGGACAAAUUCUCAAGAACUCUCUUGAAUCCCUCCGGAAUCUAGGAUUUGGUGUAUGAGGUUGCGGGAGAGAAUGACAUGUGUUCUAGGGUUAGUUCAAAGUGAAUGGUCAACCUUCUCUCAGAGUGGAAGAAUGCUAUAUAUAGUGGUGGUGUAAAUAUGGUUGUUGAAGUGUAAGUGGUUGUGACGGGGCGAACAUCCAACCAUUUGAAAUAUCCACAAGAUGCGCACAAUAUAGAGGAGAAAUGCAGAGUUCCCAGACAUCUGUCAUGGUGCUGAACAUUUGACGUUUGCAUCGCGUAAACCUGCUUCGGUACUAGAUAGAUCAAGCCGGGUAUCCGAGGAAGCCCUGGAUGUCCGACCACUCAGGAACACCCAGACAACCGGCCUGGUAACGGACAUCCGGCGAGCUCACCAUUAAAACCUGCACACGUGCACACGUGCUGGGCAGGAGGAGUCGAAUAUCCGAGAGAUACCCGGGCAUCCGGCCACAGGACCGGACAUCCGGCCAACAGAGAUAGCAAGCACUUAAGGUGUUGAUGAAGAUAGCCCAGAUAUCCAGCUAGAGCCCGGGCAUCCGGCAUACCGAUGUGUAAUGCGAGCACCUAAGACUUACAAGAAGAGCUCCGUGAGAUGUAAAGCUUGUGAACAAGAAUGUAGAGUAGGAUUGGUUAACAAGUUUAGAAAGAAGGAAUUUGAGACCAAAAUGACUUGAGCAAAUAUUUUACUAACACUAUCGAUCCCCUCUUAAUAGAGCGGGGUCCCUAUACUCAAGAAACAUAAAACGAACUCAUAAGCCUUUUGCUCUUUCUUCUUGAGCCAUAGCUUUUCAUUCGUCUAUGAUCCACACACACAACAUAGUCGGGGACGGACACAUGAGAUUUACUUACUCCCUCCGUCCAGGUGCAUAAGUCAUCUUAGGUUGUGCACCACGACCAAGCGGAAGAAUUACGAGAGAACUUAAUGUUUAUUUGCUAAUUAAUAGCAUUGCAUGCAAUGAACUGACCACUUCAUGUCGUGUUUGGUAGUCUCUGAAGGAAAUAUGCCCUAGCGGCAAUAAUAAAGUUAUUAUUUAUUUCCUUAUUUCAUGAUAAAUGUUUAUUAUUCAUGCUAGAAUUGUAUUAACCGGAAACUUGGUACAUGUGUGAAUACAUAGACAAAAUAUAUAGUCCCUAGUAUGCCUCUACUGCACUAGCUCGUUAAUCAAAGAUGGUUAUGUUUCCUAACCAUAGACAUGUGUUGUCAUUUGAUGAACGGGAUCACAUCAUUAGGAGAAUGAUGUGAUGGACAUGACCCAUCCGUUAGCUUAGCAUUAUGAUCGUUAUAGUUUCAUUGCUACUGCUCUCUUCAUGACUUAUACAUGUUCCUCAGACUAUGAGAUUAUGCAACUCCCGAAUACCGGAGGAACACUUUGUGUGCUACCAAAUGUCACAACGUAAAAGGGUAAUUAUAAAUGUGCUCCACAGGUGUCUCUGAAGGUGUUUGUUGGGUUGGCAUAGAUCAAGAUUAGGAUUUGUCACUGCGUGUUUCGGGGAGGUCUCUGGGCCCUCUCGGUAAUGCUCAUCACUAUAAGCCUUGCAAGCAAUGUGACUAAUGAGUUAGUUGCGGGAUGAAGUAUUACGAAACGAGUAAAGAGACUUUCCCGUAACGAGAUUGAACUAGGUAUGAUGAUACCGACGACCAAAUCUCAGACAAGUAACAUACCGAUGACAAAGGGAACAACGUAUGUUGUUAUGCGAUUUGACCGAUAAAGAUCUUCGUAGAAUAUGUAGGAACCAAUAUGAGCAUCUAGGUUCCGCUAUUGGUUAUUGACCGGAAGUGAGUCUCGGCCAUGUCUACAUAGUUCUCGAACCCGUAGGGUCCACACGCUUAACGUUCGAUGACCAUUGGUAUUAUGAGUUUAUGUGUUUUAAUGUACCGAAGGUAGUUCGGAGUCCCGGAUGUGAUCACGGACAUGACGAGGAGUCUCGAAAUGGUUGAGACAUGAAGAUCAAUAUAUUGGAAGGUUAUGUUUGGACAUCGGAAUAGUUUUGGAUGAGUUUGGGCAUUUACUGGAGUACCGGGAGGUUACCGGACCCCCCCCCGGGGGGGGGGGGGUCAAUGGGCAUUCAUGGGCCUUAGUAGAAAAUAGAGGGCAGCAAGGGAGCUGUGGGGCGUGCCCCCUAGGCCCAAACUGAAUUGGUUUAGGGCUUGGGGGGCGGCCCCCUCUUUCCUUCUCCCCUCCUCCUCUUUCCUUCCCCUCCUAGUUGGACUAGGAAAGGGGGAACCUACUCCUAGUAGGAGUAGGAUUCCCCCCUUGGGGAGCACCCUAUGAGGCCGCCGACCCCCUCCCCUUGCUCCUUUAUAUAUGGGGGCCGGGGGCACCCUAGAACACACAAGUUGACAAUUGUUUUAGCCGUGUGCGAUGCCCCCCCUCCAUAGAUAUCCACCUCAGUCAUAUCGUCGUAGUGCUUAGGCGAAGCCCUGCGCCGGUAACUUCAUCAUCACCGUCACCACGCCGUCGUGCUGACGAAACUCUCCCUCGACCUCAGCUGGAUCUAGAGUUCGUUGAAUGUCACCGAGAUGAACGUGUGCAAAUCGCGGAAGUGUCGUACCUUCGGUGCUAGGAUCGGUCGGAUCGUGAAGACGUACUACUACAUCAACCGCGUUGUCAUAAUGCUUCCGCUUUCGGUCUAUGAGGGUACGUCCCUCUCGUUGCUAUGCAUCACCUAUGGAUAGAUCUUGCGUGAUCGUAGGCUUUUUUUUUGAAAUUACUGCAUUCCCCAACAGUCUCAAGUCAUUGAAAGCAUACAUGCGCCACAUCUCUUAUUGGGUGAUUCCUUUAUGUAUGUCAAAAAACAAGAAACAAGGUGAGAGUUAAUGCAUUGUACCUAACUGUUUUGGUAUUAUUUGGUUUUCGUAAGCUGACUUAUACACCUAGAUGAAGGCAGUAACAAACAUGGUUAGUCCCCUACAUGUAUAUCGCCAUCAACAUCAAAAUAUGAUGCAAGGGCAUGAUUGCACUUUCACUUGACGCCACGCUCCCAUGUCAUCGAGAAGCUUCAGUAGGUGAACUGCCUAGAUAUCGUCAUGAUUAUUUGAAGUUCUAUCAAUUGCCCAACAGUAAUUUCUUUACCCACCGUGUGCUAUUUUUCUUGAGAGAAGCCACUAGUGAAACCUACAGCCCCCGGGUCUCUUCUUAGUCAUAUUUGCCUUCGAGAUCUAUUUUUAUUUGCUUUUGUUUUCAGAUCUAUUAAUCCAAAAAUGCAAAAGUACCUUGCUGUAAUUUUUAUUUAUUUAUUUUAUCUUGCGUUCCCGCGAGAUCUAUUUAUCCAAUCUACUACAAUUUUACCUAUCUUUUUACCCGUGAGGGAUUGACAACCCCUCUCUUACGUCGGGUUGCAAGUAUUUGUUCUUUGUGUGCAGGAGCUAUUUACAUGGUGUUGUGUGGUUCUCCUACUGGUUCGAUAACCUUGAUCUCAUCACUGAGGGAAAUACCUACCGUUGUUGUGCUGCACCAUCCCUUCCUCUUUGGGGAAAUACUGACGUAGUUCAAGCAAACAUCAGUGGCUUGCCAUCAAGUAGAUCCUUGGAUUUAGCUAGGUUACCUGUUUCAUUGCUUGGUUUUCUACCUGUUAAAGAGAAGCUUAGGUCUAUAUAGAUUCCUGAGGUAAUAUCCAUUGUUUCUCAUAUUUUAGUUACAACUGAUUCCUCAGUUCUAACUCCUUCAUGUUAUUUUCAUUAUUUGUCCUCUUUGUACCACUGUUUAUUUCAAUUUCUGAAAUAAGGAUGGCCUUGGUGGCUUCAAAAUAUGCAGGACCGUAUUUACUUGCACUUUGUUUAUAUAUGGUUGAUGCUAGAUUCUUCUAGAAAAUUUGUUGUUACAUUAGUGGUCUAGCUAGAUUGCAAGGAAGGGGUUGUAUCUUUCCUUGCUUUGUUUGAUCCUGGAAGAUGGGCGUCAGUAGGUGAACUAAUUGAUUUUGAUUUCAUAUUAUUGUGCAUGCUUCUAGUGUGGGAUUAUAUUAUAUUAUUAGGUUUAUCAUGCUCCUGAUUUUGCUAUUGACUGUGUUUUUCAGUUAGUGUCCUAUUGUUGAUCUGUGAUCUGUCGUCGAUUGUUGCUGCCGCUCGGUUGAUAAUUUACAACUCAUGUUUUUCUACCCCUACUUGUUUGUGAGGAGACAGGGCUGUGUCCAUCCUUCGGCCGUCUUUGCUUCGAUCCGCACACACUUCACAUUUGAUGAUAAGAGUUGCAGCUCCAUUAUUUCCUUGUUCUAAACUCUCAAAAGCACGUGAUGUCGUGGCAGCAGCAAUGGAGGUCUCCAAGGCCCCUUCCUCUUCUAGUUUGGCAACCCACCAGCCCUCCAAGGUUAGUGCUCCUAAUGAUCGAGAAUUCCUUUAUCGAUUAAUCGUGUGCGUCUCCAAGAAGCAUAGAGGUUAUUAUAUGUAAUGGUUUCCAUUCUUAUGCCUAGAGAUUCUUGAGACAUAGCACAGUGCCAAUGCGGUGUGCUUCGACGUGGAUUGCACGGUAUGCUUGGAUGAGGGUAUUAAUGAGCUUGCUGAUUUCUGUGGGGCUGGGCAGGCGGUUGUCGAGUGAAAGACAAAGUAAUGGUCACAUUUUCUGGAGUAUAUUAGUUGUUUAGCCUAUAAUAUCUUCCGAAAACUAAUCUUGGCCUUAUUAUUCUCAGGGCAAUGACAAGACCGUUCUAUUUGAAGAGGCUCUUCCUGCCUGGAUCUCUUUAAUUAAGUUAUCUCUGUCCCAAGUUGAGGAUUGUUUGGAGAAGAGGCCACCGAGGUGACCUUUUACAAGUCCCAGCUUCAAGUUAAUCACUAUUUAGCUGCCACUUUUGCAUUCCUAUAUUGAACCAUCUGAGAUUCCCCAGCUCUAUUAUUCUUGUAUUGGAAUGGUUAUAUAUGUGCUACUGAACAUAGAAUAAUGAUCUUAGGAAUGCUUAACUGGUUUUACUCGGCUUCUCUUUUUAAGCUAAUACGAAAAAUAAUAGCUACAAUAUAUGCAAAAUUUGUUUGGUACCACAGUAAAAAUGCGAUUUCAGAAUAGUACCACCACAUGGUAUAAGUUCAUUUCAAUAACACUGAAUGAUACAUGUCUAAGUUCAUUUUAAUAACACUAAAUGAGACAUGUCUAAGUUCAUUUUAAUAACACUAAAUGAGACAUUAAAAUCUGCCCAUACCACUUCAGUCUUAACCUUUAGGUUGUUACAUUCCCUACAACCACAACAUAACCCUUUUGACUUAUUUGCCUCAUGGGUUAAUUAGAUAUUUCCUAAGAUUUCUGGCUACAUAAUAAUUCUAAGGCAGUAUUUGUUUCAUUUAUUCAUCACUGCAACAUAUGUAAAUUUUGUGUUGGUUAUGCAUUAUUUAUCUUCCUAGUUCAUUGACAUGUUUAUAUGUUUGUAUCUGCAGGAUUUCUCGUGGAAAUGUUGAUUUUAUUAAUACAUUAAAAGCCAAUAAUACUAAAGUAUUCCUUGUGUCCGGAGGUUUCCGGCAAAUGAUCAAGGUAUAUCUUCACUAAACAGUUGCACUAAUGAUACUUUUGGAAUAUGGAUUAUCCGAACAUAGUCAAGAUGCUUUUAAGAUAUCCAUAGUUUGAGUACAGAAAUUGGUUCUAAAUUUUCCUUCUAUAUUAUUUGUUGAACAAUAAACGAGGAUAUGUUUCUUCCCAUGAUCUAAAAGCAACCAUUCCUCUUUUCUUCACUUGAGAACAUUUUAAAUUUAUUUUUGUGAUUAAAGUUUCACAUACAUGCUUAAAGAGUCAUUGUUGGACUAUUUUUCUUGUUUCCAGUCUUUGGUGUUUGGUCUUGGGAUUCCUACUGAAAACAUCAUAGAAAACCAAUUGCUAUUUGGAUCAUCUGGCUUUUAAUACACAGAGCCCACUUCUCGAAGGUGCUAACCAGGCCAACAAAAAGGGCUCACCUGCUAAUAAGGUUUGAAAAUCCUCAUAGUGGUCAACUGAGGUGUAUUCAGGCCUAGAACUUACAGAGCUGUGAUAAAAAGUGUGGUCAACAUAGGUGUAUUUAACCAAACUAAUGUGACCUUCUUUUAGAUUUCACUCGAGAUUAAAUUUUCACAGAGAUUUAAUUGAGAUUUAUUAAACUGCUUUUAUAUUAUAUGUUGGUUUGUUCCUUUAUACUCCAAAAGAAAAAAAUGUCUAACAAAACUCUGGCAAUGAUUUGAAGUAUCAGUUUGCCUGCCUUUUAUUGCACUCAUUGGAUAAUUGUCUACUUUCAAAUUGUUAUGACCUUUGAUCCAUAUAACUAAGUGAGUGUUCUAUCUUUUCAAUUUCUCUCUAUCUGUGUCUGUGUUUUGAUCCAUUUUCAGGAUAGAAAUGUUCCUCGGCACCAUGAAAAACAUCAACAGAGGAACAACCUUUUAUUUUAUUUUAUGUUGCCUCUACUAUAUUGUUGUUGCCACAAGGAUUUACCUGGACACUGAGCCACCAUGAUGUGUUUAAAAAUGAUUACAUUAUCCUUUUCUAACCUGAUGGUGUUAGAAACAUCUUGGCAUUCAAGCAAGAUUAGUUCAUUGUUUAUUAAUUACAAUUAUGUAAAAAAAUCACUAGCCAUUGCUUGACAGAAAAUAUUUUGAUAUGCCAGCAUGUGCACGGGCUAUUCACUAGUACCGGUAAAUGUUAUUUACAUGUUUUGGAUCAUGGAUGAUUGUUUUGAAUGAAAAAAAUAUCAGAUAAAAGAAAGCAUGUGAUAAUGCUGAUAGAUUGAAUUUUUGGUGUCCAUACGUCGUAACCGUACUUUAUUAGAUAUGGUGCGAUCUAUGAUGUCUCUUACUGAUUUACCGCUAUCGUUUUGGGGUUAUGCUUUAGAGACGGCUGCAUUCACUUUAAAUAGGACACCAUCAAAAUCCUUUGAGACGACGCCUUAUGAAAUGUGGUUUGGCAAGAAACCGAAGUUGUUGUUUCUUAAAGUUUGGGGCUGCGAUGCUUAUGUGAAAAAGCUUCAACCUGAUAAGCUCGAACCCAAAUCGGAGAAGUGCAUCUUCAUAGGAUACCCAAAGGAGACUGUUGGGUACACCUUCUAUCACAGAUUCGAAGGCGAAAUAUUUGUUGCUAAUAAUGGAUCCUUUCUAGAGAAGGAGUUUAUCUCGAAAGAAGUGAGUGGGAGGAAAGUAGAACUUGAUGAGGUAAUUGUACCUUCUCCUGAAUUGGAAAGUAGUUGAUCACAGAAAUCAGUUCCAGUGAUUCCUACACCAAUUAGUGAGGAAGCUAAUGAUGAUGAUCAUGGAACUUCGGAUCAAGUUACUACCGAACCUCGUAGAUCUUCCAGAGUGAGAUCCGCACCAGAGUGGUACGGUAAUCCUGUUCUGGAAGUCAUAUUACUAAACCAUGGUGAACCUAUGAACUAUGAGGAAGCGAUGAUGAGCCCAGAUUCCGUGAAAUGGCUUGAGGCCAUGAAAUCUGAGAUGGGAUCCAUGUAUGAGAACAAAGUGUGGACUUUGGUGGACUUGCCCGAUGAUCGACAAGCCAUAGAAAAUAAAUGGAUCUUCAAGAAGAAGACUGACGCUGACGGUAAUGUUACUAUUUACAAAGCUCGACUUGUUGCAAAAGGUUUACGACAAGUUCAAGGAGUUGACUAUGAUGAGACUUUCUCACCCGUAGUGAUGCUUAAGUCUGUCAGAAUUAUGUUAGCGAUUGUCGCAUUUUAUGAUUAUGAAAUUUGGCAAAUGGAUGUCAAAACUGCAUUCCUGAAUGGAUUUCUGGAAGAAGAGUUGUAUAUGAUGCAACCAGAAGGUUUUGUCGAUCCAAAGGGUGCUAACAAAGUGUGCAAGCUCCAGUGAUCCAUUUAUGGACUGGUGCAAGCCUCUCAGAGUUGGAGUAAACGCUUUGAUAGUGUGAUCAAAGCAUAUGGUUUUAUACAGACUUUUGGAGAAGCUUGUAUUUACAAGAAAGUGAGUGGGAGCUUUGUAGCAUUUCUAAUAUUAUAUGUGGAUGACAUAUUGUUGAUUGGAAAUGAUAUAUAAUUUCUGGAUAGCAUAAAGGGAUACCUGAAUAAGAGUUUUUUGAUGAAAGACCUCGGAGAAGCUGCUUACAUAUUGGGUAUCAAAAUGGAGAUAGAUCAAGACGCUUAAUUGGACUUUCACAAAGCACAUACCUUGAUAAAGUUUUGAAGAAGUUCAAAAUGGAUCAGUCAAAGAAAGGGUUCUUUCCUGUGUUGCAAGGUGUGAAGUUGAGUCAGACUCAAUGCCCGACCACUGCAAAAGAUAGAGAAAAAAAUGAAAGUCACCCCCUAUGCUUCAGCCAUACAUUCUAUCAUGUACGCAAUGUUGUGUACCAGACCUGAUGUGUGCCUUGCUAUAAGCAUAGCAGGGAGGUACAAAGUAAUCCCGGAGUGGAGCACUGGACAACGGUCAAGAACAUCCCGAAAUACCUGAAAAGGACUAAGGAUAUGAUUCUCGUUUAUGGAGGUGACAAAGAGCUCGUCAUAAACGGUUACGGCAAUGCAAGCUUUGACACUGAUCCGGAUGACUCAAAGUCGCAAACCGAAUACGUAUUAUCAUUGAAUGGAGGAGUUGUCAGUUGGUGCAGUUCCAAGCAGAGCGUCUUGGUAGGAUCUACGUGUGAAGUGGAGUACAUUGCUACUUCGGAAGCAGCUAAUGAAGGAGUUUGGAUGAAGGAGUUCAUAUCUGAUCUAGGUGUCAUACCUAGUGCAUCGGGUCCAAUGAAAAUCUUUUGUGACAAUACUGGUGCAAUUGCCUUGGCAAAGGAAUCCAGAUUUCACAAGAGAACCAAGCACAUCAAGAGACGCUUCAAUUCCAUCCAUCAUCAAGUGUCGGAACGGACAUAGGGAUUUGCAAGAUACAUACGGAUCUGAAUGUUGCAGACCCGUUGACUAAGCCUCUUCCACGAGCAAAACAUGAUCAGCACCAAAGCUCCAUGGGUGUUAGAAUCAUUACUAUUUAAUCUAGAUUAUUGACUCUAGUGCAAGUGGGAGACUGAAGGAAAUAUGCCCUAGAGGCAAUAAUAAAGUUAUUAUUUAUUUCCUUAUUUCAUGAUAAAUGUUUUUUAUUCAUGCUAGAAUUGUAUUAGCCGGAAACUAAGUACAUUACAUGUGUGAAUACAUAGACAAAACAUAGUGUCCCUAGUAUGCCUCUACUUGACUAGGUCGUUAAUCAAAGAUGGUUUUGUUUCCUAACCAUAGACAUGUGUUGUCAUUUGAUGAACGGGAGCACAUCAUUAGGAGAAUGAUGCGAUGGACAUGACCCAUCCGUUAGCUUAGCAUUAUGAUCGUUACAAUUUCAUUGCUACUGCUUUCUUCAUGACUUAUACAUGUUCCUCGGACUAUGAGAUUAUGCAACUCCCAAAUACCGGAGGAACACUUUGUGUGCUACCAAAUGUCACAACAUAAAAGGGUGAUUAUAAAGGUGCUCUACAGGUGUAUCCAAAGGUGUUUGUUGGGUUGGCAUAGUUCGGGAUUAGGAUUUGUCACUUCGUGUUUCGGAGAGGUAUCUCUGGGCCCUCUCGGUAAUACUCAUCACUAUAAGCCUUGCAAGCAUUGUGACUAAUGAGUUAGUUGUGGGAUGAAGUAUUACGAAACAAGUAAAGAGACUUGCCGGUAACGAGAUUGAACUAGGUAUGAUGAUACCGACGACCGAAUCUCGGGCAAGUAACAUACCGAUGACAAAGGGAACAACGUAUGUUGUUAUGCAAUUUGAUCGAUAAAGAUCUUUGUAGAAUAUGUAGGAGCCAAUAUGAGCAUCCGGGUUCCGCUAUUUGUUAUUGACUGGAGAUGUGUCUCGAUCAUGUCUACAUAGUUUUGGAACCUGUAGGGUCCGCACGCUUAACGUUCGAUGACAAUAUGUAUUAUGAGUUAUGUGUUUUUAUGACCGAAGUUUGUUAGGAGUCCCAGAUGAGUGUCUCGAAAUGUUUGAUACAUAAAGAUUGAUAUAUUGGACAUCUAUAUUCGGACACCAUAAGUGUUCCGGAAAAGUUUCGGAUAAAAUCGGAGCGCCGGAGGGUUACCGGUACCCCCGGGGGAACUAAUGCGCCACAUGGGCCUUAGUGGAGAGAGGGGGGGGGCGCCCCCCCUUUCCUUCUCCCUCUCCAUCUCCUUCCUUCCCCCUCUCCCCCUCUUGGUGGAAUCCUACUAGGAUUAGUAGUCCUAGUAGGAAUCCCCUUGUGGGGCGCGCCCUAGGAGGGCCGGUCGGCCUCCCUCUUGCUCCUUUAUAUACGGGGGCAGGUGGUCACCCUAGAACACACAAGUUUCUCUCCCAACCGUGUGCAGUGCCCCCCUCCACAGUUACACACCUCGAUCAUACCAUCGUAGUGCUUAGGCGAAGCCCUGCGCAGGUAGCAUCAUCAUCACCGUUGCCAUGCCGUCGUGCUGACGUAACUCACCCUCGUCCUCAACUGGAUCAAGAGCACGAGGGACGUCAUCGAGCCGAACAUGUGCUGAACAUGGAGGUGCCGUACGUUCGGUACUUGAUCGGUUGGAUCACGAAGACGUUCGACUACCUCAACCACGUUAUUGAAACGCUCCCGCUUUCGAUCUACGAGGGUAUGUGGACACACUCUCCCCUCUCGUUGCUAUGCGUCACUGAUGUCUACUACACAACCUUCUUCUUGUAGAUGUUGUUGGGCCUCCAAGUGCAGAGGUUUGUAGGACAGUAGCAAAUUUCCCUCAAGUGGAUGACCUAAGGUUUAUCAAUCCGUGGGAGGCGUAGGAUGAAGAUGGUCUCUCUCAAACAACCCUGCAACCAAAUAACAAAGAGUCUCUUGUGUCCCCAACACACCCAAUACAAUGGUAAAUUGUAUAGGUGUACUAGUUCGGCGAAGAGAUGGUGAUACAAGUGCAAUAUGGAUAGUAGAUACAGGUUUUUGUAAUCUGAAAAAUAAAAACAGCAAGGUAACUAAUGAUAAAAGUGAGCGUAAACGGUAUUGUAAUGGUAGGAAACAAGGCCCAAGGUUCAUACUUUCACUAGUGCAAGUUCUCUUGACAAUAAUAACAUAAUUGGAUCAUAUAACUAUCCCUCAACAUGCAACAAAGAGUCACUCCAAAGCCACUAAUAGAGGAGAACAAACGAAGAGAUUAUGGUAGGGUACGAAACCACCUCAAAGUUAUCCUUUCUGCUCGAUCUAUUCAAGAGUCUGUAGUAAAAUAACACGAAGCUAUUCUUUCCGUUCAAUCUAUCAUAAAGUUCGUACUAGAAUAACACCUUAAGACACAAAUCAACCAAAACCCUAAUGUCACCUAGAUACUCCAUUGUCACCUCAAGUAUCCGUGGGCAUGAUUAUACGAUAUGCAUCACACAAUCUCAGAUUCAUCUAUUCAACCAACACAAAGUACUUCAAAGAGUGCCCCAAAGUUUCUACCGAAGAGUCAAGACGAUAACAUGUGCCAACCUCUAUGCAUAGGUUCAUGGGCGGAACCCGCAAGUUGAUCACCAAAAGAUACAUCAAGUGGAUCACGUGAUAUCCCAUUGUCACCACAGAUAAGCACGGCAAGACAUACAUCAAGUGUUCUCAAAUCCUUAAAGACUCAAUCCGACAAGACAACUUCAAAGUGAAAACUCAAUCCAUUACAAGAGAGUAGAGGGGGAGAAACAUCAUAAGAUCCAACUAUAAUAGCAAAGCUCGCGAUACAUCAAGAUCGUGCCAUAGAGAGAACACGAGAGAGAGAGAGAGAUCAACCCCGAGGGUGAACUACUCCCUCCUCGUCAUGGAGAGCGCCAGGAUGAUGAAGAUGGCCACCAGUGAGGGAUCCCCCCUCCGGCAGGGUGCCGGAACGGGCUCCCGAGAGGUUUUUGGUGGCUACAGAGGCUUGCGGCGGCGGAACUCCCGAUCUAUUGUUCGCUUCGAUAUUUUUAGGGUAUAUGGGAAUAUAUAGGCGAAAGAAGUCGGUCGGGGGAGCAUCGAGGGGCCCAUGAGACAGGGGGCGCGCCCAGUAGGGGGGGGAGGGUGCCCCCACCCUCGUGGCCACCUCGAAGCUUCCUUGACUUCAACUCCAAGUCUCCUGGAUCACGUUUGUUCCAAAAAUCACGCUCCCGAAGGUUUCAUUCCGUUUGGACUCCGUUUGAUAUUCCUUUUGUUCGAAACACUGAAAUAGGCAAGAAAACAUCAAUAUGGGUUGGGCCUCCGGUUAAUAGGUUAGUCCCAAAAAUAAUAUAAAAGUGUAUAAUAAAUCCCAUAAACAUUCAAAACAAAUAAUAAAAUAGCACGAAUGCUUCAUAAAUUAUAGAUACGUUGGAGACGUAUCAGCAUCCCCAAGCUUAAUUCCUGCUCGUCCUCGGGUAGGUAAAUGAUAAAAGAAAGAAUUUAUGAAGUGUGAAUGCUAGCAGGUGCACAAGUUUGAUCAACGAUAAUUUCAAUCACCUUUUCUAGCAUGAUUAUAUGUCAUAACAGUAGUUCAUCUCAUAAAACUUCUCACGAUCAAGUAACAAGCUAUUCACAUGUUAAAGCAUAGGCCAUAAACUUUCUUGAAAACUAGCAAAUUUCAUUCUUAGUCAUCAAACAAUUACAAUUCAUCUUAUUUUCGGGAAGGGUCCAUGUCAGAGCUUUGAUUUAGCAAACUCCACAUACUCAACUAUCAUAUAGUCUUCUACAAUUGCUAACACUCACGCAAUACUUAUGGUUAUGGAGUUUUAAUCGGACACUGAGAAAGAUAGGGGCUUAUAGUGUUUCCUCCCAACGUAUUCACCUUUGGGUGAUGUCAACAAUAAUAGUUCAUGCUAACUUACAUCCAAUUGGAUAUAUAUAUAUAUAUAUAUCCUGAUAUAUAUAUAUAUAUAUAUAUAUAUAUAUAUAUAUAUAUAUAUAUAUAUAUAUAUAUAUAUAUAUAUAUAUAUAUAUAUAUAUCAGGAUCUUUCCAACACGAGGUGCUUGCCAAAGGAUAAAAUGAAAAAAGGAAAGCUGAAGAUCAGCUUGACUCUUGCAUAAAAGUAAAAGAUAGGCUCUUCGCAGAGGGAAGCAGGGAUUUUGUAGAGGUGCCAGAGCUCGAUUUUGAAAUAGAGAUAAAUAGUUUUGAGAGGUAUGAUCUCAUUAUCAACAUAACAACCAAGAGUUCCUAAUAUCUUCCAUACUACAUACAUUAUAGGUGAUUCCCAAACAGAAUGGUAAAGUUUUUACUCCCCCUCCACCAAUGAUCACACUCCACGGCCAUCCGAAACAACGGGGUACCGUCCAUACCAACAACAGUCCUGGGGGAGUUUUGUUUUAAUUAUUUUUAAUUUGAUUUUGAUCUUUUGAUCAUGGGACUGGGCAUCCUGGUUACCAGCCAUUUUUCUCGUGAAUGAUGAGCGGAGUCCACUCAUCUUGAGAAUAACCCACCUAGCAUGGAAGAUACUGAUAGCCCCUAGUCGCUACAUGAGCGAUUCGAGCAUACAAAACAGAUUAUUACUUGAAGGUUUAGAGUUUGGCACAUGCAAAUUUACUUGGAACGGCAGGUAAAUACCGCAUAUAGGUAGGUAUGGUGGACACUCAUGGCAAAAACUGGGUUUAAGGAUAUUUGGAAGCACAAGUAGUAUCUCUACUUGGUGCAAGGAAUUUUGGCUAGCAUGAGGGGGAAAGGCAAGCUCAACAUGUUUGAAUGAUCCAUGACAAUAUACUUUAACUGAGAUGUGAGAAAACAUAACCCAUUACGUUGUCUUCCUUGUCCAACAUCAACUCUUUAGCAUGUCAUACUUUAAUGAGCGCUCACAAUUAUAAAAGAUGUCCAAGAUAGUAUAUUUAUAUGUGAAAUCUCUCUUCCUUCAAUAUUAUUUCAUGAACUAUUCAAGUGACCAAUACAAUGCUUGCUAACCUUCAAUAAAUUUACAACCUCUACUUCUUAGAUGUGAAGUCAUUACUCCCCAUGGGAUAAGCAAAUGAAAAAUAUAUAAUUUUAGAUUUAUGACAUUCAACUCAUUCAACCAUUUACUCAUAGGAUAUAAGUGAAGCACAUGAGUAAAUGACAAACUACUCCAAAAAGAUAUAAGUGAAGAUCAAUGAGUAGCUAAAUAAUUGUGUAACUAUGUGAAGACUCGCUCUCAGCCCGGCCCCCACGUUGCUCCUUCCCCAGGGCGACACGGGCGGCCGCCAACUCCCCCCGGCCAAAGCUCCCCUCCCUCCUCCUCCCUCCUCCUCCCUCUCACCGUCGCCGCAGCCUUCGGCGGGCAAAGCCCGCACGGAGCCGCCGCCGGCGGGAUCUUCUCCUGCCCGGUGGCUUGGCUUGCUCGCGAGGUGGAGAACUCGUGGCGGAUGAUGGUGGUCGGUGGUGCCUGGCCUGGCGCGGCCCGCGUCGUCGCAUCUGGUGGUGCGGCUGGCGGCGGGGAUUGCGGCGGCGGUGGCUGGCUGGCGUGGGUGGCGGCUGCGAGUUGGAUUGGAGUGCUGGAUCGGGAGGCGCUCGAUCUGGCGGCCUCGUUGGGGUAGAGCUCCGGUGUCCGUGUCGGGGCUGCUAUGUGUUGCUGCCAGCGGGGUGAUGCGGCCGUCUUUGUCGCCGGGGCUGCAGGGCAAUGGCCGUUCCUUUCUCUCCCGUCAGAUCCAACAGGGCUUCGAGCCCCACGGCGGCGGCUGCUCGUCCGGCUGUGCGAGGGCUGGGCGGCGCGGUGAGUAGGCAUGGCUACGGCGGCGGCCUCGUGACGUCCAGCGGUGGGUCGAGGCUACGCGGUUGUGGGGGCUCCAUCUCGCUCGUGCGGCUCCGGCUUCCGGCGAUUCAGACCUGUUGUGGCUCGGCUGUAGCCUCUUGGCGGCGGCUUUGGCUGUCCUCCGGCCCACCGAGGCAAGGCUUGGGGCGAGGUCGCAGGCUGGUCAGGCCCUCCCUUGCCUCCAGCUCUGCGAUGUGGGCUCCAUGCCGUCGGGCCUGGCCGGACUCCUUCCGGCGGUGAAGACAAUGACAUGGUGGCUCUUGGGCUCCGAGGCGGCGACCCUGGGUGUGGUGAUGGCGGCUUCGGCCAGGGGGUGGUGCGUGUCUGGUCGUGGUGGAUCAUGGGAUCCCGUGGCCAGAGUGAGGCCGACCUCGGCAGGGGUGGUGGAUAGUGGGCGGCGAUCGGUGGUGGCAGGUGGUUGGACAUCUCCGGGAGAAAUCCUUGCUCCGGUCUUCACCGAAGCUGGCGACGGUGGUGCCUGUGGGUGCCGCGAUCUUUCUUGGAAGCGUCGUUUUGGAGGUGCUCCUCCUCUUCCCAACAGCUUGGGCUCCGGAGGGAAACCUCAGAUCCGCUGGAUCGGGCGAUGGAGGCGUCUUCGCGUCUUUUUCCUCUUUGGGGGCAUCGUCUCGGAGCCGAGCACGACUGAGAGAUUGGAGGAUGAUGGCAUCUUCGCCGUCGAUGGCGGCAUCUUCGCCGCGUGGUUUGCUGAGGCGGGGCGCUGGUUUCUGUUUGGCAAUAAUGAUGGCGUUGAGAGGAGCUUGGGUCGCGGCGUGGUCUUCGGUAGUCGGUUCUUCCCGACGCAAGUCCUGCAUAUUUCUCUUGUGUUGCUCGUCGUCAAAGUUGGAGCUGUCGGUUGCUUGCGCGUGGGGCCAUCUGUUGGCAUGUGCCGUCAUGGUUUCUAUUCCAUGUCGGUGGCCAGGUUGGUCGGUGGUGCCCAUGUCUUUGUGGGUUGUGUUGUAUCGGUUUUAGCCCAGUUUUCCGUCAAUUAACCGGGCAAUUCUCUUCUUCUUAAUCAAUGAAAAUGGCAAGUCUUUUGCCUCAUUUAAAAAAACUCUCUCUCAUUUAAGAAUUUCAGAUCUUGGUAUUUUAUUCAAACAGCAAGCAAAGCAAAAUAAAAUGACAUUGCAAGGAUAGCACAACUCAUGUGAAGAAGCAAAAACUUAGGCUCAACCGAUACUAACCGAUAGUUGUUGAAGAAGAAAGGUGGGAUGCCUAACGGGGCAUCCCCAAGCUUAGAUGCUUGAGACUUCUUGAAAUAUUAUCUUGGGAUGCCUUGGGCAUCCCCAAGCUUGAACUUUUGUGUCUCCUUAAUUCCUCUCAUAUCAUGGUUUCUCUUUUUAUCAAAAGCUUCAUCCACACCAAACUCAACAAGAACUCGUGAGAUAGGUUAGUAUAAACCAAUGCAAAACCUUAUCAUUUUCUACUGUAACAAAUCACUAAAAUUAUUAUUCAACAUUUCAUACCAAAUUCCUCUGCAUAUUUAAUACUCCUAUCCUCAAAUAGAAUCAUUAAACAAGCAAACAUAUGCAAACAAUGCAACCAUAACAGCAAUCUGCCAAAACAGUAUAGUCUGUAAAGAAUGCAAGAGUGUCAAUACUUCCCUAACUCAAAAAAUUAUAAUAAAAAUACCACACUGUAUAAGAUUUAUCAGAGCUCAAUAUGCAAAAAGUUUCAACAUUAUACCAUUCUCUGACUUUUCUAGGGAAUUUUUGCAACAACGGUAAACUUUCUGUUUUGAAACAGCAACAUGUAUACUAGCAAAAUAAGCAUGGUAAAGGCUAUCCUUGACAUUUCUAUUGAAACUAAAGAUGCAAAACAGUAAUCUAAAUAACAGCAAGCAAAUACUAACAAAAUAAAAUGACGCUCCAAGCAAAACACAUAUCAUGUGGUGAAUAAAAAUAUAGCUCCAAGUAAAGUUACCGAUGAACGAAGACGAAAGAAGGGAUACCUUCUGGGGCAUCCCCAAGCUUAGGCUCUUGGUUGUCCUUGAAUAUUACCUUGGGGUGCCUUGGGCAUCCCCAAGCUUAGGCUCUUGCCACUCCUUAUUCCAUAGUCCAUCGAAUCUUUACCCAAAACUUGAAAACUUCACAACACAAAACUCAACAGAAAACUCGUAAGCUUCGUUAGUAUAAAAAAAUAAAUUACCACUUAGGUACUGUUGUGAAGUCAUUCUAAAUUCAUAUUGGUCUAAUAUCUACUGUAUUACAACUUCUCUACAGUUCGUACCCUCCGAUACUACUCAUAGAUUCAUCAAAAUAAGCAAACAAUACAUAGAAAACAGAAUCUGUCAAAAACAGAACAGCCUGUAGUAAUCUGUAUGAAACGUAUACUUCUGGAACUCCAAAAAUCCUACCAAAUUAGGAAGACCUAAGAAAUUUGUGUACUAAUCCAGAGCAAAACGAAUCAGAUCAAAAUCACGUUUCUGUGAAUUAUCAAAACUAAUUUAUUGGGUGCAAAAGUUUCUUAUUUUCAGCAGGAUCAACACAACUAUCACCGUAAGCUAUCCUAAAGGUCUUACUUGGCACUUUAUUGAAACAAAAGCUAUAAAACAUGAUUACUACAGUAGCAUAAUCAUGUGGACACACAAAAACAGUAAGGAUAGGUUUUGGGUUGUCUCCCAACAAGCGCUUUUCUUUAAUGCCUUUUAGCUAGGCAUGAUGAUGACAAUGAUGCUCACCUAAAAGAUAAGAAUUGAAACAUAACAGGAGCAUCAUGAAGCAUAUGACUAGCACAUUUAAGUCUAACCUUAUUCCUAUGCAUAGGGAUUUUGUGAGCAAACAACUUAUGAGAACAAUAAUCAACUAGCAUAGGAAGGUAAAACAAGCAUAACUUCAAGAUUUUAAGCACAUAGAGAGGAAACUUGAUAUUAUUGCAAUUCCUACAAGCAUAUGUUCCUCCCUCAUAAUAAUUUUCAGUAGCAUCAUGAAUUAAUUCAACAAUAUAACCAGCACCUAAAGCAUUCUUUUCAUGAUCUACAAGCAUAGAAAAUUUACUACUCUCGACAUAAGCAAAAUCCUUGUCAUUCGGAAAAGUGGGAGUAUCAUAAGAGACUUGAAUACUAUAAAUUGUUUCCACAUUAAAAGAGUAAUGUUCAGAAAAAGGGGAAUCAUAAUCAUGACAAGUUUUAUAAAUAUAAUCAUCACUACUUUUUAUAGCAUAAGUUUCAUCACAAUAAUCAUCAUAAGUAGCAACUUCGUUCUCAUCAUAAUCGAUUGAAACCUCUUCCAAGAUAGUGGAAUCAUCACUAAAUAAAGUUGACACUCUUCCAAAUCCACUUUCAUAUUCAUCACAAUAAGAUUUAACAUCCUCCAAAAUAAUGGGAUCACUACUUCCUGAAGUUGACACUCUUCCAAACCCACUUUCAUCAAUAUAAUCAUCAUAGGUAAGAGGCAUGCUAUCAUCAUGACAACUUUGCAUAUCAAAACUUGGGAUGCUAAAAAUAUCAUCUUCAUCAAACAUAGCAUCCCCAAGCUUAUGGCUUUGCAUAUCAUUAGCAUCAUGGGUAUUCAAAGAAUUCAUACUAACAACAUUGCAAUCAUGCUCAUCAUACAAAGAUCUAGUACCAAACAUUUUAAUGCAUUCUUCUUCUAGCAAUUGAGCACAAUUUUCCUUUCCAUCAUUCUCACGAAAGAUAUCAAAAAGAUGAAGCGUAUGAGACAAACUCAAUUCCAUUUUUUUGUAGUUUUCUUUUAUAAACUAAACUAGCGAUAAAACAAGAAACUAAAAGAUUCGAUUGCAAGAUCUAAAGAUAUACCUUCAAGCACUCACCUCCCCGGCAACGGCGCCAGAAAAGAGCUUGAUGUCUACUACACAACCUUCUUCUUGUAGACGUUGUUGGGCCUCCAAGUGCAGAGGUUUGUAGGACAGUAGCAAAUUUCCCUCAAGUGGAUGACCUAAGGUUUAUCAAUCCGUGGGAGGCGUAGGAUGAAGAUGGUCUCUCUCAAACAACCCUGCAACCAAAUAACAAAGAGUCUCUUGUAUCCCCAACACACCCAAUACAAUGGUAAAUUGUAUAGGUGCACUAGUUCGGCGAAGAGAUGGUGAUAAAGUGCAAUAUGGAUAGUAGAUAUAGGUUUUUGUAAUCUGAAAAUAUAAAAACAGCAAGGUAACUAAUGAUAAAAGUGAGCGUAAACAGUAUUGCAAUGGUAGAAACAAGUCCCAAGGUUCAUACUUUCACUAGUGCAAGUUCUCUCGACAAUAAUAACAUAAUUGGAUCAUAUAACUAUCCCUCAACAUGCAACAAAGAGUCACUCCAAAGCCACUAAUAGCGGAGAACAAACAAAGAGAUUAUGGUAGGGUACGAAACCACCUCAAAGUUAUCCUUUCUGCUCGAUCUAUUCAAGAGUCCGUAGUAAAAUAACACGAAGCUAUUCUUUCCGUUCAAUCUAUCAUAGAGUUCGUACUAGAAUAACACCUUAAGACACAAAUCAACCAAAACCCUAAUGUCACCUAGAUACUCCAUUGUCACCUCAAGUAUCCGUGGGCAUGAUUAUACGAUAUGCAUCACACAAUCUCAGAUUCAUCUAUUCAACCAACACAAAGUACUUCAAAGAGUGCCCCAAAGUUUCUACCGGAGAGUCAAGACGAAAACGUGUGCCAACCCCUAUGCAUAGGUUCAUGGGCGGAACCCGCAAGUUGAUCACCAAAACAUACAUCAAGUGGAUCACGUGAUAUCCCAUUGUCACCACAGAUAAGCACGACAAGACAUACAUCAAGUGUUCUCAAAUCCUUAAAGACUCAAUCCGACAAGACAACUUCAAAGGGAAAACCUAAUCCAUUACAAGAGAGUAGAGGGGGAGAAACAUCAUAAGAUGCAACUAUAAUAGCAAAGCUCGCGAUACAUCAAGAUCGUGCCAUAGAGAGAACACGAGAAAGAGAGAGAUCAAACACAUAGCUACUGGUACAUACCGUCAGCCCCGAGGGUGAACUACUCCCUCUUCGUCAUGGAGAGCGCCGGGAUGAUGAAGAUGGCCACCGGUGAGGGAUCCCCCCUCCGGAAGGGUGCCGAAACGGGCUCUCGAGAGGUUUUUGGUCGCUACAGAGGCUUGCGGUAGCGGAACUCCCGAUCUAUUGUUCGCUUCAAUGUUUUUAGGGUAUAUGGGAAUAUAUAGGCGAAAGAAGUCCGUCGGGGGAGCCUCGAGGGGCCCACGAGACAGGGGGCGCGCCCAGUAGGGAGGGGCAACCUCGUGGCCACCUUGAAGCUUCCUUGACUUCAACUCCAAGUCUCCUGGAUCACGUUCGUUCCAAAAAUCACGCUCCUGAAGGUUUCAUUCCGUUUGGACUCCGUUUGAUAUUUCCUUUUGUUCGAAACACUGAAAUAGGCAAGAAAACAACAAUAUGGGCUGGGCCUCCGGUUAAUAGGUUAGUCCCAAAAAUAAUAUAAAAGUGUAAAUAAAUCCCAUAAACAUUCAAAACAUAUAAUAAAAUAGCAUGAAUGCUUCAUAAAUUAUAGAUACGUUGGAGACAUAUCAAUCACCUAGAUAGAUCUUGCGUGAUCGUAGGAAUUUUUUUGAAAUUACCGCGUUCCCCAACAUGUACACUGUCUUGUAGUUUCAUGACGAUGUUGAACUCAAUGGUGUUUUGCUCCUAUUACAUGUGAAUUUUUCUUCUUCCUUUUAUUUUAUUGUAUCAUGUUUGAAUACCUGUGCUAAACUUGAUUUCCUACUAAAUUGAGCAUGCACUACCUAGCCAUUGCGUUGUGACCAGCACCCUUGCGCCAAGGCGCGUUUCUGAUCUAGUACAUAACAGAGCAGCUCCAGGCCUUUUUAUGCAUUAAAGCCACGACGAGCUCGGUGUACUUUCGCUAUGAUGUUGCCUUCAUUGCAUCUGAAUUCCAACUGCCAUCUUGUUUCCCGAUUGAUGAACUCCACUCUCCAAACCAACUCGCAUCGUUUUCUUUUAAGAACAUCUCCAAUGGACCCCGAAGACAGGGACGGGCACUGAACGGUUUUUACUAGGCAUGAUCCCCACAAUGGUGCAACCUCAACCCCUCUUAAUAGCGUGGCUUUCCUAAGAUUUAAGUAAACCAGAAAAUACUUUGAGUCCUUCGACAAACUGGCACAUUUUGGGGGGAGAAAAAUUCACUCCAGGCCCUCAUACUCGUCGCGUUGGCCACAUUAGUCCCUGUAGUUACAAAUACCCGAAAAUACGUCACUGAACUUGUCUAAUGUGGUCAUCUAUGGUCGAAUAUAUGUUUUCUUCUACGUACGUGAUGAUUUGGCGGUUGAUUGGCAUGUCCACGGGGGCUUUGACUGCCAGCUCAUCUCCACGCGUUAUGGGCUGACCGAUUUGGUGGAAUGCGGGGUUUUCUUUUUGCAAAAUCGCCAGAGAAUAAACAGCAGCCCACCUGGUCGAACCUAUCCAUCCACCUGGUCAGACCAGACUGAGUUGCUCCCCUCCCCUGCUCUGCUCCGCUCCGCUCCCUUGUUUGUCGCCGAUGCCGAGGUGCAACCUCGAGCUUGCCGGCGUGGCCAACUGUGGUGAUGGCCGCCAUGAGCUCGCCGUCGGCCGCCGAGCCGCUGCCGUCUGCUCCGUUUGUCAAGGGCCCGCGUGACGUCCCUCUUGCCCCCUCCCGUCGUGAGGACCAUGCCUCGCCGCCACUGUAUGGUAUGUCACCGUCGUCACCACCUUCUCUUGCCGAUCUGUCCAGUUUAGCUCUGGGAAAGAGUGUGCGUCCGACUCAAUUGUGCUUAUGGGGUAGGGUUUAGGGUUCUUGGCCCUCCUUUUUGUCACGAAUGGGGUGCGCAUGUAGGGUUUUAGCCGUGGAUUGUGAAGUUAGUGGCAGAUCAAAAUUAGGGUUUCAUGAGGCCUUUCGAUAGGUUCUUCGUAUAUGAACUAUGGUUGUACAGAGGUAAAUAUGGUUUUGAUUGCUCGAUUUGUUAGGCUAAGGGUCUGCCCUGUUAUUUUGGCCGAAAAUGUUAGCUUCAAUUAGGUUACAUCCGUCAACCAUAUGUUGUUUUGUUAAUGAGAUGACCAUUUGUUUGCCAAAUCCCCUAAAAGAACACACUUUUGGACGUGAAAGAUCACACAUUUGAUUACUGGAUAUGCCAUGAAUUCCAUGCUUUUAUUCUGGAAAUGUCUGAACUUUCAAUGUCCGAACCUAUCUAAAUUAUCUAUUUCUGAGCCUGUCAGAACAUUGCCAUUUUGGUUAGAUUGGUGCAGUUACACUUAGCUAUUUGUAGCAAAGAUGCUAUUAAAUAGCAUGGUUCUGAGCCUAUCUGAACAUUUACAUUUUCGUCAUGUCUUCAAUUGGCUGAACUUAGUGCUGUCUCUGUCUGUUAUUGUUGUCUGAACAUUUUUGUCUGAACAUUGACAGUUUGGUUAGACUUGUCUUGUUACAUUGUGUCAAUUUCCUAGCUCAAAUGCUCUCAAAUAGCAUGGUUGUGUCAUUGUGCAGUUACAUUGUCUCUUCCCCUCUGUUAUUACCGUUUGUCUGAACAUUUUGUCAUUUCCAUUGUUUUGCAGGACCCCUAAGAAACCCCUUCUCUCUUGAGGUCAUACAUGGUGGCUAUUUCCUAUGUGUAGGCAAGCAUAGGGAUUACCACAAGGGCCACUCUAGUUGGUAUGACAACUAUGACAUAGAUAAUUGGACACCUACAGUUGUUGCCAGUCUGGUGGAAGAAAUUGGGUAUGAGUUUGAGGGCUGAAAUUGCCACUCUAAUUGGGUUAAUCUAGCAGAAGAUGAUGCCCAAGUACCACAACAGGAGGUCAAUCUAACACCAGAUGAUGAUGCUCAAGAUGGCCAACUCACACAGGAGGAGGUCCAUGUUGCUCAAGAUGUUGCUCAAGAAGAUGAUGAAUAUGAUACACCAGUUAUAUUUCAUGCAAAUGCUGAUCUUUUGUUCACUUCUUAUAUUUGAAUGCUUCACAAGAUGUACAAUGUUUAUCAGUUAUGUACACUUCUUUUCUUUGAGCAGGUGCAAGACUUUGGAUGUACAAUGCUUCACAGGAUGCAGCAAGCUAGACCAGUGCCUAGAGAAUACACUGAAACUAUUGUGCCAGAUUCAGCAUUUAUCUCAUUGACAGCUAGUUCUGAAGCUACAUCACAAACAACAACAGCUACAACUGAUGGGAGCCUGACCAUGAAGUUGCUGAAGAUGAAGAAGGACAAAGAAAGGCAGAUGCCAGCCAGAAGAAAUGCAGCACUGGAGGCCAUGAAUGAGUUGGCAGAGAGGAGAGCAGAGGAGGCAGAAGCAAAAAGGCAAGAAAUUGCUCUCAAGAAAGCAGAGGAUAAUGCACCCCAAGCAAGAAACGAAAAAUCUCGUACCAAGCAUUAAGCAUAAGUAACACCGAAUAAUGCACCACAAGUAGGAUAUAAAUUUCAUUGCAUAACUAUUGACUUCCAUGCUUGCAUAGGGAAUCACAAACCUUAACAUCAAUAUUCUUACUAAAGCACAAUUACUCAUCAACAUGACUUACAUAUCAUAUCGUCAUAUCUCAAAACCAUUACUAAGAAUCAAGUUUAUUUUUUCCAAUGAUCUUCAUGAAAGUUUUUAUUAUAUCCUCCUUGGAUAUCUAUCACUUUGGGACUAUUUUCAUAUGUUGUUUUUAAUAAGCUCAAACAAAUAUAAGUGAGCAUAAUUUUUUUCUUUCUCUCAAAAUAAUCUAAGUGAAGCAAGAGAGAAUUUCCUAAAAAAAUUACUAACUCCCAAAUAAAUCUAAGUGAAGCAUGAGAGAAUUUCUUCAAAAAUAACAAAGCACACCGUGCUCAAAAAGGUAUAAGUGAAGCACUAGAGCAAAUCCAUGGCUCUAAAAAUUUAAGUGAAGCAUAGGAGCAAGCAUAGCAUAAUUUUUGGCUCUCUCAAAAAGGUCUGUUCAGCAAGGAUUCAAGACUUAAAACACAAACAAAAACAAGCAAAUACUCAUAUCAUACAAGACGCUCCAAAAAAACUCAUAAUACGUGACUAAUAAAAAUAUAGCUUCAAGUAAAAUACCGAUGGUUGUUAGAAGAAAGUGGGGAUGCCACUCGGGGGCAUCCCAAGCUUAGUUGCUUGCUAGUUCUUGAAUAUUAUCUUGGGGUGCCUCGGGCAUCCCCAAGAUUAGCCUUUUGCUAAUCCUUAUUCCUUCAUCCAUCGCAAGAUCACCCAGAACUUGAAAACUUCAAUCACACAAAACUCAACAAAACCUUCGUGAGACCCGUUAGUAUAAGAAAGCAAACUACUACUAUAAGUACUGUUGCAAACCUAUUCAUAUUUUGUUUUUGCAUUAUAUCUACUGUAUUACAACUUUUCUAUAGCAAAAACUCAUCAAAGAAAACCAUAGAAUCAUCAAAGCAAGCACACAAUGCAAAGAAAACAUAAUCUGUCAAAAACAGAACAGUCUGUAGCAAUCUGAAUAUUUCGAAUAUUUCUGCAACUCAAAAAAUUCUGAAAAAAAUUAUAUUGACGUGAGAAAUUUGUCUAUUAAUCUUCUGCGAAAAGAAUCAACUCAAAAUCACUCUUCCGUUAAAAAUAACAAAUAAUCUCGUGAGCAGAAAAGUUUCUGUUUUUCAGCAAGAUCAAAUCAACUCUCACCCAAGUCAUCCAUAGGCCUUGCUUGGCACAAACACUAAUUUAAACCACAAAAACACAUCUAAUCAGAGGCUAGAUGAACUAUUUAUUGAAAAACAGCAAGGAAAAAUAUUGGGUUGUCUCCCAACAAGCACUUUUCUUUAAAGCCUUUUAGCUAGGCAUUGAUAAUUUUGAUGAUGCUCACAUGAAAGACAAGAAUUGAAGCACAAAGAGAGCAUCAUAUAGCAUGUGCCAAACACAUCUAAGUCUAACAUACUUCCUAUGCAUAUGCAUUUUAUAAGCAAACAAAUUAUCAAGGCAAGCAAAAACUAGCAUAUGCAAGGAAGAAGAAAGAAACAUUAGCAAUCUCAACAUGAAGAGAGGUAAUUUAGUAACAUGAAAAUCUCUACAACCAUAUUUUCCUAUAUCAUAAUAAUUACAUGUAGGAUCAUAAGCCAAUUCAACAAUAUAGCUAUCACAUAACAUAUUCUCGACAUGAUCCACAUCCAUGCGAAGUUGAGACUCUUCCAAAAUAGUGUGAUUAACAUUAACUAAAGUCAUGACCUCUCCAAACCCACUUUUAUCAAAAAAUUCAUAAGAUUGAAUAUUCUCCAAAGUAGUGGGAUCUAAAGUUGACACUCUUCCAAACCCACUUUUUUUGAUAGAAAGACUGUAAGGGAACCCCCCUACAGUAUAAUUGGUGCAACAAACCCAAAUUGCAAUUACCAUGCCUUGAACCUGGGUGGGUGGGAAGGCAUCAGCCCCUUCCCACCACUAGGCUAUGCCUUAUCAAUCUCAUAUUCAUCACGAGGCUUAAAUAAAUUUUCAUGAUCAUAAGAAGAAUAACCCCAAUCAUGAUCAUUGCAAUAAGUAGAGGACAUAUCAAAAUUAGCAUCCCCAAGCUUGGGGUUUUGCAUAUUACUAGCAUAAUUGACAUUAAUAGAAUUUAUUACAACACCAUUGCAAUCAUGCUUUUCAUUCAAGGAGCUAUCAUGAAUCACUUCAUAAAUUUCUUCUUUUAUCACUUCAUCACAAUUUUCAGAUUCAUGAAUCUCAAUCAAAACUUCAUAAAGAUAAUCUAGUGCACUCAACUCACUAGCAAUUGGUUCAACAUAAUUGGAUCUUUUAAAAAGAUUAGCAAGUGGAUGAGGAUCCAUAAAGUUUUCCUUCUGAUUUCCAAUAAAACACACAAUUAUGCCAAACAACCUAGCAAAGUAACCAAGUAAUACAUAAGGGCAAAAAAAAGGCAAAAAGGGAAGAAGGCAAAUAAAAUGGUAAAUUUUUGUGAAGUGGGGGAGAGGAAAACGAGAGGCAAAUGGAUGCAUGAAGCUUCCCCCCCCCCCGGCAACGGCGCCAGAAAUUGGGAGGAGAUGAGAUUUGUGAUUAGGAACCUGCUUGAUGUUGAAGAUCCUCCCCGGCAACGGCGCCAGAAAUUCCAUUUGAUAUCUGCUAGAACUAUGUCGGUAUUUCCCCAAAGAGGAAGGGAUGAUGCAGUAUAGCAACGUUAGGUAUUUCCCUCAGUGAUGAGACCAAGGUUAUCGAACCAGUAGGAGAACCUCCUCACACCACAUAAACAACACCUGCACACAAAUAGCAAAUACUCGCAACCCGACGUGUUAAAGGGGUUGUCAAUCCCUUUCGGGUACGGCGCCUCAAGAUAGGCAAGUAACAUGAGGUAAAAGUGGUAGAUAGGAUAAAUAGAUCGCGGAACAAAUAAAUUGCAGCAAGGUAUUUUUGUAUUUUUUGUUUAAUAGAUCUGAAAAUAAGUGCAAAGGAAAAUAGAUCGCAAAGGCAAAUAUGAUGAAAAGAGACCCAGGGGUUGUUGGUUUCACUAGUGGCUUCUCUCGAGAAAAAUAGCAAACGGUGGGAAAACAAUUACUGUUGGGCAAUUGAUAGAACUUCAAAUAAUCAUGACGAUAUCCAGGCAAUGAUCAUUAUAUAGGCAUCACGUCCAAGAUUAGUAGACCGACCCCUGCCUGCAUCUACUACUAUUACUCCACACAUCGACCACUAUCCAGCAUGCAUCUAGUGUAUUAAGUUCAUGGAAAAACGAAGUAAUGCAAUAAGAACGAUGACAUGAUGUAGAAAAAAUCUAUUUAUGUAGAAAUAGACCUCAUCUUGUUAUCCUUAAUAGCAACGAUACAUGUGUGUCGUUUCCCUUUCUGUCACUAGGAUCAAGCACCAUAGGAUCGAACCCAUCACAAAGCACCUCUUCCCAUUGCAAGAUAAAUAGAUCAAGUUGGCCAAACAAAACCCAAAUAUCAGAGAAGAAGUACGAGGCUAUAAGCAAUCAUGCUUAUAAGAGAUCAAAGAAGACUCAAAUAACUUUCAUGGAUAAAAACAUAGAUCUGAUCAUAAACUCAAAGUUCAUCGGAUCCCAACAAACACACCACAAAAAGGCUUACAUCAAAUGGAUCUCCAAGAGACCAUUGUAUUGAUAAUCAAGAGAGAGAGGAAGCCAUCUAGCUACUAACUACGGAACCGUAGGUCUACAAAGAACUACUCACGCAUCAUCGGAGAGGCACCAAUGGAAGUGGUGAACCCCUCCGUGAUGGUGUCUAGAUUGGAUCUGGUGGUUCUGGACUCUGCGGCGGCUGGAAUUGAUUUUCGUCGACUCCCCUAGGGUUUCUGGAAUAUUGGGGUAUUUAUAGAGCAAAGAGGUGGUUCAGGGGUGAUGACCCACAAGUAUAGAGGAUCUAUCAUAGUCCUUUCGAUAAGUAAGAGUGUCGAACCCAACGAGGAGCAGAAGGAAAUGAUAAGCGGUUUUCAGCAAGGUAUUCUCUGCAAGUACUGAAAUAAGUGGUAACAGAUAGUUUUGUGAUAAGAUAACUUGUAACGAGCAACAAGUAACAAGAGUAAAUAAAGUGCAGCAAGGUGGCCCAAUCCUUUUUGUAGCAAAGGACAAGCCUGGACAAACUCUUAUAAUAGGAAAAGCGCUCCCGAGGACACAUGGGAAUAUCGUCAAGCUAGUUUUCAUCACGCUCAUAUGAUUCGCGUUCGGUACUUUGAUAAUUUGAUAUGUGGGUGGACCGGUGCUUGGGUGCUGUUCUUACUUGAACAAGCAUCCCACUUAUGAUUAACCUCUAUUGCAAGCAUCGGCAACUACAACAAAAGUAUUAAGGUAAACCUAACCAUAGCAUGAAACAUAUGGAUCCAAAUCAGCCCCUUACGAAGCAACGCAUAAACUAGGUGUCGGUGUCAAAACCGGCGGAUCUCGGGUAGGGGGUCCCGAACUGUGCGUCUAGGCGGAUGGUAACAGGAGACAAGGGACACGAUGUUUUUACCCAGGUUCGGGCCCUCUCGAUGGAGGUAAAACCCUACUCCUGCUUGAUUAAUAUUGAUGAUAUGGGUAGUACAAGAGUAGAUCUACCACCAAAUCAGAGAGGCUAAACCCUAGAAGCUAGCCUAUGGUAUGAUUGUUGUUCCUCUGAUCUAUCGACUAGCCUAGCCCUGGUUUAUAUAAUGCACUAGAGGCCUAGGAUAACAAGAGUCCUAGCUGAAUACGCCGGUGGGGGAGGAGUCCUUGUCUUUAUCACCAAGUCUUGUGGAAUCUUCCUUGUGUGCGGCAACUGUCCGGACUGGCCCAUGAGUAUACGGCCAUGGGGAUCCUCGGCCCAAUCCAACUGAUCGGGAGACGACAUGGUGAGUACCCCCUAGUCCAGGACACCGUCAGUAUCCCCCUGAACCGGUCUUCAAGUUGGGGACGCUCCUCGAUUCUUCCUAACUGUUCUUCAUCUUUGGUCGUCGGUCUUGAAAAAUGGUUCAACAAAUCUUCUCAUCUUUGAUCUUGAGGAUCGCCGAAGUGCAUCCGAAGAGUUUACACGUUGGGUAUCCGAGGGGCCCCUUUAAGUUCCCGGCCUUUAUCAAUGCCUUGUUAUUUUUAUGCCAUGCCUCGGGUUUGAAGUUGUUCCCGGGAGGCAGUGUCCUCUUGCGUCCGAGAUCCAACGCAGGACUGCAUUCGAGGUAUCCUUUGCAGCCGAGCACCAAUGCCGGACUGCUUCCGAGCUCCAAUGCCGAAAUGUAUCCGAGCUCCAACGCCGGACUGUGUCCAAGCUCCAGCGCCGGACUAUAUCCAAGAUGUCAUAGAUCAUCUUGGUACAAAAAAGUUGAAGGAGUGUAGCCGAGCUUAAUGCCGGAAAUGCCCUCUAUGGAGCUAGCCGCUGGCGCCCGAGCUAUAUGCCGGACUGCCUCCGAGGUGGUGCACCACCCCGACCGCGGGUUGAUUUUUUGUGAAUAUUUUUAACUGGUGCAAUUUAUCCUCUGCCGAGAUAUACAACCAGUAUCCCUCAAGGUGUGUAUCAGUCUAAAACCCGAGACACACCUGAAGGAUAGCAUAAAACCGCUGUUCCCAGUAGCCCCUGAGACUCAGGUCGAUGCGCGACAUCGGCCUGAGGAUCAACUCCUAGCUCGGCAGCAUACAUAGGAAUAAAAAUGCAGUGUAAUAUAUUAGAGAUAAUAGUGAUCGGCGAACGGGCCCCUGAGAGAGGGUCGUGAGAAGUCGCCGUGAUAUAUAGCUUGAUGCCAAAUAGGUCCAGAUGGUACUUAUUGCUGUCCGAAGACGCGCUUUCCCAUAGUUCGAUCAAGCCGAAUGCUGAGCCCUUUGAAUUUUCUGCAUUGAAUAGGCAAUGCAGUAGCCCCCGAGACACUGGUCGGGUGGCAACACCAGAUUAGGGGAUCGAUGUGCCCUUUUAAUAUUUGUAAAUAGUGAGCGCAAAGCCCAGUAGCCCCCGAGCCUUAAUGUGGGCACGGGUGGCCGAAUUAAGGAUCGAUAUCCAGAGCAAAAUCACAGAUUAUGUGUAAUGAUUCUAUGUAUCCAAGUACUUUACAUCAUUAUUUUGACUCCAUUGCGACCGUUUAUCAGUUGAAAGUGGCCCAUCAUUGGCUUCUACCCCUUGGUAGAUACUAUGCAGGGUGUGUCCAAAAUAACAAAACAACCCUUAGCCGAUGUCUCGGUGCCCGAACGCGGUUGCGUUAGCGGAAACGAGGCAAUCAGAUAUGCGGGCUUUAUAACUUUCGCUUAGUCAUAGGAGCUUUAAACUGGGGAAGCUAACUAUGAGUCCCCGGUUAGUGUUCGGCGACAUCCAAGGUCAAGCCGUAAACACUUCGGCCAAUGUUAUGAAUGGCCCGUCAUUUAACAUAGUCAUCGGAUCGCUGACCAGUUUACGCCUAUUGUGACAGUCAGUUUUCGGCUUUCUCCACUGAGGUGCUUGACCAUGCGAGCUGGAAGCACAAUCGCAGUGGUUCUCCCUUUGCACACCUAGUCGAACAAAGCGGAACGUAGGAGGCAAGCACAGGGGCCGAGCAACCCAACUAUUAACCGAAGACACAAUUUGAAACCGAUGCAUAUAUAGCAAUAUCCGAUAAUGUUUUUACCGAAUCCCUAAAGGUGUCCGGCGUUGCACUGCGAGACUAAUGCUGGAAACGCACAAAUAGUUUAAAAGUGCCAUAGGCUCGAAAAGCCAAAAAACUUAUUCAAAAGUUUAAUGUCCGAACUAGAUCAAGUGUUCGGUGCCAAUCCGAAAAUUGGAUUUUUUUUAAAAAGGUGUUUCUGUCGUGCUUUAACAUGACACAUCCUAUCUCGAGACUUCAAGCGGGUCAGCCUAUGGCUUCAACCUCCUAUCCCAAAGGAGAAGUACUUCUCGUUAGGCCAGUUUAGCAAACUUUAGCGGCUUUGAGAGAGAAAUUAGGCGCCCCGGCUAUUGACCGCACACCCGCGUCGAAAAAAGGAGUGAUAGAAAAAAGACUUUGCAACGACUAAGAAGAAGAACACUUAUUAUAAAACAGCUCACAUAAAUUUAAGAGCUCCCGAGUGACUUGGGUAAAAGAAUGAUUGUAUGUACCGAAGUACUUAUAUCAUAUCUAUGUUCACCCGAAGUUUAAACGCGUCUUAACUGACCGUUGGCUUCUCCCUCUUUGGUCAAGGACCGAAAAGUGUUAUGUACUCCACCUGUCGAGAAUAUCGACGGUGUUUCCGAUAACCAGGCAAUCAGGUCAUAAGGCUAUACCAGACAAAGCGCGCUUAGGGAACUUAUGCUAUAUUACUGAUAAAGUGUAAGAAGCAUCUUCGAAGAAAAUAGUACCCCCACCGAUACCGUGCUCAUUGUUAAUAUGAGACUUGUGCAAUAGAUUUUUUGUACUCAUGAGUUCCGUUGUGUGCCGACCAUAAUUGAAAACAGUAAGAGCGCUAGCUUUCGGCUUCACCCAGUCUAAGGUCCGGCUCGGGUGACCCGAUCGUGACAAUCACAGAGGUGCUCCCUUUACUCCCUAGCCGAACAAUCGGAAACGUAGGGGUAAACAUAGGAGCAAGGCAACCCAGCUUGCAAAUCUCUUAAGUCAAUAUGGUGCAUAUCGUGGCGUAAUACACGAACAAGGAACGAAGCCGUACAAGUAUAAUCAUAUGCAAGAGGAAAGGCUUCAUGAAAGAAGCCCCCAAGUGAACUGGGUAUUUGAAAUUGUCCAUCACAAACAAAGUUUGGACAAGGAAAUCUUUUACAAGCAACUUUUUUCCAAAAAAGCAUAAUGCUUGAUCGAACCGAACACCAGUUAAAAAUUUAAAACUUUGAGCAUGAAGGCAACUUAGCUGGUUAAUGUGUUCGGUAUUGAUGACGCGGUCCGGGCUUGAUGUGGGACAAGGUUCCAUCCCCCAAGCCGGUCCCGAGGUGGCGGAGCAAAGAGCUCAGCACUCCGAAGUGGUGACAUAGCAUGGUCAAUGCAGGCCGGUAGAGUGAUGCCGAAGUCCCCGGCAUGGGGUAAUGAAGUGUUGAUGAAGCCCCCCGUCCAGCCGAGGUGACGCCAAAGGAUAUAGUCCGGCUGGAUCAUUUUCCUAUGCACAAAAAAAUAGUGCAAGCUAGGGGUAAUAGUAAUAAUAAUAAAAAAUGUUGCAUAAUAAAUAAUUUAUGCAAAGUGAGUAAUAUGGCCUGGCGCCGAAGUCAAUGUCGAUGCGGGGCGUCGGCGUGAUGCAGUAAAGGCGUGGCAAAGCCUGAAUUCAUAGGUCGGUCCGAGUUCUGGAUGCGGCGUUCGCCAGACUAUGUAUGGAAACUGACCGAACCACCAUGCGAACAUCGAUAAUGCGGUCACCAUUUGGUAGACCUAUGUACAUAUGAUGGACAAACCAGAGUAAUAAUUCCUUGGGAAAAAUGAACCCAAACAAGCAAAAAAUACUAGGAUUAAUAGCACAUGGUUUAUUUGUUGUAGCAAUCCGAAGGAAGGUGAUUCCCAAAAUUGGGACUCGAUCCGCACACCCAUUGCCUGAUGGGCGAUAAAGCGACGGCGUGGCGAUGCUGGCAAAGGUUGGCUUGCCGAGGCAAAGCCCUCGGUCCAACUAACGUGAUGGAGCUGGUAGGCUAGUGACGCUGAAGUCUCCGGAGUAGGUUGAUGAAGAGAUGUCGAAGCCCCUGGUCCAGCCAAGAUGUCGAGGCCUCGAUGCCAGCCGAUGAGUCGAAGUAGGUCGGCGUGAUGGACACCGGCUUGAAGAAGCAACAAUGCGGCCCUGCCGAUGCAGGUCGUGACGUGGUCAAUGCCGGCUUGAUGAAGUGUCCAUGCGGCGACGUCGGUGUUCCCGCCCCGUGUAAUCCGUGGGGUGGUGAUGUUGGUGAUGAUUUAUCCUUCACGAUGCCGAACUCUUGUUCGGCUUGCCGAGAUGAUGAUCCGAAGGGGUUGAGCUCGGCUCAACAAAGUGACGACGUGUUUAGCGCAGGUCGGCGGCCGUGGAGCAAUAUUGCCGGACUGGUUUGACACCAGCAUGAUGUUGAAGACCAUGUAUAUGUCAUACGACGAGGUGGCCUUCCAGUGCCCUAUAGGCGCUGGUUCUUAGUCGUCUCCUACAUUGGCGUCCAUACCAUCGAUGUCUUCGGACUCGAAGUUGAGCAUGUCGGUUAAAUCAUCGACAGUGGCUAUGAAGUGGGUGGUGGGUGGGCUUUGAAUUUCUUCGUCGUCCGCAUCCCAACCUUGCUGACCAUAGUCCGGCCAGGGCUCUCCUGAUAAAGAGAGAGACUUUAGUGAAUUUAGAAUGUCACCGAAGGGCGAGUGCUGAAAGAUGUCCACGGCGGUGAACUCCAUGAUCGGCGCCCAAUCGGAUUCGAUUGGCAGGGGCGCGGAGGGUUCGGAGUCCGGAGAGGAGUCCGGCACCUUGGAGUCACGGGCUUCGCAGAGGACAAGGCUGGUGUUCGGCUCGAUCGCCGUAGAGAUUGGAGCCCUCGAGGCGGUGUCCAGCCACCUGUCCUCAAUCGGCGUAGUCGGCUCCGAGCUAAGGGUCGGAGCGGACAUGGGUGCGGCCUCCAGGGCACUGUUCGGCGGCAGAGAUAGAUCAUGCCCAUCAUAAUAGUGCAGCGCGCUCGGCUGCGGCCCGAACUCGUCGAAGAUCAAGUCUCCGCGGACGUCAGCUGUGUAGUUCAAACUUCCAAAUCUGACCUGAUGGCCAGGGGCGUAGCUUUCGAUCUGCUCCAGAUGGCCAAGCGAAUUGGCCCGCAGUGCAAAGCCGCCGAAUACAAAGAUCUGUCCGGGGAGAAAAGUCUCUCCCUGGACCGCAUCGUUGUUGAUGAUCGGAGGAGCCAUCGGGCCUAAAGGUGACGACACAGAGGAACUCUCAAUGAAAGCACCAAUGUCGGUGUCAAAACCGGCGGAUCUCGCGUAGGGGGUCCCGAACUGUGCGUCUAGGCGGAUGGUAACAGGAGACAAGGGACAUGAUGUUUUUACCCAGGUUCGGGCCCUCUCGAUGGAGGUAAAACCCUACUCCUGCUUGAUUAAUAUUGAUGAUAUGGGUAGUAAAAGAGUAGAUCUACCACGAGAUAAGAGAGGCUAAACCCUAGAAGCUAGCCUAUGGUAUGAUUGUUGUUCCUCUGAUCUAUCGACUAGCCUGGCCCUGGUUUAUAUAAUGCACCAGAGGCCUAGGAUAACAAAGAGUACUAGCUGAAUACGCCGGUGGGGGAGGAGUCCUUGUCUUGAUCGCCAAGUCUUGUGGAAUCUUCCUUGUAUGCGGCAACUGUCCGGACUGGCCCAUGAGUAUACGGCCAUGGGGAUCCUCGGCCCAAUCCAACUGAUCGGGAGACGACAUGGUGAGUACCCCCUAGUCUAGGACACCGUCACUAGGGUUUAAGCUUCUGUCACUCUAGCAACCCAUCAUCUACUUAUUACUUCCCAAUGCCUUCCACUAGGCCCAAAUAAUGGUGAAGUGUUAUGUAGUCAACGUUCACAUAACACCACUAGAGGCUAGACAACAUACAUCUCAUCAAAAUAUCGAAGGAAUACCAAAUUCACAUGACUACUAAUAGCAAGACUUCUCCCUUGUCCUCAGGAACAAACGUAACUACUCACAAAGCAUAUUCAUGUUCAUAAUCAGAGGGGUAAUAAUAUGCAUUAAGGAUCUGAACAUAUGAUCUUCCACCAAGUAAACCAACUAACAUCAACUACAAGGAGUAAUCAACACUACUAGCAACCUACUAGCACCAAUCCCGGACUUGGAGACAAGAAUUGGAUACAAGAGAUGAACUAGGGUUUGGAGAUGAGAUAGUGCUGAUGAAGAUGUUGAUGGAGAUUGCCCUCUCCCGAUGAGAGGAGCAUUGGUGAUGAUGAUGACGAUGAUUUCCCCCUCCCGGAGGGAAGUGUCCCCGGCAGAACAGCUCUGCCGGAGCCCUAGAUUGGUUCCGCCAAGGUUUCGCCUCGUGGCGGCUGAGUCUCGUCCCGAAAAGUUGCUUCCUAUUUUUUUCUUGACGAAAGACUUCAUAUAGGAGAAGAUGGGCGUCGGUGAAAGUGAGUUAUAUCGACUAGAGGGGGGUGAAUAGGCGAUCUUUAUGAAUUCUUUACUGAGGAAUUUGCCGGUGAGGAAAUUUCUUAGCGAAGAACUACUUGCAGCGGAAUAAGUACUCAGAAGUAAGCAUAACAGGGUACAGGCAUGGUCAUCAUGAUGAAAUGAAGACAAGCACAGAGUACAGAAAGCGUAAUCACAGGAUAACACAAGAUGAAGACAAACAGACUGAAGAAAUUGAACUGAGGAAAUUGAGAAAGUCUUCAGCCAAAGUCUUGAAACACAGAUAUGAACAAUCACUCAACACAGUAAUGAGGAAAUGAAAGAGUUGAGGAAAUAGAACCAGUAAGGUUGGUGAAGACAAUGAUUUGGUAGACCAGUUCCAACUGCUGUCUCAGUUGUACGUCUGGUUGGAGCGGCUGAGUAUUUAAACUCGAGGACACACAGUCCCGGACACCCAGUCGCUGAGCACGCAGCUCAGGACACCAAGUCCUCACCGUAUUCUCCUUGAACUAAGGUCACACAGACCUCGUCCAAUCACUCGUGGUAAGUCUUCAGGCGACUUCCAAACCUUCACAGACUCGGUCACUCGGUGAUCCACAAUUCCUCUUGGAUGCUCUAGACCAUGACGCCUAACCGUCUGGAAGAAGCACAAUCUUCAAAGGUAACAAGCGCCGGAUCCACGCAGGAUCAAUCUCUUCAGUGAUGCUUAAUCACUUUGGGUUUGUAGGUGUUUGGGUUUGGGUUUUCCUCACUUGAUGAUUUUCACUCGAAGUCCUCGGAGGAUGGGUUGCUCUCAAAUGAUAGGUGUCAAGUUCUCUCGGAGCAGCCAACCAGCUAGUGGUUGUAGGGGGCGGCUAUUUAUAGCCUAGUGAGCAGCCUGACAUGAUAAGACAUAAAUGCCCUUCAACGAUAUGACCGUUAGGUGGAUAAGAUAUUUUGGGAUAGCUGGCGCGCAGCACAACAACGGUCGGAAAUUUGACUCUCAAAUUCCUCAGGGCUAUCAUGUUCCUCACUGUGUAGGCAAUCCGCACUGGCGAAUUCCUAACUCCUCAGUAAGAACAAAUUCCUCAGCGACCAGAAGAACUUCGUCUCUGUCACUGAAGAAAUUGACUGAACUGUAUGAGAUUUCCAAUGGCUUCACUCGAAGGGAUUGGUAGGUGUAGGAUUUUGAGUUGAGCAUCACAUGGAACUUUUUCCUUAGUAUUUCCUCGACCCCCUUUAAUAGUACGGUGUUUCCUAUGACUCAAGAAAGAGAAAACGAAACUACAAAAACAAAAGUCUUCACGCUUCAUGUUCCUCAAAUGAAUACCAAGUCUUCAAGGUCACACCAAUUUCUUCACUUUCAGAGUCUUCAGAAUACCAAAGUCUUCAGUCGAAGAACUUCAUUUUUAGGGGUCGACUUUCUCUGUAAAUAUCAAAUUCCUCAUAGACUUAUAGACCUGUGUACACUCAUAAACACAUUAGUCCCUUAACCUAUAAGUCUUCAAUACACCAAAAUCACUAAGGGGCACUAGAUGCACUUACAAUCUCCCCCUUUUUGGUGAUUGAUGACAAUAUAGGUUAAGUUUGAAACGGGGUUAAACAUAUGAUGCGUAAAUACUGAUAUUGAGGAAUUUGAUUGCAAGAUAUAGAAGAACUCCCCCUGAAGAUGUGCAUAGUGAGGAAUUUGCUUUUGAGGCAAUGCACAUUUGAAGAGUUGAAUCAUGGAGAUCUCCUCCUAUAUCUUGUAAUUUAUACACGCAUUUGACAUAUAGUAUGAAGAAUUUGAAAUGCAUGAUGGAAUACGGUGACUGAUGUAAUUCAGCAUGCGUGCAAUAAUUUUAAUGAGGAAUAAGCAUGCAGAAGAACACAUCAAAAGUAUCAGAGCACCAUUGGGUUUAAGAUUACAACUCGAUCCAAUAAAGUUUCAGAAGAGCGAGAGUUGUAACUUAGCAAAAAAACGCCCAUAUAAUAGACUCGCUUGAAGACUAACUCAAAUUUCUCCCCCUUUGUCAUCGAAUGACCAAAAGGAUCGAAACUGAGGACUAACGCCCCUGAAGAAUAUCAAGUUGAUGGAGGAGCACCAGCGUUGUCGGGGUCGGUUGUCGUAGUAGGGCCUGCCACAGUGUCGUCCAAGUCUUCAUUUUUAUCAGUGUCGCGCGAUGAAGAAUAAGAGCUGGCCACCAAGGAAGGAACCUUGACCUUCUUGUAUUUCUUCGGAGGAGGUGCAGACCAGUCAAAUUUCUCCUUCAUACCCAUUUUCUUUAGAUCUUCUUCGCUGUAGACAUGAGACAGAACAGCCCAUGUACGGUUGAAGGUUUCAUGGAGGUAGUAUUGGUUUUUCUUCACUGCAUUAUGUGUUGAGGUCAUGUUGUGAAGAAUUGAACCAAACUGAUGCUUGACCCAUUUAUGAUUGCGAUCAACUUUCUGAUGAAGACUAAGGAGUAACUCACGAUCAGUCAUCACCCUGGGUGCUGUGGCUUGAGAAUUUUGCUUGGCAGAGUUGUUGGCGGCAGAGUCAUGUGUGGCAGAGUCAUCAUUUGUGGAGUAGGAUGCAGCCUUGCGAAAUUGACCAUCCAAUGGACGAAUGCCUUCAUCUAUCACAGCAGUUGCCUUGCCUUUGUCAUCAACUGAGGAAAAUGGCCGUUUGAGGACUUCAAUUGGAGGCAAGUAACUGCAGUGGUUCAGAGUAUCAGCCUUGUAAUUGAGUGAAGACCUUGUCCUGAUGAACCUCAUGAUCCAUGGUGCAUAAGGCUUUAGCUCAAAUGGUGACAUAGCAAUAUUCUCCAGAGUCCUCAUGAAGAAAUCAUGGAAGUUGACGGGAACGCCAUGAAUGAUAUUGAAAAGGAUAUUCUUCAUGAUGCCAACGACUUCUUCAUCAUUUGAGUCGUGGCCUUUGAUAGGACUCAUUGUCUUCGUCAGAAUGUGAUAGACAGUCUGAGGCACAUACAGUAAUUCCUUGACGAGGAAUUUGGUUCGAGGGGCCUGCCCUGGCUUCAAAGGCUUCAUCAGCACUUGCAUGUAAUGAUUUGUAAGCUCAGGUUCAUUGUAGACGCAACGAGCACCUUCAAGGGAAGGACUGAGUGGGAGGGCACGAAGCAAUUCAGUUGUUGGUGCCUUGUAAUGAGCAUUUUUUGACAUCCAGUCCAGGACCCAAGAGUUCACAUCUUCAGAAUUUCCUGUGAUGUGUAGCGUCACAUAGAAUUGAAGAAUGAGUUCUUCAUUCCAAUCACAUAUGUCAGUGCAGAAAUUUAGCAAUCCAGCAUCGUGAAGAACACUGAGGACUGGCUCGAAGCCUGGCAGAGAUUCCAUGUCCACGUGAGGAAUGUGUGCAUGAUCGAAGACUUUGUCUUUGUUGAAUAGCACUAAGGAAUAGAAAUUGGCUUGACUAGCAGUCCAGAAACGCCUCUUCCUUAUGCGAGUAGAGUCAUAUGGGUUGUAGUCAGUGAAGAAUACAUGCUCGCUAAAGAAAUCUUCAGCCUUAAACUUUUGCUUGUGUGAGAAUGGAUCCUUUGGCUUUGGCAGUGGAGUGUCAAUGAGUUGCAUCACGACCUCAGGAAUUGCAAUCUCAGGUUCUUCAUGCUGAGGAAUUUCUGGUUCCUCUUCAGUUGCAGUGUGCGUUGUCAUAUGAUCAGCAGCAGCAGGUUCUUCAGCACUAGUGGCUGGAAUUUCUUCAUGCACAGACGAGGUGGGAUGAGUUUCUUCAGAGCCCAUUUGAACGGUUGGUGCAGGGGACUGAGGUAUUUGUUGUAGUGGGGUGAAGAGUGGAGAAUCGAGGUGCUGACUUUCCCAAAAGUCAUCGUUCAUCACUGGCGUUGUACUUCCAAUAUCCAUGUCUUCAUCUUCAAUUUCUUCAACACCAGCCUCUUCAGCUGUGAACUGAGGCAUUGGUGAGGAUACAACAGGUGUAGAAGGGAUCGCAUCCACUUCAAUUUCUUUAUCAAUCUGCUCUGACGAAGUAGCAGAAUGAUUUUCUUCAUCAGAUCCGCUAGGGAUCAUAUAUUCUUCACCAAAAGGAACAAGGUCCUUUGAUGGUAUGGUGGAGAUCGGAACAGCAUCAAUAGGGUUUUCAAACGAGCUGGUCAUAGGCUUCAUUCUCUUCGGAGCUGAAGAAUCUGAAGCAGCUGAUGCUUUCCUUUUCUUCACUGCAGCUCGCUCUGCAGCCUUGGUCUUCUUCACAUCUGAUGCAGAUGGAAGGAUAGGAGUUGGUGUAGGCGCAGGAGGAGCUGAGGAAUCUGGUUGAUUUGCUUCAGGCGCAACUGAUGCAGUUGCCCUGACUUCUUCAUGUUCUUCAGGCGCACCACUAGUGGAUGCCCUGGCAAUUCCUUCAGCGGCUGGAAUGGAGUCAUCAGCCCUGGAACUAGCAUUUUCUUCAGCAGUCUGAAGGUCAUCAGCGGUGCUAGCAUGUUCUUCAGUAGGCUGAGCAGAAGCUUUAGCCUGAGGAACUUCUUGUUGCGUUGGAGCUGCAACAUUGGUGAACUUCUCAGUCAGUUUAACAAACUUGACUUUGGCUCCUUGCCAAUCAGCAUAGUAGGCGUUGAAGUUGUCGCUGAGGGCUUUGAUUUCAGACUGAAUUUUGAUGAGUUCAUCAGUUGUCAUUUUGACAAUGUUUUUCCUCAGGAACUUCUCUUUCCUGAACUGAGCCUUCUUGAUCUGUCUGGACUUCUCAAAUUUCCAUUUCUCUUCAGAGAUGAAAUGGGUCAGCAUGUGACUUUGGCCAGGAGUCAAAUGAAAAUCAGGCAUAGGGGUGUCUGGAUCCUUGUGCCAGAGAUCAAUGUAAUCGAGGAUCAUCUUAGGAUCCAAAAGCAGUGGCACAGGUGUGCCUUUGGCUCUAGCAACCCUUUCUUGUCUGUCUCUGAUGAUUUCUGCAAGUUCAUCAUCAUCAGCUUCAUCGUCAGAUGGCACUUGGAAGGCAACUUGUUUCUUCUUCGGACUUGGCCGAGGACCUCGUCCAACCGUUGCCUUUGUCUUCAGCAGAGUGGGGCCAGAUGAAGAAUUUGGUGUGGCAGAGGAACUCGCUGAGACACCAGAGGCAAUAGAGAUGCAUGCAGUCCUUUGGCACGUGGCCAGAUGCACAGGUGCUGAGGACUUUGCCAGAGCAGCUGAGGACGUCGGAGGAGGAGCUGAGGAUUUUGGAGGAGCAGGAGAAGCAUGAGGAACUGGCCGUGAGGGCUUUGAAGAUUCUGGCCGUGAGGGCAUUGCUGAGGAACUUGGCCGUGAGGGCACAGUUGGUGAAGCACUUGGCUUGUGUGCGGGCUUCUUUGUCAUUGAUUUCCUAGGCUUGACAGAGGCCUCAGUGGCAGCAGCAGCAGCAGAGUCUUCAUUGAAUUUCCUCACUGCUUCUUUGGCUUGUCUUGCCAACUUGGCUUGGCGCUUGGCCCAUUCUUCAAGAAAAUCCUCACCACGCUUGAUGCUGGUGGGGUCAGCUUCUUGGCCAGGUGCCAAUGGAGCUCUUGGGCAUGGAGGAUUAAGUGCAAAUUUCUUCAUAUACUUUGGAGUUACAUACCUGUACUCCCUCCAUUCUCUUGCCCAUCUCCUUUCAAUCCUCUGUAUGCACACCUUGCGCUGAUUUUUGUUCACCUUUCCGAAAUUGGCCUCAUCAGGUGUGCAAUAGUCAGCAUAGAUGUCCUUAGGUAUUUCAAAAGCAGACAUGACCUCAGGCUUCUUUCCUCCUUUCUAUGGCUUCUUACCGUCUGCCAUAUUCUUCAGUUGAGGAAUUUGAACAAUCGAAUUCUCUGAAGAAGUGUGCAACUUUUCUUCGAGGAACGCUGCAAAUGAGUUAAGUUGAUGAGAACCUAGUGAUUCAGCAGCGGACAUGAGUACCUGUGAACAGAGUAUAGUUGCGAGGAAUUUGGAGAGGUCAUAUGCGUUCUCAGAAGGUUUUUCAAAAAAGAACAAGUUUGAGGAAUUUGACCAGAUGAGCCUUGAAGAAUUUCACUAAGCGUUCUUUGUCUUAGGUUCCAGAGUUGUAUAGAUCGAGGAUCCACACAAUUGAGGAAUCUUGAAGAAAAAAGAUGCUUAGAGAAACGAAUCAAGAACAGAUGACUAGUGAGGUGUUUUGUGUGUGAGGAUUUGAAGAAUCAAAGAGGGAAGUAAAAGUAACUUUUAAUUACCCUGGAUGAAGAACACGACGAACUGAGAAGUGUAGAUUUGAAGCUUGUCAGUUCAGAUCUUCCACGCCCUAACUCGGCGGAGGAAGACGGCUACGGCGGCGGCAGAGUGAAGAUUUCCGCGGCCGGCGCGAGUACGACGGCGACGAGGUCGAGGCAGUGAAGCUCUUCCUCACCGGCGACGAUGGAGUAGCGGCGGCGCUAGGGUUUGAGAAGCUAGAGCGAGAGAGAGAGAGCGGUCGAGCGGAGUAAAGGAUGUGAGGAAGGGGAGAGGGGGUAUUUAUAGUCGCAGUGAAAAACUGUUCGCCCAAAGAUUUAGGACGAACGUGCCCCUGACCCUUCUCAUUAGCUUGACAUGUGUCACCCACGUACUGAAAAGUGGAGAUCGUGUUAGAUCGUGGGUGAAUAGAUAAGUCUAUCGUAGGAAGCGGAACGGUUUGAGCGGCAAAGCCAAAAAUUUGGAUAAGAUUAGUUUUAAAGUUCCGUUCACAAUUUCUUCAGCUGACAAGGACACAAUGAAGAUUUUGAACGAGUUUCAAAUAGAACACACAUGAAGAAUUUGUGAAUAGAUUGGGUUUAGUAUAGCAUAGAGGGGGAAGGGUCUGAUCACAUUCACUUAGCAGAAAAUGCAACUUGAAGAAAUAGCCAUAAGUGAAUGCUGUAGAGGACAUAAACCCAUACAUAUAUAUAUAUAGCCAGUGAAGAAAAACGACGGAAACGGUGAAGAUUUUGCAAAGUUGAAGAAUUUGAAAAACUGAAGAAUUUCAAAACUGAGGAAAAACUCAAAUUGAAGAUUUUCAACUUUGGUGGUGGCAUGACCCACCGUAUAAGAAUGAUGAUUUCAGACACCGCGUACAAUUGUCAUAGGGUUCUGAGAAUCAAAUUCUUCAUUAAUUUCUUCACACUUAGAGUGUUGUUCUUCAUUGAUUGAAGAAAAACAUUUCUUCAUGUGUUGCACAUCUAAGUCAUCAAUUUUGCAUAAGUGUUAGGAUGAGUGUCCUUUUCAAAGAACAUUUGAAGAUUCUAAGAUAUUUAGCUCACACCGCAACUUGCUAAAUCUCUUCUCAUCCAAGGGCUUUGUCAAGAUAUCGGCUAGCUGGUCUUCAGUCUUCACAUGCUCAAUAGAAAUAUCGCCCUUCAACACAUGAUCGCGAAGAAAAUGAUGACGAAUCUGAAUGUGCUUUGUCUUCGAGUGCUGAACUGGGUUGUGAGCAAUCUUGAUGGCACUCUCAUUAUCACAAAGGAGAGGCACAUUAUUCACGUUGACGCCGUAGUCCUUGAGAGUUUGCUUCAUCCAUAGCAGUUGAGCACAGCAAGAACCAGCAGCAAUGUACUCAGCUUCAGCAGUAGACAGUGAUACACAGUUCUGUUUCUUCGAGGACCAACAGACCAUCAUCCGAGGAAAUGACAAGUACCAGAUGUUGACUUGCGGUCCACACGAUCACCAGCAUAGUCAGAGUCAGAAUAUCCAAUGAGAUCAAAAGCAGAGCCCUUGGGGUACCAUAAUCCUAGUGUUGGUGUGUGAGCUAGAUAUCGAAGAAUAUGCUUCACAGCCUUAUGGUGUGAUUCCUUCGGUGUAGCUUGAAAUCGGGCACACAUGCAAACACUAAGCAUUAUAUCUGGCCUAGAUGCACAUAAGUACAAUAAAGAACGAAUCAUGGAGCGGUAUACCUUUUGAUCAAAGUCAAUACCAUUUUCAUUAGUGCAUAGAUGGCCAUUUGUGGGCAUAGGAUUUUUGACGCCUUUGCAAUCUUGCAUGCCGAAUUUCCUCAGAACAUCCUUGAGGUAUUUCUCCUGAGAUAUGAGUAUGCCAUUGCGCUAUUGACGAAUUUGAAGACCUAAGAAGAAUUUCAACUCUCCCAUCAUAGACAUUUGAUAUUCUUCACUCAUCAUAUAGGCAAAUUCAUCACUAUAACGUUGGUCAGUACAGCCAAAGAUAAUAUCAUCAACGUAUAUUUGGCACACAAACAGUUCACCAUCAUAAGAUUUAGUAAAGAGAGUAGGGUCAAGUGAACCGGGUGUGAAGCCAUUCUUCAUGAGGAAUUCCUUCAAAGUAUCAUACCACGCCCAAGGGGCCUGCUUGAGGCCAUAGAGGGCCUUGUUGAGUCUGAAGACUUUGUCAGGAUUCUUUGGAUCUUCAAAACCUGGGGGUUGAGCAACAUAUACUUCUUCCUCAAGCUUACCAUUGAGGAAUGCACUUUUCACAUCCAUUUGAUGUAAAGUGAUGUCAUGAUGGUUAGCAUAAGCAAGUAAUAUGCGAAUAGCCUCAAGUCUAGCAACAUGUGCAAAAGUUUCAUCGAAAUCAAUUCCUUCAACCUGUGUGUAGCCUUGAGCUACAAGUCGUGCCUUAUUCCUCACCACAAGGCCAUUUUCAUCUUGUUUGUUGCGGUAGAUCCACUUUGUGCCAAUGAUAUUAUGCUUGCGAGGAUCUGGAUGUUUGACCAGUUCCCAGACAUUGUUGAGCUCGAACUGAUGUAAUUCUUCUUGCAUGGCCUAAAUCCACUCAGGCUCCAGAAAUGCUUCAUCUACCUUAGUGGGCUCUGUGAUAGAGACAAAAGCAUAGUGCCCACAAAAGUUAGAUAAAUGUGAAGCUUUUGAGCGUGUGAGAGGACAUGGUGCUUCAAUGUCAUCGAUGAUCUUUUCAACUUGCACUUCUUUUGCAACGCAAGGAUGAGAUGGUUGUCGUCGAGGAAUUUGAUCAGCAUUUUCUUCAGCACCAUUUUCUUCAGCAUCGUCUUCAGGUGCAUCAGCUCGACAUUCUUCGUGUUCUGGAAUGAAUUCUUCAGCAGAUUCUUCAGUAGGAAUGACAUCCUCAGUCGCCUUGAACUUGAUAGAAUCCUCAGGUGCUGGUUCAUCUAUCACAGAAGGUAGGUGCUCUCUUUGCGAGCCAUUAGUUUCAUCGAACCGCACAUCUACAGUUUCAACAAUCUUGUAAAGAACAUUGUUGAAGACUCUGUAGGUGUGCGAGUCCUUUCCAUAACCAAGCAUAAAACCCUCAUGUGCUUUCGGUGCAAAUUUAGAAUUGUGAUGAGGAUCUCUAAUCCAACAUUUAGCACCAAAGACUUUGAAAUAACUCACAUUGGGUUUCUUGUCAGUGAGGAGUUCAUAGGCAGUCUUCUUGAAGAAUUUGUGAAGAUAUACUCUGUUGAUGAUGUGGCACGCGGUAUCAAUUGCAUCAAUCCAAAAACGACGAGGCGUUUUGUAUUCAUCAAGCAUAGUGUGAGCCAUUUCAACAAGAGUUUUGUUCUUGCGCUCCACGACGCCAUUUUGCUGAGGAGUAUAAGGAGCAGAUAACUCAUGAGUAAUACCAAGUUCAUCAAGAUAGUCAUCAAGACCGUAAUUCUUGAACUCAGUUCCAUUGUCACUCCUGAUGUGCUUGAUCUUCACACCAAAGUUGGUUGAAGCCCUCGAGGAAAAUCGUUUGAAGACUUCCUGCACUUCAUGUUUGUAAGUAACAAUGUGUACCCAUGUGUAACGAGAAUAAUCAUCAACAAUAACAAAGCCAUAUAGAGAUGCAUCAUUAGUGACUGCUGAGUAAUGAAUAGGACCAAAGAGGUCCAUGUGAAGCAAUUCGAAUGGUCGAGUAGUGGUCAUGAUAGUCUUUACUGGAUGCUUGGACUUGAUCAUUUUUCCAGCUUCACAGGCUCCACACAAGUGAUCCUUGAGGAAUUUGACAUUCUCAAUGCCAAUGACAUGCUUCUUCUUUGCAAGCGUGUGCAAAUUCCUCAUGCCUGUAUGACCAAGUUGUCGAUGCCAUAGCCAGCCUUCUGAAGCUUUUGCAAGUAGGCACACGGCUGGUUGUGGUCCUGUAGAGAAAUCAACAAUAUACAAGUCUCCUCUCCUAAAGCCUUCGAAGACUUUGGAAUGGUCAGCUUCCAUAACCACAACACAACGAUACUUGCCAAAGACAACAACCAUAUCAAGAUCACAAAGCAUUGAGACAGACAUGAGGUUGUAUCCUAAGGACUCAACAAGCAUGACUUUGUCCAUGUGUAUGUCCUUAGAGAUCGCAACCUUACCUAGACCCAAUACCUGACUUUUGCCUUUGUCAGCAAAGAUAAUAUGCUUCAGAUGUGAUGGAGAUAAGGGAGCAUCCAUCAAUAGAUUCUUGUCACCAGUCAUGUGAUUUGUACAUCCACUAUCGAGGACCCACUCAAAGGCUUUGGGUUGAUCAUCCUGCAGAUGAAUUAGUGCAGCUUACGAACUCAUAUACUUCAUUAGUGAAGAAUAUGAUAUCAAAUUCAUCAGAUGAAUUUCAUCAAGCAGUAAAACAGAUAUAGCAGUAUGAGGACGUGUGAAAUGAAAGUUCAUUUCUUCAUGAUUAGCCUGCAUCCUUUCAGGCAUUUUUUGUCAGGCCCCCAGCAAAUUCUUCAGACGUUAAAGCACGUUGGAGACCUGACCCUGCAGAAGAGAUUAGUUCUUUUUCUUCACCACCCACAUCUGAAGGGGUGGCAAAGAGUUCAUCACUCUACGAGCUCCAUAUGAGAAUGUGAAAGUGCAACUAUCCCUAGGUGGUUUUGGUAAUUCAUAACAACAUAUAGCUCAUUGAGCUAAUGCUAUUCCAAGAUGAAUAUUUUAGGAAAGCUCAAUGAUUGGCAUGGCUUGGAUGAUGAAAGUGGAUCCCUCAAAAUAUUAAGGACAAAGGAUUGGCUCAAGCUCAAAAGCUCAAGACUCUACAUUUUACAUUUUAGUGAUCCAAGAUCACAUUGAGUCGAUAGGAAAAUCCAAUACUAUCAAGGAGGGAUGAGGUGUUGCUUAAUGAGCCUCUUACUUCAUGUGCUUAGUGAUAUGCUCCAAAACCCUCCACUACUUUCUCACAUCCACAUAUGACCUAAACCUAAAGUCAAACUCGGCCCUACCAAUUCUUUCUAUCCGGCGCCACCGAGUUCAGAUGUCAUAGCCACUGCCACAAACCCUAGGCAAAUCGGUCUCACUGAUAGGGAUCUCGAUCUCACCGAGAUGGGAUUGUAAUCUCUCUGUUUCCCUUUGUAACGUUUCGGUCUAACCGAAGUGAGUGAUCGGUCCCACCGAGAUUACAAUGUAAACUCUCUGUUUCCCUUUCGUAACUUUUCGGUCUCACCGAAAGAGCGAAUCGGUCCCACCAAGUUUACCUGACCAACUCUCUGGUUAGCUUAUUACCAAAAUCGGUCUCAGCGAGUUUGUGUAAUCGGUCUCACCGAGAUUACGUUAUGCCCUAACCCUAACCAUACCGGUCCUACCGAGAUGCAUGUCAGUCCCACCAAAAAUCCUAAUGUUCACUAGGUUUACUAAAAUCGGUUCGACCGAGUUUGUUGAUUUGGUCCCACCGAGUUUGGUAAAUUGUGUGUAACGGUUAGAUUUUGUGUGGAGGCUAUAUAUACCCCUCCACCUCCUCUUCAUUCGUGGAGAGAGCCAUCAGAACAAACCUACACUUCCAACUUACCAGUUCUGAGAGAGAACCACCUACUCAUGUGUUGAGGCCAAGAUAUUCCAUUCCAACCAUAUGAAUCUUGAUCUCUAGCCUUCCCCGAGUUGUUUUCCACUCAAAUCUUCUUUCCACCAAAUCCAAAUCCUGUGAGAGAGAGUUGAGUGUUGGGGAGACUAUCAUUUGAAGCACAAGAGCAAGGAGUUCAUCAUCAACACACCAUUUAUUACUUCUUGGAGAGUGGUGUAUCCUAGAUUGGCUAGGUGUCACUUGGGAGCCUCCGACAAGAUUGUGGAGUUGAGCCAAGGAGUUUGUAAGGGCAAGGAGAUCGCCUACUUCAUGAAGAUCUACCGCUAGUGAUGCAAGUCCUUCGUGGGCGACGGCCAUGGUGGGAUAGACAAGGUUGCUUCUUCGUGGACCCUUCGUGGGUGGAGCCCUCCGUGGACUCGCGCAAUCGUUACCCUGCGUGGGUUGAAGUCUCCAUCAACGUGGAUGUACAAUAGCACCACCUAUCCGAACCACGACAAAUACAUCCGUGUCUCCAAUUGUGUUUGAAUCCUCCAAACCCUUCCCUUCACAUUCUUGCAAGUUGCAUGCUUUAUUUUCCGCUGCCACUAUACUCUUUGCAUGCUUGCUUGAAUUGUGUGAAGAUUGCCUGACUUGUUCAAAGAUAGCUAAAAUCUGCCAAAGUCCAAAAUUGGGAAAAUGUUAGGUUUUUAAUUGGUCAAGUAGUCUAAUCACCCCCCCCCCUCUAGACAUACUUCAAGGUCCUACAGAAUGGUGGCAUAGAAGCCAAUCCAUUUCGUUUCACACAAGAGGGGUUAGGGUAAGCAUAUGAAUAAGCAGAGAAAUUCUUUGAGGACUUAUGAACAUAAUGGUUUGAGGAAUAAUGCACAUAUUCAUAGCCCUUAGCUCUACCCUGCGAAACAGAGUUGUUAGCACGAUGAUAAUCAUAUGAGGACUUUGAUCCUUUUGAGGAAUUUGAUCUACGUGAGGAAUUUGGUCCGUAUGAGGACUUGGGUCCAUAUGAAGAAUUUGGUCCAUAUGAAGAAUUUGAUCUGGGGUUCCUAUUCUUCACAGGUGGUGUCAUGAGGACAUUCACCUGAAGACUUUCAAGGCACCUUUUGGGAACCUAGAUUUUCUUCAUAGGAGAACCGUUCCUGCAGUUAGUGCCAACAUAUCUAGCAAAUACUUCACCAUUCUGAUUUUUGAACAGUUUAUAGUUGGAGUCAAAUGACUCAUCAGAAGAAUGAGGAGAUUCACAUGUAAAGCCAGAUAAGUUAGAUGGAUCAACUGGAGGUCCCUUUGCAGCAACCCAUGAGAUUUUGGGGUACUACUCAGGCUUCCAGUAUGUACCAUCAGCAUUGAGUUUCCUCUCAAAGGCAAUACCCUCUUUCCUAGGGUUCCUGUUGAGGAUCUGCUUUUUAAGCACAUCACACAGAGUCUGAUGCCCUUUGAGGCUUUUGUACAUGCCUGUCAUAUACAAUUCCUUCAGCCCUGCAUUGUCAGUGAUACUAGCGAUGUCCUCAGAUGAGGAAUUAGUGAUAGCAGAUGCAGGUGAAGAAUUUGUAACAGUUGAAGCAUUUGAACAUUCAGGUGAAGAAUUAGCAGAUUCACGUUCAAUGCACUUUAAGCAUGGAGGAACAAAUUCUUCCUGAGAAGCGCUGAUUUGUUGAGCUAGCAAUGAAUCGCGCUCCUUCUGAAGAUCUUCAUAACUCACUCUUAGCUUCUCAAGAUCUUGCUUUCUUUGAAGAAAUUCAUAAGAAAGCUUCUCAUGAUCAGACAAGAGAGUGUUAUGAUGACCUCGAAGGCUGUCAAACCUAGACUGAAGUCUUUGAAGAUUUUCAGUGAGGGCUUUAGUGUGAUCCAUUUCUUCACCCAACAUAUCAUCACUUUUGUCUAGCAUGUUUUGAACCUUUUCAAAAGCCCUUUGUUGUUUUACAGCAAUCUUAGCAAGUUUAGAGUAGCUGGGCUUGAGGUCUUCAUCAGAUUCAUUCUCACUAGAUUCAGAGGAGGUAUAUUUGAGUACCUUGGCACCCUUUGCCAUGAAGUAAUAGGUGGGAGCGUAGUCAUCAUUAUCUUCAUCAGCCUUGUUGGUGAGGUCAGUUUCUUCAGAGUUGAAGAUAGACUUGCUGACGAAUGCAGUAGCGAGAGCCAGACUCGCCACACCAGACUCGGACUCCUCAGAUGCCUCCUCUUCCUCAUGUUCCUCAGAUUCAGCUUCAGAGUCCAUUUCCUUGCCAAUGAAUGCCCGAGACUUCUUGGAGCUGCUCUUCUUGUGAGAUGAAGACUUCAAGGAUUUUGAUGAUGAAGAUUUUGACGAUUUCUUCUUCUUCUUAGCGUCAUCAGAACUGUAAUCCUUGUAUUUCUUCUUCUUUAAUUCCUUUUCCCACUGAGGACAAUCUUGAAUAUAGUGACCAGGUUUCUUGCAUUUGUGGCAUAGCCUUCUCUUGUAGUCACUGGAUGAGGAAUCACUGCUCCUUGAGGAUUUUCCAAAGCGGCCACGUCUUGAGAAUUUUUGGAACUUUUUCACGAGCAGUGCUAGCUCCUGGCUCAAUUCUUCAGGAUCACCAAGGCUGCUACCAGAAUCUUCACAUUCAGAUUCAGACACUGCCUUGGCCUUCAGGGCACGUGAUCUGCCAUAGCUCGAACCAUAGAGAUCUCUCUUUUCAGCAAGCUGGAACUCAUGAGUAUUUAGCCUUUCGAGGAUAUCAGCGGGAUCAAGUGACUUGUAAUCAGCACGUUCUUGUAUCAUCAAUGCCAGAGUGUCAAAUGAGGAAUCAAGCGAUCUCAACAAUUUCUUCACCACCUCAUGGUCGGUGAUGUCAGUGGCACCAAGCGCUUGAAGCUCAUUUGAGAUGUCAGUGAGGCGAUCGAAGGUUUGUUGAACAUUUUCAUUGUCGAGUCUUUUGAAGCGGUUGAAGAGAUUGCGAAGAACAUCAACUCGAGAGUCACGCUGAGUUAAGACUCCUUCAUUUACUUUGGACAGCCUAUCCCAAAUAAGCUUAGCAGUUUCCAAAGCACUCACUCUUCCAUACUAUCCUUUGCUCAGAUGGCCACAUAUGAUAUUCUUCGCUUGAGAAUCGAGUUGCUUGAAUCUCUUCACAUCGGUAGCGUUCAGUGAGGGUGAGCCAGUGGGAACACCAUUUUCCACAACAUACCAGAGAUCGUUGUCAAUUGCCUCAAGAUGCAUUCGCAUCUUGUUCUUCCAGUAGGGGUAGUCCGUUCCAUCGAAGGUAGGACACCCAGCUGAGACCUUGAUCAUACCUGCGGUCGACAUAACUAAAACUCCAGGCGGUUAAACCAAAAUCACACAGAACAAGGGAGUACCUUGCUCUGAUACCAAUUGAAAGUGAGUUAUAUCGACUAGAGGGGGGUGAAUAGGCGAUUUUUAUGAAUUCUUUACUGAGGAAUUUGCCGGUGAGGAAAUUACUUAGCGAAGAACUACUUGCAGCCGAAUAAGUACUCAGAAGUAAGCAUAACAAAGUACAGGCAUGGUCAUCAUGAUGAAAUGAAGACAAGCACAGAGUACAGAGAGCGUAAUCACAGGAUAACACAAGAUGAAGACAAACAGACUGAAGAAAUUGAACUAAGGAAAUUGAGAAAGUCUUCAGUCAAAGUCUUCAAACACAGAUAUGAACAAUCACUCAACAUAGUAAUGAGGAAAUGAAAGAGUUGAGGAAAUAGAACCAGUAAGGUUGGUGAAGACAAUGAUUUGGUAGACCAGUUCCAACUGCUGUCUCAGUUGUACGUCUGGUUGGAGCGGCCGGGUAUUUAAACUCGAGGACACACAGUCCCAGACACCCAGUCGCUGAGCAUGCAGCUCAGGACACCAAGUACUCACCGUAUUCUCCUUGAACUAAGGUCACACAGACCUCAUCCAAUCACUCAUGGUAAGUCUUUAGGCGACUUCCAAACCUUCACAGACUCGGUCACUCGGCGAUCCACAAUUCCUCUUGGAUGCUCUAGACCAUGACGCCUAACCGUCUGGAAGAAGCACAGCCUUCAAAGGUAACAAGCGUCGGAUCCACGCAGGAUCAAUCUCUUCAGUGAUGCUCAAUCACUUUGGGUUUGUAGGUGUUUGGGUUUGGUUUUUCCUCACUUGAUGAUUUUCACUCAAAGUCCUCGGAGGAUGGGUUGCUCUCAAAUGACAAGUGUCAAGUUCUCUCAGAGCAGCCAACCAGCUAGUGGUUGUAGGGGGCGGCUAUUUAUAGCCUAGGGAGUAGCCUGACAUGAUAAGACAUAAAUGCCCUUCAAUGAUAUGACCGUUAGGUGGAUAAGAUAUUUUGGGACAGCUGGCGCGUAGCACAGCAACAGUCGGAAAUUUGACUCUCAAAUUCCUCAGGGCUAUCAUGUUCCUCACUGUGUAGGCAAUCCGCACUGGCGAAUUCCUAACUCCUCAGUCAGAAAAAAUUCCUCAGCGACCAGAAGAACUUCGUCUCUGUCACUGAAGAAAUUGACUGAACUGUAUGAGAUUUCCAAUGGCUUCACUCGAAGGGAUUGGUAGGUGUAGAAUUUUGAGUUGAGCAUCACAUGGAAAUUUUUCCUUAGUAUUUCCUCGACCCCCUUUAACAGUACGGUGUUUCCUAUGACUCAAGAAAGAGAAAACGAAACUACGAAAACAAAAGUCUUCACGCUUCAUGUUCCUCAAAUGAAUACCAUGUCUUCAAGGUCACACCAAUUUCUUCACUUUCAAAGUCUUCAGAAUACCAAAGUCUUCAGUCGAAGAACUUCAUUUUUAGGGGUCGACUUUCUCUAUAAAUAUCAAACUCCUCAUAGACUUAUAGACCUGUGUACACUCAUAAACACAUUAGUCCCUUAACCUAUAAGUCUUCAAUACACCAAAAUCACUAAGGGGCACUAGAUGCACUUACAGUCGGAGAGCCACCAGGGGGCCCACGAGGUAGGGGGCGCGCCCCCCACCCUCGUGAGCAGGGUGUGGGCCCCCUAGCCUUCAUCUUUGGCGACGAUUUUUCUUUAUUUAUUUUAAGAUAUUCCAUGGAGUUUCAGGACUUUUGGAGUUGCACAGAAUAGGUCUCCAAUAUUUGCUCCUUUUCCAGCCCAGAAUUCCAGCUGCCGGCAUUCUCCCUCUUCAUGUGAACCUUGUAAAAUAAGAGAGAAUAGCCAUAAGUAUUGUGACAUAACAUGAAAUAACAACCCAUAUUGCAAUAAAUAUCGAUAUAAAAGCAUGAUGCAAAAUGGACGUAUCAACUCCCCCAAGCUUAGACCUCGCUUGUCCUCAAGCGAAAAGCCGAUAACAAUAAAUAUGUCCUCAUGUUUAGGGGUAGAGGCGUCGAUAAAAAUAAAAUAUGAACAUGCAGGCAUCAUGAUUAUUCUCAUAACAGCAACAUAUAUAGAUUUUGUCAUAUGAUUACUUAUGUUCAAGUGAUGAUCUUUUCACAAUGCGAAAGUAUGAAUUAGAAACCUUAUUGAGCACCAACAAGUUAUAACCUCAGUCAUUGAAGCAAUCGCAAUUUAUCAUAACAUUGGAAAGAGUCUAUGUCAGAGCUUAAAAGCAAGUCCACAUAUUCAACUAUCAUUUAGUCCUUCAUAAUUGCUAACACUCACGCAAUACUUGUGGUUACGGAGUUUUAAUCAGACACAGAGAAAGAUAGGGGCUUAUAGUUUUGCCCCACAACCUUUUACCUCAAGGGUAAUGUCAACAAUAAUAACUCAUGCUCCCCUACAUCCAAUUAGAUAUGUAUAUCAUGUUCUUUCCAACAUGCUGAGCUUGCCAAAGGAUAAAAUGAAAAAGGAAAGGUGAAGAUCAGCGUGACUCUUGCAUAAGGUAGAGGAUAAUAAUAAAAGAUAGGCCCUUCGCAGAGGGAACCAGAGGUUGCCAUGCGCUUUUAUGGUUGGAUGCACAAAAUCUCAAUGCGAAAGAACGUCACUUUAUAUUGCCCCUUGUGAUAUGAACCUUUAUUAUGCAGUCCGUCGCUUUUAUUACUUUCAUAUCACAAGAUCGUAUAAAGCUUAUUUCUCCCACACCAAUCAAUCAUACAUAUUUAGAGCAAUUUUUAUUGCUUUGCACCGAUGACAACUUACUUGAAGGAUCUUACUCAAUCCAUAGGUAGAUAUAGUGGACUCUCAUGGCAAAACUGGUUUAAGGAUAUUUGGAAGCACAAGUAGUAUCUCUACUUGGUGCUGAGAAUUUGGCUAGCAUGAGGGGGAAAGGCAAGCUCAACCCGUUAGAGGAUCCACGACAACAUACUUUAUCUCAGAUGUAAGAAAACAUAACUCAUCAUGUUGUCUUCCUUGUCCAACCUCAACUCUUUAGCAUGUCAUAUUUUAAUGAGUGCUCCCAAUCAUAAAAGAUGUCAAUGAUAAUAUAUCUAUAUGUGAAACCUCUCUUUCCUUAUUACUUCCUAUUUAUUGCAACGAUGACCAAAGCUAUAUUUUCCAACUCCCAACAACUUUUAAUCAUCAUACUCUUUCUAUGUGAAGUCAUUACUUUCAAUAAGAUCAAUAUGAACUCUUUGAUUCUUUUUAUUCUUUUUCUUUUAUUCACCCAAGAUCAUGGCAAAAUAAUCAAGCCCUUGACUCAACACUAAUCUUUAUUAUAUAUAUAGCUCACGGACUCGAUUACAUAGAGGGAUCAUAAAGCAAAACUCAUAACUAGAUCAUGCCAUAAACUUUAUUCUACUAGAACAGGAUACUACUAAUGGGAUCAAACUAAGAAAAACGGUAAAGAUAGGAGUUGUGAUGGUGAUACGAUACCGGGGCACCUCCCCCAAGCUUGGCAGUUGCCAAGGGGAGUGCCCAUACCCAUGUGAUUAUAUCUCCUUCUUUGUUGUUGGUGUAAUAUUUUUGGCGAUGAUUCCCCUCAAGAUACGGUUCUCCUCCUCGAGCUUAUUGACUUGCUGCUUGAGGUCCAUUAUUUCCUUGCGAAGCUUUCCUGUAAUGGCUAAAGCUCCUUGCACCCAAGGGUGUUGCAUAGCUGCGGGAGAACAAGAGACACUCCUCCUCAUAUUCUCAUAAGAAAGAAAUCUAACAUUGGAAGGGAUAAUCGAGUUUGGAAUAGCUGAGCUCUGUAGUUCCCCCAUCGUAAACCCAGCUCGGAGGCGAGAGGUGACUUCUUGAUCUUCCAUGGCAUCUACCCUCAUCAGGUCAGCCUCCAUCUCUUCCUCUGUUGCUGGCCCAAAGUGGUCAGCGUCGCUGUUUGCCCUUGGUUCCGGUGCCUGGUUAGAUACCCGGCUCUCCCCGACUGACUCCUGAGAAGACAUCUUGCUCUAAUCUGCAGCAGCAACAGCUCGAAACAAAAACAGAGGAUAUUUGCGUGAUACGGGAGUCAAAACCUUCGGGAGAAUAUAUAAUGAAUUUUUACCGACCAAAACAUGUAUCAUGCAAGAAAACGGAGUCCGGAGGGUGCACGAGGUGCUCACGAGGUAGGGGGGCGCGCCCAGGGGGGUAGGGCGCGCCCACCACCCUCGUGUCCUUUCUGGACUGCCACUUAUUUUUCUAUUUUUCUAAAUAUUCCAAAACUGAGAAAUAUUGCCUUAAAAAUUGUUUUGGAGUCGGCUUACUUACCAUACCACAUACCUAUUCCUUUUCGGAGUCUGAAACGGUCGGGAAAGUGUCCCUUAUGUAUUCCCCCGGGGUUACGGUUUCAAUAAUAUUGGUUUCAACAUUUAUAGGAUUACCUGAAAUAUAGUGUUUGAUCCUUUGACCGUUUACCACCUUCGGAUUUGUGCCUUCGAAGUUGUUGAUUUUAUAGCACCGGAACGAUAGACCUCCUCGAUAACAUAGGGACCUUCCCAUUUAGAGAGAAGUUUUCCUGCAAAAAAUCUUAAACGAGAGUUGUAUAGCAAUACAUAAUCACCUACAUUAAACUCACGCUUUUGUAUCCUUUUGUCAUGCCAUCUCUUAACUUUUUCUUUAAACAACUUAGCAUUUUCAUAAGCUUGGGUUCUCCAUUCAUCGAGUGAGCUAAUAUCAAAUAACCUCUUUUCACCGGCAAGUUUGAAAUCAUAGUUGAGCUCUUUAAUAGCCCAAUAUGCCUUAUGUUCUAGUUCGAGAGGUAAGUGACAUGCUUUUCCAUAAACCAUUUUAUACGGAGACAUACCCAUAUGAUUCUUAUAUGCAGUUAUAUAGGCCCAUAAUGCAUCAUCAAGUUUCUUGGACCAAUUCUUCCUAGACCUAUUAAUAGUCUUUUGCAAAAUUAAUUUGAGCUCUCUAUUGCUCAAUUCUACUUGACCACUAGACUGCGGGUGAUAAGGGGAUGCAAUUCUAUGAUUAACAUCACAUUUAGCAAGCAUUUUAUGGAAAGCACCAUGAAUAAAGUGUGAACCACCAUCAGUCAUUAAAUAUCUAGGGACUCCAAACCUCGGAAAAAUAACUUCCUUAAGCAUUUUAAUAGAGGUGUUAUGAUCAGCACUACUAGUUGGAAUAGCUUCUACCCACUUAGUAACGUAAUCAACAGCAACCAAAAUAUGUGUAUAUCCAUUAGAGGCAGGAAAAGGUCCCAUAUAAUCAAAGCCCCAAACAUCAAAUGGUUCUAUAACAAGUGAAUAAUUCAUAGGCAUUUCAUGACGUCUACUAAUAUUACCAAUUCUUUGGCAUUCAUCACAAGACAAGACAAACUUACGGGCAUCCUUGAAAAGAGUAGGCCAAUAAAAACCGGAUUGCAAUACCUUAUGUGCAAUUCUAUCUCCAGCGUGGUGUCCUCCAUAAGCUACGGAGUGACACUUGCGUAGGAUUUGUUCAUGUUCAUGCUCAGGCACACAACGUCUAAUAACACCAUCUACUCCUUCUUUAUAAAGAUGUGGGUCAUCCCAAAAGUAAUGUCGCAAAUCAUAGAAAAACUUUUUCUUUUGCUGGUAUGUGAAGCUAGGUGGUAUAAAUAUAGCAACAAUAUAAUUAGCAUAAUCAGCAUACCAUGGAGUGCUAUGAGAAGUGCUUAUGACAUUUAAUUGUUCAUCAGGAAAGCUAUCAUCAAUAGGUAGUGGGUCAUCAAGAACAUUCUCUAACCUAGACAAGUUGUCUGCAACGGGGUUCUCAGCUUUUUUUUCUAUCAACAAUAUGUAAAUCAAAUUCUUGUAGCAAAAGAGAACCCAUCUAAUAAGUCUAGGCUUUGCAUCUUUCUUUUCCAUAAGAUAUUUAAUAGCAGCAUGAUCAGUGUGAAUAGUUACUUUAGAAUCAACAAUAUAGGGUCUGAAUUUAUCACAAGCAAAUACAACUGCUAAAAGUUCCUUUUCAGUAGUAGCAUAAUUUCUUUGAGCAUUGUCUAGAGUCUUACUAGCAUAAUGGAUAACAUUUAAUUUCUUAUCAACUCUUUGUCCUAGAAUAGCACCUACAGCAUAAUCACUAGCAUCACACAUAAUUUCAAAGGGUAAAUUCCAAUCAGGUGGCUGAACAACAGGUGCAGAGACUAAUGCUUUCUUAAGUAUUUCAAAUGCUUCUACACAAUCAUCAUCAAAGACAAAUGGUACAUCUUUUUGUAAUAAAUUAGUCAGAGGCCGAGAAAUUUUUGAGAAGUCCUUAAUGAACCUCCUAUAAAAUCCGGCGUGACCAAGGAAACUUCUUAUACCUUUGAUGUCCUUGGGACAUGGCAUCUUUUCAAUAGCAUCAACCUUGGCUUUAUCAACUUCAAUACCUCUUUCAGAAACUUUGUGCCCCAAGACAAUACCUUCAUUAACCAUAAAGUGGCACUUUUCCCAAUUCAAGACAAGAUUAGUUUCUUCACAUCUCUGCAAAACUCGAUCAAGAUUGCUCAAGAAAUCAUCAAAAGAGGAUCCAUAGACGGAAAAGUCGUCCACGAAAACCUCACAAAUCUUUUCACAAAAGUCGGAGAAUAUAGCCAUCAUGCAUCUUUGAAAGGUAGCAGGUGCAUUACAUAGACCAAAAGGCAUACGUCUAUAAGCAAAAGUACCAAAAGGGCAUGUAAAAGUAGUCUUUGAUUGAUCUUUAGCCGACACAGGUAUUUGAGAGAAACCAGAAUAACCAUCUAGAAAGCAAUAAUGUGUAUGUUUGCAUAAUCUUUCUAGCAUCUGAUCAAUAAAAGGUAAGGGGUAAUGAUCUUUCUUAGUAGCUUUAUUUAAUUUGCGGAAAUCAAUUACCAUCCUAUAACCUGUGAUAAUUCUUUGAGGGAUCAAUUCAUCUUUAUCAUUAGGGACAACAGUAAUACCUCCCUUCUUAGGGACACAAUGGACAGGACUUACCCACUGACUAUCAGCAACGGGAUAAAUUAUACCUGCCUCCAGAAGCUUGAGUAUUUCUUUUCUUACCACUUCUUUCAUUUUAGGAUUCAAACGUCGUUGAGGAUCACGAACUGGUUUGGCAUCCGCUUCCAAAUUUAUUUUAUGUUGACAUAGAGUGGGACUAAUGCCCUUAAGAUCAUCAAGAGUAUAUCCAAUAGCGGCACGGUGCUUCUUCAGAGUUUUCAAUAAUCUUUCUUCUUCAUGCUCUGAAAGGUUAGCACUAAUAAUAACAGGAUAUAUUUUCUUUUCAUCAAGAUAAGCAUAUUUAAGAUUAUCAGGCAAUGGUUUAAGCUCAAACACGGGAUCACCCUUGGGUGGAGGAGGAUCCCCUAGGAUUUCAACAGGCAAAUUGUGUUUCAGAAUAGGUUCCUGUUUAAAGAAUACUUCAUCUAUUUCCCUUCUUUCAUUCAUGAACAUAUCAUUUUCAUGGUCUAGCAAAUAGUGUUCUAAAGGAUCACUAGAAGGUACGACAAUAGAAGCAAGACCAAUAAUUUCAUCCUUACUAGGCAAUUCUUCUUCACGAUGUUGUUUACUAAAUUUAGAGAAAUUAAACUCAUGAACCAUAUCAUCCAAGCCAAUAGUAACAACAUUCUUUUUGCAGUCUAUCUUAGCAUUAACAGUAUUCAAGAAGGGUCUACCAAAUAUAAUGGGACAAAAGCUAUCUUGUGGAGAACUAAGAACAAGAAAAUCAGCAGGAUAUUUAGUUUUCCCACACAAGACUUCAACAUCUCUAACAAUUCCCAUUGCAGAUAUAGUAUCUCUAUUGGCAAGUUUAAUUGUAACAUCAAUAUCUUCUAACUCAGCAGGUGCAAUUUCAUGCUUGAUUUCCUUAUAUAAAUCAUAAGGUAUAACACUAGCACUAGCACCCAUAUCACAUAAGCCAUGAUAACAAUGAUCUCCUAUUUUAACAGAAAUAACAGGCACGCCUACCACAUGCAUAUGUUUAUCUUUAUCACACGGUUUAGCAAUUCUAGCAGUUUCACCGCAGAACUGAAUAACAUGCCCAUCAAUAUUAUCAGACAAGAGAUCCUUAACAAUAGCAAUAUUAGGUUCUACUUUGACUUGCUCAAGAGGUGUAUAAGUUCUAAUAUUGCUUUUAUGAACAACAGUUGAAGCUUUAGCAUGAUCCUUUAUUCUAACAGGGAAAGGUGGUUUCUCAACAUAAGAAGCAGGAACAAUAGGAUCAUUAUAAGUGACAGUCUUUUCUUCAACUUUAAUAGGUGCAGCUACUUUUACUUCUAUGGGAGGAUGAUAUUUAAACCACUUCUCCUUGGGGAGAUCAACAUAAGUAGCAAAAGAUUCACAGAAAGAAGCUACUAUCUCAGAGUCAAGUCCAUAUUUAGUGCUAAACUUACGGAAAAUAUCGGUAUCCAUAAAAGAUGUAACACAAUCAAACUUAGGUGUCAUACCUGACUCCUUACCUGCGUCGAGGUCCCAAUCUUCAGAGUUGCGUUUAAUUCUAUCCAAUAAAUUCCAUUUAAAUUCAAUAGUCUUCAUCAUAAAAGAGCCAACACAAGAAGUAUCGAGCAUGGUGUGAUUGUUUUCAGAAAGCCGAGCAUAAAAACUUUGAAUAAUUAUUUCUCUUGGGAGCUCAUGAUUGGGGCAUGAAUAUAAUAUUGAUUUAAGCCUCCCCCAAGAUUGAGCGAUGCUUUCUCCUUCGCGAGGCUAAAAAUUAUAUAUAUAAUUGCGACCACGAUGAACAAGAUGCAUAGGAUAAUAUUUUUGAUGAAAUUCCAAUUUCAAUCUUUUGUAGUUCCAUGAUCCCAUACCAUCACAUAGCCUAUACCAUGUCAAUGUGUCUCCCUUCAAAGAUAAAGGGAAGAUCUUCUUCUUGACAACAUCAUCGGGUAUACCUGCAAGCUUAAAUAAUCCACAAACCUCAUCCACAUAUAUUAAGUGUUCAUCAGGAUGCUUUCUUCCAUCUCCUACAAAAGUAUUAGCUAGCAGUUUUUCCAUCAUACCCGAAGGAACUUCAAAAGGAGUUUCAUUUUCAAUAGGUUCAGUAGGUUGGGGAGCAACUCUUUGCUCUACUGGACGGGGUGAAGAUACCCCGAACAAGCCCCUCAGAGAAUUACUUUCCAUAGUAACAAGUGACAGUAAAUUUCAGCACACUAUAUAAAUUUUUCCUUACCAAAUUCCACCUACCAAAGGCGCUACACUCCUCGGCAACGGCACCAGAAAAGAGUCUUGAUGACCCACAAGUAUAGGAGAUCUAUCGUAGUCCUUUCGAUAAGUAAGAGUGUCGAACCCAACGAGGAGCAGAAGGAAAUGAUAAGCGGUUUUCAGCAAGGUAUUCUCUGCAAGUACUGAAAUAAGUGGUAACAAAUAGUUUUGUGAUAAGAUAAAUUGUAACGAGCAACAAGUAACAAGAGUAAAUAAAGUGCAGCAAGGUGGCCCAAUCCUUUUUGUAGCAAAGGACAAGCCUGGACAAACUCUUAUAAUAGGAAAAGCGCUCCCGAGGACACAUGGGAAUAUCGUCAAGCUAGUUUUCAUAUGAUUCGCGUUUGGUACUUUGAUAAUUUGAUAUGUGGGUGGACCGGUGCUUGGGUGCUGUUCUUACUUGAACAAGAAUCCCACUUAUGAUUAACCUCUAUUGCAAGCAUCGGCAACUACAACAAAAGUAUUAAGGUAAACCUAACCAUAGCAUGAGACACAUGGAUCCAAAUCAGCCCCUUACGAAGCGACGCAUAAACUAGGGUUUAAACUUCUGUCACUCUAGCAACCCAUCAUCUACUUAUUACUUCCCAAUGCCUUCCUCUAGGCCCAAAUAAUGGUGAAGUGUUAUGUAGUCGACGUUCACAUAACACCACUAGAGGCUAGACAACAUACAUCUCAUCAAAAUAUCGAACGAAUACCAAAUUCACAUGACUACUAAUAGCAAGACUUCUCCCUUGUCCUCAGAAACAAACGUAACUACUCACAAAGCAUAUUCAUGUUCAUAAUCAGAGGGGUAAUAAUAUGCAUUAAGGAUCUGAACAUAUGAUCUUCCACCAAGUAAACCAACUAGCAUCAACUACAAGGAGUAAUCAACACUACUAGCAACCUACUAGCACCAAUCUCGGACAUGGAGACAAGAAUUGGAUACAAGAGAUGAACUAGGGUUUGGAGAUGAGAUGGUGUUGAUGAAGAUGUUGAUGGAGAUUGCCCUCUCCCAAUGAGAGGAGCGUUGGUGAUGAUGACGACGAUGAUUUCCCCCUCCUGAAGGGAAGUGUCCCCGGCAGAACAGCUCUGCCGGAGCCCUAGAUUGGUUCCGCCAAGGUUCUGCCUCGUGGCGGCGGAGUCUCGUCCCGAAAGGUUGCUUCCUGUUUUUUUCUUGAUGAAAGACUUCAUAUAGGAGAAGAUGGGCGUCGAAGAGCCACCAGGGGGCCCACGAGGUAGGGGGCGCGCCCCAGGGGGGGGGCACCCUCGUGAGCAGGGUGUGGGCCCCCUGGCCUUCAACUUUGGCGACAAUUUUUCUUUAUUUAUUUUAAGAUAUUCCGUGGAGUUUCAGGACUUUUGGAGUUGCACAGAAUAGGUCUCCAAUAUUUGCUCCUUUUCUAGCCCAGAAUUCCAGCUGCCGGCAUUCUCCCUCUUCAUGUAAACCUUGUAAAAUGAGAGAGAAUAGCCAUAAGUAUUGUGACAUAACGUGAAAUAACAACCCAUGAUGCAAUAAAUAUCGAUAUAAAAGCAUGAUGCAAAAUGGACGUAUCAAGGGGGCACCCGAGGUGGGCACAACCCACCUGGGCGCGCCUGCCUCCAGGCGCGCCCAGGUGGGUUGUGCUCCUCUCGGAGCAACCCCGAGAUGCUUUCCUGGCCCACUGGAUGCCUUCUGGCCCAAAAAAAUUCCUCAAGAAGUUUCGCUGCGUUUGGACUCCGUUUGAUAUUCAUUUCCUGAGAUGUAAAAAAACAUGCAGAAAACAGCAACUGGCACUGGGCACUAUGUCAAUAGGUUAGUACCAAAAAAUGAUAUAAAAUGACUAUAAAAUGAUUGUAAAACAUCCAACAAUAAUAAUAUAACAGCAUGGAACAAUCAAAAAUUAUAUAUACGUUGGAGACGUAUCAAGAAUCACUAGGGACACAAUAUUUGUUUAUGUAUCCACACAUGUAUUUAAGCUUCCGAUCAAUACAAUUCUAGCAUGAAUAAGAAACCUUUGUCAUGAAUAAGGAAUAUAAUAAUAACAACUUUAUUAUUGCCUCUAGGGCAUAUUUCCAUCAGACGGGCCAAGGCUCCCUAUGCCGGUUCCGCCCGGGUCAUCUUGUCAGCCCACUGGCCCUCUAGGAGACAGAAUUUGAAGCCUUUCCGUUCAAGAGAAAGAAGUCGGAUCCGUGGCGGACUCCUCUCCACCGACGUUGCCAACUAGGGCCCUUAUAACCCUAGGGCCCCCGAUAUCUUAUAUAAACCAGGUUUGGGCUAGUCGACAAAACAUUUUAGACAUUAUGUACACCCCAGUCGAAAUAUACACAAAGUAGGAGUAGGGUUUUACCUCCAUCAUGAGGACCUGAACCUUGGUAACUCGUUUCUUUCUCCUCCAUCAUAAGGAUACUCUCAGGUAGCAUGGAGGUGGAUGGCUGCUACUGAUCCAGGCAGAGGCAUGGUGGGGCGUGGCGCGGUCCAGUUUCAAGCGUGGCAAGCGGGCGGAUGCAUGCGAGUCCGGGCGUAACGAGAAGGUGCACAUGGUCCAGAUCCGCACGGUGCACGACAAGCUGGGGCUGGCCGGUGUAGUAGGGCGUGACCAGAAGGUAUUUGCGGCCCAGAUCCGCGUGGUGCGUGCUCCUACUGGCGUGUUGCUCACGAAUGUGCACUUUGCGACGUAAUGGAGGAGCUUGACGCAGGAUGCUAAGCGAGUGGUGCGAUGCACAGAUGGCUUGUUAGGGGGGUUUCUCGAGUCCUGGGACUUGGAGGGUGAUGCCGGCGAACGUUGUACUCUUACGAUGGCGCCUUCGAGCCCCUUUUCCUUGUUGGAGGUGUCAAGGUGGCAGUCCUCACUUUUCCUCCCCACGAGCUACGGUGGAAAACCUAGAUCUGUUUUACCGAAUUGGGUGAUGGCAGCGUUGUUAGCUUUGCUUGGUGUUGCGUGCAUUCUCUCUUGAUGGCAUCUUUUCGGAGGUGCCACUCGGAGGGACUUGUGGCUUGUGGAGUUGGCCGGUGACGGCUAGAGUGUUUUCGCCCGUGUUGCAUUGCUUUAUUUGAGGUGUUCAUGUAAUACCCGUUUCUAAUCAAUGUGUUUUUUUUCGCAGGGUUCUAAUCAAUGGUUUUUAUUUUAUUUUUCACUCUCUUUUAAUGCUCUUUUUUUUUUGCGGGAACUCUCUUUUCAUGCUCUGCAACGUGCAAUAUGUACAUGGGGCUGGAGCGUACGCCGUCCACACGCGGGAGGUCGUCGUCUGCCGUCCCGACCGUAUACGUUCUCGCCACGUCAUCGAUCCGCGCGAAAGCUCAUCAUGGUCGUCCAUCCCAAGCAUCACCGAACGGCCGGAACCACUCCACGCCAUCGAUCCGAGGCAUCAUCCUCUCCGCCAACCACAGCCCCUCCUCCCCGCUCCCUACAUAACCUCGCCGCCCCUAUCCGUCUUUGCACACCGCAGCAUCAGCAGCCCGCCUCACAUCCCACCCAAACCCAGCCUCCCCACACGCUCCAACCACCAGCACGCAUGGCACCCAAGGCGGCGGAGAAGAAGCCGGUGGUGGCCGCGGAGAAGACCCCGGCGGGGAAGAAGCCCAAGGCGGAGAAGCGGGCGCCGGCGUCCAAGGAGGCCGGCGGCGAGGGCAAGACGAGGGGCAGGAAGAAGGGCAGCAAGGCCAAGAAGGGCGUGGAGACGUACAAGAUUUACAUCUUCAAGGUGCUGAAGCAGGUGCACCCGGACGUAGGCAUCUCCUCCAAGGCCAUGUCCAUCAUGAACUCCUUCAUCAACGACAUCUUCGAGAAGCUCGCCGGGGAGUCGGCCAAGCUGGCGCGGUACAACAAGAAGCCCACCAUCACGUCCCGGGAGAUCCAGACCUCCGUCCGCCUCGUCCUCCCUGGGGAGCUCGCCAAGCACGCCGUCUCCGAGGGCACCAAGGCCGUCACCAAGUUCACUUCAUCCUAGGCGUUGUCGUUGUUUCAUGAGUUGAUGGCGGCAGGCAUCGUGUAUGUAGUUGGCAGCAGUGUGAUGUUACAAUCUCUGUAAGAAUUGUGCUGCUUGCGGCCCUGAAGAAAUAGUGAUGUUGCUGUUUGAAUCAAUGUUGCUGUGUGCUUGUCUGUCGCUUCAGUGAUAGCUUGUGUGCUUGACUCUCUUCUUGAUGCCAUUUGUUUAUGUCAACAAGUUUCUACUGUGAUAGUUUAUCUAGUUUAAUUUGCUGUCAUUUUAUCUACUGUGAUUGUUUCCAAGUCUGCACAUAGAAACCUCUGAUUUUAAAUCUACAAUCUUUGGAGUUUGUUUUCUUAACCUAUAUACUGUUGCUGCCAUUUGAGUAAAACUGAAGUUGGCGAGCUUUGUUAAUUUCUGACAGAUCUUUCCAAGUUUUUCCCUUAGUGGACUUGUUAUCCAUAUGGCAAGAUGCCAAGAACAGCUUGACCGCUAGUGCUCAGAAAGUCACAAUGCAUUAGAUUCAGAUUAGCUUCUUGAGAUAAAUUAGAGGCUUUUCACAAAAAAAGAAGAAAUAAAUUAGAGGCAGCGCACCCAUGUUUUUUAGAGUCAAGGAGCAAGCUAGAUGGAACCAUCAUCUUUUUAGGAUGGCAUACCUGAGUUUUUUUCUCUAUAUAUGUUUAUACUACAGUAGCUAAUUUUCCUUUGUUCUACUACUACACUUGGUAAUUUGUGAUCACGAAGCCACCAAUUUUGUGAAGGUGCAAAGUUUUUUUCUAUUGAUUCAUUUCUCUAUGUUUAUGUACAUUUGUAUGGAUAUAUGAAUUCUAAGUUACUUGCAUUGGCAAUAACCCUUCACCAUUCGCCAUCUUUGGUUACGGGAGCUGUUCCUCAUUUGUGUUAGAUGAUGUUACUAGAGGCCUCAUGUUACUAUCUUGUAGGAGUUGUGCCGCGUGAAAUAGUACUGUUGCUGUUUAAAUUAAUGAUCAAGGUCUGCUUGCAUGUCACAUCAGAUUCUUUACAUAGAAGUUUUUAGUUUGCACUCUCGAAAUGUUUUUAGUUUGCAUUUCUGUAGUUAGUUCAUGACUUGCUGUUGUCCAGGUUUUGUUAGCAGCUUUCUCAUUUUCUCUACUCAUUUUGGCGCCAUAUCAAAAUUUCAAACCUCUACUGUUGGCGCCAUAUCAAAGCACUUGGACGUCAUGCUGUGAGCCAGCCUGGAGGAAUUGGAACUUUUGGAAGGUGCAGCAAGCACUGCCAGCAACAGAGGCAUUUGAGCUGUGACUGUUGUUGACAGGCAUUCAAACCUUGCGGAUAUCGUAGGGAGUUUGACGGAAUAUUUGCAAAGAAUUGCUAGGUGAAUCAAGGCACCUCAAAUUAUGCUAUUUUAGCUGGGUCCUGUUUGAAUCGUUCUCAUUUCCAGUUUUCUUGAUCUUUAGCAGAUGUGUCAUCCCCCUUCCCCUCUUAAUGCAGAAGCAGAGCUCCUGCUGCCAAAGUCAAAAUAGAUGCAAAAGCCACAAAUGCAGAUGAACCCAUUUUCCAACCAAAAAACAUAGGUCAAAAUGAGAGAAAUGGUUAGAGGGGACUGAAGCUCGACAAACAGAAAAGGUGGAGUGGGAAAAGCCGAUUUGAUUGUCUGAAGGAACAACUUGCGGCGCUAAAGAUGCAGUUGAGGUGCAAGAGAGCCAAUACAACUUGAGGUACGCCCUUAGCUAAAUCCAGUAGUACAAACAACCAAGGCUCCAUGGACAUGAGGCGAAAACAAUCUGGUACAACAAUAUAUGCCUAGGUUGUUUUUUCCGAUAAAGGGUGUUUUCUUACUGACUCAUAAUGUAGCAUGGAGGGAUACAAUCAUAAUUUAUACACAGCCGGCCUCUGCAUAACUAGGAUGCACGCAGCCAACAAACACACGCACUAACCGACCACACCGCCAAAAAGCAAAGCCAUAUAAGACCAAAGCCAUGCCUAUGCAGAGGAAAAAAAACCAAGCAAUAAAAAUAACAAUUGACGAUAUAUAGCAGUGACCAUCGGAGCCAACCAUUUCUUGGCAACACAAGGACUACGAACAACAUAUGCCUAGGUGGAAACCGUGACGUGGGUUUUCCAUUAGUAAGAAAGAGUAAAAACUGGUAAACACUGGUAAACUAAAAUGAACUUCAUAGUGGCCUUGGCCAUGGAUAUUUCUUACAUUGGAGCUGUAAAUCUGGCAGGCGAUGACUAUGCAGAACUUUUUGGCAAAGCUUGCCACCAAAGAGAACUAGGGAUCAACGGGCAUCUCCAUGGGAAUCGUUGGUACAAGUACAUAUACAGUUUGGUGUUCCUGGUCACUUUUUCAGCAAGAUCUUGCAAGAGGUCCGCUAUUUGGACCCUUCUGACUACAAACAUAAUCUCUUUUCUCGACAAUAGAACGAUAACCCAUCACCAGUUUACUGACUUGGAAAAUUGGCAAUCCAUCCAUAACGGCAGCCUGAAACAUGUCUUUGAGCAUCAUUUGCUUAGCUUGGUAGUUUCUACAAGGCAUCCAAGCUUCUGCCUAUUUUUUCUUCUAUCCAGGCAAGUCUCCUCUCAAGUUUUAGCACACUGGCAUGAAUAACCCUAAUAUCAACCUUUGCAAGCUUGGCAAAUGAGUGUACCAACAUGUAAUAAUCAGCGUGUCCAACACAAUCGAGACUACCAGUUAUAUUGUUUUCUUUCUAUAGUGAAGAUAGCCAUCUGAUCUCGGGCACUUCCUUGGCGGCAUAUAACAAAGUCCAUGGUCUUCCAUUUCUGACUUGAUACUUAGUAUCCCUGAUGAUGAUGAAGAAAAGCACCUUGCGCCAACAAAAUUCCAUCUCGACCUCGUUUAUUCACUCCAGUUGUGGUUCUUGUUAAACAUAUUGUAACGUGACAUACAUUGUAACGUAGCAUGUAGCGCCGGCUAGGUUGCUAGGAUCGAUCUCUAUCCUCAUGUAACCGUAGCCUUAUCUCUCCAUCUCUUUCCUUGGUUCACAAGUUGUAAUCCCAACCAAUUGUAUGCGCUAUCCAGGGAGGUGCGCCCCUGUUAUAUUAACACGCAGCGCGUCCCUCCAACGAGGUAAGACGCUUAAGCCAACCUUCACAUGGUAUACAGAGUCUCCCUCUUCCUAUACAUCUAGCAUCCAUCGUUUUCCAUCCACGAGCUCGCCAUGUCCUCCUCCUCCACCAGUGCUCCUCUGGCCGUCCUCAAUGGUCAGGUUACAGAGAAGCUCACCUGGACGAACUACGUCCUCUGGCGUGUGCAGGUCACGCCACAGCUGAUCGGGGCUGGUGUCUUCGGCUAUGCCGAAGGGACAAUCAAAGAACAAGAGAAGUUCAUCGUCACCAAGGACAAAGACGGCAAGGAAUCAGCCUCACCGAAUCCUCUUCAUCAAGUCUGGGUGCGGGAAGAUCAGCAGGUAUUGGCAUAUUUGCUGGUUAAUCUUUCCAGAGAAGUUCUUGUCCAGGUGACCAACAUCCACAAGGCGCACGAGCUCUGGGCUGCGGUGGCGAACAUGUUUUGUCCUAGUCCAGAUCGCGUGUGAACAACAUCCGUGUCGCCCUCUCCAACGCAGAGAAGGGCACAGAGACGGUGGGCGCCUACUUCGCCUAUAUGCGUGGCCUCGCCGACGAGCUAGCAGCUGCUGGCAAGCCUCUAGAUGACGACGAACAGAUCUCCUACAUCAUCGCCGGGAUGGGUAUGGAGUACCAGCCACUGGUGUCAGCCCUCGACGCCCGCACCGACCUGUCACGCUCGAUGAUCUGUUCGCUCAGAUGAGCAACUUUGAUCAGUGCGUGGCGAUGUUCCAAGGCAGCAACGGCAGCGGUUUCAAGUCCUCCGCCAACGCCGCUAUUCGUGGUGGCCGUGGUGGCUCCCGCCACCAUGGUCCGCCGCGCGGCAAGAGCAAAGGAAAUGGCAGCGGCAACUACAGCAACAGCAACGGUGGCGGUGCUCCUCGCACCGGUGCCGGCGGACGGCCCUCCUCCAACAACAAUAGGGGCCGUCGUUCCUCCUCCAGAAUCGCCCCGAUGCUGUCCGCUGUCAUAUAUGCGGAAAGCUGGGCCACUCCGCUAAAGACUGCUGGUACAGGUUCGAGGAAGAUGAAGGUGACUCCUCCCAGGACGAAAAAGUUGUUGGUGCUGCCGAAGCUUCAUACGGUGUAGAUACAAAUUGAUACAUGGAUAGUGGUGCUACAAACCACAUCACCGGUAAGUUGGAGAAAGUAACCAUGCGGGAGAAAUACCGUGGUCAAGACCAUAUCCACACUGCCAGUGGAGCAGGUAUGAGGAUCAAACAUGUUGGUCAUUCAGUUGUUAAAACCCCUUAUCGUCCAAUUCACCUCAGAAAAAUACUACAUGUCCCUAGUGCAUUUAAAAAUCUUCUUUCCGUCCAUCGAAUUGCUAUUGACAAUCAUGUGUUUCUCGAGGUUCGCCCCUUUUUUCUUUUUGAUCAAGGAUCAGGCAACGAAGAAGGUUCUCUACCGAGGUAGAUGUGUUCGAGGGCUUUACCCAUUGGUUCCGGAGUUUAGAAGAUUCAAUAAGCAAGCAUAUGGUGUCACCAAACUCUCAACGACGAGGUGGCACGAUAGACUAGGGCAUGCAUCUUUUUCUUAAGUUGAACGAUUGCUUAGGAAGAAUAAGCUCCCAUAUGUUGGAGAGCGUGAUAUUGAAACCAUUUGUGAUUCUUGUCAAAGAGCUAAAAGUCAUCAGCUACCCUAUCCAAUUUCAACUAGUAUUUCUACCAAACCUUUGCAACUCAUUUUCUCUGAUGUAUGGGGGCCUGCCCCAGUUCAGUUGGUAGACACACAUACUAUGUUAGUUUCAUCGAUGACUAUAGCAAGUACUCUUGGAUCUAUCUUCUUAAGAAACGAUCCGAUGUUUUUCAAGUGUUUCAAAACUUCCAAGCUCUCGUUGAACGAAAGUUUGAUAGCAAAGUUAUUGCUGUCCAAUCUGAUUGGGGAGGGGAGUACGAAAAAUUAAACUCCUUUUUCCAAACUCUCGGUGUCUCUCACCAAGUGUCAUGCCCUCAUGCCCAUCAACAGAAUGGGUCUGCUGAACGCAAGCACGGACACAUUGUUAAGGUUGGCCUUGCCCUUUUAGCUGGCGCAUCCAUGCCCCUUAAAUUUUGGGACGAAGCUUUUCUAUCUGCUGUUCACAUCAUUAACAUGUUGCCUAGUAAAGUCAUCAACAAUGAAACUCCAGUUGAACGACUCCUCCAUACCAAACCAGACUAUGCAUCGCUUCGUGUCUUUGGUUGUGCAUGCUGGCCAAAUCUUAGGCCAUACAAUCAGCGCAAACUUAUGUUUCGAUCAACACAAUGUGUUUUCUUAGGCUAUAGUCCCCAACACAAGGGCGUAAAAUGCCUAGAUGUUCCCACUGGACGCGUCUACAUAUCUCGUGACGUUCUUUUUGAUGAAACCAAAUUUCCUUUCGCUGAUCUACACCCCAAUGCCGGUGCACUCCUUCGCAAAGAAAUUCUUCUUCUACCUCCUAGUCUUGUUGGCGAUCAUGGGGAACACAACUGUAAUGAUCACAUGACUAAUCCUCCUAAUACCUUGGCUGAAUUGUGUGAUGAUGUAGACCAGCACAGCGAAGGCGAUGCAGCAAACAGAUUUGAAAAUAAUGAAGAAACAACCCAAACAGGGUGAUAUUUCAUGUGCAGGGACUUGGGGGACAAAUCUACAUCGGGAUCGGCUCCUCGUCAGGACGACAGGCUAUCUCCUUUGGGAUUCGCCCCGUCUGCAUGCACGCGGGCCGCAGGUGCCAGCGAUCUGCUCGACAGCGACCGCCCCGGCCGCUCCAUCUCGACCACGCGGCGCGCCUCCACCGACCCGGAGCCCUCCUCCGACCCGCACCAAUCACCGACUGCCACGUGGCGGUCUCCAAGUCGCUUCCCCGACUCCAUCCACUGCUAUGCGCGGCGUCAGCACCAACCGAUCGGCGCGGGCUCCCAUGAGCCAACCGCCACAGGCGCUGCGGCUCUGACGCACCCACCUGGUCCGGAAUCUGGCGCCACCCCAUCUGCUCCUCGGGAUGCCGCGACGCCCGGAUCUUCUGUGCUGCACCGCGCUGCUUCGUCACGCCCUUCAGCCGCAGACAAUCCUGAUCCAGAGGCGCCUGCUCCAGGGGGAUCUACUGCAUAUUCUCUAGGAUCUUCUGCGAUUGCUGCUGCUACAGCGCCUGCUACACCACCUCGGACACAUCUCUAAAGAGGGGUAACUCAACCUGUUAAUUAUAAAAAAAAUUCUCAAGUAUGGUCUGGCAUGUUCCACAGGUGAACCACAGUCUUUGCAUGAGGCACUUGGUGACACACGUUGGAAACAAGCUAUGGAUGAAGAAUACAAGGCACUUCUGAAAACAACACCUGGCACUUAGUUCCCCCACAACAAGGUAAAAAUCUCAUUGACUGUAAGUGGGUCUUCAGGAUCAAAAAAAGGUCUGAUGGAACUAUUAAUCGCUACAAAGCUCGACUUGUUGCAAAAGGCUUCAAGCAACGGUAUGGUUUAGAUUACAAGGACACCUUUAGUCCUAUUGUCAAAUUUGCAACUAUCCGCUUGGUUCUGUCUAUUGUUGUAUCCAGGGGAUGAACUCUCAGGCAGCUAGAUGUUUAGAACGCGUUUCUCCAUGGUGUUCUGGAAGAGGAAGUAUAUAUGAAGCAACCUCCUAGGUUUGAAAACAAGAACACUCCCUUUCAAGUCUGCAAACUUGACAAAGCACUGUAUGGGCUCAAGCAAGCCCCCGGGCCUGGUACUCACGACUCAGUCAGAAAAUGCAGUCACUUGGCUUUAUUCCAUCCAAGUCUGAUACAUCCUUGUUCAUAUACAAUAAGUCAAACACGGCUAUAUUUGUGCUUAUCUAUGUCGAUGACAUUAUUGUUACCAGCUCAUCUAAUGAUGCAAUGACAGGAUUGUUAAAGGACUUGGGUGUAGAAUUUGCACUCAAAGACCUAGGAGAUCUGCACUUCUUCCUAGGCAUUGAAGUCAAGAAACUUGGAGAUGGACUGCAUCUCUCUCAGGAGAAAUAUGUCAAUGAUAUUGUUAAAAGAGUUGGACUGCAAGGAUGUAAGCCAUCACCAACCCCUUUGUCUAAUACAGAAAAAUUGUCUAUUACAAAAGGAGAACUCCUGAAUCAGGAAGAUAGCACUAAAUACAGAAGUCUGGUAGGUGCACUUCAGAACUUGACAAUUACUAGGCCAGAUAUUUCAUUUGCCGUUAACAAAGUUUGCCAGUUUCUUCAUGCACCUACUACAAAUCAUUGGACUGCUGCAAAGCGUAUAGUCAGAUAUGUGAAAGCCACUAUGAAUGUUGGUCUUAGCUUUAACAAGUCUUCAUCUACCCUUGUUAGUGCCUUCUCAGACUCUGAUUGGGCAGGAGAUAUUGAUGAUAGACGCUCAACUGGUGGCUUUGCAAUACUUUUUGGACCUAACCUCAUAUCUUGGUGUGCAAACAAACAGGCCACUGUCUCAAGAUCAACCACAGAGGCAGAAUAUAAAGCAUUAGCAAAUGCUACAGCUGAGAUAAUCUGGGUACAGUCCAUGCUCAAGGAACUUGGUAUAAGACAGAGUCAAGUUCCUUGUCUUUGGUGUGACAAUCUUGGUGCCACGUAUUUGGCUGCUAAUCCUGUCUUUCAUGCAAGAACAAAACAUAUUGAGAUAGAUUUCCACUUUGUUCGAGAAAGAGUUGCUAACAAAGACUGGAGAUCCGUUUUGUUCAUUCCAGAGAUCAAGUUGCAGAUAGAUUCACCAAGGCAUUACCAACAAGGAAUUUUGAAGAAUUCAAGCGUAAUCUCAACUUGACCAAGUUGUGAUUAAGGGAGGGUGUUAAACAUAUUGUAACGUGACAUACAUUGUAACGUAGCAUCUAGCGCCGGCUAGGUUGUUAGGAUCGAUCUCUAUCCUCCUGUAACCGUAGCCUUAUCUCUCCCUCUCUUUCCUUGGUUCACAAGUUGUAAUCCCAACCAAUUGUAUGCGCUAUCCAGGGAGGUGCGCCCCUGUUAUAUUAACACGCAGCGCGUGCCUCCAAUGAGGUAAGACGCUUAAACCAAUCUUCACAGUUCUUAUUUCCUCCAUGUGUGCUUUUGGAUUCUCAUCCUACAAUGCAACAGAUUUAGCCAUCAAGUCAACAACAUCACCCCCAAAAGAAAUGCAGCAAAUCCUCAAGGUACUACAUUGUACAAAUUUUAAGCACAAAUAUGCUGCGAACAAAUAGAGAUUUUUUACAAUUAAUAAUUGUUUUUCUAUUUAUCUUUUAAUUUUAUAAUUUUGUUGUUUCUCAAAAAGAAACCCAGUUGUGUUUGGUUUCUAGAAUCAUUUACGUUUUCUUUCAUGCUGAUUUUGUUCCUGAAAUAACAUUCAUAGAUAGAAAUUGUUAGUGGUUUGUACCCAAGGUUUAGAAAUUCUGCAUUCGUAGAGAUUAGAAGUUCAAAAUAAAUAUAGUAUGUGAUUAGAGUAAAAUAGAAAACUCUAUCUGAAUAGCAACUUUAUUGUUUUUAAGCUUUUAAAUUUAUAACAUGCAGUUGCUCAAAAUAAAACAAAAUAUUAUUCAAACCAAUUGUGUUUGGUUUCUCAGAUCUUUUGCGUUUUUUUGUUCUGAUUUUGUUCCUGAAAUAGUAUCCAUACAUAGAACCUUGUUAAUGGUUUGCACUAAAGGUCCAGAUCGAAAGGCACUAGGCACUAGGCACUAAAGGUCCACGCGUUUUGUGAUAAUUCAUGAUGAAUAAUUCCAAUAAAGUUUAAUUAUUUUUAAUACCCAAAAUACAUUUUCUUAGUAUGCGAAGAACAUUUUUAGUACAUGGUCUUUUUUAAAAACACGUGGAUUAUCGUUAGUGAAAUAUAAAUAUUUUGUGCACACUAUAAACAUUUUUUAAAAAUAAAGUAUUGUCAUUUUCAGUAAAUUGUAAAACAUCCUUGAUAUACAUCAAAUAAUUUUUAACAAAGAAGUUAUUCUUUAAUACACAAAGAAAAACUUUUAAAUAAUUAGCUAAUAUUUUUCUAAUAUGUAAUAAAAUAAUUAAUACAUGUCGAGCCUUUAUAAUACGCAUGCACAUUUUUAAUACUCCCUCCGUUCCAAAAUGUAGUGCAUACAGUUUUCUUUUUGGAAAAGUCAAAGUUUACAAACUUUGACUAAAUUUAUAGAGAAGAAUAUUUAUAUCUAGAAUACCAAAUAUAUAAAAUACUCCCUCCGUCCAAAAAUAACUAUCGCUCAAACGAAUGUAUCUAGCACUAAAAUACAUCUUGAUACAUCCUUUUGAGCAACGGUUAUUUCUGGACGGAGGUAGUAUGAGACUACAUCUUAUGAUGAGUAUAAUGAUAUAUAUGUUUGGCAAUCUAGAUGUAAGUGUUUUUCUUUAAAAAAUAGGUCUAAGUUGGUGAGGUUUGACUUCUCAAAAAAUCUAUAUGCAGUACAUUAUGGAACGGAGGGAGUACAUGAAAAAACAUACUCCUAUCUCAAAGCAUGGGGACCAUUUUUUAGAAAGUGAUUUCAUAAAUGGUAUGGGGAAAGGAAAAAAGAAAUAAACAGAAAAAACAGGAGAAAGGAAACCCCAAAAGGGAAAACAAUAAAUGUAUAAAAAGAAAAAGGAAUAGAAAAGUAAAUAUGAAAGAAAAACUAAAGUGAAAGAAACAGGAAAACAAGAAAAAAAAGGGAAACAAGAGUUAAACAGAAAAUAUAUGCACAUAAACCACCCAUCCCAUAGGAAAUAGAGGCAAAACGAGGGAGGCAAACCCCCAUACAUUACCCGAGCCAUGACCCAUGUCGAGAUUGCUAGAGGCGAGUACAUGGUAUAUCUAGCAAUAAGCUAGAUAUUCUUUGUAAAAACAAACAACCAAUUGAGAACCGCUGCCAAUACAUAACAGAGCGGCUCCGGGCCUCUUUAUUAUGUAAAAACAAACACCAAUUUUUUUAUGUGAAAACGUGAACAUUAUUAGAAUUUGUCAACACUUUUCUAAAACGAGAACAUGUGUUGAAAAUAAAACAUCUUUAGAAAAUGUGUAUCUUUUAUACACGAACAUUUUUUUUAAUUUUGAAAAUUUCACCAAACAUGAAUAUUUCAAAUUUGGAGAAUUUUUUGGAAUGUCAUUUUCUAUUUAGAAAUCUCAAACAAUUUUGAACAAAAAUAAAUGGCUAACUUUUUGCAAGUUCCGAAUAUUUUUCAAAAUAGUAACAAUUUUUUGAAAUUCUGAACAUUUUGCCAAUUGUGAAGUUUUAAUUUACGAAAUAAAUUCAAAAAUAAAAAUAAACUUGGAAGAGGAAAAACAGACAGGGAAAGGAGAAUAAAAAUAGAAGUAAAACACAGAAAAAAAGAAAAAUUGGCAGCCCAUUAUUGGAUGUCCUGUGCGAAACUCCGACUAUUUCUCGCACUAUGCAGAAAAUAUAUUAUGUUCCCAACUGCGUGGGAAGAAAAAUAAGUGUGUUGGCUUCGCCGGGCCACAAUGUGCGGUCCACGUAAGAAUUUGUUUUUUCUAGCAGACAAACAUAUAAGAAUUUAGUACCACCUCGGGUAGAAAAAAAUACUUUCAGCGGUGAACGGAUGAAAAAUUAUAUAGUUUUGUGAAAAGAACAUAUUGCAUCACCAUAUUCAAAUCUUUCAUUUUGCCUUUUUCCCAAAUUUUCCGAAAAUAAAUUAAUAUUUGUGGAUUGAAAAAUAUUUUUAAAACAUGAACAAUUUUUAAAAUACCGAAAAGUUUUCUGAAAAUUUCGUUCAUUUUGGACAAAGGUGAACACCAUUUGAAAUAGGGAGAUUUUUUUAGACUUCACAAACAUUUAUCGAAAACAUGAACCUUUGAAAAAGCACUAAGGUUUUUUUAAUUUAGGAUUUUUUUUUAAUAGAAACAUGUUUUGAGCAUUUAUAACAAUCUUUGAAAAUGUAUUUAUUUUUAACCACUGUCGUUAUUUUGAAUUUGUGAACAUUUCAUUAAACAAGAAUAUAUAUCAAAUAUGGAACAUAUUUUAAAAAUCCAAUUUUAUUUCGAAAAUCCCAAUUUUUUGGGAGAACACAAUUUUUUUGAAAAAAUGGAACCUUUUCUCAAAUCCAAUUUUAUUUUGAAUACCUGUUUUUUGGAAAACAUAAACAUUUUUUAAAAAUUUGGAUUGUUUUUGUAAUUUUGAACAAAUUUGGAAUGAAUUUUUUUUCCAAGUUUCGAACAUUUUUAAGAACAGGAACAAAAGUUCGGAAAUCGGAAUUAUUUUCUAAAAAUUGAAAACACAAAUCUUAAUUCUGUUGUUUAAAUGUAUUUAAGGAAAAAACUAAAAAAUUCUAAAGUUUGCAGGAAAAGGAAAAAAGAAAUAGAGAAAGGAACAAAAAACAAAAUAGAAAUAAGACACAGAAAAAAAGAAAACGGUCUGGCCCAGCUUUGCGCCCUGUGCGAAGGUCAGACUAUUUGUCGCCGCGUGCGGUAAAUAGGGUUUUCCUAACUGUUUGCGCUGGGAAAUAAGUGGGCUCGCUUGGACGGGCCACAACGUGCACGACCCAUGUAUGAAAAUUACGUUUUCUUUUCUAGCAAACGGACGCACACAAAUUUAGUAGCACCUCGGAUAGGGGAAAAACUUUUCGGCGGUGAACGGAUGAAAAAAUUGGAGAAACGCACCUUAUUUUAUUAGUAGGUAUAGAUAUAGAUUAAAGCCAUGACGAGCUCGGCGUACUUUCGCUAUGAUGUUGCCUUCGGUGCAUCUGAAUUUCAAAUGCCAUCUUGUUUCCCGAUUGAUGAAGUCCACUCUCCGAACCAACUCCCAUCAUUGUCUUUUAAGAGCAUCUCCAAUGGACCCCAAAGACGGGAAGGGAGGGAGGGGAGGGGGUACUGAACGGUUUUUACUAGGCAUGAUCUCCACAAUGAUGCAACCUCAACCCCUCUUAAUAGCGCGACUUUCCUAAUAUUUAAAUAAACCAAAAAAUCAGUCAUCGACAAAUCAGCACAUUUUGAGCGAGGGGGAGGGGUGCACCAUCUCGUUCCUUUUCAUCAACGCUUUUAGUCCUACUAAACAUAUCAUCACAACAAAAUACAAUUAGGGUCUAUAUGCACUCUCAAAACUAUUUACUUUCCUUUUUUUAGUUAGAUGCACACAACAAAGAAAUAUAUUAAGAUAAAUACAUGUACACAUUGAUGGGUUUUGUGUACUAAUAACAACCACUUGGCUGGUUUCGUGUUUACAAACUCAUCUUUUCAGAAUCGUUUUCCUCCUGUCCCUGGCGGCUGGAACCCUAGCCGCCGCCAGGAGAGCCCAAUCUUUCGGCGCCGUCCUCCAGCGGCUCCCCUCCGCCGGCGACCUCGGUCGUCGGUGGUGGUGGGGGGGGGGGGUCGCCGGAUCCACGCGUGUGGAUUGUUUUUACUCCCUCGUAGUUUAGGUUUUUAGGCUGUUCAUCGUCUUUGCUUCGGCGGCACGAUGACAGCGCUGAAUAAAGAUUCUUCGGAUCCUUCCUUGACAAGGCCAUGGGUCCUAUGGUUGGGGAUGGAUUUGGAAACCAGUCGGUUCAAGCAAGGAUGGCGUGGCGGCGGCGGUAUCCUCAUGGUGGACCUGUGUCCUCGGGCUCCGCCAUUGCGACGAUGUUUGCUCCAGCAUCGGCGCGGAGCUUGGGAGGUAGUCCAGGAGCGGAUGCAGAUUGUGGUCUGCAUCGACGACAUCUGGAAGACGGAACAUGUGCUGGGUUCGUGGUUCGUGGAUGGCAGGUAUGGUUUCCUUCUGCGGCGUCUUAGUCGCGGUGGGGUGCCAGAUCUGGAGUUCGAUAGCGUGUCCGGGGUGUUGCCCCGGUCUGAUUCGUUCAACAAUAAGGGCUUCACUUUUGGUGAGCCACCUUGGAGGUCCGCAAAGCUGCAUAUCAGCGAUGAAACCGCGUCGAGCUCGGGUGAGGAGGUGAUCCAUCAUUGUUUUCUUCGGUGCCUAUUGUUGUGGUGCCGGAGGCAGGUGGUGGGCGUUGGUGUCAAGCUCAAAGAUGUUCUGCUAUCUUUUCAGUUUUGUCAUGUCGAUCCUUACGUGACUUGUACUUAAAUCUUUAUGAUAUGAAUAAGACAUGUAUUACCUUGCAAUAAAAAAACAUUUUUUCAGUGAACAAACAUACAUCGCUUUGGCGGCUCAGCGUUCUUAUAGACAUUGCAUAGCAGCGUCCGGUUGUGCCUGGGCAAGCUACAUCUUGCUUACUGUGAGACAAAUCGUUGUGUGCCGACUCAUUUAAGAGGAUUUCAUAACCCUCCGUGGGAGGGCUGGAUUAGUUUUAGGAACCUUCUGGUUGGUUUUCUGUCCAUUUUUUCUCCUUCUCUAUGUUUUUUCUCUACUGGUUUUCAUCGGUUUUCUUUCUUUCUUUAUAUUUUUGUUUUCUUCACUUUUUCCUUUUUUUCAAAUAUAUGUCGACUUUUGGUCGAUGUACGCUGAACAUUUUCAGUACAUAGGUUGAACAUUGUUCACAUACUCCUUGAUUUUUUUUAAAUCUGCAUUGGAUAUUUUUUCUGUUUGAUCUAUUUUUCUCCUUUUCGUUUUUAUGUAUUUAUUUUUCAUUUUCAAAUAAAAUUUUAGAUAUUUGAUCGGAUUUUUAAUCAAAUGUGUCUUGCAUUUUUCCUCAAUGUAUACAAGGUUAUAUAUCAUAUCAACAAUUGUAUUUAGAUGGCUAUGCAUAUACCAAAGAAUUAACCCAAAAGAAAAUCUCGAGAUAGAAUCAAACUUCUAAACUGUUCUCUAUCUUUUCUUUUCUUGAACGGGAAUCUGUAAACAACUAUCUGAUCUUCGAAUCGAACAAAACUUUCAACGGGGAAAACCAAAGGAAGAAAAUGAAAUGAGAGAAGCAGAGAAAUGAUAAUACGAUGGAGGGCUUGGACUAGGUCGGCCUGCUACGUGUUGGGUGCAGCUGCAGGUCCAAUACACAUAGAUUGAAGGCCCAAUGCCCACAAAAAUUCAUACUAAUCAAUCUCUAGGCGUCCGCAUCGAGACGAUGGGGGUAACAGGGGAGUAAGAUACAGUCAUAUAGAAGACAUGUCUAAGGUUCAGUUCACAAAAAGGGUGGGCAAACAAAAAUAUGAGAAUAAAAUUCACGAAAUAUUGAAGAAACCAUAUUAGCAAAUAUGUCCUCGUGUUUGCUUUUUUUCUUAAAUUAGUAAGAUGCAAGGUUAGAAGUUGAUGUGCAUUGGUAUGCUUAGCUGUAUUCUGAUGAUAGCAUUUGACUUUGAGAGCAGAGUUACAGUUGGGGCAAAAUGUAAAAGAGAAAGGGGCAAGAGGGAUACUUAUUACUCCCUCCGUCCCAUAAUGUAAGACGUUUUUUGGCACUAUGUGAAACCUCUGACUAUUUCACCGUUUUACUGAGAUCAUUACCUGUUAUUUUCUCCACAGUGGUAACUUUGUAAAAAAAAACUUUGUUUUCUGAAAAAGGUGUUUUUUAUAUUGAUACAUGAAGCGCAGCAUCGACUUGAUUAUUUAUCCAGCAAUGUUUGCCCUCCUGUGUGGCAAGCAUUCUUCUACAGUAGCAUCUUGAUUUCUCAGUAAGUACCUGUUUCUCAGUCCAAAAGUAAUUCUGGUAUCUCAUUUCCUAAUUGUUUCUCAUGUCUGUUAGGUACAUCUGACUACAUGAUUUUGUCAUUUGCCUUGUCAUGUUUGUAACUCAGGAGUAUCUAAUUUAGUACAGUCAUCUGACUAUCCAAUGUUAAUAACAAGAAGCUGACAGUCUCUGAAGCAAAGGAUGGAUUGCAGCCAUGGAUACACAAGAGAAGAUGAUUGAAAGGAUUGCAUCUUUAGCCAUUCCGGACAUAAAUCAGAGAUAAAUUACAGCGCCCAUCUACCGGCUUGUUCAUCGAACUAAUGUAACAGCCACUACAGACUUAGGCAAUUACACACAGGAUCCAACCAACCAAAACUCAUCAUCCUCUCCCUGAUAUGGACCUAAGCAAUGUCACGACAGUAGUCUAUGGGCGGGCUACUCCUUGGCGGCGACCUUCUUCUUGGGGGACUUGGUGGAGGUCUUCUUCUUGGGCGACUUGGCCUCCUUCUCGGCGGCGGCGGGGGACUUCUUGGGGAGCAGCACGGAGUUGAUGUUGGGGAUCACGCCACCGUGGGCGAUGGUGACGCCAGCGAGCAGCCUGCCGAGCUCCUGGUCGUUGCGGACAGCGAGCAGCAGGUGGCGCGGGAUGAUGCGGGUCUUCUUGUUGUCCUUGGCCGCGUUGCCGGCAAGCUCCAGCACCUGAGAUUCAAAAAAGAAAUCUGUCAGUUAUCCGCCGAGCAGGAGAAGAACAGAGCAGAACAGGUGCUCGUGGACGGGAAAGAUCGGCGCAUACCUCGGCGGCGAGGUACUCGAGGACGGCGGCGAGGUAGACGGGGGCGCCGGAGCCGACGCGCUGGGCGUAGCGGCCCUUCUUGAGGUAGCGCCCGAUGCGGCCGACGGGGAACUGGAGCCCGGCCUUCACGGAGCGGGUCACCGCCUUCUUCCUGUCGCCGCCCUUCCUUCCGGCCAUCUUCUUGCUUGCUGCGUCUCCGGCGAGCUGGAAACUACUCGAGAUGCGUGGGCGGCGGUGCGCGCUGCUCUGUGUUUGUGGGUUGGUACGCCAGCGAGGGCGCGGCUUUUAUUGGGGAGGUGGCUUCGGCGGGACGGCGGCAGGGGGGAGCGAUCCGCGUGACGCAGUGUGCCUGCCGUUGGAUCUGCGGGGAGUGGGCGGUGGGGAUUGGUUUGGGGGUGCGAUCCGGGGGAGGGUCUGACCGCCCAAUCAGAGCGCAGGGAUUCAUCACGAAGGGAUUUUGCUUUAAUUAACACCUGGUUUUCGUUUCGUUUUGGGCACCAUUUAGGGUUUUUCUUCACUCUUAUCUUGCAUCUAUUUGGUUUUUCAGAUGUAGCCCUUGCUUAUAUUAUGUAUGUAUAUCGUUGUUUUGCUGUUAUCUAACGAUUGGAUUGGAUCCAUGUACAAAGGCCCCAAAUUAGAUUUGGUAUAUAUUCCCCAAAUUCCAAUCCGGUUGUUUGGGAUGCACACGAAAUAGUUGUCCGAAAUGGAGCGAAUACAUGCAUGAAAUCGCUCACACGUCUCGAGGCCUCCCACGUUUUUGUGCUCUCCCGCUCCAAUUUGGCUAGAAAUCAUCCUCGUGCAAAGGAUAACGAUUUAUCCCUUCUUUUCCCCACCGACGGCGGCACCCGGGUAACCCCCACUCGCCGGCCCUCCUCCUACUACUACUCCGGGACCUUAAUCCCCGACGUCGCGGCUCGUUCUCGUCCUCACAUGCCCCCCAUCUCCUCCUCAUAUAGCCUCCACGGCCUCGACCUAGCCGUCUGUCGUGGCUUCUCCUCCAAUAUUAGAAGUACAAAAAUGACGUGAUUUUAAUGAGAGUAAUUAUCCUCACAAUUUGUGUCCCAAGUAAAUUGGCAAUGAUAGAACGGAUCCAAAAAAUUAGAAAGAGGAAGAAGAGCUCCAAGAAUAACCUUAAGAACAAAUCUUGGGAAGCGUGUAAGGAUGGGCCUUACUAUCCCAAGAACCUCCAUCCCCUCCACUAAGGUAAAAUAUUUCAAUUUCACUAGCUUAUUCUAGCAAAGUUGUGUCGGGUGCAGGUUUGUGUGAAGGGUAUGACCGCGUCCUAUCGUACCUCUGUUAAUUUUUUUUUCCAAUGCCAAGCGACUCGGUACGAGCACAAGCGCUAAUGCGAUGGGCCGUCUUCUUCUUUGAAUGGAGCCAAUGCCUUUCACGACAUGGUACGACCUAGUUAGACCAUCGGUACGAGCACUCAUACCAUAGGCCAUCCUCCCCUCUUACUACAAAACUCUAAAAAAAUAUAUCUUUUUCACUUGUGCUGGAACCCUAGUUAGAGCACCGGUACGAGCCCGACCGCUUCGACUGGAGGUUGUGUUUCUCUCUAGAAAUUAAUAUUGUUUUUGCCGGAACCCAGUACAUGCACAGGUACGAGCACCAGCGCUCGACCCGACCUCGUCUUUUUCUCUGGUUCCGUGAUAACUUGCAAAUUCUCUAGGAUUUUGCCUUGUUUGUUUCCUAAUCUUCUUUAGUUAUCCAUGUCUCAUGAAACCCUGUGGUUAUGCCCUAAGAGGACCACCGGCGGAUUAUUGACCCAAAUUUUCAUUUCCAUCAUCGAACAUCUUCUCUAUAGGCGGUUAUGCCCUAUUAAAGAGUCGUACCUCAGAUACUAAUUGGAAGGAUCGACGCGAUCGACUAGAGGGGAUGAACAGGAGACUACAAUUGUAAGCUUAUCUUCUAUUUUUAGGGAGUUGUAGAUAAUGUAGGUUCUAUAUAUGUGCAACUAGGUGAACACAACCUAUAUGAAAAGCAAACUCAAAGCAAAUUACGCUAGGCAACAAUCUAAUUAGCAAGCCAACAAGCAUGCAAAGCAAGUGAACGAACGGGAAAGAUUAACCAAAAGUGGGUCGAGGAUCGUAUUUUAUACCGAAGUUCACAGCAUUCCCAAAGCCGAAGCCCCGAAACGCCACCACAUGGCUCACUUACACAACUUUGAGUCACCCCCAACGGAUGAGUCUCGAAUCACAAGGGGUUGGUCUAGAAGGCGACCACCACACCUUUACAAACUUCUCUGGAGCACACCAAACACAAGGACGCUUCUGGAGAAAACUCUACCACCUAGGAGCCCAAACUCCAAGAGUAUCAAGUGAUAAGAAAAUCGAGUGGGGAACACAAAUCAGUUUGGUAGAAAUGUAGAUCGAGCCUUGCUCUCCCAGAUGCGAACACAUUGGAGUAUUUGGAGGGAUUGAGAGUAUUAGAAAAAUGGAUGUUAGCAAUGCUGGAGCAACUCUCAAGACAUUAUAGUUGGGUUGGAGGAAGAAGAAGUUGUUAUUUACACUCCUUCAACAAAUCUAGUCAUUGCCCUCCCGGAGGUCCCCGUGCGCACGAGGUCACCCGAGGGAAUGCCACAGACCCCGUGGGCAGGAGGGGUCAUAGACACCAUGCGCAUGGGGUAUACAGAGGAUUUGCACUCGACCCAAGUGGUGUCAGGGGCUCGUGCACAUGGGGGGUCCAGAGAAUCAACCCUGGACCCUGUGGGCACGUGGUAGGAUGACAAAUAACAAAUUUAUGAUGAGUUUUCUGGUAUUUUAAGGAUGUAGCAUAGGGAAGGCCGGUGUAGGAGUUUGUUAUGUUCCCACGUUUUUUCCAAGCACCUUUACCACUCUUAAUGGUGUGGCUUCCCUAGACUAAAAUAAAGCAAAAUUAAAGCUUUGAGUCAUCGGAAAACCAUGUAUUUAUCCUUUUUUGAAGUGUGUGUGUGGGGGGUCAACUUUCUCCUCUUAAUAAUCAAUUGAGUAGCCAAUGACGUGAGAUAAUAAUAUAACAACCAUAAUUAGUUCCACUAACCAUGGUGUCAUUAGACGAAAAUACUCCCUCUGUCCCAAAUUAGUUGUCUUGCUACAAGUCCAUCUGACAACUAAUUUGGAAUGGAGGUAAUAUCAUUUGGAGAUAAAUGCACAUUCAGCAUUAAUUACCAAAAUGCAUGACUGUAAAGGCAUCAAUGAUUAUAGGUCGGUCUCUUUGGUCAGCAUGCCCAUGAAAUUUGCCACUGAACUCAUGGCUAACAUAGUACAAAAGGAAAUUAUUCAUGUGAUGCAUUAGAACUAUAUGGUUAUAUCAAGGGGGAAAAUCCAAGAUUGCCUAGGCUAGGCUUUUGAAUAUCUACACCUUUGUCAGUUAUCCAGAAAACAAUUCUCAUACUCCAGUUGGAUUUUGAUAGGGCAUUUGAUAAAGUUAAGUACAUUUGUAUACUGUCUAUGCUGCAUGAAAAAGGUUUUAGACCUAAAUGGCUUAGAUGGGUUGAAGCAUUUUUAUACUUUGCCACUACCUCAAUCAAUGGGGUACCUACGAAAGUUAUUCAUUGUAAGAGGGGCAAUAGGAUGACCCUCCACCCCCUUCUAUAUGUGCUAACAACUGGUUUAUACAAUUUUUCAUAAAUGAUGCUUGGCACAAUGGUGAAAUCAACCUACGUCGACUAUCCAAUGUCCAGGAUUACCCUAUUGUUCAUUAUGCAUAUGAUAAGCUCUUAAUCAUGCCUGCUGACCAUCACAACUUGUUGGAACUCAAAGAUAUCUUGACCAAAUUCAGCUUCUCUACUGGAUUGUAUGUGAAUUAUAGUAGAUCUUCAUCAGUGCCCAUCAUUGUGGAUCGUCAAACUUGCCACAAAUUGCAAAAAUGGACGUAUUACAAAAGCAUUGCCAUGUACCUAUCUCGGAAAUUGCUAAGAUUGACUGGAGAUUGGCUCGCAUAUCGACUCCUAAUUCAUAUUCAUGUAGACUAACAUAUAUCAACUCCGACAUCACCUCAAUGUUUGUGUUUUGCAUGUGUACCUUCAAGAUUCCCAUUACCAUACUUCAAGAUUGAGAGAAACCAUGUAGGAGAUUUCUUUGGAACAAAUUGAUAUUAAUAAAAGAGGGAGAUGUCUCGCCAAUAGGAAAAAUAUAUGGAGACCAGAUGACCAAGGUGGUUUAGGAGUCCUAAAUCCAAGGGCAUAAAUAAUGCAUUACUCAUGGAAACUAUUCACAAGAUGCACACGCGUGAAGACAUUUCAUGGGUCAAUCUACUUGGGAAGUAUACUAUGAUAAAAGGAUUGUCCCUCAUGCUACUAAGAAGGAUCUUUCUGUUGGAAGGAUUUCCUAACAUGGACUUAUACAGAAGGAUUGCUUCCUGCAAUGUUGGUAAUGGUAAAACUAUGUUGCUUUGGAAAAACAUAUGGAAUGGCGACAUUAUGCCGAGAAAAUCCCCACAAUUGCAUUAUUUUGCUUGGAAUGAAAACAUAUCCAUGGAGCAUUUGGUUGCAAAGAAAUGGGCAGAUCUUUGGAAUUAUUCAACCCAGUAUCAACUCCCGUAUUGAAUUCAGACUUUGUUCCUUUAUUAUUCAUAGAGCUGGGCCUAGUCUUAGAGAAGGCAUGCAAUCAUGGUUGGAUUCUUUUAAACUUACCCUAUGGACUUUGACACCACAUGUAUAUUAGUACAUUACCACCAUCAUUUAUAAAUAAAUAAAUAAAUAAAAUGGCACAGUAGGGGUCUUCCCUACCAUUUUUUCUCAGAAAAAGGAAUGAAACCUCCAAGGGCCUCUUUGAUUCAUAGGGUUGUAAAAACAUGGGAAUAGGGAAAAUAUAGGAUUGACAUGACAUGACCAUCUCAAUCCUACAAGAUUUUGGUUUAUUUGAUUGCAUCAUAGGAAAACAAAGAAUUAUUUUAAAGAUGCUUGAGUGGAUGCUAGAAAUCCUAUGGGAAGUAGUACAAAGAAAUUGUUAGGAAGAAACUCUAUGGGAUUCAAUCCUAUGAAUCAAAUAACAAACAUAUGAAAAGUUCCUAAGGAUUAUAAUCCUCCGAAGUUCCUACGAAAAUCCUUUGAACCAAAGGAGCCCUAACUAUUUUCUAUCUUUUAUUUUCUAGAAUAGGAAUUUCUAAAUUGUUAUUCGAUCUCCCGAACGAACUAAAAUUUCAAUAGGGGAAAAGGAAGGAAGAAAACGAAAUGAAAGAAGCCGAAAAACGAGAACAUGUUGGUUGGCCUGUACCAUGUCUACUUGAGAUGCGUUGGGUCUCAAUACACACAUGUUGAAGGCCCAGUGCCCCCCCUGAUGUUAAACCAUCUCUAUGUGUAUGCAUCGAGGCGACGGGGUUAAGGCCAUAAGGAGGAGCUACGCCCCUUAAGAUACAAUUAUACAAACUUACAAAUAACAUUAGUAAGGUUCAACUCACGGGAUUCUGGGGAAAAGUAGGAUCACACAGGCGAUCAAAGGAGGCGACGAGGUCGGUUCCCUUGCGCGCCGCCGGUGGCGCUGCCAGUUCCCUCUCUCUCCUUCGGCCGCUCCGACGGCGGGAGGGAGGGUGAACUUCGGGUCUGUCCGCUAGGUGGGUGUGUGGUAGGGUUAGGGUUGAGGGUGACGCUGUCGAGGCUGUUGCGGUGGUGUCACGUCGGAAGUUUCUCCGGGCUCUGUUCGCGGUCAGGCGAGGCUUUUGCCUUCGUCUAGGAGCCAGCGGGGUGGGGUUCCCCGGAUCUCGUCGAGGUUGCGGGCUAUGGUGAUUGGAGGUCCAUCUGCACUGGCCGUUUGGGUCCUCAGAUGGGUGAUGGAUGCAGGGAGACAAAGACCCUUCUUCUUCCUUGUCGGUAUGAUUUGCUGCUGUUGUUCUUCUCCUUCCCUUGCGCUGAUGCUGAAGAGAGAUCCUGCUUUGCCCGGGCGGAUGGCCCGGCUGCGGUGCUAGACCGGUCGGAUGACUUGAGUUCUCUUCCUUUCGGAAGGGACAUUUUUCGUGGUACUCAAAGCCAAAGAUGGCGACGGCUGUUGUAGGUGUGUUGGGUUGAUGUACAUGCCCUCUCAGCGCUGGUGUCAAGAAAGGAGGAAUCAGCGUGGCGGCAAUUGUACCGUGGUCGAAGAUGAUGAUCUGCUUGCGCCUGGUUGCAUGUCCUUCUGCUGCAAGGGUCUUCUCACAAGAUUCAGGGAUGAUGUCAGAGGGCUUCGGAGAUCUUCUUGUGUUAUGGUUGGCUUAAGGUACUCUAUGUGUUCAUGGUCCUUUGUGUUUGCGUUUUUAGUGUGCUUGUAAGGGUCAACUACUUUGUACUGUUUCAUGAUUCGAAUGAAAAAAAAUUCUCGAAAAAAAAAACUCACGGAUUUGUCGUGUGAUAUGCUUAUUUUAUAACCUAUUACAAAAAAGUAGACAUAAAAGUAGGCAAAGGCGGGUCAAAGAAACACCAAAAUAUGGAAAAGUGGGUGGGGCAAACAAGAUGACGAGAAUAUGCCACGAUGCCAAGCGUGACUUAAAAUAUGUAUACUUCCAACGUUAGUAGAAAAAAUCAUAAAAUAUUUAACAAAUGAAGAAAUAGAAUCAACAACUAUUGUUUUAUUGUGGGAGCAAAGUUACGGUUAGCGCUAAACAUAAAAAAAAGAAAGGGCCAAGAACGAAACCUCUGACCAUUCACCGUAGAUUAUUACAUGUAUAUUUUGCGGCCUUUUUUUUCUAUCUGAAAAUAGUGUGUUUUUUUAUUGAUGAACAUGAAGCGCAGCAUCAACUUACUUAUUUGUCCUCUGAUGGGCCUGACUUGUUGAUGAGCGUUGCCCAUGUCUUAAUAUCCCAGUAUAUGAUUCUGUUUUCGGUUAGUCUAAAAAUUUUCUUAUAUUAACCUACAGAGGGAGGACCUCGUUUGGUCAGUGGCACAUAAAUCAUAGCCUUCACGAGUCAGCCUAGUUUUUCAGUUUUGUGGUAUCUGACUAUCCAAAGUUAGUUUCCAGCUCAACUCAAACCAAAAGAAUUUUUUGCUUUGUGACAAUUAAAGUCAGAGUUCAAUUGUUUGGAACAACGCUCCUUGGCAUCAAAUUUGUCAAUUACUAGCACAUGAUUCAGCAUUGUCAGGACUUAAUUCGCCAUGUUUGCCUGCAAGAGUUUUGAACCCUUCUUUAUCCAAUUUAGUACUGCCAUCGUUUAACACUGACAGAGGGUACAGGGGUGAAAAGAUGCAGAAGCUGAGUGUUUGAAGCAACAUUCAGAAGAUUAAUCGAACACCAAAUGUUUCAAAAGCAAUGGCAGGUUACGAACACUGUUGAUCAGUUCCAUGGAUAAACAAGAGAAUAUGAUUGAACGGGUCACAUCUUUAGCCAUUCCACGCAUACUAAAUCACAUGUAAAAUACAGUCCUGACUGGCUUGUUCAUCGAACUAAUGAAUGAGCCACUACAGACUAGCAUUUACAUACAGGAUCCAAUCAACCAAAAGUCUCCUCAUCUUCUCCCUGAUAUGGAACUAAGAGUCAGCUAAGCUAGGGGCGGCUACUCCUUGGCGGCGACCUUCUUCUUGGGGGACUUGGUGGUGGUCUUCUUCUUGGGCGACUUGGCCUCCUUCUCUGCAGCGGCGGGGGACUUCUUGGGGAGCAGCACGGAGUUGAUGUUGGGGAUCACGCCACCGUGCGCGAUGGUGACGCCGGCGAGCAGCCUGCCGAGCUCCUGGUCGUUGCGGACGGCGAGCAGAAGGUGGCGCGGGAUGAUGCGGGUCUUCUUGUUGUCCUUGGCAGCGUUGCCGGCAAGCUCCAGGACCUGAGAUUCAGAAACGAAAACUGUCAGUUAUCCGUCGAGCACGGAAAGAACAGGAGUGCACAAGAAAGGACGGGAAACAUCAGUGCGUACCUCGGCGGCGAGGUACUCGAGGACGGCGGCGAGGUAGACGGGGGCGCCGGAGCCGACGCGCUGCGCGUAGCGGCCCUUCUUGAGGUAGCGCCCGAUGCGGCCGACGGGGAAUUGGAGCCCGGCCUUGACGGAGCGGGUCACCGCCUUCUUCCUGUCGCCUCCCUUCCUUCCAGCCAUCUUGCUUGCUACUUCACCGGCGAAGAGGGCUCUCGAGGUGUGGUGUUUGCGGCGGCGGUGCUGGAUCGGAA
rnacentral:lncRNA from 1 species